rnacentral:lncRNA from 1 species
CAAACCUUAGAAUAUACUUAUAGAUAAACUCUUAACGAGAAGAUGCACAACAUCCUCUGCACAUGAUUACACUCAAUCGAGCAGUCCACAAAAGCAUAGCAACAUAACUAGACUAGGUAUUCAAACAGUCAGACAAAUGCAAGAAAGCAGACCCUAAUACAAAUAUUACCAUAUGAAGCUCGAGCUCAUGCUCUACGCAAAGAUAAAUCACACGAUUACAUUCAACUAAACACCAAUUGCCACUCUGACCCAAAAAAAGAAAAAAAAAAGAAACACACCAACUGCCACACCAUUCUUACCUGUUAUUUAGCGAUUAGCUAGUGAUCCAGAGCUUGAGUUCAAGCCCAUGACUCCCGCCACUGAUGAAGUUAAUGAAUGCACUAAAUUCCUCCAGCUGUGCGGCACUGAAGAAGAAAAUGUGCACGAGAGUGAAAAGUGGCAUUGGAGAAGGACUUGACGCUCACGGACAUGGAACUAGAAUGCGAGCUUCAACCUCGCGGACGAAAAAAAGGCGCACCGUUUUCUGCAGAGAAUCCCCUGUUUCUGUUUCAGAGUCCACUGUUUCAGUUUCAGAGUCCACUGUUUCAGUUUCAGAGCUCCACGCUUGCUUUGCUCCAUUCAGAAUCUUCACUCUGUAAGACUUCCUGUCGUCACUACGCCAACCAUCGUCAGUACGACAGUCGGGUAACUCCCUGCUACCAUUUAUGAGUAUCCCGCAAUCAUCUGGUAUUUUUGAGCUUAAUGGAUCAAGAAUCCUUCCCACUGAUUUGCAGUUAUCAAUAUUCAACCACUGCAAGAACUCUAAUUCAUCAAUGCCCUCCACAACCUGCAGGCUCGGGCAACGGUGAAUCUUUAACCGCUUCAAGUUCUUCGAGUUUGACAAACCGCCUAAGCUUUUUAACGAAAAGCACUUUUUUACAUAAAUUUCUUCCAAUGAUUCGAACGUAGUAACAAAUUGAAUAUCCUGUACCUCGAGGAACCUUGACAGAAUAAAUUGUAUAAGCGUCUUUUGGGAGCUUGGGAAAAGUAUCACUCCCCUCCAAUGAUCAAUCAACUCGGGAGCUUGUAGUCCAUUGCACCCCGGCUCCUCCGGCUGACAAACCAAACUCUCGGAAGAUCUGCAGUCCUGAAUACGUGAUCUUUCUGACGAUUCUAAGACAUCGAGAGAUUGAACAUCAAGUUGCUCGGAGACCUUGUUUUCUUUCGAUUUUCCCAAACUUGUUGGAAGGAAUGGAGUCUCCUUUUCCGAUGGAGGAAGCCCAUCGAGGUGUACUUGUUUCCCUCCAGUUUCGUAGAGCUUUAAAACUAUCAAAUUUGACGGGAGGUGUUUGAAAGUUGGCAAGUCUUGUCCCUGUAGAGUAAGUUCUUUCAGCAGAGAAAGGGAACCCAACUCUGUAGUUGGCGCGCGAACAUUUGUAAAGCAGACGAGCAGGUUGCUCAAUUUGGUUAAACUCCCAAUCCACCCCAAGUCGCCAGUUUGGAAUUCAUUCGAUGGGUCUCUACCUUCAUUUGUGUCUCUGAAGCCGUAUCUGUCUAUGACGCCGUAUCUCUCUUCAUAGCCAUCAGAUAGGAGCAGUUCAACUAUAUUAGUAAGGUAUGAGAGGUUAGGGACAGUUUGCAGGGAAAAAGAACUAAGCCGUAAAGUGGUCAAACUUAUGGGGAGCUUUGGCAACUCUUGUAUCUUAUGACACUGAUCCAUGUCCAGUGUUUGGAGUUGACGAAACUUGACAAGUUUGGUAGUUCACCAAUGGUAUCCGGUAAUUUCAUAAUUUUUGUGUGUGAUACAUCCAGCUCCGUUAACGACUUUAUUUUCAAAACUGAGGCGGGGAGUUCAAUCAACCCGAAACAUCGCUUAAGACAGAGGCACUGCAAAUUUUGUAACUCUCCAAUUUGUUCAGGCAAUUUUUUAAUUGAACAACAAUGCUCAAAAGUCAAGUCAAUCAACCACCUCAGUUUCCCAAUAGAACGAUCAAUUUUCAUUAAAGAUCCAAAAGACUCAAUAGUCAACUUCUUUAAAUUUGAGUACUCGGGAAAGGUUGGUGUCUCACUUAUCAAAGCAUUACACCGAAUAGUGAGAACCGUCAAUUUCCUUGCCCCCUACAAAAGCCAAUAAAACAGUAAGACAUACAAGAAAUAAAUAUGGAUUUAGGUUACCAAUGAGAAAAUUAGUUAAUAAACACGUCAAAUUAUGUCCUUCAUUGAAUGAGAAAAUUAGACUAAGAGGGAAACCGGCAUACCUUGAUUAGGCUAUCUAACACAUCUUUUGUGAUUUCAAUCCCAUAAAGAUUCGCCACAACCACGUUUUCUAGAUGCAACAAAUUGGUUGCCUCCAAAUGUUGAUUACAAGAUCCGAUCGUACUAUAAUGGUAACAAUGCAAACGGAUCCAUUUCAACUCAGAAAGACAGCCCGUAAAGUCACCUCGGUAGGUUACAUUAGGCAAUGAAAGAAACCGCAUACGUGGAAACCGUUUAAUUUGCUCCGAAGUGACAGUCCAAUGAGGAGGAAAAUAACUCCAUGGCAAAUGGAGUGCUUGAACGCUUUCUUUGAUCUGCCAAUUCGUAGAAGAGAAGAGAAAAUGAAACAAAAGAGUAGCUCUCAAAUCAAAAAGUGAAUAUUGAAUUAAGAAGAGGUAUAAGCAAUUUUCUAUUCAAUUUAGGCCAUACUUUACCUCUGUUGAUCUUAAUUCGUGAAUGAUGUCGUCUCCAUCCCACAAUCCGGUACGCUCGUUUUUGGCAAUUGCCCUUCCAAGAUCUCUAAAUUGAUCGUGCAUCCAAAGGCUAUUAUUGUCUAACUCCUUUAUCAUGCAUCUGUUCAUGAGGACAUCCAUGGCAUCCUCUGGGUACAAAUUACAAUCUUUCCACACGUACAUUGGAUUAGUCUUAUUCUCACCAGCAAAAUAGCAUGCAAUAUCAAGAAAUAUCUAUUUUUCAUUCUGAUGUAAGGCAUCAUAGCUAAUCUUUAGUUUUGCCAAGACAUCCUCAUGAGGUGUUUUCUUUAGCCUCUCUAGCCACUCUUCCCAUAGCUCUCUCUUUUUCCCAAAAAGUGAUGAACCAAUUGCUUGAAGAGCUAAAGGUAGUCCACAUGUAGUAUCGACAAUGCCCUUUGAAAGAGCGCAAUAAUCAGCUGGAGGAGAGUCUUCAUUGAAGGCAUGCCUACUAAAAAGUUUAAGUGCAUCUUUACCGAUCAACCCCAUCAUUUCAUAAUCCUUAAAUUCAUACUUAAGUUUCCUGUUAGUCAAAACGUUCUUGUCCCUGGUGGUAACAAGUAUUCUACUACCUCGAUGCAAAGAUUUCUCUGCAAUUAGUUGUAGGAUCUGGUUGGCCUCAUCAACAUCAUCCAAUACAAUUAGCACCUUCUUGUUGGAAAUUGUUGCUUCAAUCGUAUCAAUCCCUUCAUCAAUCUUAUUAAUUUUGUGAGCCACUCCAGAAUAAGAGAUAUCAGACAAUAAUUUUUUUUGUAGCUCAACCAUGUUCUUGUUUUUUGCCGUUUCCCUCACGUCAUCAAGAAAGCUGCAGUUUCUGCCAAAUCGAGGACAUAGUUCGUUGAAGAUAGUCUUGGCGAGUGUUGUUUUACCAAUGCCGCCCAUCCCGUAGAUUCCAAUGAACUGCACAUCAUCAGAAUCAAUGUCUAAUAAUUUCUUUAUGUUUGCUAUUUGAUCUUCCAUUCCAACGAAAUCUCCGGUUACACGUCUCCGUUUUGUCAAGAGCUUGGCCAUAACCUCGUCAACAAUAGCCUGGAUGAGUUUUAAAGGGCUGCCACAAAGUUGAACAGUUUCAAUUGAGCAAACGUGACAAAUUUGCAUAUUGACCAUCUACUAACCAACCGGGUGGGGACGCGAUCAAGUUUAAAAAUAUAGAAGAGAAAUGUUCGAUCUUUAUAUCAGGUAGAAGAAUCAGAAUUUCUGGCAGAAAAGGGUACAAGAAUCAAAAUAUAAACAUCUAAUGAAUUAAUGUACUGAAAUAUUUACUUAAAUAAAAAAAAUGGCAGCCCGAUUAUACAAAAUAAUUUUCACAAUCAUGGUUAGAUUGUUACCUUAAAUGUUUCUCCACCUCCCAUCCCUUGAUGCCACCAACUUCUACGAGACUCCCGCCACGUCUUUAUAUUCUCGGAGCUGAACUUAUGCUCCUAAUCCUCCAUCUCUUGCUCCAAAUUCAAUAUGACAUCCUUGUAUAACGGUGUUUGCAGCUUCGCAUCUUUGGGCUUCACGUCAUAGAAGAUGGGUAAUAUGACCUUCUCUUUCCCAUCUUCUUUAUGUUUAGAGGUGUUCUCCACCAUUUUCGCAAGCUCAUCAAGGCACCAGUGACUUGAAGCGUAAUCGUUGGAGAAGAUGGGUAUGUAAAGCUUGCAAUUGUCAAUCACUUGCAAAAGGUUGCUAAUUUUUUCACCAGGUUGAAGCCCUACGUCAUCGAUGGAAACACGAAUCCCGGCAUCUACCAGGGCUUGGUGGAGGAUAUUGGUGAAUGGAAGACGAGUAUCAGGCCCUCUAAAACUCAGGAAAACCUGGUAUUCACCUCCUACCGUGUUGCUGGUGCUCGUCACUGUCUCUGAGUUUGCCAUAGGAGCUCACUUCGCACUUAACAACGUCAACCCUCUCACCUCGUCUCUGAGUUCGCAAUAUGACAUUUCACAUAUUUGAAUCCGAUCCCAUUUGCCAUCCAAAACGCGGUCAACGCGUGUCGAGUUUUCCGACACGUAGUCAACUUUUUUCGACUCGUCUCGACACGCGUGUCGGAUGGAAGCGAGGGCGGGGGAGGAGAGACGAGGCCGCGAGCGACAGCGAGCCCGCGACGGCGAGAAACCGCCAGAGAAAGAGUAGAGAUUGAGGCGCCAGAGAAAGAGUCGAGACCGAAGCAAGGGCGGCUGUAGAGACUGAGGAGAGGGCGGCCGCAGUGAUGCUGCGGAUCGGCGACGAGGCUGCAACUGCAAGUGAGGAAGGGCCGAAGCGAGGCGGAGGAGGAGGAGAGGAUCGAGAGGAGAGAGAGGACGGGGUUGUAUGGAGGUCGUCGUCCGGNNNNNNNNNNNNNNNNNNNNNNNNNNNNNNNNNNNNNNNNNNNNNNNNNNNNNNNNNNNNNNNNNNNNNNNNNNNNNNNNNNNNNNNNNNNNNNNNNNNNNNNNNNNNNNNNNNNNNNNNNNNNNNNNNNNNNNNNNNNNNNNNNNNNNNNNNNNNNNNNNNNNNNNNNNNNNNNNNNNNNNNNNNNNNNNNNNNNNNNNNNNNNNNNNNNNNNNNNNNNNNNNNGAGGGAAAAAAGUGAAAUAAAUUUGGGAGCGGGGGGAAACUUUGUUUUAAUCGGAAAAAAUAAAUGAAUAAUUUUAAAAAAUAAAAAUACUGAAUUUUAGAUGAUAAUAAAUUUUGAUCAUUGUAAAAAAAAUCAUAGAUUUAUUUAAAUAAGUUGAUUGUAAUUUUCAAUGAAUUAAUUUAUUAAUAUUAUUAGUGUAAAUUCAUUGUAGGUUCUUUUUUUAAUUAAUUAAUUAAUUAUGAAUUUAAAUCAAAUUAAAUAUAAAUAAAAAUAUUUAUUUAAUAUUUAACGUGUCGGAAGAUAUCGAAAUUUUUUACUUUUUGAGAAAUGACGUAUAAUGUAUCGUGUCGUGUCGUGUCACUUAUCGCAUAUCGCGUGUCGGUGCUACAUACGUGUACACUUAGUCAAGUUGAUGACUUCAAAAAAUAAAAAUAAGGAAAAUGACGCUAAUGGAGACGCACCUUUUUACACUCCCAAUGUCAUUCGAGUUUCUUCCUUUGUCCUUUUCACUUUGUGCUUUUGAAAAAGAAAAAUACGGUGGAGGACGAUAAUGGAGGUGCACCUUUUUGCAUGCCCAAUGUCUUCCGAGUUUCUCCUUUGUGCUUGUCGCGACCUAAUUUUCGCGGGUUCACCACCUAAAACUAGGUAAAUGGACUGCUAAGCUUUUACACUUAGCUCGGGCUCUCCCAAGCCCAUAUCAAAUCGCGACUUAAGUCUAAAUUUUUAAACAUGCAAGAGGUUAUUAUCUAGGAGUCGCUACUAAUCAGUUUAUGGUAGGUCGAUUAGACACCUAAGUAAAAUAAUGGGAGAAUUACUUUACUCCUACGAACCAGAGACUAAGGGUACGGGGACUUGAUUACAUUAGAUUUCUCUAAUGCCCUUUCGGUACCAUUCUUUUUAUUUUCAAAAAUGUUUGGCAAUUGAAUUGAUUUUAAUCUAACUUCCUAACAUGUGAGGUAAUCAUACGUGUGCGCAUACCACCAAUUUAACACACAAGACAGCAAUUUAAUAUUGCAAAACAUACCUAGGAGCAAUAAAAGCAUCUACAUUGUUAAAUCAGAAAUCACAUCAGCAGCCAUAGAUAUGAUUUCUAAUUAACACGCAAUUUCAAUUUUUUUGUUUUCACUUUAUUUAAUGAAAAUCAUGACUUAUGCAAUGCAUCUAAUAUGACAUGGCAGCAUGACCUAAACUAUAUGACAUGAAGAAAUGCAAGAAUUAAAUGCCAUCUAAAUGACCUAAUUCUAAUGACAUGCAAUGCGAAGCAAUGACAUACAAAAUUCUUUAAACUAAGAUGACAUGCCGCAUAUAAUUUAGCACGCGAGUUAUAUGUCAUGCGACAUUUAUUAAAUGAUUUAGUCUAAUGACGAUGAAGUUCUAAUGAACCUAAUAAAAACUAAAUGACGUGCAUUUGAUAUUUCUAUUUAAAAAUGCGAAAAUAAUCUAGCUAGAUUAAAAUUCAAUCUAACUUAAACUAAGGAUUAAGUCACAUUAAAUCCUAAUUUAAACUAAGAUAUUAUCUUAAUCUAACAUGUAAUUGGUCUAAUAUGCAAUGACGUGCGGAGCAAGCCCUAAUGACAUAUGCAUGAUAUUUUUUAUAUUUUAUUUUUUAUUUAAAAUUCAAAAUUUAAAAUUGCCACGUAAUUAAACAUGCAACUAAAGUCCUAAAUAAAUGCAUUUUUUUAAAUAUUUUUUGAACUAAAAUCCCUAUCCUAGCUAUGCAAGAUAACAAGAAAUAUUCUAAAACAAACUGAAUCCUAAUUCAAAUAUUUUUUUAGAUUUUUUUAAUGAUUCUCUAAAACAAGCCAUUAUCAAUUAAACAGUAAAUCUAAACAAUCAAGAUAUGCAAUCAUAUAAAGGAUCAAAAUAACCGAAAAAAAUAACCUGUUGUCUCACAGGUCAAAUUAACGAUUAUCCUAACCCUAAUUAUCACAACAAAGAGUUCAAAAUAACUAAAAUCUGAUCCGAAUUCUUACGGAUCAAAUUAAUAGUUAUAUUGAUUCAACACUAUCGACAAAUCCCAGAAAUUAUUAUAAUAAAAAAAAAAUGAUCCGAGAUCUUACGGAUCAAAUUAGUAAUUACAAUAAUUCUAGGGAAUAUCCUGUGGAUAAUGCCUACAAAAUCCAUAAAAUAAAGAUCACUCCUGAACUUAAAAGAAAUAAAUAAAAUAAAGUAAAUAGAAAAAGAAUAAAACUACCUAAUUUCCCUUUUCUUUUCUUUUUUUGUUUUUCUUUUCCUGCUUGUAACCGUGGGUCUCCAAGGCAGCGAGUUAAUCGGCACGGCAAAGGGGAUCACCGACGAGGGGGAAUUCCGGCGAGGCAAGGCAGCAGGCACAGCUGGUCACGGGUCAGGUGAGACAGGGACGGCAUGAGCGAAACCAUCGGUCUUCGGGCACCGGCAAAGGUGCGCGAGUGCAGCAGUAGCUGAGGCGGUCUGGCGUCGUGGGUGAGGAGGAAUCAGCGAGCAGUGGACUCACGGCUUCGAGCGGGCGGAGUAGGGCAGGAAAAGCUCCGGCGUCAGGCUUCACGGGCGGUGACCGGCGGGCUUUGUGAGGAGACAACAGACGCGCGGCGAGAGGCGAGCUGCUGUGGCGCCGGUGCUCGGGAGGAGGGAUGCAGGCGGAGAUGCGGCACGGAGAUCUGAGCGCGAUGGUGUGGCGCGGUGCAGGAGGGGUCACGGACGACUGGGCUGGCGUCGCGGGUUGCUCGCGAAGGAGGCGCGACGAGGCUCGGCGUCGUGGUGGCACGGUUCGUCGGGUCUUGUAGACGGAGACCGGCGGCUACGUCGACGCGGGGAAGGCGGAGGCGCGGCGGAGCUUCACGGAUCGUCGAGUUGGGCGAUGGGCAGUGCUCAAGUGUGGGGCACACGGAUGAUCAACCGGACAGGAGCAAGGAGACACGUCGGUGAAGGGACUGGACACCAGGAAAGCUUUGCCGAAGAAGAUGAAUAGGAAAAACUUUUCCUUCUUUUUUUACUUUUCCCUUUCCUCUCUCCUCUGCAGCCGCACACUUUCCUUUCUUUUUGCUUUUUGUGCUUCUUUCCUUUUCCCAAGACCUUCACGGACGGCCUCCCUCUCCUCUUUCACUUUUUGCUUUUUUCUCUCUUUUUUUAACUGCAAAACUUCUCUCCACUUUUCUGAAUUUUUUUUCAAAAGAAGCUCCUCCUUCUCCACAUACCUGAUUGCUUUUUAUAGGUGAAAAUAGGUAAUCUUCGUAGAAUAUUUUAUCUCGUUUUUUCAAUAUACACGAAGAUAAUCUAUAACCUCCCGAUCACCCAAAAUCUUCUUAUUUUCCUUAUCUCUUGAAUAUCUCUAAUGAUUUUAUUGCCUAUUGAUAAAGAUGAUAUUGCAAUGCGGUUUUCUCAAUCUUCAAAAAUCAUCAGAAUAUUGCAUCAAAAUUUCAAUUUUUCACAAGAUAAUUGAUUUGCAAAAAAUAAUGGGCUUGGGCUAUUUUGCUCAUUUCAUGGGCUUAGCCCGACCUGCCAAUUUAAAACCCGAAAACACCAAUUCGACCCAUCCGCCAAUCGGUUCAGUAAAUAAAUGCAAAAUAUGCAAACUAAAUGUAGCUAUGCAAUAUUUUUUUUCAGGGAUAAAAUUAACCCCUAAUUUUUUAUGCAAUAAAUGACUAAAUGGAUCGCCAAAAUUUAGGUGUCAACAGCUGCCCCUCUUUGAAGGUGAGCUCGAAGAGGUUGCCUUCAAAAACAAAUUGAGAUCUAAAUUUUGACAAUGCAAAUGCACUGAAUGAUUUUUUUUUUUUUUUCAGAAAAUGAAUUCCAUUUUUUAAUGCAAUGUAUAUGAUGCAUGGAAAUGCUAAUGCAGAUGAUAAAAGACUUACCUGGAAUGACUUACCUUCAAGGAGGGUAGAGUGAUUCAAGAUAGUUGGUGUUACAUGUCCAGGACUCGUACCAUUCUACGGUCGCCCGGAAUAGUAACAUGGUUUUGCAAAGAGACUGCUUCCCUAGGACCCGUACCAUUCUACGGUCGCCCAGUAUGGCAGUGUUUGAUUGUGUCUAGGACCCGUACCAUUCUACGGUCGCCUAAACAGGGAUUUACCUUCCAGGACCCGUAUCAUUUUACGGUCGCCUGAAUAGGGAAAUAGGUUUUGUCUAGGACCCGUUCUAUUCUACGGUCACCUAAACGGGGGUUUACCUUCCAGGACCCGUACCAUUCUACGGUCGCCUGAAUAGGGAAAUAGAUGUUGUCUAGGACCCGUUCUAUGCUACGGUCACCUAAACGGGGGUUUACCUUCCAGGACCCGUACCAUUCUACGGUCGCCUGAAUAGGGAAAUAGAUGUUGUCUAGGACCCGUUCUAUGCUACGGUCACCUAAACGGGGGUUUACCUUCCAGGACCCGUACCAUUCUACGGUCGCCUGAAUAGGGAAAUAGAUGUUGUCUAGGACCCGUUCUAUGCUACGGUCACCUAGACUGAGGUUUUGCUUGGCUAGGACCCGAACCAUUCUUCGGUCGCCCAGCCUUGCAAAAGAGAUCAACUGACCAGGACCCGAACCGUUCUUCGGUCGCCUUAAUCAGAUUGGCUCUGGAGGAAAAUCUUUGGGGGACAACUCAGUCGAGUGUCGAUUAAAAGGGACUCUGGGCUACAAAAGCACGCCAGGUCGAUAAAAGAAAUCCGGGCUACGGAAGCACGCCGAUUUGGUAUAAAUGGACAUCGGGCUACGAAAGCACACCGGGUCAAUGAAUGGGACUCUGGGCUACGAAAGCACGCCAGGUCAAUAUAAAGGACACCGGGCUACUGAAGCACGCCGGGUCAAUGAGAAAGGGACUCUGGGCUACAAAAGCACACCAGGUCAAUAUAGAGAGACAGCUUGACCGAGUCAAGUGUCGAUAAUGGGUAGAGAUAUACUUACCUGAUGAUAUCUCUGAUUCUUUGGGAUAUGUCUUUUGGAAAUUAGAUAUCCUGUGGAGGCCUUUCACCUCCUAAUAUCAUGAAACAUUCUGAAAGGAACUUGAAUUACCUGUCAGACAUGAUUUAGAGCAAAAACUGAUAUGCAUUCAUUAAAGAGAUAAACAAUCUAAGCUACUCUAGAAUGCACAUUUCAAAAUUCAGUGAGGUUUUCAUCAACUCAAUCGGGGUUUAUGCAUAAUGACCUUUGCAUCACCCAAAUUUCCACUGGAGAGAAUUAUCAUUCAAGACAAUUUUCACUCAUGACAUGGAUUUCUUAAGAAUACCAAAUGAGGGACCUUCAAUUAGAAAGGACUUUCACUCACUCUCAUUUAGAAGCUAUUUUAUGAGAAUCACUCCAUCUCACUAUCAUCACACCAACAAGGGUCCGAGUUUUCUCACAAGAGGUACAACCUUACCAAUCUGAGAGAUCUUUAAUAGGGACCGUAAUGUGGGCUUGGUUAAUGGCUUAACAAAGGGACUCUUUGAGUCAAGGCAAUUGAAAGAACAAUUUUGUAAUCAUCUCCGGGUUUACAAGUCAAGAACCUUGCAAAAUGAGAACGAAAUGAUCUUGCUCGUACUUCUUCGAGCGAUGCUUAUAAACAUAUGAACUCCUAUGUUAAUUCAAGUGCCCUAAUCUGAAGAGACUUUGUAAAGGACGUAACGUAGGCUAGGUUCAUGGGUUGAGAAAUGACAUGAUCAUUAGGCUCAAAACAUGUGUUAAGGGUGAGAGUUGAUGAUCAUCUUGGCAUUGCCACCAGUUUUCUUUUUCACCAUUGGGGAUUGUCUUCAUGAAGUGCCCCAUUGAUUAUGAAAACUCAACUUUUGAGUUCUUUGAGUAUUGCUCCAUUGAGACUCAAUUCUUGUCAUUAAGAGUCACCUAUCUUGACUCUUUUUUUCAUCUAUGGGCAUUGGCCUUGCUUUUACCAGGCACACCACUUUUUCACGCCCCCUAGUUUUCAUUCACUUUUCUUCACUUCUUUUCAUGGGCAUUGGCCUUGCUUUUACCAGGCACACUGCUUUUUUUAUGCCCCUUAGUUCUAUUUUGAAUUCAAUUCUUGCACAUAAUGCAUGCGUCAAGUAAACUACACUUUGAAUGACACUUGAACUUUUCAAGAGUCUUCAUUUGCCUUUUGUCUUGCCCCAGUGUGGGGGAUGAUCACCAACUGGGUUUAAAGAAAUAAAAUUGCAGGCUCAAAUGGGCUAUGCAAAGGAUAUAGGUGUAUGGGAUAGAAAAAGAAAUGCUCUUCAUCAUCCUAAAGCACUUAAAUUAACACAUGAAUUCACUGUAAUAGCAUGACUUGAAGAUUGAUGCAAGUGAGAGCAAGAAGAUUUCAAUUCAUUUUCCUCACCUCAUGAUGCCAUUUGAUCUCUUAGUUGCCCCGAUGUGGGGUGAUUCUUGACAGGGGUAAUUUGAAAAGAAUCUCCACAAGUGUAUAAGGCUCAAAAGGGUUAAGCAAUGGAUCACCUAUAGUGUUUGGGAUAGAGAAAUAAACUGCCUCUCAUCAUUUUGGUCAUCGUACCUUUUGCAAGAGAACUCUUUACCUUGAAGAUAUGGAACUUCCUACACUCAUCUAUCAAGUGUAUAAGUAGGGGACCGUGUAUAGGGUAAGGCUUGCCUUUCAUCAUACUGACACGUCUCAUUCAGCAUUCUUAAGCAUUGAUAUCACUCCAUUAAAUUGUCUAUCUUGACAAAUCUCCACAUGAAAUUGGUUAGCUAAAUCAAUAUGAAAAUUCUCUUUUCAAAUGAGUCCAGCAACUUUAAGCAUGAAAAGUGUUUGUGACUUCAAAACAAACAAUUUAUUGCACUCAAAACAUGGUUUUAAGCAUUCAUUCAGGGGAUUGCUCUAGAAAGGGAUAGCCGUCUUUUAUCAAUCAAAAGUGAAAAUUCGCCUUUUGAUUUGAUGAAUACUUCGUUCUUGCUUUUGCCCCUGCACAAGAGAACGUGCAUGAAUAGGAUACUAUGCAACUCAAAGUAAAUUCAAAUGGCACAACCAUUUUGGCUCGGAUCGAGAUUUUGUCUCAGUCAUGUCACUACUAGAAUCUAUAGUACCCCAAUUCUUCAUCUGCAAGGAAAAGAACAAAAGUGUCAAUUCCGAAAUUAAUUAUAUUCAUGAACGCAAUGUAUCCAUUUCAUUUAAGACGGAUGAUCUUCUUUUGACUUGUUUCAUCAUUUUCUCAUGGAAAUGAGAAACUUCAUUUGGCCUUCGAGAAUGACAUUUCACACAAAUUGUUAUGAGAUGUGCCACAUAUCACACUUUGGAGUCCAUAUGAUUUUCUUCACUCUUGGGAGAUGUCAUCAAGAUCAGUUAGGAAAUGAUCAUUUGCCCCCACAUCUAUUUUUCCUCUCAGAUGUAUGUUCCCAAAUCAAUGGGCCUACUAUCAUUGGAAAUUGAUGCGUUAUUUUCAAACGCCUCUCUGUUAUGCUCUGAGACAUGAAGUAAAUGAGUUAGAAAAACAUACAAAGGUAACCUAAUGCAUGCUUUUUGGAAAUGGCUUGAAAAAUGAUUUUUUUUUUUUGUUCUUUUGGAUUUUUUUUUUAUGAGGAAGCAUGAAGAAGCCCAGUCCUCAGAAUUCUCCUUGGAUGAUAUUUUCUUUUCAUUGUUGGAUAUCGUCACCGGGUUGGUUUGGUAUACCCCAUCAUGUCCUCAAAAUUAGAAAUAAAAUUGUAAUUUCGUCAGAUGAAUUACAUUAUUGGAAUGGAAAUUGUGAUUCCUAAACCCCCUAAAAGAGAAAAAAUCGAAAAUGAUUCCUAAAAAGCGAAAACUAAUUCCUAAAAAGCAAUAAAAAUUCCCAUGCAGGGGAAGAUGCAACUGAGCAUGCCCCAAGGAAAGUGAACUACUUAGGACUAUGAAUCAUGUAUGCUCGAGUUCUUCACCCUCCUUGCUCGUGUGAUGCGAACCUUUCAAGUCUGAGAUUCUUCCUUCUAGAUAUGUCACGAGUCUCUUCAUGGUGGCAUCAAAUUCAGCUACCUCGGGAAAGUGAGACGAUUCAAAAGUUCUCUUGGCUCUCUUCUUCGAGUCGCAAAUUCUUAUUGAAGAUGGAGUACCUAUGUCAUCGCAGCCUUUUUGCUUGAUGAGAAAAGUCACAGUAGUAGACAAUUCAUUGACUUGAUUUUGGUGGUGUGCAAUUUGCUUGUUCAUAUUAUCAAUGAUAUGGUCCAGCGCCUCAUUUCGAUCCGCCAUUUUAGCUCUCGACCGUGUACGGAUGGGUGAGCGAGAUCGCUUCAUAAUCACCUAAUAAAAAAAUAAAUGGGAACAUGUAAGCAUGAAGUGUAAAUAGAAAGCUAGUUCAUGACAACCAUUUAAUUUUAAUCAAGAAAAGUCCACAUAUGAAGAGGAAUUCCUAAAAACGGACUAGGAAAAUAAAGACAGGGGACGCCCCAGUAGGGACGAAAUUUCCUAAACAUGAACUAGCAAAAGCCAAGACAUAAAUUGAAAACAAAUUUCCAAUUUUUAUUUUCCAAAUGAUUCAUUGUAUGGCAAUUCAUUUCAUUUUUUAAAGGAAUUAGAUCAAAUGACUAUCCUAGAUUGUCAUGAACAAACCAAAAGCAUGACAAAAUAAGAUGCAUGGUAUAGGGAUAGAAAACUUACUUUACCAAGAAAAAUCAACGGCGAUCACAUAGACAUGCACAUGAAAUGUGAGGCUCGAUUUCUGUCUAAAUGGCUUAACAAGGUGGAGCUAAGAGGAUAAUCUUACCGUUGCAGUCUCGCAUUAACGUGUCAGGUCCCCCUAACUCCGGCUCAGUCGAAUGGAAUACCCAAUAAUCACGCAGUCUCGCGGAUAUGGAUAAACACAUUCGACACCAUGAAAGAAAUUUCGGGGAAGAGAAGGUCAACCUCUACAUAGCAGUCUCGCUUUGGAGGAAGUAUCCUUCUCAACACCAUCCUAAAAAUCCUAUCGCAGCCCAGGUCCGACCGCAGGUUGUGUGUGCAAAAGUGUAGUGCUAAAGCAAUAAAGCAUGCACAACAGUUUAAAUGCAAACAACACUUCUAUAGUUUUAAUUCAAACAUUCAUCCCUAACUCCAACCUGCAAAACAAGGGUUAGCAAAGACUACUCCCCUUAUACCUCCUAUCUGCAAGAACAUUUAACACCUUAGGAAUGUUAGGGACAUACCUGGGAUCCUAUGCUGCCAAACAAAAAUAUUUUUUUAAAAAGAAAUUGGCCUAAGUCCACUAAGUGUUUUAACACAAGUCCCCAGUGGAGUCGCCAAGCUGUCGCGACCUAAUUUUCGCGGGUUCACCACCUAAAACUAGGUAAAUGGACUGCUAAGCUUUUACACUUAGCUCGGGCUCUCCCAAGCCCAUAUCAAAUCGCGACUUAAGUCUAAAUUUUUAAACAUGCAAGAGGUUAUUAUCUAGGAGUCGCUACUAAUCAGUUUAUGGUAAGUCGAUUAGACACCUAAGUAAAAUAAUGGGAGAAUUACUUUACUCCUACGAACCAGAGACUAAGGGUACGGGGACUUGAUUACAUUAGAUUUCUCUAAUGCCCUUUCGGUACCAUUCUUUUUAUUUUCAAAAAUGUUUGGCAAUUGAAUUGAUUUUAAUCUAACUUCCUAACAUGUGAGGUAAUCAUACGUGUGCGCAUACCACCAAUUUAACACACAAGACAGCAAUUUAAUAUUGCAAAACAUACCUAGGAGCAAUAAAAGCAUCUACAUUGUUAAAUCAGAAAUCACAUCAGCAGCCAUAGAUAUGAUUUCUAAUUAACACGCAAUUUCAAUUUUUUUGUUUUCACUUUAUUUAAUGAAAAUCAUGACUUAUGCAAUGCAUCUAAUAUGACAUGGCAGCAUGACCUAAACUAUAUGACAUGAAGAAAUGCAAGAAUUAAAUGCCAUCUAAAUGACCUAAUUCUAAUGACAUGCAAUGCGAAGCAAUGACAUACAAAAUUCUUUAAACUAAGAUGACAUGCCGCAUAUAAUUUAGCACGCGAGUUAUAUGUCAUGCGACAUUUAUUAAAUGAUUUAGUCUAAUGACGAUGAAGUUCUAAUGAACCUAAUAAAAACUAAAUGACGUGCAUUUGAUAUUUCUAUUUAAAAAUGCGAAAAUAAUCUAGCUAGAUUAAAAUUCAAUCUAACUUAAACUAAGGAUUAAGUCACAUUAAAUCCUAAUUUAAACUAAGAUAUUAUCUUAAUCUAACAUGUAAUUGGUCUAAUAUGCAAUGACGUGCGGAGCAAGCCCUAAUGACAUAUGCAUGAUAUUUUUUAUAUUUUAUUUUUUAUUUAAAAUUCAAAAUUUAAAAUUGCCACGUAAUUAAACAUGCAACUAAAGUCCUAAAUAAAUGCAUUUUUUUUAAUAUUUUUUUGAACUAAAAUCCCUAUCCUAGCUAUGCAAGAUAACAAGAAAUAUUCUAAAACAAACUGAAUCCUAAUUCAAAUAUUUUUUUAGAUUUUUUUAAUGAUUCUCUAAAACAAGCCAUUAUCAAUUAAACAGUAAAUCUAAACAAUCAAGAUAUGCAAUCAUAUAAAGGAUCAAAAUAACCGAAAAAAAUAACCUGUUGUCUCACAGGUCAAAUUAACGAUUAUCCUAACCCUAAUUAUCACAACAAAGAGUUCAAAAUAACUAAAAUCUGAUCCGAAUUCUUACGGAUCAAAUUAAUAGUUAUAUUGAUUCAACACUAUCGACAAAUCCCAGAAAUUAUUAUAAUAAAAAAAAAAUGAUCCGAGAUCUUACGGAUCAAAUUAGUAAUUACAAUAAUUCUAGGGAAUAUCCUGUGGAUAAUGCCUACAAAAUCCAUAAAAUAAAGAUCACUCCUGAACUUAAAAGAAAUAAAUAAAAUAAAGUAAAUAGAAAAAGAAUAAAACUACCUAAUUUCCCUUUUCUUUUCUUUUUUUGUUUUUCUUUUCCUGCUUGUAACCGUGGGUCUCCAAGGCAGCGGGUUAAUCGGCACGGCAAAGGGGAUCACCGACGAGGGGGAAUUCCGGCGAGGCAAGGCAGCAGGCACAGCUGGUCACGGGUCAGGUGAGACAGGGACGGCAUGAGCGAAACCAUCGGUCUUCGGGCACCGGCAAAGGUGCGCGAGUGCAGCAGUAGCUGAGGCGGUCUGGCGUCGUGGGUGAGGAGGAAUCAGCGAGCAGUGGACUCACGGCUUCGAGCGGGCGGAGUAGGGCAGGAAAAGCUCCGGCGUCAGGCUUCACGGGCGGUGACCGGCGGGCUUUGUGAGGAGACAACAGACGCGCGGCGAGAGGCGAGCUGCUGUGGCGCCGGUGCUCGGGAGGAGGGAUGCAGGCGGAGAUGCGGCACGGAGAUCUGAGCGCGAUGGUGUGGCGCGGUGCAGGAGGGGUCACGGACGACUGGGCUGGCGUCGCGGGUUGCUCGCGAAGGAGGCGCGACGAGGCUCGGCGUCGUGGUGGCACGGUUCGUCGGGUCUUGUAGACGGAGACCGGCGGCUACGUCGACGCGGGGAAGGCGGAGGCGCGGCGGAGCUUCACGGAUCGUUGAGUUGGGCGAUGGGCAGUGCUCAAGUGUGGGGCACACGGAUGAUCAACCGGACAGGAGCAAGGAGACACGCCGGUGAAGGGACUGGACACCAGGAAAGCUUUGCCGAAGAAGAUGAACAGGAAAAACUUUUCCUUCUUUUUUUACUUUUCCCUUUCCUCUCUCCUCUGCAGCCGCACACUUUCCUUUCUUUUUGCUUUUUGUGCUUCUUUCCUUUUCCCAAGACCUUCACGGACGGCCUCCCUCUCCUCUUUCACUUUUUGCUUUUUUCUCUCUUUUUUUAACUGCAAAACUUCUCUCCACUUUUCUGAAUUUUUUUUCAAAAGAAGCUCCUCCUUCUCCACAUACCUGAUUGCUUUUUAUAGGUGAAAAUAGGUAAUCUUCGUAGAAUAUUUUAUCUCGUUUUUUCAAUAUACACGAAGAUAAUCUAUAACCUCCCGAUCACCCAAAAUCUUCUUAUUUUCCUUAUCUCUUGAAUAUCUCUAAUGAUUUUAUUGCCUAUUGAUAAAGAUGAUAUUGCAAUGCGGUUUUCUCAAUCUUCAAAAAUCAUCAGAAUAUUGCAUCAAAAUUUCAAUUUUUCACAAGAUAAUUGAUUUGCAAAAAAUAAUGGGCUUGGGCUAUUUUGCUCAUUUCAUGGGCUUAGCCCGACCUGCCAAUUUAAAACCCGAAAACACCAAUUCGACCCAUCCGCCAAUCGGUUCAGUAAAUAAAUGCAAAAUAUGCAAACUAAAUGUAGCUAUGCAAUAUUUUUUUUCAGGGAUAAAAUUAACCCCUAAUUUUUUAUGCAAUAAAUGACUAAAUGGAUCGCCAAAAUUUAGGUGUCAACAGUGCUUUUCACUUUGUCUUGAUCUCUCCGCCUUGAAAACUUAACUUCAAUUAUAACCAAUUUCCUUCAACAACUCAAUUAUUGUCGUAAAAUGUGCCUUUAUAUUAAAAGGUGAAUGAUCAUUUAUUUCCUACUAACAACUAUUAGAAUGUGAGCAUGGUGUAGUUAGUGCAGUUUGGAUGUCAAAUCAAGCCAAACUAUAUAAAUAUAUUUUGAGUUUGAGCACCUCGGAUGAAAUAGGAUCAGAUGAGAAUUAUAGGAGCUCGGCCACUGUUCAAAAUUGGUGAGAGGAAGGGCAGUGAUGGCUUGUCAAAGGCCAUGAUGCCAGUCCAUUGCGGUAUUGCUUUGAGCACGAAAGAAAGAAAGAGAAACCAUGAUGGUCCUGACCACAAGAGACGGCUUUUGCUCAGCUGAAGAAGAGAGAACGAGAUUAAUGAUGGCCAUUGCCGAUACUGGCCCGAAAGGGGAGAAGACGAAGAAAGUUGCAAGGACGGUGUCUUUUCAUGUUGGCCACUCAUUGUUUCCUUACUUCUGCUUUAUUUGGUUCCGCUGAAUUUCCUCUUCAAGUACCAAGAGGAAGAGCUCUUAAAGUCAAAGAGAGCUCUGAAGGCUGCACAGAGCAUAUCGAAAAGCGUGUCGAGGGUUCCUCUCGAUAACACCAAAUAUUUAUGUUCUAAAGAGGAGUAAAUCUUUCGUUAAGAUUUGCCUCGUACUUUUAAGAGAUUGGGAAAUUUUUUCAAAAUAAAAUUUGAAAGCUAAACAUUUUAUGAAUUAUUGAAUAUAACUAGGAUUUGAAAAAUAACAAGAGUGUUUAAAUGAUUCAAGUAUGAUUAUAAAUUUCCUCAUAUCUUUUGAUUUAUAAUUGAAUCUUGUAUUGCUCUCUCAUAAAUAUAAGUCAUAAACCGAAUCACGUAAAUUUAAUAUCUGAUUCAUUUCUUUAUUUUGUGCAUUUUAUUCAAUUUUUUUUCCAAAAGGGAAUAUGUUUUGAAGGAAAGUGAAACCCAACUAAAAAAUAUUCGAUAUGAUCAGCAUUAGGGGGUAUUGUUCUUUUGUUGCCAUUUUGUCCAUUGAAUCGCUCCAGGCCGUGUGUACCUUUCACUUUCCUUCCUUCAUUUUCCAUGAUUCUAUGGUCACAUAUUUUUUAUUUAUUUAGUUUUGGCACAACAUAUCAAGAAAACCCUAAAUUUGCAACUACAAUCUUAAUAUUUUAAAUAAGUCUAUUUUGCAUUAUUUGACAUAGAUUUUCACGGCAUUUGUUAGUGAUGCAUUUUUUUUAAUUGCAUGUUUAAUAUAAAUCAUUUUCAUAUUUCAUCUCUUAAUAAUUUUCCAUGAGAAAUUGAAAAUCAUUAGGAAUAUUAUCCUUCGAAAUUUGAAGUAAUGAAGCUCAGAUAGAGCCUAGACGCAAUAAUUUAUUUUUUAGCUUGUUUUAUUUAUAAAUGUUUUUCAUGGCGUUAUUGGUUGCUUUGACUUGUUGACUAAAUCGGUGCACUGUACAAAGUCCUCGAGAGGAUGACUUGUCCACAUUUAUUUUAGCUCAUUCAUGACACUAGUAUCCAAAUCAUUGGACUCAAUUAACACCGAUUUAUAAACACAAACCACUCCAUCCACGUACAUUAGAUUAGUUCCAUUCACAGGAUAGCUAGCAAGACACUCUAGGCAAUGAGUAAGAGACAUCAUGAUCAAAUUUGAACAAAAUAUUGUUUCGAGAAUAGCGUUCAAAAUACAUGUAAUGCACUCAUGACGGAGUCAUUUUCCUGGAAAAUAACUUAUCGAAAAAUGUUUUUCGGAAACAUGAUAUUUUCUACGAAACGAACGAACCCUUAAUAUGAAAAACUUCUCCUCCAAAUCAUCCUCCUUCAAAAAUAUACAAAAGAAGAACAACUGUGUUACAUUAGAAAAGGAGAAAAUGAUGUUUAUUAUGAGAAAUAAAUGAUGAAAUUCUUGAUUUGAAUGCCUGAAGUCCGAUGCCACUUUCUUUAGUAAGAGACAUCAUUUUGGACGUUUGUAUCGUGUAACUCACGUGAUUCAAUUAAAAAGCUUUUCCACCAUAUCAUCCUCCCUAAAAAAAUUACAAAAGGAGAACCACUACGUUACAUUAGAAAAAGGAGAAACGGAUAUUUAAUUAUAAGAUAUAAACGGUGAGCGCAAUGCCACUUUCGUCGGUUAGAGACAUCAUUUGGACGUUUGUAUUUCGUGACUCAGGGGUUUAAUUGAAAAUUAUGGAUAAAGACUCUUAAUUCCAUUUGCAUGACUCACAGGGUUUUAGGUUUCAAAUAAAUAUCGGAAUCGACAAAAUUUUAAAGGGAAACAAAUAUCACUAUAAAAUAUUCUUCCACGACCAUUUGCCAUCAAUUACGCUCACGGCCAACUUUCCAGCAGGUGCAGAAAACAUUAUAUAUUAUGGUCCCUUUUGACAUCAAAAACACGUCAUGGCAACUUCGAAGCAGGUGCAACUUCCAAUUUAUAGUCACUAAAGUCGAUGGCUUUAUAAAAAUAAAGGUGGAGGACAAUAAUGAAGGUGUAACUUUUCUAUAGUUGGACAUAUUUAAAAUUCCAAUCCAAUAUUGUAAAAUAAAAUUUAUCUAUAUAAAUACAUAAUAACAAAUUAUUUCCAAAGAAUCGCCUCUCAUUAUGACACAUGGGACUCCGGAUAAUUAGAUAAAUUUCCUUCAUGCCAUAGAGAUUGAAUUUGCAGCUUUCACUACAAAAAAAAAAAAAAAGGCUCCACCUAAGCGCUACCUAAGCAUAUACUUACUAUUCACUAUGAAAUAUUCGAUUUGAUCUUUUUACCUUAAAGACUUACCUUUUAUUUUAAUUAAUUGCCUUUAACCACUCAAGUAUUCUCAUUAAAUGUGCCUUUAUAUUAAAUAGCAAAUGAUUGUGCAAACACUUUUUCAACACUUAUUUCCUUAGAUUGUCAUUGCAUUUCUUAAAAAAAAUUUAGGGACCGAAUUUGCCAACAACACUAUAAUUUGACCCCUAACCAAAAACACUUACCACGCACGGUUUUUUGCAUUCGUUCCUCGCAUUCAUGACUAGAGGCAUGUUGAUUUCGAUACCUUGGGCCUGGCAUCAAAAUAAAUCUUGGAUAGGAAAAAGAAUUUCAUUUUAUUCUUUUCAAGAAUGGAGGAUUAGGAAAAUCCUAUUGAUUGCAACUUUCUCCAAACGUCCGAGAAAAGGAUGAAAAAAAGGCUUGAAUGGUACAAUCCCUCCAUAACCCCUGGGGAAAAAUAAAGAUAUAUCUUACAUUAAAAGGCUCAAAUGGUACGAUCCCUCCAUCACCCCAAAAUGAAAGGGAUCACAGACAUUUCUGGAACACCUCUAACAAAGGGACAAAUAGUCAAUUUUGAAAUAACUUAAACUCCAAUUCUAAAAUCCCUUCUCUCGCACUUUACACCUUAGAAUGCACCCUUAUUAUAGAGAGAAAGACGACCCAGUACGGUAUCGAUAUCUCUUGGAAUCCUAAACUAAAUAUGAUACUACCAAUAAUUGUAGCAAUCUACAUGUGUCCCUAUCCCAUUAAUCAAUACUGAUUGAUGGAAUUCUAAAGAAAUAUUCAAGGCCACUCAACAUUACUCAAUUGAUUUGUUCCUUUUAAGUUGACCUAUUUUUGUGCGCACCAUUAAACCUCAGCUAGCCUUAUCGCUUUAGCCUUGUUGGGGACAUGAAACUAAGUCGAGAUAUGGGCCAUCUAGUCAACAAUCGGCCAAGAGUCUCACCUGGGACCAAAGAGUGAGAGCGAGAUCGUGCGAAACAGAAAAAAAAGAAAAAAAAGAAAGUAGAGCAGAGGGCAAUCUUGGCAAUAGGAGGAAAUAACAAUAGUAGGACCUGUUCAGGCAGCUUAUCUGGCUGCAUAUUGGAAGUGAGUUAUUACGUGAACAGCCCAAGGAUAGCAGAGGAUAACAUCCAGGGAAUGUUUGUCAUUUUCUUACCUGUUCCUCCAUUAAUCUCGCGUACUAACCAAUCAUCGCUGCCAUCAAAGCCAAUUCGUUUUGAAACCCCGCUUCACAAUCGUCGUUUUGACCCUCCACGGCCUAAAAAAUUGUCUUCUCUCGAAUCUUUGGAUUGAGCCAUCACUCGAUGAGCUGAUCGCUUCCCCACAUGACCAGACAAAUCCUCGCCUUCCAUCACAGCGUAGUCCCUGUGUCACUGUGCGUUUCAUGGGUUACUCCUCUUGGCUGCUCUUCGCUGCCCAAAUUAUUAGUGCUAUGUUAGGUAAUCACACAUUGAUUCCAGAAAAAAUAACGCAAGCAAACAAUCCACCCAGACUAAAUAUAAUAGAAAAUUUAUUAUCAAAGUUCACCCAAACCUAGACUAUGUUUCCAUGUAGAGGUACUCUACAAAUUCACUAAACUUUAAAAAAAAGUUGAAAUAUAAUAAUGAUUUUCUCUCAAGAUCAAGGUACAAAUAGAUUAAGAACUCUCACAAAUAAGAAACUCGCUUUUUUCUUCUCUCUUUUUUUUUUUUUUAUAGCUCCUUGAUGGCUAGUGUUUGACUAUCACUGAUAUAAAGUGUAGCUUUUAACCUAAAAAAAAAUAAUAGAAAAGACAAAAAAAAACCUCUAAAAAAAUUUGGCUUCACCCGCUAACAAUCUCCCACUUGAAGCACUAUGCAACUUAGCAUCCAUCUACUUCAAAAUCUAGUAAUUGAAAUUUGUACCUUUGCGAUACUCCUCAUCAAUUAGGAUAGAAUAAUAUCGAUUGUAGUGUUGACACCUAAAUUUCGAAUGUUCAUAUAGGUUUUUAUUGCAUAGAAAAUUAGGGAUUAAAUUUUAACUCCUAAACAAAAACAGUUUACACCUAAAUUACAUAGCAUAUAGACAUUAGGAGCAUUUGCAUUAAGAUGUUUAAAAUUUAUAAGGAAAAAUAUUUAAAGAAGAGGAAAAAGAGAAAAAUAUAAUUAAUUAAAAAUUAUUAUUUAAAAAAAGAAAGAAGAAGAAAAGAAAAAGCGAGAUCGGGCUAGGGUCAGGCCAGCCCAGCCCGGCCCACUUUUCCUUUUCUUUUCCCCAAGCCCAGCCUCUUCCUUCAUCUUCUCCCUCACGAACUCCCGCUCGUUCACGCUCUCACACGUUCUACCAAAAAGAAAAACGAGAACGAAGGACGGACGCAGAGGCGGGACGGCGAGUGAGGAGCGCGCCUUUUGGGUCGGGAGCAGGCCGGCACGGCGAGCUGGCGGUGGCAAACGCGACGCGCGCCUGCCGGCCGUAGAGGGGGAUUCUGAGGGCUCGGACAGAGAGAGAAAUGGACGGAGAGAGAAACGGGGAGAUAGAGGGGAUCCGACCGAGAGGGAGACCGAGAGUGAGAGAGCAGAAAAUUCGCCCCGACUGAGCGCCGUUCAGCCAUCCUCGACACAAACCGGCGUCCCCUAGCUGUUACACGGUGUCCGAUUUUUGGUGAGUUGAGUUUCGGUUUCGAUCCGCCGUUUUCCCGUGGUUCCCGGCUUGGCGACACUGAGAAGGCCGGCUAUAGUUCCAUUCGCAUUGAGACCGACUUCCGGCCAUCUUCGCUAAGCCGGGUAAGGCCCCUGCGGUCGCGCGCCCUGGCGCCCCUUUUUUGUCCUUUCUUUACUGCUCUGUUUUCGCCCUAUUUCGGGCGCGCCGGGCCGGAGGUCGCGGCCGUCCGGCUCAUGCGAACUCCGCCGUCCGGCUCAUGCGAACUCCGGCCCCUUCGCCCCUGUUUUUUGAUAUUGUCGGUCUGGUGGGUCGUAUGUCGAGGGGACUGUGCGAGUUUGAGGCCCGGCUGAGCCGGGAGCCCCUCGUUCAGUAUCGCACGCCAUCCUCUCGAUGAAAUGCCUCAACGAUAUAAUUUUCGUCUCCUCCUCUUUUUGCCGAAAUCAAGUCGUCCGGACUGUUGUGUUCUAUUGCUAUGUCCCUGUGAUGUUUUCUGAUACGGGCACGGCCGUUUGGUCGCUCCACUGCCCCCGCCACCGUCGUUUACUUUGUUUUGUGUUUCGGCUUUGUGGCCAACUAUAAUGGAGGCUUGUUACUGUGUUUCGCCCAUGCUGGCCGUCGCCAAGAGUCCAGAGCCAUUGGAGUUAGAGCACGGUCAGGCCGAGGGCGACAACGUCGUUGGCUCACGGCCAUUUGGGGAAGAUGGUGGCAGCGGGAGGUCAGAAGGAAUUAGGUUAGAAGGCUUAAUUAGGUUUAAUUAGCAUGGGCUUAAGUUAGUUUAGUGGGUUUCAGUUCGUUUCUGUUUUCAUGGGAGUACAAAAGUGUAUUGGUUUUAGGGUCAACUAGGAUUUAUUAAGCUCAGGUCUAGUUCUCGUUAUAUUUGGACCAGUGAUUUCGGGCCUAAUUUACAUUAGGAUUUGUUUGUUUCGCAAAAUCUUAAUGAUAUAAGAAAAUGUUUUACUAAUGCUAGGAAUUUAUUUGAUGAUAUAUAAUUGAAGUUUUUUUUCGAUGCUCGGAUAUUAUUGCAAAAUGAUUUCAAUCUCAUUACUUUAUUUCAACUUUCAAGCAAAAAAAAAAAAAAUCAAAAUUUUCAAUUUUUAGAAAAAAAGAAUUGAAAUUUUAAUUAUUUUAUUUUUCUCUUAUUUUAUUUUAUUUUUUCAAAAUAUCGAAUUUUAAUUUCCUAAAAUAAAGAGACAGUGGAUUCUCAUUAAAGUGACCAUUAUCCAAACCUUAGAAUAUACUUACAGACAAACUCUUCUCGAGAAGAUGCUCAACAUCCAGUGCACAUGAUUGCACUCAAUCGAGCAGACCACAAAAACAUAGCAACAUAACUGGACUAGGCAUUUAGAUAGUCAAAUAAAUGCAAGAAAGCAUACCCUUAUACAACUAUUACCAUAUGAAGCCAGAGCUAGAGUUUGAGCUCAUGCUUAAAUACUCAAAGAUAAAUCAGACAAUUACAUUUCAACUAAACACCAACUACCACCCCAUUCUUACCUGUACUUCAGCAAUUAGCUGGUGAUCCAAAGCUCGAGUUCAGGCCCGUGACUCCCGCCAUUGAUGGAGUUAAUGAAUCCACCAAAUUCCCCCAGCUGAGGGGCACUGAAGAAGAAAAUGCGCGCAAGAGUGAAAAGUGACAUUGAACUUGAAGCUCGCGGACAAUGAGCAUCUAACUCGUGGAUAACGGAAGCUGGGAAAGGAGAGACGACAGCGAACAAUGGACUUGAGUUUGCGAGGAGCGAAUGAGGAUUGGGCGCAGAGUCGCCGAGGAUGAGCGAUAGCGAUUUGCUUGAGCAGCAGAUCGACUUAACCACCUCAUUCCGAAAAUACAGUUGAGGCCCUUUUUCCCCUUUCUUUUUUCUUCUUCUUUUGCCGACUCUGUCUGGCUCUCUCUUUUCUACUCUUCAUUUUGCUGACUGUCUUUCUCUUCCUUUUCUUCUCUUUAUUUUCCUGGUUCUGCAGAUAAGAAAUAAUAAGGUGAGUUGGGGUGAGGUCUCUUGGGCCUAAAUUUCUCUUAAGAAAGGCCCUUUUGUUAUAGAUGGGGAAGGAUGUAAUAGCCCCAACCUCACCACCGAAGUGGACACACGCACGCACGCACGCCCGCGCGCGCACAGAGCAUAUGGAGAUUCCCAGUGAGAUGAGGAAUUUUAAUAGGAUUGUCCUUGUCGUUUUAGAAUCAGUUCAUUGUCUCUCUUCAUCAGAAUAAAGCAGAAAUAGAAAGCAAGUAAAGCAGAAGAAACGGCGAUGAUCUAUGAAUAGAAAGAAGGCGUACUGUUUUCCGUAGAGAAUCCCCUGUUUCAAUUUCAAAAUCCGUCCCUUACUUGGAUCUAUUCAGAAUUUUCUCUCCGUAAGACUCCCAAGUGGCGUAAGAAUGAGAUGGAUCACUAUCGAGUAACUUCCCACUACAUACUAUGAUUAUCAAGCACUUAUUUGGUAUUUUUGAGCUCGAUGCAUCAGAAAUCCUUUCCAUUGAUUUGCACCCAUUAAUUUCCAACCGAUUCAAAAACUCUAAAUCGUCAAUGCCCUUGAUAACCUGCAAGCUCGGGCACCGGUCAAUCGUUAACCGCUUGAAGAUCUUCAAGUUUGACAAACCACCUAAGCUUUUGAGGCACAAAACGGAAUCACCAAGGAAGUAAAUUGAGAUGUACAACUACCUGACCAAGCACCUUGCUACAAAGUGGCUCACUUUUCUCUCUUCUUUCAGUUCAAAUCAGAAGAUCAAUACAAAACGGAGAACAGGAACACGGGAAUAAUCAAGAAGCGAGAAGAUCUAGAGUUUCUGCUUCAACAGAAAACAAAGCCGCGUGUACUUUGUCCAACCAAUUGUCCAGUCGGUCACACAGUAAUUUGAACUAUGGAAUCCCAAAAACUCUGGGUUGAACCCAUGAAACGCAUAAUGUUCCCUCCACUUGAUCGAUUAUGCCCUCAAUAAGAUGAAUCCGAGUUGAGAUUCUAAAUGUUUAGACUCUGUACAAUAAGGUAAAUACUUGAAUAUCAGUUUUCCAUUACGUAUGCUAGAGCAGAGAACAUGCAAGCAAUUACAAAAUCCAGGUAUUUGCCAUGACUGCGUAUGCAAAAAAGGGAAUUGUUCUCCAGAUAUUUAGCAACAGCACACUGACACAUGUCCAAAGCUCUUCUAUUCUUACACCAGAAAUAGUGGCGAAGGACAAUCUACGAGCAUGAAUAACUCAAAGUAAUCAUCUUUUACACCCCCCCAAUUAUGAAACAUAGCAUCAACAUGAAAGGAAUAAUAAGAAAUGCCGAUUCACAUCAGCCCCCACUUGUUGCAUGAAGCUAUUUAUGGUUGAUAAAUACUAGCUAAGUCUCCUAAUAGUGCGCAUGUUCACAGCAGCCAGUUUAGGCACAUUCUGUGCAACCAACCCACAAACUUCUAGUUCCUUCAACCAUAUGCAGCAGACCUCAAAUUACCAAUGGAAAAUACGACUGCUCAAGAAGAGAACCAAGAAGAGAAGCACUGUUCGCUUCAUUUCUAAUCAUUAAAGCCCCUCACAGGUAGUAAAGAGACAAUGGCUACUCAUUAAGAUGAUCAUUAUUCAAACCUUAGAAUGUACUUAACAGACAAACCAUUCGUGGGAAGACGCUCAACAUCCUGUGUAGAAAGUUCUGUGCGCUCUGCAAUAACAUUCAUGGGAAUGGUUCGAUUUUUAGAUGGUUGACUACAAACAUCGACAUCGCCGUUCUUCAACGAAGCUGUAAACUCUGUUUCCCAAAUUUUGUAACUCUCUAAUCUUAAGUCAGCUCACCAAAAUACCCAUAAUUCUUGUAAUACCCCAACUAACAGAUGCACAACAUGCCAGCACAUGAUUUCACACCAUCGAGCAGUCCACAGAAGCAUAGCAACAUAAAUAAACUACGAAGCUAUUACCAUAUGAAGCUAGAGCUCGAACUCAUGCUUCACUGCACAAAGAUAAUUCACACGAUCACAUUCAACUAAACACCAACUGCCACACUGCUCGUACCUGUUCUUCAGCGAUUAGCUGGUGAUCCGGAGCUUGAGUUCAGGCCCAUCCAUCCUGCCACUGGUGGAGUUAAUGAAUGCAAUCAAUGGAGCCUCAUGUGGCACCCGAAUUUCUCUAGCUGAGCAGCACUGAAGAAGAAGGCUUGAAGCUCGCGAACAUGGAACUUGAAGCUCGUGAUGGAACUUGGGAGAGAAGAGAGACAGCGGACGACGGACUGAAGCUUGCGAGGAGCGAGCGAGCAGCGGGGAGGACUGGGUGAUAGAGAUUUGCUUGACCAGCGGGAGAGAGGAGGAAGAAGAAAACAUGAAGGAGAAGCCUAAUCGCUGGUGCACGUUUUAGAAUCUGUUUGUCGUCUCUCUUUACUAGAGUAGAGCAGAAAUGGAAAGCAAAUAAAGCAGAACAGUCAUGAUCUAUCAAUAGAAAGAAAAAGAAGGGCGCACCGAGGAUCCCCUCUCUAUGUUUCGGGAGUCACUGGUUUCACAGAAUCCGAAUUCAUUCCGAGUCUUCACUCUUAAAGACUCCCAAUUGCCGCAAUAAGCAAACCAAUUGCCGCGUGGGCUCCAACUAGAUCUUAUGUCCAUCUGGCACUCAUUCGGUAUUUUUGAGCUGGAUGCAUAAAAAAUCCCUACAUCGUAUAACUCCCCACGAAAUCUCAACAGCUGCAAAAACUGUAAUUCGUGGAUGCCCUCCACACGGCGCAGCUUCUCGCAGUAGUUAAUAUGUAACAUCUUCAAUUUCUUCAAGUUUGACAAACCUUUCAUCAUUCUUAAUGAACCGCACCUUUCAACAGAAAAUACUUCCAAUGAUUCCAACGGAGACACAAAAUCGAUAGCUCUUACCUCCUUGCAACUCCCCAUAUGGAACUCUCGAAGCAUCUUCAGGGAGCUUAGGACAAGGAGUUUUUUUAUCGAGAGGGCAACCAUCAAGUCGCUCAUGCAACUCUUUUUUUCUCAAUUCUUCCGACGGAGGUUGCCCACUGAGAUGUACAAAUUUUACUCCAGGGCAGGAGAGCUUUAAAACUAUCAAGGUUGACGGAAGUUGUAAGAGGGUUCCGAAGUUUAGUCCAGAUAGAGUAAGUUCUUUCAGCAGAUAAAGGGAACCCAACUCCGUAGUUGGUGCAUGGACAUACCAUAAGCACAAGUGCAACUUGCGCAGUUUGGAUAACCUCCCAAUCCACCUCAAGUCACCGCUUGGAAUUUCAUUUGAUGUGGACAACCCACUACCAGAGCCAUCAUAUAGGAACAAUUCAACUAGAUUAGUAAGGUUUGAGAGGUUAGGGACAGUCAUCAGUGAUUUAGAUAUUAGUCGUAGAGUGGUCAAAUUUCUGGGGAGCUCCGACCACUCUCUUAUCCUAUGACAAUAUUGCAAGUUCAAUGUUUGGAGGUGAAGCAAUUUGCUCAUUAUACUAGGCAGUUCUACAAUUGGUGUGUGUGAUACUUUGGUAAAGGACAAGCUCCAUUGUCUACCAAUGAAAUCUAGUAAUCUUGUUCUGCAUGAUAUAUCUAACUUCGUUGACGACUCUAAUUUCGAAACUGAAUCCAGGAGCUUGCUCAAGCUAUCGCAUUUAUAAACAGAGAGGUGCUGAAGAUUUUGUAACUCUCCAAUUUCUUUAGGCAAUUUUUCAAGUUUCGGACAUAACUUAAUACUCAAGUCAGUCAGCUGCCUCAGUUUUCCAAUAGAGCUGUCAAUUUCCUUCAAAGAUGGACAAUGACAAAUAGUCAACUUCUCUAAAACUAAGUACUCAAGAAAGGUUGGUGUCCCAUGUAUCGAGUAAUUACUUUCAAGAGUGAGAACCUUCAAUUUCGUUGCCCCCUACAAAAGCAAAUCAAACAUUAGGACAAAUAAUUAGAUGUCUAUACAAGAAAUAAAUAUGAAAUUAGGCUCCCAACUGGGAUCAUAUGUCAUUCGAUCCUCUCACUAGCUGAGAAAAUUAUACUACAAAUCCAUCAGAUUGUGUCCUUCAUUGAAUGAGAAAAUUAGAGCAAGAGAGAAAGUCACGUACCUUGAUUAGGUAACUGAUCUCAUCUUUGCCGAGGUCAGAGGAACGAAUAUUCAUCACAACCACGUUUUCUAGACCCAAAUUGGUUUGCGAAUCAAGUUCUUCAGAAUAACCUGUUUUGCCCGUCAAAAUGAUCCAUUUCAACUUGGGAAGACAGCCCGUGAAGUCACCUUCGCAGAGUACGUCACUCAACCAAAGAAACUUGAGACGUGGGAACUGUCUAAGUUGCUCUGCCGUGAUAGUUGUACGAUUGCUAGAGGUCGUUCGCAAACAGAGUGCUUGGACGCUUUCCUUCAUCUGCUAAUGACAUUGAGGAGCAGGAGCAGGAAUUUGUCAAUAAUCCUACAAUUUUAUUUGUCCAAUGGAAGAAAAAAAUUAAAUAGUAAAGUAGCUCUCAAUUGAAAAACGUGAUUAAAUCCUCAAUUAAGAACAUGGUAAGCAAUUUUCUGUACGAAUUUGGUCAUACUUCACCUCUAUUGAUCUUAAUUCGCAAAUUAUGUCAUCUUCAUUCCACAACCUGGUAAGGUCUUGCAUAGCAAUUGCCCUUCCGAGAUCUCUACAUUGAUCAUGCAUCCAAAUUUCAUCUUUUUCUGAAACCUUUAUCAUGCACCUAUUAAUAAGGACAUGAAUAGCAUACUCCGCCUUAAACCCACAAUAUUUCCAGUGGUAGAUUAGAUCAGCCCUUUUCCAACCGAUGAAAAAGCAUGCAAUAUCGAGAAAUAUGUGUUGUUGAUCCAGCUCUAAGGCAUCAUAACUAAUCCUUAGCUUUCCCAACACAUCCCUAUGAGGUGUUUCCCUUAGCUUCUCUAGCAUCUCUUCCCAGAUUGUUUCCUCUUUCUCACCAAAAAGCAACGAACCUAUAGCUGUAAGAGCUAAAGGUAGUCCACCUGUAGUUGAGACAAUGUCUUCGGAAAGAGUGUAAUAAUUGGUAGGAGGAAAGCUAUCAUCAAAGGCAUGCCUACUAAAAAGCUGGAGUGCGUCUUUUUUGCUCAACCCCUCCAUUUCGUAACACAAGAUUUUAUACUUAAAUCCCCUGAUUUUUAAAACACUUUUGUCCCUAGUGGUAACAAGUAUCCUAGUACCAGAACACAAAGAGUUCACUUCAAUUAGUUUUUGGAUUUGGUUGUCCUCAUCGACGUCAUCCAAUACAAUUAGCAUCUUCUUGUUGCAAAUUGUUUGUCCAAUCAUAGUGAUCCCUUGAUCCAAGUUAUCAAUGUUAAGAUCCACUCCAGAAUUGGAGAUAUCGGACAAUAAUUUUCUUUGCAACUUGACCAACGAGCCCUUGGGUUUUGCCAUUUCCCUCACGUCUUCAAGAAAGCUGCAGUUUUUCCCAAAGCGAGGACAUAGUUGGUUGAAGAUAAUUUUGGCAAGUGUUGUUUUACCGAUGCCACCCAUCCCGUAAAUUCCAAUGAGCCGAACGCCACCGGAAUUGAUGUCUAAUAAAUUAUUUAUGACUGUCAUUCGAUCCUCCAUUCCAACUAAAUCUUUGGUCACUUGUCUUUGUCUUGUCUUGAGCCUGGUCACCACCUCCUUAACAAUGGACUUUAUAAGAUCCCCAUGGCUGCCACAAAGUUGAACAGUUUGAAUUGAAAUAAGGCAACAAAUUUGCAUGUUGACCAACUAUCUACUAAGAAACCAAGUGGGAGCACGACCCAGUUUAGGAUAUAAAAAAAUUCAACAUUACCCCCAAAAGCUUCGGGAACAUGAUGAAUUACAAACUUCAACAUCCAUUACAAGUUUAAGUUAAGGGAAUAGAACAAGAGAUAUGUUUGAUCUUUAUAUCAAGUAGGAGAAUCAAAAUUGCUGGCAAAAAAAAGUGGAAGAAUAAAAAUAUAAACGUUUGAUGAACUAUUGUGAUAACAAAUUUACUCACUUCUUUCGACAUGGAAAAGAACUUUGCAAAGGCAAAGUUCCUUAAUCAAAGUCAAAUUAGUAUGCAGUAAAAAUCUUAAGACAUACAUGGGUCAAAUUGGGAAAAUUAUCCAAAAAGCAUUGUACUUUUGCCAAUUUAGUCAUAAACAUUUUCACUUCUUCCCAAUUCAAUCAAUCUGGCCAAUUUUGGUUGGAAAAUGCUAAUGUGGACACCGACAUGCUAUAUAGAACUGUCAGUGCUGACGUGGAUAAUUUGUAAUAAUAUUUUAAUAAAUUUUGAACUUUUAUUAUAUAUUUCUAUUUUUUCCCUUUUUUUUUUCCUUUUCUUUCUUUUCUUUUUGGCUUUCUUCUUUCCCUUUUCCAAUGGUUGGCCACAGGCAAUGGCCAGCCACCGACCACAGCUAGCCGGCUAGCCUCGCUCGCCAUAGGCGAGGCCCCACCGGGCGAGGAGAAGCCCCAGCAAAGGGAGCCCUCGCCCAUGCGCAGCCUGGCAAGGGUCGCCUAGGUGAGGCCGACCCUCACCCAAGCCAGGGUGGCCUCACUGGGUGUCGGCCGGGGGAUGGUGACGCCAGGCAAGGCCGCCUUGGCCUGGGCGAGGGCUAGCCUCACCAAAUUUGGCGAGGAGAGCCCUUGCCAAGGCUUGCCUUUUCCUAGGAGAGUGUCAACCUCGCCUAGACCAGAUCUGGCAAGGCUGGCCCUCGCCCCUGGCCGGCCAAUGCCUAGCGAGGCCUCCUUGGCUUAGGCGAGGGUCGACACUCGCCUAGGCGAGGGCGAGCCCUAGCUGACGAUCGGCGACGCUGCCCUAGCCUAGGCGUAGGUCAACCUAACCUAGGCGACCCUUGCCAGGCCACACUUGGGUGAGGGCUCCCCUCACCGGGGCUCCUCCUUGCCCGACCGGGCCUCACUUGUGGCGAGCGAGUCCAACCGGCUGGUUGUGGCCAGUGGUCAACUAUCACCUGUGGCCAAUGGUCGGCCACCGAAAAAGGCAAAGAAAGUCAAAAAGAAAAGAAAGAAAAUAAAAUAAAAAUAAAAAAAAUAUUAAAAAUUCAAAAAAUAUUAAAAUAUUAUUAAAAAUUGUCAACGCCAGCGCCGACGGUCUUAUGUGGCACUGCCGGUGUCCACAUCAGCAUUUUCCGGUCAAGCCGAAUCAACUGAAUUGGCAAAAAGUGAAUGUUUAGAGCUAAAUUGUCAAAGUUAGAAGGUUUAUGACUAAAAUUGGUAAAAACGUAAUAGAUUUAAGACUUUUUUUGACAAUUUUCCAGAUCAAAUUAGUAUAAAGAAAGAAGCAAAGCCAAAUUUUUAUAUGAGGAAUAUUAGGUGAAAAACAAAAUCAUAACAACCCCAUUAGGUCAAAUAAAUUUGGAAAUCUCAUGACUUAAAACAACAAAAGAAAAUUUUGAAACUUUUUGUUUAAAUUUAGGGAAAUUAGAGUCGGACUAUAAUUGGUGAAUUUUUAUGAGAACCAUGGCUUGAUUGUACAAAAUAAAUUUCAAAAUCAUGGUUAGAUUGUUACCCCGAAUAUUUCUCUAGUUCCCAUCCCUUGGUGCCGCCAACUUCUUUAAGAGCUUGGCACCACGUCUCUACAUCCUUGGAGCUGAACUUCUUCUGAUCCUCCAUCUCUUGCUUUAAUUUCGAUAUGGCCUUUCCAUACAACAUGGUUUUCAGCUUCACGUCAUCUGGAUUCACAUCAUAGAAGAUGGGCAAUAUGACCCUCUUCUCAUCUUCUUUAGAAUUAGAGGUGUUUUCCACCAUCUUCGCAAGCUCGCGGAGGCACCAAUGACUUGAAGCGUAGUUUUUGGAAAAAAAUAGGUAUGUAGAGUUUGGAAUCGUUGAUCGCUUGUAGAAGGUUGCCACUAAUUCUUUCACCCGGUCGAAGCUCUUUGUCAUCCAUGAAAACAUGAAUCCCGGCAUCUGCCAAGGCAUGAUAGAGGCUGCUAGUGAAUCCACGACAAGUAUCUAACCCUCUAAAACUCAGGAACACCUGAAACUCGCUUCCUGCAGUAUUGCCGAUGCUUGAUCCUAUCUCUAAGUUCGCCAUAGGAACUCAAUUCACACGCGCACUUAGCAAAGUCAACCCUGAUAUUGCUAGUAUAAACACCUAGAGGGGGGUGAAUAGGCGCACAAACAAUUUAUCGAUAUAUGGAAGCAAUUCUCUACAAAUUGAAAUACGAUCGAGGUAGAGAGAGAGAAAUUUGAACACAGGAUUUAUAGUGGUUCGGCUUAUUCCAAGCCUACGUCCACUCUUCCGCACUGACAGCCCACCGGGUGGAUUUCACUAUGAUCAAAAGAGAAUUUACAGCACAGCUUUGCCUUGAUUCCACAGUGUAGAUAUUCUACCACACCUCCUCAAGGUCUCUCACAAAUAUAGACUCUCUUUUGUAUACAAGUAUUCGCUCAAACGAUUUAUCUAAACAAAUAGGAGCUUCAGACUUUGGAAUUCUUCUAUCGCGCACACCUUGAACAACUAAGAACAUCUUCCUUAUAUACUCCUUUAUGCCAUCAUACCCGUUGGCACUUACCAAAGGAAUUCCUCCAAUCUACCCAUUGGACGGAAUCAAUUAGAAAGAUUGUUCGAGCUAUUAAAGGAACGUGUUGAUAGCCCAUCAAUCCUGUUCGCCCAUACAAUCAGGAUCUCGGUUUCCAUAAGUAGAACCUUCCAAUAAUACUUAGACAAUCAUCGAAUCUUCAGUCAUUGAAUCAGACUUGAUCAAUCAAAGGAUUCUAAUACGUCUUCUCCAGCCACGAGAUCUUCUCCAGAUGAUAAGGUUAAAUCCUGAACAAAACAACCAGUUCUGGAUAACCUUUCUUCAAUGGAUUAGAGACUGUCAAUGAGGAUAGACUUUGAGUCUUGAGUCUGGCUGUCCGGAAGUCUUCAGACUUUAACUAACAGAGUCUGCAGACUUUCAGACUAGACUGAUGGAUACAUUUUGUCAACUUCAAAACUCUUCACGAGGAUUUCUCCAACAAUCUCCCCCUUUUUGAUGGUGACAAAACCUUCCUGCAGAUUUGGAUAACUUUGACCUGCAAAACAUUUCUCAAACACAUAUGCAUAUCUUAUAGAAAUAAAUGGCUAAUAGAAUAACACUAGAAUCUGUAACCACAGAAAAUAGGUUAGUCCAGUAUAUGACUAAGCCAUUCAUAAGAUAUCAAUAUUGAUUAAUAGAAGCAGUAAAGUCAAGUCCAAGUCUAGGCAGUUCUUAUCCAGACACAAAACAAAGUCAAACAGGUUCAAACCAUAAACCUUAAAAACAAUCCAACAAAAAGUUUAAUGAAAAGUUUUUGUAUCAAAUCAUGCAUCUCUCCCCCUUUUUGUCAUCAUUAAAAAGGAUGAGAUGAAGUCAAGAUUGCUUGGGAACUCGGACAAGCUGGAAAUCUUCCAUAGACUGAACAAUACCUUCCAGUCUUUUAAAGUCUUCCUUCAGCUGUACAACCUCCUCACUCUUGGCAUUGGCCUGAUUCUGAAUAGAGAGGGCUUGCAUCUUUUCAUUUAAUGAAUAGGAAGAAGCUUGACCUUCAUUCUUCAAGCUUUGAACUUCGCAUCCCAAGGCAUAAAUCUGACCUUUCAUCUCUAAGAGAAUAUCCAUGAUUCUGCAAAAAUCUGCUCCAUUAUCAGUCUGAGUACUUGCUUCGGCUCGAUCUGGAGUAAAAGCAGACGAUGGUGGAUCAGCAUAAUCUCGCAGGUUUGGCGAUGAAGCUUCAUGACCUUCCUCUGGAAAUUGAGAUGCAUAAACAUCUUCUGGGUCUGCAGGUGAGCGACUGACUCCUUCACUUGCAUCAGGAAAUGAAGAUGUCACUCAUUUCUCCUGAUCUCCCCCUGUUUCCAUGCCUACAGGUGGAGAAGAGAUUUCCUCAGGUUCUCCUUCUUCUCUUCUUUCUUCUUCAGGUCUUUCUUCCUCUGCUUCUUGCUCUGCUUCUCUUUCUUCUCCUUCCUUCUCCUCUGCCUCUUUUUCUUCUUCUUCCUUCUCCUCUGCUUCUUUCGUCUUUUGUUCUGAUUCUUUCUGAGGAACAGGACGACUUAAGUUCUUCAAAGCCAUUGCAGAGAUGGUGAUGUCUUCAUCAUCAUCUUCAUCCUCAACGAGGAGAGCUCUUCUUCUCUUUGAUGGAGCAGCCAUGGGUUCCUUCCCUUUUCUCUUAGCAGCAGAAGAGAGUUGAUGAGAUUUGGCAGGAGUCUUCUCCUUGAAUUUUUCCAAUUCCUUGCUCAGUUCCUUCAGACGCAUUUUGGUCACCAUUUUCAGUCUUACCACCAUAUGAUCGCAUGGUCGAACACAAAAGAUUUGCGGAGGCUGAAUAUUCAGAUGUCUGAAUAACUUCGUAACAAGGCUUGGGUAAGGAAGUUGACCUCUGUCCUUCAUCACUGCUCUAUACAUGUGAAACAUAACAGUAUGAGGGAGAGAAAACUUCUUUCCACUGAGGAUGGCAUACAUCAACUUUGCCUCAGAGCUUGAAACAUUAGUUUUGGAAGUUGAUUUCGGCCGAAGGCAAUUAAUCACAAUUUUGUGAAGCAAGAUGUUAAAUGCAUUCAUCCUUGAGUAGGUGAUCUUCUCAUCCGUUCUCCUGUCCUUCACCAGUUCAAGAGUGGCCCGAGCAAUGGAAACUUUGAUUGGUUGAUAUCUGCCUCUCUCAACUUCUAACAUGUCUGCCAGCAUAUUCAUAUCCACAACAUAGUCUUGUUCUUUAACACUGAAGGAGAAUCUAUUCGCAUCUAAAAAGCUAAGAUUCGAAUAGAAAUAGGCAGUCAAUUCAGCACAAGCCUCAGUUGAGUUAGAGCAGAACUUUUCAAGUUGAAGAUAACUGAACUUUUCCCUCAAGUUCACUUUCACAGAAUCCAGAAAUUCAAAGUCCACACUCCUAGGGUUUAUCACCCCACGCUUCAGCAAUUUCGAGUACAGAUCCUUUUGUUCCUUUGAUCUGAACAAAUCUCCCCUUUUCCCUUGAAUUUCAGCAGCAAUACCCAUUUUCGGUUGAAAUAGACUGAACAGAUUGUCAUCGUCAUUCCCAUCUACAGGAUUAGGCCCCCAGUCACGAGGAUCACUUGGGAUAUUCGCAAGGGUUUCCUCAGCCACCCCUUUACGAGCGAUUCCCAAACUUUCCAUUUUUCGAAGAAAGAUAUAUUUGUUCCUAUACCAUUUUUCUUUAACAAAAUCAUCAACAUAGUUCAAAGGAGUACGAAUUCCUUUUAAAGCACGAUAUAGCUUGUAAAAGAAGCAGGCUUUUGAACUCUUACGGGGUCUACAUCCUCGACGAUUUCUUCCUGAUGUUGAUUAACAACGCCUUGAGGACUAGAUGGUGGAGAAUGACGCUGCUGAGAAUGUUGUGGGCUCGGUUGCUGAUCUGGAGUAACUUCAUCUUCAGUAAGAUCGAAGUGCGUAGGCCCCUCACUCAUUCUCUGUGGUCCCCUGCUUGCGAUUCUUGAGGACUUUCGCGAAGAAGACAUCUUUCUCAGUGUUUGGAAGAUUCCUUGCUUGACUUUCCCAGAAAAGAUGACAACUUUUUUGAAGUUUUAGCGAAGAAGACAAACGGGAAUGGAAGAUCGAUGCUUUCUAGGGUUUUUUUUUUUUGAGAGAGAAGUGAUUAGAAAAGUGAAGAGAAAUCGACAGUGUUCGUUCGGUUAAAAAGAAGAGUAAACGAACUGUCACAAAGGAAAUAAAAAUAUGCCUUUUCAAAAUAACUGUCUUUAUCCGCAAAAAUAGCUAUUUCAAAAAUAACUUCCCUUUUGAAAAUGAAUCGAUGCGAUAUUUACGUCAAUUAAAUAUAGCAACAAUUUAAACAAGUCUGAUGAUCGUACCUUUUCAAGAUAAGAUUGGAGAGAGAGAAAGACUUACAGUCUGAAGGUCGAGCCAAGACUAUAGAUAAAGUCUUGUAAGCCUGAGUCUGAAAGUCUUUAGACUUUGAUAUCCUCAUACCUCAAAAUGUUGAGUCUUAUUCGUAUAGACUCAAAUUGAUUUUUCUCCAAAGGCUUUGUGAGUAUAUCAGCCAGUUGAUUCUUUGAGUCAACAAAUUGAAUUGAAACAUCUCCAUUUUGAACAUGAUCUCUAAUAAAGUGAUGUCGAAUCUCUAUAUGCUUCGCUCUUGAGUGGAGAAUUGGAUUUUUGGUGAGGUUGAUAGCGCUGGCGUUGUCGCAAUUAAUCUCCGUGCAUGAGUCUUUAAUUUCAAAAUCUCUUAGCUGUUGUUUUAUCCAUAGAAUUUGCGAACAACAGCUUCCAAGAGCUACAUACUCUGCUUCUGUUGUUGAAAGAGACACAGUGCUUUGUUUCCUUGAAAACCAAGACACUGUCCUGCUUCCAAGCAACUGGCAAGUUUCUGAAGUGCUCUUUCUAUCAACUCUGCAACCGGCCAGAUCUGCGUCUGAAUAACCCAGAAGUUUAAAGUCUCCCUUCUUAGGAUACCAAAGACCAAUGCUUGAUGAUGAAGCGACGUAUUUAAUGAUGCGUUUGGCAGCACUGAGAUGGGAUUCUCUAGGAUCUGAUUGAAACCUAGCACAGAUGCAAACACUCAACAAAAUAUCAGGUCUAGAGGCAGUAAGAUAAAGAAGUGAUCCAAUGAUGCUCCUGUAUAGCUUUUGAUCAACUUUCUUCCCUUCUUCAUCUUUGUCUAUCUUCAAAGAACUUGACAUCGGUAUGUCAGUCUUUUUGCACUUCUCCAGUCCAAACCUUUUGACAAGAUCAUUAACAUAUUUUUCUUGAUAAAUAAAAGUACCUUCCUUCAAUUGUUUUACUUGAAGACCAAGAAAGAAUGUUAAUUCUCCCAUCAUACUCAUUUCAAACUCAUCCUGCAUAGACUUUGAAAAUUUCUUGCACAGACUUUCAUUAGAGGAUCCAAAAAUAAUAUCAUCCACAUAUAUUUGAACAAGUAAGAAACUUUUGUUUUCCUUCUUGAUAAAUAAAGUCGUAUCUACUUUACCUUUGACAAAACCAUUUUGUAUUAGGAACUUACUUAACCUGUCGUACCAAGCCCGAGGUGCUUGCUUUAAACCAUACAAAGCCUUUUUCAGUCUGAAGACUGAGUCUAGCUUUUUUCGGUCUUCAAACCCUAGUGGUUGUUCCACAUAUACUUCCUCAUGGAUAAAUCCAUUUAGGAAGGCGCUUUUGACGUCCAUUUGGAAUAACCUGAAAUUAUUAUAACAGGCAAACGCAAGUAAAAGUCGAAUAGCUUCUAACCUUACCGUAAAUUCCAAUGAGCCGAACGCCACCGGAAUUGAUGUCUAACAAAUUAUUUAUGACUGUUAUUCGAUCCUCCAUUCCAACUAAAUCUUUGGUCACUUGUCUUUGUCUUGUCUUGAGCAUAGUCACCACCUCCUUAACAACGGACUUUAUAAGAUCCCCAUGGCUGCCACAAAGUUGAACAGUUUGAAUUGAAGAAAGGAAACAAAUUUGCAUGUUGACCAACUAUCUACUAAGAAACCAAGUGGGAGCACGACCAAGUUUAGGAUAUAUAAAAAUUCAACAUUGCCCCCAAAAGCUUCGGGAACAUGAUGAAUUACAAACUUCAACAUCCAUUACAAGUUUAAGUUAAAGGAAUAGAACAAGAGAUAUGUUUGAUCUUUAUAUCAAGUAGGAGAAUCAAAAUUGCUGGCAAAAAAAAGUGGAAGGAUAAAAUAUAAACGUUUGAGGAAAUAUUGUGAUAGCAAAUUUGCUCACUUCAACGUGGAAAAGAACUUUGCAAAGGCAAAGUCCCUUAAUCAAAGCCAAAUUAGUAUGCAAUAAAAAUCUUAAGACAGACAUGGAUCAAAUUAGUAUAAAGAAAGAAGCAAAGCCAAAUUUUUAUAUGAGGAAUAUUAGGUGAAAAACAAAAUCAUCACAACCCCAUUAGGUCAGAAAAAUUUGGAAACCUCAUGACUUAAAAUAGUAAAAGAAAAUUUUGAAACUUUUUGUUUAAAUUUAGGGAAAUUAGAGUCGGACUAUAAUUGUUGAAUUUUUAUGAGAACCAUGGUGGCUUGAUUGUACAAAAUAAUUUUCAAAAUCAUGGUUAGAUUGUUACCCCGAAUAUUUCUCUAGUUCCCAUCCCUUGGCGCCACCAACUUCUUUAAGAGCUUGGCACCACGUCUCUACAUCCUUGGAGCUGAACUUCUUCUGUUCCUCCAUCUCUUGCUUUAAUUUUGAUAUGGCCUUUCCAUACAACAUAGUUUUCAGCUUCACGUCAUAUGGAUUCACAUCAUAGAAGAUGGGCAAUAUGACCUUCUUCUCAUCUUCUUUAGAUUUAGAGGUGUUCUCCACCAUCUUCGCAAGCUCGCGGAGGCACCAAUGACUUGAAGCGUAGUUUUUGGAAAAAAUAGGUAUGUAGAGCUUGGAAUCGUUGAUCGCUUGUAGAAGAUUGUCACUAAUGUUUUCACCCAGUCGAAGCUCUUCGUCAUCGAUGAAAACACGAAUCCCGGCAUCUACCAAGGCAUGAUAGAGGUUGCUGGUGAACCCACGACGAGUAUCUAGCCCUCUAAAACUAAGGAAUACCUGAAACUCGCUUCCUGUAAUAUUGCCGGUGCUUGAGCCUAUCUCUGAGCUCGCCAUAGGAAUUCAAUUCGCAAUUGCACUUAGCAAAGUCAAUGGUCCCCCUCGCACGCGCACUUAGCAAAGUCAACGCUUCAAAGCAAUUUCGGAUAAAGCCUAGCGGCUCUCGAUUGCAAUUAGAGGGCUUUCAAUCGGACUUUUUGGCAACAAUAAUAAUACAUUCAGUGGGGAAGAGCUUUUAUUACAUUAUUAAUGUGAAAAAUUUCUCCACCAGAUCAUCCUCUUUCAAAAAUUUACGAAAGGAGAACCCGUGCAUUACUUUAGAAAAAGGAAAAUUGGAUAUUUAAUUAUAUGAUAUAAACGAUGAAGCCCGAUGCCACUUUCGUUAGUUAGAGAUACCAUUUUGGAGGUUUGUAUUGCGUGGCUCACGGAGUUUAAUAUUUCACGGACAAAAACUCUUAAUUCCAUUCGACGCAAAAAACAUGUCAAGGCAACUUCGCAGCGGGUGCAACUUCCAAUUCAUAGUAACUAAAGUCGAUGGCUUAUAAAAAAAUAAGGUGAAGGACAAUAAUGAAUGUGUACCUUUUCUAUAGUUUCACAUAUUUAAAAUCCCGAUCCAAUAUUGUAAAAUAACAAUUUAUCUAUAUAAAUGCAUAAUGACAAAAUAUUUUCAAAGAAUCACCUCUCAUUUGAAAAAAUGCUCCACCUAAGCGCUACCCAAGCAUAUACUUACUACUUACUAUGAACUAUUUAAUUUGAUCUCUUCAUCUUAAUGACUUACCUUUUAUUAUAAUUAAUUGCUUGUAACCACUCAAAUAUUCUCGUUAAAUGUGCCUUUAUAUUAUAUGAAGAUUCUGCAAAUCUUUUUCAACACUUAUUUCCUUACAGAUAACUACUAGAAUGUGAGCAUGGUUGUUGACAUCUAAAUUUUUGUGGUUAGAUUGUGCAUAUCUACAAAAAAAUUUAAAAAAUUAAAAAAUUAGGGACCAAAUUUGCCAAUAACGCUAUAAUUCAAUCCCUAACCAAGAACACCUAGCUUGCAUGAUUUUUGCAUUCAUUCCUCACAUUCGUGGUUAGGGGCAUGUUGAUUUCAAUACCUAGGGUUCGAUACCUAGGGCUCAGCAUCAAAACAAUCUUGGACCGACGAAGAUGACAGGCACUUUUGAUUACCUCCAAUCUCUGAAGAAAUAUUCAAGGCCACUCAACAUUACCCGAUUGAUUUUCUCCUAAGUUGAUCCAUUUUUGUGCGUACCAUUAAACCUCAGCUAACCUCAUCGCUUUAGCCUUACUGGGGACAUGAAACUGAGUUAACAUAUGGGCCAUCUAGUCAACAAUCGACCAAGAGUUUCACCUGGGACCAGAGAGCGAGAGCGUGCAAAACAGAAAAGAAAAGAAAGCAGAGCGGAGAGUAGUCUUGGCAAUAAGAGGAAAUAGCAAGAGUAGGACCUGCUCAGGCAGUUUAUCUCGCUGCAUAUUGAAAGUGAAUUAUUAGUUGAACAGCCCGAGGAUAGGAGAGGACAACAUGCGGGGAAUGUUUAUCAUUUUCUCGCCUGUUCCUCCGUUAAUCUCGCGUGCUAACCAAUCAUUACUGCCAUCAAAGCCAAUGCGUUUUGAAACCCCCCUUCACAAUAGUUGUUUUGACCCUGCACGGCCUGAACAAUCGGCUCCUCUCGAAUCUUUGGACUGAGCCAUUGCUCGAUGAGCUCAUCACUUCCCCAGCUGUCUAGAUAAAUCCUCACCUUCCAUCAGCAGCAUGGUCGUUGCGUCACCCCGCGUUCCAUGGGUUACUCCUCUUGGCUGCUCUUCGCCAACACUAUGUUAGGAAAUCAAGCGUCAAUUUAAAAAAUAAUAAUAAUAAUAAUGCAAACGAAAGAGUCCACCAAGAAUAAAUAUAAUAAUAAAAUAACAUAAUUGAAAGAACAUGACAUAAAAUUUAUUAUCGAAGUUUAUCCAAACUUAGACUAUGUUUUUGCGCAUAGACACUCUACAAAUCUAACAGACUUUGAAUAAAGUUGAAAUACAGCAUGAUCUUUCGUAAGAUUAGAGCACAAAUAGAGAGUUCUCAAAGAAAAAAACUCACUUUUUUUCUCUCUUUUUUCUUUUCUCUCUAUUUUCUUUUUCAGCCCUUUGAUGGCUAGCAUUUGACUCUCGCUGGUGUAAAGUUUAGCUUUUAACCUAAAAGCAAAACUAAUAGAAAAAAAAUGCCCCUAAAAAAAUUUGAUUUCAGUCGUCAACAACCUCCCACUUGAAGAAAAAUAUACUAAUGCACCAAGUAACUUAGCAUUCAUUUACUUAAAAAUCUAGUAAUAUAAAUUUGUGCCUCUGCAAUAGUCCUCAUCAGUUAAGAUAAAAUAAUACAAAUUGUAGUGUUGACUCAUAAAUUUUGUCAAUUCAUAUAGGAUUUAAUUGUAUAGAAAUUUAGGAAUUAAUUUUGAACCCCUAAACAAAAAUAGUUUUCACUAGAAUUGCAUAGCAUAUAGACAUUAGGGGCAUUUACAUUAGGAUGUAAAAAAGUAUUAUUUAUUUAAUUUAUAAGAAAACAUUUUAAAAAUGGAAAAAAGAAAAAUAAAAUAUAAACUAAUUGAUUAAAAAAUUAUUAUGUAAAAAAGAAAGAAGAAGAAAAGAAAAAGGGAGAUCGGGCCAGGGUCAGGCCGGCCCAGCCUUCUUUCCCUUUCUUUUCUACCUUUUCUUUUUGGCUAGGCCCAGCCUGGCCCACUUUUCCUUUUCUUUUCCCCAAGCCCAGCCUCUUCCCUCAUCUUCUCCCUCACGAACUCCUACUCGUUCACGCUCUCGUGCGUUCUGCAAAAAACAAAAAGGAGGACGAAGGACGGAAGCAGAGGCGGGACGAGAAGUGAGGAGCGCGCCUUUUGUGUUGGAGGUAGGUCGGCACGGCGAGCUGGCAGUGGCAGAGGCGAUGCGCGCCUGCCGGGCUUUAGUGGAGGAUUCUGGGGACUCGGACAGAGGGAGAAAUGGACGGAGAGAGAAAGGGGGAGACAGAGGGGAUCCGGCCGAGAGGGAGACCGAGAGUGAGAGAGCAGAAAAUUCGGCCCGGCUGAGCACCGUUCGGUCAUCCUUGACACAAACCGGCGUCCCCUAGCCGAUACCACCGAGCCUGCGGUCCCCAUUGAUGGUUUUAUGUGAUGGGCAUAAGGCCCGUCCGCCCAUGUUGGGCCUAAAAGCCCGGUCCACAAGAUUAGGGCCCAUGGAUGCAGGGAUAUAAUGAAGGGGUACGUUUCUAUUUUUUUAGGGAACGUAUAUAAGGGAGGAAAGAGAGAGACGAUGACACCAUUUUGGCAUUAUUACGUGCGUUCCUCUCCCUCUCUCCCUCCAAAAGAAAAACGAGCGUAAACGGCGACGCCAUCUUCCCUUCAAGGCCAAUCGACGUCAUCAGAUCGAACAGGAUCGGAUUUCUCUUCCUCUUAUCGGCAUUGGUGUUUAAUCUGUGGCUAACAAGGUACGCUCGAUUCCGUGGUGUGCUUUAGGAUCGGUGAUACAUGUUUUUCCUAGGCUUAUCUUCCGCAUUUGUUUUAGGGGUUCGAUUUACUGUCGAAUCUGGUUUUUUGGGAAUCCGACAUUCCCAACAUUGGUAUCAGAGCCCUAGUUCAUGUUUUCCCGACCCCUUUGAUGUUUUAUGAUUGAUUUUUCGCGAAAACAUUUGGCCGACACGAAUCGGGGCGAGAAAUCCCGACACCCGAGCACUGUUCAUCCGUUUUUUCGAGUUUCUGUAAGUCGAAAUCGAUUUUUGAAAGCAUAGGAUGAAAGACCUCGUCGAGACGAGUCCGAUGAUGUGUCGUACGCCACUGGGUGAUGCCGUAUCCGCCCACACGCGCGGCCAGAAGCCACUGCGCGUGGGCGCCAUGCGCCGGUGGCGAACCGGCACGUGCGCACUGCCGGCCGAUGAACCGGCAUGCGCCGGUCGGCGAACCAGCGCUAACAUCACCCAACGGUUGUUAACCGCUGGGAUGACGUCACCGAUGAUGUCAUUGCUGACAACAGUUGGCUGACCGGUUACUAGCCGGCGAACCGACUAGCGACCCGACCCGACCCGACAUGCGCGGAAGCCUGGCGCGUGCCGCGCACGUGCCGGCUGACAUCUGCGUGACGUCAUCCCGCGCACGGGCGCAGCACGUGCCGGAUGACAUCUGCGUGACGUCAGCCCGUGCACGCGCUCGGCACGUGCUGGUCAAUUCGCUCGACCGGCCCGAUCGGCUCGACCGGUCCGACUGGUCCAACCGGUUCGACGUCCCAUCGUCCAUUGACCCGUUGACCAUUGACUGACCGUUGACCGUUGACCCCGAAAAAAAAAAAAAAAAAAGGAAUAUGUUUCUUUUUCUCAAUCAUGCCUAUGUGGGUUAUAAGUAAUCCAUUGUUUAUUCUGCAUUUGUUGCAUGAAUUAUGGAAACUUAUGUAUUUUCCCUUAUGUACAUUAUGGAUUAUAAGUAAUCCAUUUUUAGUUCUGCAUUUGUUGCAGGAACUAUGAUGCGUUAUGUACAGAUACCUGCAAUCCCGAGAACGGACGAGGGAAGUGCAAGACUUAAAAGGUUGAUGACAGAAUUAGCUAAUUAUUGGUGGCAUGACGGUGAUUUAGUAUCACAUGUUGUCAGGGUCAAUCAGAUGAUACAGGAAAUCAUCUGGAAUUGUUAUCUUAUGCCGGAUUUUGAGAAUGUGCCGGUUUUGAUGAACACUCUUCCACCUGAAAGGCAAGUAGUGUUAGAUCGGCUAUGUGAGGUCAACGUGGUCCCGGGUUAUAGGAGACUAGUGGUAGCUUUUGUAAGAGAGUACUAUAGGAUUGAGUUAACCAAAACUUCAACCCUUAGAUUGAGCGCCACAUGGCGCAAAGUGAAUGCGCCUUGGAGGCGACAUGAAAGCUUUCCAAAAGUUUAUCCAUGGUUGGCAAAUGUGCCUUCAAAUUUCUCAGAUAUUUUGACUGAUAGAUUAGAAGGGACAUUCCCUAUUUAUUUCUUAGAUUAGUUUGAGAUGUUUUUGGGUAUGAAUAUCUCUUUCUAUAUUGAUAUUUUUCUUUGUAUAUAUUACUUAGUGUAAUGGAUAAUUGUAUUAUGUGAAAGCAUUGUUAUUCUUUUGGAUGUCGAAUAUUAUUUGCUUUCUGUUAUUGUUGACUGCUGUGGGUAGUUCAUAGAAGUUUUUGUAACUUCAUAGAAUUUAUUUUGCAUAAGACAAUUAUAUUAAUAAUAAUUUUGAGUUAGGAUUUUUUGGAGGAUGAUUGGAAACAUAGUGACCUUUUGAUUCUGAAACAUUACUUGAAAUUGUUCAUUGAUAUGAUGGGUCUGUGCAAAGUGGAUGCAUAAAUGAUAGGCAUUAAUUAUUCGUGCAUAUAUGUCUGAUGUGUUCAGAUCAAUGGUUUCAGCAACUAAGAACGUAAUUGCUGAUAUGAACAGCAACAAUUGUGAAAUAUUGAAUAUGAAGAUUCAAUAUAUGCUGAAAAAGCAAGAAGCACUAGAAGCUCUUGACCAUGUUAUGAAAGAUCUUGAGGUUGCUAUGCGCCACCUUGAGCUAGAAAAGGACCGCUUAACGGCAUUUAAGCCGAAAGUAGAUAUUUGCAAUGCUGGUUCUAGCUUAGAAAGGGCUUUGAGCUCGAAGCAUAAGCGUAUUGAUUCGUUCAAUAUGUGGGAAUGCAAAUGAUCAAGUCCUUAUUGCAAGAAAUCAAGAGUUAACCAACACAAGAGAGGAAAACGUCCUCAAGUGAAGAAAAUGUCAAGGGUGAGGUAUUAUAAUUGUGACAAGAAAGGUCACUAUGCUCGCGACUGUCAUGAGCCAAAGAAGGUAUACACCUCUUGUACAUUUGAGAAUUUUGCUUAUGUGUCAAGUUCUGUAUUAUUGGCUGAAUCCAAUCCUUUGUGGAAUAUAGAUUUAGGAGUGACAGACCAUGUAGCGAAGGAUAGAGAAUCUUCGUGGAAUUUAGACGAGUACCAACUGGAACUAAGUGGAUCUAUGUGGGAAACAACUCCAAAGCUUAAGUGAAAGGAAUUGGCACCUGCCAACUGAACAUGCGUGGUGGAUGCAUUUUGUUCCUACAUGAUGUUCUAGAUGCCUUGGAGAUUCGUCGAAAUUUAGUGUCUGUUUUGGUGUUGGUUAAGCUUGGUUUUAAUGUGAACUUCCGUAAUAGUUGUGUAGAUUUGUAUUUGGGUACAAACUACUAUGGUUGUGGUAAUUUUCUGGAUGGUUUUAUUGUACUAAAUGUUGACUGUGGUGAUGUCAAUAUUUGUUAUUCCCUUAUUUCACGUCUUCUACUUCAUAUGAUAAUGAUGUGAUUAUGUGGCAUGCUAAACUUGGUCAUAUUGGCCAACAACGUAUGAAUAGACUAGCCAAAAGGGGCUUGUUGGGCAGUAUUAAAAAAGUUGAUUUGUCCAUAUGUGAGCAUUGCCUAGAAGGGAAAACGACAAGGAAACCAUUUGGAAAAAGGUAAAAGAGCUGAAUUUCUUCUGCAUUUAAUCCAUUAUGACGUCUGUGGUUCAAUGAAUGUGAGGGGAAGGCAUGGGGCUGUUUAUUUCAUUACUUUUAUAGACGAUUAUACUCGAUUCGGAUAUGUCUAUUUGAUUUCUCAUAAAUCUGAAGCAUUGAGUUAUUUCAAAAGGUUUAUGAACCUGGUAGAAAAUCAAUUAGACAAGAAAAUAAAAGCAUUGAGAUUCAAUCGAGGUCGAGAAUAUUUAUUUGAUGAGUUCAAAAAACUAUGUGAUGAAAAAGCAAUAGAAAGACAGUUGUCUAUUUCGUAUACUCCUCAACAAAAUGGUGUUGCGGAGAGAAGAAACAGAACCCUACUGGAAAUGAUUAGGUCCAUGAUAGCGCAUGCUAACUUACCUAUUAUUUUUAGGAGUGAUGCGUUGUUAACUGCUGCCUAUAUACUUAACCGAGUGCCUUCCAAAUCAGUUACUUCCACUCCAUAUGAGUUAUGGACAGGUAGAAAACCGGACUUAAGUUUUCUUAAGCCAUGAGGUUGUGCUGCCUAUACUCAUGAAUCCUCUCACAAGUUUGGGAAAUUGGGUCCCAAAGGAAAUAUGAGUAUUUUCAUAAGAUAAUCGGAACACUCGAAAGGGUAUGUGUUUAUAGGUGAGAAUGAAAGUGGGAGUAUAACUGAAUUGAAUCACGAGAUGUCACAUUCUUAGAGGAUGAAUUUCCUAGAAGGGCAAAAUAGGGGAAGAUUACUCUCUAUUUGAAACCUUGGAUCAAGAUAAUGAUAUUAGUGGAGUUCGUCCAAAUGGGAGUAAUAUGAGAAGUGAUGAAUUGAAUUCAACUCAUUCUCAAUUACACCCACAUCAUGAGAUGACAUCAUCAUUAUCUAAUCCAAGUGGGAGCAUAAUGGGGAAUGAUGUGCAAAGUAUACAAUCUCCCAUAUGGCGAACAAGUCACCAAAGUAUUCCCCGUCGACGUUUUGACAUUGAAGGGGAAACUUUUAUGGUUGCUCCACAAGAUGAGGAUGAGUCAAGAAAUAUUAAUGAUGCUCUGAAUUGCCCUAGUAAGGAAAAAUGGAUUCAUGCAAUGGAAGAGGAAAUUGAGUCAAUGAAAUCAAACCAAGUCUGGGAACUGGUUGAUCUUCCAAAAGGACGCAGAGCUAUUGGGAACAAGUGGGUUCUCAAAAUAAAGCGAAAGGCUGAUGGCUCGAUAGAAAGGCAUAAGGCUCGCCUUGUGGCGAAGGGGUAUAAUCAACAUGAAGGAAUUGAUUAUGAAAAUACAUUUUCUCCUGUAGUGAGAUUUACCUCGAUUCGCAUUAUUCAAGCAAUAGUGGCUAGUAUGGAUCUUGAGUUACAUCAAAUGGAUGUAAAGACUACUUUCCUCAAUGGAGAACUAGAGGAAGAAAUAUGUAUGGAACAACCUACUAGUUUCAUAGUGAAAGGCCAAGAAAAAAAUGUAUGUCGACUUUUGAGGUCGAUAUAUGGCCUUAAGCAGUCAUCGAGACAAUGUUAUAUAUGUUUUCAUAAUGCCAUAAUGGCAUAUGAUUUUACAAUGAUUGAUGAGGAUCAUUGUGUAUAUAUCAAAAGAUCCAAGGAUCAAUUUGUGAUCAUAUCAUUAUAUGUUGAUGAUAUACUGAUUGCCGGAAGCAAUAUGGAGUUUGUUAAUACUGUCAAGAGUUGGUUGUCUUCCAACUUUGAGAUGAAAGAUAUGGGUGAGGCUGCAUACAUUCUUGGAGUUAAGAUUUCAAGAGAUCGUUCGAAGAUAGCGUUGUCUCUUUCGCAAGAAACAUAUAUAAAUAAGGUUCUUGAACGAUUUCGUAUGCAAGAUUGUAAACUCAUAGACACUCCUAUUGCAAAAGGUGAAGGAUUGAGCCAUAGACUGUGUCCAGGGACUCCACAAGAGAAGGAACAAAUGAAACAUGUUCCUUAUGCUAGUGUUGUUGGGAGCUUGAUGUAUGCUAUGAUGUGUACAAGACCCGACAUAUGUUUUGCAGUUGGAAUGGUAAGUAGAUACCAAUCCAAUCUAGGUCCAGCACAUUGGAAAGCCGUUAAGAGAAUACUGAGGUAUCUGAAGGGAACUGCUGAUUACAAGUUGAAUUACCAAGGAAAGAAUCUGCGACUUGAAGGCUAUUUAGAUGCUGAUUGGGGAGGAGAUUUAGAUAAAAGAAAAUCUACCUCAGGAUUUGCUUUCUUACUGAACAAUGGCGCCAUAUCAUGGAGUAGUAAGAAGCAAACGUGUAUAGCCUUAUCCACGAUGGAAGCUGAGUUCGUGGCAUUAUCAGCAGCAAUAUAAGAAGAUGUUUGGCUUAAGAGAUUUUUUGGAUCAUUUAGGUGUUAUUGGAAGUGUUGCAGAUUCAUUGUUGGUUAACUAUGGUAGCCAAGCAGCAAAAGUGUACACCAAAGAUCCAAAAUAUCAUGGCAAGACCAAACCUAUAGAUACCAAUUAUAAUUUUUGCCAAAGAUAUGAUUGCACGAAAAGAUGUGAACUUAGAGUACAUACUACGCAUAGAAUGGUAGCAGAUCCUAUGACAAAGCCAAUAUCUAGAGAUAUGUUUUGUGGCCAUAUGAAAUCUCUAGGAUUGCGUAGAGUAUGAUGUACUGGAUUGUAAUUUCCCUAAAGUGUUCACAUUUGAUGAAUUUGUGUUUUUCAUUAUUAAUGCCUAUGAAUCUUUGUUUGAUCUUUAUGCAUCUUAUUGCUCAAUGCAUUACUUUAGGUUGAGAAAGUAUGUUGGACAGAUAUAAAAUUAGCCCACUCACACGGGUAAUCGCCUCUAUUUACUAUGUGAUAAAUAGAGAUGAAACUGUUUUUAAGCUUAUUAUCUAGGUGAUAAUCGAGAGCUCCAGCUUAAAACACGUAUGUCGCCUUAACUGAGUGUUAAGAUGAUGACAUAAUACUUACUAUUUCCGAAAGUAAAAUACCCCACAUAUUUUACUUUAUCUAUCUAUGAUGCUAGAUGUGAAUUCUGAUGAAUUUUGUGAAUGAGUAGAUACGUGAACUCAAGUUAGACAUUGGGUAUGUUUGAACUAUCAUCUGUACGGUAUUGAAGGUGUAGACAUACGCUCCAUGGGAAAGGAUUUAAUACCGUAAUACGUAUUUCAUACUACGUAUGCAUAAGACGACCAAUAAGAGUGGCAAAAGUUUGAUCUCAACUUUUAUGCCGUGUGAGACUCUUAAGGAAAAGAGUUCCUCAAUUUUUAAGUCCCCUCAUGACUCUUACUUAUUCUCAAGAUUUCUAUUUAGUGUUUGCUAUCUUAGGAUGUUGCCAAUGGUCAUGAGUUGAUUCGAUCUAAUAGGGCAUUUCUAGAAAAGCAAGCUGAACUGAAAUUGAGAGUUUGACUGAAAGAGGAAGAUCGAAUUUGGAAAAUCACAUUAUAGUUUUGUAUUCACUGGUUAACUAAUUAUGAUUGUCUUUGGGAUAAUUAUAAUUGUGAAUACAAUAUAUAUAUAUAUAUAUAUAUCAUUUUUUAAAAGAGAUCAAGAGAGAUAUAAAUGUGAUCGAUCGAUCUAGGGUACUGCAUACUAAAUCUACUCAGGAUGUGAUGCCCAUUAUGAGCUGCUAUAUAUUCCUAAUAGGUGUAUGGCAACGAGCUCUCAAAGUAUGCUGGUCGCACAAAUUAUUCACCGGUAUGAAUGUUGAAGAGAGGUAAAGAGAAUCAUGUUUGGCCCACCAUGUGNNNNNNNNNNNNNNNNNNNNNNNNNNNNNNNNNNNNNNNNNNNNNNNNNNNNNNNNNNNNNNNNNNNNNNNNNNNNNNNNNNNNNNNNNNNNNNNNNNNNGAUGAUGGUUUUAUAUGAUGGGCUUAAGGCCCGUCCGCCCAUGUUGGGCCUGAAAGCCCGAUCCACAAGAUUAGGGCCCAUGGAUGGAGGGAUAUGAUGAAGGGGUACGUUUCUAUUUUUUGAGGGAACGUAUAUAAGGGAGGAAAGAGAGAGACGAUGACACCCUUUUGGCAUUAUUACGUGCAUUCCUCUCCCUCUCUCCCUCCAAAAGAAAAACGAGCGCAAACGGUGACGCCAUCUUCCCUUCAAGGCCAAUCGACGUCAUCGGAUCGAACAGGAUCGGAUUUCUCUUCCUCUUAUCGACAUUGGUGUUUAAUCUGUGGCUAACAAGGUACGCUCGAUUCCGUAGUGUGCUUUAGGAUCGGUGAUACAUGUUUUUCCCGAGUUUAUCUUCCGCAUUCGUUUUAGGGGUUCGAUUUAGUGUCGAAUUUGGUUUUUUGGGAAUCCGACAUUCCCAACACCCAUCUUUCACGGCGUCCGAUUUUUGGUGAGUUGAGUUCGGUUUCGAUCCGCCGUUUUCCUAUGGUUCCCGGCUUGGCAAAACUGAGAUGGCCGGCUAUAGUUUGAUUUGUAUCGAGACCGGCUUCCGGCUGUCGUCGCCAAGCCGGGUAAGGCCCCCGCGGUCGCGCGCUCCGGCGCCCCUUUUUUGUCCUUUCUUUAUUGCUCUAUUUUUGCCCUAUUUCGGGCAUGCCGGGCUGGAGCUCGCGGCCGUCCCGCUUACUCGAACUCUGGCCCCUUCGCCCCCGUGCUUUGAUGUUGUCAGUCUGGUUGGUCGUAUGUUGAGGGGACCGUGCGAGUUUGAGUCCCAGCUGAGCCGGAAGCGCCACCUGCACGAUGAAACGCCUCAACGAGAUCUAAUUUUCGUCUCCUCCUUUUUUAGCCGAAAUCGAGUCGUCCGCACUAUUACGUUCUAUUGCUAUGUCCCUGUGAUGUUUGGUGUUACGGGCACGGCCAUUUGGUUGCUUCCCUGCCCCCCGCGACCGCCGUUGUUUACUUUGUUUUGUGUUUCGGGCUUUGUGGCCGACAGUAAUGGAGGCUCGUUACUGUGUUUCGGCCAUGCUGGCCGUCACCAAGAGUCCAGAGCCGUUGGAGUGAGAGCGUGGUCAAGCCGAGGGCGUCGGCUUACGGCCAUUUGGACAAGACGGUGGCAGCGGGAGGUCAGAAGCAAUUAGGUUAGAAGGCUUAAUUAGUUUAAUUAGCAUGGGCUUAAGUUAGUUUAGUGGGUUUAGGUUCGUUUCUGUUUUCAUGGGAGUUAAAAAGUAUUGGUUUUGGGCUCAACUAGGAUUUAUUAAGUUUGGGUCUAGUUCUCGUUAUAUUUGGACCGGUGAUUUUCGGGCUUGAUUUGUUUUAGGGUGUGUUUAUUUAGCGAAAUCUUAAUGAUAUAGGAAAAAGCUUUCUAGUAAAACAUCUUUCAGGAAUAUGGUUAGUUUUUCCUUGUUUGAUAAUAUAUAAUCAAAAAUGUUUUUCAAUGUUUGGAUACUAUUUCAAAAUGAUUUCAAUCUCAUUAUUUUAUUUAGUAAAAAAAAAUCAAUUUUUUUUUUAAUUUUUAGAAAAAAUUGAAAUUUUCAAUUAUUUUCUUUUUCUCUUUUUUUUUCCUUUUUUUUUUCUAAAAGUUGAAUUUUUAAUUUUCUAUAAUAAAGAGACAUUGAAUUCUUAUUAAAGUGACCAUUAUCCAAACCUUAGAAUAUACAUACAAAUAAACUGUUCACGAGAAGAUGUACAACAUCCUUUGCACAUGGAGAAAAUAUUGGGUGGUCUGAGAGCUCCACAUCAGCGUGGUGUUCGGCCACUCACAAGGUGCCAUGUGGAGGGGUGGGCCCACUUGGUGUCUUCUGCUUUCUUCCCCUUUCUCCUUCUAGCCUGCACGCUCUCUCUCCUAUGCAGCGCAUUUAUUGCGGUUUAAACUUUUCUCUUUCUUUCUCAAAUGAGAAGGAAAGAGAAGCCCGUUCUUCUGUCCCUCUCCAUUUCUUUCCUUUCAAAUUUUGAAUUUGAAAUUUUCUCUCUCUCUCCGCGCUCGUUCCUGCUCCGCUGUGCAUCAAGCAGCCGUUCCCCUGCCGUCGCCAAUGAACCACAUUAUGGCCACCCCUACUCCGAUGCUCGCUUGCUUCCUCUCUUCGGGCUCGUUGUUGCUCCAUCGUUCGCUCCAGCAUUCCCGGGAUCACAGAUGUAGCACACGGAGGAGAAGCAGGCCUCUUUGAGUUCCCCUCAACGUCGGCGAGCAUCGCUCGCCGAGCAAGACCCCCACACACAGAAGGCUCGGAGGCGAGGUUGCUAGAGAAGCUGGUGCCGCACACUGCCAGCUUGCUGAGCUGCCUCGUUGUGUNNNNNNNNNNNNNNNNNNNNNNNNNNNNNNNNNNNNNNNNNNNNNNNNNNNNNNNNNNNNNNNNNNNNNNNNNNNNNNNNNNNNNNNNNNNNNNNNNNNNNNNNNNNNNNNNNNNNNNNNNNNNNNNNNNNNNNNNNNNNNNNNNNNNNNNNNNNNNNNNNNNNNNNNNNNNNNNNNNNNNNNNNNNNNNNNNNNNNNNNNNNNNNNNNNNNNNNNNNNNNNNNNNNNNNNNNNNNNNNNNNNNNNNNNNNNNNNNNNNNNNNNNNNNNNNNNNNNNNNNNNNNNNNNNNNNNNNNNNNNNNNNNNNNNNNNNNNNNNNNNNNNNNNNNNNNNNNNNNNNNNNNNNNNNNNNNNNNNNNNNNNNNNNNNNNNNNNNNNNNNNNNNNNNNNNNNNNNNNNNNNNNNNNNNNNNNNNNNNNNNNNNNNNNNNNNNNNNNNNNNNNNNNNNNNNNNNNNNNNNNNNNNNNNNNNNNNNNNNNNNNNNNNNNNNNNNNNNNNNNNNNNNNNNNNNNNNNNNNNNNNNNNNNNNNNNNNNNNNNNNNNNNNNNNNNNNNNNNNNNNNNNNNNNNNNNNNNNNNNNNNNNNNNNNNNNNNNNNNNNNNNNNNNNNNNNNNNNNNNNNNNNNNAGUUCCGAUAUCCUUGCAAGCUUGAAAGCACCUACAGUCACCCUCGACUCUGAUGCUGACCCAACACCGCCUCCUCCCUUGAACCCGACUCUGACGCCGACGCCCCUCCGCCAUUUUCCUUCGUCGGCAACAAAGUUCGUCGCCCCUAACUCCGACGCCGACGCCUCGGCCUCGGCCUACGUGCCCGACGCCAACGCCGACGCCAAUGCCCCUUCGCCUCCCUCUCGCUGCUCGCGUUUUGGCCUCCCUCUCCGCGAGCAAAGGUCACUCUGCUCGAUCUUUCUCUCUUUCCUCCAUGAAGCACCCCCUGCUCCUGAACAUAGACGCCGUCGCCUCCCGCUGUCACCUUCCCAAGCCCCACCUAUAGGCACCGUAUUGGCGAUUCCCAUACGUCCGAAGGUUCGAUUUUUUUUUUUUUUUUUGGAUUCUACUUAGUAGAAUUCGGUGUCGUGUUAAUGUUUAGGUUCAUAGAUACAUUUGCAUUAGGUAUUGCUUUUAUCUUACUUGUUGCUGACUUGCUGUGUUAUUCAGAUAGUUAAUGAAGAUUGGAAGAAAGUGAAAUGGUGGUAUCUUUUGAGAUUGUUUGCAUAUAGUCCUCCCAAGAGAUUAGAGGCUUCUGAGCCUAAAUUGGUCACUCCUUGUCUGAAGUAAGAGAUUGAGAAGCUGGUAUUAGGAUUGCUCAAGUGGACCUAUAGCCGAUUAUGUCCAAGUCAUGCCACACUCUCCACAUAUGCUCCUAAGUCUUGCUUUCAUCACUGCUGCUACUUUAUUCUCCCAUACAAAAUGCAAGCAAUUCAUUAAUUGAUUGUGUAAUUGGACUUGCAGGGUUGUCGGAAUGGUGGUUCAUGUUCUUUUUCUCAUAAUAUGGGCACGUCAUUUUCGUUAGUGAGUACUCCAUGCAUCGCAGAAAAUGGCGAUGCCGACCCAACAUUACUUAUUUAGUUAUUUCCUUUUGCUGAUGAUGGGGAAAUUCUCAUCUUGGACGAAAUUUUCUCUGUCAUCAUUGGCAAUGCCUAGCUGAAACACCAGGGUCAAAUCCUCAGUUUGGGUGUGGGUUUCUGUGAAUGGAUCAGUCCACUCCAAAACCUCCCACCAGUUCCAUGUGCCACUUGGGCUCUGCCCCAAAGUCAGUCUCAUUCUAGCUCAGUGUUUAAGGUUGGGCUUUGCCUUUGAUAUAAUUUAUAACUUUGAGCCUUGUGGCUUGGGAAUGAGGUUAAUCAUGGAUUGGUUAGAAGCAAAAAGAAAUGAUGAAAUUGAGAAGAGUUUAGUUGAAUCUAAUCACUAUGGUUUUGUGGGUGGAGGCGUUUGCUUUAUCCUCUGUCGUCACUCCUGAAUAUGUUUAUUUUGCUCAUAUUCUUUUGAAAUUAUUGUACAUGAAUCCCAAGGUACUUAUUGUUAAGUUUUACAGAAGAAACCUUUCUUUGCAGAGACCAAGGGUGUGUAUACUAGGUGGUGGAUUUGGGGGUUUAUACACUGCUUUGAGACUGAAAUCACUUGUCUGGCCUGACAGCAAGAAACCUCAUGUAAUUCAUUUGAUCCUUGUAUAGUUAGUAUGCGUUCUUCAUUGAUACAUCCCUGCUGCUCGAAUGGAAUCAUAAGCAGAACUUGCAUAUUUGAACAAAGAUCACUCCUCUAGACUAUACCAAACUGUCUUAUAGAAGUAUGUAUAUUCUGUUGAAACCAGUAUGUUGUCAUUUGAUGCCACUUAUAAUGUUCAAAUUACUUAUUCAGCUUGAGCCAUCUUAUUAAAUUGGGUCAUUUUGAUAAUGCAGUAGGUCCUUCUUAUUGACCAAUCUGAGCGGUUUAUUUUCAAGCCAAUGCUAUAUGAACUUUUAUCUAGAGGUAUGAAGAUAUGACACUACAGAGUUUGCAAUAGUUUUUUGCUGUUUAUAAUGAUAGUUCCAGUGAUAUGUUUAUUUGAAGAAGGGUGAGGGAGAUUCUCUCUGAGGACUUAUGUCUUGAUGCAGAAGUAGAAGAAUGGGAAAUAGCUCCUCGAUUUGCUGAUCUUCUUGCGAGCACUGAUGUCAAGCUUUUCCAAGAUAGGGUAAAACUCUUGCGUCCAAUGGAUCAUCUGGGAAUCAAUGCUCCUCCGGGAUCUGGUUCUGUAGGGACUGUGCAACUUGAAAGUGGCCUCCUUGUUGAAUAUGACUGGUAUCGUUUUCUCUUUGAAUAUCGUCUAGUAUGUCUUUAAUUUUUCAUAUAGGAAUAUAGUUUUGUCAGGCACCGGAGUAUAUAUAGCCUUUACCAGGUUUGUACUUCAUAACUUCAGACACUUGCUAGAUUUUUUCUGUCAACUUUCCUGAUUAAUUAGGAAAUAGUUUUAUGUGGAUAGUGUUGAUCGUCUUUUCUUAGGUGUUGCUCUAGGAUUGUCCCUUGCCUUUGUGAGCUAAAUGAGCUUUCUUUCAAUAUGCUGGGGGAUAGCAUCAGAUUAGUUCAAGCCUCCUUGGGAUUUGUUAAAGUUGAACUUGGAUUUGAUGAAUCAUUAGUUGAUAGAUAGAUGCUCAUUUGGUUUUUAUGUGUAUAAGGAUAUGCCAAUUCUCUCUUUUUGUCAUGGGCUGUCAGGUUGGUUCUUGCUUUGGGGGCUGAAGCGAAGCUUGAUGUUGUACCUGGUGCAGCUGAGUAUGCAUUGCCAUUCUCAACCCUCAGGGAUGCACUUGUAAGGCAACUUUUAGGGGGGUCUAUAAUGCUAUAAAUUACAUCUCUAGUUGAUUGACUCUGAUUUGGUACAUUUAUUAUUCUCUCACUUGUACAUUUCUGUUGCAGAAAGUUGACAACAAAUUAAAAGCUUUGGAGAGAAGGAACUUUGGGAAGGGGUCUGAAAUUCGCGUAGCUGUUUUCUNNNNNNNNNNNNNNNNNNNNNNNNNNNNNNNNNNNNNNNNNNNNNNNNNNNNNNNNNNNNNNNNNNNNNNNNNNNNNNNNNNNNNNNNNNNNNNNNNNNNAACUCACCAGUCGUGCAGCUCUAUAAGCCUGAUAGUCCACUUCUAGAUUAACAUGUAAUUAGAAGUCCUAUUGAAGAUGAAUUAUCACUGUUAUAGUUUUCAAGACUUCAGAAUCAUGUGAAACAUCAUGUUAUAUAUUCACGAUACUCUAUGCAUGUACUGUUUUGUUUGUUUGGAUGGACUAUAAUUUGUUGGUAUUUUGUCAGCUACAUAGAAACACAUAGAAACGAAUCAUAUGAAGAGGGUAGAGAGGAAUGAGUGGGCCAGCGAAUCUAUGUAAACUUCUUGCUUCAACCUGGUACUAGAAUCAGCUGGAGCAAUUUGAUAUGAAGCGAGGACUAAGAUUUCUAUUACUUGUAUUGGUUCAAACUUGUAGCGGUAUGAUUAAGAAUGGUACUUUGGUUAUGAAAGAUGCGUACGCCAUGCGAUGAUCUUCAUGGAGAACCUACUAGAUUAUAAUGUAAAAUAAGUUAGAAAGAGUUGGUUGGCUGUGCUUCUUUUCCAAAUGAAAUUCAGUUCCAUCCACAUUUUGCCGGUACAGAUGGUGUCUUAGGGCAAAAUGAAAUGGUUUAUGAACUACUCACAAUCGAGAAUUCACUGAAAGGACUUGAUAUUGUGAAAGCAAAGAAGGACAAGUAAGACUACAUAAAUUGCAGGAUGUAGAGUUGUACGGAUGGCAAGUUUCAGAGGAUAAACUGUUUUUCCGUUUAGUUUUCGUAUUGCUCCUACGCAACUCCUUUUCAUUUUAUUUUCCACCUCUAAUUUGAUUUAGUGGAAAACCUGAAUGCCAAGUUUGACCGAUAUCUAUGAAGUUAACGCCGUUGCACAAGCGGUUACCCUUGGCGGGACCAUCUUCUUGUUCAUGGUGAUUGUGAGAUUUGGGUGAGUGCAGUUCUACUUGAUGAUGCCGGAGACAAAGGGGCGGAGGCUGGAGGACUUGUUAUACAUGGAGUGGAGGUCCACAGUGAGGGAGAUGGAGAUGCAAAGGAACAACAACGUGACCAAGGAGGCAAACAGUGAGGCCUCACUUGUAAUGCAUGAUGUCCAAUUAAUAUUAGGUCCUAGACACAACAUUAACCGCACAUCAUGCAUGCAUUAUAGAUGAAGCCUCACUAUUUGCCCCUCAGUUCGCAUCUCCAUUUCCUUCGUUGCAGAUUUAUGGAACAACUCCUCUACCAUCCGCCCCUUCGUCUCCCACAUCAUCAAGUAGAAGAGCACUCACGCAAAACUCACGAUUUCCAUAAACAAGAAAGCGGCUCCACCAAGGGUAACCGUCUUGUGCAACAGUAUAAACUUCAUGGAUAACACUCCAAGGGAGUUUGAUUGGUCUCUCUUCUGUAUUGAUUCCUUCAAUUUCUCCAGACUUUCGACAGUGUCUUGCAAUCGGCUACAAGAACCGCCACGUAGUACAACUAAACUUUCUCAUGACAUUAGCCUACUAACACUUACUCCCAUAAAGAAACAUAGAAAAUUAGGAUAGCUACAUACAUUUCAUCCUAAUCAUCUCUCCAUCAGGACGUGCUCAUGCCAGUUAGUUCAACUUGAGCUGCAGGGGCAUUGAUCACGUCAAUUAGAUCCAAUUUCCCCCUGCUCUGCACAUUACCUGAAUGGAUGGAUUUACGAGUGCCGAAGUAUGUCAAAGACGUAGGAGGCAUUGCCUUGAGCAACAUCUCGUGCUAUCAACUUCAGUCUAAAAAAUGACUGACCGAUCUAGCAAGCUCGCAUUUGCUCUGGACAGAAUCAGAUUAUGGACCACCUGUAAUGUCAAUGUGCUAAGGAAUUUGAUAAAGAUGCGCUGCAAUCUUUGCAAUACGAUCAAACAAUAUCCUGAACAUGGUUGAGACAAGCCCAAUGAAGCGGAGCAUUCUUCUCCUCAUUACUGGCGUUAACAUCCUGAAAUUGGAAGAUUCCGGGUUUCAUAAAAGUCUCUUUCUACAUGUAACUAUGCAAUAAAUAACCGUAUAUAGAGCCUCAUAUCAACGCUAAUUCUAAUAAGACGCCGAGAUCAAGGCCAUAUCAGGACAACCACAGAGCAAUCAUAAAAAAUGCGCUGACCAACAUUUGAGAAAACUCAUCUAAGUCAGGACACGAUUGAAUAUCACCCCGAACCGAGAGUCGUGAGUACUAGUGCAAGUGACAAACAUCGACAUCUCCAAAAAACUAAAGAAAGAAUAAAGAGGAAGAGAGAGAAAGGGGGGGUGGGGAAUCAAUGAGAAUGGCAUAGUCGAAUGAAUUUAGCCAGAUUAUUGCAAAACACAGUUUGCGAGGAAGAAUGAAAGCCUGAGUUCACCGGAGAUAUGACCGAAAAGCAGGAGGCAAACAAGACCGGAUUUUUUUAAGUUCAACAUUACCAGAUACAUGGACCCUCGAGAUCAGCAGUCAAACAUAAAAGACGAUGAAGGGAACACAACUUCCGUCAGCAAGCGAGAAAUUCCAAAGAAAACAAGGCCAUGUCUACCACAGUAAUCACCUAUAACUCUGUAGCAUCCAAAAACCUUAUGAAUAUCCUUAAAUCCUAAACCCAGUAAACGAAUCACCUUUAACUGUGUAGGAGAGCUCUUCAGAAGCGCUCCAGUUGGUCUCGGCAAAGGGCGAGGCGUUGAGGAGAGGAAUGGAGAGGCAAGAGCGAGAGAGGAUGAAGGUGUGGAGCUGGGGAAGGGGAGCUGGAGACUGGAUAUGGGGAAGAAGGAGCGUUGUUUGGUCGUUCUCCUUUCUCCAGAAAGGAAACAGUAGCGAGCGGAAGGAGGGAGGAGGAGAGGGAAGAGCUGGGCAGCGGCUGCUGUGCAUUCACACUCCCCAACUGCAAAAUGAUACUUGAAGUAGAGAGCUCGGCGUGCAUGGGAAGUAUUGGUAACGGUCUGAAAAAGCAGGCUGGGCUUGGGGGGAAAGGUGAAUGGUGGAAUGGGACUUGGGAGGGUGAGUUCGAUGAGUCCCGAUGAGCAGAGGGAUGGUUUCUCACUUCACAACAUCACUCACUCACUCUCUCUCUCUCUCUUUGUUUCUCUCUCUCUCUCUGCUUCUUCUCGCUCAUCUUUAAAGUAGUUGAGUGGUUAGUAUCCGUUCGAAAUAAACUUUUGUUCCAUAUUUAAGAAGAUGCCUGAUCAUUCCCCUUAAUAAAUUAAUUAAUAAUUCAAGAAUUACGUUGGUAUUUAGUUAUUAUUAGCAGGUCAGUAAGAUGGAUUUAAAGUUAAAUGUGCGGUACAUAUUAAAAUUAAUUAUUGAUUGUGUUGGCAAAAAGACAAAAGCAAUAAACGGUGUUGGCCAAAAGACAAAAUGUUUGAAUUUUUCUUCUUCUGCAUUCAUUUUCUCAUCGCCAGUUCUUUUUUCUUGGAUUGCCAUCACCCGUAAUUAAUAAUCAUGGGGGAGAGACAGAGAUCGCUCAAUGUGGCAUGCAAAACCUGACAUGCAGGGGAGAAGGCUUUGCUUUUCACCUUCCUCAAAACUUGAACCAAAUUUAUUGCUCUCCCUUUGUUUGUCUAAUUAAGUGCCAAACCAUUAUAAUUCUUCCUUCUCACCCUUCAAUUUUUCUUUCAAUAAACUUUUCUACCUCAUUUGGCAAUGCCGAAGAACAAAUAAUUGCCCUAUUUGGCUAUGCCAAAUUACCUGUCGAGAAUUGUUUUGAAGAUAUGGUUGGCAUGACAUGUAUGUCCAAUGUAAUAGUCUUAAACCUUAGUUGAUUGAAGUUUUGUAUGGUAAGUGCAAAAGAUAACUUAUAUUUAUAUUUAUAUUUACAUUGUCAUGUUUUAAAUAAAGUGAAAUUCUUAUUGAAUGGCGGUGGAAGAGUGUAAUUACAAUGAAAAAUGGGGCUAAUCGAUGAGUAUUUGAGUAUUUUAUGGAUGAACGCAAUGACAAACCUCAAACGUCAUAAGCUCCUUCAUUUUCCAAGGCUUCACAAAAAACACAUGUGUACGAUCACAAAAACAAGUAAAAGUGAUGAGAAUGAGUAAUCCUAAUCUCUGCAAGUAAAGUGAUGAAGGGCCUAUUUUGUCGCUAUCAUAUAACAUUUAUUCCUAAUUCAAUUUACGGUAUAAAAUUUCAUUAUAUAAUAAGGUAUUUGUAAUUAAUUUGGAGACUUUAACAAUAUUUCUGAUUUUUUUUUUUUACUUUGAAUUACAAAAAUUUUAAAUUUUCAUUUGGAGAUGAAAGUUUGGAAAAAGGAAGACUCUUUUUAAAUUGAACAAAUUUAAUGUCCAAAAAUUUAUUUUUAAUAUAAUUAGUUAGAUAAGAUUGCUAGUCACAGAUAGAUAAAAUGCUUAUUUUUCCAGCAAAAGAAGUUAGAAACAAUGGUGGACUUAAUUUACAGAGUUAGUGACAAGUGCCCUUGCUAAAUGGACACAAUUUUCCCCUACACAAUCUACAAUAACAAUCCGUAAAGCCCACGUUUUAGCAGAAAACAAUCCAUUAGAAAAUAUAUGCUGAAUAUUCGCCAAAAAAUAAAUGCUGGAACUAAAAAUAUAUAUACCACAUCCUUUAGAUUCAUAGCAAAUUUAUUCAUUAACCAGCAUGCUUUGACAUUUGGUAAAGCUCAUUUAAAGAAGGGGAUCUUGACUUGACGUACAUUCGCUUAAAGUAAUUGAGUGGCUAGUAAAAUAGUAUUUUCUAAGCCCAUUGAAAUAAACUUUUAUUCGGUGUAAAGUAAUAUUUAAAAUAGUUAAUAUCAUGAAAAAUUACAAUUGAAAUAUUUAUGAUAAAUUUAUCUCAAACUAAUUUUUUAACCUUAAAAAAUUUUAAACUAAUACACUCAUAACAAAUUACCUCAAACUAAUUUUUUGAUCACUAAAAAAUACCAAAUUGAUAUAUAUGUAAUAAAUUUAUGAUUUGUUGAUUUCCAUUAAAUUAAAUUAAUAUCAUAAAAAAACCACAAAUUAUUACACAUGUAAUGACCAAUAGAGGGUAAAACCCCAAAUUAGUACGUUAAUCAAUUGUGACAUGUUAUCUAACUCAACAAUUUGACUAUAAAAUUUAAUAUUAACUAAUUAAUGGUAAGUACAUCAAUUUGGGAUUAGUUUACCAAUUUGGAAUUUAUCAUGGUAUUAACCCUAUUUAAAUUUUUUCUAAUAUUGUCUAAACAAAUAGUCAAAUAAUCCUUACCAAAAAAAUACAAAUAGUCAAAUAAUUCAAGAAUAACAUCAAGGUUGGUGGUUAGCUAUAAUUACCAUAUUACAAAGAUAGAUUAUAAAGACAAAUGUGUGGUACAUGUCAAAACUAAUCAUCUAAAUGAUCAAUUAAUAAAAGGCACAAGAACUAAAUGGUGUAGGCCGAAAAAACAAAAAAGAAAGUUGAAAUGUUCUUUCUUGUGAAUUCAUUCAUAAUAAUGAUGGGAGAGAGAAUCUUGUUGUUCAUCAUCCUCAACACCAAGAUCAAAUUAUGAAUAGAUUUGAAAUUCAUAAAUUUUGCUAUAUUUUAUUCAAUGUUGGGUGAAUCAUAGCAAUAAUAUGAGAUAUAUUCUUAUCCUAUUAUAUCUUAUUGUUUGUUAUAAACAAUUAUUAAUCAGUAAAUCUUAAAAAAAGAAUGGUGGUUUGGGAGAGUGACUGCAUUCACCAUCCCCAACUGCAAAGGAUAUUUUAUAAUUGAUGAAGUAGAGAUCAAUGUGCAUGUCAAGUAGGGAACGAUCUAAAAGAGUAGGCGUGUGGGCUGGAGUUUUGUAUGUUUGCGGAAAAAAGUGAAUGGUGGGAUGAGAGAGUGAGUGCGAUUAGUCCGACGAGAAAAGAGACGACGAGAAUGGCUUCCUCUCAUUUUAACCUUGAUGAAAUGGAGUUUUCGGGCAACUUCUUUUUUACUUUUAUCUCUUAUUUACGGUUCUUUCUUUUUUCAAAUUGAAAAAUAAUAAAAAAAUCACAAUCUUUCAAGUUUUGAAAAUUGUAAAAUUUAGUAUAUGAUUUUUAGGGGUGAUUGAUUCCGAAUUCAGUCACAACCAGUAACCGAGAACCCGAUCGGGAGGACCAAUUCCCAUUUUUUGGGAUCGAGAAUCGGCCAAACUAACCGGUCUAGGCCAAUGGAAUCAGCCAAUUAGCAAAACAAAUUCAAACAAUUUGAAAAAAAAAAUACUAGAGUUGUUACUAUUUUAGAGUUUAUUACAUUUUUUAAGAACAUAGAAAAUAUUUUUUUAUAAAAAAAUGUUGGUCUAGUCCGGUCCGGUCCGGUUUCCUCUUAAAAUCGGGAACCAAACCAAAAAUAGAUGAACUAAGAUUAGACCAACACCCCUCGACGAUUCUCGAUUUGGUUUGUUCAAUAUGCUCACCCCUAAUGAUUUUACUUGUUGGUAUUUAUUCUUUAUUGCGGAACUCGAAAAAUUUACAACAAAGAAAAGGUUUUACAAACUAGUUGAAAAUGUUUCAUCUCUAAAUUUAUAUUGUAUAUAAAUUGGAUCAAAACAGAUUAUUAGUCAGAAUUGAUAAUUAAUAUUUAGAGACAAUCAUACUGUGAUUUUAAUAAUAUAUUUACAUAAAUUAAUAAUAAAAAGCCAACUUAAAUGACAAAUGUUUAAUAAACUAAUAAAUUAUUAAAUAUUUUUUAAUAAAUCAAUAUUUAUAUUAAUCAAAUUUCAAUAAAUAUAUUAAAAAGUGAUUUAUAGCUUCUUAAAAUCUGAUCAAGCACUAUUUCUCCAUCGUGCUUUUAUGAUACAAGAUUAUAAAUAAAUACAAACAAUAAAGCACAACUCCAUGAAACAUCAAUAGUCAAGGAAAUAAUUUGUUUUUCCUAAGAAUUGAAAUACAAAAUCAUUUCUUUGUAUUCUGAUUAGUGUUUUAGGUGAUUUAUUCGCAAUGAAUUGAAAUUUUAUGCCACGUGAAAACGAGAAAUGCCAAAAUUAACCGAAGUAGCUAAAACACCCAAGUUCAUGUGAAUGGAUUCUUGGAAAAUAGCCUGAUAAUGAAUAGGAAUAACAAGCACCAAGAAGUCACCAUCACAGCUGGGUUUAAAAUAUAUAUAUUUGCAUCAGUAACUGUCUAUUCCUUUUCUCUUAAAAAUCCAUUCUUAGGCAAGGCAUAUUUUACAUUUAUUCUUCAUUUCCUGUAUUGCUUUAAACUCCCGAAAUUUUCUAUUAUAAAUAUGAGAAAAGCCAUAUCAUUCCUAAAAGUCCUAAAAUUUCAAUUUAUUAAUUUAUUUAAUGAUGUGGCAAUUUUAAAUUAAUUUCUCUCACUUGGCUUUUUUUUAUUGUUUUCUUUUUAAUAUCUUAUUCAAAUGAGAUUAAAAAACUGAAAAAGCUAAAAUUUUAUUUAAAAAAAAAAAACAAACUGAAAAGAGAGAGAGAGAGAGAGAGAGAGAGAGAGAGAGAGAGAGAGAGAGAGAGAGAGAGAGAGAGAGAGAGAGAGAGAGAAGAGAUAGGGAGGUAGGGCGCUGCCGCCACCACCAUCGGAGGGGUCGACCUUAGGCAAGGCUGGCCGGCCCUCGCCAGUCCCAUGCGAGGCCUCACUGGCCCUAAGCGAGGGGCCGGAGACCCUCGCUAGGCUUGGGCUUGCGCUCAAGCGCCCAAAUCUGGGUGACGCUGGUGCUCACCCAGGGCUGGCGAGGCUUGCCGACUCUAGUUGACCACCAGUGUCGCCCAGAUAUGGGUGCUCUCGCCCGAGUCGGCAAAGGUCGCCUACGCUUGCCUGGAGCUGGCGAGGGUUGGCCACCCUCACCCUAGGCCGGCGACCUCCACCGGCUCCUCCGACUAUGGGUGGUAUUGGCAGUGGCAGUGGUGCGCUUCUCUCUCUCUUUUCAGUUUUAUUUUUUAAAAUAAAAUAUUAGCAUUUUUUUAGUUUUUAAGCUGAAUUAAAUAAGAUUAAAAAAGGAAAACAAUAAUAAAAAAUGCCAACUAGAAGAAAGAAAUAAAUUUAAAAUUUAGAUUCAAUUGCACCUAAGUGGCAUCUUUGUCACAAAAUUUUGGAUUCUGCUCGUGAACUUAUCCUUAAAUAUUCUUAGGUAAUGGAUAUUACUUUUACUUUUCUCUAAAUUUAUUUGUACACGAUUUUGUAGUUAAAACGAGUUGUUUUUACGUAAAAGAUAGGUUAUUUUUCUUUUCUUUUUUCAAUUUUACACAAAUGGAUGACUUUCAUGUUUUGAUUGUCUUUCUAUUAACCUCCACAUUGUAAAUUUCGAAGUUCUCCAAAGGUGGUUCCUACAUAUUUUUCAGACGUUGGCUUUUUUUUUUUUUUUUCCUGUCUCUAUCUUUCAUAUAUUAUCUUUUCUAUAAUAUAUUUCAAAAGAAAAAAAAAAAAAAAAGAAGGUGGAGGACAAGUAUUAGAGGAGUAUUUGAUUUUGAAAGACGCCCACCCCAAUUUUUGGUCUUGACUUCAUGAUUUCGACCGUUGUGUAUUUAUUUCGCUCAGAAACGACAUGAUUUUAAAUUGGACACGGAAAAACUAAAAUUCAUGGGCAAGAUAAAAUGUACACAAAUAUAUAUAUAUAUAUAUAUGUAUAUAUAACAUAGUUAUAGUUAUAGUGUUAAAGCACAUCUUUCUAUAGUUAUAGCCACAGCACGAUCGUCACACAAUCAUCGCACGACUACCGCACGAUUGUCGCACGAUAACGUUUCACCCCAUCUCGUCAACAUGCAAUAGCUUAAGGAAUUUCCACCAGCAGGAGUCAUUUUUUUUUUUUUUUUGAAGGGGCACCUCAUUAGGCACACAUGCACGACCAUACAACCAUCUUCGGCCAUUUCUUCUAAUAAUAAAAUAAAAUACAAAUUAUUAAAAAAAGCAAAGCCAAAAAGAGUUUUGUAAUCAACACCCAUUUGCAAUCAUUGCAUUGCGGAAGAAAAAAAAAUUUUCUUUUCUGUACAUGAUCUUCCCCUAUCCACCUAUCCUAUCCACUGCAACAGUCUUAAAGUCCUGCCGCUGCAUGCAUUUAAAAACACGAACCAAUCUCUUCUCUUUUCUCUUCUCUCUAGCUGAAGAAGACUACAUAUAUCGACAAAUAUCACUAGACAAAAUUCCCAAUCUAUAGUGGAGGCACCAGCAAGAGGUGAAUGCCUUUAUUCAGAGGCACAUCAAAUGCGAUAAUUUGGAAGCUUUGUAUAGACAAUGACUGGUACGGGUUGUGUUUAAUUAUAUGAUUUAUACCUCUAAUAUUUUUAAUAUAAUUUCCUUCAAAGUUAGAAAUUGAAUAUUAACAAUUUGUGUAUGUUGUAGUACGAAUAUGUAAGUCUCAUGAAUGUGGAGUCGGGAAUGAAGCUACUUAAGAGAGCCGCACAAAUUGGCCACCUUGGGGCUUCCUAUAUGGUCGGGCUCUUCCUUGUCUGCGAUGAUGGCGAGUUGAAGAAGAAUGAAUGAGUCUGCUGACUAAGAACGAGUGGUGGAAUGCCGUGAUAAGUAUUUAAACACCGUUCGCAUUAUGUGGUGGAACAACACGAUGAUCUUUAGAAAAGAGCAAAGCUAUGAUUGCGAGAUGCAAACUGAGCACUGCAAGAGGAGGGGAUGGGUGUGUGACAUCGACCAUUACGAUGACACUGAAUGCGAACAAUGCAUUUGCCGAGCGGAGACAAAGAUUCUAUACAAGUAUUGCAGAUACCCCUGACAACAUCAUCGUAAAUUGGACGCGGAAAAAGUAAAAUUCAUGGGCAAGACAAAAUGUACACAAACACACAUGCACGCGCGCGCGCAAACACACACAUAUAUAACGUAGUUAUAGUUAUAGUGUCAAAGCACAUCUUUCUAUAGUUAUAGCCACCGCACGAUCGUCGCACGAUCAUCGCACGACCGCCGCACGAUUGUCGCACAACCACCACAUGAUCGCCGCACGAUAACGUUUCUCCCACAUCUCGUCAACAUGCAAUAGCUUAAGGAAUUUCCACCAACAGGAGUCAUGUUUUUUGAAGGAGCAUCUCAUUAGGUGCACAUGCACGACCAUACGACCAUCUUCACCCAUGUCUUUUAAUAAUAAAAUAAAAUACAAAUUAUUAAAAAAAACAAAGCUAAAAAGAGUUUCGUAAUCAACACCCAUUUGUAAUCAUUGCAUGCUGAAGACAAAAUUUUUUUCUGUACAUGAUCUUCCCCUAUCCUAUCCACUGCAACAAUCUUAAAGUCCUACCGUUGCUUGCAUUUAAAAACAAGAACCAACCUCUUCUCUUUUCUCUUCUCUCUAGCUGAAGAGGACUACAUAUAUCGACAAAUAUCACUAGACAAAAUUCCAAAUCUAUUAUGGUGGCACCAGAAAGAGGUGAAUGUCUUUAUUCAGAGGUGCAUCAAAUGCGAUAAUUUGGAAGCUUUGUAUAGACAAGAACUAAUACGUGUUGUGUUUAAUUAGAUGAUUUAUACCUCUAAUAUUUUCAAUAUAAUUUCCUUCAAAGUUAGAAAUUGAAUAUUAACAAUUUGUGUAUGUUGUAGUAUGAAUAUGUAAGUCUCAUGAAUGUGGAGUCAGGAAUGAAGCUACUUAAGAGAACCGCACAAUUUGGCCACCUUAAGGCUUCUUAUAUGGUUAGGCUCCUCCUUGUCUACGAGGGUGGCAAGUUGAAGAAGAAUGAAUGAGUCGGCUUGUUGAGAAAAGUCUACUCAAGCGGACGAGUGGUGGAAUGAUGUGAUAAGUAUUUAAACAUCAUUCACAGUAUGUGGUGGAAUAACACAAUGAUCUUAAGAGAAGAGCGAAGCUAUGAUUGCGAGAUGCAAACCGAGCACUGCAAUAGGAGGGGAUGGGUGUGUGACAUCGACCAUUAUGAUGACACUGAAUGCGAACAAUGCAUUUGCUGAGCGGAGACAAAGAUUCUAUACAAGUAUUGCAGAUACCCCUGAAGAAAUAAUUUUAAAUUGGACGCGGAAAAACUAAAAUUCAUGGGCAAGAUAAAAUGUACACAAACAUAUAUAACAUAGUUUUAGUUAUAGUGUUCAAGCACAUCUUUCUAUAGUUAUAACCACCGCACGACCGCCGCACGAUCGUCGCACGAUAACAUUUCACCCCCAUCUCGUCAACGUGCAAUAGCUUAAGGAAUUUCCAUCAGUAUGAGUCAUUUUUUUUUUAGAGAGCACCUCAUUGGGCGCACAUGCACGACAAUACGACCAUCUUCAGCCAUGUCUUCUAAUAAUAAAAUAAAAUACAAAUAUUUAAAAAAGAAGAGCCAAAAAAAGUUUUGUAAUCAACACCCAUUUGUAAUCAUUGCGUUGCUGAAGACAAUUUUUUUUUUUUUGUACAUGAUCUUCCCCUAUCCACCUAUCCUAUACACUGCAACAGUCUUAAAGUCCUGUCGCUGCUUGCAUUUAAAAACACGAACGAACCUCUUCUCUUUGCUAUUCUCUCUAGCUGAAAAGGACUGCAUAUAUCGAUAAAUAUCACUAGACAAAAUUCCAAAUCUAUUGCAGUGGCACCAGGAAGAGGUGAAUGCCUUUAUUCAAAGGUGCAUAAAAUGCAAUAAUUUGGAAGCUUUGUAUAGACAAGGACUGGUACGUGUUGUGUUUAAUUAUAUGAUUUAUACCUCUAAUAUUUUCAAUAUAAUUUCCUUCAAAGUUAGAAAUUGAACAUUAACAAUUUAUGUGUGUUGUAGUAUAAAUAUGUAAGUCUCAUGAAUGUAGAGUCAUAAAUUAAGCUACUUAAGAGAGCCGCACAAUUUGACCACUUGGGCUUCCUCUAUGGUUGGGCUCCUCCUUGUGUGCGAGGGUGGCGAGUUGAAGAAGAAGGAAGGAGUUGACAUGCUAAGAAAAGUCUACUCGAGCGGACGAGUGGUGGAAUUCCGUGAUAAGUAUUUAAUACCGUUCGUAGUAUGUGGUGGAACAACAUGAUGAUCUUUAGAGAAGGGCAAAGCUAUGAUUGCGAGAUACAAACCAAGCAUUGCAAGAGGAGGGGAUGGAUGUGUGACAUCGACCAUUACGAUGACACUGAAUGCAAACAAUGCAUUUGCCGACCGGAGACAAAGAUUCUAUACAAGUAUUGCAGAUACCCAUAACGACAUGAUCUUAAAUUGGACGCAGAAGAACUAAAAUUCAUGGGCAAUAUAAAAUGUACACAAACACAUAUAUAUAACAUAGUUAUAGUUAUAGUGUUAAAGCACAUCUUUCUAUAGGUAUAGCCACCGCAUGAUCAUCGCACGACCGUCGCACGAUCGCCGCACGAUAACGUUUCACCCCCAUCUCGUCAACGUGCAAUAGCUUAAGGAAUUUCCACCUGCAGAAGUAAUUUUUCUUUUUAAGGAGCACCUCAUUGGGCGCACAUGCACCACCAUACGACCAUCUUCGACCAUGUCUACAAAUAAUAAUAAAAAACACAAAUUAUUAAAAAAAGCAUAGCCAAAAAGAGUUUUGUUAUCAACACCUAUUUGUAAUCAUUGCGUUGUUGAAGACAAAUUUUUUUUUAUGUACAUGAUCUUCCCUUAUACACCUAUCCUAUCCACUGCAACAGUCUUAAAGUCCUAUCGCUGCUUGCAUUUAGAAACACGAACCAACCUCUUCUCUUUUUUGUUCUCUCUAGUGGAAGAGGACUACAUAUAUCGAUAAAUAUCGCUAGACAAAAUUCCAAAUCUAUUGUGGUGGCACUAGGAAGAGGUGAAUGCCUUUAUUUAGUGGUGCAUCAAAUGCGAUAAUUUGGAAGUUUUGUAUAGACAAUGAUUGGUACGUGUUGUGUUUAAUUAUAUUAUUUAUACCUCUAAUAUUUUCAAUAUAAUUUCCUUCAAAGUUAGAAAUUGAACAUUAACAAUUUGUGUAUGUUAUAGUAUGAAUAUGUAAGUCUCAUGAAUGUGGAGUCAAGAAUGAAGCUACUUAAGAGAGCCGCACAAUUUGGCCACCUUGGGGCUUCCUCUAUGGUUGGGCUCCUCCUUGUCUGCGAGGGUGGCGAGUUAAAGAAGAAGGAAGGAGUGGGCUUGCUGAGAAAAGUCUAUUCGAACGGACGAGUGAUGCAAUGCCGUGAUAAGUAUUUAAACAUUUUUCGCACCAUGUGGUGGAACAACAUGAUGAUCUUUAGAGAAGAGCGAAGCUAUGAUUGCGAGAUGCAAACCGAGCACUACAAGAGGAGGAGAUGGGUGUGUGACAUCGACCAUUACAAUGACACUGAAUGCGAACAAUGCAUUUGCCGAACGGAGACAAAGAUUCUAUUCAAGUAUUGUAGAUACCCCUGACGACAUGAUCUUAAAUUGGACGGGGAAAAACUAAAAUUCAUAGGCAAGAUAAAAUGUACACAAACAUAUAACAUAUAUAUAGUUAUAGUGUUAAAGCACAUCUUUCUAUAGUUAUAGCCACUGCACGAUCGUCGCACGACCGUCGCACGAUGGUCGCAUGACCGCCGCACGAUCGCCACACGAUAACAUUUCACCCCCAUCUCGUCAAUGUGCAAUAGCUUAAGGAAUUUCCACCAAUAGGAGUCAUUUUUUUUUUUUUGAAGGAGCACCUCAUUAGGCGCACAUGCACCACCAUACGACCAUCUUCAGCCAUGUCUUCUAAUAAUAAAAUAAAACACAAAUUAUUAAAAAAAGCAUAGCCAAAAGAGUUUUGUUAUCAACACCUAUUUGUAAUCAUUGCGUUGUUGAAGAAUUUUUUUUUUCUGUACAUGAUCUUCCCCUAUCUACCUAUUCUAUCCAUUGCAAUAGUCUUAAAAACCUACCGCUGCUUGCAUUUAAAAACACAAACCAACCUCUUCUCUUUUCUCUUCUCUCUAGCUGAAGAGACUGCAUAUAUCGACAAAUAUCGCUAAACAAAAUUCCAAAUCUAUUGGGGUGGCACCAGGAAAAGUUGAAUGCCUUUAUUCAAAGGUGCAUCAAAUGCGAUAAUUUGGAAGCUUUGUAUAGACAAGGACUGGUACGUGUUGUGUCUAAUUAUAUUAUUUAUACCUUUAAUUUUUUCAAUAUAAUUUCCUUCAAAGUUAGAAAUUGAACAUUAACAAUUUGUGUAUGUUGUAGUAUAAAUAUGUAAGUCUCAUGAAUGUAGAGUCAUGAAUUAAGCUACUUAAGAGAGCCGCUCAAUUUGGCCACCUUGGGACUUCCUAUAUGGUUAGGCUCCUCCUUGUGUGUGAGGGUGGCGAGUUGAAGAAAAAUGAAUGAGUCGACUUGCUGAGAAAAGUCUACUCGAGUGGACGAGUGGUGCAAUGCCGUGAUAAGUAUUUAAACACCUUUCGCACUAUGUGGUGGAGCAACACGAUGAUCUUUAGAGAAGAGCAAAGCUAUGAUUGCGAGAUGCAAACCGAGCACUGCAAGAGGAGGGGAUGGGUGUGUGACAUCGACCAUUACGAUGACACUGAAUGUGAACAAUGCAUUUGCCGAACGGAGACAGAUUCUAUACAAGUAUUGCAGAUACCCCUGACGACAUGAUCUUAAAUUGGACGGGGAAAAACUAAAAUUCAUGGGCAAGAUAAAAUGUACACAAACAUAUAACAUAGUUAUAGUUAUAGUGUUAAAGCACAUCUUUCUAUAGUUAUAGCCACCGCACGAUCGUCGCAUGACCGUCGCACGAUCGCCGCACGACCAUCGCACGAUCGUCGCACGAUCGCCACACGACCGCCGCACGAUAACGUUUCACCCCCAUCUCGUCAAUGUGCAAUAGCUUAAGGAAUUUCCACCAAUAGGAGUCAUUUUUUUUUUUGAAAGAGCACCUCAUUAGGUGCACAUGCACCACUAUAUGACCAUCUUCGGCCAUGUCUUCUAUUAAUAAAAAAAAACACAAAUUAUUAAAAAAAGCAGAGCCAAAAAUAAUUUUCUAAUCAACACCCAUUUGUAAUCAUUGCAUUGCUGAAGACAAACUUUUUUUUCUAUACAUAAUCUUCCCCUAUCCACCUAUCCUAUCCAUUGCAAUAGUCUUAAAGUCCUGCCGCUGCUUGCAUUUAAAAACACAAACCAACCUCUUCUCUUUUCUCUUCUCUCUAGCUGAAGAGGACUGCAUAUAUCGACAAAUAUCGCUAGACAAAAUUCCAAAUCUGUUGGGGUGGCACCAGGAAAAGUUGAAUGCAUUUAUUCAGAGGUGCAUCAAAUGCGAUAAUUUGGAAAAUUUGUAUAGACAAGGACUGGUACGUGUUGUGUUUAAUUAUAUUAUUUAUACCUCUAAUAUUUUCAAUAUAAUUUCCUUCAAAGUUAGAAAUUGAACAUUAACAAUUUGUGUAUGUUGUAGUAUGAAUAUGUAAGUCUCAUGAAUGUGGAGUUAGGAAUGAAGCUACUUAAGAGAGCCGCACAAUUUGGCCAACUUGGGGCUUCCUAUAUUGUUGGGCUCCUCCUUGUGUGCGAGGGUGGCGAGUUGAAGAAGAAUGAAUGAGUCGGCUUGUUGAGAAAAGGCUACUCGAGCGGACAAGUGAUGCAAUGCCGUGAUAAGUAUUUAAACACCUUUCGCACUAUAUGGUGGAACAACACAAUGAUCUUUAGAGAAAAGCGAAGCUAUAAUUGCGAGAUGCAAACCGAACAUUGCAAGAAGAGAGGAUGGGCGUGUGAUAUCGACCAUUACAAUGACACUUAAUGCGAAUAAUGCAUUUGCCGAACGGAGACAGAUUCUAUACAAGUAUUGCAGAUACCCCUGACGACAUGAUCUUAAAUUGAACACGGAAAAACUAAAAUUCAUGAGCAAGAUAAAAUGUACACAAACAUAUAGCAUAGUUAUAGUUAUAGUAUUAAAGCACAUCUUUCUAUAGUUAUAGCCACCGCACGAUCGUCGCACGAUCGUCGCACAAUCACUGCACAACCGUCGGACGAUGAUCGCACGACCACCGCACGAUCGCCACACGAUAACGUUUCACCCCCAUCUCGUCAAUGUGCAAUAGCUUAAGGAAUUUCCACCAAUAGGAGUCUUUUUUUUUUUUUUGAAGAAGCACCUCAUUAGGUGCACAUGCAUGACCAUACGACCAUCUUCGGCCAUGUCUUCUAAUGAUAAAAUAAAAUACAAAUUAUUUAAAAAAAGCAGAGCCAAAAAGAAUUUUGUAAUCAACACCCAUUUGUAAUCAUUGCGUUGCUGAAGACAAUUUUUUUUUUCUAUACAUGAUCUUCCCCUAUCCACCUAUCCUAUCCAUUGUAAGAGUCUUAAAGUCUUGCCGCUGCUUGCAUUUAAAAAUACGAACCAACCUCUUCUAUUUUCUCUUCUCUCUAGCUGAAGAGGACUGCAUAUAUCGACAAAUAUCGCUAGAAAAAAUUCCAUAUCUAUUGGGGUGGCACCAGGAAAAGGUGAAUGCCUUUAUUCAGAGGUGCAUUAAAUGUGAUAAUUUGGAAGCUUUGUAUAGACAAGGACUGUUACAUGUUGUGUUUAAUUAUAUUAUUUAUACCUCUAAUAUUUUCAAUAUAAUUUCCUUCAAAGUUAGAAAUUGAAUAUUAACAAUUUAUGUAUGCUGUAAUAUGAAUAUAUAAGUCUCAUGAAUGUGGAGUCAGGAAUGAAGCUACUUAAGAGAGCCGCACAAUUUGGCUCCCUUAGAGCUUUCUAUAUGGUUGGGCUCCUCCUUGUGUGCGAGGGUGGCAAGUUGAAGAAGAAGGAAGGAGUUGGCUUGCUGAGAAAAGUCUACUCGAGCGGACGAGUGGUGGAAUGCCGUGGUAAGUAUUUAAACACCGUUCGCAAUAUGUGGUGGAACAACACAAUGAUCUUUAGAGAAUAGCGAAGCUAUGAUUGCGAGAUGCAAACCGAGCACUACAAGAGGAGGGGAUGGGUGUGUGACAUCGACCAUUACAAUGACACUGAAUGCAAACAAUUCAUUUGCCGAGCGGAGACAAAGAUUCUACACAAGUAUUGUAGAUACCCCUGACGACGUGAUCUUAAAUUGGACACGAAAAUACUAAAAUUCAUGGGCAAGAUAAGAUGUACACAAACAUAUAACAUAGUUAUAGUUAUAGUGUUAAAGCACAUCUUUCUAUAGUUAUAGCCAUCGCACAAUCGUCGUACGAUCAUCGCAUGACUGCCGCACGAUCAUCGCACGAUUGUCGCACGACCACAGCACAAUCGCCGCAUGAUAACGUUUCACCCACAUUUCGUCAACAUGCAAUAGCUUAAGGAAUUUCCACCAGCAGGAGUCAUUUUUUCUUAAGGAGCACUUCAUUAGGUGCACAUGCACGACCAUACGACCCUCUUUAGCCAUGUCUUCUAAUAAUAAAAUAAAAUACAAAUUAUUUAAAAAAAGCAAAGCCAUAAAGAGUAUUGUAAUCAACACCCAUUUAUAAUCAUUGCGUUGCUGAAGACAAAUUUUUUUUUCUGUACAUGAUCUUCCCCUAUCCACCUGUCCUAUCCACUGCAACAAUCUUAAAGUCCUGCCGUUGCUUGCAUUUAAAAACACGAACUAACCUCUUCUCUUUUCUCUUCUCUCUAGCUGAAGAGGAUUGCAUAUAUCGACAAAUAUCACUAGAUAAAAUUCCAAAUCUAUUGUGGUGGCACCAGAAAGAGGUGAAUGCCUUUAUUCAAAGGUGCAUCAAAUGCGAUAAUUUGGAAGCUUUGUAUAGACAAUGACUAGUACGUGUUGUGUCUAAUUAUAUUAUUUAUACCUCUAAUAUUUUCAAUAUAAUUUCCUUCAAAGUUAGAAAUUGAACAUUAACAAUUUGUGUAUGUUGUAGUAUGAAUAUGUAAGUCUCAUGAAUGUGGAGUCAAGAAUGAAGUUACUUAAGAGAGCCGCACAAUUUGGCAAACUUGGGGCUUCAUAUAUGGUUGGGCUCCUCCUUGUGUGCGAGGGUGGCAAGUUGAAGAAGAAUGAAUGAGUCGGCUUGUUGAGAAAAUUCUACUCGAGCGGACGGGUGGUGCAAUGCCGUGGUAAGUAUUUAAACACCUUUUGCACUAUGUGGUGGAAUAACACAAUGAUCUUUAGAGAAGAGCGAAGCUAUGAUUGCGAGAUGCAAACUGAGCACUGCAAGAGGAGGGGAUGGGUGUGUGACAUCAACCAUUACGAUGACGCUGAAUGCGAACAAUGCAUUUGCUAAACGGAGACAAAGAUUCUAUACAAGUAUUGCAGAUACCUCUGACCAUGAUGCUGACCAUGACACCCCUGACCAUGACCAUGAGAGGUUUGUUUAAAGAGAGGGCAGGAGAGAGCCUGUUUUAGUUCAAAAUAAAUCUUAAUACACAAGUGCUUCUUUAGAGUAUCUGAUAUGGCUUCAUUUUCUUCUCUAUAGGUUCUUGAUAGGUUCUUGAUAGGUUCUUGAUGGUGCCCCUUGUGCUGACGAAAGCAAUGCUUAACAUCAAUUUGGUGUUCCUCAAACUAAGCAAAAUUCUGUUGCAAUAAGAGGAUUAUGUCAUCUAUAGCUGCCUUGUGGUUGUAACUAGAUUUCACUUUAUUCUAAGUGACCUAUUGUUGGAUUUGGUUUUGGUUUGGUCUCAACUAGUUUGUGUAAUCCUUCAAUCCAAGCGAGAAUUGUUGUUUGUUUCAGUUCGUGAUUUAUUUUGCUCUACUUCAUGGAUGAUUUCAACAUCAUCUAUUAGCAAUUCAAGCUCAUUACAUUCCCCAAGAACAUGACAUUUGAAUUGCUCCAUGCUUUUCAAAAUGAACUCAGACAGGUCCUAAAGAGUUGCCGUAUGCAUAUUCAAAUAAAACGCCUGUGACUUGUUCAGCAAAUAUUUAGGGAGUAUUGUUAUUUUGUUAUCUUUUGUAUCUUAUCUCUUAGAAUUAGUAAAUAUUUAGGGAAUACUUGUUAUUAUGUUGCCUUUUAUAUCUUAUCUUUUAGAGUCCUUUAUAUACAUUGUAUUGGCAAUACAUAUAUAAAGAAAAAAGGAAUAAACAUUUUUUUUUUUGGUCGAAAAGAAGUGACGUGGUAUUCUUACUUAAAAGGAGAAUUACAAGAUAAAAGCGGACUAAUGUCCGAACAUAAUAUGUUCCAAAGAGGCAAUGGCGGGUUAAUCCACCAGUUGAAAGGGAGCUUGUUCGCUCGAUGAAAGCGUGCAAUCCAGUCCGCAGCCCAGUUUUCUUCGCGUGUACAACAUUUCACUUGGACAUUCACACACUGGCCCAACUCUUGUUUGCAUUUUCUGACCACUUCUUUUAAAUUCCACUGAGAAUCGGCCCGGCCCAAUACUUGGUCAAUUGCUGGACUACAAUCAGAUUCGCAAAUCCAACGAAGCUUUUGACUUCUAAAGUCCCUCACGUGCCUCCUUUGGAAGUCUUGGAUAUAAAACAGACCGUGGAAGAGGGCGUGGAGUUCCGCCUCCUGCGAAGAAGAAGCCCUAGAAGUGCUCGCGAAACCCUCGACCAUCAGCCCCGACGAAUCCCUCACAACUCCAGCCACCGAGCAAAUAAACUCGCCUUGAAUCCAAGAUGCAUCCACAUUCAACUUCAGUUCUGAUCUAUCCAGGGGUUUCCAUCUCAGAGGUAAGUCUCGAUUAGGGUUUGGUCGAUUCUUUCUCUUCUGUCCUUGAGUACCACUUGAGUGUUGUUCUUGCGCACAUCUCAGAGUAUCAGCCGAAUUCUGUGCUUUUGCUCGGAAGAUCUAGCCGUUCCUUGCCUUCCAUAUGUACCAGAGGAUCAAUCCUGUAUAUUCCCAGUCAGGUAUGUCCUUAGUUGUGCGAAAAGCUUCUAUUAUCCACUUAUCUGCUCGGGUAAUCUCAUUUGUUGGACUUAAACCCCUGCAAGUUGAAUCUGCCCAUACGCGUUUGGUCCAUUUACACAAAAAGAAGAGAUGUUCAGUUGAUUCUACCUUCGUACAACAAAUUGGACAAAGUGGAUCUGUGAUGAUUUUUCUUCUGUGUAGAUUUUCCCUCGUGGGGAUGGCAUUUUGACAUAACGCCCAGAGGAAAGUCUUGAUUUUCGGUAACACUUCAAGGCUCCAGAUUCUUGUCCAUAAGGUACGUGGCGGUCGAAACGAGCAGGAGGCCUUAUUUAUAUUUUGCUGUGAAUUGACUACAAUUGCUCUGUUGUAGCCGCUUUUAACAGUAUAUUUCCCAGUAUUGUUGCCUGUCCAAACUAGAUAAUCUGGAUGCGAUAGUGGGUUCAGUGGAAUAGCCAGGAUCUCAUUGACAAUAUCUUCGUUGUACAUCUGUUGAAUCUUUUGAACAUUCCACUCUCUGGAAUUUUCCUGUAUGAGUUCAGAAACCAUAAGGGGUUCUGUUGUAUUGCUUUGUCCACCCCGUACCUCUUGCAUCAACCAUUUAUCUUGUCAAAUACGAAUAGAUUUACCAUCCCCAACUGACCAUUUGAUGUUUUCUUUAAUUGUAUCUCUGCCAACAAUCAAACUCCGCCAUCCCCAUGAGGGACAUUGUCCAGUACUCGCUAUCCAGAGGUCCCCAGUGGGAAAAUAGAGUCAGAGGUCCCUAGUGGGAAAAUAGAGUCCUUUCAGCACUCUACUACACAAUGCAGAUGGAGCAUUUGAUAGCCUCCAAACUUGCUUGCCUAGCAUGGCAUAAUUAAAGGUAAUCAAAUCUUUGAAACCCAUUCCUCCUUCAUCUUUACGAGUUUUCAUUACCUCCCACUUUUUCCAAUGAAUUCCCCUCUUCUUAUCAUCUUUUUUCCACCAGAAUGAUGCAAUUCGCUGUUCAAUGGAUCUACAGAUAGAUAUUGGAAGCUUAAAGAUGGACAUAGCAUGCAUAGGUAUGGACUGAACAACGCUUUUAAUCAGCACCUCCUUGCCUGCCUUGGUAAGUAAUUUCUCUUUCCACCCUUCAAGCUUUGAAUUGACCCUAGCUAAUAUCCAUGCAAAAAGUUCUUUUUUUGAUUGUCCCCAAUCUGUGGGAAUACCUAAAUACUUCCCUGUUUUUUCAAAUACCGGAACCCUUAAUUCUGUGGCCAUAUUUCUUUUUAAUGUAGAGGGACAAUUAGCACUAAAAUACACCCCCGAUUUGUUUAAGUUUAUAGCUUGUCCCGAAGCAUAGCAGUACUGUUUCAAUAGCAAUGCCAGGUUUUGACAUUCUAUGAUAGUACCAUCCAUAAAAAAGAUAGCAUCAUCCGCAAACAAUAAAUGUGAUAAUCUAGGACAAAACCUGUUCAACUGAAUUCCUUUGAGGCUGCCAUCUGUAAUAGCUUUAUGCAUCAGCCAAGUGAGAACAUUAGAGACCAGAAUAAAUAAAUAAGGUGAAAGAGGGUCGCCUUGUCUCAAACCCCUUGAGGGAUGGAAAAAAUUGGUAGGUUCUCCAUUAAUCUUCAUGCUGAAAGAAACUGUAGACACACAUUGCAUGAUAAGUGUGAUCCACUUUCCACAGAAUCCCAUAUGCUGCAUACAAUCCCUCAGAAAAUCCCAUUCAAUUCGAUCAUAUGCUUUCUGCAUGUCUAGUUUAAGGAUGGCUUGAUAUUUGUGCCUCUUUUUUGUGAUGCGCAGUUGGUGUAAUACUUCCUGCACAAUAAAGAUAUUGUCCUGUAUCUGUCUACCUUGGACAAAUGCACACUGCUCUGGUUCAAUAAUAGCAGGUAACCACUUCUUUAGUCUGUUUGCUAGAAGUUUUGAAAUUACUUUGUAACUGAAGUUGCAUAGGCUGAUAGGUCUGUAUUGACUGAUGGUUUCAGGGUUCUUCACUUUAGGGAUUAAGGAAAUAUGUGUCUAGUUGAUUAUGGGAUCAAGAAGUCAUGUCUGGAAAAAAUUCAGAACUAACUGGAACAGGACAGUUUUUAUAUUAUCCCAUGAUUUUUGAUAAAACAUACCAUUGAAACCAUCUGGGCCAGGAGCUUUAAGUGCUCCCAUUUGAAAAACAACUUCUUGGACCUCCUCAAUCGUAGGUACAGCCACAAGAUCAUCAUUCAUGUGUUGUGUUAUAGGUGAGGGACAUUGGGUAAGAAUAGGUUGGUAGUGCCUUGGGCCCUCUGAAGUAUAUAGCUCUUUAUAAAAUAACUGAAUAUGGUUGCGGAUUAGGAUUGGAUCUCUACACCAUUGUGCAUCUUCCAUUUGCAGCAUUGUUAUUCUAUUUCUCUGCCUCCGUUGGAUAGUUGAUGCAUGAAAAAAUCUAGUAUUCUUGUCUCCCCAUUGCAUCCAUUUAAUCCGGGACCUCAUACCCCAAAAUUGUUCCUCUUGUCUGUGUAGUUUUUCUAUCUGCUGAAUAAUGCUUUGUUUUCCUUCUGCUAGUGUGCNNNNNNNNNNNNNNNNNNNNNNNNNNNNNNNNNNNNNNNNNNNNNNNNNNNNNNNNNNNNNNNNNNNNNNNNNNNNNNNNNNNNNNNNNNNNNNNNNNNNNNNNNNNNNNNNNNNNNNNNNNNNNNNNNNNNNNNNNNNNNNNNNNNNNNNNNNNNNNNNNNNNNNNNNNNNNNNNNNNNNNNNNNNNNNNNNNNNNNNNNNNNNNNNNNNNNNNNNNNNNNNNNNNNNNNNNNNNNNNNNNNNNNNNNNNNNNNNNNNNNNNNNNNNNNNNNNNNNNNNNNNNNNNNNNNNNNNNNNGUACUUCGGCUUCAGAAAACGUAAUUCUCCACUCUAAGGUGCAUAGUACUCUGUCUAAACGUUUCUUCACAAGAUCUUCCCCAUCUCUAUUAUUGGCCCAUGUAUAUGCACACCCAUGACUAUCCAUAUCCAUUAGGGAGAGGUCAUUUAUCAUAUUUCUGAAUGCUGCAAUUCGACUAUUAUCCGCUUCUUUUUUCCCAAUUUUUUCCCACACAUAUAAAAUUUCAUUAAAAUCACCCAUGCAGAUCCACGGCCAGGAACUAUUCGGUUUAAUGUGACCCAAAGUUUGCCACAAGGUCAGUCUCUCUCCAAAAUUGGUAGAUGCAUGGAUAAAAGUAAUUUGCAUAUGUUGUCUACUAUCUGGAUACAUACAAUCUACAUCAAUAUAAUACUUUGAACUAGUUUUUACCUUCAAUAACACUUCCUCCUGCCACAUAAGAGCUAAACCCCCUGUUGUUCCUGAUGGAUUAACUAGGAAAAUUUUCUGGAAGAGUAAUUUUUUGCAAACUUUUUCCACCAUAAUUAUAUGCGAAUUGAGUCUGAAUUAAGAUUGAGUGACCUCAUGGCUGAUCUAAAUAAGACCAUGAAGUUUCAAGUAUAUGCGGCAACUCACUGUGGAGAAGUUUCAAGAAAUUUUCCACCCGUCCUCUUCUGUUGGACCAGCCGUUCUUUUUGGUGAAAAAUAAUGAAAAACAACGGCAUUGAUUCCAAAGAAAUAUUAAUAUAGAGUUGCUCUUUUUUUUUUCUUUUUUUUUGGCCAUCAAAUUUAACAUGGCUGUUGCUGUGUCACUUUCCUAGUCUUGAGUCUUGACCGGUUGAUAAGAAUUUCGAAUGAUAACGCAUUUGAUUUAGUUAAAACGCCUGCCCUUCGAGGACACGUUUUGGGACACUUUUCUGCCACGUAUUUUGUACACGAUAGCCAUAGACGGACUAUAUACGUAUAAUCACACUUAUAAUGAAGAAGCUUUAUUUAUUUUUGGAUAUAGAUAACGAUACUCAUUGCUGAUUGAUUGGUUUUUUGCGUGCUUGAGCAAAAAUGGUGAAAUUUCUUUUUCUGUCUUGCUUUUAUCAGCAAUAAGCAGAUACAUUUGAGGCGGAUAUGAUGGAUGUAUACGUGUCAGAAUCUCCUAAUCAAAUCAAUGUGAACAAGAGUACAAGAAGUCCAUCAGAACCAUGCCUAGAACCAUACAAAGAGCAAAAACUUCCACAAGCUAUCACCCUGACAUUAAUGCAUUAGACAGUUGUCGCAUGAUUAUGAUUACUUUGAUAGAGAGAAGGCAUUAUCGGUUUUCUAUCUCUAUUUCUUCAUUAUUUUACUGUCAAGUUAUAUGAUGUAGAAGUUUCAUCCCCGCCUAUGCCAUAUGUAAUGACUAUUGGAUUACAUCAUUACAACAUCACUGCAACCAUAAGUAAUCAUCUAUGUGAAAAUUAAGACAAUUAUUUUUUCAUGAAGCAUCUCUUAAAGCUUUUCAAAGCUAAUUUAAUAAUAUUUCAUUCUAAAAUUUGAUUAACUAGGAGUGCGAGAACUACGCAUGAGUAACUUGGGCUCAGCGUAAAAAAUACUUGAAUUUGACUCGAUUGAUUCCAAGUUAAGUUCAAGUUCAAGCUACUCCAGCAGAGUUGUCUAGUCAAGUUUGAAUUUCUCAAUUACUUUUCUAGUUGAGUGCAAGCAAGAUCGUAAAUAUUAAAUCGAGCUCGAGUUGCAUUUUCUUCUCUUAACACAUACGGUUGAAGUAGAUGUCAUCCUCAAAUCUGAAACUCCAUGUGAUUUUACUCUUGCUCUGAUUGAUCUUGUUACCCAGACAUUAGUGCUUAAUUUUGGUGCAAUUUGUGUAGUAUAUCAGAUAUUCCUCCCUCCUUCAUUCUCUGAUAUCUUGUUACUAUCCUCAUUAAUUUGCUACAGCUUUGGAUAUUAUAGGAGAAGGUUGCAUGUGUCGUCACAAUCUUCGUAAUUAGUGCGUGUAUAUAGAUGUAUAUGCCUAGGCAAAUUAACUUACAUGUGAAUUUAUUUCCUUUUUGCACUUUGGACUAUUUAUAGUGUCACUGAUCAUGAAAAAACUGGCUAGCGUUGCAAAUACUACAAACAUCAUCAGCUUUCAGCUUUCAUUCUCCUCUAUAUUCCCGGUGAACUCAAAGCCCGGAAGCUUCUGCCACCUGACUCACAGGAAAGUUAACAGGUCCUAAGCUCGCUGCUGCUGCAGACCAAGCCAAAGCACCCGCAGCCGCUGUGGCAGCCAAGCAAGCAAGCCUCCGGCACAGGGCAGCGGCUUUGGGACACUUUUUGCGUAACGACAUGGUCAUCACAGCCCCUGUGAACGCGAAGUUGAGAGCCAGGAGGUAGGCGUGGAAGCACGCGGGUCUCUUUGAGAAUACAACUCUUGGAACUGGGUUUCCAUCGACUUCCUCGAAGGGAAGUUGGAGAAGCAAGAAAGCCGCCAUGAAGGAGUGAAGGAGAGGACGAGGAUGAGUUCUUCGGCCCUGGUUCUAGUGAUGAAAUGGCUGCUCAUCUCUGUGAAGAGAAAUGGAGCAGGGAUGUUGGUGGAUUACUGGGUCGGGUCUGGCGAGCCUGCUCAUCCAGAGUUGCUGGCGGUCGUCGGAGGAUGUGACGGUGGUUUUGAGGCAAACGACUUUUUCUGAGGAGUGUAGGAGUUUCCUUUCGGCCAAAGAGGGUUAAGUGUUUGAUAUUCUCUGAAACUCAACUUGGACAUUUUGGCAACUUGUUUCCAUCUAAUAAAUGGAGAAUUACGUCCCAAAGAUAGGGACGUACUAAAAAAUUUCAUCUUGGGGUCUUGAACAAAUAAAAGGGACAAAAAUAUUAGCGAAAAUCAUGUAAGUUUAACCCUUUUUUUUUUCAUCUUCCAUAAACAUAAAUAUUUUUCCCAAGAGAACAUUACGAUCUUUGAGCGAAAUCAAGGAUACCUUCAUCGAUUUAGAAAUGGAGUCGUGUUUCCCUCCAUCUUUAAUUAGAGGUUAGGAGGAAAGGCUCUCUAACCCUGGUUGGGGGACAAAUUGGUAUGCUAUGUGAUGUAGCAGGCAUUUGAAUAAGUGUGUUAUAAUUAAAUUAAUAGUAUCAUCCAUUUAUUUGAAGGAAAAUUAUUUUUGAAAAAUAGUUUUCCAACUUUCUAAUAUUUAGAUGAUGGAAAACUAAUCGAUCUUAUGAAAAACAUAUUCCAGGACUGAAAAAUACAAGCUUAGAUUAGGAGAAAAUGACUUCUCUUUCUUAUAAGAAGGAAAAUCACUUUCCAUAAAUUAUAAAACAAAUGAAAACUAAUUAUUUUCCUUGAAUUUUUUUUUAUGGAAAAUAUUUUUCUCUAUUAUAAAGUUUCCAGUAAAACAAAUGCAUCUUUAGGGUGUGGUUGUUUAAGUGAAAGAAUUUCCAGUGAGUUAGUUCUUUUGGACUUUCAUGCAUUUGAUUUGUUGAAAAUUAUUAGUUAAGAACAGUCAGAAAAAACAUGUAUACUUAAGAAAAUGAACUUUCUAACCUGAAAAUGAGAAAUUAUUUUUUAUUUUUAAAAAAUAUUUUCUUUUAUCAUCAAUAUUAUUUCAAAAUAAAUAUGCCAUUAAUACGUAAACGUAUUUGCAGAUGAUUUCUUGACUUCAAGAUUGAAAUGUGACCAGUGAAGUUUUAAAAUUCCAUCACACCCCUCGAUUUGCAUGAACCCGGAUUUAUGGAUCCAAAGCAAUUAUAGCAGUCGAUCAUGUGAGAAUUAUACAUGGAACGCACAUAAUCAACGGCUAUAAUAAACCUUGUUUAUGUGGACUCUAGUCUAAACAAAAUUUGGCUCACAUCAUAUGAGAUUCACAUGCUUAAAAUUUUAUCCAUUGUAUGUACUCAUAUUAGUCUAUUGGGAUAAAGCCACCAGAGAUUUUUGAUUUUUUAUUGUACAAUUUCAUCAUUUUUUUAGUGUAAUAAUAUCCUCGAACUAUGUAUUUAUUUGUUUGAGUUGAUACUUCAGAGAGUUAGAGCAUAAGUUGACAUGGCCGUCUAUGUCACCACAAUGUCAGACUGCUUCUCCAACGAAUUUCUUAGGUGGAACUAAAGAUUUAAAAAAUCCAAAAUUGCAACCCAGAGAAAGAGAGUGAGAGAGAGAGAGAGGAUAGAGGGGAAGGGCGGACCAGUGGCUGGCGGCGGCGGUGCCGCCCAGCCACUAUCCAAGAUCCAUCAAUUGUGGCGGGCGGUUGGGUGCUCACCGGGAGAACGACAUCGCGAGAUGGAUCGAUGGCUAUAUCCAUCGUUGGUUCAUACCUCACGUAAACUGGCCAACAUCAGACGAACUUUUGUUUCCCUGUCUCAUCUUUCCCUCUCUUUACCUCAUCCUCGUGGAUUUUUACAUGCUUUACUGUCAUACAAUCGAAGCCUCUUCUGGCCGUUGUCCGCUUAAAGUGUCUUUUCAAAUCAAUGAUUGUGCCCUCUACGUAGCAAAAUGACGUCUAUGUACGGGAUAUAUAAUCCAUCUCUUAGGCAUCAAGAGAAAUGUUUCGUAGCGACGUUAAAGUCUAGAUGACAAAUGCUGAAAACUUCCCACUUUUUUUGGGAAGUUAUCAUCUUGUUAUGGAAUAACACUACGGGAUACCCCUAAACUUUAUUGGCUUGUGUAAUAUUGUCUUUGAAUUUAUUUUUUUGCAAUCAGAUUCUUGAACUAUGAUUUAUUCGUUCACAUUGGAUCUUCCAUUAAAAGACCCAAAAAAAAAAAUGCUUAUGUGACCGUUAAAUGCCAAGUUGACUCAAUGUGGCUCCUACGUCCUCAUUAGAAAGAUUAAAGAAAUAAAAAAAAUUAAAUUUCUUCAUCGAAGGAAAUUUGGAGCGACAACACCAUCUUGAGCCGGAGCCCACAGGCAAUUUGUCGAUAGUGUUCGAGUUUGAUGAGGAGAGUGAGGAUGGGUCGGAACACUUUUCAAUAGAGGCCCGCCCGAUGGGCUUCGACUUUUUUGGCAAAGGCGGUGGCAUCUAGGGCGAGGUGGUGAUGGCUCAGAAAUGGGAGGCUCGCCUUCGACCGCCUGUGGCUUUCUCAACAGUGUUGCGUCGAUUUCCAACAACGUUGAAGAGAUUGGAGAUGGCUGGAAAUUCUUUUGUGUCUUUUUUUUUUUCUCAUUUUUUAAGUCAGUCAUAUUUCGGGCCAAACCCAGCCCAAAAUUAAAUUAAUGCCAAUCCAAGAGGACUUGUUUAGGCCCGAACCUUUCAACCGGGCCUGAAGUUGAUUGGGUGGGACAUAUUUUUCAAUAAAAAGGCCACCCAUUUGCAACUAUGCUUCCCGUUACUAGACACCAAAGGAACUCGCGAACUCAUUGCUAAUUUAACCCUAAAGCAGUGAAGAUAGUGCUGAAUAUUAAAGCAAGGGAAAACCAACACUCACGAAUUUUACAUGAAAAUCUCAAUAUAGGAAAAAUCACGGGAUCACUCAAAGACUUUUACUAAUAACCAAGACUAGCAGGAUACACAAUAAUUUAUCCUUAAUAACACAACCAGAGGCUCUUUAGAUUAGCAAAAUAUCAGAGCACCACAGAGGUGGGUUAACACAGAAGCAAGAAAGGUAUAACUGCUGCCAAAGAAAAUUAUGAGACAAUUUGGAGAGGAUUAACAAACAAAACCAAUCAAUUUAUAGAUCUUACACUCACGAACAACCUAUUGAAAUUUCUGCCAAUUCUGACAAAGUUUCACUGUCGAAUCUAGACUACAACUUCUCUUCUUCAAAGCAAAGCUUUCUGCCUCCUUUUCUCUGUGACAACAAAUUGCUUGUAUCUCUCUCUCUCUCUCUCUUUCUCUCUCUCUUCUAAAUCAACAACAUUUAGCCCUAUCUUUUUAUUUUGUAUUUUUUUUUUUAAGAUGAUGAGAUGGGCAAGUCUCCCCCUUCACCUCAUGAGGGAAGUUUCAUUAUACCCGCUUUAUCUAUACAAGAAUCAAGUUUCACCAUUGGUAAGACUUUAGUUGUCAUAUCAUAUCUAUUAUCAGUAGUGUAGACUUUCUCAAAUAAAAAGAGUUUCUCUUCUAAUUUAUCUUGGAUCCAAUGACAAGGAUAAGGCAUCAGUCUGGGUAAAGCAACCAGAUGCAUUUGAACAUCACUCUACCUUUCAGCAAUAUGACAAGGAUAAAGCAUCCCUGCAUAAUGAUGUCUUGUAUUUGCACGAAUGGAUUUGGUCUUGUUGGAGGCAAGACCACUCAUCUCAGCGGCUACCAAAGAGUUGAUAUAUCUAGAGCACUAUCAUGAAUCACUCUAUGAGGAUAAACACCCUCUAGGAAUGCCACGAGGGUGCCCUGAUGACACCACGGACGAAGCGCCCUGUCCAUCGCCAAUCGCAUGUUGCCUAAGAAUGGACCUAACUAUUAGCAGUAACAGAGCAAAUAGAAAUCUGUUACAGCAAGUAAGCAUUAACCCAGGUAACCAAAGUGGACUCUGCUUUUAGCAACAACUUCUGCAGAUUCCUGAGAACGCAGGCUUGAUUAUUUGUUUCUAGCUUGUUCAAGCCUAAACCACCUUCACAUGUCAUAACUAAGGGUCAUGCUAUAGCAAGUUUGUACUGGUGUUUUAUAUCCCUUCUCAAACGGCGAAAAUACAACAUUGAAAUGGAGAGAUCAGUUUCCCUAUAUGUUGCCUAAUUUGCUUGCAAACCAUAAAUGGUGGAAGUUGAGAUCAAUGGAGUAACUUGACAAGCCUAAGUUUCAAACCACUAAAACAUGUGUGUUUACAGUAUUGUCUCUGUUAUCAUUUGAUCUUUUGUUUUGAUAGGACAUUUUUUUGGAAACAUACUAAUACUGACAUCAAAGGCACUUUUAACGGCAAUAAUAUUAGGUUAUAUCAGUGUUGUGUUUGUCCAAGACUACUGGUACAUAGCUUCGAGGAAAUUUAACAUGAUAUCGACCGACUAAAUUAAAGAUCAACGCAGCCAAAUGCUAGACUCUUAAGAAAUACUGCCCAGUAGAGAGAUUUGUCAAUUAAGAAAUUUAGCCGAAGCUCUCUCUGUUUUUCUUUUACACAUUGACGGCCAGCAUAUUAAUAAUAUAAUGUUUCAUUUAAUCAUACCAUGUUAGAUAUUAUCUCCUUGCUAACUGAGCAAGGAAGCACACUUCAAACGCGUAAGACCCGCAAUGAGCGACAAUCGAAAAUUGCAUUCUCAUAAGCAGUCACGGAGGGCCUCAAAAGAAUUGCAGUUCUUUCCUCCCCUAGCUAACCAAUAACGAAAGUUUCUCCAGUCCAAUGUCCUACCCUUGAAUAAUAUAGAGCAAAUCUAGCAACCCAACCCAAUCUAGCAAGUAUGUCAUAACCUCAUGCUGGAGCUCUUUCACUGGUUUCUAAUUUCUGAUUUGUGCUUAGAAACUCGUGUAUUUGCUUAAAUACAUGGUGGUCUUCUAAUUAUGUUCCAAUGUACACAUCCAAAGGAUAAAACCGAGCUGCCACAGUUUCAAGACAUUCCUUAGGACUCAUCUUAGACGUGAGAAAGUCGGAAGGAAGGAAUUGCUGAUUCAGGAGGAGAAUUGGGCAUAAAACAAUAAAGCACCAAGCAAGUAAAUUAAGAUGCAAAAGAGCCUGACCAAGCACCUUCCUAAGUGGCUCAUUUUUCUCACUUCUUUCAAUUCAAAUUAGAAGAUAUGUGCAAAAGGGAGAACAGGAACGUGGGAGCAAUCAUGACGCGACAAGAUUUGGUGUUUCUACUUCAACAGAUAACAAAACCGUGUGUAUUUUGUCUAGCCAAUUGUCCAGUCGAUCACGUAGUAAAUUUGACCUGUCCAACCAUAUGCAGCAGACCUCAAAUUAACAAUGGAAACCACAACUGCCCAAAAAAAAAAAAAAAAAAAACCUAGAUAUCCCAUUUUAAUUAUGUAUGAUGAAGCAAGAAGAGAAGCACUGGCUGCUUCAUUUUCAGUCAUCAAGAGCUCAUCACAGGUAAUAAAGAGACAGUGGAUACUUAUUAAAGCGACCAUUAACCAAACUUUAGAAUGUACUUACAGACAAACUCUUCACGAGAAGAUGCUUAAUAUCCUGUGCACAGGAUUACGCUCAAUCGAGCAGUUCACAAAAGCAUAGCAACAUAACUAGGCUAGGCAUACAGACCCUUAUACAGCUAUUAUCAUAUGAAACUAGAGCUACAGCUCAUGCUUAACUAUGCAAAAACAAAUCACACGAUUCCAUUCAACUAAACACCAACUGCCACACCAAAAAAUCACCCCAAAAAAAGAAAAAGGAAAAAAAGAACACCAACUGCCGCACCUUUCUUACCUGUUCUUCAGCGAUUAGCUAGUGAUCCAGAGCUCGAGUUUAGGCCCAUGACUCCCGCCACUCAUGGAGUUAAUGAAUGCAACCGUUCGAGCCUCAUGUGGCAACAAAUUCCUCCAGCUGAGCGGCACUGAAGAAGAAAGUGUGCACGAGAGUGAAAAGUGGCACUGAAGAAGGACUUGAAGCUCGUGGACAUCGAACUCGAAGCUCACGAAUGACGAGCUUCAAGCUCGCGGACGACAGAACCUGGGAAAGGAGAGACGACGGCGAAUGACAGACUUAAGCUUGCGAGGAGCGAGCAAGGAUUGGGCGCGGAGUCGUCGAGAAGCGAGCGACAGCGAUUUGAUUGAGCAGCGGGAGAAAGGAAUAAGAACCCUAAUCCUAAUUCGAUUCGCGAUUUGAGACCGACCAACCCGCUUCGGUCCUAAAAUCCACUUCAGGCCCUUUUUCCCCUUUCUUUUUUCUUGUUCUUUUGCCGACUCUGUCUCUUUCUUCCUUUUCUUCUCUUUAUUUUUCUGGCCCUGCAGAAGGAAACAAUAAGGUGACUUGAGAUCUAUUGGGACUAAAUUUCUCUUGAGAAAGGCCCUUUUGUUAUAGAUGGUGAGGGAGGUAAGAUACCCAACGUCGCCGCCGAAGUGGACACACACAACAUAUGGAGAUUCCCAGUAAGAUGGGGAAUUUUAAUAAGAUUUUCCUUGGUUGCGCGUUUUAGAAUCAGUUCACUGUCUCUCUUCACUAGAAUAAAGCAGAAAUAGAAAGCGAGCAAAGCAGAAGAAACAACGAUGAUCUAUGAAUAGAAAGAACGCGCACCGUUUUCUGCAGAGAAUCCCCUGUUUCUGUUUCAGAGUCCGUUGUUUCAGUUUCAGAGUUCCACGCUUGAUUUGCUCUAUUCAGAAUCUUCUCUCUGUAAGACUUCCAACAGAACCACGCGCCAUUCCAGCAGUCGGGUAACUCCCCGCUACCUGUGAUGAGUAUAUCGCAAUUAUCUGGUAUUUUUGAGCUCGAUGGAUCAAGAAUCCUUCCCACUGAUCUGCAACGCUGAAUUACCAACUCAUACAAAAACUCUAGUUCGUCAAUGCCCUCAACAACCUGUAGGCUCGGGCAGUGCCAAAUCUCUAACUGCUUCAAGUUCUUCAAGUUUGAUAAACCGCCUAAGCUUUUUAGCGAAAAGCACUCUCGAACAUAAAAUUCUUCCAACGAUUCCAACGCAGUAACAAAUUGAAUAUCCCGCACCUCAGGGAACCCUAACAGAUCAAAUUUUACAAGCAUCUUUUGGGAGCUUGGGAAAAGCAUCGCUCCCCUCCAAUGAUCAAUCAACUCGGGAGCUUGUAGUCCACUGCACCCUGGCUCCUCCGGCUGACAAACCAAACUCUCGGAAGAUCUGCAGUCCUGAAUACGUGAUCUUUCUGACGAUUCUAAGACAUCGAGAAAUUGAACAUCAAGUUGCUCGGACACCUCGUUUUCUUUCGAUUUUCCCGAACUUGUUGGAAGGGAUGGAGUCUUCUUUUCCGAUGGAGGAAGCCCAUCGAGGUGUACAUGUUUCCCUCGAAAUUCUUUGAGCACUAAAACUAUCAAGUUUGACGGAAGUUGCUUGAAAGCUGGCAAGUUUAUUCCACAUAUAGUAAGUUCUUUCAGCAAAGAUAGCGAACCCAACUGUGUAGGUGCGCAGACAUUUGGAAAGCAAAAGUGCAGCUUCUUCAGUUGGGAUAACAUCCCAACCCACGACACGUCGCUAGUUUGAAUUUCAUUUGACGUGUCUCCAAAUUCCAAGCUUUUGACUAGGACCAGCUCAACUAGAUUCGUAAGGUUUGAGAGGUUAGGGACUAUCAGCAACGAAGUAGAUUCUAGCCGUAGAGUGGUCAAACAUCCGGGGAGCUCCGGCAACUGUUGUAUCUCAUUACAACAAUUCAAGUCCAGUGUUUGGAGUUGAAUUAACUUGCUCAUUGUACUGGGCAAUUUCGCAACUUUUGUGAAUGAUACAUCCAGCUCUGUUAAUGACUUUAUUUUCGAAACUGAGGCAGGGAGUUCAAUCAAGCUAUAACAAUACUUAAGACAGAGGCACUGCAAAUUUUGUAACUCUCCAAUUUGUUCAGGGAGUUCAAUCAAGCUAUCACAAUACUUAAGACAGAGGCACUGCAAAUUUUGUAACUCUCCAAUUUGUUCAGGUAAUUUUUUAAUUGACGGACAACGCUUAAACCUUAAGUCAGUCAGCCAUCUUAGUUUCCCAAUAGAACAAUCAAUUUUCAUUAAAAAGUUAUAAAAUCCAUCAUUAAUAGUCAACUUCUCUAAAUUUGAGUACUCGGGAAAGGUUGGUGUCUUACUUAUCAAAGUAUUACAACCCAUAGUGAGAACCUUCAAUUUCCUUGCUCCCUACAAAAGCCAAUAAAACAGUAGGACAGACAAGAAAUAAAUAUGGAUUUAGGCUACCAAUGAGAAAUUAGAUAAUAAACUGAUCAAAUUAUGUCCUUCAUUUAAUGAGAAAAUUAGACUAAGAGGGAAACUGGCAUACCUUGAUUAGGCUAUCUAACACAUCUUCUGUGAUUCCAAUCCCAGAAAGAUUCGCCACAACCACGUUUUCUAGAUGCAACAAAUUGGUUGCCUCCAAACGUGAGUAUUGCAAAUCGAUCCAUUUCAACUCAGAAAGACAGCCCGUAAAGUCACCUCGGUAGAUUACAUUAGGCAAGCAAAGAAACCGCAUACGUGGAAACCGUUUAAUUUGCUCCGAAGUGACGAUCCUAACAGUAUGAUAAUAACCCUGUUGCAAAUGGAGUGCUUGAACGCUUUCUUUGGUCUGCCAAUUCGUAGAAGAGAAGAGAAAAUGAAACAAAAGAGUAGCUCUCAAAUCAAAAAGUGAAUCUUGAAUUAAGAAGAGGUAUAAGCAAUUUUCCAUUCAAUUUAGGCCAUACUUUACCUCCGUUGAUUUGAAUUUGCUUUUGAUGUCAUCAUUAUCCCAUAACCUAGUAUUCUCUUCUUUAGCAAUUUUCCUUCCAAGGUCUCUCAUCUGAUCAUGCAUCCAAAAUCUAUCAUCAGCUAGAACCUUUAUCAUGCACCUCUGAGUAAGGACAUCAAUGGCAUCCUCUGGGCAAAAUGCACAAUCUUGCCACAUGUAUAUUGGACUAGUCUUAUUUUGACCGACGAAAAAGCAUGCAAUAUCGAGAAAUAUCUGCUUUUGAUUAAGAUAUAAGGCAUCAUAGCUAAUCCUUAACUUUGGCAAGACAUCAUCAUGAGGUGUUUUCCUUAGCUUCUCUAGCCACUCUUCCCAUAUUGCUUUCUCUUUUUCACAAAGGUAUGAGCCUAUUACUUCAAGAGCUAAAGGUAGUCCACUUGCAGUAUGGACAAUGCCUUUUGAAAGAUCAUAGUAAUUGGCCGGAGGAGAGUCGUCACCGAAGGCAUGUCUACUAAAAAGUCGAAGUGCAUCUUCAUUGCUUAACCUCCAUUUCAUAAUCCUUCCAUAUAUACUUAAAUUCCUUGGUAUUCAGAACGCUCUUGUCCCUAGUGGUAACAAGUAUCCUAGUACCACGAUACAAAGAAUUCACUCCAAUUAGAUUUUCUAUUUGGCUGCCCUUAUCAACAUCAUCCAACACAAUUAGCAUCUUCUUGUUGCAAAUUGUUUCUCCAAUUCUUUUCAUCCCAUGAUAAGUACUUUUGAUAUUUUGAUCCACUUUAAAAUAAGAGAUAUCGGACAAUAAUUUUUCCUGUAGCUUGACCAAGCCUUCUUUUUGUUUUGCCGUUUCCCUCACGUCAUCGAGAAAGCUGCAAUUUUUCCCAAAGCGAUGACAUAGUUUGUUAAAGAUAACAUUGGCGAGUGUUGUUUUACCGAUACCGCCCAUCCCGUAGAUUACAAUGAGCCGCACAUCUUCGGAGUCGACGUCUAAUAAUUUGUCUAUGGCUGUUAUACAAUCCUCCAUUCCAACAAAAUUUUUAGGCACUUGUCUUUGUCUCGUCUGUAGCCUGUCUAGAACCUCGUCAACAACCGCCUUGAUAAGAUCCCCAUGGUUGCUACAAAGUUAAACAAUUUCAAUUGAGAAAGGGUGACAAAUUUGCAUGCUAACUAACCAUAUACCACUUAACCAGCGGGAAUGCAAUCAAGUUUAGGAUAUACAAAAAUUUAACGUUACCCCCAAAGCUUCACGAACAUGACAAAUUACUAACUUGAACAUCCAUUACAAGUUUAAGUUAAAGAAAUAGAGGAAGAAAAAUGCUUGAUCUUUAUAUCAAGUAGAAGAAUCAAAAUUUCUGGCAAAAAGGAUACAAGAAUCAAAAUAUAGAUGUAGGAUGAAUUACUGUAAUAGUCGAUUUGCUUAAUUUUUUCAGCGUGGAAAAGAACCUCGCAGAGGCAACAAUUCCUUAACCAAGUUCGCUAGCAUACCAUAGGAAUCUUAAUACAUAUAUGGAUCAAAUUAGUAUAAAAAGAUGAAGCAAAGCCAAUUUUUUUAAUACAAUGGAAAAUAGGUGAAAAAUGAAAUUAUAAUAACCCUAUUAUGUUAGAAAAGAUUUGGAAAUCUCGUGAUUCAUAAAAAUAAAAGAACUAUGGCCCGAUUGUACAAAAUAAUUGUUAAAAAAUUUGGAACUUUUAAAAAAACUGAGUUUAAACUUUCUGUGAAAAUUUAAAGAAAUUAGAGUUGGAAUAUAAUUAAAGAAUUUUUAUAAGGACUAUGGCCCGAUUGUACAAAAUAAUUUUCAGUCAUAGUUAGAUUGUUACCCUGAAUAAUCCUUCAGCUUGAAUCCCUUGGUGUCACUAACUUCUUUGAGAGCUUGCCGCCAUGUCUUCACGUCCUCUGAGUUGUACUUCUUCUCCUCUGAGUUUUGCUUCUUCUCUUCCGCCAACUGUGACAGUGCUUCGUCGUACACCCCGACCCCGGUUUUCAGCUUCACAUCAUCGGGUUCCACAUCAUAGAAGAUGGGCAAGAUGACCUUCCCAUUUUCGUUCGAUUUAGAGUUCUCUAUUAUCUUGGCAAGCUCACGGAGGCACCAAUGACUUGACGCAUACCUUUUGGAGAAGAUGGGUAUGUACAGCUUGGAAUCAUUGAUCGCUUGCAGAAGGAUGUCGCUAAGUCUUUCACCUAGUCGAAUUGCCUCGUCAUCAAAGAAAACACAAAUCCCGGCAUCUACCAAGGCAUGUUUGAGGCAGUUGGUGAAUCCAUGACGAGUGUCAAGCCCUCUAAAAUUCAGGAACACCUCAUACUGACCUCCAAAUGUAUCGUUAGUGCUCGUUCCAGGUUUCGAGCUCACCAUAGGAGCUUACUUUGCACUUAGCAGAGUCAACCCUCUCUCUCUCUUAAUAGACACUACUGGAAUAUUUUUUCUAGGCAAAUUCGCACAGAGCCUUGCUGUUCUCUGAUGUGAAAAGCCUUUACUACAUUCUCAAUGUGAAAGACUUUCUCCACCAGAUGAUCCUCCCUUGGGAAUUCAGAAAAGGAGAACUAUUGCGUUACAUUAGAAAAAGGAGAAAAGGCUGUUUAUUAUAGAGACAUUUGUAUUGCGUCACUCAUGAGGUUUAAUCAAAAGUUAAACGCGUACAGGCAACUUCAGUGCAACUUCCAAUUUAUAGUCAAUAAAGUUGGUGGGUCUACAAUUAAUAAGGUGGAGGACAAUUAUAGAUAUGUACCUUUUAACACGCCCAAUUUCUUUCUAGUUUAUUCUUCGUGCUUUUUCACUCUUUGCUUUUGAACUUUUGGAUUUAAAAAAUUUUGAUUCUCAAACAAUUAUUAUUCUAUAGACAUAUCUAUAGUUGGACAUAUUUAAAAUCCCAAUCUAGUAAUGUAAAUUCACAAUUUAUCUAUGUAAAUGGAUAAUAACAAAAUAUUCUUAAUAGGACUCUGCAUAAUUAGAAAAAUCUCCUUCAUAUUACUGAGAAUUGGAUUUGCCGCAUUCACUGCAAAAAAUGCUCCAUCUAAACACUACCAAGCAUAUGCGUCCUGCUCACUGCCACAUAUUUGUUUUGAUCUCAUCACCUUAAAAGACUUACUUUUUUUAUUAUAAUUAAUUUUAACCUCUUAAAUAUUAUCAUAAAAUGUGACUUUGUAUUAUAAAGCAAAUGAUUGCUCAAAUCUUUGACUUUUGCGCAAAUGGACUACCUCUUGGUGAGGAAAUGCAAUGAUGGCCUAUCAAUGGCCACGAUACCACUCAUCAUGGUGUUGCUUUGAGCGUGGAAAAGGGAAGGAAACCAUGAUUGUCUUGACCAUAAGAGGUGACUUUGCUCAGCGGAAGAAAAGGAAAAAGACAAAGGAAAGUUAAAAUGACGGUGUCUUUUCAUGUUGGCCACUCGUUGUUUCCCUUUUCUCUAUUUGGUUAUGCUGAAUUUCCCGUUUAGAUACCAAGAGGAAGAGCUCUUAAUGUCACAGAGUGCUCCGAAGGCUGCACAGAGCAUAUUGAAAAGCGUGCUGAAAGUUCCUCUUGAUCACACCAAAUAUUUCUUUUCUGAAGCCUAUUAAAUCUUUGUUAAGAUUUGUAUCAUUUCUUUAAGAGAUUGAAAAGAUUAUUAUGAGAGAAAUUUUAAAACCUAAACAUUGUGAGUUAUUGAAUAUAAUUAGAAGCUGAAAACCACCGAAAGUAUUUAAAUGACUCGAGUAUGAUUAUAACUUUCCAUAUAUAUAUAUAUAAUGGAAUCUUGUGCUGCUCUCCUUGUAGAUGUAAACACACGACUAAAUCAUAUAAAUCUAGUGUCCAAUUCAUUUUCUUGUUUUGUGCAUUUUAUUCAAUUGCUUUUUUUUUUUCCAAAAGGGAAUAUGGUGUGAAACCAAAGUAAAAGAUAUUCAAUAUGACCAGCAUUAGGCAUUCAUGAAUAAAUGCAUGAAAAAGUAUAUUUUAUUUUCUUAAGAUAUCAAUCAAUAUUUAUAAGCUUAAACUUGUGGUUAAUGAUAGAAUUUGUCCCAUCGCCUGCUUAACAUUAACUCUGAUCAUGAGGAUGAGAUUCAAUGCAAUCUACACGACCCGUUUCUUCUAAUGUCCCUUUGACAAUGCAUAGUGAUGUUCUUUUAUUGCCAUUUUCUCCGUUAAAUUGCGCUAGCCUGUGUGUAACUUUCACUUUGCCUCCUUCAUUUUCCAUGAUUUUAUGGUCAAAUAUAUUUUAUUUAUUUAGUUUUGAACGCGACAUAUCAAGAAAAUCAUAAAUUUGCAACUACAAUCUUGACAUAUUAAGUAUGUCUGUUUUGCAUGAUUCGACAUAGAUUUCAUGACAUUUGUUAGCAAUACAUUUCUUUGUUAGCAUGAUUUAACAUAAAUCAUUGUCAUAUUUCAUCUCUUAAAUAAUUUUUUUCGUGAGAAAUUGAAAAUCAUUAUGAACAUUAUUCUUCGAAUUUUGAGCCGUUGUAGUAGAAGUAGUGAAGAUCAGAUAGAGCCUAGCCGCAAGUAUUUAUAUUUUGGUUUGUUUUAUUUAUAUUUGUUUUUCGUGGCGUUAUUAGUUGCUUUGACAUGUUGACUAAAUAGGCGCACUGUACGAAGUCUUCGAGAAGAUGACUUGUCCACAUUUAUUUUAUCUCAUUGAUAACAAUAGUAUCUAAAUCAUUCGACUCAAUUAAUACCGAUUUAUGCACGCAAAUCACUCCAUUCACGUGCAUUAGGUUAGCUCCAUUCACAAGAUGUUUAAGGAGACACUAGGGGGUAAUGACUAAUGAGUAAAGGACACUGAUCAAAUUUGAACAAAAUGUUGCUCCAAAAAUAGCAUUCAAAAUACACAUAAUGCAUUCAUGACUGUUUUUACGAACCCAACUUUUCACAAAUUAUGUUUAAAACAACAAUCCUUCCAAAGAUAUGGCAAUCGGAUCAUAACUAUGGUCAUCUUUGAUGCACGACUUUCUACAACUUAGCAACACCUUUUGAAUAUGCUAUGAACAUGUACAUCCUAUGCUUUCAAGCCAUUGCCUCAAACGAUUGGAAUACAUAAAAUACGUUAAUGCUUGCUUUUUAGUAAAUUGGAAGAUCAUGCGAUAUCAUAUUACAAGAUCCCCAAAAGAUGCCAACAUGCCAUUCUUUGAAAUCACGUUUUUACCUUUUAAUUAAUGACGCAUGCUGCAUACAACUUCAAUAAAUCCGAAAGGUUUUAGGCAUGUGGAAAUUGAUGUUAUUGAACAAUUAGUUUUUGGACCUAUUUCUUCAAUAGCUAAAGGUAGUCAAUACGUGGUAUAGACAAUGCCUUUGAGAGUGUGUAGUAAUUGGCUGGAGGAGAGUUGUCGUCGAAGGCAUGCCUCAUUGUUCGUCAAAUUUCUGCCACUCUUUUGUAUUGGACAAUUCAAUAAUAAUAACAUUAUAUUCAUUAAUGGGAGCUUUUAUUACAUUCCUAAUGCGAAAAGCUUCUCCACCGUGUCAUCCUCCUUUAGAAAUUUACAGAAGAAGAACCAAGACGUUACAUGAGAAAAGGAGAAAGGAGUGUCUAUUACGAGAAAUAAACAAUGAAAUUCUUGAUUUGAAUGCCCGAAGUCCAAUGCCACUUUCUUUACCGAGAGACAUCAUUUUGGACGUUUGUAUCGCGUGACUCACGCGAUUCAAUUGAAACUUAUGAAUGACAACUUCACAGCAGUUGUGGCUAUCAAUUUAUAGUCAAUAAAGUUAAAUCUUUAGAAAAAAUGAAAUGGAGGACAAUAAUGGAGGUUUACCUUUUUACAAGCCCAAUUUCUUUCGAGUUCCUUUUAUUAGAGCUAACAUUAUCACCUAGAAAGGGGUGAAUAGUGAUUAUAAACAAUAAAAGCGGAGUUUAAAACAACCAAAUUCAAUAUCAUGAAAGAACAAAAUCUGACGAAAAACUUUGCAGUGAUUAGAUUUUCUGCAACGCCUGAUAAAAAAUAUACAAUAAUCAAACUUUACUAUGUAUAAUAAAUAGGAUAAAUGAGAGGUUAAAGGAUAGAGAAAAUUGUACACAACAAUUAUAGUGAUUCAGCUUAUGAUAACCCUACAUUCACUCUCCCAUGCUACGACCUAUUGGUUGGAUUCUGCUAUGAAGAACUAAUAAGAGGUUACAUGAUAUGAGCUCUAAACACUCAAGUUCAUGUGGAUAACUCCUCACACUCUCAAUUUCUAAAUGAUUAUACAAUGAUACUCAUAGAGACGAAUGUAUUUGACCGCAAAACACUCUUCAGACUUUGGAAUUAUAAGUUUUGAUCCUCUUGUGUUGCGUUUUUCCUUUUAGCUUUGAGACCUCCUUUUAUACUUCUCCCAAACCAAGCUAACCAUUAGACAUAUAUCCAAAAAAAUUAUCCAGCCAAUCUACCCGUUGGUCUAGAUCUCGUUAAGAAUGUUUGAUCACUUCAAGGACACCGAGAAUAAAGCUUCCCAUAGAUUCUAUCGCCCAUACAGUAGUUUGGGUUUUUAUAAGUCGAGUGCUUCAACUUGGAAAGAAUGUUUCGCCUCAAGUAUAUUGUUCUAGGAAAUCUAAAUCUUCGAUAAAUACUUUCCUUUGGAACUUCUUAUUUAUAAGACAAGGAAUCCAAUCAAUCGUCACUAACCGUUACAUGGCGAUAUUGUCUCAUUCCUAGCUAUUUGACAGAGUACAUAAGAAAGGAAAUAAUUAAGUCAUGAUUCUGGUUUUGAUUGAUAUCGUCUGAUCAUAUCCCAUCAGACUUUGAGCCGGAAAAAUACUCAUCGUCAGAAUUAAAGUUUUUAUACCAAAUAAGUUUUUUCAAUCUUCAAAAUCAAUUUGAUAAAUUUUCUCAACAAUCUCCCAUUUUUUUAUGAUGACAAAACUUUCCGAGCAGAACUUAACAAAAGAUUUUAAAAAGAUUUAGCAAUCAAAUAACUCUAUUGAAAGCAAGAUUUUAGAUAAGGCACAAUGUGAAUUCUAUAAGAACUUUGCUGAUUUUGUAAAGAUAAGUACAAGCUUCUUACAGAAUAUUGAGCUAAUUAGAGUUAAUAAGAUUUGUAAAGAAAUUCCUUGAUUUGUAAAGAAAUUCCUUACUCUGAUUAAGGAAGUUCAAGAUAAGAAUAGAUUCAAGAAAACUUCCUAUUUUUAUAUAGCUCCCCCUGAGCAUGAUCACAAAAGAUCUUCAUCUGCAUAUAGUGUUUUGCUUUUCUUGCAUUUUCUCUCCCUUUUUGUCAACAUCACAAAAUAGACAAUAAUAAUGGAAGGAGUAUCACAUAGAGAAUAUGCUAUUCAACUCAUCUUCACAUACAAUGUUCGAAACAUAUUUAGCAUGAAACACAAUUUUCAUAAACAUCUUAUAGAUGCUACGGUGAACAUAAAAUAAGUGCAAUAUAGCUCAUGUUCUUAUAGAAUCAAAUACCAUAUACAUAAGUAAAUAUAUAUAUAUAUAUAUGGAAAUAUGAGAUUAUAAUGACAAAAGGUAAGUGAAGUAAGAAAUAUACUAACCAGAUCAUGUAGAAUUUAGCAAGUUCCAAUAUACAUUAUCUUUUCUUCCAUAAUCAAGACGAGGCAAAAGUUAAAUUGACUUAAUCAGGAUUUUCUCACACUUGAUUUACACUCCUUUUCAAUUUAAUGCCUGUAUGAGAUGAUCACAAUUCUUCUCCUUUACCGGGCAUCCACUUUCUCCUUUAAUAAUUUGCACAAAUUUUGUGCUUGGAGGAGAAUUUUCGAUCCUUCAAAAAUGGUGCCGAAUCUUCAUGAUUUUUCGGAUCAAAUUUUCCAAAUUUAAUAUGGAAAGAUUCUUUUGGCACCAGCAAUUUCUUGUAAAAGAGACAGCAAUAUUUGCAAAAUAUAGAGAAUAUCAUGUACUUUCCUUCCUUCGAUUCACGGAUCAAUUUUGCCAAUUAUAAUAUAUGCUUCUAACAUAUAAAAACAAGCAUUAAUUUUUUUCAAGAUUAAAAAAGAUUCUAAUGUUUAAAAGAACAUCUGAUUUUCAAAUGUCUAAAUCAUUUAUAAUUAUUCUAUAGCUAUGGUUAAACAUAUUUAUAUAGAUACAAAUGGAAUUUAUCUAUAUAUAUGCAUAAUAAGAAAAUAGUCCUAUAGAAAAUUUUAAGUUUAAGUGCAUUUAUUUCAAGUGAGUAGUUCGUUUUUUUUUUUUUUGGUAAAGAUGAGUAGUUCGUUGUUCGUCAAAUUUUAACUUUUUUUUUUUUUUGGAUUGGACAUUUUAGCAAUAAUAACAUUACAUUCAAUAAUGUAAAAAGCUUCGCCAUUAUAUCAUCCUCCUUUAGAAAUUUACAAAAGAAGAACAAGCGCAUUACAUUAAGAAAAGGAGAAAAGGCUGUUUAUUGUGAGAUAUGACGACAAAGUCCUUGAUUUGAACACCCGUAAUCCGAUGCCACUUUCGUUAAUGAGAGACAUCAUUUUGAACGUAUGUACCGCAUGACUCGCGAGAUUUAAUUGAAAGUGAUGGAUAGGCAACUUCCCAGCAGCUGCAGCUUUUAAUUAAUAGUGAAUGAAGUUUUUUGUUUUUUUUUUUUGCAACAAUAGUGAAUGAAGUUGAUGGCUUCAGAAAAAACCAGAUGGAGGAGAGAUGUACCACUUUUUUUGGUCGGCCGAGAUGUACAAUUAUGGAGAUGUACCGUUUCACACGCCCAAUAUCUUUCGCCUUUCUUCUUGGUGCCUUUGAACUUUUGAAUUAAAAAAAAAAAAAACUCCAAUUUUCAAAUGUUUAAAUCAUUUAUAAUUAUUCUAUAGCUAUAUCUAUAAUCAAACAUAUUUAUAUAGAUAAAAUCACAAUCUAUAUAAAUGUAUAACAACAAAAUAUUCCUAAAGAAUAUCUCUCAUUAUGGCAUAUGAGACUUUGGAUAAUUAGAAGAUUUUCCUUUAAACUAUUGAGAUUGGAUUUGCUACAUUCACCAUAAAAAUGCUCCACCUAAGCACUACCUAACAGUAUGCUUACUACUCACUAUGACGUAUUUGUUUUGAUCUCUUCCCCUUAAAGACUUACUUUUUAUCAUAAUUAAUUACCUUCAACCCCACAAAUAUUGCAAUAUAUUUGCCUUUAUAUUGAAAAGCAAAUCUUUUACAACACUUAUUGUCUUAUUGAAAACUAUUAGAAUGUGAGCAUGAUAUAAUUAGUGUGGUUUGGACAUCGGCCAAAUCUAAUUAUAUAAAUAUUGAAAUAUAUCUCAAGUCGGAGCCGAAUUAAAACCGGAUCGAAAGGGACUUAUCGACACUCGUCCUCUAAUCAAGAGUGGUGAGAGGAAAUGCAAUGAUGGCCUGUCCAUGGUGUUGCUUUGAGCGUCGACAGAAAGAGAGACCGUCCUGGUCUUGACCAUAAGAGACGACUUUGCUCAGCUGAAGAAAGGGAAAAGAGAGAAUGAUGAUGGCCACCGCCGAUACGAGACAAAAGGGGAAGGAAAACGACGAAGAAAGUUGCAAUCAUGGUGUCAUUUAACGAUGGCCGCUCAUUGUUUCCUUUCUUCUUUAUUUGCUUCUUGUGUAUUUUCUCUCUGAAUACGAAGAGGAAGAGCUCUUAAUGAGAGCUCCGAGGGCCGCACAACGAGAUUGAAAAUUUCCUCUUUAAAGUUUUGAUUCAAAAAGUUUUUCUCUGUGAAAUCACACAAAAUGAAGUCAAUUAAAUAUCGUGUUAAUGUUCAGGUCAAUCUUUUAUGAGAUUGAAAUAUUAUUUCGAGAGAAAUUAUGAAGGUUAAAUAUAGAAUUAUUAGUUGUAUUUGAGGGAUAAAAACACAAAUUAUAUUUGAGUAACUCAAGUAUUAUUAUAAUCUCCAUUGCAUUGUAAUUUCAUGGUUUUCAUUUCCUCAUGGAUGUAGGUCACAUAACCGAACCACAUAUAUUUAGUGUUUGAUUUAUUUCCUUAUUUUGCAUUUUUAUUCAAGCACUUGUUUUAUUUCCAACAAUAAAUAUGGUUUGAAGAAAAGUGAAACCAAAUUAAACCAUAUUAUAGUCAAGAUCAAACCAAGCCAAACCAUUUUAUGUGGUUUGAUUCAGCUUAAUCGUUCUUUCUGCUUUUUUUUUUUUUUUACCUCUUCAUCAUAUGUAAUUUCAUGAUUAAAAAAAAAAACCAGAUUCUAUGCCACAACCCUCCCUGAGGAAGUUACCGAAUUACCAAGUAAGCAUGAAUGGUCCCUUUUGCAAGGUGACGCUUGCUCUUGGCAGGAUCAAUCACAACUUGGUUUCUAUUAAUUAUUUCAUUUGCUCAGGAGUGGCCAUUAAUUUUUUACAAACUGAUUAGGAGUCAAGUAAAACGCAAGAGCCCAUUUUACUUCUACAAACCAGAGAUUUGUGGGUCUAACGACUUGAUUAGGCUGGAUAUGUAAUGCGCAAUUAUUCAUGCGGUCUUCCCAAUCUUAGUUACCCAUUUUGUUCUCAAUAUUGAGGGAAGCAGGCGAUCAGGCAUGAAUUCACUCAAGCAAACACAAAUAAAAUUCAAUAAUACUGAAACAAAUAGAGCAAAUAAAAGGUACGAAAAUAAAGAAAUUGAGCCGUAUUACAAAGAAAAAUAAAAUAAAAUCAAUACAAAGCUUUGUUCUUAAGUUCCAAGAUAGGACCCCUUGAGCUAUAAAUAGAAACUCGAUGUUAGAUCUCCAACUAUGGCUCCAAACCGGAAAGUAAGGGCCUGUUUGUUUGUAUUCUUUUUUUGUUGUCAUGAACAUAAUUUUUGUUUUUUUGUUCCGAGCAAUAAAAAAAUAACAGAAAUGCGUUUUUUUACAUUUUUGUUCCAAAUCUAUAUUUUUUGUUUCCGGGAACAAAUUUGGAACAGAAAUAAGAAACAACAAAAACUUGUUUCUUAUUCUCGGAACACUUCUAAGAAACAAAUUUUCUCUCUCCUACUUUUUUCUUCUCUUUCCUUUAUUAUUCAUUUCUUCUUCUUUUUUCUUUGGCUAGUCGCCAGCCUCGGCCAUGGCUGGUGACGCCGUCGAGGGCCAGCGACCUUGCCGGAGCGUCGUCGGCCCCUAGCGACGCUUGGCCUCACCUUGGUUGGGCGAGCUUAGCCUCGCUGGAUCUGGGUGAGCUUGAGGUCGCCCAAAUCCGUUGAGGCCGAGCCUCGCUGUGGCUAAGCGAGGCCACCAGCCCUCGUCAACUAGUCGCCGACCAUGGCUGAGGCCGGUGACUAGCCAAAAGGAAGAAAAAAGAAAAAAAAAAGAGAAAAGGAAAAAGAAAAUAAAAAUAAAAAUAUUUAAAAAUUAAAAGAAACAAAAAAAUUAUACAAGUUUACCAAACGUGUUUUUGUUCUUUUUCUAUUCCAAGACCAAAAAUUUUGUGCAGUUACCAAACGAGUUAUUCUAUUCAAAAAUUGUUCCCCGGAACAAAAAUAAUUUUUCUACUAUUCCCUAGAACAAUUUUUAAACAGAAACAUUACCAAACACGCCCUAAAUAAAAUGAUACUUCAUUAAUAUCCACUAUAUAAACUACUUUCCUAAAAUGAACAAUUACUUCAAAACGUAAAAUCUACUCAAUGCAAUGUUAAGAAAACAAAAUUUAUUUAUGAAUAUGCAUUACUGGUAAAAUACACUCCUAGAUUUUUUUUUUUUAAUGAAUAUGCAGUUUAUCUUUCCACUUUUUUUUUUCUUUUUUGCAUUUCCCCCUUCUUUAUAUAUAUACACACAUUUAUAAGUGAAACAAAAUUUGACUACGUGUUGAAAUAAAUAUGAACUAGAAUCUAUAUGCCAAAAUAAUAUGUAAUAUAAAUCCGGAUUUUCAUGAAAAUUUGCACUACGUUCACUUGGAUUUUUUUUUUCUUUGGAAACGCUCAAUUAGAAUUUCAACCUUAAAAUUGCAUCAAGAACGACUUAGUGCACACGAGAAAAUAAAGAAAACUAAAGUGACAUAAUGCUAUGAAUUAGAGCCAAACUAAUCCACACUAUGUGAAAAUCAACGGUGGAUGAAUAAGGGCCUCUUUGGCAACGUGCCAAAUAGUGCUUGAUUAUGAUUUUUUGUUUUCAGAAUCAGUUUGGGACGAGAAUUGCGUUUGGUAAAAUUUUUGUUCCCGGGAAUAGAUUGGGAAGAGAAUUGAGAAUAAAAAAAAUAUGAUUCUCUGUCCGAGAAUCAAAAAAAGAAUCAAAACAGUAAAAAUCUCCUUCUUCCCUUCCAACAUCCUGCGUCGUCCACCAUCGCCUGCCGCCGCCCGUCGCCCACUGCUGCCGCUGCCGCCGCCGCCUACCGCUGGUCGCCGUCCAUCGGUCCGGUGAGCUCGCCAGGCCAGGGCGAGGUCUAGCGAGCUCGCCGGAGGCAAGCCUCACUAGUGGCUAGGCGGGCCUUGCCCAGCCUCGGCGAGGCCGGCCUAGUCACCGGCAAGGCUCGACCAACGAGGGCCGACCUUGCCGAGGGCCGGCAACGCCCCGGUGAGCAUCGUCAGCCCUCGUCUGGCCGUCGCCAGAUCGGCGACCGGCCACGUGAAGAAGAAGAUAGAAAAAAGGGGGAAAAAAAAAGAAAAGAAGAAAAGAAAAAAAAAAGGAAAAAAGAAAAGGAAAGAAAGUAAAAAAAGUAUUUAAAAAUUAAAAGAAAUAAAUUCGGAACAUAAUCAAUUAGCACGGUAUAAAACACAAUUAUAUUCCAGAAUAAAAAAUUUUGGACAGUUACCAAACGCGUUCUUUUACUCAUAAUUAGUUCCCGAGAAUAAAAUAAAAAAUAAUCAUUUUUAGUCAGAAUCAGCUCUCGGGAAUAUAAUUGUUACCAAACGCGCCCUAAAUCGAUAAAAAUAACCAAUUUUCUCUCUACCGCUUUUUUUAGGGUGCAGUUUAGCUUACCGUCCUCUGUCAAAUGAUGGAGUGACAGUCAACUAAUGACACAAAAUUCGCAUAGAUUCCAUCUUUUACCCUUUUUUUUUGAAUUUUAUGUUUUCUUAUUGCUAGCUUAAAUUGAGAGAUAAAAUCAUAAGAGGACCCAUACAAUCAAUUUUCAUGAGUAUUAUGAAAGAAAAGAUAAAUUAGAUACUGAAAUAUAAAUAAUUAGAAGUAAAAAAUAUUGUCAUCCACUAAAAAGAAAUCAUUCAUUUCAUUAUGUAGAUCUAUUAAAUUUAAAAGAUGAAAAAACACUUGAAUUGUUGGCUUUACAACUAAUAACAAAAUUAUUGUGCAAUGAAUUGGCUUCUCAAUCCUGUCGCCAAAAUCAAAUUGCUCUGGAAGGACUCUCCAAUAACCUAAAAUCAAGACGAGUAAUGUUAAUUACACAUAAAACAAAUGAAGUAAAGAAAAGAACAAAAUAAGAAUAAUGAAUUAGUAGAGAAGAAACUUUACUCCACUAAUCCAAAUCUCGUAGAUGAAGAUGAGUUGGGACCUAAAAUAUUACAAAAUCAAUCUUAGGAUCACACGAGUGAAAACUAAGUCAAAAUGAUUUUUGAUCAAUUUUUAUAAAUAUUUUAUCUAAUAUAGCUUCAAUGUUUGGUUUGUUGAGAAGAUUCACAUAACCACGUGAUAUGACCAUAUGUCAUUUUACAUAGAUAAAAAGUCAAUUUAUAGGAAGGCAUUUUAAAUAAAAUAAUAAUAAUACGUAUAAGUAACUAUUGAAAACCAUCAAUUCUUUCCUGAUUGCAAAUCAGAUUUCAAGAAUAGUUAUGGUACCUCAUAUCAUCCAAAUUACCAAUUAUAUUUUGGUAUCUAAUUUAUUUUUUCUUUCAUCAUAUUCAUGAAAAUUGAUUGCGUGGGUCCUCUUACGAUUUUAUCUCCUAAUUUAAGCUUAAAAUAACAAAACAUAAAAAGGGGUAAAAGAUGGAUUUCAACCGGUCUCCAUCCAAAAUGUGUGGUUCUCAACUGACCGUCACUCCAUCAUUUGAAGGAGUGAUGGUCAGCUAAGCCUUUUCCACAUUUUAACUAGAGGUAUGCCUGCAUAAAAGUUAAGUGCGUCUUCAUUGCUCAACCCAACCCACCAAUUCUUAAUCCUUGCAUAUAUACUUAAGUCUCUUGUCCCCUAGAGGCAACAAGUAUCCUAGUACCAAUAUAUAAAGAAUUCACUCCAAUUAAUUUUUGGAUAUGGUUGUCCUCAUCGACGUCAUCCAAUACAAUUAGCAUCUAUCAAUGUUAUCAAUGUCACAAGUCACUCUAGAAUAACAUAUAUCAAAAAAUAAUUUUUCUUGUGGCAUGACUAGGCCCUUGGUUUUUAGCAUUUCCCUUGUGUCAACAAGAAAGUUGCAGUUUUUCCCAAAGUGAGGAUAUAGCUAGUUGAAGAUAACAUUGGCAGGUGUUGUUUUGCUGAUGCUGCCCAACCCAUAGAUUCCAAUGAACUGCAUAUCGUCAAAAGCGAUGUCUGAUAAAUUGUAUAUGGCUGCUAUUCAAUCCUCCAUUCCAACUCAAUCUUUGGUUAGUUGCCUUUGUCUUGUCUUCACCUUGACCACAAUCUCAUUAACAACCGACGUGAUAAGAUUCCCAUAGCUGCCACAAUGUCAAACAGUAUUAAUUGAGAAAAAGUGACAAAUUUCCAUGUUGACAAACUAUUUACAUAUAUCAGAACUUGAAUUAGCCUCAAUUUAUUUCGAAUGCGUAGCUCUUAUAUUUCUAUUAGAUUGCACAUUUCAGAAACAAUAAUGACAUUUCAUUCAUUAAUGGGAAGAGCUCUUGUUACAUUCUUAAUAUGAAAAGCUUCUCCACCAGAUCAUCCUUCUCAAAACAUUUACAAAAGAAGAACCAACGCAUAACAUUAGAAAAGGAGAAAAGGAUGUUUAUUAUGAGAAAUAAAUGAUGAAAUUCUUGAUUUGAAUGCCCGAAGUCGGGUGCCACUUUCUUUAGUGAGAGACAUCAUUUUGGACAUUUGUAUCACGUGACUCACGUAAUUCAAUUGAAACUUACGAACAGACACCUUCACAGCAGUUGCAGAUUUCAAUUUACGGUCAAUAAAGUGGAUGGCUUAAGAGAAAAUGAGAUGGAGGACCAUUAUGGAGGUCUACCUUUUCACAAGCCCAAUUUCUUUGGAGUUUCUUCUUAGUGCAUUUGAACUUUUGAAUUUAUGACCAUUUUUUUAAUUAAAAAAAUCUGAUUUUCAAACGUUUAAAUCAUUUAUAAUUAGUUUAUAGCUAUAUCUAUGGUUAAACAUAUUUAUAUAGAUAAAAACGGAAUUUAUCCAUAUAAAUGCAUAAUAAAAGAUAUUCCUAAAGAAAAGUUUAAGUUAAAUGCGUUUAUUUCAAGUGAGUGAUUCAUUGUUAGUCAAAUUUCCGCUGUUUUUUUUUUUUUUGGACAUUUUAGCAAUAAUAACAUUACAUUUCAUUAAUGGGAAGAGCUUCUCCACCGUAUCAUCCUCCUUCAGAAAUUUACAAAAGAAGAGCAAGCGCGUUACAUCUUAAAGGAGAAAAGGCUGUUUAUUGUGAGAUAUGAUGACAAAAUUCUUGAUUUGAACACCCGAAGCCCGAUGCCAGUUUCAGUAGUGAUAGACAUCAUUUUGGACUUUUGUAUUGCGUGACUCAUGAGAUUUAAUGAAAGUACGACAGCACUUGACAGUAGCCGUAGCUUCAUAAAAAAUCAGAUGGAGGACAAUUAUAGAAGAUGUUACCAGUUUUUUGGUCGGUUGAAUACAAUAAUGGAGAAUGUACCCAUUUCACCACGUCUUUCCGCCUUUCUUCUUGGUGCCUUUGAACUUUUGAAUUAAAAAAAAAAAAAAAUCUGAUUUUGGGCGUGGAAAGAAAGAGAGGCCGUGCUCGUCUUGACCAUAAGAGGACGACUUUGCUUGGCCGAAGAAAGGGAAAAAGACAGACUGAUAAUGGCCACUGCUGACAUCGGACAGUACAGAAGGGAAACGAAAACGACGAAGAAAGUUGCAGUAAUGGUGUCUUUAAACGAUGGCCAGUCAUUGUUUCCUUUCUUCUUCUUUAUUUUCUUCUAGUGAAUUUUCUCUUUAAAUUCGAAGAGGAAGGGCUCUUAAUGAGAGCUCCGAGGACUGCACAGAGGAGAUUGAAAAUUUCCUCUUAAGGGUUUGAUUCAAAAAAGUUCUCUUCGUGAAGUUAGUCAAAAUCGAAGCUGAUUAAAUCUUGUGUUAAUAUUCAAAUUGAGAUAUUAUUUCAAAAGAAAUUAUGAGGGUAAAAAACAUAGAGUUAUUAGUUGUACUUAAGGGAUAAAAACACUAAGGAUAUCUGAGUGACUUGAAUAAAAUUAUAAUCUUCGUUGCAUUGUAAUUUUAUCUAUAAUGGAAUUGUGUGCUCCUUUUCUCGUGAACGUAGAUCACACAAUCAAAUUACGUAAAUUUGAUAGCCGAUUUAUUUUAUUAUUUUGUAUAUUUUAUUCAAUCACUUGUUUUAUUUUAAUAAUAAAUAUGGUUUGAAGAAAAGAGGAACCAGGCUAGACUGUAUUAUAGUUAAAGAUCAAACCAAGCCAGACCAUUUUUUUUUUUUUGGGUUUGAUUUGGCUUAAUCUUUCUUUCUUCUCUAGUUUUCCUCUUCAUCAUUUGUAAUUUUAUGAGAAAAAAAACCAAAUUCCAUGUCACGAAACUUCCAAAGCGAGAUCCCCGAGGAAGUUGCUGGAUCACCAAUCAAGCACAAAUGGCCCCUUUGCGAGGUGAUGCUUGCCCUUGGCACGAUCAAUCUCAACUUGUUUCAAUUAAUUAUUUUGCUUGAUUGAGAGUCACCAAUAACUUUUUAUGAACCAAUUAGGAGUCAAGUAAAAUGCAAGAGUCCGUCUUACUUCUGGAAACAUGAGAUUUGUGAGUCCAGAAACUUGAUUACGCAAGAUAUAUCUCAAGCCCAAUGUUGCAUACUUUCUCUUUCUAUUAAAACAAUUAUUCAUGUGGUCUUCCCAAUCUUAGUUACCCAUUUUAUUCUCAAUGUUGAGAAAGGCAGGCGAUCAUGCAUAAAUUCACUCAAGCAAACACGUAUAAAAUCCACUAAUACUGAGACAAAUAGAGCAAAAAAAAGGUAGGAAAAUAAAGGACCCAACCCGUAUCAGGGAAAAAAAUCAAUAAAAGCCUUGUUAUAAGGUUCCGGGACAUGCCCCUGGAGCUAUUAAUAGAAACUCAGUGUAAAAUCUCCAAAAUAAACUAUGGCUUAAAACCAGAAAGUAAAUAACUGAUACCUCAUGAAUAUAUAUAAACUACUUUCCCAAAAAGAAGUAUUACAUCAAGAAAUAAAAUCUACUUAAUGCUAUAUAAAGUGCAAUGCAAUGUUUAGAAAACAAAAUCUAUUUAUGAUUAUGCAUGAUUCCUAAAUUAUCCUCCUAGAUGUAUAUAUAUAUAUAUAUAUAUUUAUUUAUAUUUUAUAAAUAAAAUCUAUCUGUUUUUUUGCUUUUUCACAUUAACCCCUUCAAUAUAUAUUAUAAUGAAACGAAAUUAAACUAAAAAAUAACUAAGUGCCGAGAUAAAUUUGAACUAGAAACUAGAUACCAAAAUAAUAUGUUAUAUAAACCCAGAUUUUCGUGAAAAUUUGCACUAUGUUGCGUUGGAAUUUCAACCUAAACUUCUUGUGGGAACGAGCUAAUAAACACCAGAAAAUAAAGAGAACUAAAGCGAUAUAAUGCUAUGAAUUAAAGCAAAACCAUUCCACAAUAUGCGAAAUCAAGGGUGGAUGAGUACAUCUAUACGAAUUGCCGAAAUAAAAUAUUCAUUAAAAAAAAAUUCUACGCUGUUACAGGUCUGAAGUGUUAAAAUUGAAUCACAUCAUGUAGAUUAUUUAUAUUUCCAUGUUUAUGUUUGCUGAGACACGAGGAACAAUCAACAUGAACUAACACAAAAAUCCACGCAGGUUCUUGAUUUUAUUUCCUUUCUUCUUUCGUCUUUCUUUUCACACGUGCAGCAUAAUUCCUUUUCACUUGUGCUGGUCGGAUAAGGCUGUCGCAUAUUUCCCUCUUGGUCUAGCCCAUGAAAGGGAGCCAGGGUCGUGCGGCUUGGACUCGGAAGUUCAAAUAAAUUCAUGGCACAUUUUGCGUGUUGGGAUACACUCAANNNNNNNNNNNNNNNNNNNNNNNNNNNNNNNNNNNNNNNNNNNNNNNNNNNNNNNNNNNNNNNNNNNNNNNNNNNNNNNNNNNNNNNNNNNNNNNNNNNNNNNNNNNNNNNNNNNNNNNNNNNNNNNNNNNNNNNNNNNNNNNNNNNNNNNNNNNNNNNNNNNNNNNNNNNNNNNNNNNNNNNNNNNNNNNNNNNNNNNNNNNNNNNNNNNNNNNNNNNNNNNNNNNNNNNNNNNNNNNNNNNNNNNNNNNNNNNNNNNNNNNNNNNNNNNNNNNNNNNNNNNNNNNNNNNNNNNNNNNNNNNNNNNNNNNNNNNNNNNNNNNNNNNNNNNNNNNNNNNNNNNNNNNNNNNNNNNNNNNNNNNNNNNNNNNNNNNNNNNNNNNNNNNNNNNNNNNNNNNNNNNNNNNNNNNNNNNNNNNNNNNNNNNNNNNNNNAUUAAGGCAAGGCUGCCUCCAUCAAGAUGGAUAGGGAAAGCAACGCUAUCAACCCAUAGAUCCAAAUGCCGCGAGAAUCGAUCCAGGCAUACUGGUUCGAGACGAAGGCCCCCGGAUCGUGAACUGAAGCUUCAUGGAUAUCAUGAUUUUCUAGAUUACUUUAAAAAAGAUCAUACUUUCAAGAAUAUUUUUUACACAUCAUUGCAUACUUUCAAGCACAAACGGACAUGGCACAUGAAGUCAUGCCAGGGCAUAAAAUGACAAAGGAAUUUUCCUGAUGACAUCUCUAAAAAUAUCAUAAGUCGCAUAAGUAAUGUUAGGAAUUAUUUGAGAAUUGAAUUUAGAGGACGAAAUUGGAAAAUGUGGUACUGAAAGAGCGUUGUGGGAAGUCUAACCCCUCCCCGCACAUAAAUGAAUCCUUCGACAAUAAGUUUCAUUGGCUUUCGCAAAUGAUCAAUAUCACACGUGGACCUAGUUUCAAAUCAGCCUAACUUUUUAAAUUGAUUGGCAGUUACUCCAUCUCAUACUUAGUUGAGCGGACCGAAAAAAAAUAUUAUAUUCUUUUAUAUAAUAAUAGACCGUAAAAUCCAGCCAAUAAAAUGGGCCCAAAUUCUGUCCGCCCCAAAGCCUCUUAAGCUUUUGAUAUCCGAAACAAAAGAAGCCCUUCGUUCUUCAAGAAGAUCGAAGCCCGUUGCGAAAGGAAGCCAGCGGUCCAGCCGAGUUGGAAGACUCGGAAUCUUCAGUCGAGCGAAUAGCGUUUUCGGGUUUCCGAAUCGAACCCACGUCUUCAUUUUCACUCAAGUUCAUCUUUUUCGAUCGACCCGUAAGGUCUUCUGGAAACUUCUGCGUGUUUUCCGCUUUGAAUCGUCGCGCCAGAUGCUUCUGCUCUUCAAUUUGAUUCUUUUUUAUUCUGUUUUAAGUUAAUUUGCGUUGAUUUUCGUCGAUGUUGCGACUGUUUUUGCUGGUUAGAUCGUCUUUAACCUGGAGUUGUGCGGUUUCUAGCUCGGGUGGCUAGAAAAUAAGAAAGAUCUGCUUUGGUAAUCAAGAUAGAUAGUAGUGUAAGGAGGUGAAAUUGAGAUUUCAAAAAUGUUUUGUCGUGGUUGUUUUUGAGUCGUAAUUGCUGAUGGGUGUCUGUUGAAUUGCUUCAGUUGAAUUUGCUUGUUGGUCUAAAUGGCCUGCUUUCUUUGAAGUUUGAACUGGAGAUCAUUUUAUGCUUGAGUCGGAUAUUGGGAAUGUGAGUAAUUUGAGCAUGGACACAUCUUCUUCUAUUAGAAAUGGAGAUGAGCUUCUUUCCCACUUUUCAUUUUCAAUAUGCAUGCGAUUGUUCAAAACAAAGUUGAACAUAAUGUGUUGUUAAAUAUAUAGGAUCCUCAUGAUCCUUGAUGACCUCACAUAAUUUUGUAAUAGUAUAUAUUUUGCACUUGAGUUGCUGAGAUCUUACGUGGCAUGUGCAAGAUUUGAUUCCAUGUUCAAAGAUACGUGGUUUCUUAUUGACAGAUGGGGGAGCUCGCAGGCAAUAAACAUGUCAAGUAAAUAUUGUCCGUUGAAAAGGUAGGUAUGAAAUUUCACAAUCCUCUUCUUGUUUUCUUGUUCACUUCUUGCCAGUUACUGAAAAUGACUUGGCUUAUCUGGACUUGCUAUUCACAUUUCGGAGUUUACUGAUUUGAGGUUUUGGGUUGAUCUUGCGCUCAGAAAAAGGAUAGUUUUGAGUCGGUGGUUAUGGAGCACCUGAGAUUGAAUGGAGCAUAUUUGGGAUUGACCACUCUAGAUCUUCUUGAAAACUUGACACCGUGGAUUCAAAUGAAGUUGUUUUGUGGAUCCUGCAAUGCUAGCUUGAGUCUGGUUUGUAGUUAUUUAUCUCUUGGCUUCUUUCUUAAGUACCCAUGAAAAACAUGCAGUAUUUGAAAGAACGAUCAACAUUUUAGCUCGGGAUUAACAGAUUUCCUUUAUUACAAUAAUGACCACAUCUUAGGGGUCAUUAGUGUUGCUUUAUUCAUCUUUUAUUAUAGCUUCACUCUAAGGGACAAAGUGCAUGUCACCUACGGCUGCUUUUACAAGUGUCUUUGGUGGAAACACGGGACAUGUUCCGCAUCUGCUGUAUACGCUCAGUGCCGUGCAAGUUUUGGCCCCUUUUUGACAAGUUACAUGUUCUUGACAUCAACAAGGAGACAGAUUGUAUCCUUUGGAAUGAAGUAUCCUAAUUUGCCAAACUCUUACAUAGAUGCAAGUUCCUUGGUAUUAUUUUAUGUUUUUAUGUUUUCAACAUCAUGAGAGUAAUAAACUUACCUUAGGUUCUGUUUUUCAUGUAAGAGCUCAGAUUAUGUCAACUUUUUAAAUGUUGUAAAAUUUUGAUUAAGGUUACUUUAUAGUGUGAGUAUUGUUAGCCAAACAUUGAUGAGGAGGCUCUCUCUAUGUAGAUCGAAGUUGCUAUCGUUGGAUAAUCUCUGGUAUUAAAUGCUCUCCAUUGUUGUGCCUGAACAAUGAUUCAGACAUCAGAGCACUGCAAAACGAAGAUGGAUCUUUCCCUGGGGAUAUAUGGGGUGAAGUUGAUGCUCGGUUCCCUUCGAAGAUUCAGUAAAUGUGGAGAAGGCUAUAAGUUAUAUAGUGCGUUGCAAAACUUUGGAUGGCGGGUUUGGUUGCACUCCUGGUGUAGAGUCUCAUGAAGGGCAAAGUAUGUCAUAACCUUACGGCGGAGCUCUUUCGCUGGAUUCUAAUUUCUGAUUGGUGCUUAGUAAGUCAUGCAUUUGCUUAAAUACAUGGUGGUCUUCUAAUUAUGUUCCAAUGAACAUCCGAAGGAUAAGACCGAGUUGCCACCAUUUUAAGGCAUUCCUUAGGACUCAUCUUAGACGUGAGAAAGUAUACUGAUUCUGGAGGAGAAUAGGCAUAAAACAAUGAAGCACCGAGCAAGUAAAUUAACAUGCACAAGAGCCUGACCAAGCACCUUGCUUUACAAAGUGGCUCAUUUUUCUCUCUUCUUUCAAUUCAAAUAAUAAGAUAUUUGUAAAAUAGAGAACAGGAAUGCAGGAGCAAUCAUGAAGCGAUAAGAUUUGGUGUUCUUGCUUCAAUAGAUAACAAAGCCGCGUGUAUUUUGUUUAGCCAAUUGUCCAGUCGGUCACGUAGUAAAUUUGACCUGUGGAAUCCCCCGCCAUAUGCAACAGACCUCAAAUUACCAAUGGAAAAUACAACUACCGAAAAUAUACAUACACACACACACACACAUAUAUGUACAACUUGGAUAUCCCAUUCUAAUUAUGUGUGAUAAACCAAGAAGAGAAGCAUUGCUUGCUUCAUUUUCAAUCAUUGAGAGCUCCUCACAGGUGAUAGAGAGACAAUGGAUAUUCAUUAAUGCACCAUUAUCCAAACCUUAUAAUAUACUUACGGACAAACUCUUCAUGAGAAUAUGCUCAACAUCCUGUGUAGAAAGUUUUGUGCGCUUUUUAAUAACAUUCAUGGGAAUGGUUCGAUUCUUAAAUGAUCGGUUGCAAAUAUUUACAUCACCGUUCUCCAUCAAAGUGGUUUAAAAAAUUUUGAAGCUUUCUAAUCUCAAGUCAGCUCACCAAAUAGACAUAAUUCUUGUAAUACCCCAACUAGCAGAUGCACAACACACCGGCACAUGAUUCCACUUAAUCGAGCGGUCUACAAAAGCAUAGCAACAUAACUAGACCAGGCAUACAGACAGUCAAACAAAUGCAAGAAAGUAGACCCUUAUACAACUAUUAUCAUAUGAAGCUGGAGCUAGAGCUCGAGCUCAUGCUUAACUACACAGAGAAAAAUCACACGAUUACAUUCAACUAAACACCAACUACCACACCAAAAAAAAGAAAAAAUCAACUGACACAUCAAAAAAACACCAAAAAGAAAAUAUAUAUAUCAAAUGCCACACCACCCGUACCUGUUCUUCAGCGAUUAGCUAGUGAUCCGGAGCUUGAGUACGCCUUUGUAUUCCUUUCUUUCACGUUCUCGUGCGCACACCUUGGGCAAGCAUGCUUUUUGAGGAAUUGGAUAUGCGGUUAACAAAGCGCGCGAGUCGCACGUGCGGCACCAACCGCCGAAAAGUUGGAAAAACUAAGUCUUUCUUUUUUGAGUCUAUCUAAUUCCUUACAGAAAUGGUGAAUCCAUGAUCUGACCCAUAUCACGAUUCACUUCUUGUAAUCAUGACGUAAUACGGGAUGCGAGACCGAUAUUGAAUUUACUAGAACAUUGCAGUUCUGUAUUUAAAAAUGAGGGAAUGAGAAAAUUAGGAAGAAGGCGGUGCUUAAUCAUUAUGUUGUGUUCAAGUCCGACCAUGUCUCUAAUUAUUACUUUGCCUAAACUUUGUAUUAUUGACGUACUCAAACCGAUGAUUGUGCCCUCCACAUAGUAAAAUGAUGUCAAUGUACGUGAGAUAUAAUCCAUCUCUUAGGCAUUGGGAGAAAUGUUUCAUAGCGAUGCUAAAGUUUAGAUGACAAAUGCCAAAAACUUCCCACUUUUCUUUUACAAGUUAUCAUCUUGAUAUGUAACCUUACUGGAAAUCUCUUAACUUUAUCGUCUUUGAAUUUUUCUCUUUUUACAAUCAAAUUCUUGAACUAUGAUUUGUUCGUUCACAUUGGACCUUCCAUUAAAAGAAGAAAAAAAGUGCUUAUGUGACCGUCAAAUGCCAAAUUGACUCAAUGUGGCUCCUACGUCCUUAUUAGUAAGAUUAAAGAAAUAACAAAAUUAAAUUUUCUUCAUCGAGGAAAAUCUGGAGCAACGACACCACCGUGAGCCCGAGCCCACAAGCAAUUUGUUGAUAGUGUUCGAGUUUGAUGAGGGGAGGGAGGACAGAGGUUGGAACACUUUUCAAUAUAAGCCCGCCCGAUCGGCUUCGACUUUUGAAGCGGAGGCGUUGGCAUCUAGGGUGAGGUGGUGAUGGCUCGGAAUUGGGAGGCUCACCUUCGGCUCUCAUGGCUUUCUAAACGGUGUUGCGUCAAUUUCCAACAACAUUGAAGAGAUUGGAGAUGACUGGAAAUUCCACUCGUCUUUUUUUUCUCCUUUUUUUUUUUUUUUUAAGUCAGUCAUAUUUCGGGCCAAACCCAGCCCAAAAUUUUAAAAAAAUGCCUAUCCAAGAGGACUUGUUUAGGCCCCAACCUUUCAACCGGGCCUGAAGUUGAUCGGACGGGGCAUAUUUUUCAAUAAAAAAGCCACCCAUGUGCAACUAUACUUCCGAUUACUAGACGCCAAAGGAACUCACGAACUCAUUGCUACACCAUUCUUUAUCUGCGGUAAACAAACAAGCAUUCCUAUUCUGUAACAUAGAAAUGGCAACAAUUUAUUGCUUAUGCCCAUUCAUGAUGAAUAUUUUCCCCUAAAGUCAAUCAACUAACAUUAAAUUAACCCCAAUAACAACUAGUCACAAUAUUCCAGCAAUAUUAACCCUAAAGCAGUGAAGACAGUGCAGAAUAUUAAAGCAAGGGAAAACCAACACUCGUUCGUAAAAUUUUACGUGAAAAACACAAUACAAAAAAAAUCACGAGACCAGUCAAGAUCUUCCACUAAUCACCAAGAAUAACAUAAUACAUAAUAGUUCAUUUCAAAUAACAGAGCUAGAGGCUCUUCACAUUAACAAAAUAUUAUCACCACAAAGGUGGAUUAACAUAAAGAAGCAAGAAAGAUCUAACCGUUGCUAGACAAAAUCAGGAGACAAUUUGGAGAAGAUUUUAACAAACACAGCCAAUCAACUUGUAGAUCAUGGACUCACGAACAGCAUAUGAAAUUUCGGCCAAUUCCGACUAAGUUUUCUAUCAAAUUUAGACUGCUUCCUCUUCAAAGCAAAGCUCUCCGCCUCUUUUUUCUCUAUAACAACGAAUUGCUCAUCCCUCUCUUCUAAAUCAAGAACAUUCAGCCCUAUUUAUUCUUUUUCUUUUUUAUUUUAUUUAACAUGAUGAGAUGAGCCCCACAAGAGGUGGACCCAACCCAACAAACUUCCCCUUUACCUUAUGAAGAAGUUUCAUUAUGCUAGCGUUAUCUAUACAAGAAUCAAGUUUCACCAUUGGCAAGGUUUUACUCAUCAUAUUAGAUCCAUUAUCAUCAGUGUAGACUUUCUCAAGUAAGAAAAGUUUCUCAUCUAAUUUAUCUCGGAUCCAAUGACAAGGAUAAAGCAUCAGUCUGGGUAAAGCAACCAGAUGCAAUUCUAGUGAACAUCACUCUAUCUUCAGCGAUAUGACAUGGAUAAAGCAUCCCGCAUAAUGCUGUCUUGUAUUUGCACGAAUAGAUUUGAUCUUGUCGGGGGCAAGACCGCUCAUCUCUAACUAAUAACAGCAGCUACCAAAGAGUUUAUAUAUUUAGAGCAGUAUCAUGAUUCACUCUCUAAGGAUAAACACCCUCUAGAAAUGGAGAGAUCGGUUUCCUAUAUCUUCUUUAGUUCGCUUGCAAACCAUAAAUGGUGGAAGUUGAGAUCCAUGGAGUAACCUGACAAGCCUAAGUUUCGAGCCACUAAAACAUGUGUGCUUACAGUAUUGUCUCUUUUAUUACAUAACCUUUUGCUUUGAUGGGGCAUUUUUUCGAAACAUGCUAAAACCGACAUCAAAGGCACUUUUACAGCAAUAACAUCAGGUUAUAUUAGUGUCGUGUUUAUCCUAGACUAUGUUAAUACAGAGCUUCGAGGAAAUUGAUUGAAAUAUCGACCGACUAAAUUAAAGUUCAACGCCACCAAAUGCUAGGCUCUUAAGAAAUACUGCCCGGUAGAGAGACUUAUCGAUUAAGAAAUUUAACCAAAGCUCUCUCCAUUUUUCUUUUACAUCGACGGCAAGCUUAACAAUAAUAUAAAGUUUCAUUUAAUCAUAUUAUGUUAAAUAUUAUUUCCUAGCGACCAAAUGCAGCUAGUCAAAUUCAAAUGAAGAAUUCGAUAAUAAUCAUGCUCUGUUUGUUUCACAACAAAUAAAUAAUUUGGAAAGUAUUUUCCAAAAAAUAAUUACAUUGUAUCUCUUGAAAUAAUUAGUCAAUAAACAAUGUUUUCAUUAUUAAUAAUAAUUUUAUGUCCAAGCAUUUCGGUGAAUGAUGGAAAAAAUACCCUAUCAUUUAUUUUUAUAAGUGAUUGCAAGUGGUAUAAAUAAUAUAUAUAUAUAUUUUAUAUUUCAAAUCAUUUAUUUCUCGCGAAACAAGAAGAUAACGAAAUGAUAUUUACCCGAAGAAAAUGGGUAAUUGGGCCCAGUUAUCGUUGGCCCAAAAAUUCUCUUGGGCUAUAUGAAACCUUCGUCCCUCGUAAUCACGAAAGAAAGUCUCGUCUUUCAGUCGACUUGAGGAUCAUUUUUGGUUCUAAAUCGAGCUCAAACGUUCGUUUUCACUACUCAUCUUCGUUUUCAUCUAAGGUCUUCGGGGAGCUUCUGUGAGCGUUUUUCACUACUAAUCAUUGCACCGCCGCUUUUGUUCUUCAAUUUGAUAUCUAUUUUGCUCUUUUAAGCCAGUUUUCGUUGAUGUCGCGACUGUUUCUUGCUGAUUGGAUCGUCUUCGACCUGGGGCUGGAUGGUUUCUAGCUCGGGUAGCAAGAAAAUGUCGGAGAUCUCUUGUGGUGAUCGAGAUAGAUAGUAGUGUAAGAAGGUGAGAUGAAGAUUUAAGAAAUGUUGUGCCGUAGGUUUGUUCCAGCCGUAAUUGCGAAUGGGUGUCCGUGGAAUUACUUCCGUUGGACGUGCUUGUUUGUCUGUCUAAAUGGCGUGCUUUCUUUGAACUGGUGAUUAUUUUGUGCUUGAGUCAGAAAUUGGGAAUGCGAGCAAUUUGAGCAUGGACUCAUCUUCUCCAAUUGGGAAAAGAGAUGUCCCUAGUUCCCUUUCUUCCAUAUUAUUGUACAUGUGAUUGUUCCAAACAAAGUCUAACACAAUCUGUUGUUAAAUUUAUAGGAUCGUUACGAUCCUUGAUGACCUCACGAAAUUUUGUAAUGGGGCAUGCUUAAGAUUUGAUUCCGUGUUCAUUGAUAUGUAGCGUCUUACUGGAAGAUGGGCGAGCUCGCUGGCAAUGAAAAUCUCAAGUACAUGCUGUGUUGAAAAGGUCGGUAUGAAAUUUUUACUACUCUCUUCUUGUUCUCUUGUCCACUUUCUGCCAGUUACUGAAAAUGACUUGGUUUAUCUGGAUCUGCUACUAUUCAGCAUUUUGGAGUUUAUUGAUUUGAGUUUCUGGGUUUGAUCUUGCACUCGGAAAAAUGAUAGUUUUGAGUCAUUGAUUAUGGAGCACUUGAGAUUGAAUGGAGCAUUUUGGGGAUAGAACACUGUAGAUCUUCUUGGAAAACUUGGCACUGUGGAUUCAAAUGAAGUUGUUUCUUGGAUCCUGCAAUGCCAGCAUCUGUCUGGUUUGUAUUUAUUUGUCUCUCAGCUUCUUUUUCACGAUUACCCACCAAAAACAUGCGGCUGACAGAUCCUCCACUCCACAUUUAGUCAAGUAUUUCUCAUUUGACAGUAUGCUUAAGAUAUUAGCUUGGGAUUGACAAGUUCCAUCUAUUACAUUGAUGACCACAUCUUAGGAGUGAUUAGUAAUGCUUUAUUUAUUUAUAUUCUAAAACUUGACUCUAAAGAGCAAAGUGUGAAUGACACUUAGGGCUGCUUGUGCAGGUGGCUUUGGUGCCAAAUAUUGGACAUGAUCCGCAUCUGCUGGAUGCACUCAGGGCCGUGCAAGUACUGGCCCUUUAUGACAAGUUUGAUGUUUUUGACAUCAAUAAGGUGACAGAUUGUAUCCUUUGGAAUAAAGCGUCUUAGACUCUGUUUUGCAUGUAAAAGGUCAGAUUAUGUUAUGUUAUGGAAUUUUAUAGUGUGUAUAUUGCUAGCCAGACAUUGAUGGAGAUUGAAGUUGCUAACGUUGGAUUAUCUCUGGUAUCAAAUGUUCUACAUUGUUGUGCCUGAAUGAAGAUGAAUCUUUUUCUGGGGAUAUAUGCGGAGAAGUUGAUGCUUGGUGUAUUGUCCUCAUCUUUGAUCAAUUAUUAUUUUUGUGCUUCUUGAGGAUGUUUCUUAAAUAAUUGACAUCCCUUCACCCCUUUCUUCCCCUCGAAGGUUCUCUCAUUGUGCUAUAUGCUAUCUUGCGAUACUUAAAUGGUUGGAUUCGAUAUGUGGAGAAUGCUCAAUUGCAAAACUUUGGAUGGUGGGUUUGGUUGCAUUCCUGGUGCAGGGUCUCACCUGAAAUGAUAUCAUUGCACACAGCCUUCGCUUCCAUCUUGAUGGUAUAAUCACUGCGUAAACCACUGAUGUCUAUCUAAGAUAUCCCAAGACAACGCACUAAUGUCCUUCCUCUCUCAACUAAUCUAGCUGGUAGUAGUUAACAGUUGGAGAAAACCAUCUAGUCUAGCUAAAUCUACAGGGAACUAUUUGUUGCCAAAAUGCCAACUAAAAUUCCAGAAUCUCACCGUACUAUCACAAAAGGUAAAGAAACUUCAGAGUUGCCUAACUUAUUAUUAAACUACGAUCUUCACAAGACAAUGAUCUCCUUAGGAUUGGUAAGACUAUAGUCUCAUAUAAAUUGAAUACAAUUUAAUAUUGGUGACAGUGUAAUUCGAGAAUGUAAACUCGACCAUAAGGCAUACUUAUUGAAUUUCAUAAAUCAUCUGUUUCAAAUAAUUUUUCUUUGCAAUUCCCAGGAUCCAACAAUCUGCAGUUCAAGAAGUCUAGAUUCGGGAUCCAGCAGGUCCGCAAUUGAUGGCAAGUUUUCCAAUCUGAAUAACCUCAGGACUUAGUAAAGUAGUAAUUAGGAGAUUAACAGAACCGCUUAAAUACUCGAACGCUUUGCUAACUGAGCAAGUAAACACACUUCAAACGUGUAAAACGCGCAAUGAGCAACGAUUGCAAAAUGCAUUCUCGUAAGCAGCCACGGAGGGCCUCAAUGAAUUGCAGUUUUUUCCUCUCCUAGCUAAGCUAUAACGGAAGUUCCUCCUGACCACUGUCCUGCCCUUGAAUAAUAUAGAGCAAAUCUAGCAACCCAACCAAAUCCAGCAUGUCAUAACCUCAUGCUGAGCUCUUUCGCUGGUUUCUAAUAUGUGAUCGGUGCAUAGUAAGUCAUGUAUUUGCUUAAAUACAUGAUGGUCUUCUAAUUAUGCUCCAAUGAACACAUCCAAAAGAUAAAACCAAGUCGCCGCAGUUUUAAGACAUUCCUUAGGACUCAUCUUAGACAAGAGAAAGUACAAAGGAAUUGAUAAUUUCCAGUGGAGACUUAGGCAUAAAACAAUGAAGGACCAAGCAAGAAAAUUAAGAAGCACAAGAGCCUGAUCAAAUAUCUUUCAAUUCAAAUAAGAAGAUAUUUGCAAAACGGAGAACUGGAACGUGGGAGUAAUCGUGAAGCAAUAAGAUUUGGUGUUUCUACUUCAACGGAUAACAAAACCGUGUGUAUUUUGUGUAGCCAAUUGUCGAGUCGAUCACGUAGUAAAUUUGACCUGUGGAAUCCUCAACCAUAAGCAGCAGACCUCAAUAAAGCAAUGGAAACCACAACUACCCAAAACAUGAAAGAAAAAGAAAAGCUGGACAUCCCAUUUUAAUUCUACAUGAUGAACUAAGAAGAGAAGCACUCGUUGCUUCUUUUUCAAUCAUCAAGAGCUCCUCACAGGUAAUAGACAGCUCCCCACAGGUAAUAAAGAGACAGUGGAUACUCAUUAAAGCGACCAUGAACCAAACCUUAGAAUAUACUCACAGACGAACUCUUCAAGAGAAGAUGCUCAACAUCUUGCGCACAUGAUUACACUCAAUCGAGCAGUCCACGAAAGCAUAGUAACAUAACUAGACUAGGCAUACAGACCCUUAUACAACUAUUAGUAUAUGAAGCUAGAGCUAGAGCUCAAGCUCAUGCUUAAUAUUUAAAGAUAAAUCACACAAUUACAUUCAUCUAAACACCAACUGCCACACCAAAAAAAACACCCAAAAAAAAAAAAAAAAACCCAACUGCCCCCCACCACUCUUACCUGUUCUUCAGUGAUUAGCUAGUGAUCCAGAGCUCAGGCCCAUGACUCCCGCCACUGAUGAAAUUAAUGAAUGCACCAAAUUCCUCCAGCUGAGCGGCACUAAAGAAGAAAAUGUGCAAAAGAGUGAAAAGUGGCGCUAGAGAAGGACUUGAAGCUCACAGACCUGGAACUUGAAGCUCGUGAAGAAGGACUUGAAGCUUGUGGACGACGAAGAAAGAAGAGACGGUGGCAACCGACACGGCCAACGACGGACUUAAGUUUGCGAGGAGCGAGUAGCAUGGUGGAUGGAAUGACAGCGAAUUGCUUGUGCAGCGAGAGAGAUGAAGAAGAAAACAUGAAAAAGAACCCUAAUCCCAAUUCAAUCCAUCGUUCACGAAUAAUCAUCCAACUUUCUUUUCCCUUUUUGUUUUGCUGACUCUGUCUGCAGAAGGAAACGAUAAGGUGAGUUGAGGUGAGGUCUCUUGGGCCUAAAAGGCCCCCAAUCAUUAACCCUCAGUUCAGUUCUCCUCUCCCGUUAUCUCCCUCUGUCCCGUCUCCGACGCCGCUCGCCCUCAACGCCACCGCCGGACGCCGCUUGUCCCGCCGCUGGACGCCAAUCGCUCCGUGCUCGCCCCGCCCUUGCCUCCCUCGACGCUGUCACCCCCGCUCGCCUCGCCUCUCAGCCGCUGGACGCCGCUUGCCCUCGACGCCGCCGCUGGACGCUGCUCGAUCCCCCAGUGGACGCCUCUCGCCACUCGCCGCUGGAUCCCCCGGUGGACGCCGCUCGCCGCUCGCCCAAUCGCCCCUGACACCGCUCGCCCAGCUGCCCCCGACGCCGCUCGCCGCUCGCCCAGCCACCCUAACGCCGCUCGCCCGGUCACCCCUGACGCUGCUCGCCCCCGACGCCGCUCGCCCAGUCGCCCCCGACGCUGCUCGCCCCCGACGCCGCUUGCCCUCGACGCCGCCACUGGACGCUGCUCGAUCCCCCGGUGGACGCCUCUCGCCACUCGCCGCUGAAUCCCCCGGUGGACGCCGUUCGCCGCUCGCCCAAUCGCUGCCCCCGACGUCGCUCGCCGCUCGCCCAGCCGCNNNNNNNNNNNNNNNNNNNNNNNNNNNNNNNNNNNNNNNNNNNNNNNNNNNNNNNNNNNNNNNNNNNNNNNNNNNNNNNNNNNNNNNNNNNNNNNNNNNNNNNNNNNNNNNNNNNNNNNNNNNNNNNNNNNNNNNNNNNNNNNNNNNNNNNNNNNNNNNNNNNNNNNNNNNNNNNNNNNNNNNNNNNNNNNNNNNNNNNNNNNNNNNNNNNNNNNNNNNNNNNNNNNNNNNNNNNNNNNNNNNNNNNNNNNNNNNNNNNNNNNNNNNNNNNNNNNNNNNNNNNNNNNNNNNNNNNNNNNNNNNNNNNNNNNNNNNNNNNNNNNNNNNNNNNNNNNNNNNNNNNNNNNNNNNNNNNNNNNNNNNNNNNNNNNNNNNNNNNNNNNNNNNNNNNNNNNNNNNNNNNNNNNNNNNNNNNNNNNNNNNNNNNNNNNNNNNNNNNNNNNNNNNNNNNNNNNNNNNNNNNNNNNNNNNNNNNNNNNNNNNNNNNNNNNNNNNNNNNNNNNNNNNNNNNNNNNNNNNNNNNNNNNNNNNNNNNNNNNNNNNNNNNNNNNNNNNNNNNNNNNNNNNNNNNNNNNNNNNNNNNNNNNNNNNNNNNNNNNNNNNNNNNNNNNNNNNNNNNNNNNNNNNNNNNNNNNNNNNNNNNNNNNNNNNNNNNNNNNNNNNNNNNNNNNNNNNNNNNNNNNNNNNNNNNNNNNNNNNNNNNNNNNNNNNNNNNNNNNNNNNNNNNNNNNNNNNNNNNNNNNNNNNNNNNNNNNNNNNNNNNNNNNNNNNNNNNNNNNNNNNNNNNNNNNNNNNNNNNNNNNNNNNNNNNNNNNNNNNNNNNNNNNNNNNNNNNNNNNNNNNNNNNNNNNNNNNNNNNNNNNNNNNNNNNNNNNNNNNNNNNNNNNNNNNNNNNNNNNNNNNNNNNNNNNNNNNNNNNNNNNNNNNNNNNNNNNNNNNNNNNNNNNNNNNNNNNNNNNNNNNNNNNNNNNNNNNNNNNNNNNNNNNNNNNNNNNNNNNNNNNNNNNNNNNNNNNNNNNNNNNNNNNNNNNNNNNNNNNNNNNNNNNNNNNNNNNNNNNNNNNNNNNNNNNNNNNNNNNNNNNNNNNNNNNNNNNNNNNNNNNNNNNNNNNNNNNNNNNNNNNNNNNNNNNNNNNNNNNNNNNNNNNNNNNNNNNNNNNNNNNNNNNNNNNNNNNNNNNNNNNNNNNNNNNNNNNNNNNNNNNNNNNNNNNNNNNNNNNNNNNNNNNNNNNNNNNNNNNNNNNNNNNNNNNNNNNNNNNNNNNNNNNNNNNNNNNNNNNNNNNNNNNNNNNNNNNNNNNNNNNNNNNNNNNNNNNNNNNNNNNNNNNNNNNNNNNNNNNGAAUAUCAGAUGAGAGACGUUCUCAAAGAUUUCUGUGGCACUUCUGCACCAUUGUAGUCCCAAGUGCUUAUUGAUCUAACUUAAUGUUUUAUUUUCUUUUAAGUACCCCUUUCAACAUAUCAAAGAAAUUUGAUGGAGAAACAGUAACAGAGAUUGUCCGUCCCCACCUUGCAAGGAUUAGAUAUCGUGUUAAGAGAUUGCCUUGGUAUCUCAUUCUCCAUAUGCAGAGAUUUACGAUUUAUAUUUUAUAUUUUAUUUAUUAUUAUUAUUAUUAUUAUUAUUAUUACCAUUCUUAUUACCCUUAUUUUAUUUUUUUUGUGGAGAAGAACCCAACUCUAGUUAAAGCAGAAAUAGAAAGCAAGCAAAGCAGAAGAAACAACAAUGAUUAAUGAACAGAAAGAAGGCGCACCGUUUUCUGUAGAGGAUCCCCUGUUUCUGUUUCAGAGUUCGUUGUUUCAAUUUCAGAGCCCGGCGCUUGCUUUGUUCUGCUCAAAAUCUUCUCUCUGUAAGACUCCCAAGUGUGGAAAUAUUUAGUGUAGCCAAGUUCACUAUCGUCUUCACUAUCGUCGGAUGACUUCUCGCGUGGUAUGAGUAUCUCGCAAUUAUCUGGUUCUUUUGAGCUCAAUACAUCAAAAAUCAUUUCGAAUAUGCACCCACUAAUUUCCAAGGAACAUGAAGACUUUAGUUCGUAAAUGCCCUCAAUAACCUGCAGGCUGGGGCACUGGUCAAUCUUUAUCCGCAAGUUCUUCAAGUUUGACAAACUGCCUAAUCUUUUUAACGAAGAGCACCGGUAAAUGUCUAACCACUUCAAGUUCUUCAAGUUUGACAAACCGCCUAAGCUUUUUAACGAAGAGCACUCACGAAUGGAAAUUUCUUCCAAUAAUACGAAAGUAGAAUCAAAUUGAAUAUCCUGUACCUCAUGGGACUCCCACAGAUAGAAACUUUUAAGCAUCUUUCGGGAGCUUGGGAAAAGGAUCGCUUCCCUACAAUGAUCAGUCAACUCGGGAGCUUGUAGUUCACUGCACCCCCGCUCCUCCGGGUGACAAACCAUACUCUUGGAAGAUCUGCGGAUUUUUGAGCUCGAAGCAUCAAAAAUCCUUUCCAAUGAUCUGCACCUCCCAAUUUUCAACGAACGCAAAAACUUCAGUUCGUCAAUGCCCUCAACAACCUUCAAGCUCGGGCACUGGUCAAUCUCUAACUUCUUCAAGUUUUUCAAGCUUGACAAACCGCCUAAGCUUUUUAAUGAAGAGCACUCUUUAACUGAAAAUUUUUCCAAUGAUUCUAACAGAGAAACAAAUCGAAUAUCCUGUACCUCUGGGAACCCCGACAGACAGCAUUCUAUAAGCAUGUUUAGGGAGCUGGGGAAAAGGAAGGCUUCCCUCCAAUGAUCAAUCAGCUCAGAAGCUUGUAUUUUAUUGCACCCCGGCUCCUCCGGCUGACAAACCAAACUCUCGGAAGAUUUGCAGUCCUGAAUACGUGAUCUCUCCGACGAUUGUAAGACAUUGGGAGAUUGAACAUCUAGUUGCUCGUACGCCUUGCUUUCUCUCGAUAUUCCCAAACUUGUUGAAGGGAAUAUGGUCUCCUUUUCCAAUGGAGGAAGCCCAUCGAGUUGUACUUUUUUCCCUCUAGCUUCGUAAAGCCUUAAAACCAUCAAGUUUGACGGAAGUUGUUUGAAAGGGGGCAAGUCUAUUCCGUGCAGAAUAAGUUCCUUCAACAGAGAAAGGGAACACAACUGUGUAGUUGGGGCACGGACAUUUGGAAAGUGAAAGUACAGCUUCCUCAAUUUGGAUAACAUGCCAAUCCACUGCAAGUCGCAAGUUUGAAUUACACUUGAUUUGUCUCUAGAUUCAGAGCGAUCGGAUAGGUGCAGCUCAACUAGAUUAGUAAGGUAUAAGAGGUUAGGGACAGUCAGCAACGAAGUAGAACUUAGCCGUAGAGUGGUCAAACAUUUGGGGAGUUCUGGCAACUCUUGUAUCCCAUCGCAACCCAUCAAGCUUAGUGUUUGGAGUUGAUGAAACUUGCUGAUUGUACUGGGCAUUCCCGCAAUUGGUGUGCAUGACACAUUGAUAGAUGACAAGCUUGCUAGUCUACCAAUGGAAUUUGGUAAUCUUGUAAUUUUGGUGCCAGAUACAUCCAACGUCGUUAACGACUCUAAUUUCAAAACUGAGUCGGGGAGUUCAAUGAAGUCGUGACAACCCUCAAGAGAGAGGUGCCGCAGAUUAUGUAACUCUCCAAUUUGUUUUGGCAAUUUUCUAAGACGCCAACAUGACUCAAAACUCAAGUCAGUCAACCACCUCAGUUUUCCAAUAGAGCAAUCAAUUUCCUUCAAAGAAAAAAAAUCAAAAAUAGUCAACUUCUCUAAAACUAAGUUCUCGGGAAAGCUUGGCAUCUCAUGUAUCAAGUUAUUAUAACGAAUAGUGAGAACCUUCAAUUUCCUUGCCCCCUACAAAAGCCAACGAAACAUCAAGACGGACAAUAAAUAAAUAUGGAUUUGUGCUACUAAUGAGAAAAUAAGAUUAUAAAUCCAGCGGAUUUUGUCCUUCUUUGAAUGAGAAAAAUAGACUAAGAGGAAAACUGGCAUACCUUGAUUAGGCUCUCGAACGCAUCUUUUGUGAUAUCGAGCCCAAAAAGAUGCACCACAACCGCGUUUUCUAGAUGCAACAAAUUGGUUGCCUCCAAACGUUGAUUGGAUCGACAGCCAACUACUGCAUAAUUGUAACUCAAACUGAACCAUUUCAGCUUGGAAAGACAGCCCGUAAAGUCACCUUGGCAGAUUACCUUAUUCAUCAAGAGAAGCCGUAAACAUGGGAAACGCUUAAUUUGCUCUGAAGUGACAGUCAUACGAGGAUGAGUUAAACGAUUCCAUGACAAAUCGAGUGCUUCAACGCUGUUCUUGGUCUGCCAAUUCAAAGGAGAAGAAAAAACAAAACAGAAGAGUAGCUUCCGAAUCAAAAACGGGAAUCCUCAAUUAAGAAGAGGGUGUAAGAAAUUUUCUAGUCAAAUUUGGCCAUGCUUUACCUCUGUUGAUGUUAAUUCAGAAAUGAUGUCGUGUGUAUUCCACAAUCUAGUACGCUCAUUUUUGGCAAUUGCCCUUCCAAGAUCUCUAAAUUGAUCGUGCAUCCCAAAUCUAUCAUCGUUGAAAACCUUAAUCAUGCACCUCCUAGUAAGAACCUCGAUGGCAUCCUUUGGGCAAAACUCACAAUCUUUCCACAUGUACAUUGAAUUAGUCUUAUUGUGACCAAUGAAAAAGCAUGCAACAUCGAGGAAUAUCUGUUGUUGUUCCAGCUCUAAGGCAUCAUAGCUAAUCUUUAGCUUUCCCAAGACAUCUUUAUGAGGUGUCUUCUUUAGUUUCUCUAGCAUCUCUUCCCAUAUUUCUCUCUGUCUUUGAAAAAGCGAUGAACCUAUUGCUUCAAGAGCUAAAGGUAGUCCAUCUGUAGUAGAGACAAUGCUUUUUGAAAGAGUAUAGUAAUUGGCUAGAGGAGAGUUGUCGUCGAAUGCAUGCCUACAAAAAAGUUUGAGUGCGUCUUCGUCACUCAACCCCACCAUUUCAUAAUCCUUGAAUCCAUAUUUAGUUCCCCUGAUUUUCAAAACGCUGCUGUCCCUAGUAGUAACAAGUACUCUAGUACCAGGAUGCAAAGAUUUCUUUCCGAUUAGGUUUUGGAUCUGCUUGGCCUCAUCAACAUCAUCCAAUACAAUUAGCAUCUUCUUGUUGCAAAUUGUUUCUUCAAUCAUAUUGAUCCCAUGAUCAAUGUCGGAAAUGUUAGGAGCCACUCGAAAAUAAGAGACAUCGAACAAUAAUUUUUUUUGUAGCUCAACUAAGCCCUUGGUUUUUGCCGUUUCCCUCACGUCAUCAAGAAAGCUGCGGUUUCUCCCAAAGCAAUGAAGUAGUUGGUUGAAGAUAAUCUUGACAAGUGUUGUUUUACCGAUGCCACCCAUCCCAUAAAUUCCAAUGAACCGCACAUCAUUAGAAUCAAUGUCUAAUAAAUCUUUUAUGGUUACUAUAUGACCUUCCAUUCCAACUAAAUGUUCGGUUACAUGUUUCUGUCUUGUCUCGAGCCUGACCACAACCUCGUGAACAACCGCCUGGAUAAGUUUCGCAUAGCUGCCAACAAGUUGAGUAGUUUCAAUUGAGAAAAGGUGACAAAUUUGCAUGUUGACCAGCCAUCUACUAACCAACCAGGUGGGAACUCGAUCAAGUUUAGCAUAUAGAAGAGAAAUGUUUGAUCUUUGUAUCAAGUGGAAGAAUUAGAAUUUUUGGCCAAAAAGGGUAGAAGAAUCGAAAUAUAAAAAUCUAAUGAGUUACUAUAAUAGAAGAUUUAGUUAAAUAUAAAGUGGCCUGAUUGAACAAAAUAAUUUUCAGAGUAAUGGUUAGAUUGUUACCCAGAACAUUUCUCCAGCUCCCAUCCCUUGGUGCGACCAACUUCUUCGAGAGCUUGCUGCCAUGUCUUUAUAACCGUGGAGCUGAACUUAUUCUUCUGAUCCUCCAUCUUUUGCGCCAAAUUCGAUAUGGCAUCUUUGUACAACGGGGUUUUCAACUUCACGUCAUCGGGUUUCACGUCAUAGAAGAUGGGCAAUAUGACCUUCUCUUUCCCAUCUUCUUUAUAUUUAGAGGUGUUCUCCACCAUCUUCGCAAGCUCGUCGAGGCACCAGUGACUUGAAGCAUAAUCUUUGGAGAAGAUGGGUAUGUAGACCUUGGAAUUGUCAAUUGCUUGUAGAAGGUUGCCACUAAUUCUUUCACCUGGUCGAAGCCCUUCAUCAUCGAUGAAAACACUAAUCCCAGCAUUUACCAAGGCUAGGUAGAGGAUAUCGGCGAAUGUACGACGAGUAUCAGGCCCUCUAAAAUUCAAGAAGACCUGGUACUCACCUCCUGAUGGAUUGCUGGUGCUUGUUCCUGUCUCUGAGUUCACCAUCGAAGCUCACUUCGCACUUAGCAGGUUAGCCCUCUCACUUGGUCCUUGAGUUUGCCAUAUGACAUUUCACAUAUUUGAAUCCAAUCCAAUUUGCCGUCCAAAACGCGUAUAGGCAACUUCGUAGCAGGUGCAAUUUCCAGUUUGCAAUCAAUAAAGUCGAUGGCUUUAAAAAAGAAAAAUAAGGCAGAGGACAAUUAUGGAGGUGCCCCUUUUUAUACGCCCAAUUUCUUUCCAGUUUCCCCUUUGUGUUUUUGAACUUUUGGAUUAAAAAUAUUUGAUUCUUUAUAUCUAUAGUUAGGCAUAUUUAAAAUCCCAAUCUAGAAUUGUAAAAUGACAAUUUAUUUAUAUAGAGAAACAAAUUAUUCCUAAAGGAUCGCAUCUUAUUCUAAUACUUGGGACUGUAGAUAAUUAGAAAUAUCUCCUUCUUACUAUAGAGAUUGGAUUUGCUGCAUUCUCUACAACAAAUGCUCUACCUAAGCAUAUACGUACUACUUACUAUGAAAUAUUUGUUUUGAUCUCUUUGCCUUAAAGACUUCCUUUAAUUAUAAGUCAUUUCCUUUAACAACUCAAAUAUUCUCAUAAAAUGUGCCAUUAUAUUAAAAAGCAAAUGAUCAUUUAUUUUCUACUGAUGACUAUUAGAAUGUGAGCAUGGUGCAGUUAGUGUGCAUUGGACGUUAAACCAAAUCAAAUUAUAUAAAUAUGUUAGAAUAUAUUUCGAAUUUGAAAUUGUUGGAUGAAAUAGGACCAGAUGAGACUUAUGGAUGCUCCACCACUAUUCAAAAUUGGUGAGAGGAAAUGCAGUGAUGGCCUGUCAAUGGCCAUGAUGCCACUCCAUCCUGGUGUUGCUGUGAGCACGAAAGAAAGAAAAAGAAACCAUGAUGGUCUUGACCAUAAGAGAUGGCUUUGCUCACCUGAAGAAAGGGAAAACGAGAUCAAUGAUGGCCAUUGCCAAUAAUGGGCGGAAAGGGAAGAAGUCGAAGAAAGUGACGAGGACGAUGUCUUUUCAUGUUGGCCACUCGUUGUUUCCUUUCUUCUCUAUUUCGCUGAAUUUCCCCUUUAGAUACCAAGAGGAAGAGCUUUUAAUGUCACAGAGAACUCCGAAGCCUGCACAGAGCAUAUUGAAAAGCGUGCUGAAAGUUCCUCUUGAUCACACCAAAUAUUUCUUUUCUAAAGCCUAUUAAAUCUUUUGUUGAGAUUUGUAUCGUUUCUUUAAGAGAUUGAAAAAAUUAUUUUGAGAGAAAUUUUAAAAACUAAACAUUGUAUAGUUAUUGAGUAUAAUUAAAAACUGGAAACCACCAAGAGUAUUUAAAUGACUCGAGUGUGAUUAUAACUUUCAUUAUAUAUAUAUAUAUAUUUUUUAUCUAUAAUAGAAUCUUAUGCUGCUAUCCUUGUAGACGUAAACCACACAAUUAAAUCACAUAAAUCUAGUGUCCGAUUCAUUUUAUUGUUUUGUGCAUUUUAUUCAAUUGCUUUUUCUUUUUUCUUUUUUCAAAAGGGAAUAUGGUUUGAAGAAAAGUGAAACCAAAGUAAAAGAUAUUCAAUAUGACCAGCAUUAGGCAUUCAUGAACAAAUGCAUGAAAGAGUAUCUUUUAUUUUCUUAAGAUAUCGAUAAAUAUUUAUAACCUUAAACUUGUGGUUAGUGAUAGAAUUUGUCCCAUCGCCUGCUUAACAUUAACUCUGAUCAUGAGUACGAUAUUCAAUGCAAUCUACACGACCCGUUUCUUCUAAUGUCCCUUUGACAAUGCAUAGUGAUGUUCUUUUAUUGCCAUUUUCUCCGUUAAAUUGCGCUAGCCCGUGUGUUUCAGUUUGACUCCUUCAUUUUCCAUGACUUUACGGUCAAAUAUAUUUUAUUUAUUUAGUUUUGAACGCGAUAUAUCAAGAAAAUCAUAAAUUUGCAACUACAAUCUCGACAUAUUAAGUAUGUCUGUUUUGCAUGAUUUGACAUAGAUUUUCACGACAUUUGUUAAAGAUACAUUUUUUUGUUAGCAUGAUUUAACAUAUAUCGUUUUCAUAUUUCAUCUAUUAAAUAAGUUUUUGUUGAGAAAUUGAAAAUCAUUAUGAACAUUAUUCUUCAGAUUUUGAACCGUUGUAGUAGUAGUGAAGAUCAGAUAGAAGCUAGCCGCAAUUAUUUAUAUUUUGGUUUGUUUUAUUUAUAUUUGUUUUUCGUGGCGUUAUUAGUUGCUUUGACUUGUUGACUAAAUUGGAGCACUGUACGAAGUCUUCCAGAGGAUGACUUGUCCACAUUUAUUUUAUCUCAUUUAUAACACUACUAUCUAAAUCAUUCGACUCAAUUAAUACCGCUUUAUGCGUGCAAAUCACUCCAUUCACGUGCAUUCAGUUAGCUCCAUUCACAAGAUUGUUAAGGAGACAUCGGGGGUAAUGAGUAAAGGACACUGUGAUCAAAUUUGAACAAAACGUCGUUUCAAAAAUUGCAUUCAAAUUACACAUAAUGCAUUCAUGACGGUUUUUACAACAUUUCACUAAUUAUGUAUAAAACAACAAUCCUUCCAAAGAUAUGGCAAUCGGAUCAUAACUAUGGUCAAUAUUUGAUGCGCAACUUUCUACAACUCCGCAACACCUUUUGAAAAUGCUAUGAACAUGUACAUCUUAUGCUUUCAAGCCAUUGCCUCAAACGAUUGGAAUACAUGAAAGAUGUUAAUGCUUGCUUUUUAGUAAAUCGGAAGGUCAUGCGAUACCAUAUUACAAGAUCCCCAAAAGAUGCCAACAUGCCAUUCUUUGAAAUCAUGUUUUUACCUUUUAAUUAAUCAUGCAUGCUGCAUACAGCUUCAAUAAAUCCGAAAGGUUUUAGGCAUGUGAAAAUUGAUGUUAUCGGACGAUUAGCUUUUGGACCUAUUUCUUCAAUAGCUAAAGGUAGUCAAUAUGUGGUAUAGACAAUGCCUUUGAGAGUGUGUGGCUGGAGGAGAGUUGUUAUCGAAGGCAUUUCUACAAAAAAAGUUUAGAUGUGUUUAUUUUGAGUGCGCGCCUCAUUGUUCGUCAAAUUUCUGCCAUUCUUUUGUAUUGGACAAUUCAGUAAUAAUAACAUUACAUUCAUUAAUGGGAGCUUUUAUUACAUUCUUAAUGCGAAAAGCUUCUCCACCGUGUCAUCCUCCUUCAGAAAUUUACAGAAGAAGAAUCAAGGCAUUGCAUGAGAAAAGGAGAAAAGAAUGUCUAUUAUGAGAAAUAAACAAAGAAAUUCUUGAUUUGAAUGCGCGAAGUCCGGUGCCACUUUCUUUAGCGAGAGACAUCAUUUUGGACGUUUGUAUUGCGUGACUCACGUGAUUCAAUUGAAACUUAUGAACGACAACUUCAUAGCAGUUGCAGCUUUCAAUUUAUAGUCAAUAAAGUUGAUGGCUUUAGAAAAAACGAAAUGGAGGACAAUAAUGGAGGUGAACCUUUUUACAAGCCCAAUAUCUUUCGAGUUUCUUUGUUAGAGCUAACACUAUCACCUAAAAAAGGGUGAAUAGGUGAUUAUAAACAAUUAAAGCGGAGUUUAAAACAACCAAGUUCAAUAUCAUGAAAAACAAAAUCUAAUGAAAAACUUUGCAAUGAUCAGAUUGUCUCCAAAAUCUAAUGAAAUACUACACAAUAAUAAGACUUUACUAUGUGCAAUAAAUAGAAUAAAGGGAAAAUUCCAAAUAAGGACCCGAAGUGAACCAAUUUUCUCAAAUAAGGAUCCGAAAUGAACUUUGUGUCAGAUAAAGACCUAAAGUGGACCCAUUGUCUCAAAUAAAGACCCAAAGUGGUUGAAUCAAUUCCAAAUAAGGACCUAAGCUUGCUAGUCAACCAAAUAUUCGCUAACUAUCAAGCAUGUGACAUUUCCGACGAUUGGAGUUUGGGUAAUUUUGUCCAAAAAAAAAAUCUAGGGAAAAUUAACAAAUCAUAAAACAUAAACAAAAAAACCCUAGGUUUUCUAUGGUCUCCCUGUUCCUUGUACCCAUCCUCUGCAAAGUCAAAGACCGAGGUUCUCCCCAUUCCUUGUACCCAUCCUCUGCAAAGUCGAAGACCCAAAUUCUCUGCCGGUUGAGGCAUGAAUUCAAAAACAAGAACAAAACCAUAUCCUUCUUUCUUUGUUUGCGGAGACCCAAAUUCUCCGCCGAUCGAGCAAGGUGAGGAGCGACAAGAAUUGAGUCAUGACAAUGACCGGCUAGCGAUUUGGUUGAGGAGCAACGGGGGAGAAGAAAGAAGAAAAUGUAAACAUCUAAAUAAAUAACAUAAACUUAAUUAAUUUAGAAUUUUCCCUUUUUUCCAAUCACAAAUUUCUGACAAAAUUGCCCCUAUUUUAAUCGCUGAAAAAUGUCUGUCGGCGAGCUAAGGUCCUCAAUAGAGAUUAACUCGAGCACUUUGGGUCCUUAUAUGACACAAAAUUCACGUCGGGUCCUUAUUUGAAACAAUGGAUCCACUUCGGGUCUUUAUUUGACACAAAGUUCACUUUGGGUUCUUAUUUGAGAAAAUAGAUUCACUUCAGGUCCUUAUUUGGACUUUUCCCUAGAAUAAAUGAGUUAUUAAAGGAUAGAGAAAAUCGCACACAACAAUUAUAGUGGUUCGGCUUAUGAUAAAACUACAUUCACUCUCUCAUGCUACAACCUAUUGGUUGGAUUUCACUAUGAAUAACUAAUAAGAGGUUACAAGAUAUGAACUAUAAACACUCAAGUUCAUGCGUAUAACUCCUCACACACUCUCAACUUCUAAAUAAUUAUACAAUGAUACUCAUAGAGACAAAUGUAUUUGACCGCAAAACACUCUUUAGACUUUGGAAUUAUAAGUUUCGAUUCUCUUGUGUUGCGUUUUUCCUUUUAACUUCGAGACCUCCUUUUAUGCUUCUCCCAAACCAAGCUAACCAUUGGACAUAUAUCCAAAAAGAUUAUCUAGCCAAUCUACCUCUUGGCCUGGAUCUCAUUAAGAAUGUUUGAUCACUUUAAGGAUGCCAAGAAUAAAGCUUCUCAUAGAUUCUGCCGCUUAUACAGCAGUUUGGGUUUUCAUAAGUCAAGUGCUUCAACUUAGAAAGAAUGUUUCUUCUCAAGUAUAUCGUUCUAGGAAAGACGAAGAAUCCAAUCAAUCGCUGCUAACCUUUACAUGAGGAUAUUGUCUCAUUCUAGCUGUUUGAUAGAGUACAUAAGAAAGUCAUGACUCUGGUUUUGAUUGAUAUUGUCUACUCAUAUUCCAUUGGACUUUGCACUUGAAAAAUACUUAUCAUCAGAAUUGAAGUCUUUACGCUAGAUAAGUUUUGUCAAUCUUCAAAAUCAAUUUGGGAGAUUUUCUCAACAAUCUCCACUUUUUUAUGAUGUCAAAACUUUCCAAGUAGAACUUAAGAAAAGAUUUUAAAAAGAUUUAGUAAUCAAAUAGCUCUAUUGAAAGCAAUAUUUUAGAUAAGGCACAAUGUGAAUUUUAUAAGAACUUUGCUGAUUUUGUAAAGAUAAGUACAAACUUCUUACAGAAUAUUGAGCUUCAGAGUGAAUAAGAUUUGUAAGGAAAUUCCUUGAUUUGUGAAGAAAUUCCUUGCUCUGAUUAAGGAAGUUCAAGAUAAGAAUAGAUUCAAAGAACUUCCUUUUUUUUUAUAUAGCUCCUCCUGAGCAAGAUCACAAAAGAUCUUCAUCUACAUAUAGUGUUUUGCUUUUCUUGCAUUUUCUCUUUCUUUUUGUCAGCAUCACAAAAGAGACAAUAAUAAUGGAAGGAGUAUCACAUAGAGAAUAUGCUAUUCAGCUCAUCUUCACACACAAUCUUCAAAACAUAUUUAGCAUGAAACGAAAUUUUCAUAAACAUCUUAUAGAUGCUAUGGUGAACAUAAAAUAAUUGCAAUAUAGCUCAUGUUAUUAUAGAAUCAAAUACCAUAUACAUCAAUAUAUAUAUAUAUAUAUAUGAUAACAUAUGCAAUAUAUAAAUUUCAUAUACAUUUUUUGUCAUAGUAAAAUGAUAAUGGAAAUAUGAGAUUUAUAAUGACAAAAGGUAAGUGAAGUAAGAAAUAUACUAACCAGAUCAUGUAGAAUUUAGCAAGUUCUAAUAUACAUUAUAUUUUCUUCCAUAAUCAAGAGGAGGCAAAAAUUAAAUUGACUUAAUCAGGAUUUUCUCACACUUAAUUUACACUCCCUUUCAAUUUAAUGCCUUUAUGAGAUGAUCACGGUUCUUCUCCUUUAUUGUGCAUCCACUUUCUCAUUCUUUAAUAAAUUUAAUAAAUUUUGCGCCUAGAGGAGAAUUUUUGCUCCUUCGAAAAUGGUGUGGAAUCUUCGCGAUUUUUCUGAUCAAAUUUUCCAAAUUUUAGAUGGAAAGAUUAUUUGCCACCUGCAAUUUUUUUGUAAAAGAGAUAACAAUUUGCAAAAUAUAGAGAAUAUCACGUACUUUCCAUCCUUCAAUUUGCGGAUUAAUUUUGCCAGUUAGAAGAUAUGCUUCUUACAUAUAAAAGCACACAUUAAUUUCUUUCAAGAUUAAAAAGAUUAUAUUGUUUAAAAGAAAAUCUGAUUUUCAAAUGUUUAAAUCAUUUAUAAUUAUUCUGUAGCAAUGGUUAAACAUAUUUAUAUAGAUACAAAUGGAAUUUAUCUGUAUAAAUGCAUAAUAAGAAAAUAGUCCUAUAGAAAAGUUUAAGUUUAAGUGCAUUUAUUUCAAGUGAGAAGUUCGUUGUUCGUCAAAUUUUAACUAUUUUUUUGGAUUGGACAUUUUAGCAAUAAUAACAUUACAUUCAUUAAUGGGAAGAGCUUUUAUUACAUUCUUAAUGUGAAAAGCUUCUCCACCAUAUUAUCUUCCUUUAGAAAUUUACAAAAGAAGAACAAGCCCAUUACAUUAAAAAAGGAGAAAAGGCUGUUUGUUGUAAGAUAUGACGACAAAAUUCUUGAUUUGAACACCCAAAGUCCGAUGCCACUUUCGUUAAUGAGAGACAUCAUUUUGGAUGUUUGUAUCGCGUGACUCGUGAGAUUUAAUUAAAAGUGAGGAACAGGCAACUUCCCAGCAGUUGCGGCUUUUUAUAAAUAGUGAAUGAAGUUGAUGGGUUCAGAAAAAACCAGAUGGAGGACAAUUAUGGAGAUGAACCACUUUUUUCAGUCGGUCGAGAUGUGCAAUUAUGGAGAUGUACCAUUUCACACGCCCAAUAUCUUUCGCCUUUCUUCUUGGUGCCUUUGAACUUUUGAAUUAAAAAAAAAAUCCAAUUUUCAAAUGUUUAAAUGAUUUAUAAUUAUUCUAUAGCUAUAUCUAUAAUUAAACAUAUUUAUAUAGAUAAGAUCACAAUCUAUAGAAAUGUAUAAUAACAAAAUAUUCCUAAAGAAUAUCUCUCAUUAUGACAUAUGAGACUUUGGACAAUUAGAAGAUUUUCCUUCAAACUAUUGAGAUUGGAUUUGCUACAAUCACCGCAAAAAUGGUCCACCUAAGCACUACCUAACAGUAUGCUUACUACUCACUAUGACGUAUUUGUUUUGAUCUCUUCUCCUUAAAGACUUACUUUUUAUCAUAAUUAAUUACCUUCAACCCCACAAAUAUUGCAAUAUAUGUGCCUUUAUUUUGAAAAGCAAAUCUUUUACAACACUUAUUAUCUUAUUGAAAACUAUUAGAAUGUGAGCAUGAUAUAAUUAGUGUGGUUGGACAUCAGCCAAACCUAAUUAUAUAAACAUUGAAAUAUAUCUCAAGUCGGAGCCGAAUUAAAACCGGAUCGAAAGGGACUUAUCGACGCUCGUCCUCUAAUCAAGAGUGGUGAGAGGAAAUGCAAUGAUGGCCUGUCUAUGACCAUGAUGCCUGUCUAUGACCAUGAUGCCAUCCCAUCAUGGCGUUGCUUCGAGAGUCGAUAGAAAGAGAGACCGUCCUGGUCUUGACCAUAAGAGACGACUUUGCUCAGCCGAAGAAAGGGCAAAGAGAGAAUGAUGAUGGCCACCGCUGACACGAGACAAAAGGGGAAGGAAAACGACGAAGAAAGUUGCGAUAAUGGUGUCAUUUAACGAUGGCCACUCAUUGUUUCCUUUCUUCUUUAUUUGCUUCUAGUGAAUUUUCUCUGUGAAUACGAAGAGGAAGAGCUCUUAAUGAGAGCUCCAAGGACUGCACAACGAGAUUAAAAAUUUCCUCUUAAAAGUUUUGAUUUAAAAAGGUUUUCUUUGUGAAAUUACACAAAAUGAAGUCAAUUAAAUCUUGUGUUAACGUUUAGGUCAAUCUUUUUAUGCGAUUGAAAUAUUAUUUUGAGAGAAAUUAUGAGGGUUAAAUAUAGAGUUAAUAGUCAUAUUUGAGGGAUAAAAAUACAAAUAAUAUUUAAGUAACUCAAGUAUUAUUAUAAUCUCCAUUGCAUUGUAAUUUCAUGGUUUUCAUUUCCUCAUGGACGUAGGUCACAUAACCGAACCAUGCAAAUUUAGUGUUUGAUUCAUUUCCUUGUUUUACAUUUUUAUUCAAGCACUUGUUUUAUUUCCAACAAUAAAUAUGGUUUGAAGAAAAGUGAAAUCAAAUUAAACCGUAUUAUAGUCAAGAUCAAACCAAGCCAAACCAUUUUAUGUGGCUUGAUUCGGCUUAAUCGUUCUUUUUGCUUUUAUUUUACCUCUUCAUCAUAUGUAAUUUCAUGUUAAAAAAAAACAAAAAACAAAUUCUAUCCCACAACCCUUCCGAGGCGAGAUCCCUGAGGAAGUUACCGAAUUACCAAGUAAGCAUGAAUGGUCCCUUUUGCAAGGUGACGCUUGCUCUUGGCAGGAUCAAUCUCAACUUGGUUUCUAUUAAUUAUUUCAUUUGCUCAAGAGUCGCCAUUAAUUUUUUAUAAACCGAUUAGGAGUCAAGUAAAACACAAGAGCUUGUUUUACUUCUACAAACAAGAGAUUUGUGGGUCUAACGACUUGAUUAGGCUGGAUAUGUAAUGUGCAAUUAUUCAUGCGAUCUUCCCAUCUUAGUUACCCAUUUUGUUCUCAAUAUCGAGGGAAGAAGGCGAUCAUGCAUGAAAUCACUCAAGCAAACACAAAUAAAAUCCAAUAAUACUGAAACAAAUAGAGCAAAUAAAAGGUAUGAAAAUAAAAAAAUUGAGCCGUAUUGCAAAAAAAAUAAAACAAAAUCAAUACAAAGCUUUGUUCUUAAGCUCCAAUAUAGGACCCCUUGAGCUAUAAAUAGAAACUCGAUGUUAGAUCUCCAACUAUGGCUCCAAACCGGAAAGUCAAUAAAUGAUACUUCAUGAAUAUCCACUAUAUAAACUACUUUUCUAAAAUGUGGCUAAUCACUAAAAAUUGGCUGCGAACUCAAACCUUACUCCUUUCUCAUGGAAGAAUCGAGUUUUCAGUGUGCGCCUUCUGCAGUUCCGUUCCUGAUUCCGUUGACCACUUGUUUUUUGAAUGUGAGACCUCCACAACUCUUGCAUAUUUUUGGGCUUCCAGGUGUAAUCUUCCUUGGAGGAAUAGGAUGUAGGUGGAUAACUUGGCUUGGGCGUUAAAAUUCCUAACUGGAAAGGAUUUCUUUCAUAGUAUUGCACGUUUCUCUUUUGGGGCCAUGUGCCACCUUAUCUGGAAGAAGAUGAAUUCCAUCAUUUUUCGGGGAGAUUCAUUGGUGAUCCUAGCUAUGAAAAAUCACCUAAUCAAGAUUGUCAAGGACAAGGCUCUUAUGUUUAAUAAUGCUCCACCUACUCCAAGAAACAAAAGACUCCAGAGAAGCUGGGGAUUCGAUCCCUCCGUGUUUGAAUCAGCUACAUCUUCCUAACACCCCUCCAUUCUUCGCCUUUUGAUUGAGGGUCGACGGUCUGGUUUGUCGUAGUUUGUAGUGCUGUGGGUUGUUUAGCUUGUUCUUUUUGCCUUUGUAUCUUUUGAUUUGGCUCCCUCUCACUCUCCCUGUUUUCCCGCACCUAGAGUGUGAGCUUUGGCUCCGAAUUCUUGUAUUUUUUUCCUUUGCUUAAUAUAUUCUUACCCUUUACCAAAAAAAAAAAAACUACUUUCCUAAAAUGAACAAUUACUUCAAAACGUAAAAUCUACUCAAUGCAAUUUAUAUGCAUUAUUGGUAAAAUACACUCCUAGAUGUUUUUUUUUUUUAAAUUUUAUUUUAUGAAUAUGCAGUUUAUCUUUCCAUUUGUUUUUUUUUUCUUUUUUGCAUUUCCCCCUUCUUUAUAUACACACACACACAUAUAUAAGUGAAACAAAAUUUGAUUACGUGUUGAAAUAAAUAUGAACUAGAAUCUAUAUGCCAAAAUAAUAUGUAAUAUAAAUCCGGAUUUUCAUGAAAAUUUGCACUACGUUCACUUGGAAUUUUUUUUCUUUGGAAACGCUCAAUUGGAAUUUCAACCUUAAAAUUGCAUCAAGAACGACUUAGUGCACACGAGAAAAUAAAGAAAACUAAAGUGACAUAAUGCUAUGAAUUAGAGCCAAACUAAUCCACACUAUGCGAAAAUCAACGGUGGAUGAAUAAAUCUAUACGAAUAACCAAUUUUCUCUCUACCGCUUUUUUUAGGGCGCAGUUUAGCUAACCGUCCUCUGUCAAAUGACAGUCAACUAAUGACCACACAAUUCGCAUGGAUUCCAUCUUUUACCCUUUUUUUUUAGUUUUAUGUUUUCUUAUUGCAAGCUUAAAUUGAGAGAUAAAAUCAUAAGAGGGCCCAUACAAUCAAUUUUCAUGAAUAUUAUGAAAGAAAAAAUAAAUUAGAUAUCGAAAUAUAAAUAAUUAGAAGUAAAAAAUAUUGUCAUCCACUAAAAAGAAAUCAUUCAUUUCAUUAUGUAGAUUUAUUAAAUUUAAAAGAUGAAAAAACACUUGAAUUGUUGGCUUUGCAACUAAUAACAAAAUUAUUGUGCAAUGAAUUGGCUUCUCAAUCCUGUCACCAAAAUCAAAUUGCUUUGGAAGGACUCUCCGAUGACCUAAAAUUAAGACGAGUAAUGUUAAUUACGCAUAAAACAAAUGAAGUAAAGAAAAAGAACAAAAUAAGAAUAAUGAAUUAGUAGAGAAGAAAAUUUACCCCAUUGAUCCAAAUCUCGUAGAUGAAGAUGAUUUGGGACCUAAAAUAUUACAAAAUCAAUCUUAGGAUCACACGAGUGAAAAGUAAGCCGAAAUGAUUUUUGAUCAAUUUUUAUAAAUAAUUUACCUAAUAUAGCUUCAAUGUUUGGUUCGUUGAGAAGAUUCACAUAACCAUGAGAUAUGACCAUAUAUCAUUUUAUAUAGAUAAAAAGUCAAUUUAUAGGAAGGUAUUUUAAAUAAAAUAAUAAUAAUACGUAUCAGCCACUAUUGAAAACCCUCGAUUCUUUCCUGAUUGCAAAUCAAAUUUCAAGAAUAGUUAUGGUAACUCAUAUGAUCCAAAUUACCAAUUAUAUUUUGGUAUCUAAUUUAUUUUUUCUUUUAUCAUAUUCAUGAAAAUUGAUUGCGUGGGCCCUCUUACGAUUUUAUCUCCUAAUUUAAGCUUACAAUAACGAAACAUAAAAAAAGGGUAAAAGAUGGAUUUCAACCGGUUUCCAUCCAAAAUGUGUGGUUCUCAACUGACCGUCACUCCAUCAUUUGAAGGAGUGAUGGUCAGCUAAGCCUUUUCCACAUUUUAACUAGGGGCAUGCCUACAUAAAAGUUAAGUGCGUCUUCAUUGCUCAACCCAACCCACCAAUUCUGAGAAAAGUGACACAUUUGCAUGUGGACAAACCAUUUACGUAUAUCAAAGCCCAAAUCUUUCUCAUUUAUUUCGAAUUCAUUUGCAUUGCACAUUGUAGAAACAAUAACAUCACAUUCAUUAAUUUGAAGAAUUUUAUUACAUUCAUAUUGUGAAAAGUUUCUCCACCAGAUCAUCCUCCUUUAGAAAUUUAUAAAAGAAGAACAAGUUCGUUUCAUUAGAAAAGAAGAAGAGGAUGUUUAUUGUAAGUUAUAUAUGAUGAAAUUCUUGAUGUGAACACCUGAAUUUAAAUGCCACUUUUGUUUGUAAGAGAUAUCAUUCUGGACGCUUGUAUCCCAUGACUAACCUGAUUUAAUUAACAAUUAUGGACAGCUAACUUCACAGCAGCUGCAGCUUUCAAUUUAUAGUAAAUUAAAGUUGAUGGCUUCAGAAAAAGUGAGAUGGAAGACAAUUAUGGAGGCGUACCUUUUCCACGCCCAAAUUCUUUCGAGUUUCUUCUUGGUGCUUCUGAACUUUUGAAUUGAAAAAAUCCGAUUUUCACACGUUUAAAUCAUUUAUAAUUAUUCUAUAGCUAUAUCUAUGGUUAAAUACAUUUAGAUAAAAUCACAAUUUAUCUAUAUAAAUGCAUAAUCAUAAGUUUAAGUCUGUCUACGUCGCUCAACACACCAAUUCAUAAUCCUUGCAUUGAUACUUUCGUCCCCUGAUGUUCGAAACGCUCUUCUCCCUUGUGGCAAAAAGAAUCCUAGUACCAAGAUACAAAGAAUUCACUCCGAUUAGUUUUUGGAUAUGGUUGCCCUCAUUGACAUCAUCCAAGACAAUUAGCAUUCAUCAAUGUUAUCAAUUUCACUAGUCACUCUAGAAUAAGAGAUAUUCGACAGUUAUUUUUCUUGCAGUUGGACAAAGCCCUUUGUUUUUGGCGUUACCCUCACGUCAUCAAGAAAGUUGCCGUUUUUCCGAGAGCGAGGAUAUAGCUGGUUAAAGAUAUCCUUGGUGGGUUCUGAUUUAUUGAUGCUGCCCACCCUGUAGAUUCCAAUGAACUGCACAAUACCAAAACUGAUGUCUUAUACAGUGUUUAUGGCUGCUAUUCAAUCCUCCGUUCCAAUUAAAUCUUCGAUCACUUGUCUUUGUCUUGCAUUGAGCCUAACCACAAUCUCAUUUACAAUCGACUUGAUAAGAUUCACAUGGCUGCCACAAAGUCAGUCAAUUUCAAAUGAGAAAAGGAGACAAAUUGCACGUGGACAAAGCCUUUACAUAUAUCAAAGCCCGAAUCUACCUCAAUUGAUUUCAAAUGCGCAGCUCUUGUUUGCCAAAUUUCAGUCAUUCUUUUGCAUUGCACAUUUUAGAAACAAAAAACAUUACGUCCAUUAAUGGGAAGAGUUUUGUUACAUUCUUAAUGUGAAAGGCUUCUUCACAAGAUCAUCCACCUUCAAAAAUUUACAAAAGAAGAAGUGUGCAUCGUUAGAAAAGGAGAAAAGGACCCACCAAGAAAUUCUUGAUUUGAAUGCCCAAAGCCCGAUGCCACUUUCGUUAGUGCGGGACAUCAUUUUGGACACUUGUAUCGCGUGACUCACGGGAUUUAAUUGAAAAUUACGGAUAGGCAAUAAAGUCAAUAAAGUCGAUGGCUUUCGGAAAAAUGAGACAAAGGACAAUUAUGAAGGCGUACCUUUCACAGGCCCAAUUUCUUUUGGGUUUCUUCUCGGUGCCUUUGAACUUUUGAAUUAAAUAAAAAUCUGAUUUUCAAAUGUUUAAAUCAUUUAUAAUUAUUCUAUAGCUAUAUCUAUGGUUAAACAUGUUUAUAUAGAUAAGAUCACAAUUUAUCUAUAUAAAUGCAUAAUAAAAAAGUCUAAAGAAUCCUCUUUCAUCAUGACACAUGGGAUUAUGGAUAAUUAGAAGAUAUUUCUUCGUAUCAUUGAGAUUGGAUUCGCUGCUUUCACUAUAAAAAAGUGCUCCACCUAAGCAUAUAUUUACUAUGUAAUAUUUGUUUGAUCUCUUUGCCUUAAAGACAUACCUUUUAUAAUUAUUAAUUACUUUUAACCACUCAAAUAUUGUCAUAAACGUGCUUUUAUAUUAAAAAGCAAAUCUUUUACAACACUAAUUUCCUUAUUGAGAACUAUUAGAACGUUAGCAUGGUGUAGUUAGUGCUAUCAGCCAAACCAAAUUAUAUAAAUGUGGAAAUAUAUCUCCAGCCGGAACCCGAUCAAGUUAAGAUCGGACGAGAAUUAUAGAGGCUCGACCUCUAUUCAAGAGUGGUGAGAGGAAAUGCAAUGAGGGCGCGUCCGUAGCAAUGAUACCAUCCCAUCGAGUCGUUGCUUUGAGCGUGGAAAGAAAGGGAAAAUAUGAUGGUCUGGACCACGAGGGACGACUUUGCUCAGCUGAAGAAAGGGAAAAGAGAGAUUGAUGAUGGGACUAAAGGGUAAAAACGACGAAGAAAGUUGCAAUAAUGGUGUCUUUUAACGAUGGCCACUCAUUUUUUCCUUUCUUCUUUAUUUGCUUCUAGUCUUUAAAUUCGAAGAGAUGAGACCUCCGAGGACUGCACAGAGGAGACUGAAAAUUUCCUCUUAAGGGUAUGAUUUAGAAAGGUUUUCUUCGUGAAAUUACAGAAAAUGAAGCCGAUUAGAUCUUGUCUUAAUUUUUUAUAUCAUUCUCUUAUGAAAUUGAUAAAUUAUUUCGAGAGAAGCUGUGAGGGUUCAAGACAGAGUUAUUAGUUGUAUUUGAGGAUGAAAAACACCAAGAAUAUCUAAGUGCUUUGAAUAUGACUAUAAUAUCCAUUACUUUGUUUUAUCUAUAAAGGAAAUGUAUACUGAUUUUCUCGUGGACGUCCGAUUCAUUUCCUUAUUUUGCGCAUUUUUUUUAUCCUUUGUUUUAUUUUCAAUAAUAAAUAUGGUUUAAAAAAAAUAGAAAACAAACCAAACCAUAUUUUAGUCAAACCAUUUUCUGCGGCUUGAUUCGGCUUAAUUGUUCUUUCUUCUUUUAAUUUAUCUCUUCAUCAUUUGAAAUUUCAUGAGAAGAAACCAAAUUCUAUGUUGAGACCCUUCCGAGGUGAGAUCCCCAAGGAAGUUGUUGGAUGGCCAAGCAAGUGCAAAUGGUCCCCGUUGCAAGGCGACACUUGCUCUUGGCAUGAUAGGUCUCAACUUGGUAUUUGAUUAAGAGUCGCAGCUAAUUUUUUGAAGCAAAUAGGAGUUAAGUAGAAUGCGGGAGCCCGCCUUACUUCUACAAAUCGGAGAUUUGUGAGUCUAGAGACUUGAUUAGGCUGGAUAUAUCUAAAGCCCAAUUUGGUACUUUUAUUUCUCUUUUAAAAAAAAAACAAUUAUUCAUGCAGUCUUUCCAAUUUUAGUUACCAUUUUUAUUCUCAAUGUUGAGCAAGGCAAGUGAUCUCACAUAAAUUCACUCAAGCAAACACAUAUAAAAUCCAACAAUACCGAAACAAAUCUAGCAAAUAAAAGGUACGAAAAUAAAGAACCCGAGCUGAGAAAAAAUCCAAUACAAAGCCUUGUUAUUAAGUUCCGGAAUAGGACCCCUUAAGCUAUAAAUAGACACUCAUUGUAAAAUUUCCAAAAUAAAAUAUGGCCCAAAAAUGGAAAGUAAAUAAAUGAUACUUCAUGAAUAUGUACCAUAUAAACUACUUUCCUAGAAUGAUCUAUUGCAUCUAGAAAGUAAAACCUACUUAAUGCAAUCUAAAGCGCAAUGCAACGUUAAGAAAACAAAAUCUGUUUAUGAAUAUACAUGAUUUCUAAAAUACAUUGCCAGAUAUAUAUAUAUAUAUAUAUAUAUAUAUAUAUAUAUUAAUGAAAAUGCAGUUCAUCUUUUUUUUUUUUUCUUUUCCCCUUCUUUAUGGAUAUUGUAGUGAACCGAAAUUAAACAAAAAAUUUACUAAGCGCUGAAAUAAAUUUGAACUAGAAUAUGUAUGCCAAAAUAAUAUGUAAUAUAAACCCGGAUUUUCAUGAAAAUUUGCACUACGUUCACUUGGAAUUUUUUUUUGGGUCUAAACGUUCACUUGGAAUUUUAACCUUAAAAUUCUUCCAAGAACGAGUCAUUGCACACCAGAAAUAAUGAAAACUAAAGUGACAUAAUGCUAUGAAUUACAUCGAAACUAAUCCACACUAUGCGAAAAUCAAUCGUGGAUGAAUACAUCUAUACAAAUUCCCCAUUUUCUCUCUUCCGCUUUUUACAUUUAACUGAAGGCAUGCCUGCAAAAAAAUUAAGUGCGUCUUCAUCGCUCAAGGCACCAUUCGCCAUCCUUAAAUUUAUACUUAAGUCCCCUGAAAUUUGAAACACUCUUAUCCUUACUAGCAACAAGUAUUCUAGUACCAUAAUACAAAAAAAAUUCACUCUGAUUAGUUUUUGAAUAUGGUUGCCCACAUCAACAUCAUCCAUUAUGAUUAGCAUCUAUCAAUGCUAUCGAUGUCACAAGUCACCCCUGAGUAAGAGUUAUUGGACAAUAAUUUUUCUUGUAGCUAGACUAAGCUCUUAGUUUUUGACGUUUCCCUCAUGUCAUCAAAAAGCUGUAGUUCUUUCAAAUGCGAGGAUAUAGCUUGUCGAAGAUAACCUUGGGGGGGUGCUGUUUUACUAAUGCUGCCUAUCCCCUAGAUUCGAAUGACAGCACGUUACCAUAACCGGUGUCUAAUAAAUUGUUUGUGGCUGCUAUUGGAUCCUCCAUUCCAACAAAAUGUUUGAUAACUUGUCUUUGUCUUGUCUUGAGCCUAACCCCAACCUCAUUAACAACUGACUUGAUAAGAUUCCCAUAGGUGCCACAAAGUUAGAUGGUUUCAUUUAAGAAAAUGUAACAAAUUUGCAUGUUGACAAACCAUUUACAUAUAUUAGAGCUCAAAUUUGCCUCGAUCCAUUUUGAAAGCGCAACCGUUGUUUGUCAAAAUUUAGCCGUUCUUUUGGAUUACAUGUUUUAGAAACAAUAACAUUACAUUCAUCAAUGGGAAGAGUUUUAUUACAUUCUUAAUGUGAAGAGCUUCCCCACAAGAUUAUCCUCCUUCAGAAAUUUACAAAAGAAGAACAAGUGCGUUUCAUUAGAAAAUGAGGAAAUAAUACACUAUGAAAUUCUUCAUUUGAACACUCAAAGCCAGAUGCCACCUUCAUUAGUGAGAGACAUCAUUUUGGACGAUUGGAUUGGGUGACUAACGGGAUUUAAUUGAAAGGUACAGACAUGCAAUUUCAUAGUAGUUGCAGCGUUUAAUUUAUAGUCAAUAAAGUUGAUGGCUUUAGAAAAAAUGAGAUGGAGGACACUUAUGAAGGUGUAGCUUUCAGAGGCCCAAUUUCUUUCGAAUUUCUUCUUGGUGCCUUUGGACUAUUGAAUAAAUAAAAGUCUGAUUUUCAAACGUUUAAAUCAUUUACAAUUAUUCUAUAGCUAUAUCUAUGGUUAAACAUAUUUAUAUAGAUAAAAUCAUAAUUUAUCAAUAUAAAUGCAUGAUAACAAAAUAUUCCUAAAGGGUCCCUCUCAUUAUGAGUUGGAUAAUUAAAGGAUUUUUCUUCAUAUUAUUGAGUUGGAUUUGCUACAUUCACCACCCAAAAAAGAGAGGGGAAAUGCCACUGAAAACCCCAAACUUUGCCUAAAGUGACAAAUUUACCCUAAACUUUUUUUAUGACAUGAAAAAUCAUAAAUUUUGCAAACCGUGACACAUUUACCCCCAACCAAGGGCAUUUUUGUCUUUUUAUUUUCUAUUUUUCCUCCUUCUUCUUCUUCUUCUCUCUUCCCUCCGCUGGCCAUGGCGGAGCCAAUGGAGGGAAGCCGGAGUUAGGCAAGGGCCGCCCUUGCUAGUGUCAGGUGAGGGUGGCUCUCAGUUUGAGGGCCGCCCAAUACUAUGAUAAAUUUGUCACCUUGAGCAAAGUUUGAAGGUUUUAUUAUGGUGUUUCCUAAAAAAAAAAAAGAAAACUCCACCUGAGCUUAUUCUUACUACUCACUAUGAAAUAUUUGUUUGAUCUCUUUGCCUUAAAGACGUACCAUUUAUCAUAAUUAAUGACCUUUAACUGCUCAAAUAUUGUCAUAAACGUGCUUUUAUAUUUAAAAAAAAAAAUCUUUUAUAACACUUAUUUCCUUAUUGAGAACUAUUAGAAUGUGAACGUGGUGUAGUCAGGGCCAUCAGCCAAAUCAAUUAUGUAAAUGUGGAGAUAUUUCUCGACCCAGAGCCUGAUCAAAUCAGAUCGGAGGAAAAUUGUGGACGCUCGACCUCUAUUCAAGAGUGGUGAGAGGAAAUGCGAUGAAGGCCUGUCCAUAGCAAUGAUGCCAUCCAUCAUGGUGUUGCUUUGAGCGUGGAAAGAAAGGGAGACCAUCAUGGUCUCGACCAUGAGAAACAGCUUUGCUCAGCUGAAGAAAGGGGGAAGAGAGAGUGAUGAUGGGACAAAAGGGGAAGGAAAGCGACGAAGAAAGUUGCAAUAAAUGGCGUCUUUUAAUGAUGGCCACUCAUUGUUUCCUUUCUUCUUCUUUAUUUGGCUCUAGUAACUUCUGUCUGAAUUCGAAAAGAGGAGCGCUCCGAGGACUGCACAGAGGAGAUUGAAGAUUUCCUCUUAAAGGGUUUUGAUUCAGAAAGGUUUCUUCGUCAAAUUACACAAAAUGAAGCCAAUUAAUUCUUAUCUUAAUAUUCAUGUGAUUCUUGUAUGAGAUUGAGAAAUUAUUUCGAAAGAAAUUAUGAGGGUUAAAGACAGAGUUAUUAAUUAUAUAUAAGAGAUGAAAAAUUACCAAGAGCAUAUAAGUGACAUUAAAAAAAGAGAAAAGGAUACACGAAGAAGUUCUUGAUUUGAAUGCCCGAAGCCCGAUGUCACUUUCGUUAGUGCGAGACAUUAUUUUGGACGAUUGGAUCGCGUGACUCACGGGAUUUAAUUGAAAGUUAUGGAUAGGUAACUUCACAAUACCGCGAAAAUGAUGGCUUGGAAAUGGGAGGCUCGCCUUCGGCCGCCUGUGGCUUUCUCAACAGUGUUGCGUCGAUUUCCAACAACUUUUAAGAGAUUGGAGAUGGCUGGAAAUUCUUCUGUGUCUUUUUUUUUUCCUCUCAUUUUUUAAGUCAGUCAUAUUUCGGGCCAAACCCAGCCCAAAACUAAAUUGAUGCCUAUCCAAGAGGACUUGUUUAGGCCCCAACCCUUCAACCGGGCCUGAAGUUGAUCGGGCGGGGCGUAUUUUUCAAUAAAAAAGCCACCCAUUUGCAACUAUACUUCCGAUUACUAGACGCCAAAGGAACUCACGAACUCAUUGCUACACCAUUCUUUAUCUGCCGUAGACAAACAAGCAUUCCUAUUCUGUAACAUAGAAAUGGCGACAAUUUAUUGCUUAUGCCCAUUCAUGAUGAAUAUUUUCACCAAAAUUCAAUCAACUAAUAUUAAAUUAACGCCAAUAACAACUAAUCACAAUAUUCCAGCAAUAUUAACCCUAAAGCAGUAAAGAUAGUGCUGAAUAUUAAAGCAAGGGAAAACCAACACCUGUAAAAUUUUACAUGAAAAACACAAUACAGAAAAAAUCACGAGACCAGUCAAAAUCUUCCUCUAAUCACCAAGAAUAGCAUAAUACAUAAUAGUUCAUCUCAAAUAACACAGAGGCUCUUUCACCUAAACAAAACAUUAUCACCACAAAGGUGGAUUAACAUAAAGAAGCAAGAAAGAUCUAACCGCUGCUAGACAAAAUCAGGAGACAAUUUGGAGAAGAUUUUAACAAACACAGCCGAUCAACUUGUAGAUCAUGGACUCAUGAACAGCAUAUGAAAUUUUGGCCAAUUCUGACAAAGUGUCACUAUCGAAUUUAGACUACCUCUUCUCUUCUUCAAAGCAAAGUUCUUCGCCUCUUUUUCUCUAUAACAACGAAUUGUUCAUCCCUCUCUUCUAAAUCAAGAACAUUCAGCCCUAUCAAUUCUUUUUUCUUUUUAAUUUUAUUUAACAUGAUGAGAUGAGCCCCACAAGAGGUGGACCCAACCCAACAAACUUCCCCUUCACCUUAUGAAGAAGUUUCAUUAUGCCAGCAUUAUCUAUAUAAGAAUCAAGUUUCACCAUUGGCAAGGUUUUACUCAUCAUAUUAAUCCAUUAUCAUCAGUGUAGACUUUCUCAACUAAGAAAAGUUUCUCAUCUAAUUUAUUUCGAAUCCAAUGACAAGGAUAAAGCAUUAGUCUGGGUAAAGCAACCAGAUGCAAUUCUAGUGAACAUCACUCUAUCUUCAGCAAUAUGACAAGGAUAAAGCAUCCCACAUAAUGCUGUCUUGUAUUUGCACGAAUAAAUCUGAUCUUGUCGGAGGCAAGACCGCUCAUCUCUAAAUAAUAACAGUAGCUACCAAAGAGUUGAUAUAUUUAGAGCAGUAUCAUGAUUCACUCUCUAAGGAUAAACACCCUCUAGAAAUGGAGAGAUUGGUUUCCCUAUAUCUUCUUUAGUUUGCCUACAAACCAUAAAUGGUGGAAGUUGAGAUCCAUGGAGUAACCUGACAAGCCUAAUUUUCGAGCCACUAAAACAUGUGUGUUUACAAUAUUGUCUCUUUUAUUACGUAACCUUUUUGUUUUAAUAGGGCUUUUUUCGAAACAUACCGACAUCAAAGGCACUUUUACAGCAAUAAUAUCAGGUUAUAUUAGUGUUGUGUUUAUCCUAGACUAUGUUGGUACACACCUUCAAGGAAAUUGAAUGAAAUAUCGACCGACUAAAUUAAAGUUCAACGCAACCAAAUGCUAGGCUCUUAAGAAAUACUGCCCAGUAGAGAGACUUAUUGAUUAAUAAAUUUAACCAAAGCUCUCUCCAUUUUUCUUUUACACUGACGGUAGGCUUAACAAUAAUAUAAUUUUUCAUUUAAUCAUAUUAUGUUAAAUAUUAUUUCCUGGCAACCAAAUGCAGCCAGUCAAAUUCAAGUGAAGAAUUCAAUAAUAAUCGUGCUCCAUUUGUUUCACAAAAAAUAAAUAAUUUGAAAAAUAUUUUCCAAAAAAUGAUUACAUUAUAUCUCUUAAAAUAAUUAGUCAAUAAACAAUGUUUUCAUUAUAAAUAAUAAUUUUAUGUCUAAACAUUUUGGUGAAUGAUGAAAAAAAUACUCUAUCAUUUAUUUUUAUAAGUGAUACAAGAAAUUGAAAGUGAUAUAAAUAAUAUUUUUUGAAAUUUCAAAUCAUUUAUUUCUCAUGAAAUAAAAAGAUAACCAAAUAACAUUUAGCCGAAGAAAAUGAGUAAUUGGGCUCAGCUUUCGUUGGCCCAAAAAUUCUCUUGGGCUAAAUGAAACCUUCGUCCCUCACACUGACGAAAGAAAUUCUCAUCUUUCAGUCGACUUGAAGAGCAUUUUUGGUUCUAAAUCGAGCUCAAACCUUCGUUUUCGCUACUCAUCUUCGUUUUCAUCUAAGGUCUUCGGGGAGCUUCUGUGAGCGUUUUUCACUACUAGUCGUUACGCCGCCGCUUUUGUUCUUCAAUUUGAUAUCUAUUUUGCUUUUUUAAGCCAGUUUUCGUUGAUGUCGCGACUGUUUCUUGCUGAUUGGAUCGUCUUCGACCUGGGGCCGGAUGGUUUCUAGCUCGGGUAGAAAGAAAAUGUCGGAGAUCUCUUGUGGUGAUCGAGAUAGAUAGUAGUGUAAGAAGGUGCGAUGAAGAUUUCAGAAAUGUUAAGCGGUAAUUGCUGAUGGGUGUCCGUGGAAUUACUUCCGUUGGACGUGCUUGUUUGUCUGUCUAAAUGGCGUGCUUUAUUUGAACUGGUGAUUAUUUUGUGCUUGAGUCAGAAAUUGGGAAUGCGAGCAAUUUGAGCAUGGACUCAUCUUCUCCAAUUGGGAAAACAGAUGUGCCUAGUUCCCUUUCUUCCAUAUUAAUAUACAUGUGAUUGUUCUAAACAAAGUUGAACACAAUCUGUUGUUAAAUUUAUAGGAUCGUUACGAUCCUUGAUGACCUCACGAAAUUUUGUAAUGGGGCAUGCUUAAGAUUUGAUUCCGUGUUCAUUGAUAUGUGGCGUCUUACUGGAAGAUUGGCGAGCUUGCUGGCAAUGAACAUUUCAAGUACAUACUGUGUUGAAAAGGUAGGUAUAAAAUUUUUACUACUCUCUUCUUGUUCUCUUGUCCACUUUCUGCCAUUACUGAAAAUGACUUGGUUUACUGGAUUUGAGUUUCUGGGUUUGAUCUUGCACACAGAAAAAGGAUAGUUUUGAGUCGUUGAUUAUGGAGCACUUGAUAUUGAAUGGAGCAUUUUGGGGAUAGAACACUGUAGAUCUUCUUGGAAAACUUGGCACUGUGGAUUCAAAUGAAGUUGUUUCUUGGAUCCUGCAAUGCCAGCAUCUGUCUGGUUUGUAUUUAUUUGUCUCUCAGCUUCUUUUUUGCGAUUACCCACCAAGAACAUGUGGCUGACGGAACCUCCACUCCACAUUCAGUCAAGUUUUUCUUAUUUGACAGUAUGCUUAAGAUAUUAGCUUGGGAUUGACAAGUUCCAUCUAUUACAUUGAUGACCACGUCUUAGGAGUGAUUAGUGUUGCUUUAUUUAUUUAUAUUCUAAAACUUGACUCUAAAGAGCAAAGUGCAAAUGACACUUAGGGCUGCUUGUGCAGGUGGCUUUGGUGCCACAUAUUGGACAUGAUCCGCAUCUGCUGUAUGCACUCAGAGCCGUGCAAGUACUGGCCCUUUAUGACAAAUUAGAUGUUUUUGACAUCAAUAACGUGACAGAUUGUAUCCUUUGGAAUAAAGUGUCUUAGAUUCGCAACUUCCUUGAUGAUCUUACCUUAGGCUCUGAUGUCAAAUGUUCUACAUUGUUGUGCCUGAAUGAAGAUGAAUCUUUUUCUGGGGAUAUAUGCGGAGAAGCUGAUGCUCGGUGUGUUGUCCUCAUCUUUGAUCAAUUAUUAUUUUUGUGCUUCUUGAGGAUGUUUCUUAAAUAAUUGACAUCCCUUCACCCCUUUUUUCCCUUCGAAGGUUCUCUCAUUGUGCUAUAUGCUGUCUUGCGAUACUUGAAUGGUUGGAUUCGAUAUGUGGAGAAUGCUGUCAGUUGCAAAACUUUGGAUGGCGGGUUUGGUUGCAUUCCUGGUGCAGGGUCUCACCUAAAAUGAUAUCAUUGCACGCAGCCUUCGCUUCCAUCUUGAUGGUAUAAUCACUGCGUAAACCACUGAUGUCUAUCUAAGAUAUCCCAAGACAACGCACUAAUGUCCUUGCUCUCUCAACUAAUCUAGCUGGUAGUAGUUAACAGUUGGAGAAAACCAUCUGGUCUAGCUAUAUCUACAGGGAACUAUUUGUUGCCGAAAUGCCAACUAAAAUUCCAAAAUCUCACCGUACUAUCACAAAAGGUUAAGAAACUUCAGAGUUGCCUAAGUUAUUAUUAAGCUACGAUCUUCACAAGACAAUGAUCUCCUUAGGAUUGGUAUGACUAUAGUCUCAUAUAAAUUGAAUACAGUUUAAUAUUGGUGACAGUGUAUUUCGAGAAUGUAAACUUGACCGUAAGGCAUACUUAUUGAAUUUCAUAAAUCAUCUGUUUCGAAUAAUUUUUCUUUGCAAUUCUUAGGAUCCUACGAUGUGCAGUUCAAGAAGUCUAGAUUCGGGAUACAGUAGGUCCGCAAUUGAUGGCAAGUUUUCCAAUCUGAAUAACCUCAGGACUUAGUAAAGUAGUAAUCUGGAGAUUAACAGAACCGCUUAAAUCCUUGAAUGCUUUGCUGACUGAGCAAGUAAACACACUUCAAACGUGUAAAACGCGCAAUGAGCAACGAUUGCAAAAUGCAUUCUCGUAAGCAGCCACGGAGGGCCUCAAUGAAUUGCAGUUUUUUCCUCUCCCAGUUAAGCAAUAACGGAAGUUCCUCCUGUCCACUGUCCUGCCCUUGAAUAAUAUAGAGCAAAUCUAGCAACCCAACCAAAUCCAGCAAGUAUGUCAUAACCUCAUGCUGAGCUCUUUCGCUGGUUUCUAAUAUCUGGCUGGUUUCUAAUAUCUGAUUGGUGCAUAGUAAGUCAUGUAUUUGCUUAAAUACAUUAUGGUCUUCUAAUUAUGCUCCAAUGAACACAUCCAAAAGAUAAAACCAAGUCGCCGCAGUUUUAAGACAUUCCUUAGGACUCUUCUUAGACAAGAGAAAGUACAAAGGAAUUGAUAAUUUCCAGUGGAGACUUAGGCAUAAAACAAUGAAGGACCAAGCAAGAAAAUUAAGAAGCACAAGAGCCUGAUCAAAUAUCUUUCAAUUCAAAUAAGAAGAUAUUUGCAAAACGGAGAACUGGAACGUGGGAGUAAUCGUGAAGCAAUAAGAUUUGGUGUUUCUACUUCAACGGAUAACAAAACCGUGUGUAUUUUGUGUAGCCAAUUGUCGAGUCGAUCACGUAGUAAAUUUGACCUGUGGAAUCCUCACCCAUAAGCAGCAGACCUCAAUAAAGCAAUGGAAACCACAACUGCCCAAAACAUGAAAGAAAAAGAAAAGCUGGACAUCCCAUUUUAAUUCUACAUGAUGGACCAAGAAGAGAAGCACUCGUUGCUUCUUUUUCAAUCAUCAAGAGCUCCUCACAGGUAAUAGACAGCUCCUCACAUGUAAUAAAGAGACAGUGGAUACUCAUUAAACCAACCAUUACCCAAACCUUAGAAUAUACUUACAGACGAACUCUUCAAGAGAAGAUGCUCAACAUCUUGUGCACAUGAUUAUGCUCAAUCGAGCAGUCCACGAAAGCAUAGUAACAUAACUAGACUAGGCAUACAGACCCUUAUACAACUAUUAGCAUAUGAAGCUAGAGCUAGAGCUCAAGCUCAUGCUUAAUAUUUAAAGAUAAAUCACACAAUUACAUUAAUCUAAACACCAACUGCCACACCAAAAAAAACACCCAAAAAAAAAAGAACAAAACCCUCUCUGUCCUCACCACUCUUACCUGUCCCUCCUCCUGAUUAGCUAGUGAUCCAGAGCUUGAGUUCAGGCCCAUGACUCCCGCCAUAGAUGAAAUUAAUGAACGCACCAAAUUCCUCCAGCUGAGCGGCGCUAAAGAAGAAAAUGUGCACUAGAGUGAAAAGUGGCGCUGGAGAAGGGCUUGAAGCUCACAAACCUGGAACUUGAAGCUCGUGAAGAAGGACUUGAAGCUUGUGGACGACGAAGAAAGAAGAGACGAUGGCAACCGACACGGCCAACGACGGACUGAAGUUCNNNNNNNNNNNNNNNNNNNNNNNNNNNNNNNNNNNNNNNNNNNNNNNNNNNNNNNNNNNNNNNNNNNNNNNNNNNNNNNNNNNNNNNNNNNNNNNNNNNNGCCGUUCGCCGCUCGCCCAAUCGCCCCUGACACCGCUCGCCCAGCUGCCCCUGACGCCACCCGCCGCUCGCCCAGCCGCCCUGACGCCGCUCGCCCGGUCACCCCUGACGCUGCUCGCCCCCAACGCCGCUCGCCCAGUCGCCCCCGACGCUGCUUGCCCCCGACGCCGCUCGCCCAGUCGCCCACGACGCUGCUCCCCCCCUGACGCCUAAGCACAUCAGAUGCCUCCCGCUCGGUCAGUUCUUACAACAAUUUGGUACCAUUUAUUGAAAGAAUCGAGUCAAAUAAUACACUUUAAGAUAGUUUGGGAUUGUGAUCAUAUCACAAUUUUCAUCAUGGGCUUGUAUCAUGUGAUGGGAAAUCUUCAAGUUGAAUAUCAGAUGACAGAGGUCCUCAAAGAUUUCUGUGGCACUUCUGCACCAUUGUAGUUCCAAGUGCUUAUUGAUCUAACUUAAUGUUUUAUUUUCUUUCAAGUACCCCUUUCAACAUAUCAAAGAAAUUUGAUGGAGAAACAGUAACAGAGAUUGUCUGUCCCCGCCUUGCAAGGAUUAGAUAUCGUGUUAAGAGAUUGCCUUAUGAUCUCAUUCUCCAUAUGCAGAGAUUUACAAUUUAUUUAUUAUUAUUAUUAUUUUUUAUUUUUAUUAUUAUUUUUUAUUUUUGGUGGAGAAGAACCCAACUCUAGUUAAAGCAGAAAUAGAAAGCAAGCAAAGCAGAAGAAACAACAAUGAUUAAUGAACAGAAAGAAGGCGCACCGUUUUCUGUAGAGGAUCCCCUGUUUCUGUUUCAAAGUUCGUUGUUUCAAUUUCAGAGCCCGGCGCUUGCUUUGUUCUGCUCAAAAUCUUCUCUCUGUAAGACUCCCAAGUGUCGAAAUAUCGAAUGCUGAAAAGUUCACUAUCUAAUUCAAUAUCGUCGGAUAACUUCUCGCGUGGUAUGCUUAUCUUGCAAUUAUCUGGUUUUUUUGAGCUCAAUACAUCAAAAAUCCUUUCGAAUAUGCACCCACUAAUUUCCAAGGAACAUGAAGACUUUAGUUCGUAAAUACCCUCAAUAACCUGCAAGCUGGGGCACUGGUCAAUGUUUAUCCACAAGUUCUCCAAGUUUGACAAACUGCCUAAGCUUUUUAACGAAGAGCACUGGUUAAUGUUUAACUGCUUCAAGUUCUUCAAGUUUGACAAGCCGCCUAAGCUUUUUAACGAAGAGCACUCACGAACGUAAAUUUCUUCCAAUGAUUUGAACGUAGAAUCAAAUUGAAUAUCCUGUACCUCAUGGGACCCCGACAGAUUGAAACUUCUAAGCAUCUUUCGGGAGCUUGGGAAAAGGAUCGCUUCCCUCCAAUGAUCAGUCAACUCGGGAGCUUGUAGUUCACUGCACCCCCGCUCCUCCGGGUGACGAACCAUACUCUUGGAAGAUCUAUGGACUUUUGAUCUCGAAGCAUCAAAAAUCCUUUCCAAUGAUCUGCACCCCCCAAUUCGCAACCAACGCAAAAACUCCAGUUCGUCAAUGCCCUCAACAACCUUCAGGCUCGGGCACUGGUGAAUCUCUAACCACUUCAAGUUCUUCAAGCUUGACAAACCGCCUAAGCUUUUUAAUGAAGAGCACUCUUUAACAGAAAAUUCUUCCAAUGAUUCUAACGGAGAAACAAAUUGAAUAUCCUGUACCUCUGGGAACCCCGACAGACAGCAUUUUAUAAGCAUGUUUAGGAAGCUGGGGAAAAGGAAGGCUUCCCUCCAAUGAUCAAUCAACUCAGGAGCUUGUAUUUCACUGCAACCCGGCUCCUCCGGCUGACAAGCCAAACUCUCGGAAGAUUUGCAGUCCUGAAUACGUGAUCUCUCCGACGAUUCUAAGACAUUGGGAGAUUGAACAUCUAGUUGCUCGUACGCCUUGCUUUCUUUCGAUAUUCCCGAACUUGUUGGAAGGAAUGGAGUCUCCUUUUCCGAUGGAGGAAGCCCAUCGAGUUGUACUUUUUUCCCUCUAGUUUCGUAAAGAUCUACAACCAUCAAGUUUGACGGAAGUUGUUUGAAAGGUGGCAAGUCCAUUCCGCGUAGAGUAAGUUCCUUCAGCAGAGAAAGGGAACACAACUGUGUAGUUGGGGCGCGGACAUUUGGAAAGGAAAAGUACAGCUUCCUCAGUUUGGAUAACAUGCCAAUCCACCGCAAAUCGCAAGUUUGAAUUGCAUUUGAUGUGUCUCUAAAUUCAGAGCCAUUGGAUAAGUGCAGCUCAACUAGAUUAGUAAGGUAUAAGAGGUUAGGGACAGUCAGCAACGAAGUAGAACUUAGCUUUAGAGUGGUCAAACAUUGGGGGAGUUCUGGCAACUCUUGUAUCCAACCACAAUCCAUCAAGCUUAGUGUUUGGAGUUGAUGAAACUUGCUGAUUGUACUGGGCAUUCCUGCAAUUGGUGUGCAUGACACAUCGAUAGAUGACAAGCUUGCUAGUCUACCAAUGGAAUCUGGUAAUCUUGUAAUUUUCGUGCCAGCUACACAUAACGUCAUUAACGACUCUAAUUUCAAAACCGAGUCGGGGAGUUCAAUGAAGUCCUGACAACUCUCAAGAGAGAGGUGCUGCAGAUUAUGUAACUCUCCAAUUUGUUUUGGCAAUUUUCUAAGACACCAACAUGACUCAAAACUCAAGUCAGUCAACCACCUCAGUUUUCCAAUAGAGCAAUCAAUUUCCUUCAAAGGAAAAAAAUUAACUAUAGUCAACUUCUCUAAAACUAAGUUCUCAGGAAAGGUUGGCAUCUCAUGUAUCAACUCAUUAUAACGAAUAGUGAGAACCUUCAAUUUCCUUGCCCCCUACAAAAGCCAACGAAACAUCAAGACGGACAAGAAAUAGAUAUGGAUUUGUGCUACUAAUGAGAAAAUAAGAUUAUAAAUCCAGCGGAUUUUGUCCUUCAUUGAAUGAGAAAAAUAGACUAAGAGGGAAACUGGCAUACCUUGAUUAGGCUCUCGAACGCAUCUUUUGUGAUAUCGAGCCCAGAAAGAUGCACCACAACCGCGUUUUCUAGAUGCAACAAAUUGGUUGCCUCCAAACGGUGAUUGUAUUGAGAGUUAACUACUAAAUAACGGUAACUCAAGCUGAACCAUUUCAGCUUGGAAAGACAGCCCGUAAAGUCACCUUGGCAGAUUACCUCAUCCAUCAUGAGAAGCCAUAAACAUGGGAAACGCUUAAUUUGCUCUGGAGUGACAGUCAUACGAGGAUUCCGUGACAAAUCGAGUGCUUCAACGCUGUUCUUGGUCUGCCAAUUCAAAGAAGAGAAGAAAAAACAAAACAGAAGAGUAGCUUCCGAAUCAAAAACGGGAAUCCUCAAUUAAGAAGAGGGUGUAAGAAAUUUUCUAGUCAAAUUUGGCCAUGCUUUACCUCUGUUGAUGUUAAUUCAGAAAUGAUGUCGUGUUCAUCCCACAAUCUGGUACGCUCGUUUUUGGCAAUUGCCCUUCCAAGAUCUCUAAACUGAUCGUGCAUCCAAAAUUUAUUGUCUAAAACCUUUAUCAUGCACCUCUGACUAAGGACUUGGAUGGCAAGCUGUGGGCAAAACUUACAAUCUUUCCACAUGUACAUUGGAUUAGUCUUAUUCUGACCAAUGAAAAAGCAUGCGACAUCGAGGAAUAUCUGUUGUUGUUCUAGCUCUAAGGCAUCAUAGCUAAUCUUUAACUUUCCCAAAACAUCCUUAUGAGGUGUCUUCUUUAGCUUCUCUAGUGUCUCUUCCCAUAUUCCAUUCUCUUUAAUAUUAAAAAGCAUUGAACCUAUUGCUUCAAGAGCUAAAGGUAGUCCAUCUGCAGUAGAGACGAUUGCUUUUGAAAGAGUGGAGUAAUUGGGCAGAGGAGAGUUGUCAUUGAAGGCAUGCCUACUAAAAAGUUUAAGUGCGUCUUCCUCGCUCAACCGCAUCAUUUCAUGCUCCUCGAAUUUGUACUUAAAUCCACUGAUAUUGAAAACACUCUUGUCCCUAGUAGUAACAAGUAUUCUAGUACCUGAAUACAAAAUUUUCUCUCCGAUUAGUUUUUGGAUAUGCUUGGCCUCAUCAACAUCAUCCAAUACAAUUAGCAUCUUCUUGUUGCAAAUUGUAUCUUCAAUAAUAUUGGUCCCAUGAUCAAUGUCAGAAAUGUAAGGAGCCGCUCCAGAAUAAGAGACAUCGGACAAUAAUUUUUUUUGUAGCUCAACUAAGCUCUUGGUUUGUGCCAUUUCCCUCACGUCAUGAAGAAAGCUGCAGUUUCUCCCAAAGUGAGGAAGUACUUGGUUAAAGAUAAUCUUGGCGAGUGUUGUUUUACCGAUGCCGCCCAUCCCGUAGAUUCCAAUGAACCGCACAUCUUUAGAAUCAAUGUCUAAUAAAUCUUUUAUGGUUGCUAUUCGGCCUUCCAUUCCAACUAAAUGUUUGGUUACAUGUUUCUGUCUUGUCUCGAGCCUGACCACAACCUCGUGAACAACCGCCUGGAUAAGUUCCGCAUAGCUGCCAACAAGUUGAGUAGUUUCAAUUGAGAAAAGGUGACAAAUUUGCAUGUUGACCAGCCAUCUACUAACCAACCAGGUGGGAACUCGAUCAAGUUUAGCAUAUAGAAGAGAAAUGUUUGAUCUUUGUAUCAAUUGGAAGAAUCGGAAUUUUUGGCCAAAAAGGGUAGAAGAAUCAAAAUAUAAACAUCUAAUGAGUUACUAUAAUAGAAGAUUUGCUUAAAUAUAAAAUGGCCUGAUUGUACAAAAUAAUUUUCAGAGUCAUGGUUAGAUUGUUACCCAGAAUAUUUCUCCAACUCCCAUCCCUUGUUGCAACAAACUUCUUUGAGAGCUUGCUGCCAUGUGUUUAUAUCCGCGGAGCUGAACUUAUUCUUCCGAUCCUCCGUCUCUUGCGCUAAAUUCGAUAUGGCAUCUUUGUACAACGGGGUUUUCAAUUUCACGUCAUCGGGUUUCACGUCGUAGAAGAUGGGCAAUAUGACCUUCUCUUUCCCAUCUUCUUUAUUUUUAGAGGUGUUCUCCACCAUCUUCGCAAGCUCGUCGAGGCACCAGUGACUUGAAGCAUAAUCUUUGGAGAAGAUGGGUAUGUAGAGCUUGGAAUUGUCAAUUGCUUGUAGAAGGUUGCCACUAAUUCUUUCACCUGGUCGAAGCCCUUCAUCAUCGAUGAAAACACUAAUCCCAGCAUUUACCAAGGCUUGGUGGAGGAUAUCGGUGAAUGUACGACGAGUAUCAGGUCCUCUAAAAUUCAAGAAGACCUGGUACUUACCUCCUGAUGGAUUGCUGGUGCUUGUUCCUGUCUCUGAGUUCACCAUCGGAGCUCACUUCGCACUUAGCAAGGUCAGCCCUCUUACUUGGUCUUUGAGUUUGCCAUAUGACAUUUCACAUAUUUGAAUCCAAUCCAAUUUGCCGUCCAAAACGCGUAUAGGCAACUUCGUAGCAGGUGCAAUUUCCAGUUUGCAAUCAAUAAAGUUGAUGGCUUUAAAAAAGAAAAAUAAGGCGGAGGACAAUUAUGGAGGUGCCCCUUUUUAUACGCCCAAUUUCUUUCCAGUUUCCCCUUUGUGUUUUUGAACUUUUGGAUUAAAAAUAUUUGAUUCUUUAUAUCUAUAGUUAGGCAUAUUUAUAAUCCCAAUCUAGAAUUGUAAAAUGACAAUUUAUUUAUAUAGAAAAACAAAUUAUUCCUAAAGGAUCGCCUCUUAUUCUAAUACUUGGGACUGUAGAUAAUUAGAAAUAUCUCCUUGUUACUAUAGAGAUUGGAUUUGCUGCAUUCUCUACAACAAAUGCUCUACCUAAGCAUAUACGUACUACUUACUAUGAAAUAUUUGUUUUGAUCUCUUUGCCUUCAAGACUUCCUUUAAUUUUAAGUCAUUUCCUUUAACAACUCAAAUAUUCUCAUAAAAUGUGCAAUUAUAUUAAAAAGCAAAUGAUAAUUUAUUUUCUACUGAUAACUAUUAGAAUGUAAGCAUGGUGCAGUUAGUGUGCAUUGGACGUUAAACCAAAUCAAAUUAUAUAAAUAUGAUAGAAUAUAUUUCGAAUUUGAAAUUGUUGGAUGAAAUAGGACCAGAUGAGACUUAUGGAUGCUCCACCACUAUUCAAAAUUGGUGAGAUGAAAUGUAGUGAUGGCCUGUCAAUGGCCAUGAUGCCACUCCAUCCUGGUGUUGCUGUGAGCACGAAAGAAAGAAAAAGAAACCAUGAUGGUCUUGACCAUAAGAGAUGGCUUUGCUCAACUGAAGAAAGGGAAAACGAGAUCAAUGAUGGCCAUUGCCAAUAAUCGACCGAAAGGGAAGAAGUCGAAGAAAGUCACGAGGACGAUGUCUUUUCAUGUUGGCCACUCGUUGUUUCCUUUCUUCUCUAUUUGGUUCUGCUGAAUUUCCCCUUUAGAAACCAAGAGGAAGAGCUCUCAAUGUCAUAGAGAGCUCCGAAGGCUGCACAGAGCAUAUUGAAAAGCGUGCUGAAAGUUCCUCUUGAUCACACCAAAUAUUUCUUUUCUGAAGCCUAUUAAAUCUUUUGUUGAGAUUUGUAUCAUUUCUUUAAGAGAUUGAAAAAAUUAUUUUGAGAGAAAUUUUAAAAACGAAACAUUGUAUAGUUAUUGAGUAUUAGAAACUAAAAACCACCGAGAGUAUUUAAAUGACUCAAGUGUGAUUAUAACUUUCAUUAUUUUUUUUUAUCUAUAAUGGAAUCUUGUGCUGCUAUCUUUGUAGACGUAAAUCACACGAUUGAAUCAUAUAAAUCUAGUGUCCGAUUCAUUUGUUGUUUUGUGCAUUUUAUUCAAUUGCUUUUUUUUUUCAAAAGGGAAUAUGGUUUGAAGAAAAGUGAAACCAAAGUAAAAGAUAUUUAAUAUGACCAGCAUUAGGCAUUCAUGAACAAAUGCAUGAAAAAGUAUCUUUUAUUUUCUUAAGAUAUCGAUAAAUAUUUAUAACCUUAAACUUGUGAUUAGUGAUAGAAUUUGUCCCAUCGCCUGCUUAACAUUAACUCUGAUCAUGAGUACGAGAUUCAAUGCAAUCUAUACGACCCGUUUCUUCUAAUGUCCCUUUGACAAUGCAUAGUGAUGUUCUUUUAUUGCCAUUUUCUCCGUUAAAUUGCGCUAGCCCGUGUGUUUCACUUUGACUCCUUCAUUUUCCAUGAUUUUAUAGUCAAAUAUAUUUUAUUUAUUUAGUUUUGAAUGCGAUAUAUCAAGAAAAUCAUAAAUUUGCAACUACAAUCUUGACAUAUUAAGUAUGUAUGUUUUGCAUGAUUUGACAUAGAUUUUCACGACAUUUGUUAGUGAUACAUUUUUUUUUGUUAGCAUGAUUUAACAUAAAUUAUUUUCAUAUUUCAUCUCUUAAAUAAGUUUUUGGUGAGAAAUUGAAAAUCAUUAUGAACAUUAUUCUUCGGAUUUUGAACCGUUGUAGUAGAAGUAGUGAAGAUCAGAUAGAGCCUAGCCGCAAUUUGGUUUGUUUUAUUUAUAUUUGUUUUUCGUGGCGUUAUUAGUUGCUUAGACUUGCUGACUAAAUUGGAGCACUGUACGAAGUCUUCGAGAGGAUGACUUGUCCACAUUUAUUUUAUCUCAUUUAUAACACUAGUAUCUAAAUCAUUCGACUCAAUUAAUACCGAUUUAUGCACGCAAAUCACUCCAUUCACGUGCAUUCGGUUAGCUUCAUUCACAAGAUUGUUAAGGAGACACCGGGGGUAAUGAGUAAAGGACACUGUGAUCAAAUAUGAACUAAACGUCGUUUCAAAAAUAGCAUUCAAAAUACACAUAAUGCAUUCAUGACUGUUUUUACGAACCCAACAUUUCACAAAUUAUGUAUAAAACAAUAAUCCUUCCAAAGAUAUGGCAAUCGGAUCAUAACUAUGGUCAUCUUUGAUGCGCAACUUUCUACAACUCAGCAACACCUUUUGAAAAUGCUAUGAACAUGUACAUCUUAUGCUUUCAAGCCAUUGCCUCAAAUGAUUGGAAUACAUAAAAGACGUUAAUGCUUGCUUUUUAGUAAAUCGGAAGGUCAUGCGAUACCAUAUUACAAGAUCCCCAAAAGAUGCCAACAUGCCAUUCUUUGAAAUCAUGUUUUUACCUUUUAAUUAAUCACGCAUGCUGCAUACAGCUUCAACAAAUCCGAAAGGUUUUAGGCAUGUGAAAAUUGAUGUUAUCGGACGAUUAGCUUUUGGACCUAUUUCUUCAAUAGCUAAAGGUAGUCAAUAUGUGGUAUAGACAAUGCCUUUGAGAGUGUGUGGCUGGAGGAGAGUUGUUAUCGAAGGCAUUUCUACAAAAAAGUUUAGAUGUGUUUAUUUUGAGUGCGCGCCUCAUUGUUCGUCAAAUUUCUGCCAUUCUUUUGUAUUGGACAAUUCAGUAAUAAUAACAUUACAUUCAUUAAUGGAAGCUUUUAUUACAUUCUUAAUGCAAAAAGCUUCUCCACCGUGUCAUCCUCCUUCAGAAAUUUACAGAAGAAGAAUCAAGGCGUUGCAUGAGAAAUGGAGAAAAGAAUGUCUAUUAUGAGAAAUAAACAAAGAAAUUCUUGAUUUGAAUGCCCGAAGUGCGAUGCCACUUUCUUUAGCGAGAGACAUCAUUUUGGACGUUUGUAUCGCGUGACUCAUGCGAUUCAAUUGAAACUUAUGAACGACAACUUCAUAGCAGUUGCAGCUUUCAAUUUAUAGUCAAUAAAGUUGAUGGCUUUAGAAAAAAAUGAAAUGGAGGACAAUAAUGGAGGUGAACCUUUUUACAAGCCCAAUAUCUUUCGAGUUUCUUUGUUAGAGCUAACACUAUCACCUAAAAAAAAGGUGAAUAGGUGAUUAUAAACAAUUAAAGCGGAGUUUAAAACAACCAAGUUCAAUAUCAUGAAAAACAAAAUCUAAUGAAAAACUUUGUAGUGAUUAGAUUUUCUACAACGUCUAAUGAAAAACUACACUAUAAUAAGACUUUACUAUGUGCAAUAAAUAGAAUAAAUGAGUUAUUAAAGAAUAGAGAAAAUCACACACAACAAUUAUAGUGGUUCAACUUAUGAUAAACCUACAUUCACUCUCCCAUGCUACAGCCUAUUAGUUGGAUUUCACUAUGAAGAAUUAAUAAGAGGUUACAAGAUAUGAACUAUAAACACUCAAGUUCAUGCGUAUAACUCCUCACACACUCUCAACUUCUAAAUAAUUAUACAAUGAUACUCAUAGAGACAAAUGUAUUUGACCGCAAAACACUCUUUAGACUUUGGAAUUAUAAGUUUUGAUUCUCUUGUGUUGCGUUUUUCCUUUUAGCUUCGAGACCUCCUUUUAUACUUCUCCCAAACCAAGCUAACCAUUGGACAUAUAUCCAAAAAGAUUAUCUAGCCAAUCUACCUCUUGGCCUGGAUCUCAUUAAGAAUGUUUGAUCACUUUAAGGAUGCCGAGAAUAAAGCUUCUCAUAGAUUCUGCCACUCAUACAGCAGUUUGGGUUUUCAUAAGUCGAGUGCUUCAACUUAGAAAGAAUGUUUCGCCUCAAGUAUAUCGUUCUAGGAAAGACGAGGAAUCCAAUCAGUCGCUGCUAACCUUUAUUGUCUCAUUCUAGCUGUUUGACAGAGUACAUAAGAAAGGAAAUAAUUAAGUCAUGACUCUGGUUUUGAUUGAUAUUGUCUGAUCAUACUUCGUUGGACUUUGCACUUGAAAAAUACUUAUCAUCAGAAUUAAAGUCUUUACGCUAGAUAAGUUUUGUCAAUCUUCAAAAUCAAUUUGGGAGAUUUUCUCAACAAUCUCCACUUUUUUAUGAUGACAAAACUUUCCAAGCAGAACUUUAGAAAAGAUUUUAAAAAGAUUUAGUAAUCAAAUAGCUCUAUUGAAAGCAAUAUUUUAGAUAAGGCACAAUGUGAAUUCUAUAAGAACUUUGCUGAUUUUGUAAAGAUAAGUACAAACUUCUUACAGAAUAUUGAGCUAAUCAGAGUGAAUAAGAUUUGUAAAGAAAUUUCUUGAUUUGUGAAGAAAUUCCUUACUCUGAUUAAGGAAGUUCAAGAUAAGAAUAGAUUCAAGAAAACUUCCUUUUUUUUUUUAUAUAUAUAGCUUCUCCUUAGCAAGAUCACAAAAGAUCUUCAUCUACAUAUAGUGUUAUGCUUUUCUUGCAUUUUCUCUUUCUUUUUGUCAGCAUCACAAAAGAGACAAUAAUAAUGGAAGGAGUAUCACAGAGAGAAUAUGCUAUUCAGCUCAUCUUCACACACAAUCUUCAAAACAUAUUUAGCAUGAAAAUUUUUUUUCAUAAACAUCCUAUAGAUGCUAUGGUGAACAUAAAAUAAUUGCAAUAUAGCUCAUGUUAUUAUAGAAUCAAAUACCAUAUGCAUCAAAUAAAUAUAUGUCAAUGAUAACAUAUGCAAUAUAUAAAUUUCAUAUACAUUUUUUGUCAUAAUAAAACGAUAAUGGAAAUAUGAGAUUUAUAAUGACAAAAGGUAAGUGAAGUAAGAAAAAUACUAACCAGAUCAUGUAGAAUUUAGCAAGUUCUAAUAUACAUUAUAUUUUCUUCCAUAAUCAAGAGGAGGCAAAAAUUAAAUUGACUUAAUCAGGAUUUUCUCACACUUAAUUUACACUCCCUUUCAAUUUAAUGCCUUUAUGAGAUGAUCACGGUUCUUCUCCUUUAUUGUGCAUCCACUUUCUCAUUCUUUAAUAAAUUUAACAAAUUUUGCGCCUAGAGGAGAAUUUUUGCUCCUUCGAAAAUGGUGUGGAAUCUUCGCGAUUUUUCUGAUCAAAUUUUCCAAAAUUUAGAUGGAAAGAUUAUUUGCCACCUGCAAUUUUUUGUAAAAGAGAUAACAAUUUGCAAAAUAUAGACAAUAUCACGUACUUUCCUUCCUUGAAUUCGCGGAUUAAUUUUGCCAGUUAGAAGAUAUGCUUCUAACAUAUAAAAGCACGCAUUAAUUUCUUUCAAGAUUAAAAAGAUUCUAAUGUUUAAAAGAAAAUCUGAUUUUCAAAUGUUUAAAUCAUUUAUAAUUAUUCUAUAGCGAUGGUUAAACAUAUUUAUAUAGAUACAAAUGGAAUUUAUCUAUAUAAAUGCAUAAUAAGAAAAUAGUCCUAUAGAAAAGUUUAAGUUUAAGUGCAUUUAUUUCAAGUGAAAAGUUUAAGUUUAACUGCAUUUAUUUCAAGUGAGAAGUUCGUCAACUUUCAAACUGUUUUUUUGGAUUGGACAUUUUAACAAUAAUAACAUUACAUUCAUUAAUGGGAAGAGCUUUUAUUACAUUCUUAAUGCGAAAAGCUUCUCCACCAUAUCAUCCUCCUUUAGAAAUUUACAAAAGAAGAACAAGCCCAUUACAUUAAAAAACGAGAAAAGGCUGUUUAUUGUAAGAUAUGACGACAAAAUUAUUGAUUUGAACACCCGAAGUCCAAUGCCACUUUCGUUAACGAGAGACAUCAUUUUGGACGUUUAUAUCGCGUGACUCACGACAUUUAAUUGAAAGUGAUGGAUAGGCAACUUCCCAGCAGCUGCGGCUUUUAAUUAAUAGUGAAUGAAGUUGAUGGGUUCAGAAAAAACCAGAUGGAGGACAAUUAUGGAGAUGUACCACUUUUUUCAGUCGGUCGAGAUGUACAAUUAUGGAGAUGUACCAUUUCGCACGCCCAAUAUCUUUCGCCUUUCUUCUCGGUGCCUUUGAACUUUUGAAUAAAAAAAAACUCCAAUUUUCAAAUGUUUAAAUCAUUUAUAAUUAUUCUAUAGCUAUAUCUAUAAUUAAACAUAUUUAUAUAGAUAAAAUCACAAUCUAUAUAAAUGUAUAAUAACAAAAUGUUCCUAAAGAAUAUCUCUCAUUAUGACAUAUGAGACUUUGGACAAUUAGAAGAUUUUCCUUCAAACUAUUGAGAUUGGAUUUGCUACAUUCACCACAAAAAUGCUCCACCUAAGCACUACCUAGCAGUAUGCUUACUACUUACUAUGACGUAUUUGUUUUGAUCUCUUCCCCUUAAUGACUUACUUUUUAUCAUAAUUAAUUACCUUCAACCCCACAAAUAUUGCAAUAUAUGUGCCUUUAUAUUGAAAAGCAAAUCUUUUACAACACUUAUUGUCUUAUUGAAAACUAUUAGAAUGCGAGCAUGAUAUAAUUAGUGUGGUUUGGACAUCAGCCAAACCUAAUUAUAUAAACAUUGAAAUAUAUCUCAAGUCGGAGCCGGAUUAAACCGGAUCGAAAGACUUUGACACUCGACCUAUAGUCAAGAGUGGUGAGCGGGAAAUGCAUGGUGCCAUCCCAUCAUGGUGUUGCUUUGAGCGUCGAAAGAAAGAGAGACCGCCCUGGUCUUGACCAUAAGAGACGACUUUGCUCAGCUGAAGAGGAAAAGAGAGAAUGAUGAUGGCCACCGCUGACACGAGACAAAAGGGGAAGGAAACGACGAAGAAAGUUGCAAUAAUGGCGUCAUUUAACGGUGGCCGCUCAUUGUUUCCUUUCUUCUUUAUUUGCUUCUUGUGAAUUUUCUCUGUGAAUACGAAGAGGAAGAGCUCUUAAUGAGAGCUCCAAGGACUGCACAACGAGAUUAAAAAUUUCCUCUUAAAAGUUUUGAUUCAAAAAGUUUUUCUUUAUGAAAUUACACAAAAUGAAGUCAAUUAAAUCUUGUGUUAACGUUUAGGUCAAUCUUUUUAUGUGAAUGAAAUAUUAUUUUGAGAGAAAUUAUGAGGGUUAAACACAGAGUUCUUAGUCAUAUUUGAGGGAUAAAAAUACAAAUAAUAUUUGAGUAACUCAAGUAUUAUUAUAAUUUUCCAUUGCAUUGUAAUUUCAUGGUUUUCAUUUCCUCGUGGACGUAGGUCACAUAACCGAACCACGCAAAUUUAGUGUUUGAUUCAUUUCCUUGUUUUACAUUUUUAUUCAAGCACUUGUUUUAUUUCCAACAAUAAAUAUGGUUUGAAGAAAAGUGAAACCAAAUUAAACCGUAUUAUAGUCAAGAUCAAACCAAGCCAAACCAUUUUAUGUGGCUUGAUUCGGCUUAAUCAUUCUUUCUGCUUUUAUUUUACCUCUUCAUCACAUGUAAUUUCAUGACUAAAAAAAAAACAAAUUCUAUGCCACAACCCUUCCGAGGCGAGAUCCCUGAGGAAGUUACCGAAUUACCAAGUAAGCAUGAAUGGUCCCUUUUGCAAGGUGACGCUUGCUCUUGGCAGGAUCAAUCUCAACUUGGUUUUCAUUAAUUAUUUCAUUUGCUCAAGAGUCGCCAUUAAUUUUUUAUAAACCGAUUAGGAGUCAAGUAAAACACAAGAGCCUAUUUUACUUCUACAAACCAGAGAUUUGUGGGUCUAACGACUUGAUUAGGCUGGAUAUGUAAUGUGCAAUUAUUCAUGCGAUCUUCCAAUCUUAGUUACCCAUUUUGUUCUCAAUAUCGAGGGAAGAAGGCGAUCAUGCAUGAAAUCACUCAAGCAAACACAAAUAAAAUCCAAUAAUACUGAAACAAAUAGAGCAAAUAAAAGGUACGAAAAUAAAGAAAUUGAGCCGUAUUGCAAAAAAAAAAAAAAAUUAAUACAAAGCUUUGUUCUUAAGUUUCAAGAUAGGACCCCUUGAGCUAUAAAUAGAAACUCGAUGUUAGAUCUCCAACUAUGGCUCCAAACCGGAAAGUCAAUAAAUGAUACUUCAUGAAUAUCCACUAUAUAAACUACUUUCCUAAAAUGAACAAUUACUUCAAAAACGUAAAAUCUACUCAAUGCAAUGUUAAGAAAACAAAAUUUAUUUAUGAAUAUGCAUUAUUGGUAAAAUACACUCCUAGAUGUUUUUUUUUUAAAAUUUUAUUUUAUGAAUAUGCAGUUUAUCUUUCCAUUUGUUUUUUUUUUCUUUUUUGCAUUUCCCCCUUCUUUAUAUAUACACGCACACAUAUAUAAGUGAAACAAAAUUUGAUUACGUGUUGAAAUAAAUAUGAACUAGAAUCUAUAUGCCAAAAUAAUAUGUAAUAUAAAUCCGGAUUUUCAUGAAAAUUUGCACUACGUUCACUUGGAAUUUUUUUUCUUUGGAAACGCUCAAUUGGAAUUUCAACCUUAAAAUUGCAUCAAGAACGACUUAGUGCACACGAGAAAAUAAAGAAAACUAAAGUGACAUAAUGCUAUGAAUUAGAGCCAAACUAAUCCACACUAUGCGAAAAUCAACGGUGGAUGAAUAAAUCUAUACGAAUAACCAAUUUUCUCUCUACCGCUUUUUUUAGGGCGCAGUUUAGCUAACCGUCCUCUGUCAAAUGAUGGAGUGACAGUCAACUAAUGACCACACAAUUCGCAUGGAUUCCAUCUUUUACCCUUUUUUUUUUUUUUAAUUUUAUGUUUUCUUAUUGCAAGCUUAAAUUGAGAGAUAAAAUCAUAAGAGGGCCCAUACAAUCAAUUUUCAUGAAUAUUAUGAAAGAAAAAAUAAAUUAGAUACCGAAAUAUAAAUAAUUAGAAGUAAAAAAUAUUGUCAUCCACUACAAAGAAAUCGUUCAUUUCAUUAUGUAGAUCUAUUAAAUUUAAAAGAUGAAAAAACACUUGAAUUGUUGGCUUUGCAACUAAUAACAAAAUUAUUGUGCAAUGAAUUGGCUUCUCAAUCAUGUCACCAAAAUCAAAUUGCUUUGGAAGGACUCUCCGAUGACCUAAAAUUAAGACGAGUAAUGUUAAUUACGCAUAAAACAAAUGAAGUAAAGAAAAAGAACAAAAUAAGAAUAAUGAAUUAGUAGAGAAGAAAAUUUACCCCAUUGAUCUCGUAGAUGAAGAUGAUUUGGGACCUAAAAUAUUACAAAAUCAAUCUUAGGAUCACACGAGUGAAAAGUAAGCCGAAAUGAUUUUUGAUCAAUUUUUAUAAAUAUUUUACCUAAUAUAGCUUCAAUGUUUGGUUCGUUGAGAAGAUUCACAUAACCAUGAGAUAUGACCAUAUAUCAUUUUAUAUAGAUAAAAAGUCAAUUUAUAGGAAGGUAUUUUAAAUAAAAUAAUAAUAAUACGUAUUAGCAACUAUUGAAAACCCUCAAUUCUUUCCUGAUUGCAAAUCAAAUUUCAAGAAUAGUUACGGUAACUCAUAUCAUCCAAAUUACCAAUUAUAUUUUGGUAUCUAAUUUAUUUUUUCUUUUAUCAUAUUCAUGAAAAUUGAUUGCGUGGGUCCUCUUAUGAUUUUAUCUCCUAAUUUAAGCUUACAAUAACGAAACAUAAAAAAAAGGGGUAAAAGAUGGAUUUCAACCGGUUUCCAUCCAAAAUGUGUGGUUCUCAACUGACCGUCACUCCAUCAUUUGAAGGAGUGAUGGUCAGCUAAGCCUUUUCCACAUUUUAACGAGGGGCAUGCCUACAUAAAAGUUAAGUGCGUCUUCAUUGCUCAACCCAACCCACCAAUUCUGAGAAAAGUCACACAUUUGCAUGUGGACAAACCAUUUACGUAUAUCAAAGCCCAAAUCUUUCUCAUUUAUUUCGAAUUCAUUUGCAUUGCACAUUGUAGAAACAAUAACAUCACAUUCAUUAAUAUGAAGAAUUUUAUUACAUUCAUAUUGUGAAAAGUUUCUCCACCAGAUCAUCUUCCUUUAGAAAUUUAUAAAAGAAGAACAAGUUCGUUUCAUUAGAAAAGAAGAAGAGGAUGUUUAUUGUAAGUUAUAUAUGAUGCAAUUCUUGAUGUGAACACCUGAAUUUAAAUGCCACUUUUGUUUGUAAGAGAUAUCAUUCUGGACGCUUCUACCCCAUGACUAACCUGAUUUAAUUAACAAUUAUGGACAGCUAACUUCACAGCAGCUGCAGCUUUCAAUUUAUAGUAAAUUAAAGUUGAUGGCUUCAGAAAAAGUGAGAUGGAAGACAAUUAUGGAGGUGUACCUUUUACACGCCCAAAUUCUUUCGAGUUUCUUCUUGGUGCUUCUGAACUUUUGAAUAAAAAAAAAUCCGAUUUUCACACGUUUAAAUCAUUUAUAAUUAUUCUAUAGCUAUAUCUAUGGUUAAAUACAUUUAGAUAAAAUCACAAUUUAUCUAUAUAAAUGCAUAAUCAUAAGUUUAAGUCUGUCUGCGGCGCUCAACACACCAAUUCAUAAUCCUUGCAUGGAUACUUUCGUCCCCUGAUGUUCGAAACGCUCUUCUUUUUUCUCCCUUGUGGUAAAAAGAAUCCUAGUACCAAGAUACAAAGACUUCACUCCGAUUAGUUUUUGGAUAUGGUUGCCCUCAUUGACAUCAUCCAAGACAAUUAGCAUUCAUCAAUGUUAUCAAUUUCAUUAGUCACUCUAGAAUAAGAGAUAUUCGACAGUAAUUUUUCUUGUAGUUGGACAACGCCCUUUGUUUUUGGCGUUACCCUCACGUCAUCAAGAAAGUUGCAGUUUUUCCAAAAGCGAGGAUAUAGCUGGUUGAAGAUAUCCUUGGCGGGUUCUGAUCUAUCGAUGCUGCCCACCCUGUAGAUUCCAGUGAAUUGCACAAUACCAAAACUAAUGUCUUAUACAGUGUUUAUGGCUGCUAUUCAAUCCUCCGUUCUAACUAAAUCUUCGAUCACUUGUCUUUGUCUUGCAUUGAGCCUAACCACAAUCUCAUUUACAAUCGACUUGAUAAGAUUCCCAUGGCUGCCACAAAGUCAGUCAAUUUCAAAUGAGAAAAGGAGACAAAUUUGCACGUGGACAAAGCCUUUACAUAUAUCGAAGCCCGAAUCUACCUCAAUUGAUUUCAAAUGCGCAGCUCAUGUUUGCCAAAUUUCAGUCAUUCUUUUGCAUUGCACAUUUUAGAAACAAAAACAUUACGUUCAUUAAUGGGAAGAGUUUUAUUACAUUCUUAAUGUGAAAAUCUUCUCCACAAGAUCAUCCUCCUUCAAAAAUUUACAAAAGAAGAACAAAUGUGCGUCGUUAGAAAAGGAGAAAAGGACCCACGAAGAAAUUCUUGAUUUGAAUUCCCAAAGCUCGAUGCCAGUUUCGUUAGUGCGGGACAUCAUUUUGGACACUUGUAUCGCGUGACUCACGGGAUUUAAUUGAAAAUUAUGGAUAGACAACUUCACAAUAGCUGCAACUUUUAAUUUAUAGUCAAUAAAGUCGAUGGCUUUCGGGAAAAUGAAAUAGAGGACAAUUAUGAAGGCGUAUCUUUCACCGGACCAAUUUCUUUUGAGUUUCUUCUCGGUGCCUUUGAACUUUUGAAUUAAAUAAAAAUCUGAUUUUCAAACGUUUAAAUCAUUUAUAAUUAUUCUAUAGCUAUUACUAUGGUUAAACAUGUUUAUAUAGAUAAAAUCACAAUUUAUCUAUAUAAAUGCAUAAUAAAAAAUUCUAAAGAAUCCCUUUCAUCAUGACACAUGGAAUUAUGGAUAAUUAGAAGAUAUUUCUUCGUAUCAUUGAGAUUGGAUUCGCUGCAUUCACUAUAAAAAAGUGCUCCACCUAAGCAUAUAUUUACUAUGAAAUAUUUGUUUGAUCUCUUUGCCUUAAAGACAUACCUUUUAUAAUUAUUAAUUACUUUUAACCACUCAAAUAUUGUCAUAAACGUGCUUUUAAAUAUUAAAAAGCAAAUCUUUUACAACACUAAUUUCCUUAUUGAGAACUAUUAGAACGUGGGCAUGGUGUAGUUAGUGCUAUCAGCCAAACCAAAUUAUAUAAAUGUGGAAAUAUAUCUCCAGCCGGAACCUGAUCAAGUUAAGAUCGGACGAGAAUUAUAGAGGCUUGACCUCUAUUCAAGAGUGGUGAGAGGAAAUGCAAUGAGGGCCCGUCCAUAGCAAUGAUACCAUCCCAUCGUGUCGUUGCUUGGAGCGUGGAAAGAAAGGGAGAGUAUGAUGGUCUGGACCACGAGGGACGACUUUGCUCAGCUAAACAAAGGGAAAAGAGAGAUUGAUGAUGGGACAAAAGGGUAAGGAAAAACGACGAAGAAAGUUGCAAUAAUGGUGUCUUUUAACAAUGGCCACUCAUUGUUUCCUUUCUUCUUUAUUUGCUUAUAGUCUUUAAAUUCGAAGAGAUGAGAGCUCCGAGGACUGCACAGAGGAGACUGAAAAUUUCCUCUUAAGGGUAUGAUUUAGAAAGGUUUUCUUCGUGAAAUUACAGAAAAUGAAGCCGAUUAAAUCUUGUCUUAAUUUUUUAUAUCAUUCUCUUAUGAAAUUGAUAAAUUAUUUCGAGAGAAGCUGUGAGGGUUAAAGACAGAGUUAUUAGUUGUAUUUGAGGAUGAAAAACACCAAGAAUAUCUAAGUGCUUCGAAUAUGACCUUAAUAUCCAUUACUUUGUUUUAUCUAUAAAGGAAAUGUAUACUGAUUUUCCCGUGGACGUCCGAUUCAUUUCCUUAUUUUGCGCAUUUUUUUUAUCCUUUGUUUUAUUUUCAAUAAUAAAUGUGGUUUUACAAAAAUAGAAAAAAAACCAAACCAUAUUUUAGUCAAACCAUUUUCUGCGGCUUGAUCCGGCUUAAUUGUUGUUUCUUCUUUCAAUUUAUCUCUUCAUCAUUUGAAAUUUCAUGAGAAGAAACCAAAUUCUAUGUUGAGACCCUUCCGAGGUGAGAUCCCCAAGGAAGUUGUCGGAUGGCCAAGCAAGUGCAAAUGGUCCCUGUUGCAAGGCGACGCUUGCUCUUGGCAUGAUAGGUCUCAACUUGGUUAUUUGAUUAAGAGUCACAACUAAUUUUUUGAAGCAAAUAGGAGUUAAGUAGAACGCGGGAGCCGCCUUACUUCUACAAAUCGGAGAUUUGUGAGUCUAAAGACUUGAUUAGGCUGGAUAUAUCUAAAGCCCAAUUUGGUACUUUUUUUUUUCUCUUUUUAAAAAAACAAUUAUUCAUGCAGUCUUUCCAAUUUUAGUUACCAUUUUUAUUCUCAAUGUUGAGCAAGGCAAGUGAUCUCGCAUAAAUUCACUCAAGCAAACACAUAUAAAUCCAACAAUACCGAAACAAAUCUAGCAAUAAAAGGUACGAAAAUAAAGAACCCGAGCUGAGAAAAAAAUCAAUACAAAGCCUUGUUAUUAAGUUCCGGAAUAGGACCCCUUAAGCUAUAAAUAGACACUCAUUGUAAAAUAUAAAUAUGGCCCAAAAAUGGAAAGUAAUAAAUGAUACUUCCUGAAUAUAACUAGAUAAACUACUUUCCUAAAUGAACUAUGCAUCUAGAAGUAAAACCUACUUAAUGCAAUCUAAAGCGCNNNNNNNNNNNNNNNNNNNNNNNNNNNNNNNNNNNNNNNNNNNNNNNNNNNNNNNNNNNNNNNNNNNNNNNNNNNNNNNNNNNNNNNNNNNNNNNNNNNNUUAUGAAUAUACAUGAUUUCUAAAAUACAUUGCCAGAUAUAUAUAUUUUAAUGAAAAUGCAGUUCAUCUUUUUCUUUUCUUUUCCCCUUCUUUAUAUAUAUUAUAGUGAACCGAAAUUAAACAAAAAAUUUACUAAGCGCUGAAAUAAAUUUGAACUAGAAUCUGUAUGCAAAAAUAAUAUGUAAUAUAAACCCGGAUUUUCAUGAAAAUUUGCACUACGUUCACUUGGAAUUUUUUUUUUUUUUGGGUCUAAACGUUCACUUGGAAUUUUAACCUUAAAAUUCUUCCAAGAACGAGUCAUUGCACACCAGAAAUAAUGAAAACUAAAGUGACAUAAUGCUAUGAAUUACAUCGAAACUGAUCCACACUAUGCGAAAAUCAAUCGUGGAUGAAUACAUCUAUACAAAUUCCCCAUUUUCUCUCUUCCGCUUUUUACAUUUAACUGAAGGCAUGCCUGCAAAAAAAUUAAGUCAUCCUUGAAUUUAUACUUAAGUCCCCUGAAAUUUGAAACACUCUUAUCCUUGCUGGCAACAAGUAUUCUAGUACCAUAAUACAAAAAAAAAUUCACUCUGAUUAGUUUUUGAAUAUGGUUGCCCACAUCGACAUCAUCCAUUAUGAUUAGCAUUAUCAAUGCUAUCGAUGUCACAAGUCACCCUAGAGUAAGAGAUAUUGGACAAUAAUUUUUCUUGUAGCUAGACUAAGCCCUUAGUUUUUGACGUUUCCCUCGUGUCAUCAAAAAGCAAGCGAGGAUAUAGCUUGUCAAAGAUAACCCUGGGGGGUGCUGUUUUACUAAUGCUGCCUAUCCCCUAGAUUCGAAUGACUGCACGUUACCAUAACCGGUGUCUAAUAAAUUGUUUGUGGCUGCUAUUGGAUCCUCCAUUUCAACAAAAUGUUUGAUCACUUGUCUUUGUCUUGUCUCGAGCCUAACCACAACCUCAUUAACAACUGACUUGAUAAGAUUCCCAUAGGUGCCACAAAGUUAGAUGGUUUCAAUUAAGAAAAUGUAACAAAUUUGCAUGUUGACAAACCAUUUACAUAUAUUAGAGCUCAAAUUUGCCUCGAUUCAUUUUGAAAGCGCAACUAUUGUUUGUCAAAAUUUAGCCAUUCUUUUGGAUUACAUGUUUUAGAAACAAUAACAUUACAUUCAUCAAUGGGAAGAGUUUUAUUACAUUCUUAAUGUGAAGAGCUUCCCCACAAGAUUAUCCUCCUUCAGAAAUUUACAAAAGAAGAACAAGUGCGUUUCAAUUAGAAAAGGAGGAAAUAAUACACGAUGAAAUUCUUCAUUUGAACACUCAAAGCCAUAUGCCACCUUCAUUAGUGAGAGACAUCAUUUUGGACGAUUGGAUUGGGUGACUAACGGGAUUUAAUUGAAAGUUAUAGACAUGCAAUUUCAUAGUAGCUGCAGAUUUUAAUUUAUAGUCAAUAAAGUUGAUGGCUUUAGAAAAAAUGAGAUGGAGGACACUUAUGAAGGUGUAGCUUUAGAGGCCCAAUUUCUUUCGAAUUUCUUCUUGGUGCCUUUGGACUAUUGAAUAAAUAAAAGUCUGAUUUUCAAACGUUUAAAUCAUUUACAAUUAUUCUAUAGCUAUAUCUAUGGUUAAACAUAUUUAUAUAGAUAAACUCAUAAUUUAUCAAUAUAAAUGCAUGAUGACAAAAUAUUCCUAAAGAGUCCCUCUCAUUAUGACACAUCGGACUAUGGAUAAUUAAAGGAUUUUUCUUCAUAUUAUUGAGAUUGGAUUUGCUGCAUUCACCACCCAAAAAAGAGAGAGGAAAUGCCACUAAAAACCCCAAACUUCGCCCAAGUGACAAAUUUACCCUAAACUUUUUUUGUGACAUGAAAAACCCUAAAUUUUGCAAACCGUGACACAUUUACCCCCCACCAAGGGCAUUUUCAUUUUUUUUUCCCUUCUUCUUCUUCUCCUCUCUUCCCUCGGCCGGCCAUGGCGAAAGCCAAUGGAGGGAAGCCGGAGUCAGGCAAGGGACGCCCUCGCUGACGUUGAGCGAGGGUGGCCCUCAGCUGGGUUAGGCAAGGGCCUCCUUCCCUAGAUCUGGCAAGGGUGGCCCUCAUUUGCGUUUGGUGAGGACGGCCUUCACCCGACGCCGACAAGGGCUUGGCAAGGGAGGCUCUUGCCGGACCCAAUUGAGGGCUGCCCUCACCUAAUGUUGGCGAGAGCAGCCCUAGCCAGCCCAGGUGAGGGCAGCCCUCGCCUGACUCUGGCUUCCCUCCACCAUGGCUGGUGGAGGGAAGAGAGAAGAAGAAGAAAAAAAGAAAAAAAAGUAACAUACCAACAUGCCCUAUAGUUUAUGGUAAAUGUGUUACACGAAAAUAUAAGUUCAGGGUCUUUUGUAUAAUGAAAAAAAAUUUGGGAUUAAUGUGUCACGGUUGGCAAAGUUCAUGAUUUUUCAUGUCACAAAAAAAAGUUUGGGGUAAAUUUGUCACUUUGGGCAAAGUUUGAGGUUUUUUUUUUAUGGUGUUUCCUAAAAAAAAAAAAAAAAAAACUCCACCUAAGCUUAUUCUUACUACUCACUAUGAAAUAUUUGUUUGAUCUCUUUGCCUUAAAGAUGUGCCAUUUAUCAUAAUUAAUGAUCUUUAACUGCUCAAAUAUUAUCGUAAACGAGCUUUUAUAUUUAAAAAACAAAUCUUUUAUAACACUUAUUUCCUUAUUGAGAACUAUUAGAAUGUGAACGUGGUGUAGUCAGGGCCAUCAGCCAAAUCAAUUACGUAAAUGUGGAGAUAUUUCUCGAGCCAGAGCCUGAUCAAAUCAGAUCGGAGGAGAAUUAUGGUCGCUCGACCUCUAUUCAAGAGUGGUGAGAGGAAAUGCGAUGAAGGCCUGUCCAUAGCAAUGAUGCCAUCCCAUCAUGGUGUUGCUUUGAGAGUGGAAAGAAAGGGAGACCAUGAUGGUCUCGACCAUGAGAGACAGCUUUGCUCAGCUGAAGAAAGGGGGAAGAGAAAUUGAUGAUGGAACAAAAGGGCAAGGAAAGCGACGAAGAAAGUUGAAAUAAUGGUGUCUUUUAAUGAUGGCCACUCAUUGUUUCCUUUCUUCUUCUUUAUUUGGCUCUAGUAAAUUCUGUCUGAAUUCGAAAAGAGGAGCGCUCCGAGGACUGCUCAGAGGAGAUUGAAGAUUUCCUCUUAAAGGGUUUGAUUCAGAAAGGUUUUCUUCGUCAAAUUACACAAAAUGAAGCCAAUUAAAUCUUGUCUUAAUAUUGUAUGAGAUUGAGAAAUUAUUUCGAAAGAAAUUAUGAGGGUUAAAGACAGAGUUAUUAAUUAUAUUUAAGAAAUGAAAAAUUACCAAGAGCAUAUAAGUGACAUUAAAAAAAGAGAAAAGGAUACACGAAGAAGUUCUUGAUUUGAAUGCCCGAAGCCCGAUGCCACUUUUGUUAGUGCGAGACAUCAUUUUGGACGUUUGGAUCGCGUGACUCAUGGGAUUUAAUUGAAAGUUACGUAUAGGUAACUUCACAUUACCGGGAAAAUGAUGGCUCGGAAAUGGGAGGCUCGCCUUCGGCCGCCUGUGGCUUUCUCAACAGUGUUGCGUCGAUUUCCAACGACUUUGAAGAGAUUGGAGAUGGCCGGAAAUUCUUCUGUGUCUUUUUUUUUUCUCUCAUUUUUUAAGUCUGUCAUAUUUCGGGCCAAACCCAGCCCAAAACUAAAUUGAUGCCUAUCCAAGAGGACUUGUUUAGGCCCCAACCCUUCAACCGGGCCUGAAGUUGAUCGGGCGGGGCGUAUUUUUCAAUAAAAAAGCCACCCAUUUGCAACUAUACUUCCGAUUACUAGACGCCAAAGGAACUCACGAACUCAUUGCUACACCAUUCUUUAUCUGCCGUAGACAAACAAGCAUUCCUAUUCUGUAACAUAGAAAUGGCAACAAUUUAUUGCUUAUGCCCAUUCAUGAUGAAUACUUUCCCCAAAAUUCAAUCAACUAAUAUUAAAUUAACCCCAAUAACAACUAAUCACAAUAUUCCAGCAAUAUUAACCCUAAAGCAGUAAAGAUAGUGCUGAAUAUUAAAGCAAGGGAAAACCAACACCUGUAAAAUUUUACGUGAAAAACACAAUGCAGAAAACAUCACGAGACCAGUAAAAAUCUUCCGCUAAUCACCAAAAAUAGCAUAAUACAUAAUAGUUCAUCUCAAAGAACACAGUUAGAGGCUCUUUCACCUAAACAAAAUAUUAUCACCACAAAAGUGGAUUAACAUAAAGAAGUAAGAAAGAUCUAACCGCUACCAGACAAAAUCAGGAGACAACUUGGAGAAGAUUUUAACAAACACAACCGAUCAACUUGUAGAUCAUGGACUCACAAACAGCAUAUGAAAUUUUGGCCAAUUCCGACAAAGUUUCACUAUUGAAUUUAGACUACCUCUUCUCUUCUUCAAAGCAAAGCUCUUUCCCUCUUUUUCUCUAUAACAACGAAUUGUUCAUCCCUCUCUUCUAAAUCAAGAACAUUCAGCCCUAUCAAUUCUUUUUCUUUUUUAUUUUAUUUAACAUGAUGAGAUGAGCCCCACAAGAGGUGGACCCAACCCAACAAACAUCCUCUUCACCUUAUGAAGAAGUUUCAUUAUGCCAGCAUUAUCAAUACAGGAAGCAAGUUUCACCAUUGGCAAGGUUUUACUCAUCAUAUUGGAUCCAUUAUCAUUAGUGUAGACUUUCUCAAGUAAGAAAAGUUUAUCAUCUAAUUUAUCUCGGAUCCAAUGACAAGGAUAAAGCAUUAGUCUGGAUAAAGCAACCAGAUGCAAUUCUAGUGAACAUCACUCUAUCUUCAGCAAUAUGACAUGGAUAAAGUCGCGACAUAAAGCAUCCCGCAUAAUGCUGUCUUGUAUUUGCACGAAUAGAUUUGAUCUUGUCGGGGGCAAGACUGCUCAUCUCUAACUAAUAACAGCAGCUACCAAAGAGUUUAUAUAUCUAGAGCAGUAUCAUGAUUCACUCUCUAAGGACAAACACCCUCUAGAAAUGGAGAGAUCAGUUUCCUAUAUCUUCUUUAGUUUGCUUGCAAACCAUAAAUGGUGGAAGUUGAGAUCCAUGGAGUAACCUGACAAGCCAAAGUUUCAAGCCACUAAAACAUGUGUGUUUACUGUAGUGUCUCUUUUAUUACGUAACCUUUUGUUUUGAUAGGGCAUUUUUUCAAAACAUACCAAAACCGACAUCAAAGGCACUUUUAGAGCAAUAAUAUCAGAUUAUAUUAGUGUUGUGUUUAUCCUAGACUAUGUUGGUACACAGCUUCGGGGAAAUUGAAUGAAAUAUCGACCGACUAAAUUAAAGUUCAAUGCAACCAAAUGCUAGGCUCUUAAGAAAUACUCCCCAGUAGAGAGACUUGUCGAUUAAGAAAUUUAGCUGAAGCUCUCUCCAUUUUACUUUUACACUAACGGCAGGCUGACCAAUAAUAUAAAGUUUCAUUCAAUCAUAUUAUGUUAAAUAUUAUCUCCUUAUAACCAAAUGCAGCCAGUCAAAGUCAAGUGAAGAAUUCAAUAAUAAUUAUGCUUCAUUUGUUUCACGAAAAAUAAAUGAUUUGGAAAAUAAUUUCUAAAAAAAUGAUACAUUGUAUUUCUUGAAAUAAUUAGUCAAUAAAUAAUGUUUUCAUUAUUAAUAAUAAUCUUAUAUCUAAAAAUUUUGGUGAAUGAUAAAGAAAAUAUUCUAUCAUUUAUUUUUAUAAGCGAUACAAGUAAUUGUAAGUGAUAUAAAUAAUAUUUUUUGAUAUUUUAAAUUAUUCAUUCUUGUGAAACAACAAGAUAACGAAAUAAUAUUUAGCCAAAGAAAAUGGGUAAUUGGGCCCAGUUUUCGUUGGCCCAAAAAUUCUCUUGGGCUAAAUGAAACCUUCGUCCCUCACGCUGACGAAAGAAAUUCUCAUCUUUCAGUCGACUUGAAGAGCAUUUUUGGUUCUAAAUCGAGCUCAAACCUUCGUUUCCGCUACUCAUCUUCGUUUUCAUCUAAGGUCUUCGGGGAGCUUCUGUGAGCGUUUUUCACUACUAAUCGUUACACCGCCGCUUUUGUUCUUCAAUUUGAUAUCUAUUUUGCUUUUUUAAGCCAGUUUUCGUUGAUGUCGCGACUGUUUCUUGCUGAUUGGAUCGUCUUCGACCUGGGGCUGGAUGGUUUCUCGCUCGGGUGGCAAGAAAAUGUCGGAGAUCUCUUGUGGUGAUCGAGAUAGAUAGUAGUGUAAGAAGGUGAGAUGAAGAUUUAAGAAAUGUUGUGCCGUAGGUUUGUUCCAGCCGUAAUUGCGAAUGGGUGUCCGUGGAAUUACUUCCGUUGGACGUGCUUGUUUGUCUGUCUAAAUGGCGUGCUUUCUUUGAACUGGUGAUUAUUUUGUGCUUGAGUCAGAAAUUGGGAAUGCGAGCAAUUUGAGCAUGGACUCAUCUUCUCCAAUUGGGAAAAGAGAUGUCCCUAGUUCCCUUUCUUCCAUAUUAUUGUACAUGUGAUUGUUCCAAACAAAGUCUAACACAAUCUGUUGUUAAAUUUAUAGGAUCGUUACGAUCCUUGAUGACCUCACGAAAUUUUGUGAUGGGACAUGCUUAAGAUUUGAUUCCGUGUUCAUUGAUAUGUGGUGUCUUACUGGAAGAUGGGCGAGCUCGCUGGCGAUGAACAUCUCAAGUACAUACUGUGUUGAAAAGGUAGGUAUGAAAUUUUUACUACUCUCUUCUUGUUCUCUUGUCCACUUUCUGCCAGUUACUGAAAAUGACUUGGUUUAUCUGGAUCUGCUACUAUUCAGCAUUUUGGAGUUUACUAAUUUGAGUUUCUGGGUUUGAUCUUGCACUCAGAAAAAGGAUAGUUUUGAGUCAUUGAUUAUGGAGCACUUGAGCUUGAAUGGAGCAUUUUGGGGAUAGAACACUCUAGAUCUUCUUGGAAAACUUGGCACUGUGGAUUCAAAUGAAGUUGUUUCUUGGAUCCUGUAAUGCCAGCAUCUGUCUGGUUCGUAUUUUUUUGUCUCUCGGCUUCUUUUUUGGGAUUACCCACCAAAAACAUGUGGCUGACGGAACCUCCACUCCACAUUCAGUCAAGUUUUUCUUAUUUGACAGUAUGCUUAAGAUAUUAGCUUGGGAUUGACAAGUUCCAUCUAUUACAUUGAUGACCACAUCUUAGGAGGGAUUAGUGUUGCUUUAUUUAUUUAUAUUCUAAAACUUGACUCUAAAGAGCAAAGUGCAAAUGACACUUAGGGCCUGCUUGUGCAGGUGGCUUUGGUGCCAAAUAUUGGACAUGAUCCGCAUCUGCUGUAUGCACUCAGAGCCGUGCAAGUACUGGCCCUUUAUGACAAAUUAGAUGUUUUUGACAUCAAUAAUGUGACAGAUUGUAUCCUUUGGAAUAAAGUGUCUUAGAUUCGCAACUUCCUUGAUGAUCUUACCUUAGGCUCUGUUUUGCAUGUAAAAGGUCAGAUUAUGUUAUGGAAUUUUAUAGUGUGUAUAUUGCUAGCCAGACAUUGAUGGAGAUUGAAGUUGCUACUGUUGGAUUAUCUCUGGUAUCAAAUGUUCUACAUUGUUGUGCCUGAACGAAGAUGAAUCUUUUUCUGGGGAUAUAUGCGGAGAAGUUGAUGCUCGGUGUACUGUCCUCAUCUUUGAUCAAUUAUUAUUUUUGUGCUUCUUGAGGAUGUUUCUUAAAUAAUUGACAUCCCUUCACCCCUUUCUUCCCUUCGAAGGUUCUCUCAAUGUGCUAUAUGCUGUCUUGCAAUACUUAAACGGUUGGAUUCGAUAAAUGUGGAGAAUGCUGUCAGAUAUAUAGUGAGUUGCAAAACUUUGGAUGGCGGGUUUGGUUGCAUUCCUGGUGCAGGGUCUCACCUGAAAUGAUAUCAUUGCACGCAGCCUUCGCUUCCAUCUUGAUGGUAUAAUCAUGGCGUAAACCACUGAUGUCUAUCUAAGAUAUCCCAAGACAACGCACUAAUGUCCUUGCUCUCUCAACUAAUCUAGCUGGUAGUAGUUAACAGUUGGAGAAAACCAUCUGGUCUAGCUAUAUCUACAGGGAACUAUUCGUUGCCAAAAUGCCAACUAAAAUGCCAGAAUCUCACCAUACUAUCACAAAAGGUAAAGAAACUUCAGAGUUGCCUAAGUUAUUAUUAAGCUACGAUCUUCACAAGACAAUGAUCUCCUUAGGAUUGGUAAGAUUAUAGUCUCAUAUAAGUUGAAUACAGUUUAAUAUUGGUGACAGUGUAUUUCGAGAAUGUAAACUCGACUGUAAGGCAUACUUAUUGAAUUUCAUAAAUCAUCUGUUUCGAAUAAUUUUUCUUUGCAAUUCCUAGGAUCCUAUAAUGUGCGGUUCAAGAAGUCUAUAUUCGGGACACAGCAGGUCCACAAUUGAUGGCAAGUUUUCCAAUCUGAAUAACCUUAGGACUUAGUAAAGUAGUAAUUAGGAGAUUAACAAAACCGCUUAAAUCCUCGAAUGCUUUGCUAACUGAGCAAGUAAACACACUUCAAACGUGUAAAACCCGCAAUGAGCAACGAUCGCAAAAUGCAUUCUCAUAAGCAGCCACGGAGGGCCCCAGUGAAUUGCAGUUCUCUCCUCUCCUAGCUAAGCAAUAACGGAAGUUCCUCCAGUCCACUGUCCUACCCUUGAAGAGCAAAUCUAGCAACCCAACCAAAUCUAGCAAGUAUGUCAUAACCUCAUGCUGAGCUCUUUCACGGGUUUCUAAUAUCUGAUUGGUGCAUAGUAAGUCGUGUAUUUGCUUAAAUACAUAGUGGUCUUCUAAUUAUGCUCCAAUGAACACAUCCAAAAGAUAAAACCGAGUCGCCACAGUUUUAAGACAUUCUUUAGGACUCAUCUUAGAAGAGAGAAAGUACAAAGGAAUUGAUGAUUUCCACUGGAGAAUUAGGCAUAAAACAAUGAAGGACCAAGCAAGAAAAUUAAGAAGCACAAGAGCCUGACCAAGCACCUUGCUACUAAGUGGCUCACUUUUCUCUCUUCUUUCAAUUCAAAUAAGAAAAUAUUUGCAAAACAGAGAACUGGAACGUGGGAGUAAUCAUGAAGCGAUAAGAUUUGGUGUUUCUACUUCAACGGAUAACAAAACCUGUGUGUAUUUUGUGUAGCCAAUUGUCGAGUCGAUCACGUAGUAAAUUUGACCUGUGGAAUCCUCAACCAUAAGCAGCAGACCUCAAAUUAGCAAUGGAAACCAAAACUGCCCAAAACAUGAAAGAAAAAAAAAAAAAACCGGACAUCCCAUUUUAAUUCUACAUGAUGAACCAAGAAGAGAAGCACUAGUUACUUCUUUUUCAAUCAUCAAGAGCUCCUCACAGGUAAUAGACAGCUCCUCACAUGUAAUAAAGAGACUGUGGAUACUCAUUAAAGCGACCAUUAACCAAACCUUAGAAUAUACUUAUAGACAAACUCUUCAAGAGAAGAUGCUCAACAUCUUGUGCACAUGAAUACGCUCAAUCGAACAGUCCACAAAAGCAUAGUAACAUAACUAGACUAGGCAUACAGACCCUUAUACAACUAUUAGCAUAUGAAGCUAGAGCUAGAGCUCAAGCUCAUGCUUAAUAUUUAAAGAUAAAUCACACAAUUACAUUCAACUAAACACCAACUGCCACACCAAAAAACACACCCAAAAAAAAAAAAAAAACCCAACUGCCCCACCACUCUUACCUGUUCUUCAGUGAUUAGCUAGUGAUCCAGAGCUCAGGUCCAUGACUCCCGCCACUGAUGAAAUUAAUGAAUGCACCAAAUUCCUCCAGCUGAGCGGCACUAAAGAAGAAAAUGUGCACUAGAGUGAAAAGUGGCACUGGAGAAGGACUUGAAGCUCACAGACCUGGAACUUGAAGCUCGCGAAGAAGGACUUGAAGCUUGUGGGCGACGAAGAAAGAAGAGAUGAUGGCAACCGACACGGCCAACGACGGACUGAAGUUCGAGAGGAGCGAGUAGCAUCGUGGAUUGAAUGACAGCGAUUUGCUUGUGCAGCGAGAGAGAGGAAGAAGAAAACAUGAAAAAGAACCCUAAUCCCAAUUCAAUCCAUCGUUCACGAAUAAUCAUCCAACUUUCUUUUCCCUUUUUGUUUUGCCGACUCUGUCUGCAGAAGGAAACGAUAAGUGAGUUGAGGUGAGGUCUCUUGGGCCUAAAAAUUUCUCUUAAGAAAGGCCCUUUUGUUAUGGAUGGUGAGGGAUGUAAGAUCCCCAACCUCGCCACCGAAGUGGACACACACAACAUAUGGAGCUUCCCAGUAAGAUGGGAAAUUUAAUAAGAUUUUUCUUGGUUGCGCGUUUUAGAAUCAGUUCAUUGUCUCUCUUCACUAGACUAAAGCAGAAAUAGAAAGCAAGCAAAGCAGAAGAAAAAACGUAUGAUCUACGAAUAGAAAGAAGGCGCACCGUUUUCUGUAGAGGAUCCCCUGUUUCUGUUUCAGAGUUCGUUGUUUCAAUUUCAGAGCCGCGCUUGCUUUUUUCUGCUCAAAAUCUUCUCUCUGUAAGACUCCCAAGUGUCGAAAUAUUCAGUGUAGCCAAGUUCACUAUCGUCUUCACUAUCGUCUUCACUAUCGUCGGAUGACUUCUCGCGUGGUAUGAGUAUCUCGCAAUUUUCUGGUUCUUUUGAGCUCAAUACAUCAAAAAUCCUUUCGAAUAUGCACCCACUAAUUUCCAAGGAACAUGAAGACUUUAGUUCGUAAAUGCCCUCAAUAUGCUGCAGGCUGGGGCACUGGUCAAUCUUUAUCCGCAAGUUCUUCAAGUUUGACAAACUGCCUAUCCUUUUUAACGAAGAGCACUGGUCAAUCUCUAACUGCUUCAAGUUCUUCAAGUUUGACAAACCGCCUAGGCUUUUUAACGAAGAGCACUCAUGAACGUAAAUUUCUUCCAAUGAUUUGAACGUAGAAUCAAAUUGAAUAUCCUGUACCUCAUGGGACCCCGACAGACUGAACCUUCUAAGCAUCUUUUGGGAGCUUGGGAAAAGGAUCGCUUCCCUCCUAUGGUCAGUCAACUCGGGAGCUUGUAGUUCACUUUUCCCCCGCUCCUCCGGGUGACAAACCUUACUCUUGGAAGAUCUGCGGAUUUUUGAGCUCGAAGCAUCAAAAAUCCUUUCCAAUGAUCUGCACCCCCCAAUUUCCAACCAACGCAAAAACUCCAGUUCGUCAAUGCCCUCAACAACCUUCAAGCUCGGGCACUGGUGAAUCUCUAACCGCUUCAAGUUCUUCGAGCUUGACAAACCGCCUAAGGUUUUUAAUGAAGAGCACUCUUUAACAGAAAAUUCUUCCAAUGAUUCUAACGGAGAAACAAAUCGAAUAUCCUGUACCUCUGGGAACCCCGACAGACAGCAUUCUAUGAGCAUGUUAAGGGAGCUGGUGAAAAGGAAGGCUUCCCUCCGAUGAUCAAUUAACUUGGGAGCUUGUUGUUCGUUGCACCUCGGCUCCUCCGGCUGACAAACCAACCUCUCGGAAGAUCUGCAGUCCUGAAUGCGUGAUCUCUCCAACGAUUCUAAGACAUCGGGAAAUUGAACAUCAUGUUGCUCGCACACCUUGUUUUCUCUCGAUUUUCUCAAUGGAGGAAGCCCGUCAAGGUGUUCUUGUUUCCCUCGAGUUUCGUAGAGCUUUAAAAUUAUCAAGUUUGACGGAAGCUCUUCAAAAGUUGGCAAGUCUAGUCCAUGUAGAGUAAGUUCUUUCAGCUGAGAAAGGGAAGACAGCUCUGUAGUUGGUGCGCGGACAUUUGGAAAGCGAAUGUGCAGCUUGCUCACUUUGGUUAAACUCCCAAUCCACCCCAAGUUGCCAGUUUGGAAUUCAUUUGAUGGGUGUCUAUGUCCAUAGCGACCAGAUAGGAACAGUUCAACUAGAUUAGUAAGGUAUGAGAGGUUAGGGACAGUCUGCAAUGAAUCAGAUGCCCAUUGUAGAGUGGUCAAACUUCUGGGGAGUUCCGGCAGUUCUUCAAUUUUUGUGGCUGAUGCAUUGAUAAAUAACAGGCUUCGUAGUCUACCAAUGGAAUUAGGUAAUCUUGAAAUACUUGUGCCAAAUACAUCCAGUUUCAUUAACUUCUCUAAUUUUGAAACUGAGUCAGGAAGUUCAAUCAGGUCAAAACAACUAUUAAGAGAGAGAUGUUGCAGAUUCUGUAGCUUUCCAAUCUGUUCAGGCAAUUUUCUCAGUCUGUAACAGGAUUUAAUUAUCAAGUGAGUCAGCCACUUUAGCUUCCCAAUAGAGUGGUCAAUUCGCAUCAAAGACCAAAAUGAAGAAAUAGCCAACUCCUCUAAAACUGAGUCCUCAGGAAAGGUUGGUAUCUCAUUUAUCAACCCAUUGUACCUAAUAGUGAGAACCUUCAAUUUCCUUGCCCCCUACAAAAGCCAAUGAAACAUCAGGACCAAAAAGAAAUAAAUAUGGAUGUAGGCUACCAACGAGAAAAUUAGAUUAUAAAUCCAUCAUAUUUUGUCCUUCGUUGAAUGAGAAAAUUAGACUCAGAGGGAAACUGGCAUACCUCGAUUAGGCUUUGAAGCACAUCUUCUGUGAUAUCAAGCCCACUAAGAUUCACCACAACUGCGUUUUCUAGAUGCAACAGAUUGGUUGCCUCCAAACGUUUAUUGGAGGGGGCAUGGGUACGAUCAAAAUAACUGUAACUCAAAUCGAUCAAUCUCAAAUCGGAAAGACAGCCCGUAAAGUCACCUUGGCAGAUUACCUCACGCAACCAAAGAAUCCGCAAAUGCGGGAACCGCUUAAUUUGCUCCGAAGUGAUGAUUUCAUCAUCUGCCCACAAACGAAGAGAUUGAACGCUUCCCUUAAUCUGCCAAUGACAUUGAGGAGCAGAAGCAGGAAUUUGUCAAUAUCCCCCUAUGUUAUUUCUUAGAAGAGAAGAAAAACCGAAACAAAAGAGUGGCUACCAAAUAAAAAACGGGAAUCCUCAAUUAAGAAGAGGGUAUAAACAAUUUCUAUUCAAAUUUGGCCAUACUUUACCUCUGUUGAUCUUAAUUCGCGAAUGAUGUCAUCUUUAUCCCACAAUCUAGCACCCUCUUUUUUGGCAAUUGCUCUUCCAAGAUCUCUAAACUGAUCAUGCAUCCCAAAUCUAUCAUCAUCUAAAAAUAUCAUGCACCUCAUAGUAAGGAGCUUGAUGGCAAUCCUCACGGAAAACUGACAAUCUUUCCACAUGUACAUUGCAUUAGUCUUUUUCUGUCCAAUGAAAAAGCAUGCAAUAUCGAGGAAUAUUUUUUGUUGAUCCAAAUCUAAGGCAUCAUAGCUAAUCCUUAGCUUUUCCAAGACAUCAUUAUGAGGUGUUUUCUGUAGCUUCUCUAGCCACUCUCCCCAUAUUUCUUCUUCUUCCUCACCAAAAAGCGAUGAACCUAUUGCUUUAAGAGCUAAAGGUAGUCCAUUUGCAGUAGAGACAAUCCUUUCUGAAAGAGUGUAGUAAUUGCGUGGAGGAGAGUCGUCAUCGAAGGCAUGCUUACUAAAAAGUUGAAGUGCAUUUUCCUUGCUUAAUGGCACCAUUUCAUAUUCCUUGAAUUUACACUUUAAUCCCCUUUUAUUAUUCAGAAUACUCUUGUCCCUAGUAGUAACAAGUAUCCUAGUACCUCCUGGAUACAAUAUAUUCUCUCCAAUUAGGUUUUUGAUUUGGUCGGCUUUAUCAACAUCAUCCAAUACAAUUAGCAUCUUCUUCCUGCAAAUUUUUUUUUCAAUCAAACGAAUUCCAUGACCAAUGUUAAAAAUGUUAGGAGCCACUUCAGGAUAAUAGAUAUCGGACAAUAUUUUUUGUUGCAGCCUGACAAUGCCAUUGAUUUUUGCCAUUUCCCUCACGUUAUCAAGAAAGCUGCAAUUUCUCCCAAAGCGAUGACAUAGUUUGUUGAAAAUAGUCUCAGCAAGUGUUGUUUUACCGAUGCCGCCCAUGCCAUAGAUUCCAAUGAGCCGCACACCAUCGGAAUCAAUGUCUAAUAAAUCUUCUAUGGCCACUGCUCGAUCCUCCAUUCCAACUAAAUCUUUGGAUACUUUUAUUUCUCUUAUGGCCACUGUUCGAUCCUCUAUUCCAACUAAAUCUUUGGGUACUUUUAUUUCUCUUGUCUCAAGCAAGACCGCUACCUUGUCAACAAUCGCUUGGAUAACUUCUGUGUAGCUGCCACAAAGUUGAAUAGUUUCGAUUGAGAAAAGGUGACAAAUUUGCAUAUUGACCAACCAUCUACUAAGCAACCGGGUGGGAGCGUAAUCAAGUUUAGGAUAAAUCACAAUUCAACGUUAGCCCCCAAAGCUUUGGGAACAUGAUGAAUUACAAACUUGAACAUCCAUUACAAGUUUAAGGAAUAGAGUACGAGAAAUAUUUGAUUUUAUAUCAAGUAAUCGAAUCAAAAUUUCUAGCAAAAAGGGUAGAAGAAUCAAAAUAUAAACAUCUAAUGAAUUGCUGUAAUAGAAUAUUUACUUAUUUCUUUGGACGUGUAAAAGAACUUUGCAAAUGCAACAGUUCCAUAAUCAAGUUCUCUUGCAUACAAUGGGAAUCUUAAUACAUACAUGGAUCAAAGACGAAGCAAAGCCAAAUUUUUCAUACGAUGGAAAAUAGGUGAAAAACGAAAUUAUAAUAACCCUAUUGGGUCAGAAUUUUUUUUUGGAAAUCUCGUGAUUUACAAAAAUAAAAAGAAGAAUUUGAAACUUUCUGUUUAAAUUUGCAAAAACUAGAGUUGUAAUGUAAUUAAAUAAUUUUUAUAAGAAUUAUGGCCCAAUCGUACAAAAUAAUUUUCAGUCAUGGUUAGAUUGCUACCCUGGAUAUUUUGCCAACUCCCAUCCCUUGAUGCCACCAACUUCUUUGAGAGCCUGCUGCCAGGUCUGUAUAUCCUCGGAGUUGAACUUAUUCUUUUGACCCAAAUUCGAUAUGGCAUUCUUGUACAAUUCAGUUUUUAACUUCACGUCUUCGGGUUUCACGUUGUAGAAGAUGGGCAAUAUGACCUUCUUCUUCCCCUCUUCUUUAGAUUUAGCAGUGUUCUCCACCAUCUUCGUGAGCUCGUUGAGGCACCAGUGACUUGAAGCAUAGUCUUUGGAGAAGAUGGGUAUGUAGAGCUCGGAGUUGUCGAUUGCUUGUGGAAGGUUGUCACUAAUUCUUUCACCAAAUUGAAGUUCCUCAUCAUCAAUGAAAACACGAAACCCAACACGUAACAAGGCGUGGUAGAGGCUAUUGGUGAUGUACGGCGAGUAUCAGGUCCCCUAAAACUCAAGAACACGUGAUACAAACCUCCAAAUGUACUGCUGGUGCUUGUUCUGGUCUCUGGGCUUGCCAUAGGAGCUCACUUCACACUUAGCAGGUUCAGCCGUCUCUCUCUCUCUGAUUGACACUGUUGAAAUACUUCUUCCAUGCAAAUUCGCACAAAGCCUUGUGGUUCUCUGAAUGUGAAAAGCUUUAAUUACAUUCUUAAUGUGAAAAGCUUUCUCCACCAGAUCCUCCUCCCUCUAGAAUUUACAAAAAGAGAACCAGUGCGUUACAUCAAAAAAGGAGAAAAGGAUGUUUAACUAAUUGAAAGUUACGGACAGGCAACUUCGCAGCACCUACGGCUUUCAAUUUAAAGUCAAUAAAGUUGAUCAACUUUAGAAAAGAUGAGGUUAAGUUUCUCCUUCGUGCUUUUCCCUCUGUGCUUUUGAACUUUGGGAUUAAAAAAAAUUUGAUUCUCAAACAUUUAAAUCAUGCAUGAUUAUUCUAAAGCUAUAUCUAUAGUUGAACAUAUUUAAAAUCCCAAUCCGGUAUCGUAAAAUCACAAGGUAUCUAUAUAAAGUAAGAAGAUACUCCUAAAGAAUUAAAGCAGGUUUUGCUGCAUUCAAUUUAUCGGAUAAUUAGAAAAAAUUUCUCCAUACAUAGAGAUUGGAUUUGUAGCAUUCUCAACAACAAAUGCCACACCUAAGCACUACCUAAGCAUAUAUGAGAUAUUUGAUUUGAUGUCUUUGCCUCAAAGACUUACCUUUUAUUAUAAUUAAUGACCUUUAAAACUCUAAUAUUCUCAUAAAAUGUGCCUUUAUAUCAACAGGCAACUUCCCAAAAGAUGCAGCUUUUAAUUAAUAGUGAAUGAAGUUGAUGGCUUCAGAAAAAACCAGAUGAAGGACAAUUAUGGAGAUGUACCACUUUUUUCGGUCGGUCGAGAUGUACAAUUAUGGAGAUGUACCACUUUUUUUUUUGACAGCGGAGAUGUACCAUUUCACACGCCCAAUAUCUUUCGCCUUUCUUCUUGGUGCCUUUGAACUUUUGAAUUAAAAAAAACUCCAUUUUUCAAAUAUUUAAAUCAUUUAUAAUUAUUCUAUAGCUAUAUCUAUAAUUAAACGUAUUUAUAUAGAUAAAAUCACAAUCUAUAUAAAUGUAUAAUAACAAAAUAUUCCUAAAGAAUAUCUCUCAUUAUGACAUAUGAGACUUUGGACAAUUAGAAGAUUUUCCUACAAACUAUUGAGAUUGGAUUUGCUACAUUCACCACAAAAAUGCUCCACCUAAGCACUACCUAGCAGUAUGCUUACUACUCACUAUGACGUAUUUGUUUUGGUCUCUUCCCCUUAAAGACUUACAUUUUAUCAUAAUUAAUUACCUUCAACCCCACAAUAUUGCAAUAUAUGUGCCUUUAUAUCAAAAAGCAAAUAUUUUACAACACUUAUUGUCUUAUUGAAAACUAUUAGAAUGCAAGCAUGAUAUAAUUAGUGUGGUUUGGACAUCAGCCAAACCUAAUUAUAUAAACAUUGAAAUAUAUCUCAAGUCGGAGCGGGAUUAAACCGGAUCGAAAAAGACUUAUCGACACUCGACCUCUAAUCAAGAGUGGUGAGAGGAAAUGCAAUGAUGGCCUGUCCAUGGCCAUGGUGCCAUCCCAUCAUGGUGUUGCUUUAAGCGUCGAAAGAAAGAGAGACCGCCCUGGUUUUGACCAUAAGAGACGACGACUUUUUUUUUUUUUGUGCCGAAAGAACUGCUUUGAUUGACAGCCGCCACGUAAACCCUCAAAUGACGCUAGCCCAGAACCCACCACCAGGGCGCCACACGUAAUACACCUAAUAGUUUGCCAGCCUCUCUACAACUUGUGUUGUAGAGGCUUCGAACACCUGACUUUUCCCUUCAAAGACAGGAGCCUACUCAGUAAAGCCACCACACGGCCGGUGGUAUAAGGGACGACUUUGCCCAGCUGAAGAACGGGAAAAAAGAGAGAAUGAUGAUGGCCACCGCUGAUACGAGACAAAAGGGGAAGGAAAACGACGAAGAAAGUUGCAAUAAUGGCGUCAUUUAACGAUGGCCGCUCAUUGUUUCCUUUCUUCUUUAUUUGCUUCUUGUGAAUUUUCUCUGUGAAUACGAAGAGGAAGAGCUCUUAAUGAGAGCUCCGAGGACUGCACAACGAGAUUUAAAAUUUCCUCUUAAAAGUUUUGAUUCAAAAAGUUUUUCUUUAUGAAAUUACACAAAAUGAAGUCAAUUAAAUCUUGUGUUAACGUUUAGGUCAAUCUUUUUAUGCGAUUGAAAUAUUAUUUUGAGAGAAAUUAUGAGGGUUAAAUACAGAGUUAUUAGUCAUAUUUGAGGGAUAAAAAUACAAAUAAUAUUUGAGUAACUCAAGUAUUAUUAUAAUCUCCAUUGCAUUGUAAUUUCAUGGUUUUCAUUUCCUCAUGGACGUAGGUCACAUAACCGAACCACGCAAAUUUAGUGUUUGAUUCAUUUCCUUGUUUUACAUUUUUAUUCAAGCACUUGUUUUAUUUCCAACAAUAAAUAUGGUUUGAAGAAAAGUGAAACCAAAUUAAACCGUAUUAUAGUCGAGAUCAAACCAAGCCAAACCAUUUUAUGUGGUUUGAUUCGGCUUAAUCGUUUUUUCUGCUUUUAUUUUACCUCUUCAUCAUAUGUAAUUUCAUGAUUAAAAAAAAAAAAAAAAAAACAAAGUCUACGCCACAACCCUUCCGAGGCGAGAUCCCUGAGGAAGUUACCGAAUUAUCAAGUAAGCAUGAAUGGUCCCUUUUGCAAGGUGACGCUUGCUCUUGGCAGGAUCAAUCUCAACUUGGUUUCUAUUAAUUAUUUCAUUUGCUCAAGAGUCGCCAUUAAUUUUUUAUAAACCGAUUAGGAGUCAAGUAAAACACAAGAGCCUAUUUUACUUCUACAAACCGGAGAUUUGUGGGUCUAACGACUUGAUUAGGCUGGAUAUGUAAUGUGCAAUUAUUCAUGCGAUCUUCCAAUCUUAGUUACCCAUUCUGUUCUCAAUAUCGAGGGAAGAAGGCGAUCAUGCAUGAAAUCACUCAAGCAAACACAAAUAAAAUCCAAUAAUACUGAAACAAAUAGAGCAAAUAAAAGAUACGAAAAUAAAGAAAUUGAGCCGUAUUGCAAAAAAAAAAAAAAACAAAACAAAAUCAAUACAAAGCUUUGUUCUUAAGUUCCAAGAUAGGACCCCUUGAGCUAUAAAUAGAAACUCGAUGUUAGAUCUCCAACUAUGGCUCCAAACCGGAAAGUCAAUAAAUGAUACUUCAUGAAUAUCCACUAUAUAAACUACUUUCCUAAAAUGAACAAUUACUUCAAAACGUAAAAUCUACUCAAUGCAAUGUUAAGAAAACAAAAUUUAUUUAUGAAUAUGCAUUACUGGUAAAAUACACUCCUAGAUGUUUUUUUAUUUUAUUUUAUUUUCUGAAUAUGCAGUUUAUCUUUCCACUUGUUUUUUUUUUUCUUUUUUGCAUUUCCCCCUUCUUUAUAUAUACACACACACAUAUAUAAGUGAAGCAAAAUUUGAUUACGUGUUGAAAUAAAUAUGAACUAGAAUCUAUAUGCCAAAAUAAUAUGUAAUAUAAAUCCGGAUUUUCAUGAAAAUUUGCACUGCGUUCACUUGGAAUUUUUUUUCUUUGGAAACGCUCAAUUGGAAUUUCAACCUUAAAAUUGCAUCAAGAACGACUUAGUGCACACGAGAAAAUAAAGAAAACUAAAGUGACAUAAUGCUAUGAAUUAGAGCCAAAUAAUCCACACUAUGCGAAAAUCAACGGUGGAUGAAUAAAUCUAUACGAAUAACCAAUUUUCUCUCUACCGCUUUUUUUAGGGUGCAGUUUAGUUAACCGUCCUCUGUCAAAUGAUGGAGUGACAGUCAACUAAUGACACACAAUUCGCAUAGAUUCCAUCUUUUACCCUUUUUUUAUUUUAAUUUUUAUGCUUUCUUAUUGCAAGCUUAAAUUGAGCGAUAAAAUCAUAAGAGGGCCAUACAAUCAAUUUUCAUGAAUAUUAUGAAAGGAAAAAUAAAUUAGAUACCAAAAUAUAAAUAAUUAGAAGUAAAAAAUAUUGUCCUCCACUAAAAAGAAAUCAUUCAUUUCGUUAGGUAGAUCUAUUAAAUUUAAAAGAUGAAAAAACACUUGAAUUUUUGGCUUUGCAACUAAUAACAAAAUUAUUGUGCAAUGAAUUGGCUUCUCAAUCCUAUCGCCAAAAUCAAAUUGCUUUGGAAGGACUCUCCGAUGACCUAAAAUUAAGACAAGUAAUGUUAAUUACGCAUAAAACAAAUGAAGUAAAGAAAAUAACAAAAUAAGAAUAAUGAAUUAGUAGAGAAGAAAAUUUACCCCACUGAUCCAAAUCUCGUAGAUGAAGAUGAGUUGGGACCUAAAAUAUUACAAAAUCAAUCUUAGGAUCACACGAGUGAAGACUAAGCCAAAAUGAUUUUUGAUCAAUUUUUAUAAAUAUUUUACCUAAUAUAGCUUCAUGUUUGGUUCGUUGAGAAGAUUCAUGUAACCACAAGAUAUGACCAUAUAUCAUUUUAUAUAGAUAAAAAUUCAAUUUAUGGGAAGGUAUUUUAAAUAAAAUAAUAAUAAUACAUAUCAGCAACUAUUGAAAACCCUCGAUUCUUUCCUAAUUGCAAAUCAAGUUUUAAGAAUGGUUACGGUAACUCAUAUCAUCCAAAUUACCAAUUAUAUUUUGGUAUCUAAUUUAUUUUUUUCUUUCAUCAUAUUCAUGAAAAUUGAUUGCAUUGGUCCUCUUAUGAUUUUAUCUCCUAAUUUAAGCUUACAAUAACAAAAAAAAAAAAAAAAGGGUAAAAGAUGGAUUUCAACCGUUUCCAUCCAAAAUGUGUGGUUCUCAACUGACCGUCACUCCAUCAUUUGAAGGAGUGAUGGUCAGCUAAGCCUUUUCCACAUUUUAACUAGAGGUAUGCCUGCAUAAAAGUUAAGUGCGUCUUCAUUGCUCAACCCAACCCACAAAUUCUUAAUCCUUGCAUAUAUACUUAAGUUCCCUCAUAUACGCUCGUCCCCUAGAGGCAAUAAGUAUCCUAGUACCAAGAUACAAAGAAUUCACUCCAAUUAAUUUUUGGAUAUGGUUGUCCUCGUCGACAUCAUCCAAUACAAUUAGCAUCUAUCAAUGUUAUCAAUGUCACGAGUCACUCUAGAAUAACAUAUAUCGAAAAAUAAUUUUUCUUGUGGCAUGACUAGGCCCUUGGUUUUUAGCAUUUCCCUUGUGUCAACAAGAAAGUUGCAGUUUUUCCCAAAGCGAGGAUAUAGCUAGUUGAAGAUAACCUUGGCGGGUGUUGUUUUGCCAAUGCUCCCCAACCCAUAGAUUCCAAUGAACCGCAUACCGUCAAAAGCGGUGUUUGAUAAAUUGUCUAUGGUUGUUAUUCAAUCCUCCAUUACAACUAAAUUUUUGGUCAGUUGCCUUUGUCUUGUCUUCACCCUGACCACAAUCUCAUUAACAACCGACGUGAUAAGAUUCCCAUAGCUGCCACAAUGUCAAACAAUAUUAAUUGAGAAAAAGUGACAAAUUUCCAUGUUGACAAACAAUUUACAUAUAUAAGAUCUUGAAUCAGCCUCAAUUCAUUUUGAAUGCGCAGCACUUAUAUUUCUGUUAGAUUGCACGUUUCAGAAACAAUAAUGACAUUACAUUCAUUAAUGGGAAGAGCGUUUUGUUACAUUCUUAAUGCGAAAAGCUUCUCCACCAGAUCAUCCUUCUUGAAAAAUUUACAAAAGAAGAACCAACGCAUAACAUUAGAAAAGGAGAAAAGGAUGUUUAUUAUGAGAAAUAAAUGAUGAAAUUCUUGAUUUGAAUGCCCGAAGUCCGGUGCCACUUUCUUUAGUGAGAGACGUCAUUUUGGACAUUUGUACCGUGUGACUCACGUAAUUUAAUUGAAACUGACGAACAAACAACUUCACAGCAGUUGCAGCUUUCAAUUUAUGGUCAAUAGAGUGGAUGGCUUCAGAGAAAAUGAGAUGAAGGACAAUUAUGGAGGUCUACCUUUUCACAAGCCCAAUUUCUUUGGAGUUUCUUCUUAGUGCAUUUGAACUUUUGAAUUUAUGACCAUUUUUUAAUUAAAAAAAUCUGAUUUUCAAACGUUUAAAUCAUUUAUAAUUAGUUUAUAGCUAUAUCUAUGGUUAAACAUAUUUAUAUAGAUAAAAACGGAAUUUAUCCAUAUAAAUGCAUAAUAAAAAAUAUUCCUAAAGAAAAGUUUAAGUUAAAUGCGUUUAUUUCAAGUGAGUGAUUCAUUGUUAGUCAAAUUUCCGCUGUUUUUUUUUUGUUUUGUUUUGGACAUUUUAACAAUAAUAACAUUACAUUUCAUUAAUGAAAAGAGCUUCUCCACCAUAUCAUCCUCCUUCAGAAAUUUACAAAAGAAGAGCAAGCACAUUACAUUAUUAAAGGAGAAAAGGCUGUUUAUUGUGAGAUAUAAUGACAAAAUUCUUGAUUUGAACACCAAAGUCCGAUGCCACUAUCGGUAGUGAUAGACAUCAUUUUGGAUUUUUGUAUUGCGUGACUCAUGAGAUUUAAUUGAAAGUUACGGACAGGCAACUUGACAGCAUCCGCAGCUUUCAAUUAAUAGUGAAUAAAGUUGAUGGCUUCAUGAAAAAUCAGAUGGAGGACAAUUAUGGAGAUGUACCAGUUUUUUGGUCGGUUGAAUACAAUUAUGGAGAUGUACCAUUUCACACGUCCUUUCGCCUUUCUUCUCGGUGCCUUUGAGCUUUCGAAUUAAAAAAAGAAAAAUUCUGAUUUUGGGCGUGGAAAGAAAGAGAGGCCGUGCUGGUCUUGACCAUAAGAGGACGACUUUGCUUGGCCGAAGAAAGGGAAAAAGACAGACCGAUAAUGGCCACUGCUGACAUCGGACAGUACAGAAGGGAAACGAAAACGACGAAGAAAGUUGCAGUAAUGGUGUCUUUUAACGAUGGCCAGUCAUUGUUUCCUUUCUUCUUCUUUGUUUUCUUCUAGUGAAUUUUCUCUUUAAAUUCGAAGAGGAAGGGCUCUUAAUGAGAGCUCCGAGGACUGCACAGAGGAGAUUGAAAAUUUCCUCUUAAGGGUUUGAUUCAAAAAAGUUUUUCUUCGUGAAGUUAGUCGAAAUUAAAGCUGAUUAAAUCUUGUGUUAAUAUGCAAAUUGAGAUAUUAUUUCGAAAGAAAUUAUGAAGGUAAAAAACAUAGAGUUAUUAGUUGUACUUAAGGGAUAAAAACACCAAGGGUAUCUGAACGACUUGAAUAAAAUUAUAAUAUUCGCUGCAUUGUAAUUUUAUCUAUAAUGGAAUUGUGUGCUCCUUUCCUCGUGGACAUAGAUCACACAACCAAAUCACGUAAAUUUGAUAUCUGAAUUAUUUUCUUAUUUUGUAUAUAUUUUAUUUAAUCACUUGUUUUAUUUUCAAUAAUAAAUACGGUUUGAAGAAAAGAGGAACCAAGCUAGACUGUAUUAUAGUUAAAGAUCAAACCAAGCCAGACGUUUUUUUUUUUUUGGGGGGGGGUUGAUUUGGCUUAAUCGUUCUUUCUUCUUUAGUUUUCCUCUUCAUCAUUUGUAAUUUUAUGAGAAAAAAACCAAAUUCCAUGUCACGAAACUUCCAAAGCGAGAUCCCCGAGGAAGUUGCUGGAUCACCAAGCAAGCACAAAUGGCCCCUCUUGCGAGGUGAUGCUUGCUCUUGGCACGAUCAAUCUCAACUUGUUUCAAUUAAUUAUUUCGUUUGAUUGAGAGUCACCACUAACUUUUUAUGAACCAAUUAGGAGUCAAGUAAAAUGCAAGAGUCCGUCUUACUUCUGCAAACAUGAGAUUUGUGAGUCCAGAAACUUGAUUAGGCAAGAUACAUCUCAAGCCCAAUGUUGCAUACUUUCUCUUUCUAUUAAAACAAUUAUUCAUGUGGUCUUCCCAAUCUUAGUUUCCCAUUUUAUUCUCAAUGUUGAGAAAGGCUGGCGAUCAUGCAUAAAUUCACUCAAGCAAACACGUAUAAAAUCCACUAAUACUGAGACAAAUAGAGCAAAUAAAAGGUAGGAAAAUAAAGGACCCAACCCGUAUCAGGGAAACAAAUCAACAAAAGCCUUGUUAUAAGGUUCCGGGACAUGCCCCUUGAGCUAUUAAUAGAAACUCAGUGUAAAAUCUCCAAAAUAAACUAUGGCUUAAAACCAGAAAGUAAAUAACUGAUACCUCAUGAAUAUAUAUAAACUACUUUCCCAAAAAGAAGUAUUACAUCAAGAAAUAAAAUCUACUUAAUGCUAUAUAAAGUGCAAUGCAAUGUUUAGAAAACAAAAUCUAUUUAUGAUUAUGCAUGAUUCCUAAAUUAUCCUCCUAGAUGUAUAUAUAUAUAUAUAUAUUUUAAAUAGAAUCUAUCUGUUUUUUUGCUUUUUCACAUUAACCCCUUCAAUAUAUAUUAUAGUGAAACGAAAUUAAACUAAAAAAUAACUAAGUGCCGAGAUAAAUUUGAACUAGUAACUAGAUACCAAAAUAAUAUGUUAUAUAAACCCAGAUUUUCGUGAAAAUUUGCACCAUGUUGCGUUGGAAUUUCAACCUAAACUUCUUGUGGGAACGAGCUAAUAAACACCAGAAAAUAAAGAGAACUAAAGCGAUAUAAUGCUAUGAAUUAAAGCAAAACCAUUCCACAAUAUGCGAAAUCAAGGGUGGAUGAGUACAUCUAUACUAAUUGCCGAAAUUAAAUAUUUAUUAAAAAAAAUUUCUACGCUGUUACAGGUCUGAAGUGUUCAAAUUGAAUCACAUCAUGUAGAUUAUUUAUAUUUCCAUGUUUAUGUUUGCUGAGACACGAGGAACAAUCAACAUGAACUAACACAAAAAUCCACGCAGGUUCUUGAUUUUAUUUCCUUUCUUCUUUCGUCUUUCUCUUCACAUGUGCAGCAUAAUUCCUUUUCACUUGUGCUGGUCGGAUAAGGCUGUCGCAUAUUUCCCUCUUGGUCGAGCCCAUGAAAGGGAGCCAGGGUCGUGCGGGCUUGGACUCGGAAGUUCAAAUAAAUUCAUGGCACAUUUUGCGUGUUGGGAUCCACUCAAAUUCAAUUCACAAGCGGACUAAUUUAAAUGAAAUUCGUAGUCAGGUUUCACGCUUUCUUUGGUGCGAAUCCAUUAUUCCUAACAAAAUGUUGGUACUAUCUAAAUGCCGUAAAUGAGGAUGCAAAAAAUGUGCAAUCUCAAAAAAUUUAGGCAUUAGCAUUCUGCGUUGACAACAAUUCAUAAAUUCACACAAAGUGAAAAUCAAACCUAUUUAAAUAGCUAUUUCAUGUAUAAAUGGUCAAAAUAAUUAGCAAUAUCAAUCAUUUAUACAAUGCGGGGUCGCGGUUUUGGUUUGGUUUCAAAAAAGUUGAAACCAAGCCAAACCACAAAAAACGAUUUGUUUCAUGGACAACAUGGAUAUUGUUAAGAGGGACCCUCGAGCUCGAAGGGAAGGUGUUUUGGUUGCCAGCAACAUCGUGGAGCUUGGAUUAAGGCAAGGCUGCCUCCAUCAAGAUGGAUAGGGAAAGCAACGCUAUCAACCCAUAGAUCCAAAUGCCGCGAGAAUCGAUCCAGGCAUACUGGUUCGAGACGAAGGCCCCCAAUCGUGAACUGAAGCUUCAUGGAUAUCAUGAUUUUCUAGAAUACUUUCAAAAAGAUCAUACUUUCAAGAAUAUUUUUUACACAUCAUUGCAUACUUUCAAGCACAAACGGACAUGGCACAUGAAGUCAUGCCAGAGCAUAAAAUGACAAAGGAAUUUCCCUGACGACAUCUCCAAAAAUAUCAAAAGUCGCAUAAGUAAUGUUAGGAAUUAUUUGACAAUUGAAUUUAGAGGACGAAAUUGGAAAAUGUGGUACUGAAAAAGCGUUGUGGGAAGUCUAACCCCUCCCCACACAUAAAUGAAUCCUUCAACAACAAGUUUCAUUGGCUUUCGCAAAUGAUCAAUAUUACACGUGGACCUAGUUUCCAAUCAGCCUAAUUUUUUAAAUUGAUUGGCAGUUACUCCAUCUCAUACUUUAAAGAAAACUUUGGAGUUGGCCCAAAACUUCCAAAACUCCUUUUCCAACAACAUAUUUGCUCCUUGCCGAGUGAAACCUUUGAUCUCAAGACCGUUGGGCAAGGUGCUACAUGACCUAUAUGAAGACUCCAACGUAAUUGUUGUAGGGUUGGCCGAGAAGAUCAAAACGCUUUCAAAGCUUUUCUUUUUCUUUUUGGUUCUUUGCUUAUUCUUUGAUAUAUAUAAUAUUAUUUAUUAUCGCGAUUCUACUCUUAAUUCUCUAAGAGAGUGUUGAUGUAAUUAUUGUUCAGAGUGCUUUGCGUGUAAAGUAAAGUCAAGGUACUUGUAGAGUGAGCUUCAGUUCCUCUUAGAGAGGCAAUUCCGUUCAUAAUUAGUGAAUUCAGCCUUGUUGUUAGAUAGGAAAAUCAUUCAAAAAAUUCAUCAACUUAUUGCAUGGCGGUUAAUUCAGUCAUAAACUUUUCAAUUUGACAAAUUUAGUCUUCAACGUUUUAACGAUUUUCUAACGUAGAUCAUCCAGUCAAUUUUGAUUGGAAAUAGUUAAUAUGGCAGUCCAGUAAGCACUAGCCAUUCUAUGUGUAAUGGCCAGGCUAUCGGCGAUUGAUGUAAACUAUUUUUAAAUUUUUUUAAUAUAUAUAUUUUUUUCGUUUUCUUGUCCUUCAUCCGAAUAGAAAUGAAGUAUGAGGCGCUUGCCUUGUGCAUCCACCUAUAAAUUGAUUUGUAGUCUAUUCUUUCUAUCGUUCUUUACAUUUUUUAUGAUAGAAGAUAUUUUCUAUACGUAGCAUAUUUUGUCUACAAAUAUUGUUUCAUCCUCUACGCAUUUUUUUGCAAGAAAAAAAGUGUCAAAAAUCCUAAAAUAACCUAUUCAUUCUCCUCUUGAUUGUUUAAUUAAGUCCAUUUCACACAUAAGCAUUUUCUUUGUAUAAAUAUUAAGUGAAAUGGCACCAAUUGUCCGUUUAUUCUUGCCGAAAAUUCAAGAACGUCCUUGUAUCAUUUUUUGUCCAAAAUCAUCCCUAUACUUUUUAAAAGGGUCAUUGCUCGUCCUCCUAUUAUGUCACUACUUUUUUCAAUCGAUUUAUACCAAUAUGGAUAAUCGGAACAUUGAGUAGAAGCCACGUGGCAGCCAUGGCUGCUUAAGCUUUAAGCUCACAAUUGUGGUCAUUUGAGCUCGAAGCUUGCCACCACCAUGGUUGCUUGAGCACGAGCUCAAAGCUAAUGGCCAUGGUCACUUGAGCUCGAACCUUGUGACCACUAUUGCCAAAUCUGGAUUCGAAGUUCACAGCAGUCAUGGCUGCUUGAGCUUGAAGCUUGCGGAUGCUAUGAUCAAAUAUGGCAUCGAAGGUUGUGGCUGCCGUGGCCAAAUUUGGCCACCAUGGCUGCUCGAGCUCCAAACUCAUGGCCAUGUCCGUUUGAGAUCAAAGCUUGCAGCCUCUACAACCAAAUUUGGCUUUGAAGCUCAUGGCUUGAGCUCUAAGCUUGCGAUUUGCUGCUAGAUCUACUUCAAAGCUCAUAACCACCGUGAUCACUUGAGCUCGACCUUGAAACUUGCGGCCAUCAUGGCUUUUCGAGCUGGUGGCCAGGGUGGAGCUUGAGUGGUCAUGCGUGUGAGGUCUUAAAGGUCGUAGAUCUUGAGCUCGCGAUCACCAUGGCUACUCGAGCAUUUGAGCCGCGGGCAUUAUAAGUGAUAACGUGAUUCUUUUAUGUGGAAAUACAAAAUAGGAGAUCUUUUUUUUUUUUUUUGGUAAAACAAAAUAGGAGAUCUUUGAUCUUUAUAAUUUUCACAAUAAGAAAGAUGGAGACAUACCUUUAUUCAUAGUAAUACACUUGAAAGUAUUUGUCGCGGAAAAAUCGAAGAGAUGAAGAAAUUUGAUUUCUCUCCCUUAACCCAUGCUUUUCUUUAAUGUAUUCUAUUUGAUAGAGGAUAUAAUACAGCAUUAUUUUUUAUGUUGUAGGUGAAAAGAGGACUAGACUCUUAUUUAUGCAUGCUAUUAAUAUGCGCUUUCAAUUAAAGCGCCUUUUAACUUCUAUGAGAGUCGCACCUCUUUGGAAGAAUGGUAACUUCUCAAUGAGGAUUGUACUAUUUUAUUAGAGUUGUAAUUUCUUAUAACCAAUACAUUUUAGCAUUAAAUAUUUAUUAAACCAUUAAUCAAUAAUAUCAUGUGUGCCACAAUAAUUCUUACAUUCUCCCGCUUGGCCCAUAUGACCUUCCUUUCAAGGUUUAAUAAAGACCAUAAUGUGCACAAUAACGUUAUGCUAAAACCUUUCAUAAAUUGGCUAUCAUAUAAUAAUCACAAUUAAGUAAAAAAAAAAAAACUAAUGCAAGUCAUGGCAGUUGUAUGCCAUUAAUCGAGAUAGUUCCUUUCAUGUACUACAACAUAGCUCUCUACUUAACAUAAUCAUAAAUGAGGAGUACGGUAAUGGUCCAACCAUAAUGUCUUUAUAAGAAACUAACCUGUUUAACAUUCAUCUAUUUCCAUAAGGUAUACUAAAUAGAAACAAGAAAUAUCAAAGAUGCAUAAUUGAGCUCAGAGUGUCAAAUACAUAAACUUAAUGCAAUCAUAAUACAAUAAUUAAUGAUGUCCAAUAAUGUCCAUCCUUUCAACAUGCUCAUUAAAUGUUUUGGGUGGAAUCUCUGUCACGACCCAAUCUCAUUGUCCAUCCCUCGUGAGGAGAGGAAGAGGAAAGGUUGGAUUUAUGUGUACUUGACCACAAAAGUUCCCUCAUGGUUCCCAACCACAGGGAUGUCAUCACCUUACCCCGUGGACGAACCUCGUGUGAGUUCACUUAAUCGUAAUCUUGAGUUUUCCAAACUUGUACACCACAUGACAGUGAAGUGUCGCAACCCUCCCUCAACACCACGGUAUGUCUUGAUCGACAAUUUUAAGGUCGAAAGGAAUCUGGACGUAAAUGUGAGUUUAGGGAUGCCUUUACCACGAUAACCCUAUCGAUGGAACAUUUUGCCCAUAAGAAUGACAUCACUUCAUCCUUUAGCGGUACAACCAAUAUCAAGUAUGCUAAAUUGCGGUGAGUCUUAUCAAGACCCAUAUCCCGCGCGACGGGUUCAUUUAUAACAUCUAGUUAUUUAAGACAACCUAAAAAUAGGACGGGAGUCACCACUAGCCUUAUUUUUGGGGGGUCGGCCAGAAAAUUCAAUCGAGGAUUGAGAGUGUUUCCUCGAUUUCUACGCAAUCAAAUAUCUAGGUUCAGAGACUUAGGUUACAAGUAUUCUAGAACCAAUAAACAAAGAUUUAACUCCAAUUAGUUUUUGGAUUUGGUUGCCCUUAUCAACAUCAUCCAAUACAAUUAGCAUCUUCUUGUUGCAAAUUGUUUCUCCAAUCAUAUUGAUACCAUGAUCAAUGCUAUGAAUUCUACAAGCCACUCAAGAAUAAGAGAUAUCAGACAAUAUUUUUUCUUGCAAUUUGUCUAAACCCUUGGUUUUUGCCAUUUCCCUCACGUCUUUGAGAAAGUUGCAAUUUUUCCCAAAGUGAGGACAUAGUUGGUUGAAGAUAAUUAUGGCAAGUGUUGUUUUACCGAUAUCGCCUAUCCCAUAGAUUCCAAUUAGUCACACACCACCAUAAUUGAUAUCUAAUAAAUUGUUUAUGGUUGUUAUUCAAUCCUCCAUUCCAGCUAAACCUUGGUUACUUGCCUUUGUCUUGUCUCGAGCUUGACCACAACCUCGUCAAUAGCUGCCUGGUUAAGUUUUGUUUAGCUGCCACAAAGUUGAACAGUUUCAAUUAAGAAAAUGUGACAAUUUGGUAUGUUGACCAACCGUCUACUAAGCAAAGAGGUGGGAAUGCGAUCAAGUUUAGAAUAUAUCAAAAUUUAACAUUACCUCAAAGCUUUGUGAACAUGAUGAAUUACAAACUUGAACAUCCAUUACAAUAGAAGAAAUGAAAUGUUUGAUCCUUAUAUCAAGUAGAAGGCUCAGAAUCUCUGGCCAAAAAGGGUGGUGAAUCAAAAUAUAAACAUCUAUUGAAAAACUGUAAUAGAAGAUUUACUUAUUUCUUCCGAUGUGGAAAAAGAACUUUGCUAUGGAAACAGUUCCUUAAUCAAGUUCUCUAGCAUACAAUACGAAUCUUAAUACAUACAUGGAUCAAAUUAGUAUUAAAAAGAUCAAGCUAAUCCAAAUUUUUCAUAUGAUGGAAAAUAAAUGGAAAACCAACUUAAAUAACCACAUUAGGUUAAAAAAAUUUGGAAAUCUCGUGAUUUAAAAAAACUAAAAGAAGAAUUUGAAACCUUCAGUUUAAAUUUAGGUAAUUAAAGUUGGAAUAUAAUUAAUGAAUUUUCAUAAGAACUAUGCUUGAUUGUACAAGAUAAUCUUCACAAUCAUGGUCAAAUUGUUACCCUGGAUAUUUCUCCAUCUUCCAUCCCUUGGUGCCAACAACUUCUUUUAGGGCCCGCCCCCACAUCUCUAUAUCCUCAGAGCUGAACUUAUUCUUCUGACCCUCCAUCUAUUGCUCCAAAUUUGAUAUGGCCUUGUUGUACAACAUUGUUUUCAACUUCACGUCAUCGGGUUCCACAUUGCAGAAGAUGGGCAAUAUGACCUUCUUCCCAUCUUCUUUAGAUUUAUAGGUGUUCUCCACCAUCUUCGCAAGCUUGUCAAGGCACCAAUGACAUGAAGUGUAGUUUUUGCAGAAGAUGGGUAUGUAGAGCUUGGAGUCAUCAAUCAUUUGUGGAAGGUUGUCACUGAUUCUUUCACCAAAUCUAAGUUCCUCAUCAUCAAUGAAAACAUGAAUUGCAGCAUGUAACAAGGUAUGGUAGAAGCUAUUGGUGAAUGUACGAUGAGUAUCAAGCCCUCUAAAACUUAGGAAGACCUGGUACUCACCUCCAAAUGUAUUAUUAGUGCUUGUUUCAAUCCCUAGGCUCGCCAUAGGACCAAACUGUCACGCCCCGAACCUCAAGCGCGCCAACAUCCCACCAUGGUCAUGCAAAUGUGACAUUCCCAGGUAGUGUGGCCGACCCCAUUCAUAUAUUAUUGUGCAAGCGGAACAUAUUAUAAAACCCUUGACAAUGAAAUAUGGGAUAGACAAGCAGGAAGCAAAACCACAACAUAACACUUUCAUAAUUCAACAGAAUUACAAACAGAGGUCUACGGCCAAAAGUCUACAAAAAACCGACUCUUAAAAAGGAACUGUCCUACGACCUACAAGUCAGACACGUUCUCCAAUCCUUAUGACUUCACCUCUACAACUCCUCAAGGCCAACCAAAGCUAUCUGGUCACUCCGUCCACCAAGGACCUGAAAUUUUAAUCCCACAACCGGGAUGAGACAUUGUCUCAGUAAGUUCAACCCCCUAAACCCCUAUUAGAAAGAAAAUACACCUCGGGUGGCCUAGCCACAUCACACAAAAGACUUAUCUCGUCUUAAUUCCUUCCUACAUAUUAGCACAAUUUGUAUCACACAAUCUCAGGUAGUAAUAAUAAUUCAAACAAAUGGAAACGCCAUCACUUUCAUAUAAAUCACAAUCGCACUUAGUGCGCAUUCCAAUUAUUAUUCACUACCACACAAGAGCAUAGCCUACUCGCAGUUCGGCUAUCUACUGACAUUAAUGCCAGGCAUCGCCUCCCCCCCUUGGAGCGCGGCUUCGUCACCACGAUGACGGCAUUCCUGAAGGAGCAUGGGUCUAGUUGGCAUAGCCUCUACUACGACUCGAGCCACGUCACUCUGUUGACGGCAUUUCUAAAUGAAUAAAGGUCCAGUUGGUGUAGCCACUAUUGCGACCGAGUCUUUCAACCAGCACACGACAAUUCAAUAAUCAAUUGCACAAAUCAUCACUCAAUUUGUAAUAUCUAAUCAUCAAAUUCAUAAUCUGAAUACACAACAAUGAUCAGCAUGAAAUUCUGAGAAUUUAGGGUCCCAAAAUAAUUUUCGGAAUUUAUUAAAUAAUUAAAUUUAUUUCGAAAAUUAAUUAAAUAAUAAUAUCCAUAUUUUUCACAAUCCACACUCAAUUUAUAAUAUCCAAUCAUCAAUUUCAAAAUUUGACUACACAGCAGCGACCGGCACGAAAUUCUGAGAAUUUAGGGUCUUGACAAAAUUUUCGGAAUUUAAUAAAUAAUUAAAUUUAUUCCGAAAAUAAUUAAAUAAUAAUAUUUUAAUAAUUUUGAAUAAUAAUAUAUUAUUAAAUUAUCUAAUAAUUUCGAGAUAUUUAAAUAAAUCAAAAGUAAAUUCAUUUAUGUCACAUCAAGGUUUAUAUUAAUAUAACAUUCACUUAAUCUUAAAUUAAACACACUUUAAGUUAAUUAAGCACCUUAAUAUAAAUCUACACUUAAAUAAAUUAAACUAACCACCUAAUAAUACUUAACAAAAACUAAGCACAUCUAAAGCAUCAUUAACCUUCUAAUCAAGGUUUAGUGAGCUAAACUCACAGAUUAGCGAGCCGAGCGGACUGGAACGAUGGGGACGCCGGGGGGAACAACUUUCCUCAAAGCAGGCCAAGCAUUCGAGGUCGGGAAGCCGGCCAAAACGGGCCAAAACGGAGUUGAGAAACCCAUUUUUGCUUGCUAUUGGUUAAGGCCGACGGAGGGCUGCACGGCAGCGGUUCGAGCACGAAAUCGGCGGGGAUGGGCGGCAGCAGCUCAGGCGGUUGCUGCUGGUGGCUCCGACAGCUUUCCGGUGGGCUUGGCGAUAGCAGGCAGCUCGGGACGACGAAGGACGACGGUUGGGACGCGCGAACGAAGGUUGGAUGCGGCGCGACAGCGGAGCGGCGAGCGGGACAACGGUAAGCGGGCACAGUGCUUAGGCGACGCGCACGGACGACGGUGGCGGCGACGGACUCCGGCGAUGAAGUAGGGUGGCCGGUCGAGCGUGCGGGCUGGCCUAGUUCGCACAGUGCAGCUCCUCUCUCCUCUCUCUCUCUCCCCAAGCUUGAAGAUGAUAGUGAUGGGUCACCUUUUUGGGGAACAAAUCUCCACCUUACACUUGUCAACAUCCUAGCUAUUCUUGCCCCACACCAUGACAUCAUCACCAAGUGAUGUCAUACUCCACUAUCUCAAUUUCUCCCCACAACAAUAUUCAAUAGGUGCAAUUUAUUUUUCCGCCGUGGCAUGAAAUCUCGUACAUUAAUUUCUCCAAUUUCAUUCAAUUCUCUUCCAAUUGAGUCCAAUUGAAGUACAUAAAAUUAAUUCAAUGUUACCACACUUCAAUUCACAUAAUCACUUGACCAUAGAACCCUCUUAGAUCUCAAAAGUAUAGCCAAAAGAGGGCCUACCAAUUUUCCGAACCAAAUUAGCCAUGCUUUGAUUAUUUUGCUGAAAAACUCUUAUUGCAUGAAAAAUCUUCCGAAGACGAGUUAAUGAUCCUAAAAUGAUUUGUGACACACCAUGACUUCCAAUUUCUGAAUUCGAUCUCAAUUUCACGGUUAAUUUCACUUUGGCACGAUACUAGCGUGUCCUGAUCUACCGGGUAGCUUUUAGAAAUUUUUAUGCAUUUGACCUGUGGUUGAUUAAUUCAAGCCACAAUAUACAUCUUUGACACAUUGACGACUCUUGGUUGUCGAGAUAAUCUCAAGAUUUCAAACACAGACAUAUGGUACCCAAACGACAGAAAAGCCGGUCCAGUGCCGAUCGACAAGAAUUGUGAGAUCUAGUGGAAUCACCCACACUCGAUCACAUGCCUCUAUCUAGUCGACCUAUCUCCGAUUUCUAAUCGAUUUUUAACUGCGCCGUAAUGACCCUUGUAGAUUAACUCGGUCGAAAGGUCGUUUCCUGAUCAAAUUCUCGAGUCUGAUGCAUUAGAAUUUCUUAACAGCUUCACCUGAUAGACUAGUUAUCCCAUGAGUGAUCAGUUCAGGGAAAAGAACUAUAUGCGUACUAACGAAAUGCCCAUCUCAAUUUAUUGAAAAUAGAAUUGGAAAAUCAGGAUGUCACACAAACUUCGCACUUAGCAGGGCCAGCCCUCUCUCUCUCUCUCUCUCUCUCUCUCUCUCUCUCAUAGCCACUGUUGAAAUACUUUGAGGCAAAUCCACACCAAACCUUGUGCUUCUUCAAUGUGAAAAGCUUUUAUUACAUUCUUAAUAUGAAAAGCUUUCUUCCCCGGAUCAUCCUCCCUAAGGAAUUUACAAAAGGAGAACUAGUGCAUUGCAUUAGAAAAGGAGAAAAGGCUAUUAUUAUAGGGAUGUUUGUAUUGCAUGACUCAUGGGGUUUAAUUGAAAGUUUAACGCGUACUGGCAACUUCAGUGCAGCUUCCGAUUUAUUGUCAAUAAAAUUGGUGGGUUUACAAUUAGUUAGGUGAAGGACAAUCGUAACAUCCUCGAUUCCGGCUCUGUAAGGAUCGGUCAUAAUGUCCUAAAAGGAUCGAUCAUGGGCCAUUGGCCAUAAAUUGAUCGGUUCGAUCAGCAAGGAAUCACGGAUCAGUCACGAUCAACCGAUCGACCAACCGACUGUUCACAAAUUAGUCGAGGUGUCGGCCGUGAAUUUUUACCGACCAUACUAAUAGGAUAUGAUCACCAGCUCAUAAGAUGACUUUUUGAUCGUGAGAAUUGGUCACAUGAUGAUUUUGGAUCGGUGGAUGGUUAUGGGUCGAUCCAAUCGGUCACAAUUUCUGGUCGCGAGUGAUUCCGCCCAGUUAUGCACCGAUACACGGAUGAUCCAAAUUGACCAAAUGUGACUUCAUUCCGAUAAAAAAUGCAUCAUUCCAAAUUUAAUUCUUAGUGAUCUGAAUGGAAUCUCGAAUUGGUGAUGUCUGAUCAUGGAUCGGUAAUGCACCAACCAUGAACCCUAUCGAUGGAUUGGGUGCCGGCUGGAAUGAGCCCAAGGAUAGACUUGGCUAUUCCGUCACUAAUUCUAAGGUCCAUGAGUGCCUUGGCUUAGUGCUAGGCCAUGGGUAGCCUUAAAAUAGGUCUUGAAUCAAGUAAAGGACAACCGACCCUAUUAGUCGAUCGACAUCCAAAGGAAUAGUUUGGGCGAUAUGACAUAUGUGACUCGGGUGUGCAUGAUCGAUUUUCAGUGUGCUAUGAUCUCUUCCUCGGCCCCGGAAUCAACUUGCAUAAUAGAAUUCUGUAGACUGCUUCAUUAAUGAAGAAAAAAGACAAAGGCAUGGAAUAUUCUAGAAACCCUUCGUUAAAUGAAGGGGUGAGUUGUCCUUGGAAUGGUCAAAAGUCAUUAUGGUGGCCAAAAUAUCUUUCAAGAUUCUAGAGAAAGGCGGCACACAAGUGGACCAAUUAGAGAGGAUUACACGAGCCCUCAUUAAUAACCGAAUAUUCUAGAAUGGCUUAGGUGGCAACCUAGAGUAGCAUCAUCAUUAAACUUCAUAAAAUGCCCAUUAAAUGAGGGGUAUCGGUGGACCAAUGAGAGAAUGAAAAGUGGGUGAUAAUCAAUGACAUCUAGGGACCUAGAUUGCCGAGUAAGGUCUUUAGCUUGGCCAACUCAUCUUCUAGGCAUAAUCAUGAGGCAAAGUAGGCUUGCCACCCAAGAAAAGUAGGCGGGACACUUGAAAACAUUGGAGAAGACCGCUUGGCUUGGUAAUGAUGGCUCCAAAGGCUAUAAAUAAGAUGAGAACUUCCCAUAUUCCUCACUUGCCUUCAAUUUUCUCCUCCCACCAUCUCCUUGAACACCCUCUCCUCAUGCUCUCUCUCUUUCUUUUGGCCUCCAAGCCAAGCCACCCAAUCUUUGUAGCUCAUGUCCUAGUUCGAGGUUCAUCCAGGAAAGUAAAAUCCCUAUGUCUCCUCUAGGGCGGUAAUCUCUAUUGUCGAGCCUAGUUAGGUGCUCACCUAUCAAGCCGUUGGUUGGAUGUUAGAUCUUUUGUAUGGUCUUACUCAUGUUUGUGCUUGAAUGUGUGCUUGAGUUGUUCACGUUCAGAAUGGAGUCAAGGUUCGUUUGAAUUGAGUUCAGCGCAAGGCAAGGUCGCCCCAAGCCAUAAAGCCUUGGUUUCGGCAUAAAUAAGAUGCUGGGUCCAAGCCUCGCUUGGUGCGGGAAUCGCCUAAGGCUGUAAGGUCUUAAGUUGACAUUGAGGCGUGUCGAUCUUAUCCUUGAUCGGUACGGGGAUCGCCCUAAUCCAUGAGGUCUUGAUAAAACAUUGAACAUGCCGAUUUCCAUAGUCCACGUGGACGUGGGGACUUUGUGCUUGGCUUUGAAUGAAACCGCGAGUCGAGGUUCAUCAAGCUUGGGAUCGUCACUAAAGCAAGGUGUACCCAAGCCUCGAGGUCUUGGAUUGGUAUUGAGGUGUACCGUUUCCGAGCCUUGUUUGGUGCGGGAAUCGGUGCUAAGUGAUUGAUUCAAGUUACGGAUGAAAGGUCAUUCCCGACAUUUUUGCUAGUCAAGUAUAAGAAAUUCAUGACACACAUGAAUGAAUGAACACGCCUUCGGGCCAUGUAUGCGUUGGCUAAGAGAAAAAAUAAUAACCGGUUUGUAUGAUGCAUUUGUACAUGCAUUUAAAGAGAAAAAAGCGCCCGUUGCCACAUAGCAUUGUUGGCGAUGCCUCGUUCGUUGAACGGGAAGCCUCGAUUGAUCCCAGAUGUCCUAAUUGAGCCAAUAUGCCUAGAUCUUGAACCCGGAAGCCUUGGGAAGCUAGCCCCGAGAAGUCUCGGUUGAGCCGAGAUGCCCUGGUCGAGCCAGGAAGUCCAACAAGAAGCUAGAAGCCUCGGUCGAGCCGAGAGGGCCUGGUCAAGCUAGGACGACAAUAAAUGAAUUUGCAUGAAUGUUGGUUAUGCACAAGCAUGAUAUGUUGGUAUAUUAAUUGAUAAGCUUAUGGUAGUUUUGAUAUGGACGACAUGUAUUUAGAUAAAGCAUGACAUAUAAUUCGCAAUUGAUCUACCAUCGACACUGUUUGCGAGUGUUGUACUAACUAAGCUUUGACAAUAAGAUGAUUUCCAAGUAGAAAACUAGGAAUUUUACUUAUUGAAUUUCCCCAAAACUCAUCUCUCAUCUCUCAGUCUUGUAGGCAUUGAAGUCUCUCGUCAAUUUUGGGAGCUGCAGUCACGCUAGAGGAGAUAGGAUUUCACUUGGCCUAUGUGGAAAACUUGUAUUGUGAUGUAAAAAGAAAAAAGAGCUCGUAGAGAAAUGGCUUGUAAAAGUAUAGUUAUGAUACAAAUCAAUGUGUUUUGCGUGAUGUAUGUCCCAGUCUUCCAACUGUUGUUUGUUCGGUGAGUUGUUUGUUCAUGUUUCCACAUGUGCAUAAUAACAAGAUAAAAAGAAUUGGGACGGCGACGAGCCUGGGACUUCACAAAAAUAACCCUUGCUGCUCGUGAUCCUAGGGAUGGAGUUGGGGUCGUGACAACAAUAAUGGAGGUGUACCUUUUAGCAUGCCCAAAUUCAUUUGAGUUUCUUCUUCGUGCCUUUCACUAUGUGCUUUUGAGGUUUUGGAUUAAAAAAAUAUUUGAUUCUCAAACAUUUAAAUCAUUUAUGUUUAUUCUAUGGCUAUAUCUAUAGUUGCGGUAAGAUCAAUAAGAGUGCUAAAACUUUCAUACAGCACUCACUUGAAUAUCAAAACUUUUUUCUCAUUCACUUAAGUGUCAUAUUGGAAUAAAAUCGAUCAGUUGAUUAUCAAUUUUGACAAAUCAUCCUACAUUGAAUUUUUUUAACUUUUUUAAUUUUUUUUAUUUAUUUUGCUUUUCCUAAGGGCCCUCAUUGGUCAGGAAACCUGGGUGGCCUUGCCCUAGGCUACGAAUGCCUUGGGCGAGGCCAUUGGGGCCUUAUCGGUCACUGUCAUUUGCUUUGGCUUAUGCGCACCAUUAACUCUAUGAUUGAUGUAAUCAUGGUGGGAUUUGCUGUUGGAUAUGGACAUUGUGUCAUGUCUUUAAGGGUCUGUUGAUGGUGGUGGCAGAUAAUGCAACCCCUAGAUAAAGAAAAGAAAGGGUUGCGGCAGUCUAGAAUUUUUUCUAAGUGUUUACAUAAUACUAAAUUAUUUCGUAUUUAAAUUAAUCUCUAUAUUUUUAAAAUCAACUGAAAUGUGAUUCCUCCGUCAAUUGGAGUUCAAUGUCAUGGGUAAUCUGUCGCCGAGAUACGUCGAUGUGGCAAAAACCAUCCAUUGUUGAUGUGGAUUGGACAGCUCAAUUAAAUUUAUUCUUUUUAUUAAACGAACUCUUCUAUUUUCUCUUUAAUUCUUCUACUACAUUCAUCAACUAUCGAUGUCAUUGGCCAAUCCUUAAAGCAGCAAGCCAUCACAACCGGUGCCAUCCCCGGUAGGAGUGUCCAAAAACCUGACCCGACCCAAACACGACCCAAACAAGAACUAAACACAAAACAAGUGGAGUACAUGUUUCGGGUCUUAAUAUUGUUCGGGUAAUUGUUAGGAAACAAGAAAAUAAACAUGUUUUGGGUUGGGUUAGGGUCAAAAUAUUGUUCAGCCCUGAACACAUUAUUGGCUCCAUGUGUUUGAAACAAACACACUCUCCUCUCACCCAAACCCAAACACUCUUCAGUUUUCGCCCAAACACAUUAUUGACCCUCCCAACACGAUGAUUGCACCUUCUCCGGUCGUUGACUCCGCCGCCGCCGCCACCGCCACCGCCACUAUUGACGAAUGCACCCUCUCGUUGAUUCCAUAGCCGCCCUCUUCUUUGCUCCUUGUCCUCGUCCUUGUCCUCAUCGGCUUCCUCUCCUUCCUCGACUUCCUCCACCGCCUCCUUCUCCUCGAGAGGAUGCCCUCCUUCUGCCGCCUUUGCCUACAGACACACCGAGCAGGAGUCAAUGCCAAGCGAAACCCACAUCGCAAAAACUGAAAAUAUAGACAAUUGGAGCCACUGAAGCUUAUCACUGCCGUUGGCAACGGGGGUCAUCGUGGGGUCGUCUUCAAGAAGACCUUCGCUUGACGCUACCACACUCUUUUUCUUACCUCCACCCUUCACCUUCAUCCUCCCCUCCCCCCCCCCCCCCCCUAUGGAUUGAGUGAUUGAUGGAAUUUCAAAGUCCUGUCUUUGAAGGGGAGGAGGCUGGAAUUCCUUUGCUAGUCUCUGACUUGAGCUGGGAGCCUGAGUUGCUGCAGCCGAGUUGAAAUUGCUCCACGGAGGAGAGAGAAAGAGGAGAGAGAGAGAGAGAGAGAGAGAGAGAGGUGAAAAGCCUUUUGGCUUUGCAAGGUUUAUUUUCGCGUGUGUUUGGCGUCUCACGAUAGGGCUGAAGCAUUUGGUCAAGUUUUUACUGUGUGUUUUUUUUUUUUUUACUUAGAAAGAGGUAGGUGGAAAAAAACAAAGGAAAACCCAGAAACCCGACCCGACUUGAAUUUUCGAUGCGGGUCUAAUAUGUUUCGGGUCGGUUUGGGUCGGGUAACAUCUAAACCCGAUCUGACCCGACCCAUUGACAUCCUUAAUCCCGGUGUGGUCUUGUCGUGCCUCACCGCCAUCAGAACCUUCUUGACUAGCUCAACGCUCUCUCUCUCUCUCUCUCUCCAUGCAUACGUGUGUGACAUCCAAUCGAGGUUGAGACAAGACAUGUGACCUCCAUUGGUGGAGGCGCUCAAGUUCAUAUCUGGAUCGCCCAACUUGUCCUCCUAUCUAGUCUAAAUUGAAUUAGCUAGUUAAUCGUAUACACGUAGGUGUCCUCAUUGACGUAUUAAAUGGCUAGUUAAUAUUAUUAACUGCCUCAUCAGCAAUUUUUGUUAGUCUACUUCAUGAAAAUAUUGAAUGAAAUUCAUGAAGUACAAGUACCAUUAUAUUGCCAGAUAUUUUUGGCGCAACAUUGAAAAAUAGGGAAAACUCCCCCAGGGCGUGAUUAAAUGAAUGCGUGGUUUAAUAUUUAAAUAUUCUUACACCCAUACUAUUACUGAAAAACAAAAGAAGAUAAUACAAAUCAUCAAGAUCGUCAAUCGGGUACCUAAGCGAGAGAGCUUGAUUAAUAGAGGAAGGUCUUUAAUGGGAAUCAUAUUUGCAGAGAAAGGACGUGAAUAAUGUAUGUUUUACCUCUAGAUAAAUCAUUCAAUGCAACUGAGUGAUGUGAAGAUGCUAUUCUGUUAAUUUGUUUCAAUCUCCCUUAUGGAAACUAGUAGAAACGUUUUCUUGUAAAUUACGAAAACCAAUCCUCGGCUUUCACUUAAAUACUAACUUCAUAUCCACUAAUUCCGAAAUCUAUCCACACUUUGCAAGAAGAGGUUUCAAAAAAAAAAAAAGUACAGUUCGCACAAUCUAAUUUCCACAAUUUUUUAGACUCAAAAAGAUAUUAAAUCUGACCUUUUUUUUUACAUCAAGGCACAAAAUGCAUGCUCAAAAUAAUAGCAGACGCAAAAUAAAUCAUAAUAAAAAGUUGAUAAUGAUUUUUGUGUUUUCCAUGCAUAAUGAAAAAUGUAGUUGAGCCACAUAGGUGAAUAAAAGAUUAAUGGAAAAAUUGUCUAAUUGGUAUUAAACCUAUUGUAAGGACAUUAAUUCAAUUAUAAAUGAUCUAUUUUUACCAAUUUAGCGUUAAAAUUUUAUGCAAAAUUCUAGAUUCUAUUUAAAAUUGGCCAGAAUGACUAUAUUGAAAUUUUGCGUAAAAGUUGAAGACUAAAUUGGUAAAAUUGAAAGAUUUAUGACCAAAGUAACAUCCGUUAAAUAAGUUUAGGACUAAUGGGAUAAUUUUUUGAAGGAUUGAUCGCUCCAUUAUUUUCCCUGCUCUUAUAGCCCGUUUGGAUAAGAGAAUAAAUAAUAUAUAAAAAACACACACAUUUAUAUCAAUUAAAAAAGAAGUAUAUAUUUGUGUCUUACAAAAAAGAGAUAUGUGAUAUCUUUCACCCAGAUGGUUUUCAUUAAGUUAGUUGCUUGAAAUUUGUCGAUGUUGAUCAUCACGUUUGUCUACCAAAGGUCAACUUUCGCGUUUGCCUCAACUAAUUUAGUAUUUAGGUUAACUCCAAGUUCUAUUCUCGCGAAAGCAGUGUAUAAUCAUGGUGUUCUGUUCGAGUGCAAACGUAUCUUUAAUUAUUGCUUUGCCUGAACUUUGUAUUAUUGACGUAAUCAGCCCAAUGAUUGCAGAUUGUGCCCUCCACAUAGUAAAAUGACGUCAACGUACGUGAGAUAUUAUUAUCUCUUAGGCAUUGAGAGAAAUGUUUUGUAGCGAUGCCAAGGUUUAGACAACAAAUCCCAAAAACUUACUACUUAUCGUUCACAAGUUAUCAUCUUAUUAUGGAAUAAAGCUGUUGAAAACUCUUAAUGUUUGUGCAAUGUUGCCUCUGAAUCUUUCUUUUUUGCAAUCAAAUUCUUAAACUAUGAUCUGUUCGCUCCAAUUGGACCUUCCAUCAAGGGGAAAAAAAAUGAAAAUGUUUAUGUGGCCGUUAAGGAUCACGAUGGCCACAUGGCUCCUACGUGCUAUUCGUGAAAAACCAAAGAUGAGAAAAGUUAAAUUUUGUUCCUAAAGGAAAUUUAGUGCAACCACGUCACUGCGGGCUUGAGCCCUCAAGCAACUAGCGGUCGUGUUCGAGUUUGAUCAAUGGAGCGAGGACAGAGGUUGGAAUCUUUCCCAAUAGAAGCUCCCUUCAUCGGCUUUGCGUUUCGAAGCGGCGACAGCAGCAGCAUCUGGGCAAGGUGGUAAUAGCUCAAAUAGGGAGGCUCUCCUCCAACCUUUGAUGGCUUUACUGAUGAUGCUGCAUUGAUUUUCAAGGAAUUCGUGGAGCCCGAAGAUGACUAGAGAUUCUUCGCAUCUUUUUCUCGUCAUUUAAGUCAGUCAUAUUUGGGGCCUGGCCUAGACCGAACCAGACGAGCUCAAAAUAAUUUAUGCCGUGCCCAUAGGACUUGUUUAGGCCUGAUGUAAUCGGGUCGGGGCUGCUUUUAAAUGAAAAGCAACUUGAAAAGCAGCUUGCGAGCUCACAUUAUGAUUUGCCAUUUCCCACAAAAUUAUUUAUCUACGGUAGACAAACAAGCAUUCCUAUCCCUUUACAUAGCUAGGAUACAAACUUUCGCAGCAAAACAUUACCAUGCGAAUCAUUCUAUCAGAUUUUGCAACAAUCAAGCGAAUUCCCUGUCCCAAGCUCCAACAGGCUUACUUAUACCCAUCAGUUCUAGAAAGGAGCACCUGAUAGUCUAUGGGAAAGCACACUCAAAAAGCAUAUGUUGUCUAGAUUCAAGAGCAGCUGAGCACAAGCCACAUCGAUCAACUGCAGAAGCCCCAUUUCUUCAUCCUCCCACAGGUCUGCAACCCAUUCAAGAUUGCUAAUCAAGGGCCGAAACAGAACUUAGAAGUGUUCGGAUUAACCCAAAUCAGUUUAUGACAUACAACCUUUGGCCUUCUUUCUCUAACCAGGUUCCAAAACUCAGUCCAAGUAAAACAACCAUAUGCAAUUCCAGUGAACAUCACUCUGAUCGUCAGCAAUAUGACAAUGCUAAAGCGUCCCGCAUAAUGCUGUCUUGUAUUUGCACCAAUAGAUCUGAUCUUGUUGGAGGCAAGACCACUCAUCUCCGACUAGUAACAGUAGCUACCAAAGAGUUGAUAUAUCUAGAGCAGUAUCAUGAAUCACUCUCUGAGAAUAAACACCCCCUACAAAUGCCAUGAGGGUGCCAUGAUCACACCACAAAUGAACUGUCUUAUCCAUUGCGAGUCACUUGUCAAGUAUGUCGCUUAAGAAUGGACCUAACUUUUUGCAGCUUCCUUCAAGUAUAGGUGAGUUACUUUUAGGAGCAACAGACCGAAUAGAAGUCUGUUUUAGCAACAAAAGGACCCUGCUUUUAGCAACAACUCCUACCGAUUGUGAUUGUUUAUGCUAAUCUGCUGGUCUUUAACCUAAAGUUGUAUGGUUUAUUGUUCUCGCCCAUGCCUCGCCCAAUCCUUGUGGCUUCAUGAGCUUGAGUCUAUCGUCUCCUUUCCCAGCUUCCAUCUCAUGUUCAACCAACCUUUGAUCAUGCACUUGCCAUUUUCUUUUAUGGAGCAGCAUUGGUGGGUAGAUUUAGUAAAGGGCCUCGAAAUACUUUAAUCUGUGUUUUCCAUCACAUGUAAGAUUCAGUAGCUCGAAAAAUGUCAAAUUUGGGGCUUUGCAUAUGUGCUGUUUAGCAGCCGAAUUUUGAUAUAGAUACUGGUUAGUGUUAGGAUUGUGGUAAGAUGAUUGCAAAGUAUAUUGAGCUUAUUGAUAUGAGGAUGUUGCAAAUGUUUAUUCUCCAAUCCUUGUUGAUAUUUUUCGGUACUGACUUGGAUUUUGCAGCCAAUCUCCCUAACGGACUAAGAGAAUUACUGUUACUGGUAAGAAGGAAAAGGAGCCAAAUAGCCAGUAUACUUGCAUUCGAUGUCCCUAUUUUGAGGAAUCUAGAUUUAGAUGAGCACGGUGAGACAUUNNNNNNNNNNNNNNNNNNNNNNNNNNNNNNNNNNNNNNNNNNNNNNNNNNNNNNNNNNNNNNNNNNNNNNNNNNNNNNNNNNNNNNNNNNNNNNNNNNNNNNNNNNNNNNNNNAACGGUUUGAAAGGGAAUGGUCAAAAGAUGAUAAUCAAUCGUAUUCCAAAUGGUUUCUUUUGUUGCUGAAUACAAAAGUUAAUGGACAAGAUCUUGCCCAUUCAAGCAAUUAAGAAUCUCACCUUCGACAUUAAGGCAGAUAGCUACAGAGGUUACGCAGCAUCCUGAGAAAUUACUGAGACUCGCAGUGAUCCGUAUGGCGGCACUCUUGGUUUGAUAGCAGACAUCUACCAAGAAGGUUGAGCGACUUAUUCUGUUCUUUAGGUGUAUCGUCAAUUUAACUUAUUUUACAGUAGUCCAAGAGUCCGAAGGCUGAUAUACCAAAUUGAUUUGCAAAAUAAUCUGACAAACUAAAGCCAAAUAUUUAACAAAUGAACAAUAUUUAACUACUCGACUAGAGUCACAUUUCUUCGAGUCAGUUCUAUAUUCCCAGCAUUGGUUGUUUCUCAUAUAGCCACACAAAGCUUGUGUGGUUAUAAGCGAUGGGCACAUUGAAGUGACCAUUCAAUGCAUCAGUACACAGGGAAGCAACCCCCCCAAAUCAGCUUUGAAGAGGGAGUGCAUUCAUUUAAAUAUAUUCAUUCCAGAAGUCAUAAAAGCUACAAAAAUUCUCCCACAGCAUUCGUCAAUCCACAUGAUGGUGGAUCGAAAUGGACUCAACUGAGGAAAAGAAAGCAGCAAAUGUUCCAGGGACAACAUCCAAAGGAUAAAACCGAGUCGCCACAGUUUUAAGACAUUCCUUAGGACUCACCUUAGAUGUGAGAAAGUACGAAACACUGAUUCCGAAGGAGAAUUAGUAUAAAACAAUGAAGCACCAAGGAAGUAAAUUGAGAUGCACAAUUGCCUGACCAAGCACCUUGCUACAAAGUGGGUCAUUUUUCUCUCUUCUUUAAGUUCAAAUCAGAAGAUUGUCACAAACGGACAACGGGAACGUGGGAGUAAUCAUGAAGUGACAAGAUCUGGUGUUUCUGCUUCAACAAAUAACAAAUCCAUGUAUACUUNNNNNNNNNNNNNNNNNNNNNNNNNNNNNNNNNNNNNNNNNNNNNNNNNNNNNNNNNNNNNNNNNNNNNNNNNNNNNNNNNNNNNNNNNNNNNNNNNNNNUACGAGGCCAUAAACGAGAAAUAGAAAGCAAGCAAAGCAGAAGAAAAAACGUAUCAUCUAUGAAUAGAAAGAAGGCGCACCGUUUUCUGCGGAGAAUCCCCUGUUUCUGUUUCAAAGUCCACUGUUUCUGUUUCAGAGUACAUUGAAUCAGUUUCAGAGCUCCACGCUUGCUUUGCUCCAUUCAGAAUCUUAUCUUUGUAAGACUUCCAAGAGUCAUAACUACAACGACAGUCGGGUAACUCCCCGCUACCUGUUAUGCGUAUCAAGCAAUUAUCUGGUAUUUUUGAGCUCGAUGGAUCAAGAAUCCUUCCUACUGAUCUGCAACCCCGAAUUUGCAACUCACCCAAAAACUCUAGUUCGUCAAUGCCCUCAACAACCUGUAGGCUCGGGCACUGGUGAAUCUCUAACUGCUUCAAGUUCUUCGAGUUUGACAAACCGCCUAAGCUUUUUAGCGAAAAGCACUCUUCUACAUAAAAUUCUUCCAAUGAUUCGAACGCAGUAACAAAUUGAAUAUCCUGUACCUCGAGGAACCCCGACAGAAGAAAUUUUACAAGCGUCUUUUGGGAGCUUGAGAAAAGUAUCGCUCCCCUCCAAUGAUCAAUCAACUUGGGAGCUUGUAGUCCAUUGCACCUCGGCUCCUCCGGCUGACAAACCAAACUCUCGGAAGAUCUGCAGUCCUGAAUACGUGAUCUUUCUGACGAUUCUAAGACAUCGAGAGAUUGAACAUCAAGUUGCUCGGACACCUUGUUUUCUUUCGAUUUUCCCAAACUUGUUGGAAGGAAUGGAGUCUCCUUUUCCGAUGGAGGAAGCCCAUCGUGGUGUACUUGUUUCCCUCCAGUUUCGUAAAGCUCUAAAACUAUCAAAUUUGACGGGAGGUCUUUGAAAGUUGGCAAGUCUAGUCCGUAUAGAGUAAGUUCUUUCAGCAGAGAAAGGGAACCCAACUCUGUAGUUGGGGCGCGGACAUUUUUAAAGCAGAUUUGCAGGUUGCUCAAUUUGGUUAAACUCCCAAUCCACCCCAAGUCGCCGGUUUGGAAUUCAUUUGAUGGGUCUCUAUGUUCAUAGCCAUCAGAUAGGAGCAGUUCAACUAUAUUAGUAAGGUAUGAGAGGUUAGGGACAGUUUGCAGGGAAAAAGAUCUAAGCCGUAAAGUGGUCAAACUUAUGGGAAGCUUUGGCAACUCUUGUAUCUCAUGACAACCAUACAAGUGCAGUGUUUGGAGUUGACGAAACUUGCUCAUUGUACUGGGCAUUUCCGCAAUUGGGGUGCGUGAUACAUUGAGAGAUGACAAGUUUGGUAGUUCACCAAUGGUAUCCGGUAAUUUCAUAAUUUCUGUGUAUGAUACAUCCAGCUCCAUUAACGACUUUAUUUUCGAAACCGAGGCAGGGAGUUCAAUCAAGCUAGAACAAUGGUUAAGACAGAGGCACUGCAAAUUUUGUAACUCUCCAAUUUGUUCAGGCAAUUUUUCAAUGACUGACAAAACUGAAAAUUCAAGUCAGUUAGCCACCUCAGUUUCCCAAUAGAACAAUCAAUUUCCAUUAAAGAGUCAAAUGAACUAACAAUCAACUGCUUUAAAUUUGAGUACUCGGGAAAGGUCGGUGCCUUACUUAUCAAAGUAUUAAACCGAAUAGUGAGAACCUUCAAUUUCCUUGCUCCCUACAAAAGCCAAUAAAACAAUAGGAUAGACAAGAAAUAAAUAUGGAUUUAAGCUACCAAUGAGAAAAUUAGAUAAUAAACCCGUCAAAUUCUGUCCUUCAUUGAAUGAGAAAAUUAGACUAAGAGGGAAACUGGCAUACCUUGACUAGGCACUCGAACGCCUCUUCUGUGAUAUUCAUCCCAAAAAGAUUCACCACAACCGCGUUUUCUAGAUGCAACAAAGCGGUUGCCUCCAAACAUUUACUAGGACCAUCAUCAAGACUUGUAACGCUGCCAUACAAACGGAUGCAUUUCAACUCAGAAAGACAGCCCAAAAAGUCACCUUGGUAGGUUACCCCACUCCACGAAAGAAACCGUAUAUGUGGGAACCGCUUAAUUUGCUCCGAAGUGACAGUCAUACAAUCUGACAAACAGAGUGCUUGAACGCUUCUAUUGAUCUGCCAAUGACAUUGAGGAGGAGAAGCAGGAAUUUGUCAAUAUCCCACUAUUUUAUUUCAUAGAAGAGAAGAAAAAACGAAAUAGGAGAGAAUCUUCCAAAUCAAAAACAAGAAUCCUCAAUUAAGAAGUGGGCAUAAGCAAUUUUCUAUUCAAAUUUGGCCAUACUUUACCUCUGUUGAUCUUAAUUUGUGUUCGAUGUCCUCAUUAUCCCAUAACCUGGUAUUCUCUUCUUUAGCAAUUUUCCUUCCAAGGUCUCUCAUCUGAUCGUGCAUCCAAAAUCUAUCAUUAGCUAGAACCUUUAUCAUGCACCUCUGACUAAGGACUUGGAUGGCAAGCCGUGGGCAAAACUUACAAUCUUCCCACAUGUACAUUGGAUUUGUCUUAUUCUCACCAAUGAACAUGCAUGCAACAUCAAGAAAUAUCUGUUGUUGCUCCAGAUUUAAGGCAUCAUAACUAAUCUUUAGCUUUCCCAAGACAUCUUGAUGAGGUGUUUUCCUUAGCUUCUCUAGUGUCUCUACCCAUAUUCCAUUAUCUUUUAAAUUAAAAAGCAUCGAACCUGUUGCUUCAAGAGCUAAAGGUAGUCCAUCUGCAGUAGAGACAAUCGCUUUUGAAAGAGUGGAGUAAUUGGGCAGAGGAGAGUUGUCAUUGAAGGCAUGCCUACUGAAAAGUUUAAGUGCGUCUUCCUCGCUCAACCGCAUCAUUUCAUGUUCCUCGAAUUUGUACUUAAAUCCCCUGAUAUUCAAAACGUUGUUGUCCCUAGUAGUAACAAGUACUCUAGUACCAGGAUGCAAAGAUUUCUUUCCGAUUAGGUUUUGGAUCUGCUUGGCCUCAUCAACAUCAUCCAAUACAAUUAGCAUCUUCUUGUUGCAAAUUGUUUUUUCAAUCAUAUUGAUCCCAUGAUCAAUGUCAGUAAUGUCAGGAGCCAUUCCAAAAUAAGAGACAUCGAACAAUAAUUUUUUUUGUAGUUUGACUAAGCCCUUGGUCUUUGCCGUUUCCCUCACAUCAUCAAGAAAGCUGCAGUUUCUCCCAAAGCGAUGAAGUAGUUGGUUGAAGAUAAUCUUGGCGAGUGUUGUUUUACCGAUGCCUCCCAUCCCGUAAAUUCCAAUGAACCGCACAUCAUCAGAAUCAAUGUCUAAUAAAUCUUUUAUGGUUGCUAUUUGAUCUUCCAUUCCAACUAAAUGUUCGAUUAAAUGUUUCUGUCUUGUCUCGAGCCUGACCACAACCUCGUGAACAACCGCUUGGAUAAGUUCCGCAUAGCUGCCAACAAGUUGAGUAGUUUCAAUUGAGAAAAGGUGACAAAUUUGCAUGUUGACCAGCCAUCUAAUAACCAACCAGGUGGGAACUCGAUCAAGUUUAGCAUAUAGAAGAGAAAUGUUUGAUCUUUGUAUCAAGUGGAAGAAUCGGAAUUUUUUGCCAAAAAGGGUAGAAGAAUCAAAAUAUAAACAUCUAGUGAAUUACUAUAAUAGAAGAUUUACUUAAAUAUAAAAUGACCUAAUUGUACAAAAUAAUUUUCAGAGUCAUGGUUAGAUUGUUACCCAGAAUAUUUCUCCAACUCCCAUCCCUUGUUGCGACCAACUUCUUUGAGAGCUUGCUGACAUGUCUUUAUAACCGUGGAGCUGAACUUAUUCUUCCGAUCCUCCAUCUCUUGCACCAAAUUCGAUAUGGCAUCUUUGUACAACGGGGUUUUCAACUUCACGUCAUCGGGUUUCACAUCAUAGAAGAUGGGCAAUAUGACCUUCUCUUUCCCAUCUUCUUUAUAUUUAGAGGUGUUCUCCACCAUCUUCGCAAGCUCGUCGAGGCACCAGUGACUUGAAGCAUAAUCUUUGGAGAAGAUGGGUAUGUAAACCUUGGAAUUGUCAAUUGCUUGUAGAAGUUGCCACUAAUUAUUUCACCUGGUCGAAGCCCUUCAUCAUCGAUGAAAACACUAAUCCCAGCAUUUACCAAGGCUUGGUGGAGGAUAUCGGUGAAUGUACAACGAGUAUCAGGCCCUCUAAAAUUCAAGAAGACCUGGUACUCACCUCGUGAUGGAUUGCUGGUGCUUGUUCCUGUCUCUGAGUUCACCAUCGGAGCUCACUUCGCACUUAGCAAGGUCAGCCCUCUCACUUGGUCUUUGAGUUUGCCAUAUGACACUUCACAUAUUUGAAUCCAAUCCAAUUUGCCGUCCAAAACGCGUAUAGGCAACUUCGUAGCAGGUGCAAUUUCCAGUUUGCAAUCAAUAAAGUUGAUGGCUUUAAAAAAGAAAAAUAAGGCGGAGGACAAUUAUGGAGGUGCCCCUUUUUAUACGCCCAAUUUCUUUCCAGUUUCCCCUUUGUGUUUUUGAACUUUUGGAUUAAAAAUAUUUGAUUCUUUAUAUCUAUAGUUAGGCAUAUUUAAAAUCCCAAUCUAGAAUUGUAAAAUGACAAUUUAUUUAUAUAGAGAAACAAAUUAUUCCUAAAGGAUCGCAUCUUAUUCUAAUACUUGGGACUGUAGAUAAUUAGAAAUAUCUCCUUCAGAUUGGAUUUGCUGCAUUCUCUACAACAAAUGCUCUACCUAAGCAUAUACGUACUACUUACUAUGAAAUAUUUGUUUUGAUCUCUUUGCCUUAAAGACUUCUUUUAAUUAUAAGUCAUUUCCUUUAACAACUCAAAUAUUCUCAUAAAAUGUGCCAUUAUAUUAAAAAGCAAAUGAUCAUUUAUUUUCUACUGAUGACUAUUAGAAUGUGAGCAUGGUGCAGUUAGUGUGCAUUGGACGUUAAGCCAAAUCAAAUUAUAUAAAUAUGAUAGAAUAUAUUUCGAAUUUGAAAUUGUUGGAUGAAAUAGGACCAGAUGAGACUUAUGGAUGCUCCACCACUAUUCAAAAUUGGUGAGAGGAAAUGUAGUGAUGGCCUGUCAAUGGCCAUGAUGCCACUCCAUCCUGGUGUUGCUGUGAGCACGAAAGAAAGAAAAAGAAACCAUGAUGGUCUUGACCAUAAGAGAUGGCUUUGCUCACCUGAAGAAAGGGAAAACGAGAUCAAUGAUGGCCAUUGCCAAUAAUGGGCCGAAAGGGAAGAAGUCGAAGAAAGUCACGAGGACGAUGUCUUUUCAUUUUGGCCACUCGUUGUUUCCUUUCUUCUCUAUUUGGUUCUGCUGAAUUUCCCCUUUAGAUACCAAGAGGAAGAGCUCUUAAUGUCACAGAGAGCUCCGAAGGCUGCACAGAGCAAAUUGAAAAGCGUGCUGAAAGUUCCUCUUGAUCACACCAAAUAUUUCUUUUCUAGAGCCUAUUAAAUCUUUUGUUGAGAUUUGUAUAAUUUCUUUAAGAGAUUGAAAAAGUUAUUUUGAGAGAAAUUUUAAAAACUAAACAUUGUGAGUCAUUGAGUAUAAUUAGAAACUGGAAACUACUGAGAGUAUUUAAAUGACUCGAGUGUGAUUAUAACUUUCAUUAUAUUUUUUAUCUAUAAUGAAAUCUUGUGCUGCUAUCCUUGUAGACGUAAACCACACGAUUGAAUCACAUAAAUCUAAUGUCUGAUUCAUUUUCUUGUUUUGUGCAUUUUAUUCAAUUGUUAUUUUUUUUUUUCAAAAGGGAAUAUGGUUUGAAGAAAAGUGAAACCAAAGUAAAAGAUAUUCAAUAUGACCAGCAUUAGGCAUUCAUGAACAAAUGCAUGAAAAAGUAUCUUUUAUUUUCUUAAGAUAUCGAUAAAUAUUUAUAACCUUAAACUUGUGGUUAGUGAUAGAAUUUGUCCCAUCGCUUGCUUAACAUUAACUCUGAUCAUGAGUACGAGAUUCAAUGCAAUCUACACGACCCGUUUCUUCUAAUGUCCCUUUNNNNNNNNNNNNNNNNNNNNNNNNNNNNNNNNNNNNNNNNNNNNNNNNNNNNNNNNNNNNNNNNNNNNNNNNNNNNNNNNNNNNNNNNNNNNNNNNNNNNNNNNNNNNNNNNNNNNNNNNNNNNNNNNNNNNNNNNNNNNNNNNNNNNNNNNNNNNNUGCAACUACAAUCUUGUGCACCAACGGCAUGUCUGUUUUGCAUGAUUCAACAUAGAUUUUCACGACAUUUGUUAGCGAUACAUUUUUUUGUUAGCAGGAUCUAACAUAAAUCAUUUUCAUAUUUCAUCUCUUAAAUAAAUAUUUCAUGAGAAAUUAAAAAUCAUUAUGAACAUUAUUCUUCGGAUUUUGAACCGUUGUAGUAGUAGUGAAGAUCAGAUAGAGGCUAACCGCAAUUAUUUAUAUUUUGGUUUGUUUUAUUUAUAUUUGUUUUUCGUGGCGUUAUUAGUUGCUUUGACUUGUUAACUAAAUCGGCGCAUUGUAGGAAGUCUUCGAGAGGAUGACCCGUCCACAUUUAUUUUAUUUCAUUUAUAACAAUAGUCUCUAAAUCAUUCGACUCAAUUAAUACCGAUUUAUGCACGCAAAUCACUCCAUUCAAGUGCAUUAGGUUAGCUCCAUUCACAAGAUGGUCAAGGAGACACUGGGGGGUAAUGAGUAAAGGACACUGUGAUCAAAUAUGAACAAAACGUUGUUUCAAAAAUAGCAUUCAAAAUGCACAUGAUGUAUUCCUGACGGUAUUUACAAACCCAACAUUUCACAAAUUAUGUAUAAAACAACAAUCCUUCCAAAGAUAUGGCAAUUGGAUCAUAACUAUGGUCAUCUUUGAUGUGCAACUUUCUACAACUUAGCAACACCUUUUGAAAAUGCUAUGAACAUGUACAUCCUAUGCUUUCAAGCCAUUGCUUCAAACGAUUGGAAUACAUAAAAGACGUUAAUGCUUGCUUUUUAGUAAAUUGGAAGAUCAUGCAAUACCAUUUUACAAGAUCCCCAAAAGAUGCCAACAUACCAUUCUUUGAAAUCACGUUUUUACCUUUUAAUUAAUCACGCAUGCUGCAUACAACUUCAAUAAAUCUGAAAGGUUUUAGGCAUGUGGAAAUUGAUGUUAUCGGACGAUUAGUUUUUGGACCUAUUUCUUCAAUAGAUAAAGGCAGUCAAUAUGUGGUAUAUACAAUGCCUUUGAGAGUGUGUAGUGAUUGGCUGGAGGAGAAUUGUCGUCGAAGGCAUGCCUACAAAAAAGUUUAGAUGUGUUUAUUUCGAGUGCCUCAUUCUUUGUCAAAUUUCUGCCAUUCUUUUGUAUUGGACAAUUCAGUAAUGAUAAAAUUACAUUCAUUAAUAGGAGCUUUUGUUACAUUCUUAAUGCGAUAAGCUUCUCCACUGUGUCAUCCUCCUUUAGAAAUUUACAGAAGAAGAAUCAAGGCGUUACAUGAGAAAAGGAGAAAAGAAUGUCUAUUAUGAGAAAUAAACAAUGAAAUUCUUCCUUACCAAAAAAAAAAAAAAAACAUUGAAAUUCUUGAUUUGAAUGCCCAAAGUCCGAUGCCACUUUCUUUAGCGAGAGACAUCAUUUUGGACGUUUGUAUCGCGUGACUCGCGAUUUAAUUGAAACUUAUGAACGACAACUUCACAGCAGUUGCGGCUUUCAAUUUAUAGUCAAUAAAGUUGAUGGCUUUAGAAAAAAUGAAAUGGAGGACAAUAAUGGAGGUGUACCUUUUUACAAGCCCAAUUUCUUUCGAGUUUCUUCUAUUAGAGCUAACACUAUCACCUAAAAAGGGUGCAUAAGUGAUUAUAAACAAUUAAAGCGGAGUUUAAAACAACCAAGUUCAAUAUCAUGAAAGAUCAAAAUCUGAUGAAAAACUUUGCAAUGAUUAGAUUUUCUGUAAUGUCUGAUGAAAAACUACACAAUAAUCAGACUUUGCUAUGUGAAUAAACAGAAUAAAUGAGAGAUUAAAGAAUAGAGAAAAUUGCACAUAACAAUUAUAGUGGUUUGCUUAUGAUAAGCCUACAUUCACUCUUCCAUACAAUAGCUUAUUGGUUGGAUUCCACUAUGAAGAACUAAUCGAAGGUUAGAAAAUCUGAGCUCUAAACAUUCAAGUCCAUGUGUAUAGCUCCUCAUACACUCUCAAUUUCUAAAUAAUUAUACAAUGACACUCAUAGAGACGAAUGUAUUUGACCACAAAACACUCUUCAGACUUUUGAAUUAUAAGUUUCAAUUAUUUUGUAUUGCGUUUUUCCUUUUAGCUUCGAGACCUCCUUUUAUACUUCUCUUAAACCAAGCUAACCCUUGAACAUAUAUCCAAAAAAAUCAUCUAGCCAAUCUACCUGUUGGCCUGAAUCUCGUUAAGAAUGUCCGAUCGAUUUCUGUUAUAGUUUUCCUUACGAUGGUCUGGGACGAGGCGGUACUUGUGAUAUUUCUGCUUGGGAUGCAUUUUAAGGGACUCUACUGGAUCUGCACAAACCUCCUGAUAAUAUCUAUAAAUGGCUUGUUCUUGGUAAAAGAUGGACAUUACUAUAUGUAAAUUUAGGUGCAUGAUACACAUCGGUGCUCCAAUGCAUUUGAGUCCAACUCAUUGCCAGAAUCCAUCUUCUAUAUAUUUAUAUUUGAAAGAAAGAGGUUGAUCUCCUCGCUUCUCUCAUGAUAUGAUCCUCUUCCCGCUGAGCCCCCUAGUUUUUCUCUUGUCAACAAAGAGAUUUUUCUUUAUAUCAUUUCCAAGAAAGUUGACAAAUUAGGGGAUAUGUAAAAGAUAUUAUUUCUUUUCCAUUGUUUCGACAUAUAUAAAAAAAAAUAUUGCGACACUUCAUUACGCCAAGAAUAAAGCUUCCUAUAGAUUCUGCCGCCAUACAGCAGUUUGGGUUUUCACAAGUCAAGUGCUUCAAUUUGGAAAAAAUGUUUCACCUCAAGUAUAUCGUUCUAGGAAAUCUAAAUCUUCGAUAGAUACUUUCUUUUGGAACUCUUAAUAUGUAAGAUGAGAAACCCAAAUAAUCGUCACUAACCGUUACAUGAGGAUAUUGUCUCCUUCCUAGCCGUUUGACAAAGUACAUAAGAAAUGAAAUAAUUAAGACAUAACUCUAGUUCUGAUCGAUAUCGUCUGAUCAUAUCCCAUCAGACUUUGCAAAAUUGUGCAAACGGUNNNNNNNNNNNNNNNNNNNNNNNNNNNNNNNNNNNNNNNNNNNNNNNNNNNNNNNNNNNNNNNNNNNNNNNNNNNNNNNNNNNNNNNNNNNNNNNNNNNNGACAGAUAGAGAAACAAAAUAAUUGAAAUUUUCCAUUUUUCUAAAAAAUUUAAAAAAAAUGAUUUUUUUUUACUAAAAUAAAAUAAUGAGAUUGAAAUCAUUUUGAAAUAGUAUCCAAACAUUGAAAAACCUUUUUGAUUAUAUAUUAUCAAACAAGGAAAAACUAAACAUAUUCCUAGAAAAUAUUUUUCUAGAAAGCUUUUUCUUGUAUCAUUAAGAUUUCGCUAAAUAAAUACACCCUAAAACAAAUCAAGCCUGAAAAUCACCUGUCCAAAUAUAAUGAGAACUAGACCCAAACUUAAUCAAUCCUAGUUGAGCCCAAAACCAAUACUUUUUAACUCCCAUGAAAACAUAAACGAACCUAAAGCCACUAAAUCAACUUAAGCCCAUGCUAAUUAAACCUAAUUAAGCCUUCUAAUGUAAUUGCUUCUGACCUCCCACUGCCACCGUCUUGUCCAAAUGGCCGUAAGCCGACGCCCUCGGCCUGACCAUGCUCUCACUCCAACGGCUUUGGACUCUUAGUGACAGCAACCACAGUAACGAGCCUCCAUUACUAUCGGCCACAAAGCCCGAACCACAGUAACGAGCCUCCUCCUAGCCAGCACGCUCUCUCUCCUGUGCAGCGCAUUUAUUGCGGCUUAAACUUUUCUCUUUCUUCCUCAAAAGAGAAGGAAAGAGAAGCCCGUUCAUAUGUCCCUCUCCAUUUCUUUCCUUUCGAAAUUUUGAAUCUGAAAUUUUCUCUCUCUCUCCGCACUCGUUGCUGCUCCUCUAUGCAUCAAGCGGCUGUUCCCCUGCCAUCGCUGAUGAACCACAUUACGGCCGCCCCUACUCCGGUGCUCGCUCGCUUCUCUCUUUGGGCUCGUUGCUGCUCCGGCGUUCCCGAGAUUGCAGAUGCAGCACGCGGAGGAGAAGCAGGCCUCUUCGAGCUCCCCUCAACAACGGCAAGCAUCGCCCACCGAGUGAGACCCCCACACACGGAAGGCUCGGAGGCGAGGUUGCUGGAGAAGCUGGUGCCACACAUUGCCAGCUUGCUGAGCUACCUCGUCAUGUUCGUGGGGCUCCGCCACCUCGACCCGAACCGUUCUCUCCCCGUUCUCUGUUCUGUUGUAGUGAGAACAAAAUUGUGGAGGGUCCAGAGGAAAACAUAAAGGUUGAGCCCCUCCGCCUCCGCUGGUUGCUUCCAUCGCCCCCCACCCCAAUGCCGACACCGUUGACACUCCUUCGCGUCCCUCUCACGACAUCCGCUAUGCUCUCUCUCUCUCCCCCCUCCGCGAAGUCGUGCCUCUCUUCCAGCGAAACACGACGCCAACGGCCCUCCACCUCCGCCUCCGCCGGUUGACUCCGUUGCCCUCGACUCCGAUGCCGACGCUGACGCCGCCUCCUCCCUUGAACCCAACUCUAACAUCGACGCCCCUCCGCCAAUUUCCUUCGUCGGCGUUGGAGUCCGUCUCCCCCGACUCCAACACCGACGCCUCAGCCUCCGCCUACACGCCCGACGCCAACGCCGACGCCGACACCGACACCCCUUCGCCUCCCUCUUGCAACCUCCGCUUUGCUCUCUCCCUCUUUCCUCUACGAAGCGCCCUUACUGGCCAACCCCGACGCCGACGAACCCUUGCUCGCAUUUUGGCCUCUCUCUCCGCAAGCGAAGGUCGCUCCGCUCGCUCUUUCUCUCUUUGCUCCGCGAAGCGCCUUUGCUCCUGAACACAAACGCCAUCACCUCCCGCCGUCACCUUCCCCAGCCCAUCGAUAUGCACCCCAUUUGGUGACUCCUGUACAUUCGAAGGUUCGUUUUUCUUUUCUUUUCUUUUUUGGAUUCUACUUAGUAGAAUUGGGUGCCGUGUUAAUGUUUAGGUUCAUAGAUACAUCUGCAUCAGUAUUGCUUUAUCUUACUUGUUGCUGACUUGUUGUGUUAUUCAGAUAGUUAAUGAAGAUUGGAAGAAAGUGAAACGACGGUAUCUUUUGGAAGAUAGUUUUUUGUCCUCCUAAGAGAUUAGAGGCUUCUAAGCCUAAAUUGGUCACUUCUUGUCUGAAGCAAGAGACUAAGAAGUUGGUAUUAGGAUUGCUCAAGUGUACCUGUAGCCGAUUAUGUCCAAGUCAUUCCACACUCUCCACAUAUGCUCCCAAGUCUUGCUUUCAUCAUUGCUGCUACUUUAUUCUCCCAUACAAAAUGCAAGCAAUUCAUUAAUUGAUUGUGUAAUUGGACUUGCAGGGUUGUUGGAAUGGUGAUUCAUGUUCUUUUUCUCAUAAUAUGGGCAAGUCAUUUUCGUUAGUGAGUACUCCAUGCAUCGCAAAAAAUGGUGAUGCCGACCCAACAUUACUUAUUUAGUUAUUUCCUUUUGCUGAUGAUGGGGAAAUUCUCAUCUUGGACGAAAUUUUCUAUGUCAUCAUUGGCAAUGCCUGCCUGAAACGCUAGGGUCAAAUCCUCAGUUUGGGAGUGGGUUUCUGUGAAUGGAUCAGUCCACUCCAAAACCUCCCACCAGUUCCAUGUGCUACUUGGGCUUUGCCCCAAAGUCAGUCUCAUUCUAGCUCAGUGUUUAAGGUUGGGCUUUGCCUUUUAUAUAAUUUAUAACUUUGAGCCUUGUGGCUUGGGGGAAUGAGGUUAAUCAUGGAUUGGUUAGAAGCAAAAAGAAAUGAUGAAACUGAGAAGAGUUUAGUUGAAUCUAAAUCGCUAUGGUUUUGUGGGUGGAGGUGUUUGCUUUAUUCUCUGUCGUCACUCCUGAAUAUGUUUAUUUUGCUCAUAUUCUUUUGAAAUUAUUGUACAUGAAUCCCAAGGUACUUAUUGUUAAGUUUUACAGAAGAGACCUUUCUUUGCAGAGACUAAUGGUGUGUCUAUUAGGUGGUGGAUUUGGGGGUUUAUACACUGCUUUGAGACUGGAAUCACUUGUCUGGCCUGACAGCAAGAAACCUCAGGUAAUUCAUUUGAUCCUUGUAUAGUUAGUACGCGUUCUUCAUUGAUACAUCCCUGUUGCUGGAAUGGAAUCAUAAGCAGAACUUGCAUAUUUGAACAAAGAUCACUCCUCUAGACUAUACCAAACUGUCUUACAGAAGUCUGUACAUUUUGUUGAAACCAGUAUGUUGUCAUAUGAUGCCACGUAUAAUGUUCAAAUUACUUAUUCAGCUUGAGCCAUCUUAUUAAAUUGGGUCAUUUUGAUAAUGCGAUAGGUCCUUCUUGUUGACCAAUCUGAGCGGUUUGUUUCCAAGCCAAUGCUAUAUGAACUUUUAUCUGGAGGUAUGAAGAUAUGACACUACAGAGUUUGCAAUAGUUUUUUGUUGUUUACAAUGAUAGUUCCAGUGAUAUGUUUAUUUGAAGAAGGGUGAGGGAGAUUCUCUCUAAGGACUUAUGUCUUGAUGCAGAAGUAGAAGAAUGGGAAAUAGCUCCUCAAUUACUGAUCUUCUUGCGAGCACUGAUGUUCAGUUUUUCCAAGAUAGGGUAAAACUCUUGCAUCCAAUGGAUCAUCUGGGAAUCAAUGCUCCUCCGGAUCUGGUUCUGGAGGGACUGUGCAACUUGAAAGUGGCCUCCUUGUUGAAUAUGACUGGUAUCGUUUUCUCUUUGAAUAUCGUCUAGUAUGUCUUUAAUUUUUCAUAUAGGAAUAUAGUUUUGUCAGGCACCGAGGUAUAUAUAGCCUUUACCAGGUUUGUACUUCAUAACUUCAGACACUUGCUAGAUUUUUUCUGUCAACCUUCAUGAUUAAUCGGGAAAUAGUUUUAUGUGGAUAGUGUUGAUCGUCUUUUCUUAGGUGUUGCUCUAGGAUUGUCCCUUGUCUUUGUGAGCUAAAUGAGCUUUCUUUCAAUAUGCUGGGGGAUAGCAUCAGAUUAGUUCAAGCCUCCUUGGGAUUUGUUAAAGUUGAACUUGGAUUUGAUGAAUCAUUAGUUGAUCGAUAGAUGCUCAUUUGGUUUUUAUGUGUAUAAGGAUAUGCCAAUUCUCUCUUUUUGUCAUGGGCAGUCAGGUUGGUUCUUGCUUUGGGGACUGAAGUGAAGCUUGAUGUUGUACCUGGUGCAGCUGAGUAUGCAUUGCCAUUCUCAACCCUCGAGGAUGCACUUGUAAGGCAACUUUUAGGGGGGUCUGUAAUGCUAUAAAUUACAUCUCUAAGUUAAUUGACUCUGAUUUGGUACAUUUAUUAUUCUCUCACUUGUACAUUUCUGUUGCAGAAGGUUGACAACAAAUUAAAAGCUUUGGAGAGAAGGAACUUUGGGAAGGGGUCUGAAAUUUGCGUAACUGUUUUGUAGGUUAUGGCUACUCAGGAGUUGAAUUAGCUGCCACUAUAUCAGAGUGAUUACAGGAGUUGUGGCCAUUUUGGACGAAAAGGAAUUUGACAAUGGCAACUCACCAGUUGUGCAAGUCUACAGCCUGAUAGUCCACUUCUAGAUAACAUGUAAUCAGAAGUUCCUAUUGAAGAUGAAUUAUCACCGUUAUAGUUUUCAAGACUUCAGAUUCAUGUGAAACAUCAUGUUAUAUAUUCACGAUACUCUAUGCAUGUACUAUUUUGUUUGUUUGGAUGGACUAUAAUUUGUUGAUAUUUUGUCGGCUACAUAGAAACACAUAGAAAUGAAUCAUAUGAAGAGGGUAGAGAGGAAUGACUGGGCCAGCGAAUCUAUGCAAACUUCUUGCUUCAACCUGGUACUAGAAUCGGCUGGAGCAAUUUGAUAUGAAGCGAGGACUAAGAUUUCUAUUACUUGCAUUGGUUCAAACUUGUAGCAGUAUGAUUAAGAAUGGUACUUUGGUUAUGAAAGAUGUGUCUGCCAUGCAAUGAUCUUCAUGGAGAACCUACUAGAUUAUAAUGUAAAAUAAGUUAGAAAGAGUUGGUUGGCCGUGCUUCUUUUCCAAAUGAAAUUUAGUUCCAUCCACAUUUUGCCAGUACAGAUGGUGCCUUAGGGCAAAAUGAAAUGGUUUAUGAACUACUCAUAAUUGAAAAUUCACUGAAAGGACUUUUGAUAUUGUGAAAGCAAAGAAGGACAAGUAAGACUACAUAAAUUGUAGGAUGUAGAGCUGUACGGAUUGCAAGUUUCAGAGGAUAAACUGUUUUUCCGUUUAGUUUUCGUACUACUCCUACGCAACUCCUUUUCCAAGUGAAAUUCAGUUCCAUCCACAUUCUGCCACAGAUGGUGUCUUAGGGCAUGAAAUGGUUUAUGAACUACUCAUAAUUGAAAAUUCACUAAAAGGACUUGAUAUUGUGAAAGCAAAGAAGGACAAGUAAAACUACAUAAAUUGCAGGAUGUCGAGCUGUACGGAUGGCAAGUUUCAGAGGAUAAAUUGUUUUUCCGUUUAGUUUUCGUAUUGCUCCUACGCAACUCCUUUUCAUUUUAUUUUCCACCUCUUAUUUGAUUUAGUGGAAAACCUGAAUGCCAAGUUGGACCGAUAUCUAUGAAGUUAAUGCCGUUGCAUAGGCGGUUACCCUUGGCGGGACCAUCUUCUUGUUCAUGGUGAUUGUGAGAUUUGGGUGAGUGCAGUUCUACUUGAUGAUGCCGGAGACAAAGGGGCGGAGGCUGGAGGACUUGUUAUACAUGGAGUGGAGGUCCACAGUGAGGGAGAUGGAGAUGCAAAGGAACAACAACGUGACCAAGGAGGCAAACAGUGAGGCCUCACUUGUAAUGCAUGAUGUCCAAUUAAUAUUAGGUCCUAGACACAACAUUAACCGCACAUCAUGCAUGCAUUAUAGAUGAAGCCUCACUAUUUGCCCCUCAGUUCGCAUCUCCAUUUCCUUCGUUGCAGAUUUAUGGAACAACUCCUCUACCAUCCGCCCCUUCGUCUCCCACAUCAUCAAGUAGAAGAGCACUCACGCAAAACUCACGAUUUCCAUAAACAAGAAAGCGGCUCCACCAAGGGUAACCGUCUUGUGCAACAGUAUAAACUUCAUGGAUAACACUCCAAGGGAGUUUGAUUGGUCUCUCUUCUGUAUUGAUUCCUUCAAUUUCUCCAGACUUUCGACAGUGUCUUGCAAUCGGCUACAAGAACCGCCACGUAGUACAACUAAACUUUCUCAUGACAUUAGCCUACUAACACUUACUCCCAUAAAGAAACAUAGAAAAUUAGGAUAGCUACAUACAUUUCAUCCUAAUCAUCUCUCCAUCAGACGUGCUCAUGCCAGUUAGUUCAACUUGAGCUGCAGGGGCAUUGAUCACGUCAACUAGAUCCGAUUUCCCCCUGCUCUGCACAUUGCCCGAAUGGAUGGAUUUACGAGUGCCGAAGUAUGUCAAAGACGUAGGAGGCAUUGCCUUGAGCAACAUCUCGUGCUAUCAACUUCAGUCUAAAAAAUGACUAACCGAUUUAGCAAGCUCGCAUUUGCUCUGAACAGAAUCAGAUUAUGGACCACCUGCAAUGUCAAUGUGCUAAGGAAUUUGAUAAAGAUGCGCUGCAAUCUUUGCAAUACGAUCAAACAAUCACCUGAACAUGGUCGAGACAAGCCGAAUGAAGCGGAGCAUUCUUCUCCUCAUUACUGGCGUUAACAUCCUGAAAUUGGAAGAUUCUGGAUUUCAUAAAAGUCUCUUUCUACAUGUAACUAUGCAAUAAAUAACCGUACAUAGAGCCUCAUAUCAACGCUAAUUCUAAUAAGACGCCGAGGUCAAGCCCAUAUCAGAACAACCACAGAGCAAUCAUAAAAAAAUGCGCUAACCAACAUUUGAGAAAACUCAUCUAAGUCAGGACACGAUUGAAUAUCACCCCGAACUGAGAGUCGUGAGUACUAGUGCAAGUGACAAACAUCGACAUCUCCCAAAAACUAAAGAAAGAAUAAAGAGGAAGAGAGAGAAAGGGGGCAGGGGGCGGGGGCGGGAAAUCAAUGAGAAUGGCAUAGUCGAAUGAAUUUAGCUAGAUUAUUGCAAAACACAGUUUGCGAGGAAGAAUGAAAGCCCGAGUUACACCGGAGAUAUGACCGAAAAGCAGGAGGCGAACAAGACCGGAUUUUUUUAAGUUCAACAUUACCAGAUACAUGGACCCUUGAGAUCAGCAGUCAAACAUAAAAGACGAUGAAGGGAACACAACUUCCGUCAGCAAGCGAGAAAUUCCAAGAAAACAAGGCCAUGUCUACCACUGUAAUCACCUAUAACUCUGUAGCAUCCAAAAACCUUAUGAAUAUCCUUAAAUCCUAAACCCAGUAAACGAAUCACCUUUAACUGUGAAGGAGAGCUCUUUGGAAGCGCUCCAGUUGGUCUCGGCAAAGGGCGAGGCAUUGAGGAGAGGAAUGGAGAGGUGAGAGCGAGAGAGGAUGAAGGUGUGGAGCUGGGGAAGGAAAAAAAAAAGAAAAAAAAACUUUUAACUUUUUUUUUUAAAGAUUUAAAAAUUUCUCCAGAAAGGAAACAGUAGCGAGCGGAAGGAGGGAGGAGGAGAGGGAAGAGCUGGGCAGCGGCUGCUGUGCAUUCACACUCCCCAACUGCAAAAUGAUACUUGAAGUAGAGAGCUCGGCGUGCAUGGGAAGUAUUGGUAACGGUCUGAAAAAGCAGGCUGGGCUUGGGGGGAAAGGUGAAUGGUGGAAUGGGACUUGGGAGGGUGAGUUCGAUGAGUCCCGAUGAGCAGAGGGAUGGUUUCUCACUUCACAACAUCACUCACUCACUCUCUCUCUCUCUCUUUGUUUCUCUCUCUCUCUCUGCUUCUUCUCGCUCAUCUUUAAAGUAGUUGAGUGGUUAGUAUCCGUUCGAAAUAAACUUUUGUUCCAUAUUUAAGAAGAUGCCUGAUCAUUCCCCUUAAUAAAUUAAUUAAUAAUUCAAGAAUUACGUUGGUAUUUAGUUAUUAUUAGCAGGUCAGUAAGAUGGAUUUAAAGUUAAAUGUGCGGUACAUAUUAAAAUUAAUUAUUGAUUGUGUUGCNNNNNNNNNNNNNNNNNNNNNNNNNNNNNNNNNNNNNNNNNNNNNNNNNNNNNNNNNNNNNNNNNNNNNNNNNNNNNNNNNNNNNNNNNNNNNNNNNNNNNNNNNNNNNNNNNNNNNNNNNNNNNNNNNNNNNNNNNNNNNNNNNNNNNNNNNNNNNNNNNNNNNNNNNNNNNNNNNNNNNNNNNNNNNNNNNNNNNNNNNNNNNNNNNNNNNNNNNNNNNNNNNNNNNNNNNNNNNNNNNNNNNNNNNNNNNNNNNNNNNNNNNNNNNNNNNNNNNNNNNNNNNNNNNNNNNNNNNNNNNNNNNNNNNNNNNNNNNNNNNNNNNNNNNNNNNNNNNNNNNNNNNNNNNNNNNNNNNNNNNNNNNNNNNNNNNNNNNNNNNNNNNNNNNNNNNNNNNNNNNNNNNNNNNNNNNNNNNNNNNNNNNNNNNNNNNNNNNNNNNNNNNNNNNNNNNNNNNNNNNNNNNNNNNNNNNNNNNNNNNNNNNNNNNNNNNNNNNNNNNNNNNNNNNNNNNNNNNNNNNNNNNNNNNNNNNNNNNNNNNNNNNNNNNNNNNNNNNNNNNNNNNNNNNNNNNNNNNNNNNNNNNNNNNNNNNNNNNNNNNNNNNNNNNNNNNNNNNNNNNNNNNNNNNNNNNNNNNNNNNNNNNNNNNNNNNNNNNNNNNNNNNNNNNNNNNNNNNNNNNNNNNNNNNNNNNNNNNNNNNNNNNNNNNNNNNNNNNNNNNNNNNNNNNNNNNNNNNNNNNNNNNNNNNNNNNNNNNNNNNNNNNNNNNNNNNNNNNNNNNNNNNNNNNNNNNNNNNNNNNNNNNNNNNNNNNNNNNNNNNNNNNNNNNNNNNNNNNNNNNNNNNNNNNNNNNNNNNNNNNNNNNNNNNNNNNNNNNNNNNNNNNNNNNNNNNNNNNNNNNNNNNNNNNNNNNNNNNNNNNNNNNNNNNNNNNNNNNNNNNNNNNNNNNNNNNNNNNNNNNNNNNNNNNNNNNNNNNNNNNNNNNNNNNNNNNNNNNNNNNNNNNNNNNNNNNNNNNNNNNNNNNNNNNNNNNNNNNNNNNNNNNNNNNNNNNNNNNNNNNNNNNNNNNNNNNNNNNNNNNNNNNNNNNNNNNNNNNNNNNNNNNNNNNNNNNNNNNNNNNNNNNNNNNNNNNNNNNNNNNNNNNNNNNNNNNNNNNNNNNNNNNNNNNNNNNNNNNNNNNNNNNNNNNNNNNNNNNNNNNNNNNNNNNNNNNNNNNNNNNNNNNNNNNNNNNNNNNNNNNNNNNNNNNNNNNNNNNNNNNNNNNNNNNNNNNNNNNNNNNNNNNNNNNNNNNNNNNNNNNNNNNNNNNNNNNNNNNNNNNNNNNNNNNNNNNNNNNNNNNNNNNNNNNNNNNNNNNNNNNNNNNNNNNNNNNNNNNNNNNNNNNNNNNNNNNNNNNNNNNNNNNNNNNNNNNNNNNNNNNNNNNNNNNNNNNNNNNNNNNNNNNNNNNNNNNNNNNNNNNNNNNNNNNNNNNNNNNNNNNNNNNNNNNNNNNNNNNNNNNNNNNNNNNNNNNNNNNNNNNNNNNNNNNNNNNNNNNNNNNNNNNNNNNNNNNNNNNNNNNNNNNNNNNNNNNNNNNNNNNNNNNNNNNNNNNNNNNNNNNNNNNNNNNNNNNNNNNNNNNNNNNNNNNNNNNNNNNNNNNNNNNNNNNNNNNNNNNNNNNNNNNNNNNNNNNNNNNNNNNNNNNNNNNNNNNNNNNNNNNNNNNNNNNNNNNNNNNNNNNNNNNNNNNNNNNNNNNNNNNNNNNNNNNNNNNNNNNNNNNNNNNNNNNNNNNNNNNNNNNNNNNNNNNNNNNNNNNNNNNNNNNNNNNNNNNNNNNNNNNNNNNNNNNNNNNNNNNNNNNNNNNNNNNNNNNNNNNNNNNNNNNNNNNNNNNNNNNNNNNNNNNNNNNNNNNNNNNNNNNNNNNNNNNNNNNNNNNNNNNNNNNNNNNNNNNNNNNNNNNNNNNNNNNNNNNNNNNNNNNNNNNNNNNNNNNNNNNNNNNNNNNNNNNNNNNNNNNNNNNNNNNNNNNNNNNNNNNNNNNNNNNNNNNNNNNNNNNNNNNNNNNNNNNNNNNNNNNNNNNNNNNNNNNNNNNNNNNNNNNNNNNNNNNNNNNNNNNNNNNNNNNNNNNNNNNNNNNNNNNNNNNNNNNNNNNNNNNNNNNNNNNNNNNNNNNNNNNNNNNNNNNNNNNNNNNNNNNNNNNNNNNNNNNNNNNNNNNNNNNNNNNNNNNNNNNNNNNNNNNNNNNNNNNNNNNNNNNNNNNNNNNNNNNNNNNNNNNNNNNNNNNNNNNNNNNNNNNNNNNNNNNNNNNNNNNNNNNNNNNNNNNNNNNNNNNNNNNNNNNNNNNNNNNNNNNNNNNNNNNNNNNNNNNNNNNNNNNNNNNNNNNNNNNNNNNNNNNNNNNNNNNNNNNNNNNNNNNNNNNNNNNNNNNNNNNNNNNNNNNNNNNNNNNNNNNNNNNNNNNNNNNNNNNNNNNNNNNNNNNNNNNNNNNNNNNNNNNNNNNNNNNNNNNNNNNNNNNNNNNNNNNNNNNNNNNNNNNNNNNNNNNNNNNNNNNNNNNNNNNNNNNNNNNNNNNNNNNNNNNNNNNNNNNNNNNNNNNNNNNNNNNNNNNNNNNNNNNNNNNNNNNNNNNNNNNNNNNNNNNNNNNNNNNNNNNNNNNNNNNNNNNNNNNNNNNNNNNNNNNNNNNNNNNNNNNNNNNNNNNNNNNNNNNNNNNNNNNNNNNNNNNNNNNNNNNNNNNNNNNNNNNNNNNNNNNNNNNNNNNNNNNNNNNNNNNNNNNNNNNNNNNNNNNNNNNNNNNNNNNNNNNNNNNNNNNNNNNNNNNNNNNNNNNNNNNNNNNNNNNNNNNNNNNNNNNNNNNNNNNNNNNNNNNNNNNNNNNNNNNNNNNNNNNNNNNNNNNNNNNNNNNNNNNNNNNNNNNNNNNNNNNNNNNNNNNNNNNNNNNNNNNNNNNNNNNNNNNNNNNNNNNNNNNNNNNNNNNNNNNNNNNNNNNNNNNNNNNNNNNNNNNNNNNNNNNNNNNNNNNNNNNNNNNNNNNNNNNNNNNNNNNNNNNNNNNNNNNNNNNNNNNNNNNNNNNNNNNNNNNNNNNNNNNNNNNNNNNNNNNNNNNNNNNNNNNNNNNNNNNNNNNNNNNNNNNNNNNNNNNNNNNNNNNNNNNNNNNNNNNNNNNNNNNNNNNNNNNNNNNNNNNNNNNNNNNNNNNNNNNNNNNNNNNNNNNNNNNNNNNNNNNNNNNNNNNNNNNNNNNNNNNNNNNNNNNNNNNNNNNNNNNNNNNNNNNNNNNNNNNNNNNNNNNNNNNNNNNNNNNNNNNNNNNNNNNNNNNNNNNNNNNNNNNNNNNNNNNNNNNNNNNNNNNNNNNNNNNNNNNNNNNNNNNNNNNNNNNNNNNNNNNNNNNNNNNNNNNNNNNNNNNNNNNNNNNNNNNNNNNNNNNNNNNNNNNNNNNNNNNNNNNNNNNNNNNNNNNNNNNNNNNNNNNNNNNNNNNNNNNNNNNNNNNNNNNNNNNNNNNNNNNNNNNNNNNNNNNNNNNNNNNNNNNNNNNNNNNNNNNNNNNNNNNNNNNNNNNNNNNNNNNNNNNNNNNNNNNNNNNNNNNNNNNNNNNNNNNNNNNNNNNNNNNNNNNNNNNNNNNNNNNNNNNNNNNNNNNNNNNNNNNNNNNNNNNNNNNNNNNNNNNNNNNNNNNNNNNNNNNNNNNNNNNNNNNNNNNNNNNNNNNNNNNNNNNNNNNNNNNNNNNNNNNNNNNNNNNNNNNNNNNNNNNNNNNNNNNNNNNNNNNNNNNNNNNNNNNNNNNNNNNNNNNNNNNNNNNNNNNNNNNNNNNNNNNNNNNNNNNNNNNNNNNNNNNNNNNNNNNNNNNNNNNNNNNNNNNNNNNNNNNNNNNNNNNNNNNNNNNNNNNNNNNNNNNNNNNNNNNNNNNNNNNNNNNNNNNNNNNNNNNNNNNNNNNNNNNNNNNNNNNNNNNNNNNNNNNNNNNNNNNNNNNNNNNNNNNNNNNNNNNNNNNNNCACUAUAGAUGAAGAUCUUUGUGAUCUUGCUUAGGGGGAGCUAUAUAAAACUAGGAAGUUUUCUUGAAUUUAUUCUUAUCUUGAACUUCCUUAAUCAGAGUAAGGAAUUUCUUUUUCAAAUCCUUUUCUCUCUGAUUAGCCUGAUAUUUUUGUAAUAAGUUUGUACUUAUCUUUACAAACUCAGCAAAGUUCUUAUAGAAUUCACAUUGUGCCUUAUCUAAAAUCUUGCUUUCAAUAGAGCUAUCUGAUUACUAAAUCUUCUUAAAAUCUUUUGUUAAGUUCUGUUCCCUAAUCGGCCGGUUGCCAAACAUGGCAGGGUCCGGCGACCGGCCAAAAGUAGAAAAAAGGAAAAAGGAAAAAGAAAAAAGAAAAAAGGAAAAAGAAAAAAGAAAAAAGGAAAAAUAAGAAAGAAAAUAGAAAAUUAAAAAUUAAAAGAAAUAAAAAAAUUAUACAAACUUACCAAAUGUGUUUCUAUUCUUUUUAUAUUUCUGGAACAGAUUUACCAAACGCGUUUUUUUGUUCAAAAAUUGUUCCCUGGAACAGAAACACUUUUUUUUUAAUUUCUGUUCCCAGAAACAAUUUUUAAACAGAAAUGUUACCAAACGCACCCUUACUCGUCACUAUCAGGUGGUGGGGGAGGGAAACAGGGGAAGGGAAAUAAAAGUGAAAUUUUUUUUGUGGGGUUUUGAAAUGGACGAGGGAAAGAGUGGGGUGUGGGAACUUUUAUUUUUAAUGAAAAAAUAAAUAAAUGACAUUAACAAAUAAUUUUGAAAAAUAAAAGUACUGAAUUUUGAAUAAUAAUAAAUUUGGUCAUUUGUAGAAGAUUAUGGAUUUAUCUAAAUAAAUUGAUUCUAAUUUCUUAUUAAUCAUUAGUUUCAUCAAUAACUUUUGUUAAAAUUAAAAACACGUUUCCAAACAUGAAUACACGUUAACUAUUGAUUUUAUUAGUGUAAAUUCAUUGUAGGUUCUUUUUUAAUUAAUUAAUUAGAAUUAAAUUAAUUAAAAAUAAAAUAUUUAUAUAAUAUAUAACGUGUCGCAAAGUGUAAGAAUUCUCUAUUUUUGAGAAAUGACGUGUCGUAUCGAGUCAUGUCACGUGUCUGUUUCGCGUGUCCGUGCUACUUAGAUUAUUAUUAGGAGGUCAGUAAGAUGGAUUUAAAGUUAAAUGUGCGGUACAUAUUAAAAUUGAUUAUUGAUUGUGUUGGCAAAAAGACAAAAGCAAUAAACGGUGUUGGCCAAAAGACAAAAUGUUUGAAUUUUUCUUCUUCUACAUUCAUUUUCUCAUUGCUAGUUCUUUUUUCUUGGAUUGCCAUCGCCCGUAGUUAAUAGAGAUCGCUCAGUUUGGCAUGCAAAACCUGACAUGCAGGGGAGAAGGCUUUGCUUUUCACCUUCCUCAAAACUCGAACCAAAUUUAUUGCUCUCCCUCUUAGCACCCCCAGCCACUAGCCACGCCACGGGGACCACAAGACCCUCCUCGAUCAUUUUUUUGUCUAAUUAAGUGCCAAACCAUUAUAAUUCUUCCUUCUCACCCUUCAAUUUUUCUUUCAAUAAACUUUUUCUACCUCAUUUGGCAAUGCCGAAGAGCAAAGAAUUGCCCUAUUUGGCUAUGCCAAAUUACCUAUCGAGAAUUGUUUUGAAGAUAUGGUUGGCAUGAUAUGUAUGUCCAAUGUAAUAGUCUUAAACCUUAGUUGAUUGAAGUUUUGUAUGGUAAGUGCAAAAGAUAACUUAUAUUUAUAUUUACAUUGUCAUGUUUUAUAUAAAGUGAAAUUCUUAUUGAAUGGCGGUGGAAGUGUGUAAUUACAAUGACAAAUGGGGCUAAUCAAUGAGUAUUUGACUAUUUGAGUAUUUUAUGGAUGAACGCAAUGACAAACCUCAAACGUCAUAAGCUCCUUCAUUUUCCAAGGCUUCACAAAAAACUCAUGUGUGCAAUCACAAAAACAAGUAAAAGCGAUGAGAAUGAGUAACCCUAAUCUCUACAAGUAAAGCGAUGAAGGGCCUAUUUUGGAUUGUCGCUAUCAUAUACCAUUUAUUCCUAAUUCAAUUUACGGUAUAAAAAUUCAUUAUAUAAUAAGGUAUUUGUAAUUAAUUCGGAGACUUUAACAAUAUUUCUGAAGGUUUUUUUUUUUUUUUUUUACUUUGAAUUACAAAAAUUUUAAAUUUUCAUUUGGAGAUGAAAGUUUGGAAAUAGGAAGACUCUUUUUAAAUUGAACAAAUUAAAUGUCCCAAAAUUUUAUUUUAUAUAAUAGUAGAUAUGAUUGCUAGUCACAGAUAGAUAAAAUGCUUAUUUUUCCAGCACAAGAAGUUAGAAACAAUGGUGGACUUAAUUCACAGAGUUAGUGACAAGUGCCCCUACUAAAUGGACACAAUUUUCCCCUACACAAUCUACAAUAACAUUCAGUAAAGCCCACGUUAUAGCAAAAAACAAUCCAUUAGAAAAUAUAUAUGCUGAAUAUUCGCCCAAAAAUAAAUGCUGGAACUAAAAAUAUAUAAACCGCAUCCUUUACAUUCAUAGCAAAUUUAUUCAUUAACCAGCAUGCUUUGACAUUUGGUAAAGCUCAUUUAAAGAAGAAGGGGAUCUUGACUUGACGUACAUUCGCUUAAAGUAAUUGAGUGGCUAGUAAAAUAGUAUUUUCUAAGCCCAUUGAAAUAAACUUUUAUUCAGUGUAAAGUAAUAUUUAAAAUAGUUAGUAUCAUGAAAAAUCACAAUUGAAAUAUUUAUGAUAAAUUUAUCUCAAAUUAAUUUUUUAACCUUCAAAAAUUUUAAACUAAUACACUCAUAACAAAUUACCUCAAACUAAUUUUUUGAUCACUAAAAAAUACCAAAUUGAUAUAUAUUUAUAUGUGUGUGUGUGUUUGCGUGUGUGUGUAUGUAUUUACAAUUUGUUGAUUUCCGUUAAAUUGAAUUAAUAUCAUAAAAAAACCCCAAAUUAGUACGUUAAUCAAUUGUGACAUGUUAUCCAACUCAACAAUUUGACUAUAAAAUUUAAUAUAAACUAAUUGAUGGUAAAUUUGUCGCAAAUAUAUCAAUUUGGGAUUAGUUUACCAAUUUGGAAUUUAUCAUGGUAUUAACCCUAUUUAAAAAAUUUCUAAUAUUGUCUAGUCUUAACAAAUAGUCAAAUAAUCCUUACCAAAAAAAUACAAAUAGUCAAAUAAUUCAAGAAUAACAUCAAGGUUGGUGGUUAGCUAUAAUUAGCAUAUUACAAAGAUAGAUUAUAAAGAUAAAUGUGCGGUACAUGUCAAAACUAAUCAUCUAAAUGAUCGAUUAAUAAAAGGCACAAGAACUAAAUGGUGUAGGCCGAAAAAACAAAAAAGAAAGUUGAAAUGUUCUUUCUUGUGAAUUCAUUCGUAAUAAUGAUGGGAGAGAGAAUCUUGUUGUUCAUCAUCCUCAACACUAAGAUCAAAUUAUGAAUAGGAUAAGAUUUGAAGUUCAUAAAUUUUGCUAUAUUUUAUCCAAUGUUGGGUGAAUCAUAGCAAUAAUAUGAGAUAUAUUCUUAUCCUAUUGUAUCUUAUUGUUUGUUAUAAACAAUUAUUAAUCAGUAAAUCUUAAAAAAAAGAAUGGUGGGUUGGGAGAGUGACUCUGCAUUCACGAUCCCCAACUGCAAAGGAUAUUUUAUAAUUGAUGAAGUAGAGAUCAAUGUGCAUGUCAAGUAGGAGACGAUCUAAAAGAGUAGGCGUGUGGGCUGGAGUUUUGUAUGUUUGGGGAAAAAAGUGAAUGGUGGGAUGGGAGAGUGAGUGCGAUUAGUCCCGACGAGAAAAGAGAAGACGAGAAUGGCUUCCUCUCAUUUUAACCUUGAUGAAAUGGAGUUUUCGGGCAACUUCUUUUUUACUUUUAUCUCUUAUUUACGGUAUUUUCUUUUUUCAAAUUGAAAAAUAAUAAAAGAUUCAUAAUCUUUCAAGUUUUGAAAAUUUUAAAAAUUAGUAUNNNNNNNNNNNNNNNNNNNNNNNNNNNNNNNNNNNNNNNNNNNNNNNNNNNNNNNNNNNNNNNNNNNNNNNNNNNNNNNNNNNNNNNNNNNNNNNNNNNNUUCUUGGAAAUAAAUAGCCUGAUAGUGAAUAGGAAUAACAAGCACCAAGAAGUCACCAUCACAGCUGGGUUUAAAAAAAAAAAAUCUUUGCAUCAGUAACUGUCUAUUCCUUCUCUUAAAAAUCCAUUCUUAGGCAAGGCAUAUUUUACAUUUAUUCUUCAUUUCCUGUAUUGCUUUAAACUCCCGAAAUUUUCUAUUAUAAAUAUGAGAAAAGUCCAUAACAUUCCUAAAAGUCCUAAAAUUUCAAUUUAUUAAUUUAUUUAAUGAUGUGGCAAUUUUAAAUUAAUUUCUCUCUCCUUGGCUUUUUUAUUGUUUUCUUUUUAAUAUCUUAUUCAAAUGAGAUUAAAAAACUGAAAAAGCUAAAAUUUUAUUUUAAAAAAAAACUAAUUGAAAAAGAGAGAGAGAGAGAGAGAGAGAAGAGAUGGGGAGGUAGGGCGCCGCCGCCGCCACAGUCGAAGGGGCCAACCCUAGGCAAGGCUGGCCGACCCUCGCCAGUCCUGGGCGAGGCCUCACCGACCCCAAGCGAGGGCCAGUGACCCUCGCUAGGCUUGGGCUCGUGCUCGGGCGCCUAGAUUUGGGUGAUGCUAGCGCUCACCCAGGGCUGGCGAGGCUCGCCGGCUCUAGUUGACCGCUGGUGUGGCCCAGGUAUGGGUGCCCUCGCUCAAGUUGGCAAGGGUCUUCUACCCUUGCCUGGAGCUAGCGAGGGUUGGCCACCCUCGCCCCAGGCCGGUGACCUCCACUAGCUCCUCUAGCGAUGGGUGGUAUUGGCGGCGACAGUGGUGCGCUUCUCUCUUCUCCCUCUCUUUUCAAUUUUAUUUUUUAAAAUAAAAUAUUACCGUUUUUUAGUUUUUUAAGCUGAAUUAAAUAAGAUUCAAAAAGGAAAAAAAAUUUAAAAAAAAAUGCCAACUAGAAGAAAGAAAGAAAUUUAAAAUUUAGAUUCAAUUGCACCUAAGUAGCAUCAUUGUCACAAGUUUUUGGAUUCUGCUCGUGAACUUAUCCUUAAAUAUUCUUAGGUAAUGGAUAUUACUUUUACUUUUCUCUAAAUUUAUUUGUACCCGAUUUUGUAGUUAAAACGAGUUGUUUUUACGUAAAAGAUAGGUUCUUUUUCUUUUCUUUUUUCAGUUUUACACAAAUGGAUGACUUUCAUGUUUUGAUUGUCUUUCUAUUAACCUCCACAUUGUAAAUUUCAAAGUUCUCUAAAGGUGGUUCCUACAUAUUUUUCAGACGUUGGCUUUUUUUUUUUUUCUUGCCUCUAUCUUUCAUAUAUUAUCUUUUCAAUAAUAGAUUUCAAAAGAAAAAAAAAAGAAAAAAAGAAAGAAGGUGGAGGACAGGUAUUAGAGGAGUAUUUCAUUUUGAAAGACGCCCACCCCAAAUUUUGGUCUUGACUUCAUGAUUUCGACCGUUGUGUAUUUAUUUCGCUCGGAAACAACAUGAUCUGCUAUAGCCACCGCAUGAUCGUCGCACGAUUGUCGCACGACCGCCACACGAUUGCCGCACGAUAACGUUUCACCGCCAUCACGUCAACGUGCAAUAGAUUAAGGAAUUUCCACCAACAUGAGUCAUUUUUUUUUUUGAAGGAGCACCUCAUUAGGCGCACAUGGCACGACCAUACGACCAUCUUCGGCCAUGUCUUCUAAUAAUAAAAUAAAAUACAAAUUAUUUAUAAAAAAAAAACAGAGUCUAAAAGAGUUUUGUAAUCAACACCUAUUUGUAAUCAUUGCGUUGCUGAAGACAAUUUUUUUUUUUUAUGUACAUGAUCUUCCCCUAUCCACCUAUCCUAUCCACUGUAACAGUCUUAAAGUCCUGCCACUGCUUGCAUUUGAAAACACGAACCAACCUCUUCUCUUUUCUCUUCUCUCUAGCUGAAGAGGACUGCAUAUAUCGACAAAUAUCACCAGAUAAAAUUCCAAAUCUAUUGUGGUGGCACCAGGAAGAGGUGAAUGCCUUUAUUCAGAUGUGCAUCAAAUGAGAUAAUUUGGAAGUUUUGUAUAGACAAUGACUGGUACGUGUUGUGUUUAAUUAUAUGAUUUAUACCUCUAAUAUUUUCAAUAUAAUUUCCUUCAAAGUUAAAAAUUGAACAUUAAUAAUUUGUGUAUGUUGUUUUAUGAAUAUGUAAGUCUCAUGAAUAUAGAAUCAGGAAUGAAGCUAUUUAAGAGAGCCGCACAAUUUGGCCACCUUAGGGCUUCCUAUACUAUUGGGCUCCUCCUUAUGUGCGAGGGUGGCAAGUUGAAGAAGAAGGAAGGAAUCGGCUUGCUGAGAAAAGUCCACACAAGCGAACGAGUGGUGGAAUGCCGUGAUAAGUAUUUAAACACCGUUCGUAUUAUGUGGUGGAACAACACGAUGAUCUUUAGAGAAGAGUGGAGCUAUGAUUGCGAGAUGCAAACCGAGCAUUGCAAGAGGAGGGGAUGGGUGUGUGACAUCGACCAUUACGAUGACACUGAAUGCGAACAAUGCAUUUGCCGAGUGGAAACAAAAAUUCUAUACAAGUAUUGCAGAUACCCGUGACGACAUGAUCUUAAAUUGGACGCGGAAAAACUAAAAUUCAUGGACAAGAUAAAAUGUACACAAAUAUAUACAUAUAUACAUAUAUAUGUAUAUAUAUAACAUAGUUAUAGUUAUAGUGUUAAAGCACAUCUUUCCAUAGUUAUAGCCACCGCACGAUCGUCACACGAUUGUUGCACGACCGCCGUACGAUCGCCGCACGAUAACGUUUCACCCCCAUCUCGUCAAUGUGCAAUAGCUUAAGGAAUUUCCACCAACAUGAGUCAUUUUUUUUUUUAAAGGAGCACCUCAUUAGGCGCACAUGCACGACCAUACAACCAUCUUCGGCCAUGUCUUCUAAUAAUAAAAUAAAAUACAAAUUAUUAAAAAAAGCAGAGCUAAAAAGAGUUUUGUAAUUAACACCCAUUUGUAAUCAUUACGUUGCUGAAGACAAAUUUUUUUUUUUUUUUUUGUACAUGAUCUUCACUUAUCCACUUAUCAUAUCCAUUGCAACAGCCUUAAUGUCAUGCUACUGCUUGCAUUUAAAAACACAAACUAACCUCUUCUCUUUUCUCUUCUCUCUAGCUGAAGAGGACUACAUAUAUCGACAAAUAUCACUAGACAAAAUCCCAAAUCUAUUAUGGUGACACCAGGAAGAGGUGAAUGUAUUUAUUUAGAGGUGCAUCAAAUGCGAUAAUUUGGAAGCUUUGUAUAAACAAUGACCGGUACGUGUUGUGUUUAAUUAUAUGAUUUAUACCACUAAUAUUUUCAAUAUAACUUCCUUCAAAGUUAGAAAUUGAACAUUAACAAUUUAUGUAUAUUGUAGUAUGAAUAUGUAAGUCUCAUGAAUGUGGAGUCAGGAAUGAAGCUACUUAAAAGAGCUGCACAAUUUGGCCACCUUGGAGCUUCCUAUGUGGUUGGGCUCCUCCUUGUGUGCGAGGGUGGCGAGUUGAAGAAGAAGGAAGGAGUUGGUGUGCUAGGAAAAGUCUACUCGAGCGGACGAGUGGUAAAAUGCCAUAAUAAGUAUUUAAACACCGUUUGCAGUAUGUGGUGGAACAACACGGUGAUCUUUAGAGAAGAGCAAAGCUAUGAUUGCGAGAUGCAAACUGAACACUACAAGAGGAAGGGAUGGGUGUGUGACAUCGACCAUUACGAUGACACUGAAUGCAAACAAUGCAUUUGCCGAGCGGAGAUGAAGAUUCUAUACAAGUAUUGUAGAUACCCCUAACGACAUGAUCUUAAAUUAGACGCGGAAAAACUAAAAUUCAUGGGCAAGAUAAAAUGUACACACACACACACACACACACACACACACACACACACACACACACACACACACACAUAUAUAUAUAUAUAUAAAUAUAUACAUAAUUAUAGUUAUUGUGUUAAAGCACAUCUUUCUAUAGUUAUAGCCACCGCACGAUCGUCGCACGAUUGUCGGACGACCGCCGCAUGAUAACGUUUCACCCCCAUCUCGUCAACCUACAAAAGCUUAAGGAAUUUCCACUAGCAUGAGUUAUUUUUCUUUGAAGGAGCACCUCAUUAGGCAUACGUGCACGACCAUACGACCAUCUUCAGCCAUGUCUUCUAAUAAUAAAAUAAAAUACAAAUUAUUAAAAAAAAACAAAAUCUAAAAGAGUUUUGUAAUCAACACCUAUUUGUAAUCAUUGCGUUGCUAAAGACAAAAUGUUUUUUUUCUAUACAUGAUCUUCCCAUAUCCACCUAUCCUAUCCAUUGUAACAAUCUUAAAGUCUUGCUGCUGCUUACAUUUAAAAACACAAACCAAUCUCUUCUCUUUUCUCUUCUCUCUAGCUGAAGAGGACUACAUAUAUCAACAAAUAUCACUAGACAAAAUUCCAAAUCUAUUAUGAUGGCACCAGGAAGAGGCGAAUGCCUUUAUUCAGAGGUGCAUCAAAGGCGAUAAUUUGGAAGCUUUGUAUAGACAAGGACUAGUGCGUGUUGUGUUUAAUUAUAUGAUUUAUACCUCUAAUAUUUUCAAUAUAAUUUCCUUCAAAGUUAAAAGUUGAAUAUUAAUAAUUUGUGUAUGUUGUAGUAUGAAUAUGUAAGUCUCAUGAAUGUGGAGUCAGAAAUGAAGCUACUUAAGAGAGCUGCACAAUUUGGCCACCUUGGGGCUUCCUAUAUUGUUUGGCUCCUCCUUAUGUGCUAGGGUGGCAAGUUGAAGAAGAAGGAAGGAAUCGGCUUGCUGAGAAAAGUCCACUCGAGCGAACAAGUGGUGGAAUACGGUGAUAAGUAUUUAAACACCGUUCGCAUUAUGUGGUGGAACAAAAUGAUGAUCUUUAGAGAAGAGCGGAGCUAUGAUGGCGAGAUGCAAACCGAGCACUGCAAGAGGAGGGGAGGGGUGUGUGACAUCGACCAUUACGAUGACACUGAAUGCGAACAAUGCAUUUGCCGAGUGGAAACAAAGAUUCAAUACAAGUAUUGCAGUACCCGUGACGACAUGAUCUUAAAUUGGACGCGAAAAAACUAAAAUUCAUGGACAAGAUAAAAUGUACACAAACAUAUAUAUAUAUAUAUAUAUAUAUAUAUAUAUAUAUAUAUAUAGCAUAGUUAUAGUUAUAGUGUUAAAGCACAUCUUUCCAUAGUUAUAGCCACCGCACGGUCAUCGCACGAUUGUCGCAUGACCGCCGUACGAUCGCCGCACGAUAACGUUUCACCCCCAUCUUGUCAAUGUGCAAUAGCUUAAGGAAAUUUCCACCAACAUGAGUCAUUUUUUUUUUUAAAGGAGCACCUCAUUAGGUGCACAUGCACGACCGUACAACCAUCUUCGGCCAUGUCUUCUAAUAAUAAAAUAAAAUACAAAUUAUUAAAAAAAGCAGAGCUAAAAAGAGUUUUGUAAUCAACACCCAUUUGUAAUCAUUGCGUUGCUAAAGACAAUUUUUUUUUUUUUUUGUACAUGAUCUUCCCUUAUUCACCUAUCCUAUCCAUUGCAACAGUUUUAAAGUCUUGCUGCUGCUUGCAUUUAAAAACACUAACUAACCUCUUCUCUUUUCUCUUCUCUCUAGCUGAAGAGGACUACAUAUAUCGACAAAUAUCACUAGACAAAAUCCCAAAUCUAUUAUGGUGGCACCAGGAAGAGGUGAAUGUAUUUAUUCAAAGGUGCAUCAAAUGCGAUAAUUUGGAAGCUUUGUAUAGACAAGGAUUGGUACGUGUUGUGUUUAAUUAUAUGAUUUAUACCUCUAAUAUUUUCAAUAUAAUUUCCUUCAAAGUUAGAAAUUGAACAUUAACAAUUUAUUUAUAUUGUAGUAUGAAUAUGUAAGUCUCAUGAAUGUGGAGUCAGGAAUGAAGCUACUUAAAAGAGCUGCACAAUUUAGCCACCUUGGAGCUUCCUAUAUGGUUGGGCUCCUUCUUGUGUGUGAGGGUGGCGAGUUGAAGAAGAAGGAAGGAGUUGGUGUGUUGAGAAAAGUCUACUCGAGCGAACGAGUGGUGAAAUGCCAUGAUAAGUAUUUAAAUACCGUGGUGGAAUAACACGAUGAUCUUUAGAGAAGAGCAAAGUUAUGAUUGCGAGAUGCAAACUGAACACUACAAGAGGAAGGGAUGGGUGUGUGACAUCGACCAUUACGAUGACACUGAAUGCAAACAAUGCAUUUGCCGAGCGGAGAUGAAGAUUCUAUACAAAUAUUGUAGAUACCCCUGACGACAUGAUCUUAAAUUGGAUGCGGAAAAACUAAAAUUCAUGGGCAAGAUAAAAAGCGCGCACACACACACACACACACAUAUAUAUAUACAUAAUUAUAGUUAUUGUGUUAAAGCACAUAUUUCUAUAGUUAUAGCCACCGCACGAUCGUCGCACGACCGCUGCACGAUCGCCGCAUGAUAACAUUUCACCCCCAUCUCGUCAACCUACAAAAGCUUAAGGAAUUUCCACUAGCAUAAGUCAUUUUUCUUUGAAGGAGCACCUCAUUAGGCACACGUGCACGACCAUACAACCAUCUUCAGUCAUGUCUUCUAAUAAUAAAAUAAAAUACAAAUUAUUAAAAAAAAAAAAAGCAGAGUCUAAAAGAGUUUUGUAAUCAACACCUAUUUGUAAUCAUUGCGUUGCUGAAGACAAAUUUUUUUUUCUAUACAUGAUCUUCCCAUAUCCACUUAUCCUAUCCAUUGUAACAAUCUUAAAGUCAUGCUGCUGCUUGCAUUUAAAAACACAAACCAAUCUCUUCUCUUUUCUCUUCUCUCUAGCUGAAGAGGACUGCAUAUAUCGACAAAUAUCACUAGACAAAAUUACAAAUCUAUUAUGGUGGCACCAGGAAGAGGCGAAUGCCUUUAUUCAAAGGUGCAUCAAAUGCGAUAAUUUGGAAGCUUUGUAUAGACAAGGACUGGUGCGUGUUGUGUUUAAUUAUAUGAUUUAUACCUCUAAUAUUUUCAAUAUAAUUUCCUUCAAAGUUAAAAAUUGAACAUUAAUAAUUUGUGUAUGUUGUAGUAUGAAUAAGUAAGUCUCAUGAAUGUGGAGUCAAGAAUGAAACUACUUAAGAGAGCCGCACAAUUUGGCCACAUUGGGGCUUCCUAUACUAUUGGGCUCCUCCUUAUGUGUGAGGGUGGCGAGUUGAAGAAGAAGGAAUGAAUCGGCUUGCUGAGAAAAGUCCACUCGAGCAAACGAGUGGUGGAAUGCAGUGAUAAGUAUUUAAACACCGUUCGCAUUAUGUGGUGGAACAACACGAUGAUCUUUAGAGAAGAGCGGAGCUAUGAUUGCGAGAUGCAAACCGAGCACUGCAAGAGGAGGGGAUGGGUGUGUGACAUCGACCAUUAUGAUGACACUGAAUGCGAACAAUGCAUUUGCAGAGUGGAAACAAAGAUUCUUUACAAGUAUUGCAGAUACCGUUUAUGACAUAAUCUUCAAUUGGAUGCGGAAAAAUUAAAAUUCAUGGGCAAGAUAAAAUGUACACAAACAUAUAUAUAUAUAUAUAUAUAUAUAUAUAUAUAUAUAUAUAUGUAACAUAGUUAUAGUUAUAUUGUUAAAGCACAUCUUUCUAUAGUUAUAGCCACCGCACGAUCGUCGCACAACCGCUGCACGAUUGUCGCAUGACCGCCGCAUGAUCGCCGCAUGAUAAUGUUUCACCCCCAUCUCAUCAACAUGCAAUAGCAUAAGGAAUUUCCACCAACAUGAGUCAUUUUUUUUUUGAAUGAGCACCUCAUUAGGCGCACAUGCACGACUAUACGACCAUCUUCGGCCAUGUCUUCUAAUAAUAAAAUAAAAUACAAAUUAUUUAUAAAAAAAAAAAAAAGCAGAGCCAAAAAGAGUUUUGUAAUCAUUGCGUUGCUGAAGAUAAAAAUUUUUUCUAUACAUGAUCUUCCCGUAUCCACCUAUCCUAUCCACUACAACUAUGUUAAAGUGCUGCCGCCGCUUGCAUUUAAAAACACGAACCAACAUAUGUCUCUUUUUUCUUCUCUCUAGUUGAAGAGGACUGCAUAUAUCAACAAAUAUCACUAGACAAAAUUCCAAAUCUAUUGUGGUGGCACCAGGAAGAGGUGAAUGCCUUUAUUCAGAGGUGUAUCAGAUGUGAUAAUUUGGAAGCUUUGUAUAGACAAGGACUGGUACGUGUUGUGUUUAAUUAUAUGAUUUAUACCUCUACUAUUUUCAUUAUAAUUUCCUUCAAAGUUAGAAAUUGAACAUUAACAAUUUGUGUAGUAGUAUCAAUAUGUAAGUUUCAUGAAUGUGGAGUCAGGAAUGAAGCUACUUAAAAGAGCUGCAUAAUUUGGCCACAUUGGGGCUUCCUAUAUGGUUGGGCUCCUCCUUGUGUGCGAGAGUGGCAAGUUGAAGAAGAAGGAAAGAGUCGACCUGCUGAGAAAAGUUUACUCGAGCGGACGAGUGGUGGAAUGCCGUGAUAAGCAUUUGAACACCGUUCACAAUAUGUGGUGAAACAACACGAUGAUCUUUAGAGAAGAGCAAAGCUAUGAUUGCAAGAUGCAAACCGAGCACUGCAAGAGGAGGGGAUGGUUUGUGACAUUGACCAUUACGAUGAUAUUGAAUGCGAACGAUGCAUUUGCCGAGCAAAGACAAAGAUUCUAUACAAGUAUUGUGGAUACCCCUGACCAUGAUGCUGACCAUGACGCCCCUGACUAUGACCAUGAGAGGUUGGCUUAAAGAGAGAGUGGGAGAGAGGCUAUUUUAGUUCAAAAUAAAUCUUAAUACACAAGUGCUUCUUUAGAGUAUCUGAUAUGGCUUCAUUUUCUUCUCUAUAGGUUCUUGAUAGGUUCUUGAUGAUGCCCCUUGUGCUGAUGACAGCAAUGCUUAACAUCAAUUUGGUGUUUCUCAAACUAAGCAAAAUUCUGUUGCAACAAAAAGAUUAUGUCAUCUAUAACUGCCUUGUAGUUGUAACUAGAUUUCACUUCAUUCUAAGUGACCUAUUGUUCGAUUUGAUUUUGGUUUGGUCUCAAUUGAUUUGUGUAAUCCUUCAAUCCAAGUGAGAAUUGUUGUUUGUUUCAGUUCGUGAUUUAUUUUGCUCUACUUCAUGGAUAAUUUCAGCAUCAUCUAUGAACACUUCAAGCUCAUUACACUCCCCGGGAACACGACAUUUGAAUUGCUCCAUGCUUUCCAAAAUGAACUCAGAGAGCUCCUAAAGAGUUUUUGUAUGCCUGUGACUUGUUCAGCAAAUAUUUAGGGAGUAUUGUUAUUCUAUUAUCUUUUGUAUCUUAUCUCUUAGAAUUAGUGAAUAUUUGGGUAUACUUGUUAUUAUGUUGCCUUUUAUAUCUUAUCUUUUAGAGUCCUUUAUAUACAUUGUAUUUGCAAUACAUAUAUAAAGAAAAAAAGGAAUAAUUUUUUUAAUUAUAUGCGAAUUGAGUCUGAAUUGAGAUUGAGUGACCUCAUGGCUGAUCUAAAUAAGACCAUGAAGUUUCAAGUAUAUGCGGCAACUCACUGGAGAAGUUUCGAGAAAUUUUCCACCCGUCCUCUUCUGUUGGACCAGCCGUUCUUUUUGGUGAAAAAUAAUGAAAAACAACGGCGUUGAUUCCAAAGAGUUGCUCUAUUUUUAUUUUUUAUUUUUUUUGGCCAUCAAAUUUAACAUGGCUGUUGCUGUGUCACUUUCCUAGUCUUGAGUCUUGACUGGUUGAUAAGAAUUUCGAAUGAUAACGCAUUUUGAUUUAGUUUAAACGCCUGCCCUUUGAGGACACGUUUUGGGACACUUUUCUGCCACUUAUUUUGUACACGAUAGCCAUAGACGGACUGUAUACGUAUAAUCACACUUAUAAUGAAGAAGCUUUAUUUAUUUUUGGAUAUAGAUAACGAUACAUUGAUUGGUUUUUUGCGUGCUUGAGGAAAAAUGGUGAAAUUUCUUUUUCUGUCUUGCUUUUAUCAGCAAUAAGCAGAUACAUUUGAGGCGGGUAUGAUGGAUGUAUACGUGUCAGAAUCUCCUAAUCAAAUCAAUGUGAACAAGAGUACANNNNNNNNNNNNNNNNNNNNNNNNNNNNNNNNNNNNNNNNNNNNNNNNNNNNNNNNNNNNNNNNNNNNNNNNNNNNNNNNNNNNNNNNNNNNNNNNNNNNCAAGCUAUCACCCUGACAUUAAUGCAUUAGACAGUUGUCGCAUGAUUAUGAUUCCUUGAUAGAGAGAGAAAGGCAUUAUCGGUAUUCUAUCUCUAUUUCUUCAUUAUUUUACUGUCAAGUUAUAUGAUGUAGAAGUUUCAUCCCCGCCUAUGCCAUACGUAAUGACUAUUGGAUUACAUCAUUACAACAUCACUGCAACCAUAAGUAAUCAUCUAUGUGAAAAUUAAGACAAUUAUUUUUUCAUGAAGCAUCUCUUAAAGCUUUUCAAAGCUAAUUUAAUGAUCUUUCAUUCUAAAAUUUGAUUAACUAAGAGUGCGAGUGAGUUGAACUACGCAUCAAUAACUUGGGCUCAGCAUAAAAAAUACUUGAAUUUGACUCGAUUGAUUCCAAGUCAAGUUCAAGUUCAAGCUACUCCAGCAGAGUUGUCUAGUCAAGUUUGAAUUUCUCAAUUACUUUUCUAGUUGAGUGCAAGCAAGAUACAUAAAUUUUAAAUCGAGCUCGAGUUGCAUUUUCUUCUCUUAACACAUACGGUUGAAGUAGAUGUCAUCCUCAAAUCUGAAACUCCAUGUGAUUUCACUCUUGCUCUGAUUGAUCUUGUUACCCAGACAUUAGUGCUUAAUUUUGGUGCAAUUUGUGUAGUAUAUCAGAUAUUUCCUCCCUCCUUCAUUCUCUGAUAUCUUGUUACUAUCCUCAUUAAUUUGCUACAGCUUUGGAUAUUAAAGGAGAAGGUUGCAUGUGUCGUCACAAUCUUCGUAAUUAGUGCGUGUAUAUAGAUGUAUAUGCCUAGGCAAAUUAACUUACAUGUGAAUUUAUUUCCUUCUUGCACUUUGGACUAUUUAUAGUGUCACUGAUCAUGAAAAAACUGGCUAGCGUUGCAAAUACUACAAACAUCAUUAGCUUUCACCUUUCAUUCUCCUAUAUAUUCCCGGUGAACUCAAAGCCCGGAAGCUUCUGCCACCUGACUCACAGGAAAGUUAAUAGGUCCUAAGCUCGCUGCUGCUGCAGACCAAGCCAAAGCUCCAACUGCCGCUGUGGCAGCCAAGCAAGCAAGCCUCCGGCAUAGGGCAGCGGCUUUGGGGCACUUUUUGCGUAACGACAUGGUCAUCACAGCCCCUGUGAACGCGAAGUUGAGAGCCAGGAGGUAGGCAUGGAAGCACGCGGGUCUCUUUGAGAAUGCAACUCUUGGAACCGGGUUUCCAUCGACUUCCUCGAAGGGAAGUUGGAGAAGCAAGAAAGACGCCAUGAAGGAGAGGACGAGGAUGAGUUCUUCGACCCUGGUUCUAGUGAUGAAAUGGUUGCUCAUCUCUGUGAAGAGAAAUGGAGCAGGGAUGUUGGUGGAUUACUGGGUCGGGUCUGGCGAGCCUGCUCAUCCAGAGUUGCUGGCGGUCGUCGGAGGAUGUGACGGUGGUUUUGUGGGCAUCGGUGGUGGGUGAAGUCCUCCUAUUUAUAUAUUUACAGAGGCAAACGACUUUUUCUGAGGAGUGUAGGAGUUUCCUUUCGGCCAAAGAGGGUUAAGUGUUUGAUAUUCUCUGAAACUCAACUUGGACAUUUUGGCAACUUGUUUCCAUCUAAUAAAUGGAGAAUUACGUCCCAAAGAUAGGGACGUACUAAAAAAUUUCAUCUUGGGGUCUUGAACAAAUAAAAGGGACAAAAUAUUAGCGAAAAUCAUGUAAGUUUAACCCUUUUUUUUCAUCUUCUAUAAAUAUAAAUAUUUUUCCCAAGAGAACACUACGAUCUUUGAGCGAAAUCAAGGAUACCUUCAUCGAUUUAGAAAUGGAGUCGUGUUUCCCUCCAUCUUUAAUUAGAGGAUUGGAGGAAAGUCUCUCUAACCUUGGUUGGGGGACAAAUUGGUAUGCUAUGUGAUGUAGCAGGCAUUUGAAUAAGUGUGUUAUAAUUAAAUUAAUAGUAUCAUCCAUUUAUUUGAAGGAAAAUUGUUUUUCAAAAAUAGUUUCCAACUUUCUGAUAUUUAGAUGACAGAAAACUAAUCGAUCUUAUGAAAAACAUAUUCCAGGACUGAAAAAUACAAGCUUAGAUUAGGAGAAAAUGACUUCUCUUUUUUAUAAGAAGGAAAAUCACUUCCCAUAAAUUACAAAACAAAUGAAAACUAAUUAUUUUCCUUGAAAUUGUUUUUUAUGGAAAAUAUUUUUCUCUAUUAUAAAGUUUCCAAUAAAACAAAUGCAUCUUUAGGGUGUGGUUGUUCAAGUGAAAGAAUUUCCCGUGAGUCAGUUCUCUGGACUUUCAUGCAUUUGAUUUGUUGGAAAUUAUUAGUUAAGAAAAAUCGUAACAGUUAGAAAAAACAUGUAUACUUAAGAAAAUGAACUUUCUAACCUGAAAAUGAGAAAUUACUUUUAUUUUUAAAAAAUAUUUUCUUUUAUCAUCAAUAUUUUUUCAACAAAAUAUGCCAUUAAUAUGUAAACGUAGUGAUUUCUUGACUUCAAGAUUGAAAUGUCACCAGUGAAGUUUUAAAGUUCCAUCAUACCCCUCGAUUUAGGAGAAACCUUGCACGAACCCGGAUUUAUGGAUCCAAAGCAAUUAUAGCAGUCGAUCAUGUGAGAAUUAUACAUGGAACGCACAUAAUCAACGGCUAUAACAAACCUUGUUUAUGUGGACUCUAGUCUAAACAAAAUUUGGCUCACAUCAUAUGAGAUUCACAUGCUUAAAAUUUUCUCCGUUGUAUAUACUCAUAUUAGUCUCUUGGGAUAAAGCCACCAGAGAUUUUUUUUUUUUUUAUUGUACAAUUUUUUUUUAUUGUACAAUUUCAUCAUUUUUUUUAGGGUAACCAUAUCCUCGAACUAUGUAUUUAUUUGUUUGAGUUGAUACUUCAGAGAGUUAGAGCAUAAGUUGACCACAAUGUCAGACUGCUUCUCCAACGAAUUUCUUAGGUGGAACUAAAGAUUUAAAAAAUCCAAAAUUGCAACCUAGAGAAAGAGAGAGAGAGAGAGAGAGAGAGAGAGAGAGGAUAGAGGGGAAGGGCGGACCAGUGGCGGCGGCGGUGCCGCCCAGCCACUAUCCAAGAUCCACCAAUUGUCGCGGGCGGUUGGGUGCUCACCGGCAGAACGACAUCGCGAGAUGGAUCGAUGGCUAUAUCCAUCGUUGGUUUAUACCUCACGUAAACUGGCCAACAUCAGACGAACUUUUGUUUCCCUGUCUCAUCUUUCCCUCUCUUUACCUCAUCCUCGUGGAUUUUUACAUGCUUUACUGUUAUACAAUCGAAGCCUCUUUUGGCCGUCGUCCGCUCAAAGUGUCUUUUCAAAUCAAUGAUUGUGCCCUCCACGUAGCAAAAUGACGUCAAUGUACGGGAUAUAUAGUCCAUCUCUUAGGCAUCGAGAGAAAUGUUUCGUAGCGACGUUAAAGUCUAGAUGACAAAUGCCGAAAACUUCCCACUUUUUUUGGGAAGUUAUCAUCUUGUUAUGGAAUAACACUACAAGAUACCCUAAACUUUAUCGGCUUGUGUAAUAUCGUCUUUGAAUUUAUUUUUUUGCAAUCAGAUUCUUGAACUAUGAUUUAUUCGUUCACAUUAGAUCUUCCAUUAAAAGACCAAAAAAAAAAAUGCUUAUGUGACCGUUAAAUGCCAAGUUGACUCAAUGUGGCUCCUACGUCCUCAUUAGAAAGAUUAAAGAAAUAAAAAAAAAUUUUAAUUUCUUCAUUGAAGGAAAUUUGGAGCGACAACACCAUCUUGAGCCGGAGCCCACAGGCAAUUUGUCGAUAGUGUUCGAGUUUGAUGAGGUGAGUGAGGAUGGGUCGGAACACUUUUCAAUAGAGGCCCGCCUGAUCGGCUUCGACUUUUGAAGCGGAGGGCGGUGGCAUCUAGGGCGAGGUGGUGAUGGCUCAGAAAUGGGAGGCUCGCCUUCGACCGCCUGUGGCUUUCUCAACAGUGUUGCGUCGAUUUCCAACAACGUUGAAGAGAUUGGAGAUGGCUGGAAAUUCUUUUGUGUCUUUUUUUUUUCUCUCAUUUUUUAAGUCAGUCAUAUUUCGGGCCAAACCCAGCCCAAAAUUAAAUUAAUGCCAAUCCAAGAGGACUUGUUUAGGCCCGAACCUUUCAACCGGGCCUGAAGUUGAUUGGGUGGGACAUAUUUUUCAAUAAAAAGGCCACCCAUUUGCAACUAUGCUUCCCGUUACUAGACACCAAAGGAACUCGCGAACUCAUUGCUAAUUUAGCCCUAAAGCAGUGAAGAUAGUGCUGAAUAUUAAAGCAAGGGAAAACCAACACUCACGAAUUUUACAUGAAAAUCUCAAUAUAGGAAAAAUCACGGGAUCACUCAAAGACUUUUACUAAUAACCAAGACUAGCAGGAUACACAAUAAUUUAUCCUUAAUAACACAACCAGAGGCUCUUUAGAUUAGCAAAAUAUCAGAGCACCACAGAGGUGGGUUAACACAGAAGCAAGAAAGGUAUAACUGCUGCCAAAGAAAAUUAUGAGACAAUUUGGAGAGGAUUAACAAACAAAACCAAUCAAUUUAUAGAUCUUACACUCACGAACAACCUAUUGAAAUUUCUGCCAAUUCUGACAAAGUUUCACUGUCGAAUCUAGACUACAACUUCUCUUCUUCAAAGCAAAGCUUUCUGCCUCCUUUUCUCUGUGACAACAAAUUGCUUGUAUCUCUCUCUCUCUCUCUCUCUUUCUCUCUCUCUUCUAAAUCAACAACAUUUAGCCCUAUCUUUUUAUUUUGUAUUUUUUUUUAAGAUGAUGAGAUGGGCAAGUCUCCCCCUUCACCUCAUGAGGGAAGUUUCAUUAUACCCGCUUUAUCUAUACAAGAAUCAAGUUUCACCAUUGGUAAGACUUUAGUUGUCAUAUCAUAUCUAUUAUCAGUAGUGUAGACUUUCUCAAAUAAAAAGAGUUUCUCUUCUAAUUUAUCUUGGAUCCAAUGACAAGGAUAAGGCAUCAGUCUGGGUAAAGCAACCAGAUGCAUUUGAACAUCACUCUACCUUUCAGCAAUAUGACAAGGAUAAAGCAUCCCUGCAUAAUGAUGUCUUGUAUUUGCACGAAUGGAUUUGGUCUUGUUGGAGGCAAGACCACUCAUCUCAGCGGCUACCAAAGAGUUGAUAUAUCUAGAGCACUAUCAUGAAUCACUCUAUGAGAAUAAACACCCUCUAGGAAUGCCACGGACGAAGCGCCCUGUCCAUCGCCAAUCGCAUGUUGCCUAAGAAUGGACCUAACUAUUAGCAGUAACAGAGCAAAUAGAAAUCUGUUACAGCAAGUAAGCAUUAACCCAGGUAACCAAAGUGGACUCUGCUUUUAGCAACAACUUCUGCAGAUUCCUGAGAACGCAGGCUUGAUUAUUUGUUUCUAGCUUGUUCAAGCCUAAACCACCUUCACAUGUCAUAACUAAGGGUCAUGCUAUAGCAAGUUUGUACUGGUGUUUUAUAUCCCUUCUCAAACGGCGAAAAUACAACAUUGAAAUGGAGAGAUCAGUUUCCCUAUAUGUUGCCUAAUUUGCUUGCAAACCAUAAAUGGUGGAAGUUGAGAUCANNNNNNNNNNNNNNNNNNNNNNNNNNNNNNNNNNNNNNNNNNNNNNNNNNNNNNNNNNNNNNNNNNNNNNNNNNNNNNNNNNNNNNNNNNNNNNNNNNNNNNNNNNNNNNNNNNNNNNNNNNNNNNNNNNNNNNNNNNNNNNNNNNNNNNNNNNNNNNNNNNNNNNNNNNNNNNNNNNNNNNNNNNNNNNNNNNNNNNNNNNNNNNNNNNNNNNNNNNNNNNNNNNNNNNNNNNNNNNNNNNNNNNNNNNNNNNNNNNNNNNNNNNNNNNNNNNNNNNNNNNNNNNNNNNNNNNNNNNNNNNNNNNNNNNNNNNNNNNNNNNNNNNNNNNNNNNNNNNNNNNNNNNNNNNNNNNNNNNNNNNNNNNNNNNNNNNNNNNNNNNNNNNNNNNNNNNNNNNNNNNNNNNNNNNNNNNNNNNNNNNNNNNNNNNNNNNNNNNNNNNNNNNNNNNNNNNNNNNNNNNNNNNNNNNNNNNNNNNNNNNNNNNNNNNNNNNNNNNNNNNNNNNNNNNNNNNNNNNNNNNNNNNNNNNNNNNNNNNNNNNNNNNNNNNNNNNNNNNNNNNNNNNNNNNNNNNNNNNNNNNNNNNNNNNNNNNNNNNNNNNNNNNNNNNNNNNNNNNNNNNNNNNNNNNNNNNNNNNNNNNNNNNNNNNNNNNNNNNNAUUUCUGAUUUGUGCUUAGAAACUCAUGUAUUUGCUUAAAUACAUGGUGGUCUUCUAAUUAUGUUCCAAUGUACACAUCCAAAGGAUAAAACCGAGCUGCCACAAUUUCAAGACAUUCCUUAGGACUCAUCUUAGACGUGAGAAAGUCGGAAGGAAGGAAUUGCUGAUUCAGGAGGAGAAUUGGGCAUAAAACAAUAAAGCACCAAGCAAGUAAAUUAAGAUGCAAAAGAGCCUGACCAAGCACCUUCCUAAGUGGCUCAUUUUUCUCACUUCUUUCAAUUCAAAUUAGAAGAUAUGUGCAAAAGGGAGAACAGGAACGUGGGAGCAAUCAUCACGCGACAAGAUUUGGUGUUUCUACUUCAACAGAUAACAAAACGGUGUGUAUUUUGUCUAGCCAAUUGUCCAGUCGAUCACGUAGUAAAUUUGACCUGUCCAACCAUAUGCAGCAGACCUCAAAUUACCAAUGGAAACCACAACUGCCCAAAAUAUAAAUAAAUAAAUAAAUAACCUAGAUAUCCCAUUUUAAUUCUGCAUGAUGAAGCAAGAAGAGAAGCACUGGCCGCUUCAUUUUCAAUCAUCAAGAACUCAUCACAGGUAAUAAAGAGACGGUGGAUACUUAUUAAAGCGACCAUUAACCAAACUUUAGAAUGUACUUACAGACAAAUUCUUCACGAGAAGAUGUUUAAUAUCCUGUGCACAGGAUUACGCUCAAUCGAGCAGUUCACAAAAGCAUAGCAACAUAACUAGGCUAGGCAUACAGACCCUUAUACAACUAUUAGCAUAUGAAACUAGAGCUACAGCUCAUGCUUAACUACGCAAAAAAUUCCACUCAACUAAACACCAACUGCCACACCAAAAAAACACCCCAAAAAAAGAAAAAAGAAAAAAAGAACACCAACUGCCGCACCUUUCUUACCUGUUCUUCCGCGAUUAGCUAGUGAUCCAGAGCUCGAGUUCAGGCCCAUGACUCCCGCCACUCAUGGAGUUAAUGAAUGCAACCGUUCGAGCCUCAUGUGGCACCAAAUUCCUCCAGCUGAGCGGCACUGAAGAGGAAAGUGUGCACGAGAGUGAAAAGUGGCACUGAAGAAGGACUUGAAGCUCGUGGACAUCGAACUCGAAGCUCACGAAUGAUGAGCUUCAAGCUCGCGGACGACAGAACCUGGGAAAGGAGAGACGACGGCGAACGACAGACUUAAGCUUGCGAGGAGCGAGCAAGGAUUGGGCGCGGAGUCGCCGAGAAGCGAGCGACAGCGAUUUGAUUGAGCAGCGGGAGAAAGGAAUAAGAACCCUAAUCCUAAUUCGAUUCGCGAUUUGAGACCGACCAACCCGCUUCGGUCCUAAAAUCCACUUCAGGCCCUUUUUCCCCUUUCUUUUUUCUUGUUCUUUUGCCGACUCUGUCUCUUUGUUCCUUUUCUUCUCUUUAUUUUUCUGGCCCUGCAGAAGGAAACAAUAAGGUGAGUUGAGAUCUAUUGGGACUACAUUUCUCUUGAGAAAGGCCCUUUUGUUAUAGAUGGUGAGGGAGGUAAGAUACCCAACGUCGCCACCGAAGUAGACACACACAACAUAUGGAGAUUCCCAGUAAGAUGGGGAAUUUUAAUAAGAUUUUCCUUGGUUGCGCGCGUUUUAGAAUCAGUUCACUGUCUCUCUUCACUAGAAUAAAGCAGAAAUAGAAAGCGAGCAAAGCAGAAGAAACAACGAUGAUCUAUGAAUAGAAAGAACGCGCACCGUUUUCUGCAGAAAAUCCCAUGUUUCUGUUUCAGAGUCCGUUGUUUCAGUUUCAGAGUUCCACGCUUGAUUUGCUCCAUUCAGAUUCUACAGAGAAUCCCCUGUUUCUGUUUCAGUUUGAGAGCUCCACGCUUGCUUCGCUCCAUUCAGAAUCUUCUCUCUGUAAGACUUCCAACGGUCACGCCUAAAACCUAAUUCACAAGUCCUACAGUCGGGGAACUCCCCGCUACCUAGUAUGGCUAUCGAGCAAUUAUCUGGUAUUUUUGAGCUCAGUGGAUCAAGAAUCCUUCCCACUGAUCUGCAGUCUCUAAUUUCCAAAUCACCCAAAAACUCUAAUUCAUUAAUGCCCUCGACAACCUUCAGGCUCGGGCACUGGCCAAUCUCUAACCGCUUCAAGUUCUUCGAGUUUGACAAACCACCUAAACUUUUUAACGAAAAGCACUCUUUUACGCAAAAUUCUUCCAAUGAUUCAAACGCAGUAACAAAUUGAAUAUCCUGUACCUCGGCAAACCCUGACAGAAUAAAUUUUACAAGCAUCUUUUGGGAGCUUGGGAAAAGGAAGACUUCCCUCCCAUGAUCAGUCAACUCGGGAGCUUGUGGUUCACUGCACCCCGGCUCCCCCGGCAGACAAACCAACCUCUCAGAAGAUUUGCAAUCCUGAAUACGUGAUCUCUCCGACGAUUCUAAGACAUCUAGAAAUUGAACAUCUAGUUGCUGGUACACCUUGCUUUCUCUCGAUUUUCCCGAACUCGUUGAAAGGAAUAGAGUCUCCUUUUCCGAUGGAGGAAGCCCACCGAGGUGUACUUGUUUCCCUGGAGUUUCGUAGAGCUCUAAAUCUAUCAAGUUUGGAGGAAGUUGUUUGAAAGCUGGCAAGCCUAUUGAUCCAUCGAAGCACAUAAUGCUACGUUGGAUGCUCCCGCAUCACCUAUGCCAUGUACACUAAGUUCUUUCAGCAGAGAAAGCGAAUCCAACUGUGUAGUUGGUGCGCAGACAUUGCAGACAUUUGGAAAGCGAAGGUACAGCUUCCUCAGUUUGGACAGCAUCCCGAUCCACCGCAAGUCACAAGUUUGAAUAACAUUUGAUGCGUUGCUAAAUCUAGAGUGAUUGGAUAGGACCAGCUCAACUAGAUUUGUGAGGUAUGAGAGGUUAGGAAUAGUCAGCAACAAAAUAGAUUCCACCCGUAGAGUGGUCAAACUUAUGGGGAGCUUUGGCCACUCUUGUAUCUCAUGACAAUAAUCCAAGUCCAGUUUGUGGGGUACACGAAACCUGCCCGCCAUAUCGGGCAUUUUUGGAAUUGGUAUCCAUUCUACAUCCAGCUUCGUUAACAACUUUAAUUUUGAAACAGAGCCAAGAAGUUUAAUCAAGCGAUCCCAACCAUCAAAACAGAUGUGCCGCAAAUUCUGUAAUUCUCCAAUUUGUUCAGGCAAUUUUUUAAGUUGCGAACAAUCCUUAAAACUCGAGUCCCUCAGCCAGCGAUCACUUUCCAUCAAAGCAGCAAAUAUAGAAAAUUUCAACUUCUCUAAAUUUGAGCACUCAGAAAAGGUUAGUGUCCCACUCAUCGAAGAACUAUUCUCAAUAGUGAGAACCUUCAAUUUCCUUGCCCCCUACAAAAGCCAAUGAAAGAGCAGGACAAACAAGAAAUAAAUAUGCAUUCAGGGUAACAAUGAGAAAAUUAAAUAAAAAAUCCAUAAAAUUCUGUCCUUCAUUGAAUGAGAAAAUUAGACUAAGAGAGAAACUAGCAUACCUUGAUUAGGCUAUCUAACAAAUCUUUUGUGAUUUCUAUCCCAUAGAGAUUGGCCACAACCACGUUUUCUAGAUGCAACAAAUUGGUUGCCUUCAAACGUUGAUCAUGACGACAGUAACGCAAACGGAUCCAUUUCAACUCAGAAAGACAGCCCGUAAAGUCACCUUGGUAGAUUACAUCAUCCAAACAAAGAAACCGCAGACGUGGAAACCGUUUAAUUUGCUCCGAAGUGACAGAAGUGACAAUACCACGGUGAUAAUAACCCCAUGGCAAAUUGAGUGCUUGAACGCUUGCUUUGAUCUGCCAAUUCGUAGAAGAGGAGAAAAUGAAACAAAAGAGCAGCUCUCAAAUCAAAAAGUGAAUCUUGAAUUAAGAAGAGGGUAUAAGCAAUUUUCCAUUCAAUUUAGGCCAUACUUUACCUCCGUUGAUCUUAAUUCGCGAAUGAUGUCGUCUUCAUCCCACAAUCCGAUACGCUCUUCUCUGGCAAUUUUCCUUCCAAGGUCUCUAAAUUGAUCGUGCAUCCAAAGGCUAUUAUUGUCUAACUCCUUUAUCAUGCAUCUGUUAAUGAGGACAUCCAUGGCAUCCUCUGGGUACAAAUUACAAUCUUUCCACACGUACAUUGGAUUAGUCUUAUUCUUUCCAGCGAAAAAGCAUGCAAUAUCAAGGAAUAUCUGUUUUUCAUUCUGAUCUAAGGCAUCAUAGCUAAUCUUUAGCUUUGCCAAGACAUCCUUAUGAGGUGUUUUCUUUAGCCUCUCUAGCCACUCUUCCCAUAUCUCUCUCUUUUUCCCAAAAAGUGAUGAACCAAUUGCUUGAAGAGCUAAAGGUAGUCCACAUGUAGUAUUGACAAUGCCCUUUGAAAAAGCGCAAUAAUCAGCUGGAGGAGAGUCUUCAUUGAAGGCAUGCCUACUAAAAAGUUUAAGAGCAUCUUUACCGAUCAACCCCAUCAUUUCAUAAUCCUUAAAUUCAUACUUAAGUUUCCUGUUAGUCAAAACAUUCUUGUCCCUAGUGGUAACAAGUAUUCUACUACCUUGAUGCAAAGAUUUCUCUCCGAUUAGUUGUAGGAUCUGGUUGGCCUCAUCAACAUCAUCCAAUACAAUUAGCACCUUCUUGUUGGAAAUUGUUGCUUCAAUCGUAUCAAUCCCUUCAUCAAUCUUAUUAAUUUUGUGAGGCACUCCAGAAUAAGAGAUAUCAGACAAUAAUUUUUUUUGUAGCUCGACCAUGUUCUUGUUUUUUGCCGUUUCCCUCACGUCAUCAAGAAAGCUGCAGUUUCUGCCAAAUCGAGGACAUAGUUCGUUGAAGAUAGUCUUGGCGAGUGUUGUUUUACCAAUGCCACCCAUCCCGUAGAUUCCAAUGAACUACACAUCAUCAAAAUCAAUGUCUAAUAAUUUCUUUAUGUUUGCUAUUUGAUCUUCCAUUCCAACGAAAUCUCCGGUUACACGUCUCCGUUUUGUCUCGAGCUUGGCCACAACCUCGUCAACAAUAGCCUGGAUGAGUUUUAAAGGGCUGCCACAAAGUUGAACAGUUUCAAUUGAGCAAACGUGACAAAUUUGCAUAUUGACCAUCUACUAACCAACCGGGUGGGGACGCGAUCAAGUUCAAAAAUAUAGAAGAGAAAUGUUGAUCUUUACAUCAGGUAGAAGAAUAAGAAUUUCUGGCAAAAAAAAGGGUAGAAGAAUCAAAAUAUAAACAUCUAAUGAAUUAAUGUACUGGAAUAUUUACUUAAAUAACAAAAAUGGCAGCCCGAUUAUACAAGAUAAUUUUCACAAUCAUGGUUAGAUUAUUACCUUGAAUGUUUCUCCACCUCCCAUCCCUUGAUGCCACCAACUUCUAUGAGGGACUCCCGCCACGUCUUUAUAUUCUCGGAGCUGAACUUAUGCUCCCAAUCCUCCAUCUCUUGCUCCAAAUUCGAUAUGACAUCCUUGUAUAACGGUGUUUGCAGCUUCACAUCUUUGGGCUUCACGUCAUAGAAGAUGGGCAAUAUGACCUUCUCUUUCUCAUCUUCUUUAUGUUUAGAGGUGUUCUCCACCAUUUUCGCAAGCUCGUCAAGGCACCAGUGACUUGAUGCAUAAUCUUUGGAGAAGAUGGGUAUGUAAAGCUUGCAAUUGUCAAUCACAUGCAGAAGGUUGCUAAUUUUUUCACCAGGUUGAAGCCCUACGUCAUCGAUGAAAACACGAAUCCCGGCAUCUACCAAGGCUUCGUGGAGGAAAUUGGUGAAUGGAAGACGAGUAUCAGGCCCUCUAAAACUCAGGAAAACUUGGUAUUCACCUCCUACCGUGUUGCUGGUGCUCGUCACUGUCUUUGAGUUUGCCAUAGGAGCUCACUUCGCACUUAACAACGUCAACCCUCUCACCUCGUCUCUGAGUUCGCAAUAUGACAUUUCACAUAUUUGAAUCCGAUCCCAUUUGCCAUCCAAAACGCGGUCAACGCGUGUAGAGUUUUCCGACACGUAGUCAACUUUUUUCGACUCGUCUCGACACGCGUGUCGGAUGGAAGCGAGGGCGGGGGAGGAGAGACGAGGCCGCGAGCGACGGCGAGCCCGCGACGGCGAGAAACCGCCAGAGAAAGAGUAGAGAUUGAGGCGCCAGAGAAAGAGUCGAGACCGAGGCAAGGGCGGCCGUAGAGACUGAGGAGAGGGCGGCCGCAGUGAUGCUGCGGGAUCGGCGACGAGGCUGCACUGCAAGUGAGGAAGGGCCGAAGGCGAGGCGGAGGAGGAGGAGAAGGAUCGAGAGGAAGAGGAGAGGAAGGGGGUUGUAUGGAGGUCGUCCGGCGAGGAGAUGGAGAUGGAUCGAGAGGAAGACCGUGCGGCCAGGGGAAAAAAGUUUCGGUAGCUAGGGUUUUGGAAACUCAAUGGGGUGACAGCCUGUUACGUGCGUGGGGGAGGGGAAAAAAGUGAAAUAAAUUUGGGGUGGACGUGGCAAGGUAGGGAAAAAAAAUUGAAAUAAAUUUAGGAGGGGGGGGGGGAAUAGUCUCUCGUGGGGGAGGGAGGGAAAAAAGUGAAAUAAAUUUGGCAGUGGGGAGAAACUUUGUUUUAAUCGGAAAAAAUAAAUGAAUAAUUUUAAAAAAUAAAAAUACUGAAUUUUAGAUGAUAAUAAAUUUUUAUCAUUGUAAAAAUAUCAUAGAUUUAUUUAAAUAAGUUGAUUCUAAUUUUCAAUGAAUUAAUUUAUUAAUAUUAUUAGUGUAAAUUCAUUGUAGGCUUUUUUUUAAUUAAUUAAUUAAUUAUGAAUUUAAAUAAAAUUAAAUAUAAAUAAAAAUAUUUAUUUAAUAUUUAACGUGUCGGAACGUGUCAAAAUUCUCUACUUUUUGAGAAAUGACGUAUAACGUGUCGUGUCGUGUCGUGUCGCGUAUUGCGUGUCGCGUGUCGGUGCUACAUAGGUUUACAGUCAAUCAAGUUGAUGACUUCAAAAAAAAAAAAAAAAAGGAAAAUGACGAUAAUGGAGACACACCUUUUUACACUCCCAAUGUCCUUCGAGUUUCUUCCUUUGUCCUUUUCACUUUGUGCUUUUGAAAAAGAAAAAUACGGUGGAGGACGAUAAUGGAGGUGCACCUUUUUGCAUGCCCAAUGUCUUUCGAGUUUCUCCUUUGUGCUUUUCACUUUGUCUUAAUCUCUCCGCCUUGAAAACUUACCUUCAAUUAUAACCAAUUUCCUUUAACAACUCAAUUAUUGUCGUAAAAUGUGCCUUUAUAUUAAAAGGUGAAUGAUCAUUUAUUUCCUACUAACAACUAUUAGAAUGUGAGCAUGGUGUAGUUAGUGCAGUGUGGAUGUCAAAUCAAACCAAACUAUAUAAGUAUAUUUUGAGUUUGAGCACCUUGGAUGAAAUAGGAUCACAUGAGAAUUAUAGGCGCUCGGCCACUGUUCAAAAUUGGUGAGAGGAAGUGCAGUGAUGGCUUGUCAGUGGCCAUGAUCCCAGUCCAUUGCGGUAUUGCUUUGAGCACGAAAGAAAGAAAGGGCCUGUUUGGUUCAGCAUUGCAAAUGCUUAUUUGGACUCUAAAGUCCUUUGGCCAAAUGCAAACGCGUUUGGUUCGUAUUUUUGCGCGACUUUGGUAAGAUGCAAUUGCAUCUCCAAAGGAGUCUAAAGGCCUUUAGCCCAAUGGAGGUCUUGAGGUGCAUUGGCAAGUUGUAUCCUGGGAAUGCAAAUAGCUCGAUUACUGUUCAUCUUCUCCAACCUCUCCAAACUGCUGAUUGGAGGCCGACGACCACCGGCGAAGGGAUGGCGCGCGCCGGCGACCGCCGCCUAAGGGUCACCCGACCCCGGCGACCGUCGCCUGGGGUCGCCGGACCUCAGGCGACGCCCGGAUCUCGCGACCCAGGCGUCGCUGCCCAAAUUACUACCACUAUGUUAGGUAAUCACACGUCGAUUUCAGAAAAAAAAAAAAAUAACGCAAGUAAGUGAUCCACCUAGACUAAAUAUAAUAAUAAAAUAACAUAAUCGGGAGAACACAAUAGAAAUUUUAUCAUCAAAAUUCACCCAAACCUAGGCUAUGUUUCCACACAAAGGUACUCUGCAAUUCCAUUAGACUUUGAAAAAAAUUGAACUACAAUAAUGAUUUUCUCUCAAGAUUGAGGUACAUAUAGAUUAAGAACUCUCACAAAUAAGAAACUCACUUUUUUCUUCUCUCUAUUUUCUUUUAUAGUUCCUUGAUGGCUAGCAUUUGACUAUCGCUGAUAUAAAGUGUAGCUUUUAACCUAAAAGAAAAACUAAUUGAAAAGACAAAAAAAGCCCCUAAAAAAAAUUGGCUUCACCCCCCGACAAUCUCCCACUUGAAGCACUAUGCAACUUAGCAUCCAUCUACAUCAAAAUCUAGUAACUAAAAUUUGUGCAUUUGCGAUACUCCUCAUCAAUUAGGAUAGAGUAAUACCAAUCAUAAUAUUGACACCUAAAUUUCGAAUGUUCAUAUAGGUUUUUAUUGCAUAGAAAAUUAGGGAAUAAAUUUUAACUCAUAAACAAAAACAGUUUACACCUAAAUUGCAUAGCAUAUAGACAUUAGGAGGAUUUGCAUUAAGAUGUACAGAAUUUAUAAGGAAAAAUAUUUUAAAAAGAGGAAAAAGAGAAAAAAAAUUAAUUAAUUAAAAACUAUUAUUUAAAAAAAAAGAAAAAAAGCGAGAUCGGGCUAGGGACAGGCCGGCCAGCCUUCUUUCUUUUUCUUUUCUACCUCUUCUUUUUGCCUAGGCCCAGCCCGGCCCACUUUUCCUUUUCUUUUCCUUUUCUUUUCCCCAAGCCCAGCCUCUUCCUUCAUCUUCUCCCUCACGCUCUCACGCGUUCUGCAAAAAAGAAAAAGGAGGACGAGGGAUGGAAGCAGAGGCGGGACGGGGAGUGAGGAGCGCGCCUUUUGGGUCGGGAGCACCGGAGCAGGCCGGCACGGGGAGCUGGCGGUGGCAGAGGCAAUGCGCGCCUGCCGGGCGUUAGAGGGGGAUUCUGGGGGCUCGGGCGGAGGGAGAAAUGGACGGAGAGAGAAAGGGGGAGAUAGAGGGGAUCCGGCCGAGAGGGAGACCGAGAGUGAGAGAGCAGAAAAUUCGCUCCGGCUGAGCGCCGUUCGGCCAUCCUCGACACAAACCGGCGUCCCCUAGCUGUUACACGGCGUCCGAUUUUUGGUGAGUUGAGUUUCGGUUUCGAUCCGCCGUUUUCCCGUGGUUCCCGGCUUGGCGAAACUGAGAUGGCCGGCUAUAAUUCGAUUGCAUUGAGACCGGCUUCUGGCUGUCGUCCCAAAUCCGGGUAAGGCCCCCGCGGUUGCGCGCUCCGGCGCCCCUUUUUUGUCCUUUCCUUACUGCUCUGUUUUUGCCCUAUUUCGGGCACGCCGGGCCAGAGCUCGCGGCCGUCUGGCUCACGCGUCCGGCCCCUUCGCCCCUGUGUUUUGAUAUUGUCGGUCUGGUGGGUCGUAUGUCGAGGGGACUGUGCGAGUUUGAGUCCCGGCUGAGCCAGGAGACCCUCGUUCAGUAUCGCACGCCACCCGCUCGAUGAAAUGCCUCAACGAGAUCUGAUUUUCGUCUCCUCCUCUUUUUGCCGAAAUCAAGUCGUACGGACUGUUGUGUUCUAUUGCUAUGUCCCUGUGAUGUUUUCCGAUACGGGCACGGCCGUUUGGUCGCUUCACUGCCCCCACCACCGUGGUCGUCUACUUUGUUUUGUGUUUGGCUUUGUGGCCGACGAUAAUGGAGGCUUGUUACUGUGUUUCGGCCAUGCUGGCCGACGCCAAGUGUCCAGAGCCAUUGGAAUUAGAGCACGGUCAGGCCGAGGGCGACAAUGUCGUCAGCUCACGGCCAUUUGGAGAAGACGGUGGCAGCGGGAGGUCAGAAGGAAUUAGGUUAGAAGGCUUACUUAGGUUUGAUUAGCAUGGGCUGAAGUUAGUUUAGUGGGUUUAGGUUCGUUUCUGUUUUCACGAAGAAAAUAUUCAGUAGUUUGCUCUCACCACGUCAUCAGCUGAUGUGGCGAGCAUUUUUCGCUCUCAUCCAAUAACAACUCGACACGUGUAUGAUGAUGUGGAAUUAAUCACAAAAAUUGAAAACUUCAUUUCUCUCUUCCUCUGCCAUGGCGGCGUGAUCGUUGCCACCACCCAAGCCACUGCAACCUCCAUCCUGGAGCCCUCUGCAUCGCCGUGGCUGUCUCACCCUUGCCGUCAAGGUUUGCAGCCAUGGACAAUUCACGGUCAUCAGAUCUGUGAAUGAGGCGCCUCGGAGCCAUGGACAAGCAAAGCUUGCGGCCAUGGAUGAUGGAGGACCCCUUCCGACGUCGCUCGCGGUCGGCUCGAGAAGCCCUUUCGGCUCCGUCUUUUUCUAUUUUUCUCCAACCUCCAGAUCUGGGACCACAUCCUUCGUCCAUGGCUACUGUCAGUUUCGCUGGCCUCGUUCUCCAAAUCUCCAGAUCUAGCCAUUCAUGGCUGAAAGCAUUCGGGCAUCGAGGAAGUCGAACAGGGGAAGACGAAGUUGAAGACAAACGAACAAAGGAAGGCAAAGCCAAAGACAAACAGAGAAAGACGAAGCUGAAGACCAAAUCUGGAGCCACAGUGACAGCUUGCCGAAGCUACCAAAUCUAGUGCCAUGGUGAAAGCAGGAAGAUGAAGCGACUAGAUCUGGCCGAUGACCCGAAGAUGAAGACGAGCAGACGCUGGGAAAAAGACGAAGCCGAAGACGGAAAGGGUGACUCGGUUUGGAUGUGCAAUUGGCCUGAACACGGCGUUGACGCCGACAAUAGCGGGAGGUGUGGAGGUCAAGCCCAAGAGGUGGUGUGGACGGAGGAGCAACAAAGGAGGAAGAGAGGGAAAGUGGUGGAAUGAGAGAAUUUUUAUUUUUUAUUUAAUUCCAUAUCAACAAAUACGUGUCAAGCUGUAAUUGGAUGGAAGCAAAAAAAUGCUUGCCACGUCAGCUGAUGACGUGGUGAGAGCAAACGUCGAAUAUUUUCUCGUUUUCAUGGGAGUAAAAAAGUGUAUUGGUUUUGGGGUCAACUAGGAUUUAUUAAGCUUGGAUCUAGUUUUAGUUAUAUUUGGACCAGUGAUUUUCGGGUCUGAUUUGCAUUAGGGUGUGUUUAUUUCACGAAAACUUAAUAAUAUAAGUAGUAAAAUAUUUUCUAGUAAUAUGGUUAGUUUUCCUUUAUUUGGUAAUAUAUAAUUGAAAAUGUUUUUCAAUGCUUGGAUAUUAUUGCAAAAUGAUUUCAAUAUCAUUACUUUAUUUCAAGCAAAAAAAAAAACAUUUUUUAAUUUUUAUAAAAAAAAAUUGAAAAUUUAAUUAUUUUAUUUUUCUCUUUUUUAUAUUUAUAUUUUUUUUCAAAAAAUCGAAUUUUUUAUUUUUUGUAAUAAAGAGACAGUGGAUUCUCAUUAAAGUGACCAUUGUCCAACCAUAGAAUAUACUUAUAGAUAAACUCUUCUCGAGAAGAUGCUCAACAUCCGGUGCACAUGAUUGCACUCAAUCAAGCAGUCCACAAAAACAUAGCAACAUAACUAGACUAGGCAUUCAGAUAGUCAAACAAAUGCAAGAAAGCAGACCCUUAUACAACUAUUACCUUAUGAAGCUAGGGGUAGAGCUAGAGCUUGAGCUCAUGCUUAAAUACUCAAAGAUAAAUCACACAAUUACAUUCAACUAAACACCAACUGCCACCCCAUUCUUACCCGUACUUCAGCAAUUAGCUGGUGAUCCACAGCUCGAGUUCAGGCCCGUGACUCCCGCCAUUGAUGGAGUUAAUGAAUCCACCAAAUUCCUCCAGCUGAGCGGCACUGAUGAAGAAAAUGCGCACAAGAGUGAAAAGUGGCAUUGAAGGACUUGAAGCUCAUGGACAUCGAACGAUGGACUUGAGUUUGCGAGGAGCGAAUGAGGAUUGGGCGCAGAGUUGCCGAGGAUGAGCGACAGCGAUUUGCUUGAGCAGCAGAUCGACUUAACCACCUCAUUCCGAAAAUACAGUUGAGGCCCUUUUUCCCUUUUCUUUUUUCUUGUUCUUUUGCUGUCUCUAUCUGGCUCUCUCUUUUCUCCUCUUCAUUUUGCCGACUGUCUUUCUCUUCCUUUUCUUCUCCUUAUUUUCCUGGUUCUGCAGAUAAGAAACAAUAAGGUGAGUUGAGGCGAGGUCUCUUGGGCCUAAAUUUCUCUUAAGAAAAGCCCUUCUGUUAUAGAUGGUGAAGGAUGUAAUAGCCCUAACCUCACCACCGAAGUGGACACGCGCACGCACGCACACGGAGCAUAUGGAGAUUCCCAGUGCGAUGAGGAAUUUUAAUAAGAUUGUCCUUGUCGUUUUAGAAUCAGUUCAUUGUCUCUCUUCAUCAGAAUAAAGCAGAAAUAGAAAGCAAGUAAAGCAGAAGAAACGGCGAUGAUCUAUGAAUAGAAAGAAGGCGUACUGUUUUCCGUAGAGAAUCCCCUGUUUCAAUUUCAAAGUCCGUCCCGUACUCUGAUCUAUUCAGAAUCUUCUCUCUGUAAGACUCCCAAGUGGCGUAAGAAUGAGAUGGACCACUAUCGAGUAACUUCCCACUACAUACUAUGAUUAUCAAGCACUUAUUUGGUAUUUUUGAGCUCGAUGCAUCAGAAAUCCUUUCCAUUGAUUUGCACCCGUUAAUUUCCAACCGAUUCAAAAACUCUAAAUCGUCAAUGCCCUUGAUAACCUGCAGGCUCGGGCACCGGUCAAUCGUUAACCACUUCAAGAUCUUCAAGUUUGACAAACUGCCUAAGCUUUUUAGGCACAAAACGGAAGCACCAAGGAAGUAAAUUGAGAUGUACAACUACCUAACCAAGCACCUUGCUACAAAGUGGCUCACUUUUCUCUCUUCUUUCAGUUCAAAUCAGAAGAUCGGUACAAAACGGAGAACAGGAACACGGGAAUAAUCAAGAAGCGAGAAGAUCUGGUGUUUCUGCUUCAACAGAAAACAAAGCCGCGUGUACUUCGUCCAACCAAUUGUCUAGUUGGUCACACAGUAAUUUGAACUGUGGAAUCCCGAAAACUCUGGGUUGCACCCAUGAAACGCAUGAUUUUCCCUCAACUUGAUCGAUUAUGCCCUCAAUAAGAUGAAUCUGAGUUGAGAUUCUAAAUGUUUAGACUCUGUAAAAUAAGGUAAAUACUUGAAUAUCAGUUUUCCAUUACGUAUGCUAGAGCAGAGAACAUGCAAGCAAUUACAAAAUCCAGACUGCGUACGCAAAAAAGGAAAUUGUACUCCAGAUAUAUAGCAACAGCACACUGACACAUAUCCAAAGCUCUUCUAUUCUCACACCAGAAAUAGUGGCGAAGGACAAUCUACAAGCAUGAAUAACUCAAAAGUAAUCAUCUUUUACAAUCCCCCCUCCCCCCACCAAUUAUGAAACAUAGCAUCAACAUUAAAGGAAUAAAAAGAAAUGCUGAUUCACAUCAUCCCCCACUUGUUGCAUGAAGCUAUUUAUGGUUGACAGCAGCCAGUUUAGGCACAUUCUGUGCAACCACCCACAAACUUCUAGUCCCUUCAACCAUAUGCAGCAGACCUCAAAUUACCAAUGGAAAAUACGACUGCUCAAGAAGAGAACCAAGAAGAGAAGCACUGUUCGCUUCAUCUUCAAUCAUUAAAGCCCCUAACAGGUAAUAAAGAGACAAUGGAUACUCAUUAAGAAGAUCAUUAUUCAAACCUUAGAAUAUACUUAACAGACAAACCCUUUGUGGGAAGACGCUCAACAUCCUGCGUAGAAAGUUUUGUGCGCUCUGCAAUAACAUUCAUGGGAAUGGUUCGAUUCUUAGAUGGUCAACUACAAACAUCUACAUCGCCAUUCUUCAACGAAGCUGUAAACUCUGUUUCCCAAAUUUUGUAACUCUCUAAUCUUAAGUCAGCCCACCAAAAUACCCAUAAUUCUUGUAAUACCCCAACUAACAGAUGCACAACAUGCCGGCACAUGAUUUCACACCAUCGAGCAGUCCACAGAAGCAUAGCAACAUAAAUAAACUACGAAGCUAUUACCUUAUGAAGCUAGAGCUCGAACUCAUGCUUCACUGCACAAAGAUAAUUCACACGAUCACAUUCAACUAAACACCAACUGCCACGCUACUCGUACCUGUUCUUCAGCGAUUAGCUGGUGAUCCGGAGCUUGAGUUCAGGCCCAUCCGUCCUGCCACUGGUGGAGUUAAUGAAUGCAAUCAAUGGAGCCUCAUGUAGCACCCGAAUUCAUCCAGCCGAGUGGCACUGAAGAGGAAGACUCGAAGCUCGCGGACAUGGAACUUGAAGCUCACGAUGGAACCUGGGAGAGAAGAGAGACAGCGGACGACGAACUGAAGCUUGUGAGGAACGAGCGAGCAGCGGCGAGGGCUGGGUGAUAGAGAUUUGCUUGAGCAGCUGGAAGAGAGGAGGAAGAAGAAAACGUGAAGGAGAAGCCUAAUCGCUGGUGCACGUUAAAAGAAAUGGAAAGCAAAUAAAGCAGAACAGUCAUGAUCUAUCAAUAGAAAGAAAGGCGCACCAAGGAUCCCCUCUUCAUGUUUCGGAGUUGCUGGUUUCACAGAAUCCGAAUUCAUUCCGAAUCUUCUCUCUUAAAGACUCCCGAUUGCCGCAAUAAGCAAACCAAUUGCCGUGUGGGCUCCAACUAGAUCUUAUGUCCAUCUGGCAGUCAUUCGGUAUUUUUGAGCUCGAUGCAUUUCCCCAUAUCGCAUAACUCCCCACGAAAUCUCAACAGCUGCAAAAACUCAAAUUCGUGGAUGCCCUCCACACGGCGCAGCUUCUCGCAGUCUUUAAUAUGUAACCUCUUCAAUUUCUUCAAGUUCGACAAACCUUUCAUCAUUCCUAAUGAACCACACCUUUCAACAGUAAAUACUUCCAAUAAUUCCAACGGAGAAACAAAAUUGAUAGCUCCUACCUCCUCGCAACUCUCCAUAUGGAACUCUCGAAGCAUCUUCAGGGAGCUUAGGACAAGGAGUUUUUUAUCGAGAGGGCAACCAUCAAGUCGCUCGUGCACCUCUUUUUUUCUUAAUUCUUCCGACGGAGGUAACCCACUGAGAUGUACAAGUUUCACUCCAGGGCAGGAGAGCUUUAAAACUAUCAAGGUUGACGGAAGUUGUAAGAGGGUUCCGAAGUUUAGUCCAAAUAGAGUAAGUUCUUUUAGCAAAUAAAGGGAACCCAACUCCGUAGUUGGUGCACGGACAUACCAUAAGCACAAGUGCAACUUGCGCAAUUUGGAUAACCUCCCAAUCCACCUCAAGUCACCGCUUGGAAUUUCAUUUGAUGUGGACAACCCACUGCCAGAGCCAUCAGAUACGAAUAAUUCAACUAGAUUAGUAAGGUUUGAGAGGUUAGGGACAAUCAUCAAUGAUUUAGAUAUCAGUCGUAGAGUGGUAAAAUUUCUGGGGAGCUCCGACCAUUCUCUUAUCCUAUGACAAUAUUGCAAGUUCAAUGUUUGGAGGUGACGCAAUUUGCUCAUUAUACUAGGCAGUUCUACAAUUGGUGUGUGUGAUACUUUGGUAAAGGACGGGCUACAUUGUCGAUCAAUGAAACCUAGUAAUCUUGUUCUGCAUGAUAUAUCUACCUUCGUCGACGACUCUAAUUUCGAAACUGAAUCUAGGAGCUUGCUCAAGCUAUUGCAUUUAUAAAUAGAGAGGUGUCGAAGAUUCUGUAACUCUCCAAUUUCUUCAGGCAAUUUUUCAAGUUUCGGACAUGACUUAAUACUCAAGUCAAUCAGCUACCUCAUUUUUCCAAUAGAGUGGUCAAUUCCCUUCAAAGAUGGACAAUGACAAAUAGUCAACUUCUCUAAAACUAAGUACUCUAGAAAGGUUGGUGUCCCAUGUAUCGAGUAAUUACUUUCAAGAGUGAGAACCUUCAAUUUUAUUGCCCCCUACAAAAGCAAAUCAAACAUUAGGACAAACAAUUAGAUGUCUAUACAAGAAAAAAAUAAUUAUGAAAUUAGGCUCCCAACUGGGAUCAUAUGUCAUCCGAUCCUCUCACUAACUGAGAAAAUUAUACUACAAAUCCAUCAAAUUAUGUCCUUCAUUGAAUGAGAAAAUUAGAGCAAGAGAGAAAGUCACGUACCUUGAUUAGGUAACUGAUCUCAUCUUUGCUGAGGUCAGAGGAACGAAUAUUCAUCACAACCACGUUUUCUAGACCCAAAUUGAAUUGCGAAUCAAGUUCUCCAGAAUGACCUGUUUUGCCCGUCAAAAUGAUCCAUCUCAACUUGGGAAGACAGCCCGUGAAGUCACCUUCGUAGACUACGCCACUCAACCAAAGAAACUUGAGACGUGAGAACCGCCUAAGUUGCUCUGCUAUGAUGGUUGUAGGAUUGCUAGAGGUCGUUCGCAAAUAGAGUGCUUGGACGCUUUCCUUCAUCUGCUAAUUACAUUGAGGAGCAGGAGCAGGAAUUUGUCAAUAAUCCUACAAUUUAAUUUGUCCAAGGGAAGAAAAAAAUUGAAUAGUAAAGUAGCUAUCAGUUCAAAAACGUGAUUAAAUCCUAAAUUAAGAACAUGGUAAGCAAUUUUCUAUACGAAUGUGGUCAUACUUCACCUCUAUUGAUCUUAAUUCGCAAAUUAUGUCAUCUUCAUUCCACAACCGGGUACGGUCUUGCAUAGCAAUUGCCCUUCCGAGAUCUCUACAUUGAUCAUGCAUCCAAAUUUCAUCUUUUUCUAAAACCUUUAUCAUGCACCUAUUAAUAAGGACAUGAAUAGCAUACUCCGCCUUAAACCCACAAUAUUUCCACUGGUAGAUUAGAUCGGCCUUUUUCCAACCAAUGAAAAAGCAUGCAAUAUCGAGAAAUAUGUGUUGUUGAUCCAGCUCUAAGGCAUCAUAGCUAAUCCUUAGCUUUCCCAACACAUCCCUAUGAGGUGUUUCCCUUAGCUUCUCUAGCAUCUCUUCCCAUAUUGUUUCCUCUUUCUCACCAAAAAGCAAUGAACCUAUAGCUGUAAGAGCUAAAGGUAGUCCACCCGUAGUUGAGACAAUGCUUUCGGAAAGAGUGUAAUAAUUGGUAGGAGGAGAGCUAUCAUCAAAGGCAUGCCUACUAAAAAGCUGGAGUGUCUUUUUUGCUCAACCCCUCCAUUUCGUAACACAAGAUUUUAUACUUAAAUCCCCUGAUUUUUAGAACACUUUUGUCCCUAGUGGUAACAAGUAUCCUAGUACCAGAACACAGAGUUCACUUCAAUUAGUUUUUGGAUUUGGUUGUCCUCAUCGAUGUCAUCCAAUACAAUUAGCAUCUUCUUGUUGCAAAUUGCUUGUCCAAUCAUAGUGAUCCCCCGAUUUAAGUUAUCAAUGUUAAGAUCCAAUCUAGAAUUGGAGAUAUCGGACAAUAAUUUUUUUUGCAACUUGACCAACGAGCCCUUGGCUUUUUCCAUUUCCCUCACAUCUUCAAGAAAGCUGCAAUUUUUCCCAAAGCAAGGACAUAGUUGGUUGAAGAUAAUUUUGGCAAGUGUUGUUUUACCGAUGCCACCCAUCCCGUAAAUUCCAAUGAGCUGAACGCCACCGGAAUCGACGUCUAAUAAAUUAUUUAUGACUGUUAUUCGAUCCUCCAUUCCAACUAAAUCUUUGGUCACUUGUCUUUGCCUUGUCUUGAGCCUGGUCACCACCUCCUAACAANNNNNNNNNNNNNNNNNNNNNNNNNNNNNNNNNNNNNNNNNNNNNNNNNNNNNNNNNNNNNNNNNNNNNNNNNNNNNNNNNNNNNNNNNNNNNNNNNNNNAGUUUGAAUUGAAAAAGGCAACAAAUUUGCAUGUUGAUCAACUAUCUACUAAGAAACCAAGUGGGAGCACGGCCAAGUUUAGGAUAUAUAAAAAUUCAACAUUACCCCCAAAAGCUUCGGGAACAUGAUGAAUUACAAACUUCAACAUCCAUUACAAGUUUAAGUUAAAGGAAUAGAACAAGAGAUAUGUUUGAUCUUUAUAUCAAGUAGGAGAAUCAAAAUUGUCGGCAAAAAAAAGUGGUUUAAUAAAAAUAUAAACUUUUGAUGAACUAUUGUGAUAGCAAAUUUACUCACUUCUUUCAACAUGGAAAAGAACUUUGCAAAGGCAAAGUUCCUUAAUCAAAGUCAAAUUAGUAUGCAAUAAAAAUCUUUAAGACAUACAUGGAUCAAAUUGGGAAAAUUGUCGAAAAAGCCUUAAACCUAAUGUACUUUUGUCAAUUCAGUCUUAAACCUUUUAACGUUGCCAAUUUAAUCAUAAACCUUUUCACUUCUUCCCAAUUCAGUCUAUCCAACCAAUUUUGGUCGGAAAAUGCUGAUGUGGAUGCCGACGGUGCCACGUCAACGCUGACGUGGAUACUUUUUAAUAAUAUUUUAAUAUUUUUUGAAUUAUUAUUUUUUUCUGUUUUUUUCCCCUUUUUUUUUUUCUUCUUUUCCUUCGUUUCUUUUUGGCUUUCUUCUUUGCCUUUUCCGAUGGUCGGCCACCAGCCACAGGCGACAACCAGCCAGCCAUUGACCACCGCCAGCCAGCCGGCCUCGCUCGCCAUAGGCGAGGCCUCGUCGGGCGAGGAGGAGCCCCGAUGAGGGGAGCCCUCACCUAGGCACGGCAAGGCCGACACUUGGCUGCACGAGGGCAAGCCCCGGCUGACAGCCAGCGACACCGCCCUACCCUAGGCGCCCGUCGGCCUCGCCUAGGCAACCCUUGCCGGGCCGCACCUGGGCUAGGGCUCCUCCUUGCCUAGCCAGGCCUCGCCUAUGGCGGGCAAGGCCAGCCAGCUGGUUGUGGCCGAUGGUCGGCCGUCCCCUGUGGCCGAUGGCUGACCACCGAAAAAGGCAAAGAAAGCCAAAAAGAAAAGAAAGAAAAGAAAAAAAAAUAGAAAAAUAUUAAAAAUUCAAAAUAUAUAUUAUUAAAAACUAUCCACGUUAGCGCCGGCAGUCCUACAUGGCACCGCCGGCAUCCACAUCAGCAUUUUCCGGCCAAGUCGGAUAAAUCAGCAAUAAGUGAAAAUGUUUAAAACUGAAUUGACAAAAUUAAAAUGUUUAUAACUAAAUUGGCAAAAGUGUAAUAGAUUUAGGAUUUUUUGGACAAUUUUCUAGAUCAAAUUAGUAUAAAGAAAGAAGCAAAGCCAAAUUUUCAUAUGAGGAAUAUUAGGUGAAAAACAAAAUCAUAACAACCCAAUUAGGUCAAAUAAAUUUGGAAAUCUCAUGACUUAAAACAACAAAAGAAAAUUUUGAAACUUUUUGUUUAAAUUUAGGGAAAUUAGAGUCGGACGAUAAUUGGUGAAUUUUAUGAGAACCAUGGCUUGAUUGUACAGAAUAAUUUUCAAAAUCAUGGUUAGAUUGUUACCCCGAAUAUUUCUCUAGUUCCCAUCCCUUGGUGCCGCCAACUUCUUUAAGAGCUUGGCACCACGUCUCUGCAUCCUUGGAGCUGAACUUCUUCUGAUCCUCCAUCUCUUGCUUUAAUUUCGAUAUAACCUUUCCAUACAACAUGGUUUUCAGCUUCACGUCAUAUGGAUUCACAUCAUAGAAGAUGGGUAAUAUGACCUUCUUCUCAUCUUCUUUAGAUUUAGAGGUGUUCUCAACCAUCUUCGCAAGCUCGCGGAGGCACCAACAACUUGAAGCGUAAAUUUUGGAAAAAAUAGGUAUGUUGAGUUUGGAAUCGUUGAUCGCUUGUAGAAGGUUGCCUCUAAUUCUUUCACCCAAUCGAAGCUCUUCGUCAUCGAUGAAAACAUGAAUCCCGGCAUCUACCAAGGCAUGAUAGAGGCUGCUGGUGAAUCCACGACGAGUAUCUAACCCUCUAAAACUCAGGAACACCUGAAACUCGCUUCCUGUAGUAUUGCCGCUGCUUGAUCUUAUCUCUGAGUUCGCCAUAGGAACUCAAUUCGCACGCGCACUUAGCAAAGUCAACCCCCCCGGCACGCGCAAUUAGCAAAGUCAACGCCGCCAACCCCUACGCCGGGGGACUUCUAGGCAAUUUCGGAUAAAGUCUUGUGGCUCUCGAUUGCAAUCAGAAGACUUUCGACCGGACUUUUUGGCAAAAAUAAUAAUACAUUCAGUGAUGGUGAGAGCUUUUAUUACAUUAUUAAUGUGAAAGCUUCUCCACCAGAUCAUCCUCCCUCAAAAAUUUACAAAAAGAGAACCCGUGCAUUACAUUAGAAAAAGGAAAAAUGGUUAAUUAUAUGAUAUAAACGAUGAAGCCCGAUGCCACUUUCGUUAGUUAGAGAUACCAUUUUGGAGGUUUGUAUUGCGUGGCUCACGGAGUUUAAUUGAAAAUUUCACGGACAAAAACUCUUAAUUCCAUUCGACAUAAAAAAAAACACGUCAAGGCAACUUUCAUCAUUCUUAAUGAACCGCACCUUUCAACAGUAAAUACUUCCAAUGAUUCCAACGUGUUGGGAAUAACCGAUUCCCUAAAAUCGAUCUGACAAUAAAUCGAAUCCCUGAAAUGAAUGCGAAAGACGAGCCCGGGAAUUACAUGUAUCACCGAUCAAAGAUAUACCACGAAAUCGAACAUACCUUAUUUGUCACAGACUGAUGUAGUUCGAGGAAGAAUCCUGAUCCCGUUCUACCGAAAAGCGUGCUUUCGCUAUUUGGGGGAGAAAAAACAUUGUUUUGAGGGUACUGUUCUCUUAGGUUUUUUAGAGGGAGAGAGAGACAAAAAACAAUGUAUGUAAGUUGAAGGGGCACAUUCCCUUUUUGUUUUCUCUCUUACAUCUUCUCUAACAGACAUAACUCUUCAACGUAAAACAUUCCCCCAAAAGACACAACUCCUCAUUCUAAACAACGUAGCCUUUCACAUUGCAACCGUUCCUCCAUGGGCCCUUAUCUUGUGGGCCGGGCUUUUAGGCCCAACAUAGGCAGACAAGCCCACUUAGGCCCGUCAUCACAUAUAAAAAAACCCAUCACAACGGAGACACAAAAUCAAUAGCUCUUACCUCCUCACAACUCCUCAUAUGGAACUCUCGAAGCAUCUCCAGGGAGCUUAGGACGAGGAGUUUUUCAUCGAGAGGGCAACCAUCAAGUCGCUCGUACACCUCUUUUUUUCUUAAUUCUUCCGAUGGAGGUAGCCCUCUAAGAUGUAGAAGUUUCACUCUAGGGCAGGAGAGCUUUAAAACUAUCAAGGUUGACUGAAGUUGUAAGAGGGUUCCGAAGUUUAGUCCAAAUAGAGUUAGUUCUUUCAGCAGAUAAAGGGAACCCAACUCCGUAGUUGGUGCACGGAAAAAACAUAAGCACGAGUGCAACUUGCUCAAUUUAGAUAACCUCCAAAUCCACCUCAAGUCACCGCUUGGAAUUUCAUUUGAUGUGGACAACCCACUGCCAGAGCUAUCAGAUAGGAACAAUUCAACUAUAUUAGUAAGGUUUGAGAGGUUAGGGACAGUGAGCAAUGAUUUAGAUAUCAGUCGUAGAGUGGUCAAAGUUUUGGGAAGCCAAACUUUUUAGGAGCUCCGACCACUCUCUUAUCUUAUGACAAUAUUGCAAGUUCAAUGUUUGGAGGUGAAGCAAUUUGCUCAUUAUACUAGGCAGUUCUACAAUUGGUGUGUGUGAUACUUUGGUAAAGGACGGGCUACAUUGUCAAUCAAUGAAACCUAGUAAUCUUGUUCUGCAUGAUAUAUCUACCUUCGUCGACGACUCUAAUUUCGAAACUGAAUCUAGGAGCUUGCUCAAGCUAUUGCAUUUAUAAAUAGAGAGGUGUCGAAGAUUCUGUAACUCUCCAAUUUCUUCAGGCAAUUUUUCAAGUUUCGGACAUGACUUAAUACUCAAGUCAAUCAGCUACCUCAGUUUUCCAAUAGAGCGGUCAAUUCCCUUCAAAGAUGGACAAUGACAAAUAGUCAACUUCUCUAAAACUAAGUACUCUAGAAAGGUUGGUGUCCCAUGUAUCGAGUAAUUACUUUCAAGAGUGAGAACCUUCAAUUUUGUUGCCCCCUACAAAAGCAAAUCAAACAUUAGGACAAACAAUUAGAUGUCUGUACAAGAAAUAAAUAUGAAAUUAGGCUCCCAACUGGGAUCAUGUCAUCCGAUCCUCUCACUAACUGAGAAAAUUAUACUACGAAUCCAUCAAAUUAUGUCCUUCAUUGAAUGAGAAAAUUAGAGCAAGAGGGAAAGUCACGUACCUUGAUUAGGUAACUGAUCUCAUCUUUGCUGAGGUUAGAGGAACAAAUAUUCAUCACAACCACGUUUUCUAGACCCAAAUUGGUUUGCGAAUCAAGUUCUCCAGAAUGACCUGUUUUGCCCGUCAAAAUGAUCCAUUUCAACUUGGAAAGACAGCCCGUGAAGUCACCUUCGCAGACUACGUCACUCAACCAAAGAAACUUGAGACGUGGGAACCACCUAAGUUGCUCUGCGGUGAUAGUUGUAGGAUUGCUAGAGGUCGUUCGCAAACAGAGAGCCUGGACGCUUUCCUUCAUCUGCUAAGGCAAAGUUCCUAAUCAAAGCCAAAUUAGUACGCAAUAAAAAUCUUAAAACAUACAUGGAUCGAAUUAGUAUAAAGAAAGAAGCAAAGCCAAAUUUUUAUAUGAGGAAUAUUAGGUGAAAAAAAAAGUCAUAACAACCCCAUUUCGUCAGAAAAAUUUUGAAAUCUCAUCACUUAAAACUACAAAAGAAAAUUUUGAAACUUUUUGUUUAAAUUUAGGGAAAUUAGAGUUGGACAAUAAUUGGUGAAUUUUAUGAGAACCAUGGCUUGAUUGUACAGAAUAAUUUUCAAAAUCAUGGUUAGAUUGUUACCCCGAAUAUUUCUCUAGUUCCCAUCCCUUGGUGCCGCCAACUUCUUUAAGAGCUUGGCACCACGUCUCUGCAUCCUUGGAGCUGAACUUCUUCUGAUCCUCCAUCUCUUGCUUUAAUUUCGAUAUAACCUUUCCAUACAACAUGGUUUUCAGCUUCACGUCAUAUGGAUUCACAUCAUAGAAGAUGGGUAAUAUGACCUUCUUCUCAUCUUCUUUAGAUUUAGAGGUGUUCUCAACCAUCUUCGCAAGCUCGCGGAGGCACCAACAACUUGAAGCGUAAAUUUUGGGAAAAAAUAGGUAUGUUGAGUUUGGAAUCGUUGAUCGCUUGUAGAAGUUGCCUCUAUUCUUUCACCCAAUCGANNNNNNNNNNNNNNNNNNNNNNNNNNNNNNNNNNNNNNNNNNNNNNNNNNNNNNNNNNNNNNNNNNNNNNNNNNNNNNNNNNNNNNNNNNNNNNNNNNNNNNNNNNNNNNNNNNNNNNNNNNNNNNNNNNNNNNNNNNNNNNNNNNNNNNNNNNNNNNNNNNNNNNNNNNNNNNNNNNNNNNNNNNNNNUCAACCCCCCGCGCACGGCUCAUUUGCAAAAGUCCAUCCCGCCCACCCCGUUCGCCGGGGGACUUAUAGGCCUAUUUCAGAUUAAAUUCUUGUGGCUGUCGAUUGCAAUUCAGAGGACUUUCGACCGGACUUUUUGGCAAAAAAUAAUUAUUACAUUCAGUGAUGGUGAGAGGUUUUAUUACAUUAUUAAUGUGAAAAGCUUCUCCCCCGGAUAUCCUCCCUCAAAAAUUUACAAAAAGAGAACCCCGUGCAUUACAUUAGAAAAAGGAAAAAAUGGAUAUUUAAUUAUAUGAUAUAAACUAGGGGUGUCAACGGUUCGGUUUGGUUCGUUUUUUAAAACCGAACCAAACCGAACCGUUAGGAAAAACUUCUGAACCGAACCGAAUAAGAUCCGAACUGAAUACAAACUUAACCGAAAUUUCAGUUCGGUUCGGUUUUUUGAUUUUUGGUUUUCAACUUUUAGUUUUCGGUUUUUACAUUUGUUUUUUUUUUGUUUUUUUUUUGUUGUAUUUCCAAGAAAUAAGCCCUUAUUGGUUUAUUAGUUCGGUUCAGUUCGGUUCAGGUAACCAAUAAAAACUGAACUGAUAAAAAUAUUUCAAUUUUUAAUAAGAACCGAACCGAAUGAAAACAGAAUUGAAAAAACCGUAUUUUCGGUUUAGUUCGGUUUUUGACACCCCCGAUGCCACUUUCGUUAGUUAGAGAUACCAUUUUGGAGGUUUGUAUUGCGUGGCUCACGGAGUUUAAUUGAAAAUUUCACGGACAAAAACUCUUAAUUCCAUUUGACAUGAAAAAGACGUCAAGGCAACUUUGCAGCGGGUGCAACUUCCAAUUCAUAGUUACUAAAGUCGAUGGCUUUAUAAAAAAAAUAAGGUGGAGGACAAUAAUGAAUCUGUACCUUUUCUAUAGUUUCACAUAUUUAAAAUCCCAAUCCAAUAUUGUAAAUUAACAAUUUAUCUAUAUAAAUGCAUAAUAACAAAAUAUUUCCAAAGAAUCACCUCUCAUUUGAAAAAAUGCUCCACCUAAGCGCUACCCAAGCUUAUACUUACUACUUACUAUGAAAUAUUUAAUUUGAUCUCUUCAUCUUAAAGACUUACCUUUUAUUAUAAAUAAUUGCAUGUAACCACUCGAGUAUUCUCAUUAAAUGUGCCUUUAUAUUAAAUGGCAAAAGAUUGUGCAAAUCUUUUUCAACACUUAUUUCCUUAGUAAUAACUACUAGAAUGUGAACAUGGUUGUUGACAUCUACAUUUUUGUGAUUAGAUUGUGCGUUUUAAAAAUAAAAUAAAAAAUUAGGGACCAAAUUUGCCAAUAAUGCUAUAAUUCAAUCCCUAACCAAGAACACCUAGCCCACACGAUUUUUGCAUUCGUUCCUCACAUUCGUGAUUAGAGGCAUGUUGAUUUCAAUACCUAGGGCCCGGCAUCAAAACAAUCUUGGACCGACGAAGAUGAUAGGCACUUUUGAUUCCCUCCAAUCUCUGAAGAAACAUUCAAGGCCACUCAACAUUACUCGAUUGAUUUUCUCCUUCUAAGUUGAUCCAUUUUUGUGCAUACCAUUAAACCUCAGCUAACCUGAUCGCUUUAGCCUUACUGGGGACAUGAAACUAAGUCAACAUAUGGGCCAUCUAGUCAACAAUCGACCAAGAGUUUCACCUGGGACCAGAGAGCGAGAGCGUGCGUAACAGAAAAGAAAAGAAAGCAAAGCAGAGGGUAGUCUUGGCAAUAGGAGGAAAUAGCAAGAGUAGGACCUGUUCAAUCAGUUUAUCUCGCUGCAUACUGAAAGUGAAUUAUUAUGCGAACAGCCCGAGGAUAGGAGAGGACAACAUGCAGGGAAUGUUUGUCAUUUUCUCGCCUGUUCCUCCGUUAAUCUCGCUGCACAUUGAAAGUGAAUUAUUAGGUGAACAGCCCGAGGAUGGGAGAGGACGACAUGCAGGGAAUGUUUAUCAAGUUUCUCGCCUGUUCCUCCGUUAAUCUCGUGUGCUAACCAAUCAUUGCUGCCAUCAAGGUCAAUUCGUCUUCACAAUAGUCGUUUUGACCCUGCACGGCCUGAACAAUCGGCUCCUCUCGAAUCUUUGGACUGAGCCAUCGCUCGAUGAGCUCACCGCUUCCCCACUUGUCCAGAUAAAUCCCCGCCUUCCAUCAGUAGCGUGGUCGUUGUGUCACCCCGCGUUCCAUGGGUUAAUCCUCUUGGCUGCUCUUUGCCAACACUAUGUUAGGAAAUCCCGCAUCAAAAAAUAAUGCAAACAAAUAGUCCACCGAAACUAAAUAUAAUAAUAAAAAAACAUAAGCGAAAUAACACGACAUAAAAUUUAUUAUCAAACUUCAUCCAAACUUGGACUAUGUUUUCGCGCAGAGACACUUUGCAAAUCUACCAGACUUUGAAUAAAGUUGAAAUACAGCAUGAUCUUUCGUAGAUCAAAGCACAAAUAGAGUUCUCAAAGAAAAAACUCAUUUUUUUUCUCUUUUUUUUUAAAAAAAAAAAUUUCUCUCUAUUUUCAUUUUCAGCCCCUUGAUGGCUAGCGUUUGACUAUCACUGAUGUAAAGUUUAGCUUUUAACCUAAAAGCAAAACUAAUAGAAAAAAAAAUGCCAUUAAAAAAAUUUGAUUUCACUCGCCAACAAUCUCCCACUUGAAGAAAAACAGACCAAUGCACCAAGCAACUUAACAUUCAUUUACUUAAAAAUCUAGUAAUUAAAAUGUGUGCCUUUGCGAUAGUCCUCAUCAACUAAGAUAAAAAUAAUACAAAUCGUCGUGUUGACUCAUAAAUUUUGCCUGUUCAUAUAGAAUUUAAUUGUAUAGAAAUUUAGAAAUUAAUUUUUAACCCCUAAACAAAAACUAGUUUUCUCUAGAAUUGCAUAGUAUUAGACAUUAUGAGCAUUUACAUUACAAUGUAUAUAAUUUAUAAGAAAAAAUUUAAAAAAUGGAAAAAAGAAAAAUAAAAAAUUAACUAAUUGAUUACAAAAUUAUUAUUUAAAAACGAAAGAAGAAGAAAAGAAAAAGUGAGAUCGGGCCAAGGUCAGGCCGGCCCAGCCUUCUUUCCCUUUCUUUUCAACCUUUUCUUUUUGCCUAGGCCCAGCCCGGCCCACUUUUCCUUUUCUUUUCUCCAAGCCCAGCCUCUUCCUUCAUCUUCUCCCCCGCGUUCUCCUACUCGCUCACGCUCUCACGCGUUCUGCAAAAAAGAAAAAAGGAGGACGAAGGACGGAAGCAGAGGCGGGACGGGGAGUGAGGAGCGCGCCUUUUGGGUCGGGAGCAGGCCGGCACGGCGAGCUGGCGGUGGCUGAGGCGAUGCACGCUUGCCGGGCGUUAGAGGGGGAUUCUGGGGGCUCGGACAGAGGGAGAAAUGGACAGAGAGAGAAACAGGGAGAUAGAGGGGAUCCGGCCGAGAGGGAGACCGCGAGUCAGAGAGCAGAAAAUUCCCCCCAGCUGAGCGCCGUUCGGCCAUCCUCGACACAAACCUAGAAUAGUAUCAUGAUCAUCAGUGUAGACUUUUUCUCAAGUAAGAAAAAAUUCUCUUUUAUUUUAUCUCAGAUCCAAUGACAAGGAUAAAGCGUCAGUUUGGGCAAGCAACCGGAUGCAAUUCUUUAGCAAUAUGACAAGGAUAAAGCAUCCUGCAUAAUGCUGCCUUGUGUUUGCACGAAUAGAUCUAAUCUUGUCGAAGGCAAGACCGCUCAUCUCUAACUAAUAACAACUACCAAAGAGUUGAUAUAUCUAGAGUAGUAUCAUGAUUCACUCUCCAAGGAUAAACACCCUCUAGAAAUGGAGAGAUCAGUUUCCCUAUGUCUUCUUUAGUUUGCCUGCAAACCAUAAAUGGUGGAAGUUGAGUUCAAUGGAGUAACCUGACAAGCCUAAGUUUCGAGUCACAAAAAUUUAUGUGUUUACAGUAUUGUCUCUCUUACUACGUAAUCUUUUGUUUUGAUGGGGCAAUCUUUCGAAACAUACUAAAACUGACAUCAAAGGCACUUUUACAGCAAUAAUAUUAGGGUAUAUUAGUGUUGUGUUUAUCCUAGACUAUGUUGGUACAUAGCUUCGAGGAAAUUUAAUGAAAUAUCAACCUGACUAAAUUAAAGUUCAAUGCAACCAAAUGCUAGGCUCUUAAGAAAAAAUGCUCGGUAGAGAGACUUGUCAAUUAAGAAGUUUAGCCGAAGCUCUCUCCGUUUUUCUUUCACACUGACGGCAGGCUUAAUGAUAAUAUAAAAUUUUCAUUAAAUCAUAUUAUGUUAAAUAUUAUAUUUUGGUGACCAAAUGCAGCCAAUCAAAUUCUGGUGAAGAAUUCUAUAAUAAUUAUGCUCUAUUUGUUACACGAAAAAUAAAUUAUUUGAUAAAUAUUUUCCAAAAAAUAAUACCUUGUGUCACUUAAAAUUAUUAAUCAAUGAACAAUGCUUUCAUUAUUAAUAAUAAUUUAUGUCUAAACAAUUGGGAAAAUGUCACAAAGAGUCCAUAUACUUUUACUUAUUGUGCAAUCUCGUCCCUAAAUUUUCGAUUGGCUCAAUUUAGUCCCUGAACUAUCGAUAAAUGUUCAAUUUAGUCCUUCCGUUACUGUUUUUCCCUUCUUCUUUUUUUCUUCCCUCCGCCGGCUCCGACGGAGGCGGCAGAGGGAAACCGGCAUCAGGCAAGGGUUGCCCUCACUUGGGCUGGCUAGGGCAACCCUUGCCCUCACCGGCGUCGGGCAAGGGCCGUCCUUGUUGGACGUAGGCGAGGAAGCCCCGCACCUCCCUCUAGAUCUAGCAAGGGCGCACCCCUGCCGGCAUCGGGCGAGGGGUGCUCUCGUUAGAUUUGGUGAGGGGCGUCCUUGCCUAACCCAGGUGAGGGAAGCCUAACGUCGAAGAGGGCCACCCUCUCCUACGUUCGGCGAGGACGGCCCUCGCCCAACGCCGGCAAGGGCGGCCCUCACUUGGCGCCAACUUCCCUCCAUCGGCUCCACCAUGGCUGGUAGAGGGAAGAGAGAAGAAGAAAACAAAAUAAAAAUAAAAAUAAAAAUAAAAAAAGACUAAAAUGCCAAAUUCUGUUAACUUUAAUUGACAAGAUGACGAAAUUGGUCAAUUUUCAAAUAGUCAUGGACUAAAUCGGACAUUUAUCAAUAGUUUAGGGACCAAAUUGAGCCAAUCAAAAGUUCAAGGAUAAGAUUGCACAUUAAAUACAAGUAUAAGGACCAUUUGUGACAUUUUUCCUAAACAAUUUGGUGAACAAUGAAAAAAUUUCUUAUCAUUCAUUUUUAUAAGCGAUACAAAUAAUUACAAGCAUUAUAAGUAAUCUUUUUUGAAAAAUAUUUUUUGAAUCAUUCAUUUCCCUCAAAUAGGAGGACAAUGAAAUAAUAUUCAGCCGAAGAAAAUGGAUAAUUGGGCCCAGUUUUCGUUGGCCCAAAAAUUCUUGGGCUUAAUUAAACCUUCGUCCCUCAGCCGAACGAAAGAAAGUCUCAUUUUUCAGUCGACCUGGAGGGCAUUUUUGGUUCUGAAUUGAGCUCAAACCUUCGUUUUCGCCCUAAUUCAUCUUCGAUCGAUCGAUCGACUGGUGAGGUCUUCAGGGAGCUUCUGUGAACGUUUUUCACUACUAAUCGUUACGCCGCUGCUUCUGUUCUUCAGUUUGAUAUCUAUUUUGCUUUUUUAAGCUAGUUUUCGUUGAUGUCGCGACUGUUUCUUGCUGAUUAGAUCGUCUUUGACCUAGGGCCGGAUGGUUUCUAGCUCGGGUAGCAAGAAAAUAAUGGAGAUCUCUUGUGGUGAUCGAGAUAGAUAGUAGUGUAAGAAGGUGAGAUGAAGAUUUCAGAAAUGUUGUGCCGUAGUUGUGUUCGAGCCGUAAUUGCUGAUGGGUGUCCGUGGAAUUACUUCUGUUGGACGUGCUUGUUUGUAUAAACGGCGGUGCUUUCUUUGAACUGGAGAUUAUUUUGUGCUGGAGUCGGAAAUUGGGAAUGCGAGCAAUUUGAGCAUGGACCCAUCUUCUCCAAUUGGAAAGAGAGAUGUGCUUCAUUCCCUUUUAUCCAUGUUAAUAUGCAUGCGAUUGUUCAAAACAAAGUUGAACACAAUCUUUUGUUAAAUUUAUAGGAUCUUUACGAUCCUUGAUGACCUCACGAAAUUUUGUAAUUGUAUACUUUUUUCGCUUGAGUUGCUAAGUUCUUAUGUGGCAUGUGUGAGAUUUGAUUCCAUGUUCAUUGAUAUGUAGUCCCUUAUUGAUUGAUGGGAGAGCUUGCUGUGAUAAACAUGUCGAGUGCAUAUUGUCUAAUGAAAAGAUAGGGAUGAAAUUUUAACAAUUCUCUUCUUGUUCUCUUGUCCACUUCCUGCCACUUACUGAAAAUGACUCGGUUUAUCUGGAUCUACCAUUCAGCUUUUUGGAGUUUUACCGAUUUGAGCUUUUGGGUUGAUAUUGCACUCAGAAAAAGGAUAGUUUUGAGUAGGUGGUUUUGGAGCGCUAGAGAUUGAAUGGAGCAUAUUGGGGAUUGACCAUUCUAGAUCUUCUUGGAAAACUUGGCAGUGUGGAUUCAAAUGAAGUUGUUUCUUGGAUCCCGCAAUGCCAGCAUGGGUCUCGUUUGUAUUUUAUUUGUCUCUCAACUUCUUUUUUGCAAUUUACCCACGAAAAACAUGCAGCUAACAGAACCUCCACUCCACAUUCAAUCGAAUAUUUCUUAUUUGACGGUAUGAUUAAGAUUUUAGCUUGGGAUUAACAAUUCCAUCUGUUACAAUAAUGACUGCGCCUUAGAAGUGAUUAGUGUUGCUUUAUUUAUUUUCGAAACUUCACUCUAAAGAACAAAAUGUGAAUUUCACUUACGGUUGCUUGUGCUGGUGGAUUUGGUGGAGACAUUAUAGACAUCUUCUGUGUGACAGAUUGUAUCCUUUGGAAUAAAGGGUCCUAGAUUUGCAAACUCUUACCAUCGAUGCAAGUUUCUUGCUGUUAUUUUUAUGUUUUUAAGUUUUCAACAUCACGAGUGGCAAACUUUCCUUAGGCUAGCCAGACAUUGAUGAGGGGGGCUUUCUAUAUGGAGAUUGAAGUUGCUACUGUGGGAUAAUCCCCGGUGUCAAAUGUUCUACAUUGUUGUGCCUGAACCAUGAUUCAGACAUCAGAGCAGUGUGAAACGAAGAUGGAUAUUUCUCUGGGGAUACAUGGGGAGAAGUUUAUACUCGGUGUCUUGUCCUCAUCUUGGAUCAAUUAUAAUUUUUGUGCUUCUUGAGGAUGUUUCUUAAAUUAUUGACAUCCCUUCAAUCCUUUUUUCCCUUCGAAGGUUCUCUUAUUGUGCUAUAUGCUAUCUUGCGAUACUAAAACGGUUGGAUUCGAUAAAUGUGGAGAAUGCUGUCAGAUAUAUAGUGAGUUGCAAAACUCUCGAUGGUGGGUUUGGUUGCAAUCCCGGUGUAGGGUCUCACCUGAAAUGAUACCAUCGCAAACAGCCUUCGCUUCCAUCUUGAUGGUUAAUCACUGUGUGCACCACUGAUGUCUAUCUAAUAUAUCCUUGACAACGCACUAAUGUCCUUGCUCUCUUUACUAAUCUAGCUGGUAGUACUUAACAGUUGGAGAAAACCAUCUGCUCUAUCUAUAUCUACAAGGAACUAUUUGUCACCAAAAUGCCAACUAAAACAUUCCAGAUCUUGCCGUACUAUCACAAAAGGUAAAGAAACUUCAGAGUUGCCUAAAAUAUUAUUAAGCUACGAUCUUCACAAGACAAUGAUCUCCUUUGGAUCGGUAAGACUAUAGUCUCAUAUAAAUUGAAUACAGUAUAAUCUUGGCGAUAUAUUUUGAGAAUGUAAACUCGACCUCAAGGCAUACUUACUGAAUUUCAUAAAUCAUCAGUUUUGAAUAAUUUUUCUUUCCAAUUCCCAGGAUCCUACAAUGUGCAGUUCUAGAAGUCUAUAUUCGGGGACACAGCAGGUCCACAAUUGAUUGCAAGUAUUCCAAUCUGAAAAACCUCCGAACUUAGUAAAGUAGUAAUCAAGAGAUUAACAGAACCGCUUAAAUCCUAGAAUGCUUUGCUAACUGAGCAAGUAAGCACACUUCAAACGCGUGAAACCCGCAAUGAGCAACAAUCGAAAAAUGCAUUCUCAUGAGCAGCACGAAGGGCCUCAAUGAAUUGCAGUUCUUUCCUCUCCUAGCUAAGCAAUAACGAAAGUUUCUCCGGUCCACCGUCCUACCCUUGAUUAAUAUAGAGCAAAUCUAUCAACCCAACCAAAUCUAGCAAGUAUGUCAUAACCUCAUGCUGAGCUCUUUAGCUGGUUUCUAAUUUCUGAUUGGUGCAUAGUAAGUCAUGUAUUUGCUUAAAUACAUGGGGUCUUCUAACUGUGCUCCAAUGAACACAUCCAAGGGAUAAAAUGGAGUCGCCACAGUUUUAAGACAUUCCUUAGGACUCAUCUUAAACGUGUGAAAGUAGGGAGGAAUUGAUGAUUUCCAGUAGAGAAUUAGGCAUAAAACAAUGAAGCACCAAACAACUAAAUUAAGAAGCACAAGAGCCUCACCAAGCACCUUGCCACGAGUUACUCACUAUUCUCUCUUCUUUCAAUUCAAAUAAGAAGAUAUUUGCAAAACGGAGAACUGGAACGUGGGAGUAAUCCUGAAGUGAUAAGAUUUGGUGUUCCUGCUUCAAUAGAUGACAAAGCCGUGUGUAUUUUGUCUAGCCAAUUGUCUAGUCGGCCACAUAGCAAAUUUGACAUGCGGAAUGCCCAACCAUAUGCAGCAGACCUCAAACCAAUGAAAACCACAACUGCCAAAAUUUGAAAAAAGAAAAAAAAUGGAUAUCCCAUUUUAAUUCUGCAUGAUGAACCAAGAAGAGAAGCACUCAUUAAAGCGACGAUUAUCCAAACCUUAGAAUAUACUUAUAGAUAAACUCUUCACGAGAAGAUGCACAACAUCCUCUGUACAUGAUUACACUCAAUCGAGCAGUCCACAAAAGCAUAGCAACAUAACUAGACUAGGUAUUCAAACAGUCACAAAUGCAAGAAAGCAGACCCUUAUGCAAAUAUUACCAUAUGAAGCUCGAGCUCAUGCUCUACGCAAAAAUAAAACACACGAUUACAUUCAACUAAACACCAACUGCCACUCUGACCCAAAAAAAAAACACCGAUUGCCACACCAUUCUUACCUGUUAUUUAGCGAUUAGCUAGUGAUCCAGAGCUUGAGUUCAAGCCCAUGACUCGUGCCACUGAUGAAGUUAAUGAAUGCACUAAAUUCCUGCAGCUGUGCGGUACUGAAGAAGAAAAUGUGCACAAGAGUGAAAAGUGGCAUUGGAGAAGGACUUGAAGCUCACAGACAUGGAACUUGAAGCUCGCAGAGCUCGCGGACGACGGAACCUGGGAAAAGAGAGACGACAGCAAACGACAGACUUAAGCUUGCAAGGAGCGAGCGAGGAUUGGGCGUGGAGUCACUGUGGAGCGAGCGACAGCGAUUUGCUUGAGCAGCAGGAGAAAGGAAGAAGAACUCUAAUCCCAAUUCGAUUCGCAAUUUGAGACCGACUUACCACCUCGGUCCUAAAAUCCACUUCAGGCACUUUUUUCCCUCUUUCUUUUUUCCUGUUCUUUUGCCGACUGUCUUGCUCUCUCUCUUCUUCUGUUCAUUUUCCUGGUUCUGCACAAGGAAAUAAUAGCGUGAAACAAACGCACCCAAGCUUUUUUUGUUGAAGUUCUCUCCUCUUUCUUCUUCCUUGUUGUUUUGCCUACUCUGUCUUUCUCUUCCUUUUCUUCUCUUUAUUUUCCUGAUUCUGCAGAAAGAAAUAAUAAAAUGAGUUGAGGUCUCUUGGGCCUAAAAAUUUCUCUUAAGAAAGGCCCCUUCGUUAUGGACGGUGAGGGAUGUAAGAUACCCAACGUCACCACCGAAGUGGACACACAACAUAUGGAGAUUCCCAGUAAGAUGGGCAAUUUUAAUAAGAUUUUUCUUGGUUGCGCGUUUUAGAAUCAGUUCAUUGUCUCUCUUCACUAGACUAAAGUAGAAAUAGAAAGCAAGCAAAGCAGAAGAAAAAAAGUAUGAUCUAUGAAUGGAAAGAAGGCGCACCGUUUUCUGCAAAUAAUCCCAUGUUUCUCUUUCAGUUUGAAUGCUCCACGCUUGCUUUGCUCCAUUCAGAAUCUUCACUCUGUAAGACUUCCAGUCGUCACUACAGCAACCAUCGUCAGUACGACAGUCGGGUAACUCCCUGCUACCAUUUAUGAGUAUCCCGCAAUCAUCUGGUAUUUUUGAGCUUGAUGGAUCAAGAAUCCUUCCCACUGAUUUGCAGUUAUCAAUAUUCAACCACCGCAAGAACUCUAAUUCAUCAAUGCCCUCGACAACCUGCAGGCUCGGGCACCGGCGAAUCUUUAACCGCUUCAAGUUCUUCGAGUUUGACAAACCGCCUAAGCUUUUUAACGAAAAGCACUUUUCAACAGAAAAUUCUUCCAAUGAUUCGAACGGAGUAACAAAUUGAAUAUCCAGUACCUCGUGGAACCCUGACAAAAUAAAUUGUACAAGCGUCUUUUGGGAGCUUGGGAAAAGGAGCGCUCCCCUCCAAUGAUCAAUCAACUCGGGAGCUUGUAGUCCAUUGCACCCCGGCUCCUCCGGCUGACAAACCAAACUCUCGGAAGAUCUGCAGUCCUGAAUACGUGAUCUUUCUGACGAUUCUAAGACAUCGAGAGAUUGAACAUCAAGUUGCUCGGAGACCUUGUUUUCUUCCGAUUUUCCCAAACUUGUUGGAAGGAAUGGAGUCUCCUUUUCCGAUGGAGGAAGCCCAUCGAGGUGUACUUGUUUCCCUCCAGUUUCGUAGAGCUCUAAAACUAUCAAAUUUGACGGGAGGUGUUUGAAAGUUGGCAAGUCUUGUCCCUGUAGAGUAAGUUCUUUUAGCAGAGAAAGGGAACCGAACUCUGUAGUUGGCGUGCGGACAUUUGUAAAGCAGACGUGCAGGUUGCUCAAUUUGGUUAAACUCCCUAUCCACCUCAAGUCGCCAGUUUGCAAUUUUUUUGAUGGGGUUCCAUUUAGACCGCUGCCAGAUAGGAGCAGUUGAACUAGGUUAGUGAGGUAUGAGAGGUUAGGGACAGUUUGCAGGGACCCAGAACGUAGCCGUAAAAUGGUCAAACUUAUGGGGAGCUUUGGCAACUCUUGUAUCUCAUGACAAUCUUUCAAGUCCAGUGUUUGGAGUUGAUGAAGCUUGCUCAUUGUACUGGGCAUUUUCGCAAUUUUUGUGGAUGAUACAUCUAGCUUCAUUAACGACUUUAUUUUCGAAACUGAGGCGGGGAGUUCAAUGAAGCUAUAACACCCGUUAAGACAGAGGCACUGCAAAUUUUGUAACUCUCCAAUUUGUUCAGGUAAUUUUUCAAUUAACCGACAAUUCUUAAAACUCAAGUCAGUCAGCCACCUCAGCUUCCCAAUAGAACAAUCAAUUUCCCUUAAAGAUAUCAGUCCACAAAUAGUCAACUUCUUUAAAUUUGAGUACUCGGGAAAGGUUGGUGUCUCACUUAUCAAAGGAUUACUCUGAAUAGUGCGAACCGUCUGAAUAGUGAGAAGCAUCUCAAUAGUGAGAACCGUCAAUUUCCUUGCCCCCUACAAAAGCCAAUAAAACAGUAGGACAGACAAGAAAUAAAUAUGGAUUUAGGCUACCAAUGAGAAAAUUAGAUAAUAAACUCAUCAAAUCUUGUCCUUCAUUGAAUGAGAAAAUUAGACUAAGAGAGAAACUAGCAUACCUUGAUUAGGCUAUCUAACACAUCUUUUGUGAUUUGAAGAUUAUAAAGAUUCACCACAACCACGUUUUCUAGAUGCAACAAAUUGGUUGCCUCCAAAUCUUGAAGAUAAAUGUAUCGCAAUUUGAUCCAUUUCAACUCAGAAAGACAGCCCGUAAAGUCACCUUGGUAGGCUACAUAAGGCAACCGAAGAAACCGCAUAUGUGGAAACCGUUUAAUUUGGUCUGAAGUGACAGUCAUACCAUGAGAAAGAGCCCGCGGCGAAUUGAGUGCUUGAACGCUUUCUUUGAUCUGCCAAUUCGUAGAAGAGAAGAGAAAAUGAAACAAAAGAGUAGCUCUCAAAUCAAAAAGUGAAUCUUGAAUUAAGAAGAGGGUAUAAGCAAUUUUCUAUUCAAUAUAGGCCAUACUUUACCUCCAUUGAUCUUAAUUCGCGAAUGAUGUCGUCUUCAUCCCACAAUCCGAUACGCUCUUCUCUCGCAAUUUUCCUUCCAAGGUCUCUAAAUUGAUCGUGCAUCCAAAGGCUAUUAUCGUCUAACUCCUUUAUCAUGCAUCUGUUAAUGAGGACAUCCAUGGCAUCCUCUGGGUACAAAUUACAAUCUUUCCACACGUACAUUGGAUUAGUCUUAUUCUCACCAGCGAAAUAGCAUGCAAUAUCAAGGAAUAUCUGCUUUUCAUUCUGAUGUAAGGCAUCAUAGCUAAUCUUUAGUUUUGCCAAGACAUCCUCAUGAGGUGUUUUCUUUAGCCUCUCUAGCCACUCUUCCCAUAGCUCUCUCUUUUUCCCAAAAAGUGAUGAACCAAUUGCUUGAAGAGCUAAAGGUAGUCCACAUGUAGUAUCGACAAUGCCCUUUGAAAAAGCGCAAUAAUCAGCUGGAGGAGAGUCUUCAUUGAAGGCAUGCCUACUAAAAAGUUUAAGUGCAUCUUUACCUUCCAACCCCACCAUUUCAUAAUCCUUGAAUCCAUACUUAAGUUUCCUGUUAGUCAAAACGUUCUUGUCCCUAGUGGUAACGAGUAUUCUACUACCUCGAUGCAAAGAUUUCUCUCCGAUUAGUUGUAGGAUCUGAUUGACCUCAUCAACAUCAUCCAAUACAAUUAGCACCUUCUUGUUGGAAAUUGUUGCUUCAAUCUUAUCAAUCCCUUUAUCAAUAUUAUUAAAUUUGUGAGCCACUCUAGAAUAAGAGAUAUCAGACAAUAAUUUUUUUUGUAGCUUGACUAUGGUCUUGCUUUUUGCCGUUUCCCUCACGUCAUCAAGAAAGCUGCAGUUUCUGCCAAAUCGAGGACAUAGUUCGUUGAAGAUGGUCUUGGCAAGUGUUGUUUUACCGAUGCCGCCCAUCCCGUAGAUUCCAAUGAACUGCACAUCAUCAGAAUCAAUGUCUAAUAAUUUCUUUAUGUUUGCUAUUUGAUCUUCCAUUCCAACGAAAUCUCCGGUUACACGUCUCCGUUUGUCUCGAGCUUUGGCCACCAACCUCGUCAACAAUAGCCUGGAUGAGUUUUAAAUGGCUGCCACAAAGUUGAACAGUUUCAAUUGAGCAAACGUGACAAAUUUGCAUAUUGACCAUCUACUAACCAACCGGGUGGGGACGCGAUCAAGUUCAAAAAUAUAGAAGAGAAAUGUUCGAUCUUUAUAUCAAGUAGAAGAAUUAGAAUUUCUGGCAAAAAAAAAGGGUAGAAGAAUCAAAAUAUAAACAUCUAAUAAAUUAAUGUACUGGAAUAUUUACUUAAAUAAAAAAAAAUGGCAGCCCGAUUAUACAAAACAAUCAUGGUUAGAUUGUUACCUUGAAUGUUUCUCCACCUCCCAUCCCUUGAUGCCACCAACUUCUACGAGAGACUCCCGCCACGUCUUUAUAUUCUCGGAGCUGAACUUAUGCUCCUGAUCCUCCAUCUCUUGCUCCAAAUUCGAUAUGACAUCCUUGUAUAACGGUGUUUGCAGCUUCACAUCUUUGGGCUUCACGUCAUAGAAGAUGGGUAAUAUGACCUUCUCUUUCCCAUCUUCUUUAUGUUUAGAGGUGUUCUCCACCAUUUUCGCAAGCUCAUCAAGACACCAGUGACUUGAAGCGUAAUCUUUGGAGAAGAUGGGUAUGUAAAGCUUGCAAUUGUCAAUCACUUGCAGAAGGUUGCUAAUUUUUUCACCGGGUUGAAGCCCUACGUCAUCGAUGAAAACACGAAUCCCGGCAUCUACCAGGGCUUGGUGGAGGAUAUUGGUGAAUGGAAGACGAGUAUCAGGCCCUCUAAAACUCAGGAAAACCUGGUAUUCACCUCCUACCGUGUUGCUGGUGCUCGUCACUGUCUCUGAGUUUGCCAUAGGAGCUCACUUCGCACUUAACAACGUCAACCCUCUCACCUCGUCUCUGAGUUCGCAAUAUGACAUUUCACAUAUUUGAAUCCGAUCCCAUUUGCCAUCCAAAACGCGGUCAACGCGUGUCGAGUUUUCCGACACGUAGUCAACUUUUUUCGACUCGUCUCGACACGCGUGUCGGAUGGAAGCAAGGGCGGGGGAGGAGAGAUGAGGCUGCGAGCGACGGCGAGCCCGCGACGGCGAGAAACCGCCAGAGAAAGAGUAGAGAUUGAGGCGCUAGAAGAAGAGUCGAGACCGAGGCAAGGGCGGCCGUAGAGACUGAGGAGAGGGCGGCCGCAGUGAUGCUGCGGGAUCGCGACAGGCUGCACUGCAAGUGAGGAAGGGCCGAAGGCGAGGCGGAGGAGGAGGAGAAGGAUCGAGAGGAAGAGGAGAGGAAGGGGGUUGUAUGGAGGUCGUCCGGUGAGGAGAUGGAGAUGGAUCGAGAGGAAGACCGUGCGGCGAGGGGAAAAAAGUUUCGGUAGCUAGGGUUUUGGAAACUCAAUGGGGGUGACAGCCUGUCACGUGCGUGGGGGAGGGGAAAAAAGUGAAAUAAAUUUGGGGUGGGGGGAAAUAGUCUGACGUGGAAAGGUAGGGAAAAAAAUUUGAAAUAAAUUUAGGGGGGGAAUAGUCUCUCGUGGGAGAGGGAGGGAAAAAAGUGAAAUAAAUUUGGCAGUGGAGGAAAACUUUGUUUUAAUCGGAAAAAAUAAAUGAAUAAUUUUAAAAAUAAAAAUACUGAAUUUUAGAUGAUAAUAAAUUUUGAUCAUUGUAAAAAAAUCAUAGAUUUAUUUAAAUAAGUUAAUUCUAAUUUUCAAUGAAUUAAUUUAUUAAUAUUAUUAGUGUAAAUUCAUUGUAGACUUUUUUUUAAUUAAUUAAUUAAUUAUGAAUUUAAAUCAAAUUAAAUAAAAAUAAAAAUAUUUAUGUCAGUGCUACAUAGGUUUACAGUCAGUCAAGUUGAUGACUUCAAAAAAUAAAAAUAAGGAAAAUGACGAUAAUGGAGACACACCUUUUUACACUCCCAAUGUCAUUUUAGUUUGUUCCUUUGUCCUUUUCACUUUGUGCUUUUGAAAAAGAAAAAUACGGUGGAGGACGAUAAUGGAGGUGCACCUUUUUGCAUGCCCAAUGUCUUUCGAGUUUCUCCUUUGUGCUUUUCACUUUGUCUUGAUCUCUCCGCCUUGAAAACUUACCUUCAAUUAUAACCAAUUUCCUUUAACAACUCAAUUAUUGUCGUAAAAUGUGCCUUUAUAUUAAAAGGUGAAUGAUCAUUUAUUUCCUACUAAAAACUAUUAGAAUGUGAGCAUGGUGUAGUUAGUGCAGUUUGGAUGUCAAAUCAAGCCAAACUUUAUAAAUAUAUUUUGAGUUUGAGCACCUCGGAUGAAAUGGGAUUAGAUGAGAAUUAUAGGCGCUCGGCCACUGUUCAAAAUUGGUGAGAGGAAGUGCAGUGAUGGCUUGUCAAUGGCCAUGAUCCCAGUCCAUUGCGGUAUUGCUUUGAGCACGAAAGAAAGAAAGAGAAACCAUGAUGGUCCUGACCACAAGAGACGGCUUUUGCUCAGCUGAAGAAGAGAGAACGAGAUUAAUGAUGGCCAUUGCCGAUAAUGGGCCGAAAGGGUAGAAGACGAAGAAAGUUGCAAGGACGGUGUCUUUUCAUGUUGGCCACUCAUUGUUUCCUUACUUCUGCUUUAUUUGGUUCCGCUGAAUUUCCUCUUCAAGUACCAAGAGGAAGAGCUCUUAAAGUCAUAGAGAUUAGAGAGCUCUGAAGGCUGCACAGAGCAUAUCGAAAAGCGUGUCGAGAGGAACUCUCGAUAACACCAAAUAUUUAUGUUCUAAAGAGGGUUAACUCUUUCGUUAAGAUUUGCCUCGUACUUUUAAGAGAUUGGGAAAUUUUUUCAAGAGAAAUUUUGAAGGCUAAACAUUUUAUGAAUUAUUGAGUAUAACUAGGAUUUGAAAAAUAUCAAGAGCAUUUAAAUGGCUCAAGGAUGAUUGUAAAUUUCGUCAUAUCUUUUGAUUUAUAAUUGAGUCUUCUAUUGCUCUCUCAUAAAUACAAGUCAUAAAUCAAAUCACGUAAAUUUAAUAUCUGAUUCAUUUCUUUGUUUUGUGCAUUUUAUUCAAUUUUUUUCCAAAAAGGAAUAUGGUUUGAAGGAAAGUGAAACCCAACUAAAAGAUAUUCAAUAUGAUCAGCAUUAGGGGGUCUUGUUCUUUUAUUGCCAUUUUGUCCAUUGAAUCGCUCCAGGCCGUGUGUACCUUUCACCUUCCUUCCUUCAUUUUCCAUGAUCCUAUGGUCACAUAUAUUUUAUUUAUUUAGUUUUGGACGCAACAUGUCAAGAAAACCCUAAAUUUGCAACUACAAUCUUGAUAUAUUAAAUAAGUCUAUUUUGCAUUAUUUGACAUAGAUUUUCACGAUGUUUGUUAGCGAUACAUUUUUUUUAAAUAGCAUGUUUAAUAUAAAUCAUUUUCAUAUUUUAUCUCUUAAUAAUUUUUCAUGAGAAAUUGAAAAUCAUUAGGAAUAUUAUCCUUCGAAAUUUGAAGUAAUGAAGCUCGGAUAGAGCCUAGCCGCAAUUAUUUUGGCUUGUUUUAUUUAUAAAUGUCUUUCGUGACGUUAUUGGUUGGUUUGACUUGUUGACUAAAUCGGUGCACUGUACGAAGUCUUCGAGAGGGUGACUUGUACACAUUUAUUUUCUCAUUCAUAACACUAGUAUCCAAAUCAAUGGACUCAAUUAACACCGAUUUAUAAACGCAAACCACUCCAUCCACAUACGUUAGAUUAGUUCCAUUCACAGGAUGGCUAGCAAGACACUCUAGCAAUGAGUAAGAGACACCAUGAUCAAAUUUGAACAAUUUUUUUUUCAAGAAUAGCAUUCAAAAUACACCUAAUGCACUCAUGACGGUUUAUAGGAACUCAACUCUGCACAACAAUCCUUUCUAUCACAUGGCAAUCGGAUAUCAUAACUAUGGUCAUCUUCGAUGCACUACUUUGUUCAACUUAGCAACACCUUAUGAAAACGCUACAGAAAUGUACAUCCUAUGCUUUCAAGCCAUUGCCUCAAACAAUUGAAAUACAUGAAAAACGUGCAUGAUUACUUUUUAGUAAAUUAGAAGAUGACCAUAUUACAAAAUCCCCAAAAGAUGCCAAAAUGCCAUUCAUCAAAAUCACGCUUUUACCUUUUUAUCAAUCACGCAUGUUGCGCGCAACUUUAAUAAAUCCAAAAGGUUUUAGGCAUAUGAAAAUCGAUGUUAUCGAACGAUUAGUUUUUGGACCUAUUACUUUGAAACCUAAAGAUAGGCCAUCUGCCAUAGAGACAAUGCCUUAUGAAAGAAUGUAGUUAUUGAUCAAAGGAGAGUUGUCAUCGAAGGUGUUAGAGAUAGUUAGAUAUCUUCUAGAGACAUUUAGGAAAUUUUCUUUGAUUUUCUAUAUCUAUUUUGAUUAUGUAUUUGUGAUUUAAUUUCAUUGGAUAGUCAUCUAUUGAAGCCUACAAAUAGGCUCUCCAUGUAUUAUUUUCCAUAUAUCCUAACAUACACAAAUUCUCAUUUUCUCUCUUUUGAUUUUUAACAUUUAACUCGGUAUUAGAGCUGACGCACCGAUGCUGCCUAAGCACUCUAAUGCACAUCGCACACCGCCACUCAACAGUCAACGGCAUCCCCAUUGUGUGCACAAGUCUAAUCUAAGGAAGCACUAAAUUGAAUCUAUUCCAUGAUGGCCAUGUUUCGACGUCAACUGUACCAGCCGCGUUUCCCAAUGGAGCCUUUAUCACAAAAGUGGCUUUUCAUUGGAUGGCAGCCGCAUAAGCCACAUCACUCAGUGGCAAUUUUCCAAGCUAGUCAUAUGCCGCAUCAUUUAGUUACUAUUUCGCAAGCUAGCCGCAUCGACCGCUUGCUAUGUCCCAUUCAAUUCUCGAACUUUCGCUCGUUGUUUCGACAAGUCAACACCACUAUCAAACCCGCCGUCCUCAAACUAGCUAGAUUUGAAAGUUAUUUCAAACUCAAGCCUUAUUCGCCAUGAGUUUGAUGGAGGAUGUUAAAGAAAGUUAAAUAUCUUCUAGAAACAUUUUGAUAUCUCCUCCGAUUCUCUAUAUCUAUUUUGAUUAUGCAUAUAUAAUUUGUUUUCCUUUAAUUUCCCUAGAUAGUCAUAUAUUAAGGUCUAUAAANNNNNNNNNNNNNNNNNNNNNNNNNNNNNNNNNNNNNNNNNNNNNNNNNNNNNNNNNNNNNNNNNNNNNNNNNNNNNNNNNNNNNNNNNNNNNNNNNNNNNNNNNNNNNNNNNNNNNNNNNNNNUUCAUUGCUCAACCCACAAAUUCAUAAUUUUGAAUUUUUACUUAAGCCGCCUCGAAUUGGAAUGCUAUCGUCCCCAAUGGCAACAACUAGUGGCAACAAGUAUGCUGGUACCAAAAUACAAAGAAUUCACUCUGAUUAGUUUUUGGAUAUGGUUGUCCUCAUCGACAUCAUCUAAUACAAUUAGUAUCUAUUAAUGUUUAUCAAUGUCACCACUCUAGAAUAUCAAAUAGCAGAUAAUAAUUUUUCUUGCAACUGGACUAAUACGCCCUUAGUUACCCGGGUUUCCCUCAUGUCAUCAAAGCCGUAGUUUUUCCCAAAGCGAGGACGUAGUUCUCUAUCCGAGUGGUCAGAGGAAAUGCAAUGAUGGCCUGUCCAUGGCGGUGAUGCCAUCACAUCAUGGUGUUGCUUUGAGCGAGGAAAGAAAGAGAGACCGUGCUGGCCUUGACCAUAAGAGACGACUUUGCUCAGCUGAAGAAAGGUAAAAGAGAGAUUGAUGAUGGCCACGGCUGAUAUGAGACAAAGGGCGAAGGAAAACGACGAAGAAAGUUGCAAUAAUGGGGUCUUUUAAUGAUGGCUCCUCAAUUGUUUCCUUUCUUCUUCUUUAUUUGCUUCUAGGGGAAAGCAAAACGACGAAGAAAGUUGCAAUAAUGGUGUCUUUUAAUGAUGGGCCCUCAUUGUUUCCUUUCUUCUUCUUUAUUUGCUUGUAGUGAAUUUUCUUCAUUUUUCCAUUUAAAUAUGAAGAGGAAAGAGCCCUUAAUGAGAGCUCCGAGAACUGCACAGAGGAGAUUGAAAAUUUCCUCUUAAAAGUUUUGAGAAAGUUGCAAUAAUGGUGUCUUUUAAUGAUGGGCCCUCAUUGUUUCCUUUCUUCUUCUUUAUUUGCUUGUAGUGAAUUUUCUUCAUUUUUCCAUUUAAAUAUGAAGAGGAAAGAGCCCUUAAUGAGAGCUCCGAGAACUGCACAGAGGAGAUUGAAAAUUUCCUCUUAAAAGUUUUGAUUCAAAAAAAGGUUUUUUUUCGUGAAAUUACACAAAAUGAAGCCAGUCAAAUUUUAUAUUAAUAUUCAGGUCAUUCUUUUCUUUUACGAGAUUAAGAGAUUAUUUCAAAAGAAAUUAUGAGAGUUAAACACAAAGUAAUUAAUCAUAUUUGAGGGAUGCCAAGAAUAAAGCUUCUCAUAGAUUCUGCCGCUCAUACAGCAAUUUGGGUUUUCAUAAAUCAAGUGCUUCAACUUAAAAAUAAUGCUUUGCCUCAAGUAUAUCGUUCUAGGAAAUACAAGGAAUCCAAUUAAUCAUUGCUAACCUUUACAUGAGGAUAUUGUCUCAUUCUAGAUGUUUGACAGAGUACAUGAGAAAGGAAAUAAUUAAGUCAUAACUCUGAUUCUUAUUGAUAUUAUCUGAUCAUAUUCUGUUGGACUUUGCACUUAAAAAAUACUUAUUAUCAGAAUUAAAGUCUUUAUGCUAUAUACGUUUUGUCAAUCUUCAAAAUUAAUUUGGGAGAUUUUCUCAACAAUCUUCACUUUUUUAUGAUGACAAAACUUUCCAAGCAGAACUUAAGAAAAGAUUUUAAAGAGAUGUAGUAAUCAAAUAGCUCUAUUGAAAGCAAUAUUUUAAAUAAGGCACAAUGUGAAUUCUAUAAGAACUUUGCUAAUUUUGUAAAGAUAAGUACAAACUUCUUACAAAAUAUUGAGCUAAUUAGAGUGUAUAAGAUUUGCAAAGAAAUUCCUUGAUUUGUGAAGAAAUUCCUUACUUUGAUUAAGGAAGUUCAAGAUAAGAAUAGAUUCAAGAAAACUUCCUUUUUUAUAUAGCUCCUCAUAGAAAGAUCACAAAAGAUCUUCAUCUACAUAUAGUGUUUUGCUUUUCUUGCAUUUUCUCUUUCUUUUUGUCAACAUCACAAAAGAGACAAUAAUAUUGGAAGGAGUAUCACAUAGAGAAUAUGCUAUUCAGCUCAUCUUCACACACAAUCUUCAAAACAUACAUAUUUAGCAUGAAACGAAAUUUUCAUAAACAUCUUAUAGAUGCUAUGGUGAACAUAAAAUAAUUGCAAUAUAGCUCAUGUUAUUAUAGAAUCAAAUACCAUAUACAUCAAUAAAUAUAUAUCAAUGAUAACAUAUGCAAUAUAUAAAUUUCAUAUACAUUUUUUGUCAUAAUAAAACGAUAAUGGAAAUAUGAGAUUUAUAAUGACAAAAGGUAAGUGAAGUAAGAAAUAUACUAACCAGAUCAUGUAGAAUUUAGCAAGUUCUAAUAGACAUUAUAUUUUCUUCCAUAAUCAAAAGGAGGCAAAAAUUAAAUUGACUUAAUCAGGAUUUUCUCACACUUAAUUUACACUCCCUUUUAAUUUAAUGCAACUAUGAGAUGAUCGCGGUUCUUCUCCUUUACUGUGCAUCCACUUUCUCAUUCUUCAAUAAAUUUAACAAAUUUUGCGCCUAGAGGAGAAUUUUCGCUCCUUCGAAAAUGGUUUGGAAUCUUCGCAAUUUUUCAGAUCAAAUUUUCCAAAUUUUAGAUGGAAAGAUUAUUUGCCACCUGCAAUUUCUUGUAAAAGAGAUAACAAUAUUUGCAAAAUAUAGAGAAUAUCACGUACUUUCCUUCCUUCAAUUCACGGAAUAACUUUGCCAGUUAGAGGAUAUGCUUCUAACAUAUAAAAGCACGCAUUAAUUUCUUUCAAGAUUAAAAAGAUUCUAAUGUUUAAAAGAAAAUCUGAUUUUCAAAUGUUUAAAUCAUUUAUAAUUAUUCUAUAGCAAUGGUUAAACAUAUUUAUAUAGAUACAAAUGGAAUUUAUCUAUAUAAAUGCAUAAUUAGAAAAUAGUCCUAUAGAAAAGUUUAAGUGCAUUUAUUUCAAGUGAAAAGUUCGUUGUUCGUCAAAUUUCAACUGUUUUUUUGGAUUGGACAUUUUAGCAAUAAUAACAUUACAUUCAUUAAUGGGAAGAGCUUUUAUUACAUUCUUAAUGUGAAAAGCUUCUCCACCAUAUCAUCCUCCUUUAGAAAUUUACAAAAGAAGAACAAGCCCAUUACAUUAAGAAAAAGGAGAAAAGGCUGUUUAUUGUAAGAUAUGACCACAAAAUUCUUGAUUUGAACACCCGAAGUCCGAUGCCACUUUCGUUAAUGAGAGACCUCAUUUUGGACGUUUGUAUCGCGUGACUCACGACAUUUAAUUGAAAGUGACAGACAUGCAACUUCCUAGAAGCUGCAACUUUUAAUUAAUAGUGAAUGAAGGUAACUUCCCAGAAGCUGCAGCUUUUAAUUAAUAGUGAAUGAAGGUAACUUCCCUGAAGUUGCAGCUUUUAAUUAAUAGUGAAUGAAGUUGAUGGCUUCAGAAAAAACCAGGUGAAGGACAAUUAUGGAGAUGUACCAUUUUACACGCCCACUAUCUUUUUCGCCUUUCUUCUCGGCGCCUUUGAACUUUUGAAUUAAAAAAAAAAAACUCGAAUUUUCAAACGUUUAAGUCAUUUAUAAUUAUUCUAUAGCUAUAUUAUAUAGAUAAAAUCACAAUCUAUAUAAAUGUAUAAUAACAAAAAAAAUAUUCUUAAAGAAUCUCUCUCAUUAUGACAUAUGAGACUUUGGAUAAUUAGAAGAUUUUCCUUCAAACUAUUGAGAUUGGAUUUGCUACAUUCACCACAAAAAUGCUCCACCUAAGCACUACCUAACAGUAUGCUUACUACUUUUUAUCAUAAUUAAUUACCUUCAACCCCACAAAUAUUGCAAUAUACGUGCCUUUAUAUUGAAAAGCAAAUCUUUUACAACACUUAUUGUCUUAUUGAAAACUAUUAGAAUGCGAGCAUGAUAUAAUUAGUGUGGUUUGGACGUCAGCCAAACCUAAUUAUAUAAACAUUGAAAUAUAUCUCAAGUCGGAGCCGAAUUAAAACCGGAUCGACAGGGACUUAUCGACAUUCGUCCUCUAAUCAAGAGUGGUGAGAGGAAAUGCAAUGAUGGCCUGUCCAUGACCAUGGUGCCAUCCCAUCAUGGUGUUGCUUUGAGCGUCGAAAGAAAGAGAGACCGCCCUGGUCUUGAACAUAAGAGACGACUUUGGUCAGCUGAAGAAAGGGAUAAGAGAGAACGAUGAUGGCCACCGCCGAUACGAGACAAAAGGGGAAGGAAAACGACGAAGAAAGUUGCAAUCAUGGUGUCAUUUAACGAGGCCGCUCGUUGUUUCCUUUCUUCUUUAUUUGCUUCUAGUGAAUUUUCUCUGUGAAUACGAAGAGGAAGAGCUCUUAAUGAGAGCUCCGAGGACUGCACAACGAGAUUAAAAAUUUCCUCUUAAAAGUUUUGAUUCAAAAAGUUUUUCUCUGUGAAAUUACACAAAAUGAAGUCAAUUAAAUCUUAUGUUAAUGUUCAGGUCAAUCUUUUAUGAGAUUGAAAUAUUAUUUCGAGAGAAAUUAUGAAGGUUAAAUAUAGAGUUAUUAGUUGUAUUUGAGGGAUAAAAACACAAAUUAUAUUUGAGUAACUCAAGUAUUAUUAUAAUCUCCAUUGCAUUGUAAUUUCAUGGUUUUCAUUUCCUCGUGGACGUAGGUCACAUAACCGAACCACAUAUAUUUAGUGUUUGAUUUAUUUCCUUAUUUUGCAUUUUUAUUCAAGCACUUGUUUUAUUUCCAACAAUAAAUAUGGUUUGAAGAAAAGUGAAACCAAAUUAAACCAUAUUAUAGUCAAGAUCAAACCAAGCCAAACCAUUUUAUGUGGCUUGAUUCGGCUUAAUGGUUCUUUCUGCAUUUAUUUUACCUCUUCAUCAUAUGUAACCAACUUUAUUUUACCUCUAAUGCUAUGAAUUAGAGCCAAACUAAUCCACACUAUGCGAAAAUCAACGGUGGAUGAAUAAAUCUAUACGAAUAACCACUUUUCUCUCUACCGCUUUUUUUGUGGUGCAGUUUAGCUGACCGUCCUCUGUCAAAUGAUGGAGUGACGGCCAACUAAUGACCACACAAUUCGCAUGGAUUCCAUCUUUUACCCUUUUUUUUUUUAUUUUAUGUUUUCUUAUUCCAAGCUUAAAUUGAGAGAUAAAAUCAUAAGAGGGCCCAUACAAUCAAUUUUCAUGAAUAUUAUGAAAGAAAAAAUAAAUUAGAAUAUCGAAAUAUAAAUAAUUAGAAGUAAAAAACAUUGUCAUCCACUAAAAAGAAAUCUUUCAUUUGAAUAACAUAUAUUGAACAAUAAUUUUUCUUGUGACAUGACUAGACCCUUGGUUUUUAGCAUUUCCCUUGUGUCAACAAGAAAGUUGCAGUUUUUCCCAAAGCGAGGACAUAGCUAGUUGAAGAUAACCUUGGCAGAGUGUUGUUUUGCCGAUGCUACCCAACCCAGAGAUUCCAAUGAACCGCGUACCGUCAAAAGCGAUGUUUGAUAAAUUGUCUAUCGUUGCUAUUUGAUCCUCCAUUCCAACUAAAUCUUUGGUCACUUGCCAUUGUCUUGUCUUCACCUUGACCACAAUCUCAUUAACAACCGACAUGAUAAGAUUCCCAUAGCUGCCACAAUGACAAACAAUAUUAAUUGAGAAAAGGUGACAAAUUUCCAUGUUGACAAACAAUUUACAUAUAUCAGAUCUUGAAUCAGCCUCAAUUCAAUUUGAAUGCGCAGCGCUUAUAUUUCUAUUAGAUUGCACGUUUCAAAAACAAUAAUGACAUUACAUUCGUUAAUGGGAAGAGCUUUUGUUACAUUCUUAAUGCGAAAAGCUUCUCCACGAUAAUCCUUCUUGAAAAAUUUACAAAAGAAGAACCAAUGCAUAACAUUAGAAAAGGAGAAAAGGAUGUUUAUUAUGAGAAAUAAAUGAUGAAAUUCUUGAUUUGAAUGCCCAAAUUCCGUUGCCAAAAGUGAGAGACAUCAUUUUGGACAUUUGUACCGUGUGACUCACGUAAUUCAAUUGAAACUGACGAACACACAACUUCACAGCAGUUGCAGCUUUCAAUUUAUGGUCAAUAAAGUGGAUGGCUUGAGAGAAAAUGAGAUGAAGGACAAUUAUGGAGGUCUACCUUUUCACAAGCCCAAUUUCUUUGGAGUUUCUUCUUAGUGCAUUUGAACUUUUGAAUUUAUGACCAUUUUUUAAUUAAAAAAAUCUGAUUUUCAAACGUUUAAAUCAUUUAUAAUUAGUUUAUAGCUAUAUCUAUGGUUAAACAUAUUUAUAUAGAUAAAAACGGAAUUUAUCCAUAUAAAUGCAUAAUAAAAAAUAUUCCUAAAGAAAAGUUUAAGUUAAAUGCGUUUAUUUCAAGUGAGUGAUUCAUUGUUAGUCAAAUUUCCGUUGUUUUUUGUGUUUUGGAGAUUUUAACAAUAAUAACAUUACAUUUCAUUAAUGAAAAGAGCUUCUCCACCAUAUUAUCCUCCUUCAGAAAUUUACAAAAGAAGAGCAAGCACAUUACAUUAUUAAAGGAGAAAAGGCUGUUUAUUGUGAGAUAUAAUGACAAAAUUCUUGAUUUGAACACCCGAAGUCCGAUGCCACUAUCGGCAGUGAUAGACGUCAUUUUGGAUUUUUGUAUUGCGUGACUCAUGAGAUUUAAUUGAAAGUUACGGACAGGCAACUUGACAGCAGCCGUAGCUUUCGAUUAAUAGUGAAUAAAGUUGAUGGCUUCAUAAAAAAUUAGAUGGAGGACAAUUACGGAAAUGUACCAGUUUUUUGGUCGGUUGAAUACAAUUAUGGAGAUGUACCGUUUCACACGCCCUUUCGCCUUUCUUCUUGGCGCCUUUAAACUUUUGAAUUAAAAAAAGAAAAAAAAAAGAAAAAUCUGAUUUUGGGCGUGGAAAGAAAGAGAGGCCGUGCUCGUCUUGACCAUAAGAGGACGACUUUGCUUGGCCGAAGAAAGGGAAAAAGACAGACUGAUAAUGGCCACUGCCGACAUCGGACAGUACAGAAGGGAAACGAAAACGACGAAGAAAGUUGCAGUAAUGGUGUCUUUUAACGAUGGCCAGUCAUUGUUUCCUUUCUUCUUCUUUAUUUUCUUCUAGUGAAUUUUCUCUUUAAAUUCGAAGAGGAAGGGCUCUUAAUGAGAGCUCCGAGGACUGCACAGAGGAGAUUGAAAAUUUCAUCUUAAGGGUUUGAUUCAAAAAAGUUUUCUUCGUGAAGUUAGUCAAAAUCGAAGCUGAUUAAAUCUUGUGUUAAUAUUCAAAUUGAGAUAUUAUUUUGAAAGAAAUUAUGAGGAUAAAAAACAUAGAGUUAUUAGUUGUACUUAAGGGAUAAAAACACUAAGGAUAUCUGAGUGACUUGAAUAAAAUUAUAAUCUUCGUUGCAUUGUAAUUUUAUCUAUAAUGGAAUUGUGUGCUCAUUUUCUCGUGAACGUAGAUCACACAAUCAAAUUACGUAAAUUUGAUAGCCGAUUUAUUUUCUUAUUUUGUAUAUUUUAUUCAAUCACUUGUUUUAUUUUAAUAAUAAAUAUGGUUUGAAGAAAAGAGGAACCAGGCUAGACUGUAUUAUAGUUAAAGAUCAAACCAAGCCAGACCAUUUUUUUUUUUUUUUUGGGUUUGAUUUGGCUUAAUCUUUCUUUCUUCUCUAGUUUUCCUCUUCAUCAUUUGUAAUUUUAUGAGAAAAAAACCAAAUUCCAUGUCACGAAACUUCCAAAGCAAGAUCCCCGAUCAAGCACAAAUGGCCCCUUUUGCGAGGUGAUGCUUGCCCUUGGCACGAUCAAUCUCAACUUGUUUCAAUUAAUUAUUUCGCUUGAUUGAGAGUCACCGAUAACUUUUUAUGAACCAAUUAGGAGUCAAGUAAAAUGCCGGAGUCCGUCUUACUUCUGCAAACAUGAGAUUUGUGGGUCAGGGGACUUGAUUAUGCAAAAUAUAUCUCAAGCCCAAUGCUGUAUAUUUUCUCUUUCUAUUAAAACAAUUAUUCAUGUGGUCUUCCCAAUCUUAGUUUCCCAUUUUAUUCUCAAUGUUGAGAAAGGCAGGCGAUCAUGCAUAAAUUCACUCAAGCAAACACGUAUAAAAUCCACUAAUACUGAGACAAAUAGAGCAAAUAAAAGGUAGGAAAAUAAAGGACCCAACCCGUAUCAGGGAAACAAAUCAACAAAAGCCUUGUUAUAAGGUUCCGGGACAUGCCCCUUGAGCUAUUAAUAGAAACUCAGUGUAAAAUCUCCAAAAUAAACUAUGGCUUAAAACCAGAAAGUAAAUAACUGAUACCUCAUGAAUAUAUAUAAACUACUUUCCCAAAAAGAAGUAUUACAUCAAGAAAUAAAAUCUACUUAAUGCUAUAUAAAGUGCAAUGCAAUGUUUAAAAAACAAAAUCUAUUUAUGAUUAUGCAUGAUUCCUAAAUUAUCCUCCUAGAUGUAUAUAUAUAUAUAUAUAUAUAUAUUUUAAUAAAAUCUAUCUGCUUUUUUGCUUUUUCACAUUAACCCCUUCAAUAUAUAUUAUAAUGAAACGAAAUUAAACUAAAAAAUAACUAAGUGCCGAGAUAAAUUUGAACUAGAAACUAGAUACCAAAAUAAUAUGUUAUAUAAACCCAGAUUUUCGUGAAAAUUUGCACUAUGUUGCGUUGGAAUUUCAACCUAAACUUCUUGUGGGAACGAGCUAAUAAACACCAGAAAAUAAAGAGAACUAAAGCGAUAUAAUGCUAUGAAUUAAAGCAAAACCAUUCCACAAUAUGCGAAAUCAAGGGUGGAUGAGUACAUCUAUACUAAUUGCCGAAAUAAAAUAUUCAUUAAAAAAAAAAUCUACGCUGUUACAAGUCUGAAGUGUUAAAAUUGAAUCACAUCAUGUAGAUUAUUUAUAUUUCCAUGUUUAUGUUUGCUGAGACACGAGGAACAAUCAACAUGAACUAACACAAAAAUCCACGCAGGUUCUUGAUUUUAUUUCCUUUCUUCUUUCGUCUUUCUUUUCACACGUGCAGCAUAAUUCCUUUUCACUUGUGCUGGUCGGAUAAGGCUGUCGCAUAUUUCCCUCUUGGUCUAGCCCAUGAAAGGGAGCCAGGGUCGUGCGGGCUUGGACUCGGAAGUUCAAAUAAAUUCAUGGCACAUUUUGCGUGUUGGGAUCCACUCAAAUUCAAUUCACAAGCGGACUAAUUUAAAUGAAAUUCGUAGUCAGGUUUCACGCUUUCUUUGGUGCGAAUGCAUUAUUCCUAACAAAAUGUUGGUACUAUCUAAAUGCCGUAAAUGAGGAUGCAAAAAAUGUGCAAUCUCAAAAAAUUUAGGUAUUAGCAUUCUGCGUUGACAACAAUUAAUAAAUUCACACAAAGUGAAAAUCAAACCUAUUUAAAUAGCUAUUUCAUGUAUAAAUGGUAAAAAUAAUUAGCAAUAUCAAUCAUUUAUACAAUGCGGCGUCGCGGUUUUGGUUUGGUUUCAAAAAAGUUGACACCAAGCCAAACCACAAAAAACGAUUUAUUUCCUGGACGACAUGGAUAUUGUUAAGAGGGACCCUCGAGCUCGAAGGGAAGGUGUUUUGGUUGCCAGAAACAUCGUGGAGCUUGGAUUAAGGCAAGGCUGCCUCCAUCGAGAUGGAUAGGGUAAGCAACGCUAUCAACCCAUAGAUCCAAAUGCCGCGAGAAUCGAUCCAGGCAUACUGGUUCGAGACGAAGGCCCUCCGAUCGUGAACUGAAGCUUCAUGGAUAUCAUGAUUUUCUAGAAUACUUUCAAAAAGAUCAUACUUUCAAGAAUAUUUUUUACGCAUCAUUGCAUACUUUCAAACACAAACGAACAUGCCACAUGAAGUAAUGUUAGAAAUUAUUUGAGAAUUGAAUUUAGAGGAUGAAAUUGGAAAAUGUGGUACUGAAAGAGCGUUGUGGGAAGUCUAACCCCUCCCCACACAUAAAUGAAUCCUUCGACGACAAGUUUCAUUGGCUUUCGCAAAUGAUCAAUAUUAAACGUGGACCUAGUUUCCAAUCAGCCUAAUUUUUUAAAUUGAUUGGCAGUUACUCCAUCUCAUACUUAGUUUUUUUGUUUUGUUUUUUUUGGUCAAAAGGAAUAUAUAUGUAUUCGAUUAAGUAGUCUUAGAACACAACGAUGGUUUACAAUCUGCAACUAAAAUUUCCCAUAGAAGGUGAGGGGGUGUAUGCACCCAAUUUAACGGAAGUUUCUUGGCUCGAUGAGUACGUACCAGCCAAUCAACAGCUUGGUUUGCAUCUCGGGGGAAGUAGGUUACGGAUACGUUGUUGCACGUGGAGAGCUCGUCUCGACAGCGUUGGAUGAUUUCGUUUAAAUUCCAAGGUGUCUUGGCCCGGCCCAUUAUAAACUCCACAACAGCUAAACUGUCGCUUUCGCAAGUCCAGUGAACUGGUUGACUUCUCACGUGUGUUGACUUUAACUCCUUGAGAUAGCAGAUCCCGUGUAAAACAGCUUCUACUUCCGCUUGAGACGCCGAAGAAACCCUAGCUUCUGCUGCGAAGCCAUCGACGACACACCCAUCUCCAUCCCUGGCGAUUCCAGCAACCGAACAUAGAAACUCGCCGGGGACCCAUGACGCAUCGACGUUCAAUUUCAACUCCCGACUUCCCGGUGGUGUCCAAGACUCUGGUAAGUUUUGAGUUGUGCUUUGGCUGGACUGGUCCUUCGACCCUUUGCUGAAGGCGUUAUUCUGGAUUCGUCCUAGAUCAAGGAUGUCCGCCGGUUUGGGAGCCUUUGCUCGGAAGAUCCAGGAAUUUCGCACCUUCCAGAUUUGCCAUAGAACACCAGCGAUGAACUCCCGAUCAGGUGAUUUUCUUCUUGAUUCAAAAACCGCCAUGAGCCACUGGUCGAGUCUCUUAAAUUGUUUCAUGAUAUUCGUUCCUUGCAUAAGUUUAUCUUGCCAGAUCUGUUUAGUCCACCUGCAAAAAAGGAACAGAUGUUCGGUUGUUUCGACUUGCGUAUAACACAGCUGACAUAGUGGAUCUGGGCUGAUCUUCCUUUUGUAGAGAUUUUCCCUUGUGGGAACAACAUUUUGACAUAUGCUCUAGAGGAAGGUUCGGAUCUUUGGUGGGACUGAUAGGCGCCAGAUCUGUGUCCAUAAAGUGCGUGGAGGCUGGUAGGAACAAGUUGCUUUGUUUUGAUUUAGUCGGAUGGUCGAUAAAUGAGCCCUGUUAUAUCCGCUCUUGACUGUAAAUUCCCCUGUACUGUUUCCUGUCCAUAUUCUUAUGUCAGGUUUGGGGUUCUUACUCAAGGGAAUGGCUUGAAUCUUGUUAGCUAUUUUGUCCUCAAAAAGCUGUUGAAUGAGGGGCUGCUUCCAAGUUCGAGAUUCUUCAUUAAUCAGACUUUCCACCUAGGUAGGUUCUGAUUGAGUGACUUGUCCUCCUGUAAAUUCCUGUGAUAACCAUUUAUCCUCCCUGAUUUUGAUUGAUUUGCCGUCCCCGACUAACCAUCUAACAUCUGCCUUGAUGGUGUCUCGAUCCAACAGCAUACUAUUCCAGCCCCAAGAUGAUCUCCGACCUUUAUGUGCACUCCAUAUAUCGCCUUGAGGAAAAUAUAUGCCUUUUAGAACUUUAUUCCAUAAUGCAUUCGGGGAAGUAUGUAAACGCCAUGCUUGUUUGCCAAGCAUUGCACAGUUGAAGGUAAUUAAGUCUUUAAACCCCAUCCCUCCUUCGUCUUUUCUAUUUUUCAGAACUUCCCAGUUCUUCCAGUGAAUGCCCUUCUUGGUAUCCCCUUUCUACCAUCAGAAUGAAGCUAUUCGCCUUUCAAUUGCUCUGCAGAUGGACACUCGCAGCUUAAAGAUCGACAUGGCGUAGGUUGGUAUGGCCCGCACCACACUCUUAAUCAAGACUUCCUUUCCUGCUUUGGUAAGUAACUUUUCCUUCCAACCCUCCAGCUUUGAGUUUACCCUGGUUAGUAUCCAUGCGAAAAUUUCUUUUUUGGAUUGUCCCCAUUCUGUAGGAAGGCCUAAAUAUUUACCUGUCUUUUCAAAAACAGGUACUCUCAACUCUUGUGCCAUGUUCCUCUUAAGUGGUAAGGGACAAUUCUUACUGAAAUAAACUCCUGACUUGUUUAAAUUUACAGCUUGCCCCGUUGCAUAACAGUAUUGGUUUAGUGUGAGAGUCAAAUUCUAACAUUCCAUUAUAGUGGCAUCCAGGAAGAAAAUAACAUCAUCCGCAAACAGAAGGUGAGAUAGCUUAGGGCAAGAUCUAUUAAGCUGUAUACCUUUUAUGCUGCCUUCCGCAACCGCCUUUUGCAUUAGCCAUGUUAGCACAUUUGUGAUAAUGAUAAAUAAAUAAGGUGACAAGGAUCUCCUUACCUGAGACCUCUGGGUGGACUGAAAAAAGGGGUAGGUUCUCCAUUGAGCUUGACACUGAAAGUCACUGUUGCUAUGCAUUGCAUGAUUAGAGUCACCCAUUUCUCGGAAAAAACCCAUUUUCAGCAUGCAAUCCUGAACAAAAUCCCAUUCUAUUAUGUCAUAUGCUUUCUGCAUAUCUAAUUUGAGUACUGCCUGAUGUUUUUUCUUGCUUUUUGUAAUGCGCAGUUGAUGUAACACUUCCUGCACAAUUAUGAUGUUGUCUUGUAUCUGUCUACCCUGAAUGAAUGCACUCUGUUCUAGUUCUAUUAUCUCUAGCAGCCACUUUUUCAAUCUGUUUGCUAAUAGUUUUGAGAUAAUUUUGUAACCGAAAUUGCAUAAACUGAUGGGCCUAAACUGACUGAUUGUCUCAGGAUUUUUCACUUUGGGGAUCAAGGUUAUAUACGUCUGAUUCAAAUGAGGAUCCAUAAUACCUGUGUUGAAGAAAUUCUGUACAAGCUGGAACAGGUCAAUCUAUAUAAUUUCCCACGCAUUUUGAUAGAAAAGCCCAUUGAAACCAUCAGGACCAGGUGCUUUCAAGGCUCCCAAUUGAAAAACUGCUGCUCGAACUUCCUCCAUCGUGGGGUGUGCCACUAAUGAUGCAUUGAUACUGUCAUUAAUAGGAGAUAGGCAUUGGCUUAGUACUGGCUGAUAAUUUCGUUGCCCUGCUGUUUUGUAUAACUUGCUGUAAAAAGUUUGAAUAUGGUUUUGAUUUCUCUUGGAUCCCGACACCACCUAUUAUCUUCCAUUUGCAGCAUUGCAAUGUGAUUUAUGUGCCUCCGUUGAACUGUUGUGGCAUGAAAAAAUCGUGUGUUUUUAUCACCCCAUUGUAACCAUUUAAUUCGUGAUCUCAAUCCCCAAUACUGUUCCUCCUGCUUCCUCAGUGUGUCUAGCUGGUGGAUAAUGCUUUGCACUUCCUUUCUGCUUGUAUGUUCUUGUGACUGGUUAGUUAUGGCUGUUAAGGUCUGAGUUAGCUCUUUUAUCCUGCUGGGUGCAUAAGCAAACUUCUCCUUACUCCAUUGUAUGAGUUUCUUGGAGGUCUCUUGGAGUUUUUCUCAAAAAGGUGGCCUAGGGAUAAGCUGUAUGGUUCCAUGUGUGAUGAAUAACUCCAUGAUAUUCUUCAUGUUCAAGCCAGAAAGCCUCCAUUUUGAAAUCUCUCCUUCUUUUCUUGCAUUCAGGGUAUAGCUUAAGGACAAGAGGACUGUGGUUUGAGCCUAUUGCUGGAAGGGCAUGGACUUCUGCAUCAUGAAAGGUAAUUCGCCAUUCCAGGGUACAUAACACCCUGUCCAGUCGUUUUUUUAACCAAAUCCUCCCCCUUCUCUGUUGUUAGCCCAUGUGUAUGCACAUCCUUGGCUAUCCAUAUCCAUCAAAGAUAACUCAUUGAGCAUAUCUCUAAAUUCUGCAAGUCUUUUGUUAUCUACUUCUCUUUUCCCUACCUUCUCCCAUACGUAUAAAAUCUCAUUAAAAUCUCCCAUGCAUAUCCAUGGAGUUGAGCUAUGAGGUUUCAAUGUUUUCAAGUGUUGCCAUAGUUGCAACCUUUCUCCAAAAUUUGUUGAAGCGUGAAUAAAAGUGAUCUGCAUGACUUGUUUUAUGGCUGGAUUAGUGCAAUGUACAUCAAUGAACUGUUUUGAGCUAUCUUGCACUUUCAGUGUUACUUCCUCAUUCCACAUCAACGCCAAUCCCCCUGCUAUGCCUGUUGGAUUUUCUAGGAAUAGGUGCUGAAAUUGAAGUUUUCUGCUUAUAUUCUCCACCAUCGUUGCUUUGUUUUUAGUCUCCAUAAGAAAAAAUAUAAUGGGCCGUUCAAGAGCAAUCAAAGCUCUUAGUUCCUGGAUUGUCAGGGGGUUGCCCAGCCCCUGACAAUUCCAACUAAUAAUUUUCAUGUCGUCUGUGGUGGCUUAUUAGGGCUAGCCACCAAAGCCCAAUCUGUUCCAUCUGCAAGCAACUUCACUGGAGUCUCCAUCAUACCCGAAUCAUAUAUGAGAAUUGGAGGUGGUUCAGGUAAACAUUUCUGCUUUUUUGCUUUCUGCACCUUCAUGUUCUUUUUGCUGCUUUUUCCUAUUUUCAAAGAAGUCUGUAUGGGAACAUCUGAACAUAUGAUCUGUUUUCCAUGAUCUUUGAUUACCUUCUGAUUUGAAAUAGGGACUUCCAUAAUCUCCUGCUCCCUGGAACUUUCGGCUCUCUUUUGUUGCAAGCUUCUAGUCACAUUUCUAGGCCUUUCUCUCGUGCAGUUAUAUCCUGCUCUCUAACUGGAGAUGAUACUGCAGGUAUAGUUUCUUCUAUUAUAAGUCUUUCUUCAAUGUUUCCAUAAAAAGCCUCCCAAUAAGGACUAUGAUCACUUACUUCUGCUUUCAGCUAGGGUCCAUAGGAGCCAAUUUUGUCGACUGCCCAAGGUGAUUCUAAAUAAGGGAUUUCUGGACAAUCUUGGGCAUAGUGACCAAUUCUUCCACAAGAGUAGCAAUAAUGAGGUAAUCUCUCAUAUUUAAAUUCUACCCACAACCAUUUAUUUCCGAUAUCCAAAAUAGCUCCUGCUUUUAGAGGAGUAGAUAAGUCAAUUUCCACUCUAACUCUUCCUCCUUUUUGCUGCAUAGUUCCCAUAGAUUCGAGCUGGAUUUCCUUUACCUGGCCUAGCUUGUUUCCCAGAUCAUGGUAAACUGUUUCAAUCCUCCAACCAGGGGGUAUACCUACAAUUCUUACCCAAAAACAGCUCUGGAAAAAUCAUAACAAUGUUCUGGGAUUUCAGGCUCACACUGUUUAAGGACAAGCAAAUUACUCGAGUAGGACCAUGGUGCAAAUUUCAUAAUUCUCUCAUUUUCCUCCUCUGAUUGAAAGACAAAGGUAAAGAGACCUGGUCCUUUUUGUACACACGUUACUGCUUCUGUCUUCCAGGCUUUCUUCAUAGUGGUGAAAAAUGCAGGAAAAUUGACGUUGGGUCUAGAAUAUAGUUUGCCCAUAAUUGUUCUGUUGCAUUCAUCUCUUUUUUGUGAGGAUAUCUCCGGACUGACUUCAACCACAUCUUCCUCAGACCAAAGAUGUCCGAGUCGUUUGCAUAGUGCUGCCACUCGCAACUCAUUUUCUUCUUUACUAUCCAUACUGUCUGACUAGGUUAAUAAAAGGAAAAGCUGGAUAUAAAAGCAGGGAUAGACACCAGCAUUAACACAUACUAUUAGGGGCAAGGUAAGUUUUCAUUACUUCCGUCUUCUUCUCAAAGUCUUCUUGUUCUUUUAUCAAACAUCUGACUAACAUAUACUCAUGACAACAUGCAUCAGGUUUCCUCAUCAAGGCUCGACCCAGAAGCAAAUCGGACCCAUUUCACAUAUUAUCAUCUGCUGCGAUUUCAUACCAGAGGUCCUGAACCAGAAUCUUAACCAUUCCAACAACAAAUGCUGCAUAUAUUCCAGUCGAUACUACUCUCCGCCAUUAGCUCCACCAACAGCGAGAGAGAUGAAGAUGAUAUCCUACCUUAAUCAAGCCCCGAGAGCGUGAACUCCAGCCGACCCAGCCACACCAGCACGAUUGUUCUAUUGAGUGAAGAGAAGGCCACUGCUCUCGGCAUAAACUAGAUCGAAUGAGACAUUUUUUGGGUUUUCCUAUUUGUAAAUCAUUGUGUGAAAAGAAAACGAAGAAAAACCGGAAUGAUUAUCGAGAUUUAGAACAGGUCUAGGGUUUUGGGGGAGAGGACCGCACUACCAGAGGGUAGAGAGAGACUCGCAAAAACGAGAGGGGAUGUAGCGUCAAAUUCCAUCUCAUACUUAGUUGAGUGGACCGAAAAAAAAAACAUUAUAUUCUUUUAUAUAAUAAUAGACCGUAAAAUCUAGCCAAUAAAAUGGGCCCAAAUUCUGUCGGCCCCAAGCCUCUUAAGCUUUUGAUUUCCGAAACAAAAGAAGCCCUUCGUUCCUCAAGAAGAUCGAAGCCCGUUGCGAAAGGAAGCCAGCGGUCCAGCCGAGUUGGAAGACUCGGAAUCUUCAGUCGAGCGAAUAGCGUUUUCGGGUUUCUGAAUCGAACCCACGUCUUCAUUUUCACUCAAGUUCAUCUUUUUCGAUCGACCGGUAAGGUCUUCUGGGAACUUCUGCGUGUUUUCCGCUUUGAAUCGUCGCGCCGGAUGCUUCUGCUCUUCAAUUUGAUUCUUUUUUAUUCUGUUUAAGUUAAUUUGCGUUGAUUUUCGUCGAUGUUGUGACUGUUUUUGUUGGUUAGAUCGUCUUUAACCUGGAGUUGUGCGGUUUCUAGCUUGGGUGGCUAGAAAAUAAGAAAGAUCUGUUUUGGUAAUCAAGAUAGAUAGUAGUGUAAGGAGGUGAAAUUGAGAUUUCAAAAAUGUUAUGUCGUGGUUGUUUUUGAGUCUUAAUUGCUGAUGGGUGUCCGUUGAAUUGCUUCAGUUGAAUUUGCUUGUUGGUCUAAAUGGCCUGCUUUCUUUGAACUGGAGAUAAUUUUAUGCUUGAGUCGGAUAUUGGGAAUGCGAGUAAUUUGAGCAUGGAAACAUCUUCUCCUAUUAGAAAUGAAAAUGAGCUUCUUUCCCACUUUUCAUUUUCAAUAUGCAUGCAAUUGUUCAAAACAAAGUUGAACAUAAUGUGUUGUUAAAUAUAUAGGAUCCUCAUGAUCCUUGAUGACCUCACAUAAUUUUGUAAUAGUAUACUUUUUGCGCUUGAGUUGCUGAGAUCUUACGUGGCAUGUGCAAGAUUUGAUUCCAUGUUCAAAGAUACGUAGUUUCUUAUUGACAGAUGGGGGAGCUCGCUGGCAAUAAACAUGUCAAGUACAUAUUGUCCGUUGAAAAGGUAGGUACGAAAUUUCACAAUCCUCUUCUUGUUUUCUUGUCCACUUCUUGCCAGUUACUGAAAAUGACUUGGCUUAUCUGGACCUGCUAUUCAGCAUUUCGGAGUUCACCGAUUUGAGUUUUUGGGUUGAUCUUGCACUCAGAAAAAGGAUAGUUUUGAGUCGGUGGUUAUGGAGCACCUGAGAUUGAAUGGAGCAUAUUGGGGAUCGACCGCUCUAGAUCUUCUUGAAAACCUGACACCGUGGAUUCAAAUGAAGUUGUUUUGCGGAUCCUGCAAUGCUAGCAUGAGUCUGGUUUGUAGUUAUUUAUCUCUUGGCUUCUUUCUUAAGUACCCAUGAAAAACAUGCAGUAUUUGAAAGAACGAUCAACAUUUUAGCUCGGGAUUAACAGAUUGCCUUUAUUACAAUAAUGACCACAUCUUAGGGGUGAUUAGUGUUGCUUCACUCUAAGGGACAAAGUGCAUGUCACCUACGGCUGCUUUUACAAGUGUCUUUGGUGGAAACACGGGACAUGUUCCGCAUCUGCUGUAUAUGCUCGGUGCCGUGCAAGUUUUGGCCCCUUUUUGACAAGUUACAUGUUCUUGACAUCAACAAGGAGACAGAUUGUAUCCUUUGGAAUGAAGUAUCCUAAUUUGCCAAACUCUUACAUAGAUGCAAGUUCCUUGGUAUUAUUUUAUGUUUUUAUGUUUUCAACAUCAUGAGAGUAAUAAACUUACCUUAGGUUCUGUUUUCCAUGUAAGAGCUCAGAUUAUGUUGACUUUUUAAAUGUUGUAAAAUUUUGAUUAAGGUUGCUUUAUAGUGUGAGUAUUGUUAGCCAAACAUUGAUGAGGGGGCUCUCUCUAUGGAGAUCGAAGUUGCUAUUGUUGGAUAAUCUCUGGUAUUAAAUGCUCUCCAUUGUUGUGCCUGAACAAUUAUUCAGACAUCAAAGCACUGUAAAACGAAGAUGGAUCUUUCUCUGGGGAUAUAUGGGGCGAAGUUGAUGCUCGUUUCCCUCCGAAGAUUCAGUAAAUGUGGAGAAGCUAUGAGUUAUUAUAGUGAGUCGCAAAACUUUNNNNNNNNNNNNNNNNNNNNNNNNNNNNNNNNNNNNNNNNNNNNNNNNNNNNNNNNNNNNNNNNNNNNNNNNNNNNNNNNNNNNNNNNNNNNNNNNNNNNNNNNNNNNNNNNNNNNNNNNNNNNNNNNNNNNNNNNNNNNNNNNNNNNNNNNNNNNNNNNNNNNNNNNNNNNNNNNNNNNNNNNNNNNNNNNNNNNNNNNNNNNNNNNNNNNNNNNNNNNNUUAGACUUGAGGGAAGUAUAAUGAUUCCGGAGGAGAAUUAGGCAUAAAAGAAUGAAGCCCCAAGCAAGUAAAUUAAGAUGCACAAGAGCCUAACCAAGCACCUUGCUAGAAAGUGGCUCAUUUUUCUCUCUUCUUUCAAUUCAAAUAAGAAGAUAUUUGCAAAACAGAGAACAGGAAUGUAGGAGCAAUCAUGAAGCGAUAAGAUUUGGUGUUCUUGCUUCAAUAGAUAACAAAGCCGUGUGUAUUUUGUUUAGCCAAUUUUCCAGUGGGCCACGUAGUAAAUUUGACCUACGAAAUCCCCAGCCAUGUGCAACAGACCUCAUAUUACCAAUGGAAAAAUACACACACACACACACCUGAAUAUUCCAUUUUAAUUAUGGAUGAUGAACCAAGAAGAGAAGCAUUGUUUGAUUCAUUUUCAAUCACACACACACCUGAAUAUUCCAUUUUAAUUAUGGAUGAUGAACCAAGAAGAGAAGCAUUGUUUGAUUCAUUUUCAAUCAUUGAGAGCUCUUCACAGGUAAUUAAGAGACAAUGGAUACUCUUUAAUGCGAUCAUUAUCCAAACCUUAAAAUAUACUUACAGACAAACUCUUCAUGAGAAUAUGUUCGACAUCCUAUGUUGAAAGUUUCGUGUGCUCUGCAAUAACAUUCGUGGGAAUGGUUCGAUUCUCGUAUGGUCGAUUGCAAACAUUUACAUCGCCGUUCUCCAUCAAAGUUGUUUCCAGAAUUUUAAAGCUUUCUAGUCUCAAGUCAGCCCACCAAAUAGACAUAAUUCUUUUAAUACACUAACUAACAGAUGCACAACACUCCGGCACACGAUUCCACUCAAUCAAGCAGUCCACAAAAGCAUAGCAACAUAACUAGAUUAGGCAUACAAAUAGUCAAACAAAUGCAAGAAAGCAGACCCUUAUACAACUAUUACCAUAUUAAGCUAGAGCAUGAGCUCGAGCUCAUGCUUAACUAUGCAAAGAUAAAUCACACAAUUACAUUCAACUAAACACCAACUGCCACACCAAAAAAACAGCAAAAAAAAAAAAAACCUGUCACAUUACUCGUACCUGUUCUUCAGCGAUUAGCUAGUGAUCCGGAGCUUGACUCUACCUUUUUACUCCUUUUCUUUCACAUUCUUGUGUGCACGCAUUGGGCAAGUAUGCUUUUUGGGGAAUCGGAUAUGCGGUUACGAUCCUGACCUCACAGGCUCACAGCACAUCCCUCUUUACACGUGGCGGGGGACCCACCUCGCCACUUGUGAUGGUGAGGGAGGUGCUCACGUCGAGCGCGCAACUGGACAAGUUGGGCUUGCGGUCUAGCGAGGGUUGGUUGUCUCCUUGUGAGUUUUCUUUUUUCCCAAAGCGCGCGAGUCGCACGUGUGGGCACCGAUCGCCGAAAAGUUGGAAAAGUAAGUCUCAUUUUUUCAAUCUAUCGAAUUCCUUACGGAAAUGGUAAAUACAUGAUUUGAUCCAUAUCACGGUUCACUUGUAAUCACGACGUAAUACGAGACGCGAGACCGAUAUCAAAUUUACGAGAACAUUGCGGUUUCUGCAUUUGAAAAAUGAGGAAACGAGAAAAUUGGAAAGAAGGCGGUGCUUUAUCAUAAAGUUGUGUUCAAGUCCGACCAUGUCUUUAAUUAUUGCUUUGCCUAAACUUUGUAUUAUCGAUGUAAUCAAACCAACAAUUGUGCCCUCCACGUAGUAAAAUGACACAAUAUACAUGAGAUAUAAUCCAUCUCUUAGGCAUUGAGAGAAAUGUUUCAUAGGAAUGCUAAAGUUUAGAUGACCAAUGCCAAAACCCUCCCACUUUUCUUUUGCAAGUUAUCCUCUUGAUAUGAUGUAACGCUACUAGAAACCCUUAAACUUUAGAAUUUUGUGCAAUGUUGUCUUUGACUUUUUUUUUUUUUUGCAAUCAAAUUCUUGAACGAUGAUUUAUCCAUUAACAUUGGAUCUUACAUUACAAGAUGAAAAAAAAAAUGCUUAUGUGACCGUUAAAUGCCAAGUUGACUCAAUGUGGCUCCUGUGUCCUUAUCAGAAAGAUUAAAGAAACAAAAAAAGUAAAUUUCCUUCAUCGAAGAAAAUUUGGAGCGACAACACCAUCUUGAGCCCAAGCCCACAGGCAAUUUGUCGAUAGUGUUCGAGUUUGAUGAGGGGAGUAAAGACAAAGGUCGGAACACUUUUCAAUAGAAGCCCACCCAAUUGGCUUCGACUUUUGAAGCAGAGAGCGGUGGCUUCAGCCGCCCGUGGCUUUCUCAACGGUGUUGCAUUGAUUUCCAAAAGCGUUGUGGAUAUCGGAGAUGACUAGAAAUUCUUCGUGUCUUUUUCUCUCAUAUUUUAAGUCAGUCAUAUUUUGGGCCUAACUCAGCCCAAAAUUAAAUUAAUGCCAAUCCAAGAGGACUUGUUUAGGCCCGAACCUUUCAACCGGGCCUGAAGUUGAUCGGGUGGGACAUAUUUUUCAAUAGAAAAGCCACCCAUUUGCAACUGUACUUCCAAUUACUAGACACCAAAGGAACUCGCGAACUCAUUGCUACACCAUUCUUUAUUUGCGAUAGACAAACAAGCAAUCCUAUUCUGUAACAUGGAAAUGGCAACAAUUUAUUGCUUAUGCUUCUUCAGGAUCAAUUUUUUCCCAAAAAUCAACCAACUAAUAUUAAAUUAGUCCCAAUAGCAACCGGUCACGAUAUUCCAACAAUAUUAACCCUAAAGCAGUGAAUAUGGUGCUGAAUAUUAAAGCAAGGGAAAACCAACACCCACAUAUUUUACAUGAAAAACUCAAUACAUGAAAAAUCAUUGGGCCAAUCAAAAUCUUCCACUAAUCAUUAAUAAUAGCAAAAUACAUAAUAGUUUAUCUCUAAUAACACAGCUAGAGGCUCUUCACAUUAGCAAAACAUCAUCACAGCAAAGGUGAAUUAAUACAAAGAUGCAAGAAAGAUCUAACCGCUGCAGAGAAAAUUAAGAGACAAUUUGGAGAAGAUUUUAACAAACAGAAUCAAUCAACUUGUAGAUCUUGGACUCACGUAUAGCAUACCGAACUUUCCACCAAUUCUGACAAAGUUACACUAUUGAAUCCGAACUGCCUCUUCUCUUUUUCAAAGCAAAGCUCUCCGCCUCUUUCUCUUUGUAACAUUGAAUUGCUCUUCUCUAUCUUCUAAAUCAAGAACAUUCGGCCCUAUAUUUCUUUCUUUUCUUUUUGAAUUUAAGAUGAUGAGAUGGGGCUCGCAAGAGGUGAAUCCAGCCCAGCAAAUCUCCCCCUCUGCCUCACAAGGGAAGUUCCAUCAUACCCACUUAAACUAUACAAGAAUUAAGUUUCACGAUUAGCAAGGUUUAAGUCAUCAUAUCAUAUCCAUUAUCAUCGGUGUAGACUUUCUCAAGUAAGAAAAUUUUCUUUUUUAAUUUUUCUUGGAUCCAAUGACAAGGAUAAAGCAUCAGUCUUGGGUAAAGCAACCGGACGCAUUUCUAGUGAACAUCAAUCUUAUCUUCAGCAAUAUGAUGAGGAUUAAAGCAUCUCGCAUAAAGCUGUCUUGUAUUUGCACAAAUAGAUCUAAUCUUGUUAGAGACAAGACCACUCAUCUCUAACUAAUAACAGGCAAUAUCAUGAAUCGCUCUAUGAGGAUAAACACCCUCUAGAAAUGCCAUGAGGGUGCCUCGAUGACACCACAGAUGAAGUGCCCUGUCCAUCACCAAUCGCAUGUCGCCUAAGAAUGGACCUAACUUUUAGUAGUAACAGACCAUACAUAAAACUACCUUGAUUUUGUGUUGGUAGCUUCUUCAAGCCUAAACCACCUUCCCAUGUCAUAAAACUAAGGGUCGUGUCAUAACGAGUUUGUACUUGUGUUUAAUAUCCCUUUUCAAACGGUGAAAAUACAAUAUUGAAAUGGAGAUAUCAGUUCCCCUAUGUCUUGUUUAGUUUGCUUGCAAACCAUAAAUGAUUGGAGGUUGAGAUCAAUGGAGUAAUCUGACAAGCCUAAAUUUCAAGCUGCUGAAACAUGUGUGUUUACAGUAUUGUCUCUUUUAUUAUCUAAUAUUUUGUUUUGAUAGAGAAUUUUUUCGAAACAUACUAAACUGACUUCAAAGGCACUUUUGCAGCCAUGAUAUUAGGUUAUAUCAAGGUUGUGUUUGUCCGAGACUACAUUGGUGCAUAGCUUAGAGGGAAUUUAAUGAAAUAUCAAUCGACUAAAUUAAAGUUCAACGCAAUCAAAUGCUAUGCUCUUAAGAAAUACUGCCCGGUAGAGAGACUUGAUGAUUAAGAAAUUUAGUCAAAGCUCUCUCCGUUUUUCUUUUACAUACUGACGGUGGCCCCAAUAAUAAUAUAAAGUUUCCUUUAAUCAUAUUAGGUUAGAUCUUUUUUUGUGGUGCCAAAUGCAGUUGGUCAAUUUCAGGUGAAGCAUUUGACAAUAAUUAUGUUGUAUUUGUUUCAUGAAAAAUAAAUGAUUCCGAAACAAUUUUUUUUUUAAUGAUCUUUUCAUCGUUCGAAGUCAAUAAAUAUUUUUUUCAUUAUUAAUACCAAUUUAUGUUUAAACAUUUUGGUGAACAAUAAAAACAUAUCCCGAUUAUUUAUUUUUGUAAAAUAUUUUUCAAAUAAUUUAUUUUUCGUAAAACAAAUGGAGGAUAACAAAAAAAAAAAAUCAGGAGAAGAAAAUGGACAAUUGGGCCCAUUUUUCACCGGCCCAAAAAGCUUUAUGGGCUUAUUAAAACCUUCGUUUCUCAGAAAAACGAAAUAAAGUUUCAUCUUUCAGUCGACUUGAAGAGCAUUUUUGGUUCUGAAUCGAGCUCAAACCUUCGUUUUCGCUCUAAUUCACCUUUUAUCGAUCGACUGCUAAGGUCUUCGGGGAGCUUCUGCGAGCAUUUUUCACUACUAAUGGUCACUCCGCCGCUUCUGUUCUUCAAUUUGAUAUCUAUUUUGCUUUUUAAAGCUAGUUUCCGUUGAUGUAGCGAGUGUUUCUCGCUGAUUAGAUGGUCUUUAACCUGGGGCCGGAUGGUUUAUAGCUUGGGUAGCAAGAAAAUCUCUUGUGGUUAUCGAGAUAGAUAGUAGUGUAAGAAGGUGAGAUGAAGAUUUCAGAAAUGUUGUGCCCGUAGUUGUCUUCGAGCCGUCAUUGCUGACGGGUGUCCGUGGAAUUACUUCUGUUGGACGUGCUUGUUUGUCUAAAUGGCGGUGCUUUCUUUGAACUAGAGAUUAUUUUGUGCUUGAGUCAGAAAUUGGGAAUGCGAGCAAUAUGAGCAUGGACCCAUCUUCUUCAAUUGGAAAGAGAGAUGUGCUUUAUUCCCUUUUGUCCAUGUUAAUAUGCAUGUGAUUGGUCAAAACAAAGUGGAACACAAUCUGUUCAAUUUUUAGGAUCAUUACGAUCCUUGAUGGCCUCACGAAAUUUUGUUAUUGUAUACUUUUUGCGCUUAAAUUGCUGAGUUCUUAUGGGGCAUGCUUAAGAUUUGAUUCCAUGUUCACUGAUAUGUGGUGUCUUACUGCCAGAUGGGCGAGCUCGAUGGUGAUGAACAUGUCAAGUACAUACUGUUUGUUGAAAAGGUAGGUAUGCCAUUUUUACAAUUCUGUUCUUGUUCUCUUGUCCACUUCCUGCCAGUUACUGAAAAUGACUUGGUUUAUCUGGAUCUGCUACUAUUCAGCAUUACGGAGUUUAUUGAUUUGAGUUUUUGGGUUCAUCCUGCACUCAUAAAAAGGAUAGUUUUUGAGUCACUGGUUAUGGAGUUGAGAUUGAAUGGAUCAUGUUGGGGAUAGACCACUCUAGAUCUUCUUGGAAAAGGUUGGCACUGUGGAUUCAAAUGAAGUUGUUUCCUGCAAUGCCAGCAUGAGUCUGGUUUGCAUUUAUUUGUCUCUCGGCUUCUUUUUCGCGAGUACCCACGAAAAACAUGCAGCUAACAGAACCUCCACUCCACAUUCAAUCAAAUAUAUCUUAUUUGACAGUAUGCUUAAGAUAUUAGCUUGGGAAUAACAAGUUCCAUCUAUUACAAUGAUGACCACAUCUUAGGAGUGAUUAGUGUUGCUUUAUUUAUUUAUAUUCUAAAACUUGACUCUAAAAAACAAAGUACGAAUGACACUUAGGGCUGCUUGUGCAGGUGGCUUUGGCGCCAAAUAUUGGACAUGAUCCUCUGCUGUAUGCUCUCAAAGCCGUGCAAGUACUGGCCCUUUAUGACAAGUUAGAUGUUCUCGACAUCAAUAAGGUGACAGAUUGUAUCCUUGGGAAUAGAGCGUCUUAGAUUCACAAGUUCCUUGAUGAACUAACCUUAGGCUCUGUUUUGCAUUUAUAAGGUCAGAUUAUGUUGUGGAAUUUUAUAGCGUGUAUAUUGCUAACCAGACAUUGAUGAGGGGGGCUUUCUCUAUGGAGAUUGAAGUUGCUACUGUUGGAUUAUCUCUGGUAUCAAAUGUUAUACAUUGUUGUGCCUGAACGAAGAUGAAUCUUUCUCUGUGGAUAUAUGGAGAGAAGUUGAUGCUCGGUGUCUUGUCCUCAUCUUUGAUCAAUUAUUAUUUUUGUGCUUCUUGAGGAUGUUUCUUAAAUAAUUGACAUCCCUUCACCACUUUUUCCCUUCGAAGAUUCUCUCAUUGUGCUAGAUGCUGUCUUGCGAUACUGAAACGGUUGGAUUCGAUAAAUGUGGAGAAUGCUGUCAGAUAUAUAGUGAGUUUUCAAACUUUGGAUGGCGGGUCUGGUUGCAUUGCCGGUGCAGGGUCUCACCUGAAAUGAUACCAUUGCAAACAGCCUUGGCUUCCAUCUUGAUGGUAUAAUCACUGUGUGAACCACUGACGUCUAAGAUAUCCUAAGACAACGCACUAAUGUCCUUGCUCUCUCAACUAAUCUGCGUGGUAGUAUUUAAUAGUUGGAGAAAAUCAUUCGGUCUAAUAGCUAUAUCUCGCCUAAGAUAUUAUUAAGCUACGAUCUUCACAGGACAAUGAUCUCCUUAGGAUCGGUAAGACUAUAGUCUCAUAUAAAUAAAAUACGGUUUAAUCUUGGUGACAGUAUAUUUUGAGAAUGUAAACUUGACGUCAAGGCAUACUUAAUGAAUUUCAUAAAUCAUCUGUUUCAAAUAAUUUUUCUUUGCAAUUCCUAGGAUCCUACAGUGUGCAGUUCAAGAAGUGUACAUUCGGGGACACAGCAGGUCCACAAUUGACGGCAAGUAUCCCAAUCUGAAUAACCUCAGGACUUAGUAAAGUAGUAAUCAUGAGAUUAAGAGAACCGCUUAAAUCCUAGAAUAUUUGCUAACUGAGCAAGGAAGCACACUUCAAAUGCGUAAGACCUGCAAUGAGCGACAAUCGAAAAUUGCAUUCUCAUAAGCAGUCACACAGGACCUCAAAAGAAUUGCAGUUCUUUCCUCCCCUAGCUAAGCAAUAACGAAAGUUUCUCCAGUCCAAUGUCCUACCCUUGAAUAAUAUAGAGCAAAUCUAGCAAUCCAACCCAAUCUAGCAAGUAUGUCAUAACCUCAUGCUGGAGCUCUUUCGCUGGUUUCUAAUUUCUGAUUGGUGCUUAGAAACUCAUGUAUUUGCUUAAAUACACGGUGGUCUUCUAAUUAUGUUCCAAUGUACACAUCCAAAGGAUAAAACCGAGCUGCCACAGUUUCAAGACAUUCCUUAGGACUCAUCUUAGACGUGAGAAAGUCGGAAGGAAGGAAUUGCUGAUUCAGGAGGAGAAUUGGGCAUAAAACAAUAAAGCACCAAGCAAGUAAAUUAAGAUGCAAAAGAGCCUGACCAAGCACCUUCCUAAGUGGCUCAUUUUUCUCACUUCUUUCAAUUCAAAUUAGAAGAUAUGUGCAAAAGGGAGAACAGGAACGUGGGAGCAAUCAUGACGCGACAAGAUUUGGUGUUUCUACUUCAACAGAUAACAAAACCGUGUGUAUUUUGUCUAUAGCCAAUUGUCCAGUCGAUCACGUAGUAAAUUUGACCUGUCCAACCAUAUGCAGCAGACCUCAAAUUACCAAUGGAAACCACAACUGCCCAAAAUAUAAAUAAAUAAAAAAACCUAGAUAUCCCAUUUUAAUUAUGCAUGAUGAAGCAAGAAGAGAAGCACUGGCUGCUUCAUUUUCAAUCAUCAAGAGCUCAUCACAGGUAAUAAAGAGACAGUGGAUACUUAUUAAAGCGACCAUUAACCAAACUUUAGAAUGUACUUACAGACAAACUUUUCACGAGAAGAUGCUUAAUAUCCUGUGCACAGGAUUACGCUCAAUCGAGCAGUUCACAAAAGCAUAGCAACAUAACUAGGCUAGGCAUACAGACCCUUAUACAACUAUUAGCAUAUGAAACUAGAGCUACAGCUCAUGCUUAACUAUGCAAAACAAAUCACACGAUUACAUUCAACUAAACACCAACUGCCACACCAAAAAAACACCCCAAAAAAAGAAAAAAGAAAAAAAGAACACCAACUGCCGCACUUUUCUUACCUGUUCUUCAGCGAUUAGCUAGUGAUCCAGAGCUCGAGUUCAGGCCCAUGACUCCCGCCACUCAUGGAGUUAAUGAAUGCAACCGUUCGAGCCUCAUGUGGCACCAAAUUCCUCCAGCUGAGCGGCACUGAAGAAGAAAGUGUGCACGAGAGUGAAAAGUGGCACUGAAGAAGGACUUGAAGCUCGUGGACAUCGAACUGGAAGCUCACGAAUGACGAGCUUCAAGCUCGCGGACGACAGAACCUGGGAAAGGAGAGACGAUGGCGAACGACAGACUUAAGCUUGCGAGGAGCGAGCAAGGAUUGGGCGCGGAGUCGCCGAGAAGCAAGCGACAGCGAUUUGCUUGAGCAGCGGGAGAAAGGAAUAAGAACCCUAAUCCUAAUUCGAUUCGCGAUUUGAGACCGACCAACCCGCUUCGGUCCUAAAAUCCACUUCAGGCCCUUUUUCCCCUUUUUCUUUUUUCUUGUUCUUUUGCCGACUCUGUCUCUUUCUUCCUUUUCUUCUCUUUAUUUUUCUGGCCCUGCAGAAGGAAACAAUAAGGUGAGUUGAGAUCUAUUGGGACUAAAUUUCUCUUGAGAAAGGCCCUUUUGUUAUUAGAUGGUGAGGGAGGUAAGAUACCCAACGUCGCCACCGAAGUGGACACACACAACAUAUGGAGAUUCCCAGUAAGAUGGGGAAUUUUAAUAAGAUUUUCCUUGGUUGCGCGUUUUAGAAUCAGUUCACUGUCUCUCUUCACUAGAAUAAAGCAGAAAUAGAAAGCGAGCAAAGCAGAAGAAACACCGAUGAUCUAUGAAUAGAAAGAACGCGCACCGUUUUCUGCAAAGAAUCCCCUAUUUCUGUUUCAGAGUCCGUUGUUUCAGUUUCAGAGUUCCAUGCUUGAUUUGCUCCAUUCAGAUUCUGCAGAGAAUCCCCUGUUUCUGUUUCAGAGCUCCACGCUUGCUUUGCUCCAUUCAGAAUCUUCUCUCUGUAAGACUUCCAACGAUCAGGCCUAUAACCGAAGAGACAAGUCCUACAGUCGGGGAACUCCCCGCUAUCUAGUAUGGCUAUCGAGCAAUUAUCUGGUAUUUUUGAGCUCAGUGGAUCAAGAAUCCUUCCCACUGAUCCGCAGUAAUUAAUUCUCAAGUCACCCAAAAGCUCUAAUUCAUCAAUGCCCUCGACAACCUUCAGGCUUGGGCACUGGCCAAUCUCUAACAGCUUCAAGUUCUUCGAGUUUGACAAACCACCUAAGCUUUUUAACGAAAAGCACUCUUUUACACAAAAUUCUUCCAAUGAUUCAAACGCAGUAACAAAUUGAAUAUCCUGUACCUCGGCAAACCCUGACAGAAUAAAUUUUACAAGCAUCUUUUGGGAGCUUGGGAAAAGGAAGACUUCCCUCCCAUGAUCAGUCAACUCGGGAGCUUGUGGUUCACUGCACCCCGGCUCCCCCGGCAGACAAACCAACCUCUCAGAAGAUUUGCAAUCCUGAAUACGUGAUCUCUCCGACGAUUCUAAGACAUCUAGAAAUUGAACAUCUAGUUGCUGGUACACCUUGCUUUCUCUCGAUUUUCCCGAACUCGUUGAAAGGAAUAGAGUCUCCUUUUCCGAUGGAGGAAGCCCACCGAGGUGUACUUGUUUCCCUCGAGUUUCGUAGAGCUCUAAAUCUAUCAAGUUUGGAGGAAGUUGUUUGAAAGCUGGCAAGCCUAUGCCAUGUACAGUAAGUUCUUUCAGCAGAGAAAGCGAAUCCAACUGUGUACUUGGUGCGCAGACAUUGCAGACAUUUGGAAAGCGAAGGUACAGCUUCCUCAGUUUGGACAGCAUCCCGAUCCACCGCAAGUCACAAGUUUGAAUAACAUUUGAUGCGUUGCUAUAUUUAGAGUGAUUGGAUAGGACCAGCUCAACUAGAUUUGUGAGGUAUGAGAGGUUAGGAAUAGUCAGCAACAAAAUAGAUUCCACCCGUAGAGUGGUCAAACUUAUGGGGAGCCUUGGCCACUCUUGUAUCUCAUGACAAUAAUCCAAGUCCAGUUUGUGGGUUACACGAAACGUGCCCGUCAUAUCGGGCAUUUUUGGAAUUGGUAUCCAAUCUACAUCCAGCUUCGUUAACAACUUUAAUUUUGAAACAGAGCCAAGAAGUUUAAUCAAGCGAUCCCAACCAUCAAAACAGAUGUGCCGCAAAUUCUGUAAUUCUCCAAUUUGUUCAGGCAAUUUUUUAAGUUGCGAACAAUCCUUAAAACUCGAGUCCCUCAGCCAGCGAUCACUUUCCAUCAAAGCAGCAAAUAUAGAAAAUUUCAACUUCUCUAAAUUUGAGCACUCAGAAAAGGUUAGUGUCCCACUCAUCGAAGUACUGUUCUCAAUAGUGAGAACCUUCAAUUUCCUUGCCCCCUACAAAAGCCAAUGAAAGAGCAGGACAAACAAGAAAUAAAUAUGCAUUCAGGGUACCAAUGAGAAAAUUAAAUAAAAAAUCCAUAAAAUUCUGUCCUUCAUUGAAUGAGAAAAUUAGACUAAGAGGGAAACUAGCAUACCUUGAUUAGGCUAUCUAACAAAUCUUUUGUGAUUUCUAUCCCAUAAAGAUUGGCCACAACCACGUUUUCUAGAUGCAACAAAUUGGUUGCCUUCAAACGUUGAUUACGACGACAGUAACGCAAACGGAUCCAUUUCAACUUAGAAAGACAGCCCGUAAAGUCACCUCGGUAGAUUACUUCAUCCGAACAAAGAAACCGCAGACGUGGAAACCGUUUAAUUUGCUUCGAAGUGACAGAAGUGACAAUAGCACGGUGAUAAUAACUCCAUGGCAAAUUGAGUGCUUGAACGCUUUCUUUGAUCUGCCAAUUCGUAGAAGAGAAGAGAAAAUGAAACAAAAGAGCAGCUCUCAAAUCAAAAAGUGAAUCUUGAAUUAAGAAGAGGGUAUAAGCAAUUUUCUAUUCAAUUUAGGCCAUACUUUACCUCCGUUGAUCUUAAUUCGCGAAUGAUGUCGUCUUCAUCCCACAAUCUGAUACGCUCUUCUCUGGCAAUUUUCCUUCCAAGGUCUCUAAAUUGAUCGUGCAUCCAAAGGCUAUUAUUGUCUAACUCCUUUAUCAUGCAUCUGUUAAUGAGGACAUCCAUGGCAUCCUCUGGGUACAAAUUACAAUCUUUCUACACGUACAUUGGAUUAGUCUUAUUCUCACCAGCGAAAAAGCAUGCAAUAUCAAGGAAUAUCUGUUUUUCAUUCCGAUCUAAGGCAUCAUAGCUAAUCUUUAGCUUUGCCAAGACAUCCUUAUGAGGUGUUUUCUUUAGCCUCUCUAGCCACUCUUCCCAUAUCUCUCUCUUUUUCCUAAAAAGCGAUGAACCAAUUGCUUGAAGAGCUAAAGGUAGUCCAUGUGUAGUAUAGACAAUGCGCUUUGAAGAGUGCAAUAAUCAACUGGAGGAGAGUCGUCAUUGAAGGCAUGCCUACUAAAAAUUUUAAGUGCAUCUUUACCUUCCAACCCCAUCAUUUCAUAAUCCUUAAAUUCAGACUUAAAUUUCCUACUUGUCAGAACGUUCUUGUCCCUAGUAGUAACAAGUAUUAUACUACCUUGAUGCAAAGAUUUCUCUCCGAUUAGUUGUAGGAUUUGGUUGGCCUCAUCAACAUCAUCCAAUACAAUUAGCAUCCUCUUGUUGCAAAUUGUUGCUUCAAUCAUAUCAAUCCCUUGAUCAAUGUUAGCAAUAUUCUGAGCCACUUUAGAAUAAGAUAUAUCGGACAAUAAUUUUUUUUGCAGCUUGACUGUGUGCUUGCUUUUUGCCGUCUCCCUCACGUCAUCAAGAAAGCUGCAGUUUCUGCCAAAUCGAGGACAUAGUUCGUUGAAGAUAGUUUUGGCAAGUGUUGUUUUACCGAUGCCGCCCAUCCCAUAGAUUCCAAUGAACUGCACGUCAUCAGAAUCAAUGUCUAAUAAUUUCUUUAUGUUUGCUAUUUGAUCUUCCAUUCCAACGAAAUCUCCGGUUACACGUCUCCGUUUUGUCUCGAGCUUGGCCACAACCUCGUCAACAAUAGCCUGGAUGAGUUUUGGAGGGCUGCCACAAAGUUGAACAGUUUCAAUUGAGCAAACGUGACAAAUUUGCAUAUUGAUCAUCUACUAACCAACCGGGUGGGGGCGCGAUCAAGUUCAAAAAUAUAGAAGAGAAAUGUUAUCAGGUAGAAGAAUCAGAAUUUCUGGCAAAAAAGGGUAGAAGAAUCAAAAUAUAAACAUCUAAUGAAUUAAUGUACUGGAAUAUUUACUUAAGUAAAAAAAUGGCAGCCCGAUUAUCCAAAAUAAUUUUCACAAUCGUGGUUAGAUUGUUACCUUGAAUGUUUCUCCACCUCCCAUCCCUUGAUGCCACCAACUUCUAUGAGAGACUCCCGCCACGUCUUUAUAUUCUCGGAGCUGAACUUAUGCUCCUGAUCCUCCAUCUCUUGCUCCAAAUUCGAUAUGACAUCCUUGUAUAACGGUGUUUGCAGCUUCACAUCUUUGGGCUUCACGUCAUAGAAGAUGGGCAAUAUGACCUUCUCUUUCCCAUCUUCUUUAUGUUUAGAGGUGUUCUCCAUCAUUUUCGCAAGCUCGUCAAGGCACCAGUGACUUGAAGCGUAAUCUUUGGAGAAGAUGGGUAUGUAAAGCUUGCAAUUGUCAAUCACUUGCAGAAGGUUGCUAAUUUUUUCACCAGGUUGAAGCCCUAUGUCAUCGAUGAAAACACGAAUCUCGGCAUCUACCAAGGCUUGGUGGAGGAAAUUGGUGAAUGAAAGACAAGUAUCAGGCCCUCUAAAACUCAGGAAAAUCUGGUAUUCAAAUAUGUGCUCGUUCCUGUCCCAGUUUUUGCCAUAGGCGCUCACUUCGCACUUAACAACGUCAGCCCUCUCACCUCGUCUCUGAGUUCGCAAUAUGACAUUUCACAUAUUUGAAUCCAAUCCCAUUUGCCAUCCAAAACGCGGAUAGGCAACUUCGUAGCAGGUGCUGUUUCUAGUUUACAGUCAAUCAAGUUGAUGACUUCAAAAAAGAAAAAUAAGGCGAAGGACGAUAAUGGAGAUGCACCUUUUUACACGCCCAAUGUCCUUCGAGUUUCUUCCUUUGUCCUUUUCACUUUGUGCCUUUGAAAAAGAAAAAUACGGUGGAGGACAAUAACGGAGGUGCACCUUUUUGCAUGCCCAACGUCUUUCGAGUUUCUCCUUUGUGCUUUUCACUUUGUCUUGAUCUCUCCGCCUUGAAAACUUACCUUCAAUUAUUAUCAAUUUCCUUUAACAACUCAAUUAUUGUCGUAAAAUGUGCCUUUAUAUUAAAAAUUAAUGAUCAUUUAUUUCCUACUAACAACUAUUAGAAUGUAAGCAUGGUGUAGUUAGUGCAGUUUGGAUGUCAAAUCAAACCAAACUAUAUAAAUAUGCUAGAAUAUAUUUUGAGUUUGAGCACCUUGGAUGAAAUAGGAGCAGAUGAGAAUUAUAGGCGCUCGACCACUGUUCAAAAUUGAUGAGAGGAAGUGCAGUGAUGGCUUCUCAAUGGCCAUGAUGCCAGUCCAUUGCGGUAUUGCUUUAAGCACAAAAGAAAAUUAGUUUUCACUAGAAUUGUAUAGUAUAUAGACAUUAUGAGCAUUUACAUUACGAUGCAUAUAGUUUAAAAGAAAAAAAUUUAAAAAUGGAAAAAAUAAAAAUAAAAAAUUAACUAAUUGAUUAUAAAAUUAUUAUUUAAAAACGAAAGAAGAAGAAAAGAAAAAGUGAGAUCGGGCCAGGGUCAAGCCGACCCAGCCUUCUUUCCCUUUCUUUUCUACCUUUUCUUUUUGCCUAGGCCCAGCCCGGCCCACUUUUCCUUUUCUUUUCCCUAAGCCCAGCCUCUUCCUUCAUCUUCUCCCUCACGAGCUUCCACUCAUUCACGCUCUCACGCGUUCUGCAAAAAAUAAAAAGGAGGACGAAUGAUGGAAGCAGAGGCGGGACGGGGAGUGAGGAGCGCGCCUUUUGGGUCGGGAGAAGGCCGGCAUGGUGAGCUGGCGGUGGCAGAGGCGAUGUGCGCUUGCCGGGAGUUAGAGGGGGAUUCUGGGGGCUCGGACAGAGGGAGAAAUGGACGGAGAGACAAAGGGGGAGACAAAGGGGAUCCGGCCAAAAGGGAGACUGAGAGUGAGAGAGCAGAAAAUUCGCCCCGGCUGAGCGCCGUUCGGCCAUCCUCGACACAACCCAGCGCCCCUAAGCCGUUACACGGCGUCCGAUUUCUGGUGAGUUGAGUUUCGAUUUUGAUCCGCCAUUUUCCCAUGGUUCCUAGCUUGGCGAAACUGAGAUGGCUGGCUAUAGUUCGAUUCGCAUUGAGACCGGCUUCCGGCCGUCGUCGCCAAGCCGGGUAAGGCCUCCACGGUCGCGCGCUCUGGCGCCCCUUUUUUGUCAUUUCUUUACUGCUCUAUUUUUGCCCUCUUUCGGGCACGCCGGGCCGAAGCUCGCGGCCGUCUGGCUCACGCGUCCGGCCCCUUUGCCCCUGUGUUUUGAUAUUGUUGGUCUGGUGGGUCGUAUGUCGAGGGGACUGUGCGAGUUUGAGUCCUGGCUAAGCCAGAGCCCCUCGUUCAGUAUCGCACGCCACCCACUCGAUGAAACGCCUCAACGAGAUCUAAUUUUAGUCUUCUCCUUUUUCUUUUUUUUUUUUCCAAAAUCGAGUCCUUCGCACUAGAGGUGUGCAUGGUCCGGGCAGAUAGUUCCCGACCUAUGAUUGGGAACCGCCACUAAGGGUUGGUUCCGAAAAAUUAGAACCGGAUCCAUCUGUUUGUGGCAUGGAUCCACCUGAGAACCGAACCGCCGGUUCGGUCCAGUUCCCGGGUGGAUUCAUGGAACCGGUAUCACUAAGCACGAGAAGAAAAUCUUAAGCUAAGGAAAACCCAAUAUAAAAAAGGAGGACAUAAUUGAUCUCAAUUCUUAACUGCACAAAAUGAAAGAGAAAACACGUUUGUUUCGGUCUGAUCAAGUCAUGAGGUAGAAAUUUUAAGACUUUAUUAGUUGCUUGACUUACGAAGUAGUAUAUACUUUCGCUGGGCAACCAAAAAACACAAAACCUAAGUUUCAUAAUCGACUUCAGUCUCUCAGUUAUGUUACAACCGAUAAGCUUUCGAGACCAAUGAGUUAUAGCAUAUCAGCCCCAGCACCAGAACCCUCGCAAUCCAAAAUUCAUCGCUACAUGCAAAAAUCAAAUAAUAUAAAUCAAGAAUUUCCCCUCCGGACCAGGUGAUUUCCACAACUUCAGAAAACUCGCUCGUCUAAUUUGCUUUUUCGCUCCGAUCGGUUCGACAAAAGCAAGUAUCCAAGUACAGACUCGGCUUAAUUUCAACCUCAAAGAAGGAAAAGGUAGAAAGGAAGGACGAAAUCCAGAGCCGAAAAUCCCUUGAACAUUGAAGAGAAAUACCACAAUGGAGCAAGGAAUUCGCUUCGCAAAACUACUCCAUUUUUUUUUAAUAUUAAAAAUUAAUCGGUCCGGUCUGAGUGGGCGGGCGGGUGGAUCCACCCAUGGAACCGGGUGAGAUAGCUAGUAUAAGCACCUAGAGGGAGGUGAAUAGGUGUAAAAAAUAUUUUCUCGAGAUAAGAGAGCAAUACUAAGCAGACAAUAGAAAGUAAAUUCUCUUUUCGUUAACAAAGCGAAUUAUGAUCAAAGUAAACCAGAGAGUAGGGAAAAGAAAAUGAACACAGAAAUUAUAGUGGUUCGGCUUAUUCCAAGCCUACGUCCACUAUUCCACACUGACAGCCCACCGGCUAGAUUUCACUAUGAACAAAAGAGUUGUUAUAGCAAGGCUCUCCCUUGAUUCCACAGUGUAGAUACUCUACCACACUUCCUCAAGGUUUCUCAAGAAUAUGAACUCUCUUUUGCGUACAAGAUUUCGCUCAGAAAAUGAAUUGACUAAGAACAAAGAACAAAGAGCUUCAGCCUUUGGAAUUCUUCUAUCGCGCACACACUCAAACAACUGGAACGACUUCCUUAUAUACUCCUUUAUGCCAUCAUACUCGUUGGCACUUACCAAAAGAAUUCUUCCAAUCUUCCCGUUGGACAGAAUCAAUUAGGAAGAUCAUUCGAGCUAUUUAAGGAACAUGUCGAUAGCCCAUCAAUCCUGCUCGCCCAUACAAUCAGGAUCUCGGUUUCCAUAAGUAGAACCUUCCAAGUAUACUUCGCCAAUCAUCGGAUCCUCAAUCUUUGAGUCAAUAAAGGAUCCGUUAUGUCAUAUCCAGCCAAGAGAUAUUCUCCAGUCGAUAAGGUCAAAUCCUUAACGAAACAUCCAGUCCUAUAUAGCCAUUCUUCGACGGAUUAAAAACUGUCAAUGAGAAUAGACUUUGAGUCUUGAGUCUGGCAGUCUGGAGGUCUUCAGACUUUAAAUAGUAGAGUCUGCAAAUCUUCAGACUAGACUGAUGGAAACGUUUUGUCGGCUUCAAAAUACUCCAGGAAGAUUUCUCCAACAAUCUCCCCCUUUUUGAUGGUGACAAAACUUUCCUACAGAUUUGGAUAACUUUGACCUGCAAAACAUUACUCAAGCAAAUAUGGAUAUCUCAUAAAGAUAAAUGGCUUAUUGAUAACACUAGAAUCUGCAACCACAGAAAAUAGGUUAGUCUUGCAUAUGAGUAAAGCCAUCCAUAAGAUAUCAAUAGUACUUAAUAUAAGCAGUCAAUCCAAAAUCCAAAAUCCAGUCCACAGCCAGACACAAAAGUCAAGUCAAACAUAAAAACAAAUCAAAAGUUCAAGUUCAAAAAAGUUCAAGGUUCAAAGUUCAAAUCACAUCUCUCCCCCUUUUUGUCAUAAUAAAAAAGGUUGAGAUGGAAUCAAGAAUGCUUGGGAACACAAACAAGCUGGAAAUCUCCCAUUGACUGGACAACGCCUUCUAGCUUUGUCAACUCUUCCUUCAGUUGAGUCACCUCUUCACCUUUAGCAUUUGCUUGAAUCUGAAGAGCAAGGGCUAGGAUCUGAUCAUUCAAAGAAACUGAAGAAGCUUGACUUGCAUUCUGCAAAUUCUGUACUUCGCAUCCCAGAGCAUAUAUCUGACCCCGCAUUUCUAAGAGAACAUCAAGAAUUCUGCAAAAAUCUGUUGAAUUUUCAGUCUGCAUACUGGCUUCUGCACGAUCAGAUGGAGUAAAGGCAGACGAUGGCAAAUCAGCAUAGUCACGCAGAUUGGGCGAUGAAACAUCAUGUCCCUCCUCAGGAAAUUGAGAGGCAUAGAUGUCCUCUGGAUCUGUUGGAGAGCGGCUGACUCCUUCACUGGUAGCAGGAUAUGAGGACAUUCCUCUUUUCUCACGAUCUCCCCCUGUUUCCAUGCCUUCAGGUGGAGAAGAGUGUUCCUCAUGCUCUCCUUCCUCUUGAUCUCCUCUUUCCUCUUCUUCUUCUUCUUCUUCUUCUUCAAUUCUUUCCUCCUCUGCAUCUCUUUCUUCAGCUCCUCUCUCCUCUGUUUCUUUCUCUUCUGCUUCCAAAUCUUCUCUUUCUCCAGUCCUCUGUUCUGUGUCUUUCUCUUGUCGUUCCGUUGAUUCUGGAACAGAACGACUUAGGUUCUUUAAUGCCAUUGCAAUAAUGGUGAUGUCUUCCUCAUCUUCUUCAUCCUCAACAAUGAGAGCUCUUCUUUUCUUGGAUGGAGCAACCAUGGGCUCCUUCCCUUUUCCUUUUGUUGCCGAAGAGAUUUGAUGAGUUUUGACAGGGGUUUUCUCCUUGAAUUUCUCCAACGCCUUGUUGAGUUCCUUCAGACCCAUUUUAGACACCAUUUUCAGUCCCACUACCAUUUGAUCACAAGUUUGAACACAGAGAAUCCGGGGAGGCUGAACAUUCAAAUGUCUUAAUAACUUUGUCACAAGAGCUGGAUAAGGAAGUUGACCCUUGUCCUUCACCACUGCUCUAUACAUGUGGAAUAUAAUAGUAUGAGGAAGAGAGAACUUUUUCCCAGCAUUGAUGGCAUACAUCAGCUUUGCCUUUGAGUUUGAAACAUUAGUCUUUGAAGUAGAUUUUGGUCUGAGGCAAUUGAUCACAAUCUUGUGAAGCAGAAUGUUGAACGCACUCAUCCUCGAGUAGGAAACCUUUCCCUCUGUCCUUCUAUCCUUAACAAGUUCCAACGUAGUACGAGCAAUAGAGACAUUGAAAGGUUGAUAUCUCCCUCUCUCAACCCCAAUCACAUCAGCCAACAUAUCUACAUCCACCACAUAGUCCUGAUCUCGGACACUAAAAGAGAAUCUAUUCGCAUUUAAGAAACUGAGAUUCGAAUAAAAAUAUGCAGUGAGUUCAGCAUAGGCUUCUGUAGAUUCAGAACAGAAUUAUUCAAGUUGAAGAAGACUGAAUUUUUCCCUUAAAUCCACACUUCUAGGGUUUAUGACCCCACGCUUCAACAACUUAGAGUAUAGAUGCUUGUGUUCCUCCGAUCGAAACAAGUCUAUCCUUUUGCUCCGAAUUUUUGCCGCAACACCCAUUCUCGGUUUAAACUGACUGUACAACUUGUCAUCAGCAUUCCCAUCUGGCUGAUUCAGCCCUCCAACACGUGGAUCGAUUGGAAUAUUUUCCAUUACCUCUUUUGCCGACCCAGCAGGGCAAUUCCCAACCGUUCCAUUGUGCGUAAAAAGAAGGUUUCAUUUUUGUACCCUUUGUCUUUUAGAAAUUCGUCAAUGUAGUUCAAAGGAGUUCCACCUCUUUUCAAAGCACGAUAAAGCUUGUAGGUAAAAGAGGGCUUAAGAGUUCUUACGGGUUCUGCAUCUUCGAUUAUUUCUUCCUCUUCUCGACGAGCAACAUCCUGUGGACUAGAUAGAGAAGAUGGACGCUGCUAAGAAUGUUGUGAGCUCUGCUGCUGAUUAGGAAACUCUUCUUCCUCGGUGAGAUCAAAGUGCGUAGGCCCCUCACGCAUUUGCUACGGUCCCCUGUUCGCGAUCCUCGAAGACUUCCUUUGAGACGACAUCUUUCACAGUCUUUGAAAGAUUCCAAACUUGACUUUCCCAAGAAAGAUGACAACUUUUCGAAGAUUAAACAAGAGAAGAAGACAGAAGUGGAAGAUCGAUGCUUUUUAGGGCUUUUAGAGUUAAACGAAGAGGAACCGACAGUAUAUAGGUCAGUCGAAGAGAGGCAUACAAAACGUCAUAAUGGAAAGUAAAAAGAUGCAUUUAAAAAAAAUAACUGCCUUUUUCAAAAAAUUAGAUAACUGCCAUUUAAAAUUAACUCCAUUUUCGAAAAAGAAAGAUUGCACUAAUCACGGAAAUUGAAAGUAGCAAAAAUCAAUUAUGGACAAAUGAUCGCACCUUUUCAAGAUUUAAUCUGAGAGAGAAUAAAAUAAUUUACAAUCAAAGAUCUCGAUUGUCUGAGUCUGAGAGUCUCUAGACUUUUACUUCUUCAAUCCUCAAGAUGUUGAGUCUGGAACGAAUGAUUUCAAAUUGAUUUUUCUCCAACGGUUUCGUGAAUAUAUCCGCCAGUUGGUUCUUUGAGUCAACAAACUGAAUCGAAACUUCUCCAUUCUGAACAUGAUCUCUAAUGAAGUGAUGUCGAAUCUCUAUAUGCUUUGCUCUUGAGUGAAGAAUUGGAUUCUUGGUGAGAUUGAUUGUGCCGGUGUUGUCACAGUUAAUCUCCGUGCAUGAAUCUUCAAUUCCACAGUCUCUUAGCUAUUGUUUUAUCCAUAGAAUUUGUGAACAACAACUUCCAAGAGCUACAUACUCUGCUUCUGCUGUAGAAAGAGCCACUGUAUUUUGCUUCCUUGAAAACCAAGACACUGUCCUGCUUCCAAGUAGUUGAUAGGUACCCGAGGUGCUCUUUCUAUCAACUCUGCAUCCGGCUAGAUCUACGUCUGAGUAUCCAAGAAGAGUAAAGUCUCCCUUUUUAGGAUACCAAAGACCAAGGCUUGAAGUUGAUGCAAUGUAUUUGAUAAUACGCUUUGCAUCACUUAGAUGAGAUUCUUUAAGGUCUGCUUGAAAUCUAGCACAAAUGCAAACACUAAACAAAAUGUCAGGUCUAGAAGUAGUAAGAUAAAGAAGUGAACCAAUGAUACUCCUGUAUAGCUUCUGGUCAACUUUCUUUCCUCCUUCAUCUUUGUAUAUCUUCAAAGAACUUGACAUUGGUAUAUCAGUCUUUUUGCAAUUUUCCAGUCCAAACUUUUUGACAAGAUCAUUAGCAUAUUUUUCUUGAUGAAUAAAGGUUCCUUCCUUCAAUUGUUUCACUUGAAGUCCAAGAAAGAAGGUUAGUUCACCCAUCAUGCUCAUUUCAAAUUCAUCCUGCAUAGACUUAGAGAAUUUCUUGCACAGACUUUGAUUAGAGGAUCCAAAAAUAAUAUCAUCAAAAUAUAUUUGAACAAGUAGAAAAAUUUUGCUUUCUCUUUUGAUAAACAGAGUAGUGUCUACUUUACCUUUGACAAAGCCGUUUUGAAUUAAAAAUUUACUCAGCCUGUCGUACCAAGCUCGAGGUGCUUGCUUUAAACCAUAUAUAGCCUUUUUCAGUCUGAAUACUGAGUCUGGUUUCCUUGGGUCUUCAAACCCAGGUGGUUGUUCCACAUAGACUUCCUCAUGGAUAAAUCCAUUCAGGAAAGCACUUUUGACGUCCAUUUGGAAUAACCUGAAAUUCUUAUAACAAGCAAAAGCAAGUAAUAAUCUAAUUGCUUCUAACCUCACUACUAGUGCGUAAGUCUCAUCAUAGUCUAUCCCUUCUUCUUGCGUAUAUCCCUUGGCCACGAGUCUUGCUUUGUUUCUUACGACCUUUCCUUUCUCAUCCAUCUUGUUCCUGAAAACCCAUUUAGCUCUAAUAAUAGAUUUACCUUUCGGUUUAGGAGUCAAUUCCCAGACAUCAUUAAUACUGAAUUGCCUGAGUUCUUCUUGCAUGGCUUCAAUCCAGCUUUCAUCAGAUAAAGCUUCUUUUAUGCUUUUGGGUUCUAUUUCAGAAAUAAGAGCCACAGCACUAGACUCUUCGCACCUUUUGGAUCUUGUGCGAAUUCCUUCAUUAAUGUCGCCUAUAAUGAGAUCUUUGGGAUGACUGGACUUAUGCUUCCAGUUACUGGUUGAUUUGUCAGGUUGAUGAUCACUUUCUUCAUUUGAAUCUUCAACAAUCAUUUGAUGCUGGUCUUUCGAAGUCUGAGCUGCUUCUUGAGAUUUAGACUUUGUAGAGUCUAGAGCAGGUUCAGAUUCUUCAAGAUGAGUCUAAAUAGAUUCAUUUUGCAUAGAAUCUUGGAAUUUGACAUUCAUUGAUUUCUCCACAGAUUGAGUCUUCUUAUUGUAGACUCUGUAGGCUUUGCUUGAGGUAGAAUAUCCAAGGAAGAUGCCUUCGUCUGAUUUUUCUUCAAACUUGCCAACUCGAUCAUUUGCAUUUUUCAAUAUAAAGCAUUUACAUCCAAACACAUGAAAAUAUGAAACAAUAGGCUUCUUUUCUUUGAAUAACUCAUAGGGGGUUUUUUUUCCAGAAUAGGUCUUAGAAAAACUCUAUUAAUAAUAUAACAUGCUGUAGAAACUGCUUCAGCCCAAAAACGUGAAGAGAUGUUACUUUCAAUUAAAAGAGUUCUAGCCAUUUCUUGAAGCGACCUAUUCUUUCUUUCCACAACUCCGUUUUGCUCUGGAGUAUAUGGAGAGGAGAACACAUGCUGAAAACCAGAUUCAUCACAGAAUUUUGUAAAAUCUUGAUUUUCAAAUUCACCUCCAUGGUCUGUUCUUAUACUUGAAAUAACAUACCCUUUUUCAUUUUGAAUCUUUUUAGCCAACUUUUCAAAGUAAGAAAAGGUUUCAGACUUACUUGUCAGGAAAUAUACCCAAGUAAAUCGUGAGUAGUCAUCCAUAAUUACUAGGCAAUAUUUCUUACCUCCAAUGCUCUGAGUUCUGAUUGGUCCAAAGAGAUCCAUAUGCAGAAGCUGUAGUACACGAUUAGUGGAAACUUGAUUUAUUGGUUUAAAGGAAUUUCUUACAUGCUUUCCCAAUACACAUGGUGUACAUAGAUCAGACUUUUGGUAUGACAGAUUGGGUAGACCACGAACUAGUUUCUUUGCUAAAAUUUUGGCUAUUUGCUUCAUAUUGAUGUGCCCAAGUUUUAUGUGCCAUAAGUUCGCUUCGUCUUGAAUUGAGAUUAGACAUUGCGAUUCAUCUGGUUUCACGUCCAAGAGGUAGAUAUUUCCAUGUCUUCGACCCAUGAAUGAUUGAGUAGAAUCUUUACUGGUUCCUGAACAUAUUCCUUCUUGAAAGUUGAUUUUGAAACCGGUAUUGCACAGCUAACUGAUACUGAGCAGAUUGUAGUUGAGUCCUUCCACUAAGGAAACAUUGCUGAUUGUGAGGUUUCCAAUCUUUACAGUUCCGAAUCCUACAAUUCUUCCUUUGCUGUUUCCUCCAAAUGAGACUUUUCCACCAUUUACUUGAAUAAGCUUUAUGAAGCAAUUUGAAUCUCUUGUCAUAUGUCUUGAGCAUCCACUAUCUAGAUACCAUUUUACCUUCUUCUUGAUAGUGACCUGUAUUUAAAAAAGAGACUCAAACUUUCUUUGGUACCCAUAUUUUCUUGGGUCCAUUGGUGUUAGUAUGAUAUGCGGUUUUUACCCAUACUUUCUUAACAGGUUUCCAAACCAUAGGACAUUAUUUCUCAAAAUGAUCUAAACUAUUGCACUUUGAACAUCUGAGAGCAUUGCAACCUACUGGUUUUACAAAGACCUUUUUUAAAUGGUUUUUGUAAGCAUCUCUUGUGGGUCUUUGCUUAAUUCUUUCAUUCACUUUAGGAAAAUCAAUUAAAGGAAUGGUUUCCACAGUCAUUCCCAAACCAGAUUUAUUGAAAUAAGGUUUUUGUGCUGAAAGAAUUUUCUCAAGUUUCUCAGAUCCUAUUGAAAAUCUUUUGGAAAUAUUUUAUAUGUCAUUUUUUAAAAAUACAUUUUCUUUCGAAAGGUUGUCUUCUCUUUCUUUAAGAGUAGAAACAUUCAUGUCUAAACAUUUCACCUUUUCUUUCAAAAUAUUUUCCUGUUUUUUCAGUGCAGAAUUUUCCUUUUUAAGUUCGGAAAUCCUUUUAAGAGAGGUCUUAAGACUAAAACACAACUCAUCAAUGUAUUUAGAAACUUUAAUGGAGAUUUUAGAGUUACUCACCUCAAAUUCACUGUCUAAAUCUGAGCCUGUCUCGGAGUUUGAAUCUAAAUCCGAUUGUGCCAUCAGACAUAUAUUGGCAUAAUCAUCAUCACUUUCUUCACAUUAUGUAUCACUCCAGGUUUCUGCUUUAAGAGCCUUUCGAUACUUUUAAGCUUUUCCUUUCUUCUUCCUCAGAAGAGGACAGUUGGGUCUGAUGUGUCCCAUAUUCUUACAUUCAAAGCAAACUACAUCUCUAUUUGAUUCAUCCUCCUCAACAGACUUAGUCUGUUGCUUUUGAAAACUUUGUUUCUUUGGAUUGAAUCUUCUUCCUUUUCUGUUCAGCUUUCUGAAUCUUCUUAUCAUGAGAGCAAGCUCCUCAUCAUCCAUAUCAUCUUCAGAAUCUGUAACAUCAGAAUCAUCAUUGGAUUUUAAUACAAUGGAUUUCUUACUUUUAGGAUCUUCGUCUUCAUUGAUUCGUUCCACUUUAUAAGACUGAAGAGUCCCAACCAACUCAUCAACAGAUAGUGGCAUAAUUCUUUGUGUCUCCCUUAUUGAGGUCUUUAUAUGAUUCCAAUCCUUGGAGAGUCCACGCAGCAGCUUGUUUACUUUCAUGGGAUCAGAAAUUGGUUGACCUUGAUUUUCAAGACCAUUCACGAUUUCUGUAAAAUGACUAAACAUGUCAGUUAUAGAUUCUCCUGAUUUCAUUUUGAAGGCUUCGUAUUGACCGAGGAGAAUGUUGAUUCUGGUUUCUUUCACUCGAUCGGUUCCUUCAUAGGUAAUAUGUAAUAUAUCCCAAACUUCUUUCGCUGUAACACAAGAAGAUAUUCUGUUAUAUUCAAUAGGUGACAAAGCACAAUAUAAAGAAUAAAUUGCUUUUGCAUCAAAAGCUUGUCUCUUGGUUAUCUCUUCCUGAGUCAUUUCACUAGACUCAACAGUUUCUUUUCCUCUCUCUGAGACAAGUGCAGCUUUAGGAAUGAUUCCUUUGUCUACAACGUCCCAUUCUAGAGGAUCCUUUGAUCUUAGGAACGUCUUCAUCUUGUUUUUCCAUAUGUUGUAUUCCUUUCCAUCAAAGUAAGGCGGUCUGGUAUUGCUUUGCCCUUCUACCAGCCCUGGAGCUAACAUACUAGCCAUGGAUCUUUAACUCUGAAGUAAAACACGUCAAACAAAGUGAGUACACAGGCUCUGAUACCAAUUGAGAUAGCUAGUAUAAGCACCUAGAGGGGGGUGAAUAGGUGUAAAAAAUAUUUUCUCAAGAUAAGAGAGCAAUACUAAGCAGACAAUAGAAAGGAAAUUCUCUUUUCGUUAACAAAGCGAAUUAUGAUCAAAGUAAAGCAGAGAGUAGGAAAGAGAAAAUGAACACAUAAAUUAUAGUGGUUCGACUUAUUCCAAGCCUACGUCCACUCUUCCGCACUGACAGCCCACUGGCUGGAUUUCACUAUGAACAAAAGAGUUGUUACAGCAAGGCUCUCCCUUGAUUCCACAGUGUAGAUACUCUACCACACUUCCUCAAGGUUUCUCAAGAAUAUGAACUCUCUUUUGCGUACAAGAUUUCGCUCAGAAAAUGAAUUGACUAAGAACAAAGAGCUUCAGACUUUGGAAUUCUUCUAUCGCGCACACACUCAAACAACUGGAACGACUUCCUUAUAUACUCCUUUAUGCCAUCAUACCCGUUGGCACUUACCAAAGGAAUUCUUCCAAUCUUCCCGUUGGACAGAAUCAAUUAGGUAGAUCAUUCGAGCUAUUUAAGGAACAUGUCGAUAGCCCAUCAAUCCUGCUCGCCCGUACAAUCAGGAUCUCGGUUUCCAUAAGUAGAACCUUCCAAGUAUACUUCGCCAAUCAUCGGAUCCUCAAUCUUUGAGUCAAUAAAGGAUUCCGUUAUGUCAUAUCCAGCCAAGAGAUAUUCUCCAGUCGAUAAGGUCAAAUCCUUAACGAAACAUCCAGUCCUGGAUAGCUCUUCUUCGACGGAUUAGAAAUUGUCAAUGAGAAUAGACUUUGAGUCUUGAGUCUGGCAGUCCGGAGGUCUUCAGACUUUAAAUAAUAGAGUCUACAAAUCUUUAGACUAGACUGAUGGAAACGUUUUGUCAGCUUCAAAAUACUCCAGGAAGAUUUCUCCAACACCGGGAACCGGACCGGUACCCACCGGUUCCCAUAAAUUGGAAUCGGGAAUCAAACCGGUUCCCUCAAGAACCAUCGGUUCCGGGCGGAUCCCGGUUCUUUUGCACAACCCUAGUUCGCACUUGUUGCGUUCUAUUGCUGUGUCUCUACAAUGUUUGGUGUUACGGGCACGGCCGUUUGGUCGCUUCACUGCCCCUGCGACUGCUGUUGUUUACUUUAUUUUGUGUUUCGGGCUUUGUGGCCGACGAUAAUGGGGGCUUGUUACUGUGGUUCAACAAUGCUGGCUGUCACCAAGCGUCGAGAGCUGUCGGAGCUAGAGCGUGGUCAGGCUGAGGGCGGCAGUGUUGUUGGCCAUUAGGAGAAGACGGUGGCAGCAGGAGGUCAGAAGCAAUUAGGUUAGAAGGCUUAAUUAGGAUGGGCUUAAGUUAUUUAGUGGGUUUAGGUUCAUUUAUAGUUUUCAUGGGAGUUAAAAAGUCUAUUGAUUUUGGGCUCAACUAGGAUUUAUUUGGGUCUAGUUCUAGUUAUAUUUGGACCGGUGAUUUUUGGGUCUAAUUUGCUUUAAGGUAUGUUUGUUUUGCGAAAACUCAAUGAUAUAAAAAAGCUUUUAAAUAAAAUAUUUUCCAGGAAUACAAUUAGUUUUCCUUUAACUGGUAAUAUAUAAUUGAAAAUGUUUUUUGAUUUUUGAAUAUUAUUGCAAAAUGAUUUCAAUCUCGUUACUUUAUUUCAAGCAAAAAAAUUCGAAUUUUUAAAUUUUUAGAAAAAUUGAAAAUUUUAAUUAUUUUAUUUUUCUCUUUUUUAUUUUUAUUGUCUUUUUUUUCCAAAAAAAAAAUCUAAUUUUUAAUUUUUUGUAAUAAAGAGACAAUGGAUUCUCAUUAAAGUGACCAUUAUCCAAGUCUUAAGAGUAUACUUAGGGCGCGUUUGGCAACGAUUCUGUUCCCGGGAACUGAUUCUAAGUAAAAGAACGUGUUUGGUAACUGUCUAAAAUUUUUGAUUCUGGAAUAGAAUUGCGUUUGAUAACGUGUCCAUUGAUUCUGUUCCAAAUUAUUUUUUCUAUUUUUAAAUAAUUUUUUUCUACUUUUUUUUUUUUUUUUUACCUUUUUUCAAUUUUUCCUUUUCUUUUUUCAUUUUUUCUUUUCAUUUUUUCCUUCUUCUCAUAUUUUUCUUUUCUUCUUGUGGUCCGGCGACCGGCCGGAUGAGGGCCGGCGACCUCACCAAAGCGUCGCCGGCCCUCGGCGAGGCUGGCCCUCGUUGGCCGAGCGUCGCCGGAAGCCUCGCCCAGCUGCCGGCAACGCUCGCCCAGCCCCGCCGAGGCUUGGCCUCGCCAGAUCUGGUGAGGCCGAGCGUCGCCAGUGGACAGGCAGGCCUCNNNNNNNNNNNNNNNNNNNNNNNNNNNNNNNNNNNNNNNNNNNNNNNNNNNNNNNNNNNNNNNNNNNNNNNNNNNNNNNNNNNNNNNNNNNNNNNNNNNNNNNNNNNNNNNNNNNNNNNNNNNNNNNNNNNNNNNNNNNNNNNNNNNNNNNNNNNNNNNNNNNNNNNNNNNNNNNNNNNNNNNNNNNNNNNNNNNNNNNNNNNNNNNNNNNNNNNNNNNNNNNNNNNNNNNNNNNNNNNNNNNNNNNNNNNNNNNNNNNNNNNNNNNNNNNNNNNNNNNNNNNNNNNNNNNNNNNNNNNNNNNNNNNNNNNNNNNNNNNNNNNNNNNNNNNNNNNNNNNNNNNNNNNNNNNNNNNNNNNNNNNNNNNNNNNNNNNNNNNNNNNNNNNNNNNNNNNNNNNNNNNNNNNNNNNNNNNNNNNNNNNNNNNNNNNNNNNNNNNNNNNNNNNNNNNNNNNNNNNNNNNNNNNNNNNNNNNNNNNNNNNNNNNNNNNNNNNNNNNNNNNNNNNNNNNNNNNNNNNNNNNNNNNNNNNNNNNNNNNNNNNNNNNNNNNNNNNNNNNNNNNNNNNNNNNNNNNNNNNNNNNNNNNNNNNNNNNNNNNNNNNNNNNNNNNNNNNNNNNNNNNNNNNNNNNNNNNNNNNNNNNNNNNNNNNNNNNNNNNNNNNNNNNNNNNNNNNNNNNNNNNNNNNNNNNNNNNNNNNNNNNNNNNNNNNNNNNNNNNNNNNNNNNNNNNNNNNNNNNNNNNNNNNNNNNNNNNNNNNNNNNNNNNNNNNNNNNNNNNNNNNNNNNNNNNNNNNNNNNNNNNNNNNNNNNNNNNNNNNNNNNNNNNNNNNNNNNNNNNNNNNNNNNNNNNNNNNNNNNNNNNNNNNNNNNNNNNNNNNNNNNNNNNNNNNNNNNNNNNNNNNNNNNNNNNNNNNNNNNNNNNNNNNNNNNNNNNNNNNNNNNNNNNNNNNNNNNNNNNNNNNNNNNNNNNNNNNNNNNNNNNNNNNNNNNNNNNNNNNNNNNNNNNNNNNNNNNNNNNNNNNNNNNNNNNNNNNNNNNNNNNNNNNNNNNNNNNNNNNNNNNNNNNNNNNNNNNNNNNNNNNNNNNNNNNNNNNNNNNNNNNNNNNNNNNNNNNNNNNNNNNNNNNNNNNNNNNNNNNNNNNNNNNNNNNNNNNNNNNNNNNNNNNNNNNNNNNNNNNNNNNNNNNNNNNNNNNNNNNNNNNNNNNNNNNNNNNNNNNNNNNNNNNNNNNNNNNNNNNNNNNNNNNNNNNNNNNNNNNNNNNNNNNNNNNNNNNNNNNNNNNNNNNNNNNNNNNNNNNNNNNNNNNNNNNNNNNNNNNNNNNNNNNNNNNNNNNNNNNNNNNNNNNNNNNNNNNNNNNNNNNNNNNNNNNNNNNNNNNNNNNNNNNNNNNNNNNNNNNNNNNNNNNNNNNNNNNNNNNNNNNNNNNNNNNNNNNNNNNNNNNNNNNNNNNNNNNNNNNNNNNNNNNNNNNNNNNNNNNNNNNNNNNNNNNNNNNNNNNNNNNNNNNNNNNNNNNNNNNNNNNNNNNNNNNNNNNNNNNNNNNNNNNNNNNNNNNNNNNNNNNNNNNNNNNNNNNNNNNNNNNNNNNNNNNNNNNNNNNNNNNNNNNNNNNNNNNNNNNNNNNNNNNNNNNNNNNNNNNNNNNNNNNNNNNNNNNNNNNNNNNNNNNNNNNNNNNNNNNNNNNNNNNNNNNNNNNNNNNNNNNNNNNNNNNNNNNNNNNNNNNNNNNNNNNNNNNNNNNNNNNNNNNNNNNNNNNNNNNNNNNNNNNNNNNNNNNNNNNNNNNNNNNNNNNNNNNNNNNNNNNNNNNNNNNNNNNNNNNNNNNNNNNNNNNNNNNNNNNNNNNNNNNNNNNNNNNNNNNNNNNNNNNNNNNNNNNNNNNNNNNNNNNNNNNNNNNNNNNNNNNNNNNNNNNNNNNNNNNNNNNNNNNNNNNNNNNNNNNNNNNNNNNNNNNNNNNNNNNNNNNNNNNNNNNNNNNNNNNNNNNNNNNNNNNNNNNNNNNNNNNNNNNNNNNNNNNNNNNNNNNNNNNNNNNNNNNNNNNNNNNNNNNNNNNNNNNNNNNNNNNNNNNNNNNNNNNNNNNNNNNNNNNNNNNNNNNNNNNNNNNNNNNNNNNNNNNNNNNNNNNNNNNNNNNNNNNNNNNNNNNNNUUUUUACCAAACGCGAUUCUCGUCCCAAACUGAUUCUGGGAACAAAAAAUCAGAAUUAGUCACUGUUUGGAGUGUUGCCAAACAGGGCCUUACAAACUCUUCUUGAGUAUAUGCUCAACAUCCUGUGCACAUGAUUACACUUAAUCGAGCUGUCUACAAAAGCAUAGCAACAUAAUAACUAGACUAGGCAUUCAAAUAGUCAAACAAUUGCAAGAAAGCAGACCCUUAUACAACUAUUACCAUAUGAAGCUAGGGCUCGAGCUCUAGCUCGAGCUUAACUACACAGAUAAAUCACACGAUCACAUUCAACUAAGCACUGGCUGCCACACCACUCGUGCCUGUUCUUCAGCGAUUGGCCGGUGAUCCGGAGCUUGAGUUCAGAUUCAUGCCCCCCCACCACUGAUGGAGUUAAUGAAUGCAACCAUCGGAGCCUCAUGUGGCACCAAAUUCCUCCAGUUGAGCGGCAAUUAAGAAGAAAAUGUGCGCGAGAGUGAAAAGUGGCACUGAAGAACUUGAAGCACACGGACAUCGAACUUGAAGCCCGCAGAGGACGAGCGUCUAACUCGUGGAUGGAGGAACCUGGGAAAGGAGAGACGACAGCAAACGACGGACUUAAGCUUGCGAGGAGCGAAUGAGGAUUGGGCGCGGUGUCACCAAGGAUUGAGCGACAGCGAUUUGCUUGAGAACAUCACUCUCUAAGGAUAAAUGCCCUCGAGGAAUGCCAUGAGGGUGCCAUGAUCACUCCACAAAUGAAGUGCCCUGUCCAUUGCCAAUUACACAUGUUGAGUAUGUCGCUUAAGAAUGGACCUAACUUUUAGCAGCUUCCUCCAUGCUCAGAUGAGUUACUUUUAGGAGUAACAGGAACAUAUAGAAAUCUGUUUCAGCAAGCAUAACCCAGUAACCCAAAUGGACCCUGCUUUUAGCAACUUCUCUAUAUUCCUGAGAAUGCAAGCUUCAUUCCAUGUUUCCAGCUUCUUCUAGCCUAAACCACCCUCACAUUUUGGAGCGCAAACAUUAUCCUGAGAAACCUUAGGACCCUCUGCUUUCUCAACAUUUCCUUUCCACUAAGUGACAUGAUGAGGCUCUUCAAGGCAAAAUCGAUGGUUUUGGGUAAGCAAGCAUUAUGGCCGGUCAAUUAGAAAACUUGACCGGGCUAUAGAUUUCAGCCUUGAUUAACUUAAUCUUCCUGGAUAGGGAGGAUGUCUCUCGGUCUAAUCCAAACUUCUCUUCUUCUGAACUACUCAGUCAGUACCAUAGCCUGCCAAAAACAGCUCAGUUUUCAGGGAACAGAACUCCAAAAGUGAAAGCUCUUCGAAUUCCGAAAACAAGGACAAGAUUUUUUGCCAGGACUUCUCAUCCCAUUUAUAGAAAAUCUCUUGUAAUUAAUCGGCGUCGCAGUGGAAGCGGAUUGUAUAUUUUUGCAUUAUGUUGGGAGCUAUAGAAAUCGAUCGAAAUAAAACGAGGAACAAUAAAAGAAAAGAACACCAGAAAUUUACGUGGUUCGGUCCGAAUGUCGGAAUCUACGUUCACGGGGAGAGCCAGCAAAUCAAUCCACUAUAAAUCGGAGAAUUACAGGAUUACAAUCACACAUGCACGAGUGUUUCCCAAUCCUACUUUAUACCCGAUAUCCAUAGUGUUUAACAAAACAACUCACUCACUGGACUCGACUUUCUGCACAAACCCUCUCUGACCUCAAGCCUCUCACUCUCUCUCGGGCUCUUUUCUUUUGCUCUCUGCGAAGCUCUUUUCUUUCGCUUCUUUUUCUCUCUCGAGCUCGUUUUCUUUGGCUCUUUCUUGCGUAGCCUACGAGCUCCAGACGUCUUUUUCCUUUUAUCGGUGGAAGGGGAAGAAAAACUUGUACUCCACAAUUGUCAGAACGGUGCCGAUCUUCAAAGCAUGUGCCUCCAUGCAUUUAAUGUUAGCGUGUGAGCUGAGCAGCAUGUACUGACACACGUAGAAGAGCUUCUGCCUUCUCUCCUUCUUUAUCCGCAACAAGACGAAAGAAGUCCACAAAAGAUGACCAAAGAGAGGGAUAGACUUCGGCGCCUGCAUGAUAGGCUUCUGAGGCCACAAAUGCUGACCAACUUGUUUUCUACGAGCAUGCAUGCACAUGGCCAUGUGCAUGCAUUUAAUGACGUAGAAAAAAUAGAGGAUGAACUCUUCAGAGGAUAAUUUCAUGCUGAAAAAAGUGAGAAGGUCCCAUGGAUUGAAGAAUUUAUUUCCAACGCGAAGCGCAGAUCAUGGGCGGGAUUUCUUCGGCUCCUAUCCUGCGCCAUUUUUCAUCAAUCGCUCCGCGCACGUUCUUUCUUGUUUCAGCAUGUAAAUAUUUUGUACGGAUUGGGUAUCGUACACGGACACAAACUUGAGACAUAAUUUAACAAAAUCAUAAGCAAAACUUCUCACUUUCUCCAGAAAAAAACUAAGGUCAUGUUAUACCUAAGUUUGUGUUAGUGUUAGUGUUAAAACUCACUACCUGUGCCCUUGAACGCAUGAGUGAUUUCCCUUUUCAAAAAGGUGAAAAUACGACAUUGAAAUGGAGAGACCAGUUCCCCUAUGUCUUGUUUAAUUUGUUGGAAAUCCAUAAAUGGUGUAAGUUAGACCAAUGUAAGUCACGUGCCACUAGAAUUUGUGUGUUUACAGCAUUGUCUAUUUCAUUAUCUAAUCUUUUGUUUUGAUAGGGUGUAGUUCAAAGAUGUAAAAAAGGCAGAAAUGAUGCUAAUGUACAAUGUCAUAUUUGGAAUUUUGAUUCUUUCAAAAUGAUCAUUGAACUUUUUCUAAAUAUUUAAUGUAGUCCCUAAAUUUUUAAUUUGUUCAAUAUAGUCUCUCAACUUUCCAACAAAGUCAAAUAAGCCCUUUAGUACUAUUCAUAAGUUUUCAUGAUUACAUUGUUAUCCGAAUUUUGGAAUAUCAUUUCAUUUCAAUCAUUUUCCUAAAUCAACAAAAAAAACAUGUCAUCUUUUUAUUACAUCGUUUUUGGUCUUCACAACUAUUACAAUAGUUCACUUUAAGGAAAAGUAGAACUUCAUUUAGAGUUAAAUCGGAUUGAUAAUUCUGUUAUUGUAUGUUUAAGUAAUUUCAUUAGGACAUCUAGAAACAACAUUAGUUAAUUUAUAGAUAUUCGUAGUUAUAUUGAUCCUGAUUGUUCAGAGAGUACAAAACACAAAACAUCAAAAAUUUUAUCGACCUCAAAAAGUUAGGAAUGAGAUUUAGAUUACAGAAAAUUUUAUCAACCUUAAAAAGUAAGGAACGAGAUCUAGAUUGACGAAAGUAUGAAUGUGGAUAAAUAAAUUAACAUCGUGUACACGCCCUUAUUAAAGCACUUAAAACUCUUUUUAUUUUGGAGACCAUAAGCUGAAAUUAACUUGUUUCGUAAGAGUCGGAAUCUUCAGUGAGCGUUUUAGGGUUCUGAAUCGAACCCAAAUCUUCGUUUUCACUCAGACUCAUCUUUGAUGGAUCGACUGGGAAGGUCUUCCCCCAACUUCUGCAUAAUUUUCACUCUUGAUCAUCUCGGCCCCUGCUUCUGUUCUUCAAUUUGAUUUUUUUCCCCUGUUUUUAUGUUAUUUUGCGAGAAUUUUCGUUGAGAUUGCGACUGUUUAUGCUGAUUAGAUGAUGAUCUUUAACCUGAAGUUGUGGGGUUAAAUUGUUCUCGCCCACUUCUCACCCAAUCCUUAGACACUCCAUGCCCACUCCUUGCGAGCUUCAGUCUGUCGUCUCCUUCUUUCCCGGGUUCCAUCUCACGUUCAACCGAGCUUCGAUCAUGCACUUGCCAUUUCUUUUAUGGAGCGGCNNNNNNNNNNNNNNNNNNNNNNNNNNNNNNNNNNNNNNNNNNNNNNNNNNNNNNNNNNNNNNNNNNNNNNNNNNNNNNNNNNNNNNNNNNNNNNNNNNNNUCACAUGUAAGCAGUAAUUUGACCUGGGGAAUCAUCAAAACUCUUGGCUGACCCAUGAAACAGAUAUUGUCCCCUCAACUUGAUCUAUUAUGCCCUCAAUAAGAUGAACCUGAGUUAAGAUUUCAAUGGUAAGACUACCAUAAAAUAAGGUAAAUGCUUGAAUAUUGGUUUUCCAUUAUGUAUGCUAGAGCAGCGAAGGUGCAAGCAAUUAUAACACCGAAGUAUUUGCCAUGAUGGCUUAUGCAAAAGAGGAAACUGUAGUCUAGAUUUUUAGCAACAGCAUACUGACGCCAUAUCCGAAGCUCUUCUAUUCUUACACCAGAAAUAGUGGCAGAGGACAAUGUACGAGCAUGAAACAUAGCAUCAACAGUAAAGGAAUAAAAAGAAAUGCUGAUUCACAUCAGCCCCCACUUGUCGUAUGAAGAUAUUUAUGGUUGAUUAAUACUAGCUAAGUCUCUUAAUAGUGUGCAUGUUCACAGCAGUCACUUGAGGCACAUUCUGUGCAACCAACCCACAGACUUCUAGUCCCUUCAACCAUAUGCAGCAGACCUCAAAUUACCAAUGGAAAAUACAACUGCUCAAGAAGAGAACCAAGAAGAGAAGCACUGUUUGCUUCAUUUUCGAUCAUUACCCCUCACAGGUAAUAAAGAGACAGUGGAUAUUCAGUAAGAUGAUCAUUAUUCAAACCUUAGAAUAUACUUAACAAACUCUUCAUGAUAAGAUGCUCAACAUCAUAUGUGCAGAAAGUUCUGUGCGCUCUACAAUAACAAUCAUAGGAAUGGCUCGAUCCUCAGAUGGUUGACUGCAAAAAUCUGCGUUGCCGUUUUCCAACAAAGCUGUAAAUUCAGUUUCCCAAAUUUUGUAACUCUCUAAUCUUUAGUCAACUCACCAAACACCCAUAAUUCUUGUAAUACCCCAACUAACAAAUGCGCAACAUGUGGGCACAUGAUUCCAGUCAAUCCAGCAGUCCACAGAAGCAUACCAACAUAAAUAAACUAUGAAGCUAUUGCCCUAUGAAGCUAGAGCUCGAACUCAUGCUUAACUACGCAAAGAUAAAUCACACGAUCACAUUCAACUAAACACCAUCUGCCACANNNNNNNNNNNNNNNNNNNNNNNNNNNNNNNNNNNNNNNNNNNNNNNNNNNNNNNNNNNNNNNNNNNNNNNNNNNNNNNNNNNNNNNNNNNNNNNNNNNNNNNNNNNNNNNNNNNNNNNNNNNNNNNNNNNNNNNNNNNNNNNNNNNNNNNNNNNNNNNNNNNNNNNNNNNNNNNNNNNNNNNNNNNNNNNNNNNNNNNNNNNNNNNNNNNNNGACGGACUGAAGCUCGCGGGGAGCAAGCGAACAGCGGCGAGGACUGGGUGAUAGCGAUUUGCUUGAGCAGCGGGAAGAGAGGAGGAAGAAGAAAACGUAAAAGAGAACCCCUCUUAAUCGCUGGUGCGCAAUUUAGAAUUUGUCUAUUGUCUCUGUUUACUAGAAGAAAGCAGAAAUGGAAAGCAAAUAAAGCAGAACAGCGAUGAUCUAAGAAUAGAAAGAAGGCGCACCAAGGAUCACUUUAUGUUUCAGAUUCGCUGGUUUCAUAGAAUGCCAAUUCAGUUGACGCGUCCCGCAAUUUCCUCUUCAUCAUUCCGAAUCUUCUCUCUAAAAGACUCCCAAUUGCCGUGAUAAGUAUCACAUUUGCCGCUGAGAUUGCAAUUAGAUGUCAUGUCCGUCUGGCACUCAUUCGGAAUUUUUGAGCUCGAUGCAUCAAAAAUCCCUUUAAAGUAUAUAUUCCCAUGAACUCUCAACAGCCGCAAAAACUCUAAUUCGUGAAUGCCCUCCAUGCUCAGCAGCCUCCAGCAGGAUUCAAUAUGUAACCUCUUCAAUUUCUUCAAGUUUGACAAACCUUUUAUCCUUCGUAAUGAACAGCAGAAUUCGACGGUAAAUGCUUCCAAUGAUUCCAACGGAGAAACAAAAUCGAUAACUUCUACCUUCCGGCACCUCCCCAUGUGGAAUUCUCGAAGCAUCUUCAGAGAGCUUAGGACAAGGAAAUUUCCCCUCCAGGGUUCAAUCAACUCGGGAGCUUGUAGCUCGUUGUACCCUGGCUCCUCUGGCACAAAACGCCUGCUCUUGACACAUAAGAUGUCAUGAAGACUUGGUUCGUCCAACGAGUCAAAGACAUCAAGAGAUUGACCAUCGAGUUGCCCGUACACCUCGUUUUCUCUUGAUUUUUCCAACGGAGGAAGCCCACUGAGAUGUACAUGUUUCACUCGAGUGUGGUCAAUCUUUAAAACUAUCAAGUUUGGGGGAAGUUGUUUGAGGGUUCGAAAGUCUAGUCCAGAUAGAGUAAGUUCUUUCAGCAGAGAAAGGGAACCCAACUCUGUAGUUGGUGCGUGGACAUUUAAUAAGCAAAAGUGCAGCUUGCUCAGUUUGGAUAACCUCCCGAUCCACCUCAAUUCACCAGUUGGAAUUACACUUGAUUUGCACAGCCUAUCGUCAAAGUCAUCGGAUAGGAACAAUUCAACUAGAUUAGUAAGGUUUGAGAGAUUAGGGACAGUCAGCAAUGAAGUAGAUAUUAGCCGUAGAGUGGUCAAACUUCUAGGGAGCUCCGGCCACUCUUUUAUACUAUGACCAUGUUCCAAGUUCAGUAUUUGGAGGUGAAGCAAUUUGCUCAUUGUACUAGGCAUUUCUACAAUCAGUGUGUUUAAUACAUUGGCAAAUGACAGGUUCCGUAGUCUACCAAUGGAAUCUGGUAAUCUUGUAAUUCUUGUGCGUGAUAUAUCUAGCUUCGUCAACAACUCUAAUUUCGAAAUUGAGUCAGGGAGCUCGCUCAAGCUAUCACAUUUACUAAGAGAGAGGUGCUGAAGAUUCUUUAGCUCUCCAAUUUGUUCAGGCAAUUUUUCAAGUUUCAAACAUAACUCAAUACUCAAGUUAGUCAACCACCUCAGUUUCCCAAUAGAGCGGUCAAUUUUCUUCAAAGAUGGACAAUGAUAAAUCGUCAACUUCUCUAAAACUAAGUAUUUGCGAAAGGUUGGUGUCCCAUGAAUGAAGUUAUUAUAUUCAAGAGUGAGAAUCUUCAAUUUCAUUGCCCCCUACAAAAGCCAAUGAAACAUCAAGACAAACAAUUAGAAGUCUCCCAAGUUGGACCUUAUGUCAUCCAAUCCUCUCACUAACUGAGAAAAUUAGGCAAUAAAUCUAUCAAAUUCUAUCCUUCAUUGAAUGAGAAAAUUAGACCAAGAGGGAAAGUCAAGUACCUUGAUUACGUAACUGAUCUCAUCUUCGUUGAGUCUAGAGAAACAAAUAUUAAUCAGGACCACGCUUUCUAGACCGAAAUUGGUUAGCGAAUCACGUUUUCCAUAAUAACUUUUAGUGCCCCAAAAAAUUAUCCAUUUCAACUUGGCAAGAUAGCCCGUGAAGUCACCUUGGCAGACUACAUUACUCAACCAAAGAAACUUGAGAUGUGGGAACCGUCUAAGUUGCUCCGCCGUGAUAGUUGUAGGGUUGCUGGAGGUCGAUCGCAAACAGAGUGCUUGAACGCUUUCCUUGAUCUGCCAAUGACAUUGAGGAGCAGCGACAGGAAUUUGUCAAUACUCCCACAAUUUAAUUUGUCGAAGGGAAGAAAAAAGAAAUCAAACGGUAAAGUAGCUCCCAAUACAGAAACGCGAUUAAAUCCUCAAUUAAGAACAGGGUAAGCAAUUUUCUAUUCAAAUUUGGUCAUACUUUACCUCUAUUGAUCGUAAUUUGCAAAUAAUGUCAUCUUUAUCCCACAACCUAGUAUGCUCUUGUAUAGCAAUUGCCCUUCCGAGAUCUCUAAACUGAUCAUGCAUCCAAAUUUCAUCAUCUUCUAAAAACUUUAUCAUGCACCUAUUAAUAAGGACUUGAAUAGCAUACUCCACCUUAAACCCACAAUAUUUCCACUGGUAGAUUAGAUUAGUCUUCUUCCAACCGAUGAAAAAGCAUGCAACAUCAAGAAAUAUGUGUUGUUGAUCCGGUUCUAAGGCAUCAUAGCUAAUCCUUAACUUUCCCAACACAUCCCUAUGAGGUGUUUCCCUUAGCUUCUCUAGCGUCUCUUCCCAUAUUGUUUCCUCUUUCUGACCAAAAAGCAAUGAACCUAUAGCUUCAAGAGCUAAAGGUAGUCCACCUGUAGUUGAGACAAUGCCUUUGGAAAGAGUGUAAUAAUUGGUAGGAGGCGAACCAUCAUCAAAGGAAUGCCUACUAAAAAGCCGGAGUGCAUCUUUUUUGCUCAACUCCUCCAUUUCGUAAUGCAGGAUUUUAUAUUUAAAACCCCUUAUUUUUAGAAUGCUUUUAUCCCUAGAGAUAACAAGUAUCCUAGUACCAGAACACAAAGAAUUCACUUCAAUUAGUUUUAGGAUUUGGUUGCCCUCAUCGACAUCAUCCAAUACAAUUAGCAUUUUCUUGUUGCAAAUUGUUUGUCCAAUCAUAGUGAUCCCCUGAUCCAUGUUAUCAAUGUGAGGAGCCACUCCAAAAUUGGAGAUAUCGGACAAUGAUUUUCUUUGCAACUCAACCAAUGAGCCCUUGGUUUUUGCCAUUUCCCUUAUAUCAUCAAGAAAGCUACAAUUUUUCCCAAAGCGAGGACAUAACUGGUUGAAGAUAAUCUUGGCAAGUGUUGUUUUACCAAUGCCACCCAUCCCGUAAAUUCCAAUGAGCCGCACACCAAUGGAGUCGAUGUCUAAUAAAUUAUUUACGGUUGCCGUUCGAUCUUCCAUUCCAACUAAAUCUACAGUCACCUGUCUUUGUCUUGUCUUGAGCCUGACUAUAAUCUCGUUGACAACCGACUUGAUAAGAUCCCCGUGGCUGCCACAAAUUUGAACAAUUUCAAUUGAGAAAAGGCACGAAUUUGCAUGUUGACCAACCGUCGACUAAGCAACUGAGCGGGAAUGCGACCAAGUUUAGGAUAUAUAAAAAUUCAAUGUUACCCCCAAAGCUUGGGGAACAUGAUGAAUAACAAACUUGAAAAUCCAUUACAAAUUAAAGUUAAAGGAAUAGAGGAAGAGAUAUGUUUGAUCAUUAUUUCAACUAGAAGAAUCAAAAUUUCUGGCCAGAAAAAGGUAGAAGAAUCAAAAUAUAAACAUCUGAUGACUAGUGUAAUAGUAGAUUUACUCAAUUCUUUCAAUGUGAAAAGGAACUUUGCAAAGGCAACCGUUCCUUAAUCAAGUUCUCCAGCGUACAACAGGAAUCUUAAGACAUUCAUGGAUGAAAUUAGUAUAAAAAAGAUGAAGCAAAGCUAAACUUUUAUACGAUGGAAAUUAGGUGAAAGCAAAAUUAUAAUAAAUCUAUUAGAUCAGAAAAAGUUGGAAAUCUCAUGACUUAGAAAAAAUAAAAAAGAAUUUGAAACUUUCUGUUUAAAUUUAGGGUAAUUAGAGUUGAAAAGUAAUUAACGAAUUUUUAUAAGAACUAUGGCCUGAUUGUACAAAAUAAGUUUCUCGAUCAUGGUUAGAUUGUUACCCUGAAUAUUUCUCCAGCUCCCAUCCCUUGGUGCCAUCAACUUCUUUGAGAGCCUGCUGCCACAUCUCUACAUCCUCAGAGCUAAACUUCUUCUUCUGAUCCUCCACUUUUUUCUCCAAAUUCAUUAUGGCCUUACUAUACAACGUGGUUUUCAGCAUCACGUCAUCGGGUUUCGCAUCAUAGAAGAUGGGCAAUAUGGCCUUCUUCUUCCCAUCUUCUUUUGAUGUAGAGGUGUUCUCCACCAUCUUUGCAAGCUCGCGAAGGCACCAAUGACUUGAAGCGUAAUUUUUGGAAAAGAUAGGUAUAUAUAUCUUGGAAUUGUUGAUCGCUUGCAGAAGACUGUCACUAAUUCUUUCACCCGAUCGAAGCUCUUCAUCAUCAAUGAAAACAUGAAUCCCGGCAUCCACCAGAGCAUGAUAAAGGCUGUUGGUGAAUCCACGACGAGUAUCAGGCCCUCUAAAACUCAGGAAGACAUGGUACUCACCUCCUAAUGUAUUCAUGGUGCUUGUCCCUAUCUUUGAGUUUGCCAUAGGAGCCCACUUCGCACUUAGAGGGAAUUUUUCACAAAGCCGAAGAUGUUUUGCAUUUCUCAAAUGCAAGUCACGAUGAAGAGCUUUGAGACUUAUGGGGGACAAUUAAAAUAGUAUGUGGAUGUUCAAUUUAACCGAUGCCUGUAGGAAACUUGUCAGUAAGAUCCUUGUUGAAAAAAAAUCACAUGUCCUUGUUGAAUAAAUGCAUACAGGCAACUUCGCAGCAGGUGCAACUUCCAAUGAUAUUCAAUAAAGUUGAUGGCUUUACAAAAAAAUAAGGUGGAGGACAAUGACGUAGUGCACCUUUUCGCACGUCCAAUUUCUUUCCAGUUUCUUCCGUGUUUUUAAACUUUUGCAUUAAAAAAAUUAAUUCUCAAACUUCUAAAUCAUUUAUGAUUAACCUUUUGCUAUAUCUAUAGUUGGACAUAUUUAAAAUCCCAAUCCAAUUUUGUAAAUUCACAAUUUAUCUAUAUAAAUGCAUAAUAACAAAUAUUCCUAAAGAAUCCUCUCUCAUUAUGACACAUGGGACUCUAGAUACCCUUUCAUUUCCUGUACCUUGACCCAGUAUUUCACGGGGAUGAGGUGUCGCGGGAUCUAGGGUGGGAUCCUUGCCCUCCCCCCCACCCCCCGGGAGGGGGGUUUGGGUUGUUGCGGAGAGCCCUGUGGGGAGGGGUUUUAGGGAAACCCUUCCCAAGAAACCAUGUGAGCAGUUUAAAGACCUGCUCAUGUCUAUAUCUGCUUCAUCCUAUAGAGAAUUGGAUUUGUUGCAUUCACUAUAAAAAGUGCUCCCCCUAAGCACUACCUAAAGCAUAUGCUUCCCACUCCCUAUAUAAUAUUUGUUUUGAUCACUUCACUUUAAAGACUUACGUUUUAUUAUAAUUAAUUACCUUUAACAACUCAAUUAUCCUCAUAAAAUGUGCAUUUAUAUUAAAAAGCAAAUGAUUGCUCAAAUCUUUUACUUUUGCGCCAAUGGACUAUAUAUUGAUGUAGAAAAUAUUAGGUAUGAGUCUAAUCCGAGCAUGUGAAAAUUUCAGUGCACUCAUCAAGCAACACGUGUUGCUCAGGCCUCACUAUUGGCAAAACCUCUAACACCCUCACCUCUCUCCUCACUCUGAAAGGUGUUUGUUUUUUUAUUUUGAAUUUUUUUAUUGCUUUUUCUAUUUUUCUUUCCUUUCUUUUCUUUUCUUUUUCUUUUUCCUCUUCAUCUUAAACUUUGAGCUUUCUUCUUCCCCGAACAUGAACACCUCUAGCACCUGUAGCCAGCCGAAGCAAGGAUUGCUCAGUGUCAUGACUCUAGCUACCAGCUGCCAUCCUUCACCGUCGCAGAAACAUGACCACCCGCCAAUUGUCUACUUGGCUAGUGUCAGUCACCGUCAUCUUUUUUCCUUUGUUUUUUCUUCUUCUUCCCUUUCACUCUAACGAGGACGACAACAUCUCCUUCCACUACCACCCCACUGCCAUCUCCGUCCACCACCUCACUGUCAUUUUAGCCCUCCAUUGUCGAGCUCAAGCUUAGUUGGCGAACUUGAGCCUCAGAUAUUGUGAUCUAGAGCUCAACUCAACCUGGAAUCUGAGUUGAUUCACAGUCGAUUGAGUUAUGCUUAGACAACAAAUAUGACAUCCUAAAUUUCUCAACCUGUUUUCUAUUGAAUUAAUCAGGCAUUUCAUUGACACGUUUAUAGGGCUAUUCUCAGAGCUGAUCACUCUUAAGAUAACUAAACUAUCUGGGUAAGUAAUUAAGAAAUUUUAGGACAAUAAACUUGAGAAUUCGAUCAGGAGUCGGCUACUCGACCGUGCUCAUCUUUACAGGCCAUUUCGGCACAGUUAAAAAUCGAUUUAAUAUGAGAGAUGGGUCUGUUCGACUGAGAUGUGUGGCCAAUCGUGGAUGACUCCACUAAAUUGGAAAAUUCUCGUCGAUUGAUACUAAUAUGAUUUUACUGUCGUUUUGGUACCAUGUGUCCGUAAUUAAAUCCUCGAGAUUUUCACGACAAUCGAGAGUCGCCAUUGAGUCGAAUGGGUUCGUAGUGGUUUGAAGAAAAUUGACCACGGGUCAUUUGCCUUAAAAAGUUCUGAAAACCACCCGGUAGCUUAAGUCACGAUAAAACGCGCCAAAUGGAAAUUAACCGCCGAUUCGAGUCUAAUUUCAUAAAUUGAAGGUUCCGUCAUGUCACAAUAAAUUCUAGGUUCCACGACUCAGUCUCAGAAGAUUUUUCAGAGAUCCCGAGAUUUUUACGGAAAAUGAAUUCGGACGCGGUGGAAAAAUAACGAAAAUUCGGAUUGGCCAAAUUGAAGGGAUUUUUGGCAUCUAGUGUGAGUGAAUUAGUGAAUGGAAGUUGUUUGGACUUUUUAUGAAUUCAAAUGGGACCUCAACUGAAUUUAUUUGUUCAGAAAAUCGGAUUCCGAAGAAAAAUGAAUUAAAAUUCGGAAUAGAAGAAAGUGGCCGUUUUUGUUACCCGAGAUUCUUUGUCAAGGGAAAUUUUUUGCAGCAAAGCAAGUGGGAAUCAAGUACCUUAGUCUGGAAAUUUUCUGGGAUCAAAUUGGACUAAGAAUUAUCGUUUUUUUUUUUUUUUGGAUUUCCAUUUAAUUCCUUUUUAUUUCUAUUUCUUCAUAUUCCUUCCGCUUUUGCGCACGUUUCUCCCCUAGCCGCCCACGUUUCUCUCUCUCCCUCUCUCUCUCUCGUGUUGCUUUGAUUUUAGUCAAAGCUUAUCUCAUUUUUCUGCUUUCUUUGACCGAUACUUUCAUCCACACACUUCUCUCUUCCUCCUGACGUCUUGGAGCUUCGGUUUUUGCUGUACUUUCGUUCUUCUUUUUUAUUUCAUCCGAAGUCUGCAACAUCACAAAAUUAAUAACAAUCUUCACCCAAGGCCGCUGGCUCGACCGAAGCUCGCGCGUCUUCUCUUCUUCGUCCGAGGCUACUGCCGUUCGCUCGUUCAGCCCAACAACUUCUGAUUUGAUUUUUUUUUCAGCUUGAGCAGUGAGCUUGCGGGCCAUUUUUCGGGCCCGAGCCGUGCCCCGUUGUCAUCGCCGCUUUGGAGAGAAUCAACCUUUGUCGCGUGUUCAUCGUUUUGACCCGAGCUGAUUUUAAUUCUGAUGAGUAAUCUCACUAAUCUUUGCUUAAUAGACUAAUUAUGCUUAAGGGCUUAUUAUAUUUAAUUAAGUGCAAUUAGAUGGUUAGAUUAGAAUGGAUAGUGAUUAUUAGUUAAUUGCAUUGUAUAUUAGCUAGGUGGAUAGUGUACUUAGCUAGAGAAUUGCCUAUACUAUUUAUUGAAUGCAUCUCGGGAUUUGUCCCGACCCUUAUCAGGCCCCAAUUAGGCAUUACAGGCCUAAAUUGGAUUUUUGGCAUUUAUUUAUUAAAUUUCAAAUUUUAUUAAAUAAUUAUUUAUUUUUCGGAAAUUAGGCUGGGAUAGCCGACGACCGAAAUUUCGUGCUAAUUGUCAUGGUGCAGUCCGUUUAUUUAAUUGAGCUUUAAUUUUAUAUGGAAUUGAUUUUAAUUGUGGAAUUUUAGGAUUUGUCCUAAAUUGUUUGAUAUUGAAUAUUUGAUUGGCAGAUGGCCGAGUAUGGUUAUUUAACCUUUAGAAUGCUUUGAUGAAUUGUAAAGCGGAAAGAAUCGUGAGAGUGAACUGGGAAUUCUCUUGGCUGAGACCGAUCAGAUACGAAGUAUAAACAGGCGUGGUUCGGUAAUGAGAAUUAUCACUGUGCGAAAAUGACGCCUUAAAGAACGCACGUAAACUGUCUAUGACUUGUGACAGGCGUGGUUAAGUGAUUAAGGAUAUUAUUGUGCAAAAACGACGCCUUAAAGAAUGCACGUAAACUGUCUGUGACCUAUGACGGGCGUGGUUCGGUGAUUAAGGAUAUCACUGUGCGAAAACGAUGCCUUAAAGAACGCACGUAGACUGUUUAUGACCUAUGACGGGUGUGGUUCAGUGAUUAAGGAUAUCACUGUGUGAAAACAACGCCUUAAAGAACGUACGUGAAUCGUUUGUUACUUAUGUCACCUUAGCGAAAACAACGCCCGAGAGCAUUAAUGGAGCUCUGUGACUAAGUGUAUUACUGGAGGUUAUACAGUGGGAUGUGAAUGACCUAGAAGAGGUCUGACUGACAUGUAAUCGACUAGGUCGAUUGAUCAAAGAUUGAUCUGAUGUCGUGAUUUGAUUUACUGUUCGAUGUGAUCUAUGAAACAUUUGUAUAUAACCUUGAAUUGCAGGUUGGAACUGAUGCCAAGGUAAGUCUUCUGACUCGUGCUGUGCUUCGACAAUCAUGUGAUGUAUUGGUUUUCUAAUCGAGUUUUAAUGGGGGUAGAACUUGCUGAGACGUAGUCUCAUCCCGGUUGUGGGACAACAUUUCAGGCCUGUAAAUGAGCCUAAGGAGGAUGAGCCAGAAAAAGAUGAAGAGCUCGAAGGAAAUGAGCUUGGUGACGAUGAGUCAGAAGAGGAUCAUGAUUAUUCUAAAUACGACCCGGAUGAAGACUAAAAACCCAUCUCCUUUUGUGAUCAGUGUUCAUAUGUGAAUAGAGUAAACUUAGAAAGUUGUGAAUAGUUUGUGAAAUACUUUGAGUUAUGCUCUGUAUAAAAGUAUGGUUGUGAAUUUCAAUAUGAAAAAUAUGACCUACUUUUCUAUCCCAUUAUUUUAUUGUAUGGGGAUUUAUAACUGCUUUCGCAUGUGCUUAAUAAAUAAAAGGUCAUCGAUACAUAGUCUUAGGAUAUCGCAUUCUAAAAUCGACUAAGUAGAAGGAUGUGUGUGUGCUAGAGGAUUGGGGCGUGACAACAAACGAGUGGAGGCGAAGGUAGCAGUGUGGUUCAUUGAUGCGGUGUAGGACCUUAACCUCCUAGCUAACAUGUGUGCGGACACAUAGGGUGCGGGAGGAGUUGGAUAGGAGGCGGUGGCAUUGGAGGUCGAAGAAAAAAUGGGCGAAGAUGAAGGCAUAGUGUCACGCCCUGAUCCUCGAGCACGCGUACAUCUCUCUGUGGUCAAUACAAAUGUGAUGUUCCCAAGCCACAUCGCCGACCCAUUCAUUUUGAUGCACAUACAGAAGCAAAUUACUAAUCCCCUGACAUCAAUAGCUUGGGAUAGAAAAGCAGGAAACAAAUUCACAAACAAAACAUGCUUUUAUAUACACACCGAGUCAUAUACAAAAGUCUAUAACCAAAAGACUUCAAAACACUGCCUCAAUAAAAGGAACUAUCCUAUCUAACCUACACUUCAUAUCAUCAUAGCUCGGCUCCAGAUCCUCCACUCUACGGCCUUGAAAAUAAUUUAGCCCAUGAUAGAGUGAGAUAUAAAUUUCAGUGAGUUCACGCUCUAAACCCCGAUUAGGAGAGUAAUACGCCAAGAGGCAUCCUAACCACACAAUCAUACAACCACAGAGACUUACCUCGUCUUAGAUUCACCCCGCAGGUCAACACAAUUCAUAUACACCAUGCAUAAAAUCGAUGCACACAACAAUUGAAACGCCUCACUCAAUUCAAUAAAUCACAGGAAUCUAAACCGUUAUGACACGUCCCAUACCAUGCCACACAGUUUUGUCUUAUAAUCAGGCUCAGCUAACUCAACCAACUAUGCAUUCCAAUUGUUAAUUACACCCCUCAAGGGUAUGGUCAACUCUAAGUUUGGCAGUCUUCUGGCAUUGUAGGCAUCAUCUCACCUCCUUUGAGCACGGCUACAUAUCUCAAAGACGGUUUUCCCGAAAGAGCGUAGGUCCAAAAUCUACUACGACCCGAGUCCCAAAUGAAUCGGUAACGUCCGGCGUAAACACUUGGGACGGGUUCUUUUAACCAACACACGAUCAAUCAAUCUCGGCCCAAGACACCGUGCAUUACAUUCAAAUGCCUCCAUUAAAAUAGUGAUUCUGGCUUAUUUUCUUCAUAUUAAAAACACCAUGUGAAAAUAGUCGUGUGUGGGGAUACGGUCAGAUCGAACAAGAAAAACUGAUAUACUUCCUUUUUAAAAUCCCACUAUUUUAUAUAGUAUGUAAAAUCAUUUUUGGUGUUAAAAUCUGACACCCGGGAUUUUUUGAAUAAAUAUUGAAAUUCGCAAAUUUUGGAAUAAAUAACCAAAAUUCCAAUCAGCACUCAAUUUGCAUAAAUUAACACUUGAUUGCAGAAACUAAACAUAUCAUUGCAAUAAGCACAAAAUUCCGGUCANNNNNNNNNNNNNNNNNNNNNNNNNNNNNNNNNNNNNNNNNNNNNNNNNNNNNNNNNNNNNNNNNNNNNNNNNNNNNNNNNNNNNNNNNNNNNNNNNNNNUUAGUUAGCAUUACUCUUAAAGGUUGUCAGACCUAAUAGUGGCGGUGAGUAUUUUGACAAAUAUGGCAAUGCUGAAUAGCUUAAAGGGUCAUUUGUCGAAUACUUGGUAAAUUCUUGGGUGGUAACUUAAUUUACUAUGUCUAAAAAUUCUGACAAAAUGAUUUCGCUAAAAUGCAUAAUUGCACCAUAAUCAAUAUGGUGAUGAGUAUGAUGAGUAAGACUAAUUUAUCCGGUCUUUUGUAGGUUGAUAUUUUGAAAGCAACAUUUUCACUCACAAAACGUGUUUAUUACUAAAGUUAUUUCAUAAACUUCUUUUGAAUUAUACACUGGAUGUAAAUUACUUGAAUGAUAUUAAAUUUAGAGGUGUCAUGUAGAAGUGGGAUUAUCUAAUCCAAUAUUAAAUGCGUUGAAAUUUAUAUCCACUCGGAAUUAUUUUAUAUCUUACAUAGAUUGUUCAAAGAGGUAUUGAUUUUAUGACCCUAAUGAAGGUACAAGAAUUAUGGAAUCACAUACAGUAAAGUUUUUAGAGUUUGACAUGAUUGUAGAGAAUAGCUGUUUUUAGACUAUUAAGAAUAAUAGUACGAUGGAGGUUACCGUGUCUUUGUCUUUACCUAUACAGAUAAUUGUGAAAUCUCAUGUACCAUAGACUAAAUUUGUUGAGAUUUAAGAUAUUAUUAUUGAUAUAGUUUAUGAUGAAAUUUCUCAAACCUCUCAAGUGUAGAAUGAAGUGGUUGUAACUUUACUCAGGAGAUUUGUUAGGGAAAGACGAUUAGUUAUACCAUCAUAUUAUAUAGUCUAUCGGUGAUAGCAUGAUUGCAAUAUCCACUACAUGAUUAAUUUAGUGACUUAUAUAUGUACAAAAGUAAAAAGAUAUCAAAGAAAUAUGGUGGAAUUUAAAGUUAAACUGGUAGCUAAAGUUUUCACACUGAAAGAGAGGUGGAUAGUUAAUAAUGAAGAAAUAAUUAUUUCUUUCUAGUAUUUUUAAAGAUUCUUUCAGAGUGAACGUGACAUUAGUAGCUCAUAUUUUAACGCGGAGUUAUGCCAAAUAGAUACAAAAUCUAUAUAGUGCAACUAGAGAAUUUUGCAGCAGAUUCAAGUAAACUCCUGUGUAGAUUGAAAAGUCUUAUUUAUAGUUUUAAGCAAAUUUCCAAACAAUAUUAUUAAAGUUCCUUAGCGUUGUCAUUUCGUUCAGCUGGGAACAAAGUAAUUCAAUACAUAUAUACUGCAAGGUUAAUGGGAGGAAAUUUAUUUUUCUCACACUCUAUGUACAUGAUAUUUUGCUUACAAGUAAUGACCUUGAGGCAUCAUUUGUUCUUUGCAUUGAGGUCUGUAAGGACUCUUCUCGCCAUAUAUAUCGAAUUUAUCUCAGAGAAUAUUUGUUGAAAAUAUUCAACAUACAUCACUACAAGUAAGGAAUUGCCCUUGUCAUUAAGGGUGAUGGAUCGAAUCCAUUACAUUGUCCUUAUUUAGAUAUUGUGAAAAUCCAAUUAAAUGGUGUAUCUUGUGUCAGUGCACUUAAAAGUAUAAUGUAUACUCAAAUUUGCACUAGACUAAAUAUCGUCUUUGCGACGGAACUUCUAAGCAGAAAUCAGUCAAAUCCAAAACGCGAUCACUAGGUUGUUGUAGACAUGUUCAGUUCUUGUAGUUAAUAUGGUAUUUAGAUGUAAAAUUUAAUGGUUCUUAGGAUGACAUGAGAUUAAUAACAUAAUACAUAUUUAUGUUAUUAGGAAGUGUAGUAACUAAAGUUUUAUAUCAUCUUCUACUAUGUAAGUAGAGUUUGUAAUAUUCUUUUAGGCUGUUAUUUGGUCUAUCAGGCUCUAGAACCUCAUUAAAGAGUUGACAAUUUUUAACUUUAUUGUUUGACCCAUACGGUUGUAUUGAGACAAUAAAUUUGUAGUAUUAUUUAUUAACAACAAAGGUCUCAAGGGAUCUAAAUAUUUAGCAGUCAAAUUUUUUACCAUAGAGAAACGGUACAGAAAGGUGACGUUUUAAUGUAGUAUAUUUCCACAGAUUAUGUGAUUGCGAAUCCAGUAACUAAAGGACUUUAUUCUUCUAUUCUUGAAUGACAUGUCAUUAAUAUGAGCUUAAGAGCAUCAUGAGAUACUAUUGUUUAGCGGGAGGUAUUUUGGCUUUACUCUAAUAAAGUUUACAUUUAUGUUCGUUAAACUCAGUAACGGUUUAAUAUGUAUCAACUUUUACAUUCAAUAAAAUAUUUUUGAAUGUAUUGUUAUUAUGUUGAAUACAUAUCAUUAAAAGUCUCAAGGUAUUGUUUAAAUCUUGAGUGAAGGCUAGGGGCAUCCGGUUAUUAGCCUUGAACAUAUGUCUUGUUAUACAUAAAGAAAUGUUAACCGUAAGGAUAAGACAUAUAUGGGUUCAUUGGAACCAUAAAGAUAUUCUUUAGUGGUACAAGUUUUUUGUGAAGCUUAAGAUUAGAGAGUGGUGAAUGACAAAUGAGAUCUCUCUAUGAGAGAUGUUAUCCAUUUGCCACACUAUCAUAUUGAAUCCAUAUCAAUAAAGUUGAAAGCACUCGUGACCAUGGAAGGCUCUGUGUGUAUACAUGUAGUUACUGCCAUGAUUCAAUGUUUGAGAUUUUAUGGGAUAUAAUUGAUUAUUAAGAAUUAUCUCUAGACCAAUGUGCGCACAUACAGUACAAUUUCAAUUAAUAUAGUCCUAGUGGGAGAAUGUAAGAGUUUUCCUAAUGUGGUAUACAUUAAUUGAUAUUGUAAUUUACCGUUUUACGAUUACUGUUUUACGAGGUUGAUAUAAGGUGAGAUAGAAAGUUUCUUAAUUAGUCUAAUAUGGGGCUGGUUAGUGUGGGCCGAGUUGAACCUAACUUGUAAUGAGGGUGCUUGGUUAGAAACUCUAUAAAUAGUGCUCAAGUCUCUCCUCUAACCCUAAUUAUCACAUGUAUCCUCACAUAAGGAGCGUUAAGCGCUAAAGGGUGAGGAGGCCGUCUCAUUGAGCCAGUGAAAUGGAGGGUAAUAGAGGAGAAGAAUUUGUGCGUGGAACAUUGGUUUUUCCGCUUCCACUUCAAGAAUGAUGGAUCUCAAAAUAGUGCAUUAAUAUUUCUACUCAAUUAUGCAUGUUCUUGUUCUGGUUAUGGAGAUCUUGGGGUUACGCGUUUUGCAUCCAACAGAACAACCCAGACACUUCUCCUCUUUCUUUCUCCAGCACGUCCACCACCUCUGUCUCCCUAGAAGCCUCGCCGGUCAUAGUUGCUGCUUAGAUAUGCCUGUAGCACAUCACUUCCCCCUAGAGUUCCGCUUGUUGCAGCUGGUUCCCGCCAUUGCCUCUCGGAGCUCCAUUGGCAGCUCCAACGAGCUCGAGUUGAACCUUGCACGCACUUCGCUCCUCUCUCUCACCUGGGUUUUGAGAAAUCAAGCAACGAAGAAGAAGCUUCUCCAUUUUUUUUAGCUUUUUCUUGGCAACAUUUCUUCUUGUAUGUGCCCAACCCGUAUCCCUGUUUCAACACCGCCGUUUGAAAAGCUCCUCUGUCGUUGGUAAGUGCAAAAUGCUCUUGUUCUCUUAUUACCACAUUCUCUAUAGGAGUUCAUUUCUUUUGAAACUAUACGAACACUCUUGUUUUCUUUUCCCUUUUCUUCGCCCCGUUUUAAGUUCGAGCUCAAAAACCCCUUAUUUUCAAACCUACGCAAGCUCAAGAUGCUUUACCUUUGUGAGCUCAAUCGGACUCAUUCGCUCCUGCAUUUUCCAGAUUCUUGUCCAAAUUCACUCCGUACGUGGGUAUGUUAAAUUUCGGUUUUUACUGGUUGCGUAAUUCUAGUACUGCAUAGAGUUGUUGAGAGAAGCAUUUGGAGUGCAAAAGGUUUGUUUUUUCUUCGUGCUAGUUAGCUAAAUGAGGUAGAGAAAUAUGUGCUUUGAGAUGGGUUUUUGAAUUAUAUUGUGUUUGGAGGUAGGUAACUUAUGAUGGGUCUGUUUGUGAUAGUGGGUAAAUGAGCUUAAUCACAGUGACAAGAGAAAUGUGUUUUGGGCGAUGGAUAGGGGUUGUUGUGCCGUGCAUUGUUUCCGUGCCAUUUAUAGUGUAUGUUAGCAAAAGUGGCCGUCGCUAGUACAACGAGUUGAUUCUAUUGCAAUUAGUUUUCAGUCUUCAAGAUGAGUGGUUCUAUAGCUUUAGUAUGAUGUCCGGCCAUGUUUGUGUAGCUUUAGGUUCGAAGGAGGUUUGGUAUUAUUUUCACUUUAUGCUGGAGUGAAUGACAAUCAAUACUCUAGAAAUCUUCAUUUAGUCAAAGCAAAAGCUUGUAAUCGUGCCGAUUCAACCACGAGUUGCAGGCCUAAUGACAUGUCUUUUCCUACAUUGUUUUGUGCAGUGAAGGUUGGGAUACCGAAGUUUUUGCAGGGUAUUGGCAGAGGGGUCGGAGCCCAUGUUGCCAAGCUCGAGUCUAAGAUUUGCGACUUCAACAGGUUAAUUGUUUCCUACACACUUAGCAUCAAGAAACUUAGCAUCCUUUGUGAACAUGUAAACUGGCUUUCCCUGGAUCAUUACUUGUUUUUUUUUUUUUGGUGACCCAGGGAACCUCGUGCGCCACUUCGCGGCGAAGUAAACCCUGGGGACAGGUAGAGUCACCACCACCCUUGCCUGCCAAGUGAAUCGCUUGACGAUGCCGUGGAUCGAACUCGGGACCUCUCGUGAAAAGUUCCCUUGCCUAACCACCUACGCCACCACCACGGGUGGUUCUGGAUCAUUACUUGUUCAUCUUUCUAACACUGCUUUUUUUCUUGUAUAUGCGAAAGUGUGGACAUGGCAUUGUUCAAUUUUCGCCCUUUAUAUGACUUUGAGGCAUUUCACUGGUAGAAGAUGAUCUUCUGGCAUGUUUUAUACAUUAAUGAUCCAGAAACAAGUCAUUAUAUAUGUGAAGUAUUGACUAGGUUCAUAGCUCUAAAGUCUCCCCAUAUAUAGUUUUUUUUUUUCAUCUAGAAGACUGGAACUAAUUUGUUUUGUAGAUUUUACUUUGAUGGCUAGUCUUUUUUAUCUAGGGAUACCCAUGGAAAAAAAACCUUCUACAGUGACUAUGGUCUAUCAAAUAGGCUAAAUAUGUUUGUGUUAUUUGCAUUACGGUGAAGAGCCAAACAUCUGUUGUAUUUGUGAGGCAUGCUUUGAACAUAUAUUGAUAGAUGAAAUUGAAUUAUUCAACACCGUCGAAUUUUUCAACACCACCGAAAUUAGUACAUCUAAAACUGAUCUUUCUACCUUCAAAGUUGAUUGGAAAUUUUCUGAGCUCAUUGCCAAGUGUGCAUGUAGUAGUAACUCUAUUGGACACUUUUUGAUUAUGAUUAGGGAAAAAACCACGAAAAAACUUGAACUUUGCGCCAAAGUGACACAUUUACCCCAAACUUUUUUUUGUGACGUGAAAAACCCCCAAACUUCCCAAACCGUGACACAGUUACUCCAAACUUUUUUUUGUGACACAAAAAAUCCUGAACUUUCGUUACGUGACACAUUUACUCCAAAAUUAAAGGGCAUUUUGAUCUUUUCAUUUUUAAAUUUUUUUUUUCUUUUCUCUUCCCUCCGCCGGCUGGCCGGCGUAGGGAAGCCGGCGUCCGGCGAGGGCUGCCCUCGCCGGCCUCGGGCUAGGGCGGCCCUCGCUGGCGUCGAGCGAGGAUGGCCUUCGCCUGCGUCGGGCGAGGGGUGCCCUCGCCAGAUCUGGCAAGGGCCGUCCUCGCCCGACACCGGCGAGGGCCGCCCUCGCUUGCGUCGGGCGAGGGUGUCCCUGCCCUCGCUCGUCGCCGGCGAGGGCUGCCCUCACCUGCAUGGGGCGAGGGUGUCCCUGCCCUCGCCCGACGCCGGCGAGGUCGCCGGACGCUGACUUCCCUCCGCCGGCUCCGCCAUGGCCAGCGAAGGGAAGAAGAAGAAAAAAAAAGAAAAAGAAAAAAACAUAAUAAAAAGACAAAAAUUCCCUUGAUGGGGUAAAUGUGUCACGGUUUGGAAAAUUUGGGCUUUUUCACGUCACAAAAAAAAGUUUGGGGUAAAUGUGUCAUUUUGGGCAAAAGUUCAUGGUUUUUCGUGGCUUUUUCCCUUAAGAUUAAUAAGGGGAAUAGUUGCUCCAUCCACUAAGGUCUAUCAUUGGGUUGAUCUCAAAUGACAUUAGUUGUACCACUUAUAAGGACAUUCCACUUUCGUUGUGAAGAGUUCCUAAGUUCUUGUUUGGUUUUGCAGAGGAAGCUGAUAUUGAAUUAUGCCCACAAAUACAGGCUUGGACUAUGGAGACCCAGAGCUGCACCCAUGAAAGCUUAAGAGCGGUUUUGCAAAAAUUGCUAUAGUUGGCAACUGCCGAAGGGCUUUCCUAUUAGAAAUGAUAUGAUUAAACUUUUAUUUCCAUGGACAGUUUCUUCGUAGUUCAAUUCAAAUGAAAUUGUGUUUCGUUUACUACCUUCUAGUUAGGAAACAAUCAGUUUGAUUUAGACUAUUCAAGCAACAUUAAUCUACCAAGUUUUACUGUGGUGUAGAUUAUGGAAUCAGUUGAGGGAGUUGAUGUUUUGCCAGGGAAAAAAAAUAGUUGCUCUUGUUGUGUUUCAUAUGCUGGUGCGAUCAAGAAUCACUUAUCCAUUCAUUCCCGAUAUAUGGCUGCAAAUUGCCUUCUUUUGGGUAAAUAUCAUAUAGGACAAAGUCAACUAAGAGCUUUAAACAGUGCUUGUCAAAGCACAUAUGGAAUAUAAUCCAUGUCUAAUGGUGCUCUAGCUCAAUAAGCUAAACCCAUUGAAGAGUAAAAAUUGUAUCUUGACAGGACAAUAGACAAGCUUAAGAAUAAUUAGGUAAAGCAUAAUAAUAUUUGUCACAAUAUCUUUUACACGACCGCCAAAAAGUCUUUCUAAACAUUGUUCGAAGUAAUAUGAUGGAUUAAUCCUUGGAUCUUAAAGGAAGGCUGUAUAGGAGUAAUCCUUUGAUCUUCGAGGAAGGCCAGAUUGAAUGUUCGACAAUAGUCAUGCAAGCAAAUGCACAUCUAGGCCUCCUCUCAAAUUGAAUGCGAGUUCAUUUGUGUCGCUCCUCCAAGCUGCUAUAUAGUCUAUUGUUUUUUUUAACCUGAUAAGCCAUAAAGACAACAUUGUGAGUUCAAAUACUCCAAGCAACUAGAAUGGAACUUAGUAGAGAUUUGCAUACUUUUGAAGCAACCUGAGUUACUCAUCUCGAACUUUGGUUGAUUCUUAAGUUUCACAAAGCUCUUCUUAGCAAAAGCAAUUUUUUUUAUCCUCUCGUUUUGUUUGCACCAGUAGAUGAGGGGCCAAAAAAGUCCAAACCUCUUUUGCUUACUCACAUUCAGGUACCUGGUAGUCCUGGUUCCUAUAAUUAUAGAUGAGCUAGUUAAGAAAAGUGAGGAUAAAAGAGAUUACCUAGAGAACUCAAUCAGGAAAAGAGAGUAUUAAUUGGAAACCAGAAAGAUGAUUAAAGAACAUAUUGUCAUCUAUGCCACAACGUGGACAACUUAAACAAUGACUAGAAACUAAAUAUGCACUGUAAUGAAAUUCCCAAAGAGCUAGAGAAUGCAAUAACAGAACCUGAUAUAGAAUAGAAUGAAACACAUGCCAAAAGAUUGGCGAUUCUAAUUGACUUUACUAGUCACCAUGCCUAUGAGAUCAGUUAAAGAUUGAUUAUAUACAAUCUUGUUGAAGCAAAGUCUCUUGACCCCAAGAAAAACUUCGUGUCAGAAGGAACCUAUACUUCAUCCAAACAACCAUGAAAUUGAUUACUAUCUAUUGUCUAGCUAGAGACAAGGAAUUUGAAAUGUAACUUUCUUUUUCACCGUUUGUCAGGAUGUAACAUCACGCAUUUUUAAUCUGCACAAAGCAUUUAACUUCAACAUACCCCAAUCAAAGCAACAAUUCAUGCCUUUGCCAAUUAUAGGUCACAAACAAUGGGUUCCCCAGAAUCUACAGUCAAAUAAAGAGAAAAUUAUUAAAAAUCAUUUCCAAUAAUCUUGAAAGUUGAAACCGUAGACAAACUCCAGAUCAUUAAUGCAUAAAACACGCCAGAAGAUCAUCUUCUGCCAGUGAAAUGCCUCAAAGUCAUAUGAAGGGUGAAAAUUGAGUAUUGCAAUGUCCACGCUUUUGCAUAUACGAGAAAAAAAGCAGUGUUAGAAAGACGAAUGAGCAAUGAUCUAGGGAAAGACAGUUUACGUGUUCUCGAGGGAUGUUGAGUUUCUUGAGCUUAAGCGUGCAGGAAACAAUUAACCUAUUGAAGUCGCCAAUCUUAGACUCAAGCUUGGCAACAUGGACUUCGACUCCUCUGCCAAUACCCUGCAAAAACUCCGGUAUCCCAACCUUCAUUGCACAAAACAAUGCAGGAAAAGACAUGUUGUUAGGCCUGCAACUCGCAGUUGAAUGAUUAAGCUUAGACUCCAUUUAUUUCAAAUUUUAAAAAUAUUUUCUUAUCAAUAAUCGCUUAUAUUGCUUGAAAUAAUUAAUUAAUGAAAAAUGUCUUCAUAAUCAACAACAAAUUAUGUUUAAUUAUUUUCAUAAAUAUUGACAAUAUUUUUCAUUGAAUUAGUUUUAUAAGCAACACAAAUGAUUAAUUUUAAGAAAAAGUCUUUCAAAUUGUUUACUUUUCCGCGAGGCAAACUCAUCCUUAACUUCUUGUUUUUCCUCUUUGACACUAUCGAAGUUCGUUCCUCCCCAGUGACAACACCCACUUAUUUAAUGAACCUGCAAUGUAAAAGAAAAAGAAAAGAAAAACAUUACCAUUUGGGAUGAAUCGGUAGAGAGGGAUGCGAAUCGCAAAGCAAGAACAAAGAGCAUUCGUUUAGAAUCGAAACAAGGUCAAAAGUGAGUACAUGGAGGGGUCAUCACGGAACUUCCAGAUGACAAUGUAGUCCCAAGCCAUUGAGACGACCGGAGGUGUCAACUAUUCGACCGACCUUUGAAGUGCUCUCAUGGUUUAUGCUUGUUUCUUUCCCAACACCUUGACAAAAUAAAUGAAGAUCUGCUUGCUUUUCGCUUCUUCCUUAGCUCUCAUCUGGAUUUGCGCAAGAGCGUCGUGGCCCUUGUUAACCACAAGCAAGGGUCACUCCUGUCGCUUGGAUUUGGGUAAGGGCUGCCACGCCCUUGCCCUUGCCGGCCAUUGCUAAGGCACCGGCAACCCCGUCUAUCUUUUAGGAAGGUAAACAAUGAGGAAGGGAGAAACAAAAAUAAACAAUUCUCAAAAAGACAUUUUGAUCAUUGAUGGACUAUGUUAGUAGUUGUGCCAUAUAAGGCACCCGCGAUGACUAAAUAACCACGUCAGUGGUCUCCGGAUAAAAUUGAUCAUGGACUAUAUUGAAACUUUGUGCGAAGGUUUCUGACUAAAUUAACUAAAUUGAAAAUUUUAGAACUGAAUUAACCACCGUAUAAUACAUUUAGAAAUUUUUGGACCUUUGUCUAACCAUUGGCAUAGGGAUAAUGGAAGAGGCUAUGUGGAUAGGUUGAACCACUACAAUUUUCAUUUUUUGUCGGUCCCACCUCUAACUCUCUCCUUCCUUAUUUAGAUUCUUGAUCUGCCUCUUUGUAAAGUGCUAAAGUCAAAUCCUGCGUGCAUCCUUAAUCACCUCGCCUCCCCACCAGCAGAGUUGAAUACUUGCUCGCUAAAACCAAUAUUGUUGACACCUAAAUUUUGGCGACCCAUUUAUUCAUUUAUUGCAUUAAAAAAUUAGGGAUUAAUUUUAACCCCUAAAAAAUAUAAUUUAAUUGCAUAAGAUAUGGUCAUUAGGAGCAUAUUUCAUUUAAUUGCAUAUUUGCUGGGCCAGCGGUGAAUGGAUUUUGGUGAAUGGCUUUGAAUAUUGAAGCCCACAAGAGCAUUAAACUUUGGAUAAGUCGAUAAUUCCUCCAUGGUGAUCGAUAUUACAUGGGUGUCCUAAAUUGUUAAAAGUCAAUUAAGAAAUUUCCAGCAUAUUGGCACCGACAUAUUUGUGCAUUUAUGGGAACGAAUGCAAAGGAAGGACAGCGUGUAAGCGGCCACCGAUUCGUACAUGGAGAAGCCCAUCCACGUCAAGGAAAAUUAUGCGCUUAGCCACACAUUAAAUUACACGGCCACAAUUGAGAGGAGAGAGGGGACUCCCGUGGCCAACCCUUGGUCGAGAUGCUGGUCUCGCUUCGCCCUCGCCAUCCACCACGCUGUUUGCUGCGUGAGCGGACACCAUGCAUCGCCCUCCUGUAGUUGCAAGUCAGCCAUCCCCUUGACGACAACACCAGCUGAUCGAGCAGUACCCUGCAUCCCGAAGCUAUAAGUCUUUGUAUCACUCUCCGCAAUUGGCGUCUUCACCAACAAUAGCCCCUACGGUCUCUCUCUCUCCACAGGAGAAGAUUACGACCGAAUUAGGCGAACGAAGCCAGUCAAAAUUUCUCCACCGCCUGGACCUUGAGAAGGGUACACAUAGCAGGCGUAUUAUAAGAAGACAACCUGGGGAAGUGAGCCGGGAAUCUCCAGUGAGUCAUCAUCCUCCACCAUAGAUCUUGGUGCACAGAUAUAAAGAGAAGUCUGAAAGGGCUCGGAUUCUCGUUCGGUUCUGGACAUCCCGAUGCCCGGCUGUCCAUAGCACGGGUCCACCUUGAGCAACUCCACAACCAAGGCCCGCAAGCCUUUCCAUGGCCCAAAUCGCUGAGCAUUGCGGCCAAAUUACCACGUGAGCACUUCAUCGAUCACUAGGCACCACCAUUCCCGAUUGCGAUCCCGGUCCGAUUGCGCAAAGUCCAAAUUUGGAAGCCAAUAUUCAGAUUAGGUAAGAAUUUUAUCUAAUUUGAUUUCUGAAAAUUUUGUCGAGGUGGUGUCCGUAAACUCGAGUAGCCUUCUAGAUUAGGAAAUCUUCCUAAUUUCGCAACGUGCAUAUCAUUGACUGUCCGAUUUCAUGCUUGAAAUACGACCCGCAAUCGCACGGAAAAAUCACCAAUCCGAUCUCAUGCUCGAGAUAUGAUUCAUGAUUUUAUUUAAAAAUUUGUCAAUCCGAUCUCAUGUUCAAUUUAUUUCCACAAUUAAAUGGACAUGGAUGAUAUCUUGCUUGAUUUGUUGCUGUGCUAUUCUCGAUGCCUUUAUUUGAUUGCUCCCGUAAACGAAAAACCCAAAAUAUAUAUAUAUAUAUGAGUUAGGUUAAAUGCAUGUUAGGAUAUUACUGGUUUUAAGGUUGUUUAGGAUAGGAAAUUUAUUUCGAAUUUCUUAAAUAAAUAAAAAAACCAAAAACGUUAAUUUAGGAUAUCAUAUUUUCUUCUCAUUAAUUUAAAUUGCACGUUUAAUUAUUUGGCAAUUUUAAAUUUCGAAUUUCAUAAUAAAAAAUAAAAAAUUAGAAUGAGGGCAUUCUUUGCACAUCAUUGCAUAUUAUGAUAGAUUGCAUGCUUAUUAAGAAAAUAAAAAAUCAUGUGCACGUCAUAUAGUGUUAGGUUCAUGAAAUGGACGCCAUUUAGUGAUUGUUGCUAGGUUCAUUUAAUUAGAAAUUGGCCGUCAUUAGGAUUAGGUCAUUUUGGUUAAUUUAGAUUGCAUAUUUAAUUAUUGCAUGUUAAUUAAGAAAACACAAAAAAAAAAAAAUUACUUUACUUAUUCAUAUAAUUUAGGUCAUAUUGUCAUGCCAUAUCGUUUCAUGUUAAAUUAGUAACAUUGCAUUGCAUAUAGAUUUGAUUCUCAUUAAAUAAAGUAAAAACAAAAAUUGAGUGAUUGCAUGUUAAGUAGAAAUCAUUAUUUAGGACUGUUGAUGUGAAUUAUGCUCUAACAACGCAGAUGCUUUCGUUGCUACGAGGUAAGUCCCUGCAUUUUUUCUAUUUAUUUGCUUUCCUUGGGUGUUAAAUUGGUGGAUUACGCACCCGUAUGACAACAUCACAUGUUAUGGAGAUAAAUUAAAACCAUUCAAGCUGUUUGCCAAAUAUUUUUCGAAAUAAAAGAGAAAGGUACUGAAAUGGCGUUAGAGAAAUCUAGCGUAACAAAAUCCCCGAACUCAUAAAUCUCUGGUUUGUAGGAGUAAAGUAAAUCUCCCAUUACUGGGUUUCUAAUCAACCCACCAAAAAUAUAUUAGUGGCGACUCUAAUUGAAAAAUCAAUUGCAUGUUAAGAACUUGAACCUAAGUCGCGAAUUGGUAUGGACUUGGAAGAGCCCGAGCUAAGUCUAGGCUUAACAAUCCAUUAGCCAAAUCCUACGUGGUUCACCCGAAAAUUUGGUCGCAACAAAUAUAAAUUGAUUUGUAGUCUCUUUUAUCCAUUACUCUCUUAUCCAUUACUCUCUUUACAAUUUUAAUGAUUGAAGAUAUUCAUAGCAUAUUUUGUUUACAAAUACCGUUUCAUCCUCCCCACAUUGUUUUGCGCUAAAACAGUUAAAAAAUUGCAAAAUAAAUAGUUCACUCCCCUCUUGAUUGUCAAGUUAAGCUCGUGGCCAGGGUAGAGAUCGAGCGGCCAUGGGGUUGAGAUCUAAAGGUCGUAGAUCUCAUCUACGAGCUCGCAAUCGCCAUGGCUGCUCGAGCAUUUGAGCUGCAGCCAUGGCUAGAGGAAGAAUCCAGGUCAAAAAUAGAGUCAAUUUUUGAAUAUAAAGAAAAAAAGUAUAAUAUAGAGAAAUUAACGACGUUUCCACCACAUCAACAAAUAUUCACAACGGCCCCAAAAUAUAUAGCAACAUUUGAGUUAAGGCUUCAGCUUCAAAGCCAUUUGAGUUUUAAAAGCCCAAGAAAUGAAAAAGUACCAAAUUCCAAUGUUAAAUUAAACGAAAAUUCACAACAGACCCAAAAUCUACUUAAAACAAAAAAGCAUGAAUGAAAAAUAAAAUAGAAGGCCAAGGAACGCUGCGGCUUCUACGGUAAAUAGUCCUACAGAUGGUUUGAGUUCUUCUGUUUUAUUAAUUUCUUUGAUAAAGUUAUUUUUUUCAAGUGAUUUAUUUAAUAUAAUUGAUCUAUUCUUGCGAUUCUUGUGUCCGUUUACUAAUUCUAAUGGUCAUUACAGCGCAUCUGAAAGAUAGGCGAAAAUUAUUAGUAACAGUCCCCUGCUCAAUCAUCAUCUUCUUUAUCAUCCACCUGUGAAUCCCUCAAUUACGUCAUUGAUGUUGACGACGAAGAUGAAUUGGCCGAAGCCGAACUACAAAACUCAAUCAUUAGUCACUCACUCUCUCCACAACAAAAUGGCCAAGCUUAUCAAAAACCUCCACCAAGUUGUCCCUGCACAAGAACUCGUCGCGAUUAACUCUCUCCACUUCCCUGUCGAAGUCAUACACGAACACGUGUGUCUCCGCCACACCACCCUUCUUGCUCCUCGCCAGCACCGCCACCGUGAAUAUUGCUGACAUCCUCCCCAGCGCCUCCUCGUGGUACCCGCUCGGCCCGUCAAUCAGUAUCGCAUCCCAACUCAAUUGAUACACGUGGUUGGGCAAGCUGUUCAAUGAGAGCUUGCAUUCCGAGAAGAGCAGGUUCUGCACUGGCCGGCACUCACUGCGGAACUCACCAUUAGCUGACUUGAGCAGCCUCUUCAUUUCGCCAGCCCUCGUCUCGUACUGCACAUUGUAGGCCUUGAAUCCUGGGUGUUGCUGCUCAAACUUCGAGACGAGGUUCUCAUUCUCGUCCAGGAAGAUGGUGCAACCGUCAAAGUUGAGAACUUUGUACAGGAGGGCCUCGCGGUAAGGCCGAAAACUAAAAGGUUGCAGUGGGAGGCAGCAGCGGCACAACGGGCGACUGCGGCGGUUACGGUGGCAAGCUCAGCGGACAUCAUCAUGUGGGUGGACUUGGCAGUGGCGGCAUAGUGGAGGAGGGUGGCCGAUAUGGAAAGUGGAAGCGGGACUGAAGAGGCGGCAGAACCCGUGGGAGUGCUUGUGUUAGUGUAGGUGGUGAGUGGGGUUAGAAUGAAGACGUUGGUGAAGAGCGUGAUGAUGAAGAUGAGUCACAAGCUAUUGGUGUUUGAAGAUGAUUGCUUUUGGAUCGUGGGAAGGAGCAGUUUUUUUUUAUUUUAUCAGUUUUACUUUAACUCUCAAUUUACUCUUAAACUUUUAUCUUACCUUUUUGCAAGACGUGAAAAUCGAAACCCACAUUUGAAACUAAUCAUCCUAACCCCAGUAUUCGAACCUCAGGGAAUGGAGUGAAUGGAGUAUUAACUUUGUGCUUUUCUUCCUUAAAAUCUCUCUCUCUCUCUCUAAGUAAUUUGUUCAUUUCAUUUAACAUAGUCAGAGAAUUGCAGCGGGCACUGUAUAUAUUAGUGUGACUAGAUAAUGGGGAAAUCACUAAGAUGAAAGAAUUCUUGCCCAAAGAAAAACAACAAACGGAGCAAAACAGAUAAAGCUAAAAUAAGCCUACCUUCCAUAUUGACCUCUUAUCGAUGGGUACUACUUUAUCUCCUGCACAAGUCUAUUUUAUAGCAUUAAAAGAAAAAUAGCUCAAAUGUGAUUGAUGCAGGUAGGAGGACAAAUUAAUGAACACAAAUUUAGGGGCUUGUUUUGCACAAAAUUAAGAAUCAAUGAAAAAUAUGAACGAAAAUGUAUAGAGCUUUGUUAAUCAUGAAAAUAAUCUUCUAUUGACUAAUUAUUUUAAAAAAUACAAAUAAUCAUUUCUUGGAAAAAAAAUAUUUUUGAAAUCAUCAAUUUCCCAUAAAACAAACGCACCAUUGACAAAUGAAAAUCACGUCACAUAAUUCUCACGGUGCAAAAAAAUCUAACUAGAAAAUUACUAAAAAUUGAAAUGAAUCACCUAAAAUCCCAACAAAAAUUCUAAAAUACAAUGAUUAUAAAGAAAUAAACUUAAUUAUAAUCCUAGAAAAUAUUUGCCAAAUUGAGUUUUCUAGAUUAAUAUAUAUAUUUCAUUCUUUUGCAAAACAUCUUUUUACUUUGAAUUGAUGAAAGAAUUAUGAGAGAUCUUUCUUCUUCUUCUUUUUAUUUCUUUUAGAAAUUUGCACACGCAAGUGUGUUUGCAUUUGUACCUAUAUUUGUGGAUCUAAUUAUCCGUGUUUUUAUCGUUUCUACUAUGUAAUGUCAUUUCUUUUGUAAGCAUUUUCAAUUAAGGAAUUAAGGAACCGCAUCAUAUCAAUGAAAACAAAAUUGGCCUUUUGAAGUUAUCGUAAAACCCUAAAACCCUCACCUCUCGAAAUGAAGAGAAUUUCCUACCCUUUGCUAGCCAUGGUUCCUAAAACCCUAACCCUAAAUUAUAACAUCACCAUCCUUCUUUCUUUCUAAAUUAUGUCUUUACUUAUCUAUGGGUGUUGUCUUCUGUCCUUACCAAAUCUCAUUAGUUCGAGUGAAUGUUUAUUUUCUUUGGAAUUCCCGAUGGGCCCUAACUUCAUGCACUACCUUCGAUUGUAUUUGCAUAUCCAAUCCUGAUUGUGAUCUUCGGAAUUGAAGGUUUGGCCCUGAUUUCAAGCGGUAUCUUCACUGUUUUUUCCGUCCCUACUUCUAUAGGAUUGCAAUCAGUAAGCUUCAAUUCCCCUGUUCUUCACAAUUCUGGGUGCGUAGUCCAUCUUAGCUUCUACAUGUGAGGCUUUGGAGAAUCAGGCACAUUAGAUGUAUUGUAUCGGUGGCCUCUUCUCGCUUCUUACUCAAUUUUAGCUGGACUACUGCUUUUUCUUGUUUUUAUCUUCGUAUUGUGGGAUGGCAUCGGAUGAGUACAGCGACUCUGAGUGACUAGCUACCCUUUGCUCCAUAUUGGGUAGACUUACUACUGAGAAGAAUAUCAAUGUUUGGGAUAAUGAACCAACUCUUGAAAAAUUAGCAGAAUGUAGUUUAACUUUAGUGGGGAAAUUACUGUCUAACCCAUCCAUAAACUUCCCUGCAUUCCAGAGUACUUUAAAAAGAGUUUGGUGGACUAAGCGAGUUGAUUUUUCACAGCGAGAAGUUGAUCUAUAUGUAGUAAAAUUUCAAUCGACUGUUGACUAACAACGUGUAUUAGAUGGUGGUCAUUGGCUUUUUUCGGGCCACCUCUUUAUCCUCAAGCCAUGGCAGCACAAUAACCCUCUACAUUGUUAUGAUCUUUCAACAUGUGCCUUCUGGGUACAAAUUUUCAGACUGCCAUUGGAAUGGACUACUGAGAGGAUGAUAACUAAGGCUGUGCAAGACAUUGGUCGGGCAAUAGAUGUUCGAGUCGACACUAAAGAGGGCACCACUGCUAGGACAGGUUGAGCGAGGGUUGAACUACAGGUGCAGCACCCUUUAAGAACAGGUAAGUUGAUUCGUAUUGAUGGGAAACUACUCUAGCUUGACUUCUACUAUGAGCGUCGCUCGCAUUUUUAUUACUCUUGCGGGAAGUUGGGUCAUUAUGCAAUGUAUUGCAAGGUAAUUCCCUAUGAUGUAGCAAAAUUUGAAGGACGUGAUAGUAUGGUUUAUGGUCAGUGGCUUAAGGCUGAAGUCAAAGAAACUAGUUCUUAUUGGCAAUCUUUUUAUGCCCCUCAAUCUAUAACAGAUCAGUCUGAAGAUACUAUACCUGAGACGCCUCCGUCACAACUCUUGAAUGUGCCUCUUUUGCCUCCAACGAGUAACAAUGAAGCAGCAACAACAGCUAGAUCAGUUUCUCCAAUACCUCAGCAAGCUACAGGAUUUGACUAGAGGCAUUCUCAAGUGGAAUGUAUGGAUGGAACUUCUAUUCAUACCGCUUUGAUACCUCCAUCAAUCAAAAUGAAGAGGGCUCAGUCACCUACCUUGGAUAAUCAGCACCAAAGGAAGAUGAAGACUUCUCGACUGAUACCUAAAGUGGGUGUCGUUAAAAAACAAAAACGCUAUACGCCUUAUGACACAAAAUGUUUACUUUUGCAUGACCUAGAUGAAGCAAGUUUGAUGGAAACACCUGUGCUUGACAUGGAGGAAGCUUGACCUCGGGCUAUGGUGGCUGGCCCUCAACAGCCACCACCCCACAAAUGAAAAUCAUAUGUUGGAACUAUCAGGGUUUGGGCAAUCCCCUGACAGUUCAAGCGCUAAAGGCCAUGACGGCCAAGGAAAAGCCCAGUAUAGUUUUCUUAAUGGAAACGAAGAAUAGUGAAGUGAAGUUUACCAGUAUUCAGCAGCGUUUACAUUUCCAUAAUGGUCAUGUUAUCAAUCCUAUUGGUCUAGCAGGUGGUCUGGCAGUCUUUUGGAACAAUCAAGUAUCCAUCAAAGUGCUUCGUUCAAUGAAGGAUUAUAUUGAUUUGACUUAUAGGGAAGUGCAAGGAGACCAUACUAUACGACUAACUUGCAUUCAUGCUCCAUUUGAUUUUCAACUUAAACAACUCUUGUGGGAUGAAAUGCGAGGAAUAAGUUCAGCUAAUGCACUACCCUGGAUCUGUGUGGGCGAUUUUAACGAGGUACUUUAUCCGUGGGAAAAGAUUGGGAAAAGGCCGGCUCAUCAUUUUCGCAUGCUAUCCUUUCGGCAAGUUCUCAAUGAUUGUGCCCUAAUUGAGCUAGAAAGCAAAGGAUGCCGGUUCACUUGGAUGAAUAAAAGGGAGGGUGAUGAUCUGGUGAAGGAAAAGUUAGACAGGGCAAUGUGUACACUUGAUUGGCGAUUGCUAUUUCCUAAUGUAGAGGUCUUUGCAUUACCUGUUGUGGGCUCUGAUCAUAGCCCUUUGCUUAUCAACACUUUAGCAACAUAUAGUAGAAGAGGGAAGACUUUUAUUUAUGAAUUUUAUUGGAAUGAAGAUGAAGAUUGUCAACAAAUCAUUUUAGAUGCCUGGAAUUCAGUGCAAGUGCAAGGUUCUGACCUGAUUCCAAAGCUGAAAAAAUUAUCCUUUGCAUUGACAAAGUGGAGUUGUUCAAAAUUUAAUAGGGGUGAUCUUAAAGUCACAGCUUUAUAGCAACGUCUUCAGGAUAUUUUUAAUCAGCAGCAUAGUAGCUUCAAUGGUAACGAAGUAAAUCAGAUCAAAGAGGACUUAAGGUAGAUUUGGCACCAAGAAGAGCACUAUUGGGCUAUGCGCUCGAGAAUUCAAUGGUUAAGGUGUGGUGAUAAGAAUACAAAGCUUUUUUAUGCUACUACUCUUCAAAGAAGACAGAAAAACCGCAUUAUCACGUUGUAGGAUGACAAUCAACAAUGGAUUCGUGAUCUAGAUACCUUGAAAGCAAUGGUGUCCACUUUCUUUUCUGAUGUAUAUACUGUUGGAGAAAUCUUCUUGAAGUGUUUUGAAGUUGACAAAACGUUUUCAUCAGUCUAGUCUGAAGGCUUGCAGACUCUGCUGUUUAAAGUCUGAAGACCUCCGGACAGUCAGACUCAAGACUCAAAGUCUAUCCUCAUUGACAGUCUCUAAUCCGUUGAAGAAAGGUUAUCCAGAACUGGAUGUUUCGUUAAGGAUUUAACCUUAUCAACUGGAGAAGAUCUCGUGGCUGGAGAAGACAUAACGGAGUCCUUUGAUUGAUCGAAGAUUGACUCGAUAAAUUGAAGAUCCGGUGAUUGCCUAAAUAUUAUUGGAAGGUUCUGCUUAUGGAAACCGAGAUCCUGAUUGUAUGGGCGAACAGGAUUGAUGGGCUAUCAACACGUUCCUUUAAUAGCUUGAACAAUCUUCCUAAUUGAUUCCGUCCAACGGGUAGAUUGGAGGAAUUCCUUUGGUAAGUGCCAACGGGUAUGAUGGCAUAAAGGAGUAUAUAAGGAAGACGGUCUUAGUUGUUCAAGGUGUGCGCGAUAGAAGAAUUCCAAAGUCUGAAGCUCCUUUUUAUUUAGACAAUUCCUUUGAGCGAAUACUUGUAUACAAAAGAGAGUCUAUAUUUGUGAGAAAUCUUGAGGAGGUGUGGUAGAACAUCUACACUGUGGAAUCAAGGCAAAGCUGUGCUGUAACUUCUCUUUUGUUCAUAGUGGAAUCCAGCCAAUAGGCUGUCAGUGAAGAAGAGUGGACGUAGGCUUGAUAUAAGCCGAACCACUAUAAACCGCGUGUUCAAUUUUCUCUUCUCUCAGUCUUACUUUGAUUAUCGUUUGUCUCGAAUCCAUCAACUGUCUAGUAUUGUGCAAUUAUUGAAGAAAAAUCUUUUAUAUACCUAUUCACCCCCCUCUAGGUACUCAUACUAGCAAUAUCAUAUACAACAGUGGGAAAUAGAGAUUAUGGACCUAUACUAGAUCAAUGCCCGUAGGUUGUCACUACAGAUAUGAAUGACAAGCUGCUGAUUUUUUUUUUUUGUUAGAGGAGGUCCGACAAGCUACCUUUCAGUUGGGCUCUAUUAAGGCUCCUAGCUCUGAUGGUUUCAAUGGAUUGUUUUAUCAGACUCAUUGGGAGGUUAUUAAGAAUGAUCUUCUUCUCCUUGUACAAAUUUUUUUUUUAGUUAGGAAGGAUGCUUACAAAUCUGAACCGGACUAUCAUUGCUUUGAUUCCCAAGAUGCCUCACCCAAAGAGCCUAGAUCAAUACAGACCGAUAAGCCUUCGCAAUUUUGCUUAUAAAGUCAUAUCUAAGGUACUUGCUAAUUGCCUAAAACCUUUGUUACCUAAUCUGAUCUCCCUUGAACAAUCGGAUUUUGUGCAUGGACGACAGAUUCAAGAUAAUAUACUAAUUGUUCAGGAAGUUAUUCAUCAGUUUCAAACCAGAAGGAGAACAAGCAGAUUUAACGUAAUCCUCAAGACCGAUAUGACAAAGGCUUAUGAUAGAGUAGAAUGGGAUUUCCUUAAUGACUACCUCCUGAAAAUUGGUCUCCAUCCAAGAUGGGUACACUUGAUACUUCAAUGUAUAACCACAACAUCUUACAGUGUCCGAUUUAAUGGUGAGCUACUUCCAUUUUUCUAUCCAACUCGUAGCUUCAGACAAGGUGACCCUCUUUCUCCAUACAUCUUUAUUCUAUUAGCGAAUGUUUUAUCUACUCUGAUUACUCAAGCAGUUGACAUGGGUCACAUAAAGGGCAUUAAAUUAAAUAGAUGGUGUCCAACCUUGUCCCAUCUAUUUUUUGCCAACAAUGCAAUAUUUUUCCUUGCUGCAAAUAUUCGAGAAUGUCAGAAUCUGGCUAAUCUCUUAAAUCAGUAUUGUAUGGCAACGGGCCAGGCUUUGAACCAAAAAAAAUUGGGACUUAUUUUCAGCAAGAAUUGUCCUUUUAGUUUACAAGAAAAUCUGUCGUCUGAGUUUAGAGUACCGGUGCUACAAUGAUAUGGAAAGUAUUUGGGAAUUUCGUCUGAUUGGGGUCGUUCUAAAAAGGAAAUGUUCUCUUGGCAUUUGGGGAGAAUACAAGCUAAGUUGGAAGGAUGGAAAGAAAAGUUUAUCUCUAAGGGUGGUGUUGACACCUAAAUUUUUGGCAUUAGGAGCAUUUGCGUCACUAGCUUUAAAAUUUGUCAAAGAAAAAUUAUUACAAAAAAUUUUAAAUAAAAAAUUCGAAAUUAAAAAAUAUAUAUAAUUAAAAAAAAAAGAGAGAAGAGAAAAGAAAAGUAAAAAAAAAAAUCAUUAAGAUAUUGUGUUUUCAUCAUUGCACGGCAUAUGGAACGAUCUUUAUUUCUCCAAAAUUGUCAAAACAAAAAAAAGAGAGAAGAGAAAAAAAAAGAUCCAUUAAAGGUAUAAAAAUCGAAUGAGGCCGAGUAUAUGGGUCUUUCUUCGCGCAUGGGCUCGCCCGCAUAUCUCUUUCCUUUUCUUUUUUUUCGCACUUGGGCUGGCCCAUCUCCUUUUUAUUUCAACCCGGCCCAUGCGCAUACCAUCUUCCUCCCCUCACAACAUCCAUGCUUCUACAAAAAAGAGAAAAGAGGAGGGUACAAACAGAGGAGCAGAGGAUCGCAAGGCCAGAGGAUCGCGAAGGCAGAGGACGGCAUGAUCCCAGGGUCGGAGAUCAAGCGGCCGCAACAGGCUGGCGGUGGCAGGAGCCAUGCGCACCUGUCGUUGGCCGAGCUUUUAAAAGGGAGAGAGCAAACCGUAGAUGGGGGUUCACGGCUGUUUUUUGGUAAAGAGAGAAAAAGGGCACCAGAGGGCGAGCUUGAGAGAGACGAUUGGGGAGAGAGCGCGUCGCCGUCGCCUGAAGUACGCUCGUUGCUUGCCACCCGAACCAGGUAGGCUUCUCGCUUCACUUCGAGGUCUCGGGCCGGAGCUCGCGGCUGACCUGUUCACGCGAGCUUCAGCUUCACCAAUCCUCCAUGAAAGCUCAUAGAUGUCCUAAUGCAUGUUGAUAAACGCCCAAGCUUGUGCUUGAGUCUAUACCAGUCUGAAGAUACUUCGUUUCUACUGUGUAUGCUACCCGGUUGAUGAAAUGCCUGAAAGAGAUUCAAAUCUGUGAGUAUGUUGUGGCUGAAAAUACUUGCUGUGUUCGCAUCUGUUCCAGUGUGGUAUAUGUCCCGUGGAUCUUGAGUGUUGCUUGUGCAUAUUGUGUUGAUCUUUACUCGGAUUCGAGCCUCAAGUGAGCCCGUAUGCCCUCUUUUUAGCUGCUGCACACCCAAUAUUUGACAAAAUGUCUCAAAGAGAACCGAGGAAAAACCCGCGUUCAAACUCGGUUUAAUUUGCGCUUGUUCAUAUAUAUGUUGGACCAUGUCUGUCUCUCAUGUUUUCAUCGCGAUUUCAUGCGAUUUUCGUGAAAUAAUCAUGUGUGUUUGAGCUGCGGGUGUUUGCAUCCGAAAAUGGUGUAGCAACCCUCGGAGUUAGACGGCCGGCAGCGGGGGGUGUUGUUGUCGAUUCGUUUAAAUUUUUUGAUGUGGGUCCGUGGGGCGAAAUUCCGGGGUGGAGUUCAUCGAUGGAAGGCUUCGGUGAAAGACGUCGCUGGAGAGCAAGGCGUGAAAACGCACGAAGGAAGAAGGUCAGAAGGGAGGAAGGAAAGAAAUAAAUAGAAAAAGAAGAAAAACCAGCAAGGAAAAGAAAAAGAAAUGUAAGAAAAACGAAAUGAAUAAAUAAUAAAAGGAAACAAUGAAAUGGCAGAGGAAGCCUUGGGUGUUUAAUGGAAGCUUUGGGUGAAGAAGGAAGCGCGCAGAGAAGACGACCUGAAAAAGGGGCUUAGAAGAAAAACAAGAAAUAAAAUAAAUAAAAGGGUAGUGAAAAGAAAUAAAUAAAUAAAAAGUAGAAAGGUUGAAGGCGUGCAGGGGGCAAAUACGAAAGAAGAAGAAGACCAAAAAAAAUAGUAAAAAGAAACAAGAGCAAAAGAAAAGUACCGAAAGAGUGAAAAAGUAAAAACAAAAAAUUGAAAAAGAAAGGAAGAUGUUGGUCUCGUGAAGAAGAGAGUCAGAAGGGAGAAGGGAAAGAAUAAAAAAAAAAAGAGAACAAAGAAAAGUCAGAAAAAUGACAAAAUAAAAAUUAAAAAAAGAAGAAAAGAAGAAGAAAACCCUAAAAGAGAAGAAAAGACAGUAGGUGGGGGGUGUUCGGUGAAAGUGUCAGAAGAGAUGAGGGAAAGAAAUAAAAAAAAAGAGGAAAAGAAAAACCAAAAAAAGAAAAGAAAAGGAAGAGAAAAAUAAAAAAAAAAGAAGAAGGGGAAAGCAAAAUAAAUAAAAAAAUUAGAAAACUAAAAGGGCAAAAGCUAGCCGCGAGAAGGACCAUUGGGCAGAGCGUGUAGGGGAAAUGAUGAAGUGGGAAAAGGUAAAAAAAAUUAAUUACAAAAAGAAUCUUUUUUUUUUUUUAAAAAAGCUGUAAAAAAAAAUGUUUCUUUUAAUCCAAAAAUGUUGGAUCCGGGUUUGGGUUGGGUCCACGGGCCGGAUUGGGUUUACCCGGUCCAAACCCAUUUUAUUGAAGUAUAAUAAUAUUAAAUAUUAAAAAUGUAUUAAAAAUUCAAAAAAAAAUUCAAAAAAAAAUUCAAAAAAAUCAAAAAAUGAUAAAAUUUCAAAAAAAUUCAAAAAGUUUUCCGAAAUUUCAAAAAACUCAGGAAACAUUAAAAAUUCGACUUUCCUUUUGAAAAAAAAAUUAAUUAAUUUAAUUUAAAAAAAACAAAAAAACAAAAACAAAAAAAAACAAAAAAUUUCAAAAAUCCAAGAAUGAUAGGGUUUGGUUAGGAAUUACUAUGUAUUGCCGUUUUAGUAUAAUUAAGCCUUUAUUUUCUUGUAUGUUGUUUUUAUUGUAUGUUUAAUUUGCACGUGUUUAACUUUAGGGCAAAUAGGACCUCGGUAGGUAUAAUUAUUACUUUAUUGAUUGCGCACCUGCGUGGUCACUUCUAUGUAGUAGAUAGAUAUGAAAUCGAUCNNNNNNNNNNNNNNNNNNNNNNNNNNNNNNNNNNNNNNNNNNNNNNNNNNNNNNNNNNNNNNNNNNNNNNNNNNNNNNNNNNNNNNNNNNNNNNNNNNNNNNNNNNNNNNNNNNNNNNNNNNNNNNNNNNNNNNNNNNNNNNNNNNNNNNNNNNNNNNNNNNNNNNNNNNNNNNNNNNNNNNNNNNNNNNNNNNNNNNNNNNNNNNNNNNNNNNNNNNNNNNNNNNNNNNNNNNGGAGAGCUCGCGCUAUCAAUGGGCCUUUGGGCCCGUCUUUAGGCAAUACCCUAAAUCUGUUCCCUCCCCCCGAGGGGUAGGUCGCGACAGCUUGGCGACUCUGCUGGGGACUUAGUUUUAACCUUAGAGGACUUAGGCCAAAAUUAAUCUUGUUCAAAAGUAUUUUUGUUUGGCAGCGAAGAUAUCAUGUACAUCCGUAACAUAUUGAAUGUUGAAUGUUGAAUGCUUAUGGGAGUUAUAAGGGGCGGUGAUUUCUAACCUUUGUUUUGUAGGGGUAUAAGAGUGAAUGGUUUAUUCAUGUUUGAAGUGCUGAUUGUUCUUUUAAAUUGUCAUGCAUGAGUCUCCUGCAUUGCACUACACCAUAGCACACACAACCUGCCGCCGGACCUGGGCCGCAUAGGAUCACCUAGGAUGGUGUUGAGGUGGAUACCACUCCGACUACAACCGCGUAGUACGAGUCGCCCACCUUAACCCCGAAAUUUCUUUCUUCACGUCGAAGGUACCCACCCCGGUCUGCAACCGCGCGACACGGGUCGGUUCUUUGACGAAGCCGGAGUCAUGGGUAACCCGACCUAGCCGCGACCUUGCUGGUUCAGUCCGGUGAUCCCAUGGCUCCAUUUUGAGCCAUUUAGAGUAGAAAUUGAACCACUAUCCAUGCGUAUUUCUAUGUCAUUGGCUUUGCUACUCAAUGAGUAGGGUAAGAUUUUCAAAUUCUCUCUUUCGUAAUUUACUUAUUCGCUUUCUUUUUUUGGUUGGUUCAUGGCAAAUUAGGUUGAUCGUAACUGUGAGUAGUAUACGAUGGGAGUACCCGAGCUUCACAUCAUUGCUACCCUGAAAGCCGAGCUUCGCACAUGGUGGGAUAGACUAGACCCGACUGGCCAUGAUUGGGUGCGAUCCUAUGUCGGACGAUUACUUCCUCUCUUAGAAAUAGAAACUCAUUAUGGUGUUGUACGAGCAUUGGCACAUGUCUGGUGUCCUGAGACUUGCACGUUCAUAUUCGGUGACCACGAGCUCACUCCAACCCUGGAAGAAUAUAGUGUUGCCAUGGGAAAACCUUUGGUGUCAGAGUUAAUUGGUCCACCUAUAGGGGCUGAGCAUGUAUCGACCUUAUCCGAUUUCCUUAGGGUUAAUGAGGGUAACGUGAGGAAAGUUUUGAAAGCUAAUCGCAAGACCUGCCCGUUUUCAUUCUUAAACGAGCUUUUUCAAAAUGCCCCAUCUUUUCAAAAGAAUAGGAUCUUCUUGUUAGCUUUCUUCGGGUUCGUGUUAUUCCCACAUUGUAGAAACGCUAUUAACCCUUCCAUGGCAUGGGUAGUUCGUGAGGUAUGUAUGGGAAAGGGCUUUGUUAACGCCGUUUUGGGUAGUUCGUGAAGUAUGUAUGGGAAAGGGUUUUGUUAACGCUGUCCUGACUGAAACUUUUCUUUCCCUCACUCGUUUUAAAGAAAACAAAAACAAAACUUUCCAUGCUCCUCCUGAACUCUUGCAAAUUUGGUUCUUCUCUCACGUUAAAGGGUUUGGUAGCUUGAUGACCGUGAACGACAUCUCUGACUCUAGCCACCCUAUCCUGAAGUUUAAAGAUAGGAAAACAUUCGCCCCCGAUUAUCAUUAUUCUGAAUGGUUAGCUUUCAUGACCAACCCGGGACCUGAAGAUUUCCAAUGGCAUGCCAAAUGGCUCCGAGUUCGAGAAGCGCGUUUCGUGUGUGGGCUUACUGGACCUGUUCCUUUGUUGGGAAUUACCGGAGUCACUGAGUAUUACCCAACUCGGGUUGCCCGCCAGUUCCAAGAGGUUCAACAACUUCCACCGACGAUUCAAGAGGACCCGCUUAGGAUAGACUUCAUUGACGGAUGCCAAGACCACGAAAACUCCAUCGCGUUAGUCAAGUCAAUGUGGGAUAUGUGCCACCCCCCGAAAGCUGAUAUGGCCCGAAGAGGAGUUGGAAGGGCAAGAGAAGACCUAUUACGCCACGAUGGAAUAUAUCCUUAGGCACAAAAUUCCGAAGAGCCUACGCCCGAAGAUUCCCGACGUACCAUUACAGACCACCCACCGAGCCGAGAUCAAGCGCCUCAAAAGGAAGCUCGAAGAAGCCGAGGAGCGCGCCUCGAAGUUGACCCGAGUUAGUGAGACUGCUACAAGAGGGAGCUGUCUUCGCUGAUUAGAUUGAGUCAAGUGCGAUAUGUAAUGGGCCCAUGCCCACAUGUGUUACAAUGUUAAAGAGUUUGUCUCAUGUUGCAAUAUCGAGGGAUAGGAUUCAUGAUUAGCUUCACUAUUUGGGGAUUCUCCCUCAUGUCUCUUCUUGCGUUAUGUAGCAACCUUGCUUUCAAUGAAAUGAACAAAUCGGGGCGAUUAGAUCUUUGUCAUGGACCGACCGCCUAAUCAUUACUUAAUGCUCAUAUAUGCUUAUCUAUCCUAAACCAGGUACUAACAGGUUGUCUACUUUCGUCCAAUUGUCAACACGGCAAAGAGGAGAUCUCCAAUUCGUACUCGCGCAAAAGCCAGGAUGGAGAAUGAGGAUGUCAGCAUACGAGUGGCCAACAUGGAGAACCAGCUAGCUCAACUCACUGCUUUGAUGGCCGAGAUAAGCCGAAAAAUCAGUGAACCUCCGGCCCCGGCCAUAGCCGGAACCUCUACUCCCGUUUUGUCGGGACCCACUCCACCCUCAGUUGGAGAACCACAUGUCACCGAUCCUGCUGAAAAAGGUGCUUCUGAGGAAGCCCCUUCUGUUACGCCUGUGAUCGUCAAUCUAGAUCCCCCUCCAAAGGAGGGAUCCGCCAUCCGCUUCGACGAAGAAAAUGCAAGACGCUUGGCUAAGAUGGAGGAGCGACUUUGUGUCCUCUAAGGAUAUGAGAUGAAGGGAGUGGACAAGCUAACCCCAUAUGCUAAGGUGAAAGUACCCGAGAAUUUCAAAGAGCCGGAAUUUACAAGAAAAUAUGAUGGCACUGGCUGUCCUAUAACCCACCUCAAAUACUAUAUGAGGAGGAUGGCUCACUACUCCGACAAUGUCCCGCUCCUCAUACAUACAUUUCAAGAUAGCUUAGACGGUCCUGCCCUGUCGUGGUUUAUUGCACUAGAUAUUGAAGAGCUCACUGGAUGGGACGACCUCGCUGACGAGUUUUUACAGCAAUAUAAAUUCAACUCUGAGAUUGUCCCUACAAGAGAGGAGCUAGUGCGGAUGGAAAAGAGGAGGAAUGAAUCGUUUAAAGCGUUCGCCCAGAGGUGGAGAACGAUGGCAUCACAAGUGAAGCCUCCACUGAGUGAGAAAGAAAUGAGGCAGCUCUUCUUGAGGACUAUGCCAUCUGACUAUUUCCAGGGAUUAGUGUACUCUGGUUGCCAAACAUUUUCCCAGCUGGUGGAGGUUGGUGAAGGGGUUGAAUGGGCGAUAAUUGAUGGAAGAAUAUCUACUGGGAAUAGCAAGAGGUUCGCAACGAGGAAGGACAAGGAGACGGCGGUUGAAGUGGCAUUUAUCCAGGAGCCAACUGCACCUAAAUCAGUGUCGAUGCCUUCACAAAAGCCUAGAGCUAUGCAAGGAAGCGGGUCACAGGGAUUUGACGGAAGCAGAAAGUUCCCCCGAAAAGAAUUCACACCUCUACCCCGACCUCUAUCAAAAUUGUUACCUAUCCUCUUUGAAAAGAGAUUGGUAGCCAAGGAAGUACCUAGAGACAACCCCCCAAGAUUCCCAGGCUUCGAUGUGACCAAGAUGUGUGAAUACCACAUGGGAGAAAGGGGGCAUGAUGUCGAUAACUGCUACGCACUGAAGUUGAAAGUUCAGAAUCUACUGGAUAAAGGGAAGUUGACCUUUAAAGAAGCUACGCCCAACGUGCAACAAUACCCUUUGCCUGAUCAUGCUGAAGGAGUGAAUAUGAUUCUUGGGGAAAUGCAAGCGAACGAGCGACCUCUUGCGGUGGAUGUCCCUAAAUUGUAUGAGGCUCUUGAGCUAGCCGGGCACUAUGAAAGAGGGGAAGACAUAACCAUGGAGGAAAAACUAGAACGUAUCCGCAAAAUGAUAGACAUGGGGGUAAUCCGAAGUGUCAACAAAGAACAAAGACAACUGCCCAUGAUGACACCAUCCAUGAUUAGCUCAUCAUCUCACAAUGCUACUUGCGACUGUGAAACGAAGAAAGCUAAACCUCCGAUCCCAGAGGAGGGUAAACAAGUGGCGAUAGAAGACGCCUUGAAGACGGAUUUUGAGGGAACCUUUCGGAGCCAUGAUCUCUUAAAGAAGAUAUGUGACGAAGGUGAAGUGUUCGAUACGUUGGGUCAACCAAGCGGAAAAUAUGACUAUUACGUGAAAUAUUCGCCUGCCUCGAGUUUCUUUGAUGAUCCUAAGGACAUUAUCCCUGACGGAUGGGGGGGUAUGGAUGAUCCGAUGCCACGAGAGGAGGGGAUGGUCGCUAUGAUUACCCCGGUAGUGAUAGAACUGCCUGAUGAGGAUCGCACUAGUGAUGUCGAGAUGAAAACCACUGAGCCAAUGACGAUUGACCUUAUGGUCGAAGAAUUAUCCGCGAUCGAAAUCUUGGAGGAAAACCUGACGCCGAUCGUGAUCGAACUACCACCUCAGGGAAAGGACGAGGUGAUAAUGCUAGAACCUCCAUUGGAAUUCAACACCAAAGCAGUACCCUGGGAUUACGGGACAAAAGAAGUAGAUGCCAUCACUCGAUCAGGUCGUUGCUAUGCGCCUACCGGAGGAAUCGAAAAGAAAGCCGUGACAGAGGAGGACGCGAGGCAAUUCUUAGCCGUGGUGAAAACGAGCGAAUUUAACGUAGUGAAUCAACUGAGAAAAAUGCCAGCCCAAAUCUCCAUCUUGGAACUAAUUCAAUCAUCUGAAAAGCACAGAAACGCUUUGUUGAAGGUCCUUAAUGAGAUACAUGUCUCGGAAACAAUUGAUGACACCCAACUACAGGAGUUCGUAGGGGCCAUCCUUCUGAAAGAUCAGAUCGCCUUCACUGAUGAAGACCUCCCGGCUGACGGAGGUGAUCACACAAAGGCGCUGCACAUUUCAGCGAAGCACGAUAGCACCGUUGUCUCUAGAGUGUUGAUUGACAAUGGCUCCGCAUUGAAUAUAUGUCCAUUAGCUACACUCCACCGUUUGGGUGUUGAGAUGGAAAGGAUACGUCCAACUAAGUCCACUGUGCGCGCAUUUGAUGGGAUGAGGAAAGAAGUGCUAGGAGAAAUUGAGUUGGAAUUACUUAUCGGUCCUGUGUUUUUCUUGGUACCAUUCCAAGUCCUAGAUAUACCAACUGCAUUCAACUUUCUAUUGGGGAGACCAUGGAUUCACACAGCGGGUGCUGUUGCCUCAAGCCUUCAUCAGAAAGUAUGAUUUGUGGUGGACAAUAGACUCAUCACUGUGCACGGGGAAACAGACUUCAAGGUGUACCAGGAAACGGCCAUCCCAUAUGUGGAACCCGAGUGCAAAGAAGAGUCAAGCUUUCAGACUUUCGAGCUGGUGUCUAUGAUCCACGUUCCUGUGGGCUCUUGCGUGGGAAUUCCUGAAUUAUCCAAGCCGGCCCUGGCGGUAGGGAAGAUUAUGCUAGCAAAUGGGUACAAUCCUGGAGGCGGUCUAGGGUUGCAUGGACAAGGGAUUCGAAAGCCUAUUGAGGCUCGAAGAGUUCUAAGGAGAAAAGGCUUAGGGUUUGUUGAAGAGCGUCGAGGCACCCGAGGAGGUCGAGGUGAACGUGGAGGCCGAGGCGACCACGGAGGUCGGAUUAUAAGAGAUAGAAGUUGCCAAAGUGUUUUCCCUCCUCCACUGAAAGAAACAUUCCCAGGACCCCCGAAAAUGCUGAUGGAAGAAGAUGGAGCUAUUGACGGUAUAGCCCAGAUGUUUGAAGAGAAUACCGUAUGCACCAUCCUAGCUUGUGAGGAGGCUGAACCUUCUGGGAGCAUCGCCGACCCUUCAGAGUAGGACGGUUCUAGCUUAGCGUAGCUUUUUACUCUAUGUUUUCUUCCCCUGCGUGGGAACUCGUUAUUUCAAUUUGCUUGUUUAAGUCGCUUAUAAUGUAAACUCUGUUAAGCCCUUGACUUUGAGCCGUUGGUCUUGGGUGGAGUACGUUGUAAUACGGCCUUAUCAUUUCCUUUUCAAUGAAAAUGCAUGUUUUAUUAAGGACAUGUGGAAGCAUACCAAACUGGUUCUAUGAUGGUCACUGAGGGCUGGGCUUCUACAUGCUUCCUAGUUUCAUAAUUUCGUAAGAGCAAGGAAAUCUAAGGAUAUGAGGAUGAGCUCUCGAAACAGUUUUCAAAAUAUUAUUCGAAAAAUCAUUCACAUAUGACAUACGUUUUGUUUGUUAUUAAUGCAUACUAACUCAUCUCAUCGCAUCUUAGGCAUUACAUUAUGCAUAAUCAUGACAAAGAUUCAUGUGACUCGGAUCCACAUGACGGAGAUCUUUUAGAAUUUGAUGCCGAUGAAGAUCUGAAAGGGAUCGAACGUGAUUGGAAUCGACAUGAGGGAUCAAAACCGCUAACAGAAGAACAAAUAGUCACCAUAAAUUUGGGCGAUACACAGAAUGUCAAGGAAAUAAAAAUUGGGGCAUGUCUCUCGAAGUUAGAAGUGGAACGAAUGAUUAAUCUCCUGAACGAAUACCAGGAUAUAUUGCCUGGACUUAUGCCGACAUGCCAGGUUUAGACCCUGAUAUUGUAGAACAUGCCCUUCCGACCGAUCCUAAUGUGCCACCUAAAAAACAUAGCUCAGAAGAACGAAGCCAGAGUGUCUAGAAAAUCGAGAGGAAGUCAUGAAGUUGUUAAAAGUGGAUUUCAUUGAAGUGUCACACUAUUCAGAUUGGAUAGCGAACAUUGUACCUGUCAUGAAAAAGGAUGGGCGGGUCAGGGUGUGCGUAGAUUAUCGUGACCUGAACCGAGCUAGUCCAAAAGACGACUUCCCACUCCCGCAUAUUGAUGUUUUAGUCGACAGUACGGCGGGAUUUAAGUUAUUCUCAUUCAUGGAUGGUUUUCUGGAUACAACCAAAUUCGUAUGAAGGAGGAAGAUAGGAGCAAAACAUCGUUCAUAACCCCUUGGGGAACUUUCUGCUACAAAGUGAUGCCUUUCGGUCUGAAGAACGCCGGGGCAACGUAUCAAAGGGCCAUGGUCACGUUGUUUCAUGACAUGAUGCACAAGGAGAUUGAAGUAUAUGUGGAUGAUAUGAUUGCAAAAUCAAGACGAGGCGAAGACCAUGUUGAGGUCUUGCGGAAACUGUUCGAACGUCUUCGGAAGUUCAAGCUGCGCCUCAAUCCUGCAAAAUGUGUUUUUGGAGCGAAAUCUGGGAAGCUCUUAGGGUUCAUGGUUAGUAGUAAGGGCAUAGAGAUUGACCCGUCAAAGGUAAAGGCUAUCUGCGAUUUACAACCCCCGACUACCACAAGGGAAGUCCGCAGUUUGAUAGGACGACUCAAUUAUGUAGCGAGGUUCAUCUGUCAGUUGUCUAAAACAGCGAAGCCGUUCUUCAAGCUCCUGAAAAAGAAUGCAAAGAUUGAAUGGAAUGCUGAGUGCCAAAACGCCUUCGAGAAGAUAAAACACUAUCUCACUCACGCACCAGUCCUAGUGCCCCCUCUCCCUAAAAUUCCCCUAAUUUUGUACUUAACCAUACAUGACGAAUCAUUGGGAGCCAUGUUGGCACAGAAAAGACCAAAUGACAGGAGAGAAUACGCGAUAUACUACUUAAGCAAGAAGUUCACCAUUUCGGAAAUGAACUACACAGAAGUUGAGAGAACUUGUGUGGCUUUAAUUUGGGUUUUGCACAGGCUGCGGCAAUACACGCUUCAUCACCAAGUCUUACUGGUGACCGAAAAUGAUCCCCUCAAGUAUCUCUUAGAGAAGCCGGCAUUAGUGGGCAAGUUGGCUAAAUGGCAAAUCUUAAUUUCAGAGUUCGACAUUUAGAGCCUAGGACAAAAGUCUGUUAAAGGUCGCGCCAUAGCAGACAUGUUAGCGGAAAGUUCCAAGGGGUCCGGAGCAUCUGAUGAAGAUAGUGAUGCGGAGGAGCAAAUUCUACUUGUAUCCAGUGACACAUGGACGAUGUACUUCGAUGGUGCAGUUAACUUAGCUGGGUCUGGUACUGGGGCGGUCCUUAUUUCCCCAGAUGGACAACACUACCCUGUCGCCGCUAAAUUGACAUUUCCUUGUACGAAUAACAUCGCUAAAUAUGAAGCAUGCAUUCUCGGUCUCCAAGCUGCCGUUGAUAUGAAGAUUCGGAAGCUGCAAGUUUAUGGUGAUUCAACACUUAUCAUCUUACAGACCGAAGGCAAAUGGCGAACACAGGAUUCUAAAUUGAUUCCAUACCAUGAGUUCCUUGGGAAGUUGACGGAAGAAUUCCAAGAAAUAUCAUUCGAAUACUUACCAAGGUCUCAAAAUCAGUUCGCUGAUGCCCUAGCUACCUUAUCUUCGAUGUUGCAAGUAGCUGGGGGCUUGGACAUUGAACUGUUGAGAAUUGAAAUCUUUCGGCGCCCGGCUUAUUGUAUGACAGUCGAAGAGGAACCCGAUGGACAACCUUGGUAUCACGACAUCUUGAAGUAUCUACAAAAGGGUGAAUUCCCCGAAGGAAGUGAAGCAACAGACAGAAAGCAUUUGCUGAAGCUAGCAUCAAAAUUCUUCACCAGUGGAGAUGUCCUCUACAAAAAGUCCUUUGACUUGACAUUACUAAGGUGCGUCAAUGCCAAAGAAGCCAAUCGUUUGAUGAAGGAAAUACAUGAAGGGGAGUGUGGCCCUCACAUGAAUGGUCACCUCUUGGCGAGAAAGAUCAUGCGACUCGGCUACUACUGGUUAACAAUGGNNNNNNNNNNNNNNNNNNNNNNNNNNNNNNNNNNNNNNNNNNNNNNNNNNNNNNNNNNNNNNNNNNNNNNNNNNNNNNNNNNNNNNNNNNNNNNNNNNNNNNNNNNNNNNNNNNNNNNNNNNNNNNNNNNNNNNNNNNNNNNNNNNNNNNNNNNNNNNNNNNNNNNNNNNNNNNNNNNNNNNNNNNUCGACUACUUUACGAAGUGGAUUGAAGCCAACUCGUACGCCAAUGUCACUGCCAAGAGUGUAGCCAAAUUCAUUCGCCACGAUAUUAUCGCCCGCUAUGGGGUACCGGAGGCGAUCAUCACUGACAAUGGGUCCAACUUAAACAACAAAGUUGUAAAUGACUUGCUUGAUGAGUUUCGAGUUCGCCAUUUGAACUCAUCACCAUAUCGUCCUCAAAUGAAUGGGGCAGUUGAGGCAGCAAAUAAGAACAUAAAGAAGAUCUUGGCAAAGACUGCUGAAAAUUAUCGUGAUUGGCACGAAAGGCUUCCUUACGCACUGAUGGCAUACCGAACAUCUAUUCGCACCUCCACAGGGGUAACUCCUUUUUCGUUAGUAUAUGGAAUGGAGGCUGUCCUGCCUAUAGAAGUCGAGAUUCCCUCGUUGAGGGUCCUUUCUCAGUCAAAGCUCGAUGAAGUCGAAUGGAUACAGCAGAGGCAUGAGCAGCUAAACAUGAUUGAUGGGAAGAGGCUGAAGGCAAUAUGUCAUGGUCAAUGCUAUCAGAAACGGGUCGCGAAGGCCUUCAAUCGGAAGGUUCGUCCUAGGCACUUUGAGGUCAAUGACUUAGUGCUCAGGAAAGUCCUGCCGAUCAUCCCGGAUCCUUAUGGCAAGUUUACCCCGAACUAUGAGGGACCUUAUGUCAUUAAGAAAAUCCUCCCGGGUGGUGCUAUGGUGUUAGUUGAAAUGGACGGCCAUGAGCUGUCUAAGCCUGUAAACGCCGAUGCUGUAAAGAAGUAUUUCCCAUGAAUGAGAUCAAAGCCGUAGAGCCAUUUUGCGCAUAAUCCGAGUCACAUAGCAUCAUGCAUGUCAUGCAUACAUCACAUACAUGCAUAUUUAUUUGUAUUUCAGGUAUCCACCAACUCGAUGAAGUUACACAGAUGGAAGAAGUUGAUCGUUGCCCCUUAAAAGGUUGAUUCGAAUGGCUACCCANNNNNNNNNNNNNNNNNNNNNNNNNNNNNNNNNNNNNNNNNNNNNNNNNNNNNNNNNNNNNNNNNNNNNNNNNNNNNNNNNNNNNNNNNNNNNNNNNNNNNNNNNNNNNNNNNNNNNNNNNNNNNNNNNNNNNNNNNNNNNNNNNNNNNNNNNNNNNNNNNNNNNNNNNNNNNNNNNNNNNNNNNNNNNNNNNNNNNNNNNNNNNNNNNNNNNNNNNNNNNNNNNNNNNNNNNNNNNNNNNNNNNNNNNNNNNNNNNNNNNNNNNNNNNNNNNNNNNNNNNNNNNNNNNNNNNNNNNNNNNNNNNNNNNNNNNNNNNNNNNNNNNNNNNNNNNNNNNNNNNNNNNNNNNNNNNNNNNNNNNNNNNNNNNNNNNNNNNNNNNNNNNNNNNNNNNNNNNNNNNNNNNNNNNNNNNNNNNNNNNNNNNNNNNNNNNNNNNNNNNNNNNNNNNNNNNNNNNNNNNNNNNNNNNNNNNNNNNNNNNNNNNNNNNNNNNNNNNNNNNNNNNNNNNNNNNNNNNNNNNNNNNNNNNNNNNNNNNNNNNNNNNNNNNNNNNNNNNNNNNNNNNNNNNNNNNNNNNNNNNNNNNNNNNNNNNNNNNNNNNNNNCCCCAACACUGAUAUCCAUGCUUUAACCAAUUUGGGCUGAUUAUCAUUUCUGAACCUGAGCGGUGAUCAUCUCCUUCACUGGGGCAAGGCGUAAGAAUUGAUCAAACACAAUUGACAGUCACGAGAAAAUGUGAAAAAAAAAAAAAAUCUCUCGAAAGUCAUAAGAGCUACAACAGUUCAAAGAACAAGAAGUUUGACAAACUAUGGGGUAUGAAAAAAGCAGUGUGCCUGGUAAAAGCAAGGCCAAUACCCGUAAAAAAAAAAAUCAUCAUUGCAAGAGCAAAAGACAUUAGCAAAAUGAGCAAAGCUCCCAUGCAUAAAUGAUUAGUCAGGGGACUUUUGAAAUGUGCUGUGUUUCAAAAGCCAAAUGCUUUCGAAAGGUCGAGUGACCUGGUUAUGAUGCCAUGAUGAUCACUGACUCUUAAAAACCCUCUUGAAAAUUUUAAGCCUUUCGAGCCUCACCCAAGCCAACAUUACAACCCUCUUCCGAAGUCUCUUCUGAUUGGGAUAGUUUGAGUAAGGAUGAGAAUGCCACAAAGAAGUUACUGCCAGAAGGAGUGGAGAUAAUUCUAUCUUGUCUUAUCUUCCAAGUGCUCGACUCGUAAACCUGAUGAAGAUAAUGACGAAUGUUCCUCUAUUGGCCUCAAAGCAAUAAUUCCUUUUGUGUAAGCCCUAACCAAGCCUAUAUUGCGGUCCUUUCAAAAGACCAUUUUGAUCGAUCAUAUUGUGCUCAUUACAAAUGUUUCUGGAAGCCUUCGACAUAGGUUAUGUGAGAUACCCUCAGAAACCAGUUAUCUCCCACAUGAAUGGAUGAGAUCAAAUAGCCAUUUUAUUGAGUGUGUGAGAAACUCUUUCUGACUAAGAAGUUGUAGUUUGGCAUGAUUAAUGAUCCUUUUUCAUGAGUUAUAGUCAUUCUAAUGAGAACUUAUUUCCUAGAAAAUUUGAUGAUUAAUGAUGCAUUCUCAAGCAAGAUGACAACUUUGCGUCACAUGAUGAUAGCUGACAUUGAAUGUUUCUCAAGGGAAUCAGACUUAACUCGAUUAGCUUGUUCAAUUAACGCCGUAAUAUUGCUCAUACGUCUCUUAAUGACGUCUCUAACGACAUUUGCUCAAGUUGAGUUUAACAGGAUUCCUUAGUGAAGUCAUGCGGUUUUCAAGGGGUGAGUGGAUGCUUCCCCAAAAAUCAAAGGUUCAUGGUCAACCUCAAACCUUGCCAUCUCCAAAGGUUCGUGGGUUUAUCCUUAAACCACAAGGUUGGUGGGUCUAUCCUUAAACCACGGGGUUGGUGGCUUUCCUAAACCACACGGUUCGUGGGUCUAUCCUUAAACCACACGGUUCGUGGGUUUAUCCUUAAACCACAGGGUUGGUGGCUUAUCCUUAAACCACGGGGUUNNNNNNNNNNNNNNNNNNNNNNNNNNNNNNNNNNNNNNNNNNNNNNNNNNNNNNNNNNNNNNNNNNNNNNNNNNNNNNNNNNNNNNNNNNNNNNNNNNNNNNNNNNNNNNNNNNNNNNNNNNNNNNNNNNNNNNNNNNNNNNNNNNNNNNNNNNNNNNNNNNNNNNNNNNNNNNNNNNNNNNNNNNNNNNNNNNNNNNNNNNNNNNNNNNNNNNNNNNNNNNNNNNNNNNNNNNNNNNNNNNNNNNNNNNNNNNNNNNNACCACACGGUCCUAAACCACAGGUUGUGCUUUCCUAAGCACACGUUCGUGGUCUAUAAACCACACGUUCGUGGUCUAUCCUUAAACCACAGGGUUGGUGGCUUUUCCUAAACCACACGGUUUGUGGGUCUAUCCUUAAACCACACGGUUCGUGGGUCCAUCCUUAAACCACACGGUUUGUGGGUCUAUCCUUAAACCACACGGUUCGUGGGUCCAUCCUUAAACCACACGGUUCGUGGGUUUAUCCUUAAACCACAGAAUUGGCGGUUUUUCCUAAACCACACGGCUUGCAAAUUCAUCCGUAAAUCAUGCUUGUCUGCGUUCGGUCAAAACCCAUUUGUACAUGGUGAGACCUUUCUUACAAUCGAACUCAUUAUCAUACAAUAAGAUUUUCCCAUCUCAGUUGAAGGCUUUUUUCCUUACAAAGUAAGGUUGUCCUUUUAUCCCCUUUUCUCAUCGGCGGCCCCUGAUCAUCAUCGUCCAUGGACAAAAUUUAGGUGUCUCUCGUCUUUGAAAGGAAUCUCUUCGAGCUCCCGUUCAAAGAGGGGCAGCUGUUGACACCUAAAUUUUUGGCAUUAGGAGCAUUUGCGUCACUAGCUUUAAAAUUUGUCAAAGAAAAAUUAUUACAAAAAAUUAAAAAAAAAAUUCGAAAUUAAAAAAUAUAUAUAAUUAAAAAAUAUAUAUAAUUUUAAAAAAAAAAAAAGAGAGAAGAGAAAAGAAAAGUAAAAAAAAAAUCAUUAAGAUAUUGUGUUUUCAUCAUUGCACGGCAUAUGGAACGAUCUUUAUUUCUCCAAAAUUGUCAAAACAAAAAAAAGAGAGAAGAGAAAAAAAAAGAUCCAUUAAAGGUAUAAAAAUCGAAUGAGGCCGAGUAUAUGGGUCUUUCUUCGCGCAUGGGCUCGCCCGCAUAUCUCUUUCCUUUUCUUUUUUUUCGCACUUGGGCUGGCCCAUCUCCUUUUAUUUCAACCCGGCCCAUGCGCAUACCAUCUUCCUCCCCUCACAACAUCCAUGCUUCUGCAAAAAAGAGAAAAGAGGAGGGUACAAACAGAGGAGCAGAGGAUCGCAAGGCCAGAGGAUCGCGAAGGCAGAGGACGGCAUGAUCCCAGGGUCGGAGAUCAAGCGGCCGCAACAGGCUGGCGGUGGCAGGAGCCAUGCGCGCCUGUCGUUGGCCGAGCUUUUAAAAGGGAGAGAGCAAACCGUAGAUGGGGUUCACGGCUGUUUUUUGGUAAAGAGAGAAAAAGGGCACCGGAGGGCGAGCUUGAGAGAGACGAUUGGGGAGAGAGCGUGUCGCCGUCGCCUGAAGUACGCUCGUUGCUCGCCACCCGAACCAGGUAGGCUUCUCGCUUCACUUCGAGGUCUCGGGCCGGAGCUCGCGGCUGACCUGUUCACGCGAGCUUCGGCUUCACCAGUCCUCCAUGAAAGCUCAUAGAUGUCCUAAUGCAUGUUGAUAAACGCCCAAGCUUGUGCUUGAGUCUAUACCAGUCUGAAGAUACUUCGUUUCUNNNNNNNNNNNNNNNNNNNNNNNNNNNNNNNNNNNNNNNNNNNNNNNNNNNNNNNNNNNNNNNNNNNNNNNNNNNNNNNNNNNNNNNNNNNNNNNNNNNNNNNNNNNNNNNNNNNNNNNNNNNNNNNNNNNNNNNNNNNNNNNNNNNNNNNNNNNNNNNNNNNNNNNNNNNNNNNNNNNNNNNNNNNNNNNNNNNNNNNNNNNNNNNNNNNNNNNNNNNNNNNNNNNNNNNNNNNNNNNNNNNNNNNNNNNNNNNNNNNNNNNNNNNNNNNNNNNNNNNNNNNNNNNNNNNNNNNNNNNNNNNNNNNNNNNNNNNNNNNNNNNNNNNNNNNNNNNNNNNNNNNNNNNNNNNNNNNNNNNNNNNNNNNNNNNNNNNNNNNNNNNNNNNNNNNNNNNNNNNNNNNNNNNNNNNNNNNNNNNNNNNNNNNNNNNNNNNNNNNNNNNNNNNNNNNNNNNNNNNNNNNNNNNNNNNNNNNNNNNNNNNNNNNNNNNNNNNNNNNNNNNNNNNNNNNNNNNNNNNNNNNNNNNNNNNNNNNNNNNNNNNNNNNNNNNNNNNNNNNNNNNNNNNNNNNNNNNNNNNNNNNNNNNNNNNNNNNNNNNNNNNNNNNNNNNNNNNNNNNNNNNNNNNNNNNNNNNNNNNNNNNNNNNNNNNNNNNNNNNNNNNNNNNNNNNNNNNNNNNNNNNNNNNNNNNNNNNNNNNNNNNNNNNNNNNNNNNNNNNNNNNNNNNNNNNNNNNNNNNNNNNNNNNNNNNNNNNNNNNNNNNNNNNNNNNNNNNNNNNNNNNNNNNNNNNNNNNNNNNNNNNNNNNNNNNNNNNNNNNNNNNNNNNNNNNNNNNNNNNNNNNNNNNNNNNNNNNNNNNNNNNNNNNNNNNNNNNNNNNNNNNNNNNNNNNNNNNNNNNNNNNNNNNNNNNNNNNNNNNNNNNNNNNNNNNNNNNNNNNNNNNNNNNNNNNNNNNNNNNNNNNNNNNNNNNNNNNNNNNNNNNNNNNNNNNNNNNNNNNNNNNNNNNNNNNNNNNNNNNNNNNNNNNNNNNNNNNNNNNNNNNNNNNNNNNNNNNNNNNNNNNNNNNNNNNNNNNNNNNNNNNNNNNNNNNNNNNNNNNNNNNNNNNNNNNNNNNNNNNNNNNNNNNNNNNNNNNNNNNNNNNNNNNNNNNNNNNNNNNNNNNNNNNNNNNNNNNNNNNNNNNNNNNNNNNNNNNNNNNNNNNNNNNNNNNNNNNNNNNNNNNNNNNNNNNNNNNNNNNNNNNNNNNNNNNNNNNNNNNNNNNNNNNNNNNNNNNNNNNNNNNNNNNNNNNNNNNNNNNNNNNNNNNNNNNNNNNNNNNNNNNNNNNNNNNNNNNNNNNNNNNNNNNNNNNNNNNNNNNNNNNNNNNNNNNNNNNNNUAAAAAAAAGCUGUAAAAAAAAUGUUUCUUUUAAUCCAAAAAUGUUGGAUCCGGGUUUGGGUUGGGUCCACGGGCCGGAUUGGGUUUACCCGGUCCAAACCCAUUUUAUUGAAGUAUAAUAAUAUUAAAUAUUAAAAAUGUAUUAAAAAUUCAAAAAAAAUUCAAAAAAAAAUUCAAAAAAAUCAAAAAAUGAUAAAAUUUCGAAAAAAUGAUAAAAUUUCAAAAAAAUUCAAAAAGUUUUCCGAAAUUUCAAAAAACUCAGGAAACAUUAAAAAUUCGACUUUCCUUUUGAAAAAAAAUUAAUUAAUUUAAUUUAAAAAAAAACAAAAAAACAAAAACAAAAAAAAACAAAAAAUUUCAAAAAUCCAAGAAUGAUAGGGUUUGGUUAGGAAUUACUAUGUAUUGCCGUUUUAGUAUAAUUAAGCCUUUAUUUUCUUGUAUGUUGUUUUUAUUGUAUGUUUAAUUUGCACGUGUUUAACUUUAGGGCAAAUAGGACCUCGGUAGGUAUAAUUAUUACUUUAUUGAUUGCGCACCUGCGUGUUCACUUCCUAUGUUAGUAGAUAGAUAUGAAAUCGAUCUAAGCUACCAGAUGAAAAUCAUUUUGUUAAAAUGAACAAGAUUAGGUACCGAAGGGGCACUAACUAGUCAAUUAGUAUAAUCAAGUCCCCGAUCCUAGACUCUCUGGUUGCGUAGGAAGUGAGGCACGCUCUCAUGCCUCACUUGGUUUCUAGCCGACCCUAAUAGGCUAGUGGCGACUCAUUUUGUGCAAAAUUUCUUAAGAAUAUCCCAACGUCACGCGGGGUAUGGGCUUGGGAGAGCUCGCGCCUAAUCAAUGGGCCUUUAGGCCCGUUCUUUAGGCAAUACCCCUAAAUCUUUUCCCUCCCCCUGAGGGGUAGGUCGCGACAGGUGGUAAGGAAAUUCUCAUUAAAUCUGUCAUCCAGGCAAUUACUCAUUAUGCUAUGUCGAUUUUCAAACUUCCUAUGUCUCUUUGCAAAACUAUGAAAUAGAGCAUUGCUCGUUUUUGGUGGAAGAAUGAUCAUAAUAGAGCAGGGAUACAUUGGGAAGAAUGAGAUAUUUUCAAAAAGAGUAGGACAUUGCGUCUAGAUUCGUGAUCUCAUGAUUUCAACGAGCUAUGCUGUAAACAGCGUGGCGAUAAUACAACAACUCAAGCUUUAUGGAGUCAAAUCUUUAAAGGGCUCUAUACAAUCAUUCUAAUGAUUUCCAAUCGGUGAAUAGAGGACAUCGACCAUCUUGGGGAUGGCAGAGUAUUCUUGUGGGUAGGGAUGCAAUUUCACCUAAUAUUAGAUGGUCAGUGGGGAAUGGAAGGAAUAUCGGCAUUAGAAAGGAUCGAUGGUUACCAAGAGGAAUUCUUGGUGGACCUGCGACAAGAGAGAAACCAAAACUGGUGGCUGAUCUCAUUAAUCCAAUCCACAACAGCUGGAAUAUAUCUCUGAUGAGUAGUUUUUUAGAUGACCGGAUCAUAGCAAAGGUUCUAACCAUUCCAGUUAGACCUACCUUUGUCGUAGAUGAACUGGUCUGGACAGCCACCAAGAAUGGCCGACAUACGGUGAAGAGCAAUUAUCAUACUCUGACUUCCAUCAACAGAAACCACAGCAAUAAUACAGCAUCAACCUCUUAUCAGUAUCCUAAGCUACUGUGGAAGAAAAUAUGGGCUAUGCAAAUUGCUCCUAAACUUCGUAUAUUUCUAUGGUCAGUAUAUCAAGAUGCACUUGCCACUACUGACAACUUGUUUAGGAAACACAUUAUUGCUGAACCAUUCUGCCAGCUUUGUAAGCAGCACAUCCAGAGAUGGUAGAGCAUUUAUUUCUAUUAUGUCUGUGGACUAAAGACAUUUGGGAUCAUCCCCAAAUCAUCUAGAUGUCACAGCUACAACGAUUACCCAAUUCGAAGUCUGGUUAACAGAAACUGCUGUAUUAAAAAAUUGCUUACCUGGUCUGGAAUUCCUUACCAAUGUUUUAUGGCAAAUCUGGCGAAUGCGAAAUGGCUUUACUUUCCGUGGCCAACGUUUGGAUUCAAUAGUAGCAGUGGAAACAGCUUCAUCGCAGACACGACUUUAUCAGGUUUCAGUCCAAACUUCCUCCUCACGACCUACAACAUAACAACACCCACAUCAAAUAUGGAAACCACCGGAUCUCGGCACUUUAAAAUGCAACAUCGAUGCCUCUUUUCAACCAGGAAGCACACAUGGAUCUAUGGCAUCUAUUUGUAGAGAUUAGUAUGGUUGACUUACCGACGUUUACACUGCACGAUUCCCUAUUGCAUUAGCUCUCAUUGCGGAGUUUCAGGCCCUCACCUUUGCGCUUUAGCAUAUGUUACGACAAGGGCUUCAUCAGGCACACAUUAUUCUGGAAUCGGACUGUAGCAUAGUUGUUGCUGCGGUAACAGGGGAGGAUCUGCCGCCAUGGGAGACUCGGGUUUUGCUUGCGGAGGCAACGGCUUCACUCUCUCUUUUUUCCCUAACCUCACUUUUCGGGUCUGUAAGCGAGAGACUAACUCUGUCGCCGACUAGGCCGCGAAGGCCCACCUUUCGAAUACGUCGGCCCAAGAUUGGAACAUAUUCCUGCCUACUAUUUUGCUAGACCUUGUAUAUCUCAACGCUUUAGUCUCUGGAUGUAAGCUUAUGAAUUUAUAAUAUAUUUUCAGUUUUCGACCAAAAAAAAAAUUAUCGUAAAAAUUUGAUCAUCAUGAUGAAACAGUAAAGAGAUGAAGAAAGGUGGGGCAUCACUGUCAUUUGACUUCACUCACUCGUGCGCACCAUUAACUCCAUAUUAUCAUUAUAUAUUUGGGCCGCAAGAAGGUCUGAUUGAUUCAAUCAUGGAGGGAUUUGCUGUUGGACAUGGACAUCAUACCACAUCAUGUCCUUUGAGGUUUGCUGAUGUCGGUGGCAAAUAAUACAAAUCGUCUCCUAAAGACCAAGGUAAUAGUAGCAUUCGAUUUUGCUCGGUAUUCAAGGCUAGCCAAUACCGCUGGUGUAAUCACCACCGGUGUGGUCCUGUUGUGCCUCACCGACGUCGCUCCUCAUGCUGAACCUCCGCGCCUAGCUCAAACUGUUGGACGCAAAUUGCGUAACCCCAAAAUCUCCAUAACUAGAACAAGAACAUACAUAAUUGAGUAGAAAGAUUAACGCACCUAUUUUGGGAUCCAUUGUUCUUGAAGAAGAAGCGGAAACACAAUGUUCCACGCGCAAGUCCUUUUCCUCUAUUGCCCUCCGUAUCACUAGCUCAAUGAGGCGGCCCCCCUCACGUGUAGCAUUAAGUAAACGCCCCUUAGGUGAGGAUACAUGUGAGAAUUAGGGUUAGAGGAGAGAUUUGAGCACUAUUUAUAAAGUUUCUAGCCAGUUCCUCUCAUUACGGGCUAGGCUCAACUCGGCCCACACUAGCCAGCCCAUAUUAGACUAAUUAAGAAACCUUCUAUCUCACCUUAGACCAACCAUGUUUUACGGUAACCGUAAAAACAGUAAAUUACAAUAUCAAUUAAUUUAGUCCACAUUAGAAAAACUCUUACAUUCUCCCACUAGGACUAUAUUAAUUAAAAUCGUACUGUAUGUGCGCACAUUUGAUCCAGAGAUAAUUCUUAAUAGUCAAUCCUAUCCCAUAAAGCCUUAAACACCAAAUCAUGGCGGUAACUGCAUGUAUACAUACAGAGCCUUCCAUGGUCACGAAUGAUCUCAACUUUAUUGAUAUGGAUUCAAUAUGGUAGUGUGUCAAAUGGGAUAACAUCUCUUCAUAGAGAGAUCCCAUUUGGUCAGUCACCAUUUUNNNNNNNNNNNNNNNNNNNNNNNNNNNNNNNNNNNNNNNNNNNNNNNNNNNNNNNNNNNNNNNNNNNNNNNNNNNNNNNNNNNNNNNNNNNNNNNNNNNNAAUGGUUACGGCGACAUAUGAGAAUGCUUUAUGGUUCCAAUAAACCCACAUAUGUCUUGUCCUUAUGGUUAACCUUUCUUUAUGUAUCACAAGACAUAUGCAUAAGGCUAAUAACCGAAUGCCCGGAUGCCCCUAGCCUUCACUCAAGGUUUAUACAAUCCCUUGAGACUUUAUCAAUAUGUAUUCAACAUAAUAACAAUGCAUUCAAAAAAUAUUUUAUUGAAUGCAAAAGUUGAUACAUAUCAAACCGUUACAAAAUGUAACGAACACAGAUGAAACCUUUAUCAGAGUGAAGCCAAAAUAACUCCCACUAAACAACAGUAUCUGAAGAUACUCCUAGGCCCAUGCUAAUGACAUGUCACUCAAAUACACAUGGGUGUAGGCCUUUAGUUAGUGGAUCUACAAUUACAUUAUCUGUGAAAAUAUAUUAUAUUAAAACAUCACCUUUCUGUACCGUUUGCUUUUGGUCAAAAAUUUUGACCACCAUAUACUUAGACCCAUUGAGACAUCUGUAGUAAAUAAAUAAUACUACAAAUUUGUUAUCUUAAUACAAUCGUAUGGAUCUAUCCAUAAAGUUAAAACGAUCAACUCCUUUAUGAGGUUCUGGAGCCUAAAAGCCCAAGUAACAGCCUAAAAGAAUGUUACUAAUACUGCUUACAUAAUAGAAGAUGACAUAGAACUUUAUUUACUGCACUUUCUACUAACAUAAAUAUGUAUCUUGUUAUUGAUAUUAUAUCAUCCUAACAGCCAGCAAAGUUUACAUCUAAAUACCCUACUAACUGCAAGAAUUGAACAUGUCUGUAAAUUAGCAUAUAAUCUCUUGUCUUCUUUAAGUACCUUAAAACCUUCUGACAGCAACCUAGUGAUCAUGUCCUGGAUUUGACCGAUAUCUGCCUAAAAGUCCCGUCACAAAGACAACAUUUAAUCUAGUGCAAAUUCGAGCAUACAUUAUACUUUUAAGUGCACUGAUACAAGGUACACCAUUUAAUUAGAUUUUCUCAAUAUCUAAAUAAGGACAAUGUGAUAAUUUAGUCAAUCACCCUUAACAACAGGAGCAAUUCCUGGCUUGCAAUAAUGUAUAUUGAAUAUUUCCAAUAUACAUUCAGCAAAUGUCCUUCGAGAAAAUCUAAUAUAAUAUCGCAAAAACAAUCCUUACAGACCUCAGUACAAAAGAUAUAAGAUGUCUUAAGGUCACAACUUGUAAGCAAAAUAUUAUAUACAUAAAGUAUGAGAAAAAAUAAAUUUCCUCCCACUAACCUUGUAGUAUAUUGAAUUACUUUGCUCCCAAUUGAACAAAAUAAUAACACUAUGAAAAUUUAAUAAUAAUGAAAAUAUUAAUUACAGAAAAUGUGACUGAAAACCAAGCAAUGUAUAUAAUUAACAUCAUGUGAGCACUAUGUAACUUGACAUACAAGUACACAUCCAGAGAGUUACACGCAUAAUCAUAUAAUCACCUUUGGGCAGAAUACAUGACAUGCAGUUGUACACUCCCCACAUGAUAGCGGUUAUGAGAAUAUAUUCCAAUUUUUCGUGAAUUCAUCACCUUUGGGCAUAUAAAUCACUAGAAUCAGUCACUCAUCCACCAUACUAUCAUGUAUCCCUCCAUGAACUAAUACACAAUCACCUCCUUUGAAAGUAUAACCACGCAUUAGACCAGGAGACAUCCCAAUCAGCAUACGAGACCGAAAUUUCUCAAACCCAAUCAAGCGUGCCAUUUUGGCGGUCACUACUCAAUUGAAUCCUUGAAAUUCUCUCAUACCAGGGAUAUAAACUUUACUACUCACAUACAUCAUAUACAUGUGAUUUUAACUUUAGUGAUAGGGGCAUGUUAUAACUAAAAUCACAUAUCAUGCUAAUUACAUUGCUUUAUCCAUUAAUAAAAAUUAAUCAUACAUAUAUAUAAAUAUAUAUACAGCGAACCUGAAAGACAGAUUCCAAUGAGAUCAUUGAUCACAGUAACACAAGAAAAUUCUCAUAGAAGCAAGCAUCUUGUGCACCCCGAUUAUUGAUUACUAAAAUAACAUUGAAAGAAUGCCGAUCCAAAGGAUCUCUCACAAGUUAACAUCAAUAACAAUACAGGGUACUCCAGAUUGACAAGCUUGAUAACUAAUCAACUAUUGCUCAUGAGUUUCAUACGGCAAAACAUGACUCCAAGGCCAACAAAUGAUUUAUUAGUCAAUUUUUAAGUAACAAAUCAUCAUUGUAAUCAGCUAGUGGCCUAUUAAUUGAGUCAAACCAGAGAACCAAAUAUCUAAAAAUUCAACAGUAGAUACUAUUGCUCUGCAUAAAUAUUGUUAUACUUCUUAACCAUAAAUAUAUUCAACUUGACAGACAUUAACAAGUGACCAGAUGAGUUCAUGUAUAAUAUACAGUAAUUUAAUCGACAUGCAUUACCCACAUAUAACAUAUAUGUUAAUCAGUACAAUCAGUUUGGUCACGAGUUCUUAAGACGUCUAUCAUUCAAAGAUUACCAACGUGUCAAGGAGUAUGCUUGAGCAACAAAAGUUUCAUAACCUUUACUGUUUCCCAUCAGCUCAAUACAUAGCUCAAUUACUAUUCCAUAAUGGUUGUAUCUCAUUAAACCAGCUUCAAUUCACAAUAAAGUUUGAUUUUUAUUGAUAAAUCACACAUUUAUAAUGAUUAUGUGAUAAUAUGCCUAUAACCCAACACUUGUAUUUCCAAAAUCACAGAAAAAUACAAGGAAAAAUACGCAAAAAUUCAUUUAAAAUACACGUAUUUAGGGUUUCAUAUGCAAUUUCACAUCAAUAAAACCAUCAAACAUAUAAAAUAAAUAUACCACCAGAUAGGAAAUCACCAUAUGAGUCCAACGCCGCCAGCCACGCGCCGAUCGGAGCCUCCACGCGCUAACACGCGCCGCUUGAUUGCGCGGCGCGUGGAGCUCACGCGCGGCGCGCGUUCGACGCCCAGGCGGCGCAUGGCCGCACGUGGGGGCGUGUGCGGCCUCCUCCGGCGACGCACCACCGACCGUCUUGCUCGUCUCGUUGAGCCCAGUCUGAAUUUGUGAUUUAAUUUUAUUUUUAUUGAACAAAAAGUCUCGAAAAUCACAAAUUAUGGCAAGAUUUGUAAUUAGGGCUAAUCCGUACAAAUUAGGGCAAAACAUUUAUGCGUUCAAGUUCUAGGGUUAUGGUUGCUCUGUACCACAUGUUGGACGCAAAUUGCGUAACUCCAAGAUCUCCAUAACUAGAACAAGAACAUGCAUAAUUGAGUAGAAAGAUUAACGCACCUGUUUUGGGAUCCAUUGUUCUUGAAGCGGAAGCGGAAACACAAUAUUCCACGCGCAAGUCCUUCUCCUCUAUUGCCCUCCGUAUCACUGGCUCAAUGAGGCGGCCCCCCUCACGUGUAGCGUUAAGUAAACGCCCCUUAAGUGAGGAUACAUGUGAGAAUUAGGGUUAGAGGAGAGACUUAAGCACUAUUUAUAGAGUUUCUAGCCAGUCCCUCUCAUUAUGGGUCAGGCUCAACUCGGCCCACACUAGCCAGCCCAUAUUAGACUAAUUAAGAAACCUUCUAUCUCAUCUUAGACCAACCCUGUUUUACGGUAACCGUAAAAACAGUAAAUUACAAUAUCAAUUAAUUUAGUCCACAUUAGAAAAACUCUUACACAAACCACCCCCCAACCCCCUCUCUCUGACUUCUGAUGGAGACUGAGGCUAGGCACAUAACUUCCAUUGAUGAUGGUGCUCAACUUCAUAUCUAGGUCGCACGACCUGAUGUCAUAUCCAGUCUAAAUUGAACAACCAGCCUUCGGUGUUCAUAUUGGUGUUCUCAUCAACAUAUUAGACGUUUAGUUAAUGGUAUUAAUUGCCAUAUCAUCAAUUUUUGUUAUUCUUCUGGAAGUAAUGAUCAUAUUGAGUCAAAUUCAAAAUAUGCAAAUACUAUGGAAUUGCAAAAUAUUUCCAGCACAAACAUUGUCAUGACAGGCAAAAGUUUAGGUACCGCCCAUACUAUUACCCAAAACAAUAGAAGAUAAUAUAAAUCAUCAAUAAUCAUCAAUAUUGUCAAUUGGGUAUUUUAAUGAGAAAAGUUAAUUUAUAGAGAAAGGUCCUUUAUGGGAAUCAUAUUUGAAGAUGGAAGUGAAUAAUGUAUGUUUUACCCCUACAUUCAGUCAUAUAAUACAAUUGAGUGAUUGUUUUAAUCUCCCUUAUGAAAAAUAGUGUAAACGUUUUCUUGUAAAUUACAAAAACCAAUCUUUGAUUUUUACCUCAAUUACUAACUUUGCAUUUGCUAAUUCCGAAAUUUAUCUACACUUUUGAACAAGAGGUUUCAGAAAAUCUACACUUAGCACAAUCUAAUUUUCAUAGUCUGUUAGACUCAAAGAUGUAAAAUUUAGACCUUUUUCGACAUCAAGGCGCAAAACACAUGUUCGAAAUAAUAGAUGAUGCGAAAUAAAUUAUAAUAAAAAGCCAAGAAUGAUUUUUGUUAUUUUUUCUGCAUGAUGAAAAAUGUAGUUGAGCCACAUAGGAAGUACAAAUAAAAGGAUUAACAAAAAAAAAAUCAAUCCUAAACGUAUUUUAUGGAUGCUAGUUUAUACCUAACUUUCCAAUUUUGUCAAUUUAGUAUUAAACAUUUAUGUGAAAUUCUAAUAUAGUCUUUUUAAUCAUGUUAGUAAUUUCUAACUAAAAUUUGCCAAAAAGACUACAUUGGAAGUCUGCGUAAAGGUUCGAGAUCAAAUUAGUAAAAUUAAAACAUUUAUGAUUGAAUUAAUUUUUGUACAAUAUAUAAGAUUGAUUGGGUCAUUUUUUUUAGGAUUAACUAUUCCAUUUUUUUUUCUUUUCUCUUAUAGUCUGUUUAAAUAGGAGAAUAAAAAAUAUAUACUCAUAUAUAAAUUAAAAGAAAGUACACAACUAACGGAAAAGAGAUGUGAUAUCUUAUGCCCAAUUGGUUUUCAUUUUGUUAGUAGCUCGAAAUUUGCGAUGUUGAUCAUCACGUUUGUCCCCCAAAAGUCAUAAAGUCAACUUUCCCGUUUGCCCCACCAAUUCAGUAUCUAGGAUAAUUCCAAGUUCUAUUCUCACGACCGCGCUACUUAAUCAUAAUGUUCUGUCCAGGCAAAAGAAUAAAAAAAAGUCCUAAACAUUUUGCAUUAGUACUAAUUUAGUCUUAAACUUUUUAAUGAGACCAAUUUAAUUCUAAACAUUUUCAUACUUGUACCAAUUCAUUCCAUCUGGUUAAUUUAAGCCAGAAAUUGCUAACGUGGCUACGACAGUCUUAUGUGGUGCCACAUGGACAAAUUUUACAAUUUUUGAUAUUUUUUGAUAUUUUUUUAAAUUAUUUUUUUUUAUAUUUUUCCUUUUUUUCUCUGAUUUUUUUAUUUUUUCAUGUUUUCCUUUCUCCUUACCCCCGCCAGUCGACCAUCGCCAACCACAGGCUAGUCGGGGCAAGGGCCCCUACACCCUCGUCGGCCACAACUAAGGGCAUCAACCCCCGCCUAGAUCCAGGCGAGGGCAUGGCGACCCUCACUCGUGGCGGGCAAGGGUGUUGUGCCCUCACCUGGAUCUAGGCAACCUGGAUCAUUGGGCCCUUGCCUAGAUCCAGGUUAGGGCCACAAUGGCCUCGCCUGAGGCGUCACAGCUCUUGCCCACCAUGAGCAUGGGCCUUUGUGCCCUCACCUGUGGCUGACAAGGGUGCGGAGGCCCUCACCCUUGCUGGCCAACGGGCAAGGGUUUUGGCCCUUGCCUAUGACCAGUGAGGGGGCGGCGACGCUUGCCAGUGGCUGGUGAGGGCACAGGGGCCCUCACCCUGACUAGCCUAGCCGGCCAGCGACCUAAUUGGCCAAGGGGUAAGGAGAAAGGAAAAAGAAAAAAUUAAUUAGAAAAUCUAUAAAAAAAAAAUAUCAAAAAUUAUAAAAUUUGUCCACGCAGCGCCACAUAAGAUUGCUAGUAGCCACGUCAGCAAUUUCUGACUUAAAUUAAUCAGAUGGAUUAAAUUAGUACCAAUGUGAAAAUGUUUAUGACUAAAUUGAUUCAAUUGAAAAGUUCAUGACUAAAUUGAUACUUGACUUUUUUAGUACUUUUUCCGUUCUAUUCAAGUCCAAACGUGUCUUUAGCUAUUGCUUUGCCCAAACUUUUGUAUUAUUGACAUAAUCAAAUCAAUGAUUGUGCCCUCCACGUACUGGAUAUAUAAUCCAUCUCUUAAGCAUCGAGAGAAAUGUUUCAUAGCGAUGUUAAAGUCUAGAUGACAAAUGCCGAAAACUUCCCACUUUUUUUUUGGAAGUUAUCAUCUUGAUAUGAAAUAACACUACAGGAUACCCCUAAACUUUAUCGGCUUGUGUAAUAUCGUAUUUGAAUUUAUUUUUUUGCAAUCAGAUUCUUGAACUAUGAUUUAUUCGUUCACAUUGGAUCUUCCAUUAAAAGACCCGAAAAAACAAAAAAAAUGCUUAUGUGACCGUUAAAUGCCAAGUUGAAUCAAUGUGGCUCGACAACACCAUCUUGAGCCGGAGCCCACAGGCAAUUUGUCGAUAGUGUUUGAGUUUGAUGAGGUGAGUGAGGAUGGGUCGGAACACUUUUCAAUAGAGGCCCGCCCGAUCGGCUUCGACUUUUUUGGCAAAGGAGGUGGCAUCUAGGGUGAGGUGGUGAUGGCUCGGAAUUAGAGGCUCCCCUUCGGCGGCCCCUGGCUUUCUUAACGGUGUCGCGUUGAUUUCCAACAACGUUGAAGAGAUUGGAGAUGACUGGAAAUUCCUCUUUGUCUUUUUUUUUCUUCAUCAUUUUUUAAGUCAGUCAUAUUUCAGGCCUAACCCCGCCCAAAAUUAAAUUAAUGCCAAUCCAAGAGGACUUGUUUAGGCCCGAACCUUUCAAGGACAUAUUUUUCGAUAGAAAAGCCACCCAUUUGCAACUGUACUUCCAAUUACUAGACACCAAAGGAACUCGCGAACUCAUUGCUACACCAUUCUUUAUUUGCGAUAGACAAACAAGCAAUCCUAUUCUGUAACAUAGAAACGGCAACAAUUUAUUGCUUAUGCCCAAUCAUGACGAAUAUGUUCCCCAAAAAUCAACCAACUAAUAUUAAAUUAACCCCAAUAACAACUAGCCUCAAUAUUCCAGCAAUAUUAACCCUAAAGCAGUGAAGAUAGUGCUGAAUAUUAAAGCAAGGGAAAACCAACACCUGUAAAAUUUUACAUAAAAAACACAAUACAGGAAAAAUCACGAGACCGGUAAAAAUCUUCCACUAAUCACCAAGAACAGCAUAAUACAUAAUAAUUCAUCUCAAAUAACACAGCUUGAGGCUCAUCACAUUAGCAAAAUAUUAUCACCACAACAGUGGAUUAACAUAAAGAAGCAAGAAAGAUCUAACCGUUGCUAGACAAAAUCAAGAGACAAUUUGGAGAAGAUUUUAACAAACACAACCGAUCAACUUGUAGAUCAUGGACUCACGAAAAGCAUAUGAAAUUUCGGCCAAUUUUGACAAAGUUUCACUAUCAAAUUUAGACGGCCUCUUCUCUUCUUCAAAGCAAAGCUCUCCGCCUCUUUUUCUCUAUAACAACGAAUUGCUCUUCCCUCUCUUCUAAAUCAAGAACAUACAGCCCUAUCUAUUCUUUUUCUUUUCUAUUUAUUUAAGAUGAUGAGAUGAGCCCCACAAGAGGUAGACCCAACCCAAAAAACCUCCCCUUCACCUUACCAAGGAAGUUUCAUUAUGACAGUGUUAUCUAAACAAGAAUCGAGUUUCACCAUUGACAAGAUUUUACUCAUCAUAUUAAAUCCAUUAUCAUUGGUAUAGACUUUCUCAAGUAAGAAAAGUUUCUCAUCUAAUUUAUCUCGGAUCCAAUGACAAGGAUAAAGCAUCAGUCUGGGUAAAGCAACCAGAUGCAAUUCUAGUGAAUAUCAAUCUAUCUUCAGCAAUAAGACAAGGAUAAAGCAUCCCACAUAAAGCUGUCUUGUAUUUGCAUGAAUAGAUAUGAUCUUGUCGGAGGCAAGACCGCUCAUCUCUAAAUAAUAACAGCAGUUACCAAAGAGUCGAUAUAUUUAGAGCAGUAUCAUGAUUCGCUCUCUAAGGAUAAACACCCUCGAGAAAUGGAGAGAUCAAUUUCCCUAUAUCUUCUUUAGUUUGCCUGCAAACCAUAAAUGGUAGAAGUUAAGAUCAAUGGAGAAACCUGACAAGCCUAAGUUUCGAGCCACUAAAACAUGUGUCUUUACAAUAUUGUCUCUUUUAUUACGUAACCUUUUGUUUUGAUAGGGCAUUUUUUCGGAACAUACUAAAACCGACAUCAAAGGCACUUUUACAGCAAUAAUAUUAGGUUAUAUUAGUGUUGUGUUUAUCCUCGACUGACUAAAUUAAAGUUCAACGCCACCAAAUGCUAGGCUCUUAAGAAAUACUGCCUGGUAGAGAGACUUGUCGAUUAAGAAAUUUAACCAAAGCUCUCUCCAUUUUUCUUUUACACUGACGGCAGGCUUAACAAUAAUAUAAAUUUUCAUUUAAUCAUAUUAUGUUAAAUAUUAUUUCCUGGCGACCAAAUGCAGCCAGUCAAAUUCAAGUGACGAAUUCGAUAAUAAUCAUGCUUCGUUUGUUUCACGAAAAAUAAAUAAUUUGAAAAAUAUUUUCCAAAAAAUGAUUACAUUAUAUCUCUUGAAAUAAUUAGUCAAUAAACAAUGUUUUCAUUAUUAAUAAUAAUUUUAUGUUUAAACAUUUUGGUGAAUGAUGAAAAAAAUACUCUAUCAUUUAUUUUUAUAAGUGAUAAAAGUAAUUGAAAGUGAUAUAAAUAAUAUUUUUUGAUAUUUUUAAUCAUUUAUUUCUCGUGAAACAAGAAGAUAAUGAAAUAAUAUUUACCUGAAGAAAAUGGGUAAUUGGGCUCAGUUUUCGUUGGCGCCCAAAAAUUCUCUUGGGCUAAAUGAAACCUUCGUCCCUCACACUGACGAAAGAAAGUCUCAUCUUUCAGUCGACUUGAAGAGCAUUUUUGGUUCUAAAUCGAGCUCAAACCUUCGUUUCCGCUACUCAUCUUCGUUUUCAUCUAAGGUCUUCGGGGAGCUUCUGUGAGCGUUUUUCACUACUAAUCGUUACACCGCCGCUUUUGUUCUUCAAUUUGAUAUCUAUUUUGCUUUUUUAAGCUAGUUUUCGUUGAUGUCGCGACUGUUUCUUGCUGAUUGGAUCGUCUUCGACCUGGGGCUGGAUGGUUUCUGGCUCGGAUAGCAAGAAAAUGUCGGAGAUCUCUUGUGGUGAUCGAGAUAGAUAGUAGUGUCAGAAGGUGAGAGAAAGAUUUCAGAAAUGUUAUGCCGUAGUUGCGUCCGAGCCGUAAUUGUUGAUGGGUGUCCGCGGAGUUACUUCCAUUGGACGUGCUUGUUUGUCUGUCUAAAUGGCGUGCUUUGUUUGAACUGGUGAUGCUACUUCCGUUGGACGUGCUUGUUUGUCUGUCUAAAUGGCGUGCUUUGUUUGAACUGGUGAUUAUUUUGUGCUUGAGUCAGAAAUUGGGAAUGCCAGCAAUUUGAGCAUGGACUCAUCUUCUCCAAUGGGGAAAAGAGAUGUGCCUAGUUCCCUUUCUUCCAUAUUAAUAUACAUGUGAUUGUUCAAAACAAAGUUGAACACAAUCUGUUGUUAAAUUUAUAGGAUCGUUACGAUCCUUGAUGACCUCACGAAAUUUUGUAAUGGGGCAUGCUUAAGAUUUGAUUCCGUGUUCAUUGAUAUCUGGCGUCUUACUGGAAGAUGGGCGAGCUUGCUGGCAAUGAACAUCUCAAGUACAUGCUGUGUUGAAAGGGUAGGCACGAAAUUUUUACUACUCUCUUCUUGUUCUCUUGUCCACUUUCUGCCAGUUACUGGAAAUGACUUGGUUUUUCUGGAUCUGCUACCAUCCAGCAUUUCAGAGUUUACUGAUAUGAGUUUUUGGGUUGAUCCUGCACUCAGAAAAAGGAUAGUUUUUGAGUUGCUGGUUAUGGAGCACUUUAGAUUGAAUGAAGCAUGUUGGGGAUAGACCACUGUAGAUCUUCUUGGAAAGGUUGGCACUGUGGAUUCAAAUGAAGUUGUUUCCUGCAAUGGCAGCAUGAGUCUGGUUUGCAUUUAUUUGCCUCUUGGCUUCUUUUUCGCGAGUACCCACAAAAAAACAUGCAGCUAACAGAAUUACCACUCCACAUUCAAUCAAAUAUAUCUUAUUUGACAGUAUGCUUAAGAUAUUAGCUUGGGAAUAACAAGUUCCAUCUAUUACAAUGACGACCAUAUCUUAGGAGUGAUUAGUGUUGCUUUAGUUAUUUAUAUUCUAAAACUUGACUCCAAAGAACAAAGUACGAAUGACACUUAGGGCUGCUUGUGCAGGUGCCUUUGGUGCCAAAUAUUGGACAUGAUCCUCUGCUGUAUGCUCUCGGAGCCGUGCAAGUACUGGCCCUUUAUGACAAGUUAGAUGUUCUUGACAUCAAUAAGGUGACAGAUUGUAUCCUUGGGAAUAGAGCAUCUUAGAUUCACAAGUUCCUUGAUGAACUUACCUUAGGCUCUGUUUUGCAUUUAUAAGGUCAGAUUAUGUUGUGGAAUUUUAUAGCGUGUAUAUUGCUAACCAGACAUUGAUGAGGGGGACUUUCUCUAUGGAGAUUGAAGUUGCUACUGUUGGAUUAUCUCUGGUAUCAAAUGUUAUACAUUGUUGUGCCUGAACGAAGAUGAAUCUUUCUCUGGGGAUAAAUGGAGAGAAGUUGAUGCUCGGUGUCUUGUCCUCAUCUUUGAUCAAUUAUUAUUUUUGUGCUUCUUGAGGAUGUUUCUUAAAUAAUUGACAUCCCUUCACCACUUUUUCCCUUCGAAGAUUCUCUCAUUGUGCUAUAUGCUGUCUAGCGAUACUAAAACGGUUGGAUUCGAUAAAUGUGGAGAAUGCUGUCAGAUAUAUAGUGAGUUGCCAAACUUUGGAUGGCGGGUUUGGUUGCAUUCCCGGUGCAGGGUCUCACCUGAAAUGAUACCAUUGCAAACAGCCUUGGCUUCCAUCUCGAUGGUAUAAUCACUGUGUGAACCACUGACGUCUAAGAUAUCCUAAGAUAACGCACUAAUGUCCUUGCUCUCUCAACUAAUCUACGCGGUAGUAUUUAAUAGUUGGAGAAAAUCAUUCGGUCUAACAGCUAUAUCUACAAGGGACUAUUUGUCGCCAAAAUGCCAACUAAGAUUCCAGAAUCUCGCCGUACCAUCACAAAAGGUAAAGAAACUUCAGAGUCGCCUAAGAUAUUAUUAAGCUACGAUCUUCACAAGACAAUGAUCUCCUUAGGAUCGGUAAGACUAUAGUCUCAUAUAAAUUAAAUACGGUUUAAUCUUGGUGAAAGUAUAUUUUGAGAAUGGAAACUCAACGUCAAGGCAUACUUAAUGAAUUUCAUAAAUCAUCUGUUUCAAAUAAUUUUUCUUUGCAAUUCCUAGGAUCCUACAAUGAGCAGUUACAAGUAGUCUAUAUACGGGGACACAGCAGGUCCACAAUUGAUGGUAAGUAGUAAUCAGGAGAUUAACAGAACCGCUUAAAUCUUAGAAUGCUUUGCUAACUGAGCAAGUAAGCACACUUCAAACGCGUAAAACCCGCAAUGAGCAACAAUUGAAAAAUGCCUUCUCAUAAGCAGCCACGAAGGACCCAAUAAAUUGCAGUUCUUUCCUCUCCUAGCUAAGCAAUAACGAAAGUUUCUCCAGUUCAUUGUCCUACCCUUGAAUAAUACAGAGCAAAUGUAGCAACCCAACCAAAUCUAGCAAGUUUGUCAUAACCUCAUGCUGAGCUCUUUCGCUGGUUUCUAAUUUCUGAUUGGUGCAUAGUAAGUCAUGUAUUUGCUUAAAUACAUGGUGGUCUUCUCAUUAUGCUCAAUGAACACAUCCAAAGGAUAAAACCAAGUCGCCACAGUUUUAAGACAUUCCUUAGGAUUCAUCUUAGACGUGUGAAAGUAGGAAGGAAUUGAUGACUUCAGUGGAUAAUUAGGCAUAAAACAAUGAAGCACCAAGCAAGUAAAUUAAGAAGCACAAGAGCCUGACCAAGCACCUUGCCACGAAGUGGCUCACUUCUCUAUCUUCUUUCAAUUCAAAUAAGAAGAUAUUUGCAAAACGGAGAACUGGAACGUGGGAGUAAUCCUGAAGCGACAAGAUUUGGUGUUCCUGCUUCAAUAGAUGACAAAGCCGUGUGUAUUUUGUCUAGCCAAUUGUCUAGUCGGCCAGGUAGUAAAUCUGAGCUGUGGAAUCCCCAACCAUAUGCAGCGGACUUCAAAUUACCAAUGGAAAUCACAACUGCCCAAAAAAAGAAAAAAAAAAGGAUAUCCCAUUUUAAUUCUCCAUGAUGAAUCGAGAAGAGAAGCACUGUUUGCUUCAUUUGAAUCAUCAAGAGCUCCUCACAGGUAAUAAACAGACUGUGGAUACUCAUUAAAGCGACGAUUAUCCAAACCUUAGAAUAUACUUAUAGAUAAACUCUUCAUGACAAGAUGCACAACAUCCUCUGCACAUGAUUACACUCAAUCAAGCAGUCCACAAAAGCAUAGCAACAUAACUAGACUAGGCAUUCAAAUAGUCAGACAAAUGCAAGAAGGCAGACCCUUAUACAAAUAUUACCAUAUGAAGCUCGAGCUCAUGCUCUACGCAAAGAUAAACCACACGAUUACAUUCAACUAAGCACCAACUGCCACUCUGACCAAAAAAAGAAAACACCAACUGCCAAACCAUUCUUAC